rnacentral:lncRNA from 1 species
CGGGCACGCCGACAAAUCCGCCGUAUACAAAGAAAUUUUUCUCAGUAUACGAAGCGUAGCUGUAUAUGUAAAACAUACAAUACUACAAAAACAGUAGUAUAGAGCUGCUAUGAAACUAAACAGGUAGAACAAAAAAACAGGUUCCAUAUACAUACAUAAUAUCAUGGUACAAAAAGUACUCGCUCCAGCGAGUUAAAACAUCUGUAUGUACAUGAACUCAAAAAGAUAAAGUAUCACUACCUGCAGCACAGGAUCCUCUAUCUCGGCAACUCAUCGGGUAGGGCUCUAGCUCGCAACGUCCUUGCCACGAUCAGCCUCAGAAGGUGCAGCAGCCGGAACCGAUGGCUCUGCAAAAGAAGGGUAACAACUGGAUGUGAGAACUACUGUAAAAAUAAGUAGUCCUCAGUGGGUGCUGCCCUGAACAUCAUCGGUCCACCCACUAAGUCUAUAGAAGCAAGAAAGCUAGUAGGAAAAGCUAGAAAGAAAUCUAAGCUACAUGUUGCUACACUAGCAUGCUCUACCCUACCAAUUGUAGUAAAAGUCACUGACUAUCUCACCCGGGCUGCCCAACUGGGCCCACCCUGCCUGUCUCCAACUACGCCGUACACCACCUCGAGAGUGGCCGGCUCAAAAACUGUCCAACAGAAAUUGCGACACUCAUCGCACUGAAACCUCAUUCCGGAAUGACAUUCGCGGGUGCGACCCACGAGUUACAAGUGUCUCUGUCAUUUCAUUCUUGCUCUCACAGGUUCGGCCAAGUAAAUAGGGUCUAACUGGACUACCAACCAACUAGUUACGUGCCCUCGGCAUAAUCUGAUACCAAAAUGACAAAUCUAGGUCCGCCGUCAACCACUACGGCACCCACUAGUCCGGAACAAUGUAAACACUGUUGUAAAAAUAGGCUCGGCAUCCCAGCACAAGCGUAACAGUAAUCUAAACUAUCUGGGGUACUCACCACAAGGAUACUGCGAUAGUACAAAAUACAACGCCUCCUAGAGCUAAAUCAGGUAGUUUAAACAUAUGACAGGUCCCGAACGUUGGUUUUCUCCUAUGUCAUAUUUCAGUCCAACAUGUAUAAUUAUUAACACUUAAUAACAUGCUCCAAAUUCAAUUCUUAUGUCUAAAACAUGCAUAACUAUGAAUUUGAGCUAAAAAUAAUAACGAUGAAUAUACAUUAAUUAUACAUAUCGACCAACGGAGCUAUAAGAGUAGAAAACUGAUGAUAAACCCAUCUCAAAAGCUAAAUGCAAUCCGGUGCGACGUCGAGAACGGCAAAAACGCACCCUCGCCUGGCUUCCUCGCGAUGCUACGAUGACGAACAUACGCUCAAACGGUACCGCGGCGCGACGUCGGCGACACACGAGCUCCAACUGGAUUCUCGUUCUCCUUGCGUACGGUCAAGUAUAGGAGAGAAAUAAAAACAUGCACACUCAGUUAAUUGAGAGGAUAAACAUGAAAGGAUACGUGGCAUCCUUAUCACAACUAAAAGACCACCAUGCCCCCCAUACCAACUCAAAGAGAGAAAUAAAUAAUAAUAAUAAAAAACAAAAGUAAAUCAAAGAAUACUACAAUAUAUAUAUAUAUAGUUGAGCUAUGAUACUUUUACAAGUAUCACCAUCAUGGUGCUAUUAGGUUUUAAGCCAUUGGAUCUACUUUUUGAUUAUUAAUAGCUCUUGGAUUAAACACUAUUCCACCUAUCACCAUCUACCACCACCUACCACCAUCAUCUCAACCUCACAUCUCUCCAUCCAAGGGCUAAAAACGCACAAAUAUCACCCCCAUGAUACUUUUACAAGUAUUCUAGCCCUACUCUAUAUAUAUAUAUAUAUAGUAGGGCUGCUAUACUCUUAUGAGUACGUAUUAGGUCUUUCGUACUCAUAAGUUGUUUUCGAUGAUGGAGCUUUCGAAUCGAUGAUCCACUCUGUUAAAUAUAGUGUCAGUUGAGUGGUGUUUGUCUAAUAGAUAUACGGUGAAAUGAAUCAAAGGUAAUCUAACGGUAGAAAACUCAAUAUACAAGGUGCUGUAACAAUUGAUAAUAGUACGACUAUAUAUAUAUUAAUAUAUAUAUAAUAUAUAAGUAAUAUAUAUAUUAUAAAUAAUAUAAUAAUAAAAAUUCUCUUUCUAGGAAAGAGGUCUAAUGAAGAUAUUUGUUCGUGGUCUGGAUUCAAGUGUUACUGUCGACCAUCUAAAGCAAGUUUUUAGUCCAUAUGGAGAACUGGUUUAUGUGAAGAUAGCUGUAGGCAAGAGAUGUGGGUUUGUGCAAUUUGCCAAGAGGUUUGCCCUUUUUCACAUUUUCAAACUUAAAUUUUACCCUUAUUUGGUGAUAAUUUAAUCAUGUUUGUUUGACCAGUUUUUAUAGGAUAUUUUGCAUCUUUUUUGUGCUAAAAUAUGUUUAUAGUUUCUGUUCUAUGUCGGCUUUUCAAAUAUUUGAGUUCUUCUAUAAUUCUUGUACUAACUGACAUAAAUAAAUUCUAAUAGAAAUGCAACUUCCUGCAUGAACAUGAUGACUCCCCAGCAUGUACUUUUGUGCAUUGCUGAACAUGUUUUAGAACUGAACAGAUUUUGAAUAUUGAGAUGUAAUUGUACUAUUAUAUAUGAUAUAACUUUUGUGCAUUGCUUCAUACGAUCUAGAACUGAACAGAUUGUGGAUAUGGGGACUUACUGCUACUAUUAUGACAUAUAAACUAGUUGACACUAUGAUUGUGCGGAGGGCAUUAGGAUAAUUACUUGUAAUCUUUUUUAUCAUUGUAUAGAUUAUAGUCUAUAAAGGCACGUUGAGCUUGAUAGAGAUAUACUAUGAUACUCAUUGAGGGUCGUUCCCCUUCGAGCGCUGCUCUGGAGUGCUUGCUUUGUUAAGAAUAUACAUUUUUUUGAACUUAGGUUGAGUCAAAUUAAUUAACCCAUCAAGUUAGUUCAUAGAAGAUGGUAUAGACUACGAAUCAAUCCAAUACAUCAAUUGGUUUUAAGUUUAUUACUAUUGAUGCAAGAUAUACAUGUCUAAGUCUAAUUAACAUUGUUGACUUGUUGACCGGCUAAUGCACGUGUGUGUGUGUGUGUGUAGAGGUGCAUGCCUGCAUGCCCUGAAAACCGUAUGGAUGUCGCGUGUGGGAAAAUUAAUUAGCGUCUUCAGCUAAUUAAUUCACGGCGUCCCGAUGACCGUACGACAGUAGAAGAGAGGCAACCUCACAUGCGACGUCUGGAUCGGAGUCGGCGGCGGAGCAGAGGUUCUCGACCAAUUGCCUGAGCGGUUUGGAUUCUUCGAAGCAACGACAUAAAAGAUUUUGGUUAGAAUUUUUAUACUUCUCUGAUUUAUUUUUCUCGAUUUUACAAAAAAAAAUUUUCGGUAUUUUCUUGGAAUUAUUUUUAGACUAGUGUUUCUUACGCGGUAUCCUAGAAUUGGACAUUUUGGUCCGUGCAUUGCAUCCAAGGAUGUUGCCAAUAACCGAUGCAUAGUUUAUCCAUGUGCUGCAUUCACAUUCAUCUGUUAGCUAGGCCGAUAAUUUAACCAUUCAAGUAACUUCGAAAUGUAGAAAAGAUUCAAUUAUUUUUCGUUAUUGCUUAUAUUAGAUUGUAAGAUUUUAUACAAACUGAUUGACUUUUUUUGAGAGAAUAUACAAACUGAUGGACUUGUGGUGCAAAUAUAUAUGAACCUGGUGCAAGCUACAAUUUAGUUGCAAAUAAUUUACUGUAGCUAAAGGUGACAAUGUAUGGAAGCCCAUGAACUUUGCGCGAUUCUGAAACUAAUCCCACAAGCCAGAACUAAUUUUCUUUGAUUAAGAUGUUUUAAUUUUUUUAAAUGUGAAUAAAUCCAUAGUUAACUUAAACAUUAUUAGAUUUAUAACUUUAUUAGUUAUUAAUUCUUAAUUGGUCUGAUUUUAUUUGCUAAAAAUGAUUGCAGUCAUUUCAUUUGAUGAAAUGACCAAUAAAUAUAUAUGACAAAGUACUAAUUCUCAAUUAUUUUUUACUUGAUAAAACUAAAUAGUUAUUGACACUUUUAGUAACUAAUGAAAUUCACAAGUGAUAUAGUAGAAUAUAUGCAGAGUAAAGCCAUUAGUCUUUUUUAUGUCCAAUUUAAUAUAAUAUAUAUGUCAAAUUCAGAUAGUUAAAAAUUACAUAAAAUUAAUAGAAAAAUAAUUUAUUUAAAACCGACACAUAGUUGAGGGGGUUUGCGUGCAUCAAUAUUUGGGCCGAAUUUGCCUGUGGGCUAGAUAGAGUAAUAUAUUCAUGUGGAUUUUAUUUGAUUUGGAUCCAAAUCUGCAUGUGGGCUGAGACGGGUUUUGGGUUUUAAUGUUCUAGGGCCGAAUCUGUAUGUGGGCUGGAUUUUUAUUGAUUUUGAAUCCAAAUCUGCAUGUGGGCUAGAUUUCGGGCUCUACAGGUUGUGGGCCCGAAUUUGCAUGUGGGCUUGGCAUGUGGGCUUGGUGUUUUUUUUUUUUUUUUUUUUGACUGCUUAUGGAAUUUUUUUUAUUAGACCCAUGAUAGAUUGAACNUUUUUUUUGACUGCUUAUGGAAUUUGUUCAUUGGGCCCAUAAGUAAGCGAUGGAUUGAACCAUUUUCGAUUAAAUAGUUCCAAACCCAUUUUCUCAAAUUUUUUUUGUUUCUUUUUUUUUGUUCUUUUUUUUUUUUGACUGAGGGAGAGGGAACAACUCUUUUUUUUUUUCUUUUGUAUUUGUUGUUUUUUUUUCUUUUCUUUUCUUUUCUUUUUUUUUUUGGGAUAAUUGCCUAUAUACCCCUCAUGCGUCUGGAAAUAUCCGAUCUACCGCUAUUUUUUUUCUUUCUAAAAUGCCUCUUAUAUGUUCCACCGUUAUUCCAAAAUACCCCUGCAGUUAACCCCUGUUAGCUUAACUCAGGUUAAACAUGGGUUAAAUGUAUAUUAGAGUUAAAACCUAUAUAAAAUACCUAUUUUACCCCUACCUUAUUAUGCUAAUGUCUUAAGGUAUCCUCUUUCUCUCCCAACUUGAUCGUCGGGUCCUCCGCCUCCACCUCGCCGGUUCCUCCGCCUCUACCUCGCCUCAUCUCCUCCCAAACCACAGGCGAGGAUGACGCCCGCCGCCUCCCAGACCAUGGGCGGGGAGCUGCGGCGGCGCGGCGGAGGAGGAGGAGGGGUGCCGCGAAGACGCGGCGACGCUGCGGCAGAAGCUGGCGGCGAUGGCGGCGAUCCUGGUGGCGUGGAUAGUGGGCGUGGCGAUCCCGCUGGCGACGGAGGAGGAGGAGGGGUGCCGCGAAGACGCGGCGACGCUGCGGCAGAAGCUGGCGGCGAUGGCGGCGAUCCUGGUGGCGUGGAUAGUGGGCGUGGCGAUCCCGCUGGCGACGGAGGAGGAGGAGGGGUGCCGCGAAGACGCGGCGACGCUGCGGCAGAAGCUGGCGGCGAUGGCGGCGAUCCUGGUGGCGUGGAUAGUGGGCGUGGCGAUCCCGCUGGCGACGGAGGAGGAGGAGGGGUGCCCCGACGACACGGCGGCGCUGCGGCUGAAGCUGGCGGCGAUGGCUGCGGGGAUGGUGGGCAUGGUGAUCCCGCUAGUGGCAGGGCGGAAGCGGCGGCGCCUUCUGAGCACGGAGAGCAGCUUCUUCGCCCUCACCAAGGCCUUCGCCGCGGGUGUCAUCCUCUCCACGGGCUUCGUCCACAUGCUCCACGACGCCGAGGCCGCGCUCACCGACCCCUGCCUCCCCGGCUUCCUCUGGCGUCGCUUUCCCUUCUCCGACUUCGUUGGCAUGGCCGCCGCCCUCGCCACCCUCGUUCUUGACUUCCUCGCCACCCAAUUCUACGAGCGCGGCGGAGGACGACGAGGAGCGCUCCAUCAUCACAGUGGCGCCGGAGCCACCCGUGGAUGAGGACGAGGACGAGGGCUCCGCCAAGGGCGGCGACGCGGUGCACAUCGUCGGGAAGCGCGCGCACGCGGCGGCGCACAGCCACAACCACCACCAGGUGUAUAUUAGAAAGACUUGGAACAUAAAAAGGGUAUAUUGGAACGGACAAAAUGAUAAUUUUUCAGAGAUAACGACAGCUCACUAACGGAACUUAACUCUAGGGGUAUAUUAGAAAGACUUGGAACAUAAGAAGGGUAUUUUCAAUAUUAGCCUUCUAAGAGGGGUAAAUAAGAAAACCGAAAACUUUUCAGGGGUAUAUAGGCAAUUGCCCUUUUUUUUUUGUUGGUUUUUCAGGGGUAUAUAGGCAAUUGCCCUCUUUUUUUUGUUGGUUCUUCUUUUCUUUUUUCUUCUUCUUCUUUUUUUUUUGUUGACUGCGAGAUUUAUUUUAUAUAUAUAUACCUUUCAAAAGCAAUAUCAUAGAUAAUACAAGCCAAACUUUUAAAAUUGCAAUAUCUAUUUGGAAAAUUUGUAUUCACUUUCGAAUUAUUUUAAAAGUAGAUGGUGCCAACAUUCAUUAAUUAUACAAAGACUCAUUACAUGUAAAAUUCAGCCAUUAGAUUAAAGUCUAAUGGAUAAAACUUUAUAAAUUUAUUUUUUAUAUAUAUCCAAUCUAAUCCAUCUAAGUUAUUGUUUGUUGGCCAGCUCGUGUUCGGCUUUCGGCUCGAUACUUUAACAAGCCAAUUAAACGAGCCGAACACGAGACAGCCCCAACUUGCUCAUGUUCGGCUCGUUGACACCCCUACUUCGAAUACACUAGAUCAAAAUUUAUUGAUAAUCGAUUAAGAAUCCCGACCAUCAGAAACCACUUGAAGCGGUUCGAAAUCCACUUACAUGUAUAUAUAGUGGCUAAUUUUUGGAAAAUAACUAACCCCCUAACUUUGAAAUUAAAAUUCAGCUUGAGUUUAAACUUUAUAUUUAUAAUAAUAGUACUAUAAAUUAAAUUUUAAAUGAGUAAUCUAUUUUAAAUUUGAAUUUAAUUUAUAUUGUACUUAUUAACCCAACUUUUUAUUAUUUUAAAAAAUUUUUCUAUUUUUGAAAAUAAAAUCCAAAUUGUUAAUUCAAUAUUAAAACAACAUUAAAGUUCAAAUAUUAAUCAAAUUAAGUUUUAUAUUGGGAUCUAAUUUAUAUUAUAGUUAUAAACCCAAAUUUAAUUAAUUAUUUAAAUGUAAAGUUUCUAUUUUUAAAUAUUACAUCAAAUUAUAAAUCUGAAUUUAAUUUUCACUAUUAUUAUUUCAAAUUAUCUUUAAAAUUGUUAUUUCCUUGUUAAAUUAAAUAACACAUUAAAUCCAUUCUACAUGGAUUAUGAGCUUGCGUGCGUGCUUUGUGUGGAUUUUUUUUUUGUUAAUUUUAAACUUCUCUCAAAAGGAAAUAUAUUUACGUACAAACGGAGAUACAAUCUUUACCUGCACCUAUUAGAUACUUAGAUCAUUUAUGUUUAAAUACACACUAAUUAGGUUAUAAAAUAUUAAAUUUAAAUAUUUUGGAUAGUUUUCUAACUUAGCUCUCAAUCAAUUUCGUGUUAGGAUACUCAGACUAUAUAAAUUGGAUUGCAAAGAUUCGGCCAGAAAAUAAGAUUACUAGAUUGGGAGAAUUGGAUUUAUUCAUCGUAAAAUUCAAAUUGUCCCCAUGUGCUGUACAUUAUUGUCAUUUUGCCACUCUGUAGUUAAAAAAAUUUCACUUUACCUUUUUGUGAUUUAGCUCAUUUUUAUUUUGUCAUUUCGUGGUUUAAAAAUUUGUACUUUUUCUCCCUAUAAUUUAGAAUAUUUUUCUUUUUCACCAUGUAAAGUAAAGAUUUUAUGAUAAGAUGUAUUACUCAAUAAGUGUAUGGUAGAAUAAUAGAAUUAUAGAAGAAAAUCAAAUAAGAUACAGCUUUGUCGAUUUUGGAUUGAAACACCCACCUAAACAAGUAUCUAAGUCCUCGACUCCAUCGAUCCUCUAGGUAUCACUUGAAUUUAAACAAAAUAACCAAAUACCACAAUCUCUACUAUCAUGUAUUCUAAUAACCGAUGCAUCUAAACCGCACCAACCUGUAUUGUCACGCAAAGUGAAUAUCGGUUCCGCAAACCAACUUCUGAAACUAAGCCUCCGAAACUAAGCCUAAAGGCCAAACAACUUAACGAAAAGUCACAACCACCCUCCCGCUGUCCAAAGACGCACUACUUUAUGUGUCAAAACAGCUACAAGCUUAGUGCUCAACAAAACGGAUAGCGACCAUGGAACUAGGCCACGACAGCUCCACUAUUCGAUUCUUUCAAAAAAUAAUCAUAUUUCAAAACUAACAAUUUGCGCGAUACAUAGUACUUUGAGUGAAUUCAAUAACUUUUAUAACAUCUUACAUAUAAGUAGAAAUGACUGAAAUAAGUUUUUUUUAGCGCACACUACAUUUGUCUACACCCCAAAUGCUCUUCGAAUUAUGAAUUUACAAACCAAUCUAACCAUGCAAAUUCUAAAUAAGGAAAUUAACUUGUAAUAAGAUCACUACAUAUAGAGAUACACACGCAAUAUGAAGACUAUAAUUUAUGCGUUUGGGUUAUGAGAACAAUUUCUAACAUUAAUUGUUGGUAAUAUCAAUAAGGAUUGACUAACAAUUUAGGAAAAAUUGGAUACUACAGUAUAAAUUUUUAAAAUUCAAGUAUUUAUUUGUAAAUAGUUCAUUGCUCAAGCAAUUAUUUUCAUAAAUUUGUGCUUUCCAUCUAUUAACAAACACAUUAAUGGUGUGUCUCACAUGUAUCCGCUAGGUCUCGUAGUUUAUAACAAAACUAAUCGUAUGACAAGAAAGAUUGUAUGCAUCCGAUUUUAAUUUGGAGCAAGAAGAAAUAUGUGAUAACUUUUGUUACGUUAUCUACAAGCAUUAUUGAGGAAAAAAAAAAAAUAAUUCAAAUACCAUCCCUGUGAUUUCACAAUUUCUCACUUUAUUAUUUUUUGAUUUAAAGUGUAUCAUUUUAGUACCGUGUGGUUUUAUUUUUUUUCUUUUUGUUAUCGCAUCCACUAAUUUUUUUCGUUAAAUUAGUGACAAAGUUAAAACUAAAGGGUACUAAAGUCAUUAUUUGAUAAACUAUAGGCGGGUAUCUGAAAUUUUUUGUAUGUGAUUUAACGAAAAGUUAACGGAGGGGCUGACAAAAAGAGAAAAAAGAAACCACGGAGUACUAAAUUGAUACACUUUAAACUAUAGGGUACUAAAGUGAGAAAGUGCGAAACUAUAAUACUGGUAUUUGAAGUUACUGAAAAACAAAAGGAAAUGGAGAAUUUUUCUGACUUUGGAAUAUCUUCUUUUUUUUCCAAUUUGACAUUCAAAUGGGUUGAAAAAUUCAAAAUUUUUGGACUUGAUUAAAUUAUACAACCUUCCUAAUUGCAUGAAAAAAAAGAUUACAUGCACUGGAUAUUUUUUUUGAAGCAACACUAAACAAACAUGUGGUUCCUUUUUUCAAUUUUAACUACAACCUAUAUAUAUCCAAGAAAAAAAAAAAACUACAGAAUUCUUUGUAUUUGGACAAUUUAAAAUUUAAUUUCUUUUUUUCAAUUUGGCAUUCACAUAGUUUGGAAAUACUUCAAAUUUAUUAGGAUUUGAUUAAAUUUUGCAAACAUUCUAAUUGCAUGAGAAGAUGCAUCCAAUUUUAAUUUGAAGCAACCCAAUUAUUCGAUUCCUUUUCGUAGUUUACUUGCAAACAUUAUCCAAGAAAAAAAACUGAAUUUGGACAAUCUAUGUUUUUUUUUUUUUUGCCAAUUUGACAUUCAAAUAGGUUGAAAACUUCAAAUUUGUUACGAUUUGAUUAAAUUUACAAACUUUAUAUGCAUAUCAAAUUUAAAAAGAUAUAAAACUUAAAUUUUGUAAUAAAAUAUGGUUAUGGUUUACUAAAAGAUAUAUGUUUAAUAAAAAAUAUUUUGAAGGGAUGUAAGAUUAAUUUUUUAAUAUUAAUUAUUCAAAAGAUUUCGUAAACUUUAAGAUAAAGUGGUGAAAAUUAUAAACUUUUUUUUUUUUUUUAACAGUGUACAGUUUAACAUUUUUCAUAUUCAAUAGUAAAGAGAGGUACAUUCCAAUCACAUGUAUCCUAUACAAAUUUUGUCCACCUUUUUAAAACAAUAUCAUAUCAUAUUAUUGCAGUAUCUUAAUUUUUAACUACUUUUAUUUGAAUGAUUUCAUGUAUCUCUCUAUGUCAACAAUCCACGUAUGCAUAACAUCUUGUUUGAAAAUCUAUCCAGUAAUUUACUAAUAAAAUUAGAAAAUUUAAAAUAUAGUUGAUUAGUUAAUUUUAUAAACAUAAAAAUAAUCAAGGUGGGAAAAUGGUGUAUAAUUAUAUAGUAAUUUUUUUAUUCUGUAUGCUUUAUUUUUUUAAAUGAUGUUAUAUUUGUACCCUGGAGCCCCUUUAAUCUUCAACACAUUCAAUUAAUAAAAUUAAGUUUAAGUGAAUAUGAAAAGUUAAGCAUAUCUAAGGCUUCAUUUGGGAUUACAGGGAGAUUGCAUUACGUGUGGUGAGAAAACGACAAUGAAAAAAUAUCCUAUUUGUUUUCGUACGUAAUAUUGCGUUCCGUAUAUUGCGAUUAGUCGGUUACGAAAUAUUUUCUGCGAUCCAUCGAAAAACGCAGAAUAUAUUUCUAUAUACUUUUUCUCAACUCCAUUCUAUCUAAUGGCAUUAGAUAGACUUCAAUAUCAAACUAAGCCUAAAUAAACAUAAAUGUUUAAAUUUUAUAUAUAAUGUUUGACCGGAGUAUCAACCCCAACCCCGGGGAGUGAAAUUGUUAGAUAUCAUUGACAUCAUGAUUACCCAACUAACUCAUCAAUUAUAUUUUAAUAUAACAUAAUUUUUUUUAUUUUACAUUAUCUAUUUUUUAAAAUACUUAGAAAUUUUAAUUAUAUUUUAAUAUGGACUCUUUCAACCAAAAUUUUUUUAAGUAACGCUAUCGGUUUCUAUUUGAAAUAAUAAAUUUAGUAAUAAUAGUGAAGAAAUUAAGAAAAUACACUUAUAAAAAAAAUCAAUACAUUGUAAUAAAUAAAGAAAAGCCUCGAAAUAAAAUAAAAUGUAAUUAAUCCUUCUUAAAAUACCCAGCACGUUGUUGUCUAAGAUUUGAUCUAGUGGCUUCAAAAUGAUGCGGAUUUAACUAGAAGUUCCAAUGCAUAUCACCGCCCCUGAGAAGUGACAUGGCACAUUAUUAAAUGGACUUUUUUACAAAAUAAUCCUCUACUGUUUUAUAAUUUGCAAACUUCUUCUAUCAAAUUUAUAUUUAGUAAAUUAAUUUUUUUUUUGCCAUAUAAAAUUAUUAGGAUUGUAUGGAUGGAUUGUAAAAAUUUUCAGAUUAUUAAGAUCAUAUGUGGUUUGUUGAAAUAUUUAUGUGAUUAUUAAGAUUAUACGUGGAAUAUAGAAAAAAACGAUAAAUAAGUGAACGACAGUAAAUGAUUCACGUCUUUAUGUAGGUAGUGAAUCUUUCACUGUUUUUAAGAAAAAAUUUCAACGUGACUCCUACAUGCCAAAAAGAGAAUUAGUUUUUCAAAGAUAAUUCUGUUUGGGGUAUUUCGUAAAUACCAAAAUUAUAGAGGGUUAUUUGUAAAAAAGUCCUUAUUAAUAAAUAAGAAAAACCAAUAAAGCAUUCCUUGUUUCUCUCUACCAAAAAAUCAAGAGGGGGUAAGAAAAAGAGAGAGAGGGAGGGAGGGAGGGAGAGAGCUCAAAGAGGAGUUGGGAAUGGAGUUCCGAGCGUUGUGCGCUGCGCUUCUCCUCUUCUUCCUCUCUUCGUCGAGCGCAAUAGCGGUGACCAUUGGCGAGGACUACGUUCGACCCAGGCCGCGCAAAACCCUAAGUUUCCCAUGGAGGCCCAAGCGUUCCUCCGAUCCCCAACAGGUGAGAUCUUCUUUUCGUUUUUUGUUCCCUCCUUUUCUUUUCGCAUGAUCUCGUCGCAAUUCCACUAAUUCGAGCUUCGAAUCUCUUCUUAUUCGGUUGGUUCUUGAUGAAGGUUUUUAGCUAUGUAUGUAGUGGAAUUGGGAAAAUUUGGUAGUAACUGGUGCAAAAUUCAUCGAGAAACUGCUACAGAAAAAUUUGGGGAUUUUUUGGGUGAAUAGUGGAAAGAUUUUUGGUGUGUGAGAGUGGAUUUUUGGGUAGAGGUGUUUGAUAUAUGCGAAGGAUAGAUUUGGUAGUGCCUAAGAAGAUGCUGUAGCUCAGUAGUGUAUGUUACUACAAUUGUGCUAUGCUUAUGGGUUGAGAAAGAGGUAGCUAAUCUCUUGCGCCAUUUGGGCCUCUUUGGCCAAGAUUAUGCGCAGUCCCGGAAGUGAUUCGCGAAUCACGACAAACUGCGUCCUGCUGCUUUUCUGUUUUUUUUCUGCUUUCUGCGGGUAUCCGAAUGCGACUCAUUGCGUAUUGCCAAGCAUUCUACUAUAGCCUUUAGUUAACUGAUUGUUAAAGGGUUGGGAGUUAGAUGAUUGGGUGGUGUGGGAGGAUGCUCUGUAAAAUUUCCUUUGCAUCGCUUUGACUCUUUACCCGUCCUGAAAAUAGUUUGUUGCAGAUUUGGCUCGAAUAUUAUACAACACUUCGUGGGUAAUUUUUGAGAAUUGAUUAAAUGCUUGCCUAAUUCAAUAUGAUGGCAAUUUAGUUUUAAUUGUGACUUGUGAGCAUGUUGGAGAUACCAGAGAGGGUUUAUUUUACAAAGGUUGUCACUUCGGACUGUCAGUUAACCAAUAAGAUAAGUGCAGGCGAAGAGAAUGUAAGUAAAUUAAGUGUCCAGUAUGUGCAUCUAUGUACGCAAGUUGUGCAUAGUUUUAUUUUUACACUUCUCUAUUGUAUCUAGAUCCAUAUCUGUUUGCGUGUGUAAAUCUAAACAAUCUAUAUGUAAUGUAAGUCUUAGCAUCUACCGUAUCCUUAACUUCAAGCUUUUUGUCGUGUCUUUUUUUUUUUUUUUUGUCAUUACCUUGAUGCAACAUAGUGGAAGAUAUGCCAAAGAAAGAUUUUUUCUUUUUUCGCCGUUUUUGAGGAAAAGCCCACAGGCAACAAUAGCUUUGAGUCCUUUAAAUAUUAAGUCCCACCAGAGUGGCAUCCCAUGAUUUUUUGGGGAAAAAAUCAUACCCUUCAGCAUUUUCUCACAGCGUGGCUCCUCUCAAAACUUAAAUAUGCAACCAUGUCCUUUUGAACCCUCUUUAUCAUUCCACCAAGAUAUGGCACCUGUGAAAAAUGAACUCCUUUUACUCUUUUAGAGGGUUAUAUGAUAUACCACUUCUUAAUUGCUUAAUCUUGAUAUGAAAUUUCUACCUAGUUUAUUGUGAAAAAAGAAUAAGGUCGAGCUUUCUUUGCGUGCAAAGCUUAAUCUCCUUAUUGGUGGGGCAUUAUUUUUCUAGUUCCCCGGAGUCUGAUAAUUUCAGUAGCUUGAAUAGAAUAACUUAGGCCUGUUAAUGGCUUGUCACCUACCAUAUGCACAACUUUUUAAUAGCUUUGUAAUUUUAAUUUCUUCUUUAAUAACCUUUAAAAGCACUGACUAGAUUGUACACUUUAACGCUUCCAUCUUGCUAAAUCGAGCUAGAAUGAUCUUCUUGAUUUUUAAAUCACUAUGGAUAAACCAAGGAUUUAGAUGCCGUGCCAUGGGUUAGUGCUAAGAACUUGUUGGCACAGAACAAUACGAUGCAUGUCGUGCCGCGCCAUGACGAGCCGAUGUGUGCCGUGCCGUGCCGAUGUGUGCCAGUUACAAAUAUAUCUACAUUCCAACACACAAUGAUAUGAAAUAUUUAUUUUCUUUAGCACCAACAUAUUCUAAUUGCUUAUUAUAUGUAUUUAUUAAAUCUUUUGCAUUUUAUUGAAAUAACUAUUGGCUAAUUUCCAAUAAAAGAGGAUGUUGAGCUUUGUCAUUGGCACGUGGAUUGUAACGUGCUGAUAUCUUGUUGGCAGGAUAUAGUGGGCACAGCCAAUGCCGACAGGCACUUAAAACUUCGGGAUACACACUCUUAAGUUUUCUGGGCUUCUUAGUUCUGAUUUUUAACUUUCUUGAUCGUUCAUCUGGAAAAAAAAAAAAAAAAUGCUUCGUGUAAUUACACUAUUCUUUUGAAGGUCUCCACUUGAUAUUUUCUUUGUCAAAUUGUACAGAUGAAGCUAUCAAUUAGUAGUAGAUGUUAGCGACUUCAUAGACUCUGAUCUCUUCUACUAUCACUAAUUUCUUAUAUUACUCAAAACGUUUUUCCCUAUGGAAUAGGAAUAUUUUGUUAAAUUGCUUUGUUAUGCAAGUAUUAGCUGCCUACGUUGCACUUAUUCUGGGCAGAGUUUGAGUGCACAACAUUUCCUUACGACAUAGAUGAGCUAUAAUAGAACAGAAAUAUAGUUUUGUUCAUAAUAGUUUAAGAGUUCACAGUGGUACUAUGGAAGUCUUAAAUAGAAUGCAUUUUAUUUUCAGAUUAUUCCCUUUUUAUUCUUUUAUAGUGUAAGUGCCUCAUUUUCCAAAUGUCACUUCGAAACUUGACAAAUGAAGAGUUGUAACAGAAACUAAUUAUAUUUACAGGUUCACAUCUCAUUGGCUGGGGAAAAACACAUGAGAAUCACUUGGAUCACUGAUGAUCAGUCUACUCCAUCAGUUGUUGAAUAUGGAACUUCACCAGGGGUCUACUCAUCAAUAUCUGAAGGCGAGAGCACAUCCUACAACUACUUAUUUUACAGCUCAGGAAAAAUUCACCAUGUGGUAAUUGGACCCCUUGAAUCCAACACAACUUACUAUUAUCGAUGUGGAGGGAAAGGCCAAGAUUUCCAUCUAAAGACACCCCCAUCCCAAUUUCCAAUUCAUUUCGCUGUGGUUGGCGAUUUAGGACAAACAGAAUGGACGAAAUCGACCCUUGACCACAUAAAUAAUUGCCAAUAUGACGUCCAUCUUCUUCCUGGGGAUAUUUCUUAUGCGGAUUAUCAGCAGCACUUGUGGGAUUCAUUUGGUCAGUUGGUGCAGCCACUUGCAAGCACGAGGCCAUGGAUGACAACAGAAGGGAACCAUGAGAAGGAGAGGAUAAUAUUACUGGAAAGUGGGUUUCAAGCAUAUAAUGCAAGGUGGAAGAUGCCUUAUCAGGAGAGUGGGUCGACGUCAAAUCUGUAUUACUCGUUUGAGGUUGCUGGGGUUCAUGCUAUCAUGCUUGGUUCUUACACUGAUUAUGAUGAGGAUUCGAAUCAGUAUACUUGGCUCAAGGUUAAUGCUAAUAAUUUAGUUUUUUCUUAUGACAUAUUGACCCUAGCAAUUUGUUCUGCAGGGAUUAGCAGCUUUUUGGGGUUUUCAUGAGCGAAGAACCAAUGAAACUAUGUUGAAACAUAUACAUCACAUUUACAGAAACACCAAAUAGGGCACUUUCAUAGUCGAACAAAUUCAAAUGAAAAAUUAGCAUAUGGAAUCCCAUAAAUCUGAAUUUUUAUUACAUAUAUACUCUUUGUGCUCAUGAAACUGGUGCUCGUUAAAAACUUAAUAGUGAAAAAAAAAUGAACUUCCUCCAGUUGUUGGAUGAUCCUGUAAACGAGUAUACUCAUAUUAUUGUUAGAAACUGCACUUUAUAGGAGCGUUUGUGGAAAUUCUGAUUUUACAAGGGCUAUGCACAAAAUAAUUGAUCUUGCAGGCAGAUAUACGUAAAAAUCCAGUUAAUUUAACUUGGUAUAAUCAGCUUCUUCUUCAGUUGGAUGCUAACCAAGCAAUAACGUUGCAUUGUGUCUUGCAUAUUUUUGUUUUCACAUUUUGCGUCAGUAGAGUAACAUGCAUCAAACUGGUUUCUCCUGAUGUUCUUGUUUAUAUUUCUGUUUUCGGUUUAUUAGUCCCCCUUUUUUUUUUUUCAGCCUUGGCUUUGUAUUUCAGUUUUGAUCUUGUAGAGCAAAAUCAUUUUCUUUUAUUAAGGCUUACUUCCCUACUAGACUCAGGAUAAAGCUUGAUUUGAAAGAAAAAGAUGAGGUAUGACAUAUAACUUCAUGCUCGAGUUUUGCAGGCUGAUCUUGCCAAGGUAGACAGGCAAAGGACACCGUGGCUGUUAGUCUUAUUGCACGCCCCGUGGUAUAACAGCAAUUGGGCACAUCAAGGCGAAGGCGACAGUAUGAUGGCUACAAUGGAACCCUUGCUUUAUGCUGCUGGUGUAGAUAUUCUUCUUGCUGGCCACGUGCAUGCUUACGAACGCUCAGUAUGUUUUCUGAUAUUACCUUGUCUAUUCAUAUUCAAGAGCACAUUUAUAUUAUUGUUACUACAGUAAAAGGAGAAAAUGGUUAUGUCGCUGGUUGUUGUUCCAUCUCAUGGUUGUUGUUCCAUCUCAUUCGCCGGUUGUUGUACCAUGUGCAUGCUAGUUUGACUAAUAUAUCCAUUCAUUGUAUAUUUAGGAACGCGUCUACAACGGCGAAUUGGACCCUUGUGGUGCGGUACAUAUAACAAUAGGGGAUGGAGGGAACCGCGAAGGAUUAGCUGAAAGGUAAUUUUCUGUUGUUUCUCUGAAUCCGCACUUCUGUUCUUCCUCAUUUGGCUGCACAAUGUCUGUUUGCUUUGUUCUUAACAGAUAUAAGAACCCGAAGCCACAUUGGUCUGCUUUCCGCGAAGCAAGUUUCGGCCACGGCGAACUGAGGAUCGUGAACUCGAGCCACGCCUUGUGGAGCUGGCACAGGAACGACGACGAUGAGCCGGUUCAAUCAGAUCAAGUGUGGAUCAACUCGUUAGCGAGCAUAGGAUGCGUCCCUCGUCGGUCGCAUGAGCUUAGGAAGGUCUUGAUGGGUCCUUAAACUGCAACGGCAACUUCAACCAUCCCAAUGUACAUAUUUCGUAAUAAUAAUAUAAAUCAAAUGUUGUCUCAAAUGCUGCUCUGUGCUUGUGUAUGUGAUUAUUAAGGAAAAGGAUUUAGAGUGCUUAAAUAUAUGCUUAAAUGGAUGUACCCUAGAAUUGUAAUCUAUAGGGAAAUUUGUAUUCAGCUUAAUUACUGAUUAAGGGUUUUACUCUGACCAUCAAACAUUUAUAGCAGGAAUUAUCAAUUUUCUAUGGUCAAACUCGUAUCACUUCUAAGAGUUUGGUGCACUUUUUUCACCAUAGAUUGAUGAGUAAGUAAUAAUAUUUAAAUCAAAAGAUGUGUUAAAUACAUAUGAGUUUUUUUUUUAUUUUGCUGUAUACGUAGGCUUUUGGAUUUUCACAUAUAUUCUUUAGAUUUAAAUUCUAUUUUUGAGUACUCUAUUAUUGGGAUAUUUGAGUGGGGUACAUAUAUUGUAACAUUUUUUGAAAAAAAAACUAAAAUUUGUAGUAACAUAUUAAAAUAUUUAAAGAAAUUAAUAUAUGCAGUAACAUUUUAAGAAAAUUAAUUCAAACGUAUAUAAGAAUAAUAAUUUAAAAAUAUUAUUUUCGUAUAAAAUUCAAGGUAAAAUUACUAUAUUGCGCCUUGUGAUUACACUACUCUUUGGAGAGCACAGUGAAUUAGUGAUGGGUAUAUGCUAUGUAAUUUAAUUAUUACAGAAAAGGGUUUUUCUUGGAUAUGAGGAUUUAGAUAUCAAUCAGAAUAAAAAUUAUAUAGGAUGCAUUCUAUGGUUACGAACAUAGGAUGAGUGGAUCUCUUCGAGAUGUGUCUACGCGCACAUAUUAUUAAGGGGUAACCCACAUUAUUAUCAGCCUUGAUUCAGCUAAAGCCCACUUUUCUUAACGGGUCGAAGUUUUUUAGCCCAAUAAAGGGCGACACAUGGAAUUUGAGCCUUACAAAAGUACAAAAGCCAAGUAUUUAUUUUUAUUUUUAUUUCGUUAUUAUUCAUGGAAAUAAGAUAUAUUCCUUUUAGAAGUUUUUUAAAGGGUAAAAAAUCCGCUGGUUUUGUAUUUUUGUGAAAAUAGAUUAUUUUUUGAAUUUUGUAGAUUAAGUCUGAAUUUUUAAUAAACUGAUCAAAAUACUUUUAUUUCUUUUUCUCUCUUUUUUUUCUCUCGUUUGUUUUUUUUCGCCAUCGUCGUCUCCCACCUCCUCGCCGUUCCUUCCUCUUCUUUUUCUCCAGUUUCUUCUCGCUCUUCUUUCUCCGCCGUCUUCAUGUCAAUGCCGUACUUCCCUCUUCUACAUCGUUCACACUUUUGCCAGCACUGAUAGCUAACAAAUCGUUGAGAUGAGGCUCUGAAGAAGAUAUAGUUAUGGAUGGUGAUGGUGACGAGGCCUCAGAAUUGUUAAAUUAAUAAAAUUUUUAACUUUUAUUCCAAUCAAUUUAAUUGAUAAAAUAAAUUAAGAAAAUCAAAUGUUAAGAAACAUCCAAAUCAAAAGAGAAAAACCUUCUAUAGUUGAGGGGGUUCCACUACAUUUUGACCUAUCAGAUUCUCCUCUCCUGUUAUAAUAUUCCAAAGCAUCUCACUCACAUCUCCCUCCCACCAACCAAUGAAAAAGAAGGAAAAAUAAGAAAAGAAAACUCUAAAACCUCCAUAAUUAUCUCUAUGAAUUAUUAAUCUUAACAAAAGCCAUGAGCAACCUUCUUAAGAUCCUCUCCUCCCCCUCUCUAUUCCUUCUUCUUCUUCUUCUAAUAAUAGCCACUCCAACUAUACUCCUCUACUCUUCUAAUGAUGGUGCAUGGAUCAGGAACAUCCCCUUCCACACUGUUGGAUUGGGAGGUGACCUCCUCCUCCUUUUCCGAUGGCGGGCUCCGCGGCCGAUGCUCGGUCGACCCGUCGAGCGCGUCGAAGACAUCGUCCCCGUCUUCGUCGGGAUGGCGCAGCUGCCGUCGUCGUCGGGCGCGGCGCCGCCCCUCGAGUGGAAGGGCGCUUGCUUCUACAAGAAUAAGGCUUGGGUGGAGCUUCAUAACAAGACCGGCUCUCCCUUUGGUGGCGCCACCCUCCAUAUAAAGGUAAAAUUUUUUUGAAGUUUAUCAAUUAUCACAAUUACUAAUCGUUACUCACUAAAAAUUACAAUAGUACACUUGAUUCAGAAUUAGUUCUAACACUUUCGCUCAUGUGCAUACGAUGAACAUGCAUGAUGCGAAUCAUGUCGCUUGCAUUAAUUAACUAUAGUUAACCGAGCUAGCUCAAGUUCGUCUCCAUUGCAAACACGCCCAGGAAUAUUUUUAACACUACCUCACCCGGGGCCUAGUUGAAGAGCAAUCUCAUAAAAUUUAGUAGUAGUUGAUUUGUGUGAUGCAUGAGAUUGUAUUAUUAUUCUUCAUUUCCGAAGUUUCUAAAAUAUAAUUCGUAGUAAUCCUUAUGUGCAUGAGCAAAUUCGGUAUAUGUUGUAAAAAUUUGUCAUUCUCCGAACUUGAAGGAGGCCAUUUUUUUUUUUGAGAGAGAGUAGCACGCUACGUACCCAUUUCAUUCAUUAGGAAUAUGAACUAAGCUAUAUUGGUGAGACAACCAGACUAGAUGAAAAAAAGAUAAAUGAUGGAGAAAAAGAGGCGAAGCAAUGCUAAGUACAAGAAAAAGAGGUGAAAAAAAACACCGACAAAAGCAGAAAGCAGCCAACGUACUGACUGGGGCGUCUAGUAUCUAGUAAGUCGUUCCACUGUCUAGUUAAGCUUUGCACCAUCUCAAGAGAUAUUAAUAGACACAUAUUAUUGUUUUUGAAAACCAAAUUAUUUCUUAUCCCCGGAUCACCCACCAACAAGCCACUAAUAGUUCCAUCUGAGGGUUAGCAUUCUUCUUCUGCCUUCCCCACACUAUCCUAAUGUCCUCGCCAACCUGGAGUCAGAUGUUCAGCCGAGUGCCAUCCAGAAGAGGAAUUUGCUAUAAAUACACCUUGUAAAAAGGUAGUCCAUACAUAGUCUCUACAUUAUCCUUACAUUAUCCCCACAAAGUAUACAAAUCGGAUCCCUUGUCCAACCCCUUUUGAUGAGAUUAUCCAUCCUGGGUGAUCUUUUCUUUAAGGCAAGUCAAACAAGGAUCUAUACUUUCUUUGGAGUUUUAAGUUUCCAGAUCCAUUUUGACAAAACAUCCCUAGUUCCUAUCUAUGAGAAAUUUGUACACAGAUUUAGCCGUGAAAUUGUACCCUGUGGUCCAGCACCAGCAGAUUUUAUCUGGGCGAUAUACAGCUCUGAUAAAGAAAAGCUUUUUCUUCAAAUUCUUUAUCUGUGCGCUAGAUAUAUAUUCGUCUCCUAUUUCCAAAACCUCUCAAAACUUUUCUCUAUCCCCGACCCCUACUAGCAAAGUAGUCAUUAAUACGCAUCUCCUUUACCACUAUUUUCUUGAAAAUCUCCGAAAAAAUUGUACUGAGAGAUGCUAACUAAUUGAAGCACAUCUAAAAGGUUAACUAAUUGAAGCUAAUGUAGACUCUCCUAUCAAUCAACCAAUUAAGCGCUUUAGUAGAAUUGUACAACAAUUAUAAUAACAUGUUUUGGCAUUCAUGGUGCCUUCAACUUGAACUCGAACUAGUCAAUAAAGCUAAAAGUAUCAAUUUUGGAUGUAUGAAUAUUUUAUUUAGUAUGUCUUAAAAUUUAUUCAAAAAAUUUUGUACAUGUGGUAUACAUGUUUAAAUGCACGGACAUCUUAUUCAAUAUAUUAUUUUGAUUUACUUAUAUUAUUUUGAUUUAUUUAAAAAAUUUGUACAAUCGAUUGAGAAGAAAUGCAUGUGAUCAAAUAUUUAGAAUAAGAUGUCACAUUCGAACUUAUAAAUCAUUUUUAGAAUAAGAUAAAUUACAUUGUAGGUGAAAUAUUCUCUCCUACUAACCAUGGAUAGCAAGACUUUCAAAGAAACAAAUAUCAAACUCAUUACUUAUAAUCAUACUGGAAAAUCCUCAUAUGGAAUAAGUUAUCAUUCCGACAUCCAAACAUCGCAAGAGUGAUCAAGUGUUUUAAAAUUAGAUAGUAUAUUCGACUUUCAAGUUAUUUUUUCAAAAUAAGAUAAAUUAUCUAACGCCAUUCUUUAUACUAGUAGUAAAUGGCUUGAUAGUUGGUACCUGAGAUUCUCAGAUCGAAGCCUAGUUGCUUUACAUUUUCUAGAUAAGUUUAUUUUUUCAAAAAAUAAUAAAACCGGUAGUGUUGCUACUUUUCUCUCCAUAAAGAAAAGGGUAAAUCAUCUAGUAUACGAAAUAUGUUGCCGUACCAAAUCUUGAAAAUCAAAACUUUUCAAGGAACAAAAAUUAAACUUAUUUUUCACAGCCACACUAAAAAGUUCUCGUACCUAAUAAGUUAUUUAACUUAAUAUUCUGGCGUCCAUACAUAAAUCAAAAUAAUGCACAACCACUACAACAGAAUUAGGUUAUAGGGACAUAUGUUUGGUACACUUUUGAGUAAGUGUCCCAUUUAUGCUAAAACUUAAAAACACAUCUACUAAUGCCUAAAUAUAAAGCCCAAUCCAACCAAAAAUAAAAGAUUACUCUACUCAACUCACCACACCCAGUCCAUUUGGCCCGAUUACAAACAGAAAAGAAAAAAAAAAAAGAAAAAUCAAUUACCAUCUUUUCUUCUCUCUUCACUCAAUCCACUGAAAUUCUGGACGAAGAGCCUUUACUGUCGUCCUCCUCCGCCAUCGCAGCCAAUGAGAUAGAGUUUCGGCGAUUGCUAAAUGCUUAAAUAAGUGUUGGUAAAUUAGCAGCACUCUUUUAGGUUAUAGCGACACUCUUUAACUGUCACUAUAUACCUAGCGACCCCACAUAUAGCAACACUUUUUAAAAGUGUUGGUAAUUUUAGCUAGCAGCACUUUUUUGACAUGUACCUAUAUUUAAAAGUGUCGCUAUAGACCGUUUUUGUUGUAGAUUAAAUAGAGAUUUACGUUUGCCAUUGUUAGGAAUCUAUGACUUACUCUGAAAACAGAUUAGUUUUGAUAUCAAUUUGUUAUGACAAAAGUAAAAAAAAAUCUAGUUUACAGGAGUAAAAAUACCAAAAGAGAAUCUAGAAAGAUAGAAGAAAAAUAGUGCACAUAGAUUUUUAUAUAGUUCGGCGACUUGCUUAUAUCCACGGGCGAAGACAAAAUGGAGAUUUUUAUUAUAAUCAAACCGGAGUAUAAACUAUAUCUCUUUCACAAACACUAACCCCAAAAAUACAACCAUGCUUUCUUUGAUUAGCUUUGCACAAUGCACAAUGCUAGUGAUUUAUUCCAAAGGGGAGUAAAUCUUACACCCUAGUCCCAAAAGCUUACACAUCACUUUUUCCUCUAUUAAUAGUAUAUUUAGCUUUGCAUAGUAAACAAUGCUAGCUAGUGGUACAUAUAUAGGGAUGUUAACCGGUCGGAUUGGGGGUGAAUUUUUAAAAAUUCGAAUUCGAACCAGACUCCAAACCUGAAAUCCAAACCCGAACUCGACAGAUUUUAAAAAAUUCAUAUCCAAACCCAAACCCAACCAAAAAUCUGAAAUCCCAACUCGAAUCCAAAAAUCCAAACCCGAAGCAAUUAUUUAUCUUUUCAAUAUUUCAAAAUAUGCUUGUGCUAUGUGUGGAUUAUUGAGUAACUCUUUCUAUUGAAACUAAUGCUGAAAAAAGAGUACAUUGGGAAAGAGUACAAAGCCAAGUAAACCAUUUUUCUUUGAGAAAAAAAUAGCGUGCUACUUGUUUCAUUCAUUUGGCAAAUAAAUUUAGCUAUAUAGAGUGAGACAGUUAGGUCUCAGGAAAGAGAAAAACCAACUGAAAAAAAAGUCAAAAUAAAGUAAAAUGAAAAGAAAAGUAAAAGAAAAAAAGGAACAAAAUAUUCGUAAGCGUUAUCCAGCUAGCUCUACAAAACUCAACCCACUCCUUUGCCAGCACUACUCUAAUACGCUAUGCAAUUAAAAUAGUAUCAAUAGAUAGAUUUCUGAAAAUAAUAUUAUUAAUUUCUUUCACGCUAGAUGAUGCACCGCGUUACCACCACCAACAUCUGUGUCUUUAGAACGUCCAUCUAAGUACCAAUCCCUUGCACACCAAGUAAACCUUAUUAGGAGCACUAGACAGAUGCUAAAUUGAAGUUUUCAAAUUUCUCGGAUUUGUAAAUCAAUUAAUUUCUCGUAGAAAAUGCUUUGUCAAAAAGUCAAAUACAAUUAAAUUUGGAUUAAAAAAUAUUAAACUAAAAUGUAAUAUAAGAUUAGAUAGUAAAAUCGAAAAACAACAUACUUCAAAUAAAAUAUGUACAUUUUUAACCUAGCGUUUCACGUUGCAUCAAUCUCAACUUGGUUAUAUCAAGCUUGAUUUAAGUCAUUUAAUAGCUCUUUUGAUAUAAAGUUUAAACUAACUGCUUACAUUAAUAAAUUUAUGGUUAUAUGAAUAGUAUAAAAUAUAAUGAAUUAAAUCUGUAAGGAUAAAUAAAACAUUCAAAAUUUGAAGCUAAAAAGUCAUUAACUAGUUCAAAUUAAAUAAAUUAAAAGGUUAUAUAGUUAAACUAUAAAAAUAAGUUCUACUCAAUGCAAUACAAAAGUUAAUAACAUAAUAUCCAAGGUCCUAGCAAACAGAUUGGAAGGAGCCAAAAAAAUGAAAUUAUCUUCUUAUUGCAAUCAGUGUUUCUAAAAGGGAGAUUGUUAGUAGACUCUUUUGUUACGGCCUCCUGACUUAAUUGACUCGAGUUGCAAAGAAGAGGUUGAGGGGAUCGGGGAAAAGUGGACUUUGAGAAGGCGUAUCAUAAAGGCAGCUGGAUUUCUUAUUCAAGAUUAUGGACUGGUAGAACUUAUGUGACAAAUGGCGUGGAUAGGUAGGUAGAAUAAUGCUUAUGUAUUGUCAAGGUUUCAGUGCCAGUAAAUGGAGAGGAAUGGUGGACCAAACAAAAAAAAAAGCAUGUGACAUGGAGAUCUGUUAUCCUCUUUUCCUUUUUCAUUGGUGGUAGAUUGCCUUGUAAGAAUGACGGAAAAGGCAGAGAUUUGAUCUAAUCAAGGAGAUAAGGAUCUAUAAAAGAUAGCCUGGUGUUGCUCAUUCAAUAUGCGAAUGAUAUAAUAUUUUCCUGCAAGGUUAAAAAGAAAUGUAUAAGAAGCCUCAAAUUUACGUGAACUAUAUUUGUGUGGGUAUCUAGGGUAAGGAUUAACAAAGAUAAGGUACAGUUGUUUUAUAUAGGAACAAGUGAAAAUAAUGCAAAGAAGCUAGAAAAAAUCCUUGGUAAUUUGAAGUUGCGGGUGGGGUGGUGUGUUCCCAACUAAGUUUGGGAUUGCCGUUGUCUAGCGAGACUCUGAAGAAGGAGGUUUGGAUAGGGAUUAUUAAUAAAAUACAAAGAAGAAUUGACAAGUGUCAAGCAAAGUUACUCUCAUGAGGCCUGGAGGGGAAGGGGAGUGAUAGGUGGACGUUAGUGAAUGCGAUUCUCACCAACUUUGCACUUUAUUUUUCAUUUGUUUACAAGGCACCAAAAGGAGUAAUCAGACAGUAUAGAGGUGCUACAAAGGGCUUUUUUCAAAAAAAUGAUCCUAUAAGAUAGCUUGGAGGUGAUGUGUAAGAGCAGGAAAGAAGAAAGACUAAGGAUGAAAGAUCUGGCUGUUAUAAAAUGGUGGUGGAGAUUUCUCACCAAACUAGGAGUAAGCUCAUUCAAGUUUUAUAAUAUAAACGAAGAAAAUCUCUGAUGGAAGGGAAGUCCUUUACACCUCCCUCACAAUGGUAGAAAAAUGUACUAAAACUUAUGUACGUCUUCAAAUGCAGUGUGAGCUAUACUCUCUGCAGGACGGUAUAUUGAUUUUUUGGUUUGACAUGUGGUGUGGUGAAACCUUGCUACACACCUUACUGUCCGACGUAAGCUAACUAAAGUUACUACUAAGAAAUGUGUUAGAUGUCUCGAAUUUUAGAAUCACAAGGUUUCCUAACCUUAAUAUGUUUUCUAUUAAGUUAAGUUUAGAUUAUACUUAUUCCAUUUGCUCAUUUCGGGCAAAUGGCGGGCAGGUUCAUUUAAGCGGUCAUCUCUUAUCCCAUUUGCUUCUAAAGAGCAAAUGGCGGAUGACAUUUGCUUAACACAAGGGAGGGAAUCAUUUUUUCCCCUUAGUACAGGGGGUUGUUCACCUUUGCUUUUGCAAUUUAGCUAAAAUGAAAAAAAAAAAAAAAACUCAAGACUAUCGUAAAGGCGAAAAGAGGUCCCUGGUCAAGUCCAAUGGCUCAAUCUAGGUGAUAGCAGCAAACGGUUUUUCUAUGCCUCCAUUCAUGCUAGGAGAGUCCAUCAUACUAUCUAUUCUCUUAGAGACGGGGGAUACUACACAUCAUCUUUUUUAUAUUAAAAAAUUACAGAGACAUUCUUCUUUCGCACUGGCUAACAAUUUUUUGAGGAGGUAUAAGAAAGAUAGAUUGAUCUUGUGGGGAUUAUUUGGGAGGGCUAUAUCUCUAAUUUAUCCUUAUUUAAUUGAAACUAUUCCUAGUCUUAAUGGAUUUGUAUUACUAGUCGUAUUAGGAUUUAGCCACUAUUAUAAAUAUACCCUUGUCACGCCCCGGGGUCCCUUUUUAGUUUAAAGCAUAGCGGAAAAGCGUCUGAAUUUUUUUUUUUUUUUGAAAACCUGACCCCAGAGUAUGCCAGAUCCGCCACAAAUACAGGGAAUCCACUGUUCACACGGACAGAGUCUCCACUGUAUUUGCACGGUGUCGCACAAGUACAAGAGUUCGAACAUUGUACAACCACAAUAGAUGAACAUACAAAUGACCAACAGAUAUAUAUUCAUACACCAUUCACCACAGAUCCACAUUUAUACAUUCGAUAUUUUAAACAUCAAUCCACAUCUAUCAGUUAAAAUAUUUCCAACCACAGAAACAGGUUUUGAAAUACUAAGAUGCAAAAUCCACAGAAAACUUUUUGAAAACUGUUCCCUACACAGGAACUUUUAUCUUUUUAAAACGCUACCACGAGAGGUAGAAAACCUUUUAUUUUACAAAAUUCAGAAAUCCUUUUAUUUUAACGUAAUGAAAUACUGAACCACAUAAACCAACUAAACUGCUACAACAACAGCAUAUAAUUAGAGGUAGGUAGACUAAACCGAAAUAACCUGAGGGUUCGGAAGCCUCUAUUCGACCGCUACGUAUGCUAGUCUCGACUCAACCCUACGCGCCGGCAUACCUGAAAAAUACGGUGGGGAGGUGGAGAACAUGUAAACAUGUCUCCAGCUCCCUAGUGUACGCAGCCGAAGAGGCGAGGAGUACUCCCCGAUCAGGAAGAGCUAUACAACAAUACGGAGGUCAGUGCGGUAAUACACUAGUCACAACAACAAUAAACGAAAGAGAUAUGUUAAGAUAAUAGCACGAUAACCGAACAUACAGUGCGAAUAAAUGAAAGAAAGUAGAACUAGACGAAUAACGGGCUACGCUACUGUAAAGCUGAAAGUCGAAGCAUUACAUGAAUAUCUAACUAUAAGUAAUGAAAACUAUAAAGUAAGAACUGUAAUAUGCAUGCAGCGACUGCUACUAUAGACAUAUGCAUCAACGUGCGAUAAACUCAAACAGUACCCAAUCUCGUGUCCUAUGGUCCGAAGACCUCAGGCCCAUGCCACCCUGCUCAACCUGUAACCUUUUGACCCUCGCAAUGAAGCCCCUGGGUCAAAGCAUAGUAGCUGACCCUCGCAAUGAAGGCCCCUUGGGCUCAGAAGCAUUACCUCGCCAAAAACUCCUGGGCUCACGGGUUAGGCAUCCAGACCACUUUUUCGGAAAAGACACACCCUCUUGGCGUGGAUCAGACGCUGGGUGUUCGUGAAAUUGCGUACUGUGUGGCGAUCAAUAUAGUUAAUGCUCAAUAAGAUUGCCAUCGGCAAUAGCCGACCAUAUCCAGCCCACUCGGGCACAACCGACCGGUUAGGCCACAGACACUGUCAGGCUACGUUAUGUGCAAGAUAGAGACUGUAGCAACUCGAUCGCGAAUAGGUCAUAAAGUAAAGGAUAUGAAACUCGGACCAAUCAUGUCACAAGUAUAGAUAUGAGCUGACCAAUCAUGUCAGAAGGAUAUAGGAUAUGAAUGCGACUAAUUCAUGUCACAGAAUAUAGAUAUGACUCGGACGAUCAUGUCACAGGAUUAUGAAUAUGAACUCGGCCAAUCAUUUCACAGAUUAUCAUAUGCUGAUGAAAUCUACUCUACUCGCCUACACAAGAUACUAAACAUGGAAACAACCGAAUGUAGAGUAAAUAUGGAUAAAUUAUGGGUGCAAGGCUCAAGUAUGUAUAUGACACAGAUAGUAGUAAAGGGCAAAGGUAAAGAAACACAUCACGAACGUGCACCAGCUGUACCGACGUCGGAUCGAUAGUACCCACAUUACAACUGUCGGGCCUGUCUCGGUGACUGCAAAGAAGACGUCAACGCGACUAAAGAGGUCCACUGGGGUUUAGAGUCUAAACCCAAGCUAAGAAAACCCUAAAAGCAUACCCACAAACGAGUCCCACGGAGAUGCGUUCCCAAUACCAUUACCGUAACUCGCCGGAAAGUCCCGAAAAUCGCACCGGGUGCUCCGCCGGGACCCACUAACUAUCCGAAAGGCACGACUCAUCCACGAUCAUUCGCGUACCUCAAACACCUUAUUUAAGUGUGACAUGGCAACAAACACAAGAUACACAACCAAACAACUAUUGGUGGAUAAUUGUUGGGAUCGGUUUCCUGUGAGAGUUCAAUUCGACACGGAACCAAGACCGUCGCUCACCUCGUCAUUCUGAACUGCUCGAGAAUGACGCGAGUGAUCCAGCCAACAAGCCUUAGCGAUACACAAAAGCUCACGAUUUUAUGCGUCCGAAAUAAUUCCGAACUCGAACCCCGUUCGUCGGCGCAUUUUCGCCGAAAACGCAUCACGGAAAAUAAUUUUCGAUCUUGGCAUCGUGGAAUCAUCAGAGGUUCACCCCAUAAUAUUCAGUGCUGCAAGGCAUGCUCAGCAUUCGCAACAUACUAUAAAUGUUUCAUAAGGCCUCCCGAAUUACCGAAUCCAUUAUUUCAUGCGAUUUCGGCAGCUUUUAUGGUCGCUCCACGCAAAUAGGAGUCAAUAAGCCAAACCGGUAGACACCUACAGACAGGUUCGCGCAUGCCGCGAGGCGUGCUCACCUUUCGGAGCAUUCCGGCCACUGUGGGAGGGCGCGCGACGAGCGCGCGAAUUCAGUGAACUGCGCGCACAGCAUGAAAAAAUCUCUUAUCUCGCUAGACCAGGGGUCUCACUGACCCCAAAUUGACGUGAGGCACUGUGAUCAGUAUGACUGAAGGAUUCACGGCUCCUUCCGGAGGCAUCUGAACAGCCUCGGUCCCGGAAACAGCUCAUCCAAACAAAAAAACUAUCGCAAAAGGCUCAAUCAAGCUUACGGAGCUAGGCCGAGGGCUCGGGGUGGCCGGCGGGACCGGAGCGGGCAUGCGGCGGCCAGGGCGGUGGCGGAGGUCCCAGGGUGGCCGGAGCUGGCGUAAGCACGGCGACGGCGGAUGGGCGCGGACGACGCCCAAUGAUGGCCCCUAGGCUCCAAACCCGAAGAGACCAACGGUUCGCUCGCCGACGGGAGCGUCGGCGGCGGCGGCUGCGACGACGGUGGAGCGAGUGCGGUCGACCAUCCGGGACCUGUGCUCACGCGUUCGCGGCGGAGACGCGGCUAGGGCGGCGGUGCUGGAGACAAACCGAGCCCACACGGUUCAGGCACCGUGGCUGCCAAGAAGGUGAGCGGCGGGCCAUGGCGGCGGCCAGAGGAAGUUGGAGGGACGGCGGACGUCGCGAGUGUGAGGACGGUCGCACCCGCGACGGUGGCGACGGCGAUGUAGGAGGCGCUGCGGGCUCAAAGCUCCGGCCGCCACCAGGCUGGCGGGGUGUCGCAGAGAGCGAAGGCGCGGCCGCGACCUCGCGUGGCGCCGUCGCGAUGACGCGCGGGAGGUUCGCCGGAGGAUUCGGGGGUGCGGUGGCCCGAUCUGGAGUGGCAGCGGCGCGCGGGGCCAGAGCCCACCGGGCUCGUCCUGGCUAAACGGGGUAGCAACCGAUCUACCAGGCGGCACCGCGGCACGCAUGGCGCGCGGCGGCGGGAUGAAUGCUGGAGAAGGUUCUCGGCUGGAGGGUGGAGUCCGCGACGUGGGAUGGUGACCCCCCGAGCUCAAGACCAACGAAUGAUGUGGCUAGGUGGAGAUGAUGGUAGAGGAGAGGCCGAUCCAGGUUUCCGGCGGCCUGGAAGCUCGCCGGCGGCCGGACUGCGCGCACAUGCUAGGGCAUGGACCUGCAGAUGGCGUUAGGCACAGCUGGGAGACAGGGUCUGGCCAGAUCUAAGGUUUCGUGCAUAGAAACCCUAGAUGCACAUUGUAUACUAAGUGCAAUUUUGCACAAAAGUCCACCGAAGCUUGGUAUUUCUUACCCAGUCCUGUUCAUAGUGGACAUCGCCGCUUAUUACACACUCCACAAAUCGAUCUCGCGCAAUACGGUAACAUAAAAUAUUACGACUUUUGCGAAUUUCCCGAUUUUCCACUCUCGACCCCUUAGCGAACUUCAUGCAAUAUCCGGCAAUCCGUUCAUCGGAUUUCCGAACGGAUUGCACCAUCGCGUUCAGCACGACGAAGGCAAUGAAACUACGAUUUCGUUUCAUCCGAUUUACUUGCCGAUUUGCGACCAAACCCAUCUGCUCUCCAACUAAUCCACAAAUUACACAUAGACCUAUGUAUAAACCCUAAAACCUAUAAUUCAAAUUCAAAUUUGAAUUCCCUACCACCAGUAGGUACCAGAAACAACUCUCACCUAACCCCAGGUCACAAACGUAGAGCACGAGGAGUCUCAUUAUGCAAGAACAGCAAAGAGCGAAAACCCUCUUUUCGAUAAAACCCCUUUUUCUUGAAAACCGUACCUCAGAUCUGAAAUCCGUCAGUGCCAUUGGUUCCAGAAUAGCUGAACUGAUCAAAACGAGCUAUUGGAUCGCUAUGAACGGAGUCCGAUACGCGCCAGAAGCCUACUUCACGCAUUGGCCUCUCCGAAAAACCGGAGUUACUAUUUACUUAAGUGAAAUUUAAAAGAUCGCGUAACUUCUCCAUUUGAGCUCAUUUUCUCCUGAAACUUGACGAGUGCUUAUGUAAUUAAAUUACACAUAUAAACAUCGUCAACAGAGAGUUUAGUUGCACUGUAAAAAUCUCAGUCCUUACAACCCUUUAUUCUAUUAACUUGGUGUGGCAAUGAGAAAAAGUGUGGGUGUAUUUUUGAAAUUAGGGUUUUGCGAGAGAUGUAUAUUUUGUACACCGCUUUGAUUAUAAUAGAAGUUUAUGCUCCGUCUUCGCUUGUGGAUGUAAGCUAGUGGCCAAACCACAUAAAUAUUAUGACUUUAUUUUUCUUCUUUCUUUCUCAGAACUCUUUGGUAUUUUUGCACCCGACAAACUAGAUCUUUUCCACUUUUACUCUAACAAACUGGUAUCAGAACCGGAUAGUUUGUUUGUGUGUUUAAGACAUCGACGAAGUUGGAGAUUGAGAGUUUGAUCACUCCAGCAGUUUUACUCUACGACAAGUUGUCGUUCUGAUGUAACAGAGGUUACAAAAGUUGUUAUUGGAGAUGAGAAGAUAGACACUUUAGAGAACACUGCAGAUUUGCUCAUUAAGUUUUUUUUGGCGAUCAAGUUCAAGUAUUCCGUAAACUUGGAUCGCAUGUGCAGUAGCAUUUCAGUAGCUUUUUUGGGGUCUUGGUGGAAAAGAUAGAGAAUUCAAGCCAAUGUGCAGAUUGUUAGAUAUCUCGAAUUCUGGAACCACAAGGUUCUCGAAUUCUAGAACCACAAGGUUUCCAAACCCUAUUUUGUUUUGAUUAUUCUAUUAAGUUUAGAUUAUGCCUUAUCUAAUUGAGAUUAUUCCUAGUCUUAGUGGAUUUAUAUUCUUAAUCGUAUCAGAAUUUAGUCACUAUUAUAAAUAUAUUCUUUAUUCCAUUAAUUUGGUACGGUAAUGAUAGAGAGUAUGGAUGUAUUUUCGGGAUUAGCUUCGCCCAGUGGAUGUAGACCAAUGACCGAACUACGUAAUUUUCUUCUCUCUUUCUCGGAUCUCUUUUGCAUUUUUGCACCCGACAAACUAGAUUUUUUCUGCUUUUAUUCUAACAAAAAUGUUAUGCUGGUAAUGGAUGAACAUGGAGAAAGAUUUUAAGGGGGCGAGGAUUGACUCAAAGGAGCAUGGCAGGUGAUUCAGGAACUCAAACUUAAGCUCGCGAAUGACAGAAUCGUAAAUAGACCAGACGAGAUUUUAUGGUGCUGAAAUAUAGAGCACAAGUUUUCUAUUACAUCUGUGUAGAUGAUGCUUCGUAAUGGGGGUGUUAGAGAUGUUUUGUCACUUAAGAUCUGGAGGUUGAAAAUAGGAUUGAGACCUUUACAUGGGUAGUUUUCAAGAAAAGAACCCCCAUAGUAGGCAAUUUACUUAAGAGGAUUGAAUGGGGUGUGUGCUAGCAAAUUUAUAUUUGUAAUGGUGCUUGAAGAACAACAAGAAUUUAAGAUUAAUCAAGAUAUCGAUGUUCUAAUUUUCUAGGAGAAGCAAAUAGAAAGGGAAAAAUCCUCAAAUUAUCUGAAAAACUUGCGCACUCUCGCGGCAAUUUAGUGGGUGAUCUGGCUGGAAAGCACUAGCAUGAUUUAUAGGAAGCCUAGUUCAGACUCAUUGAUAGUCGUCUCGAUGGAUCAGAAGUCUUGUAAAACAAUAGGGUAAAUUUUGCUAUCCUUGAGUGGCGCUCCUUUUUUAUCUUAUGCUUUUUUUUCGUCUUUGUUUACUCUUUUCUUUUCUGAUCUUUUUUGUUUUUGUCUUUUUUCUUGGUUUUCGUCGGAAGCCUAUUUGCCUCACUUCUACGGCUAAGUUUUUUUUUUUCCAAUGAAUAAAUAGAGUAGCAUGCUAUCUUUGAAAAAAAAGAAAAAAAAAGAAAAGCUAGUUAAUUAAAGCGAAUUCUAUAUAUUUUUACCAUAAAAGUAACUUCUACACCAAAAUAAUUAGUAGGCCUUGAGCAUACUUUAGUUUACACUUAAGGGCGUUCUUGGUUUCUCGAAAAAUAUUUCAAAAAAUAAUCAUCUGAUUGGACAAUUAUUUUUUAAUCAGUUUUAAUCUUAGAAAGGAUAAUUUUUUUUUGAAAAUAUAUAUUUUUUUUCAAUUUUAUGAAAAACAAAUUUUUUAUUUUUCAAACUAUUAAUCUAAAAAAAGUAAAAAAAAAAGUAUUUUUCAUAAAUUAUUUUAAAAAUAAUUUUUUUGCACUUUUCUAAAAAAUAGUUAAAAAUUUUCACCUUGACCUCCUGAAACAGUUUCUACCUACCACCAACAACUUAAUUAAUAUAUCUCCACAUGAGUUACUACCAACCUUGUGGAGUAAUUAAAUGUGAGCCUUUAUAUUUAAAUGGACACUAAUAAUAAUUUAUUUGCCGGGCCAACUUUAUAAAUCGGCUACGUACCUUUUCCCUGCUCUUUGUUCUUGCAUCAUCGUCUCCUAGCAAAUGAACAAACACAUAAUUAAUUUUGUUUCAAAAAUAAAUACUUCGAUUCUUUUUUGAGUUGAUAAUUCCCAACCAACCAUCGUUCCAUCCUGUCCACGAAAAAGUCAAAAAAUGUGACGAUCACGUGGCGUGAUGUGGUCCAAGCAUUUUUUUGGAGAUCCUAAGCCUUUUUUGUUGUCUACAGAAUAAUAUUUGGGCUGCAGAAAAAUUUUAGCUGGAAAACAAUGGUAUGCUGUUCGUGUCGUUUAUUUUUUAAAAUAUUAUCUAUAAUAGAAAUAGUGUAUAAUGAUAUUUUUAAAUAUUAGUGUAAAUAAAAAAAAUAUUAUUGGCUAAAUUAUCAACAUUUUUAAAAAGUGUUGCUGUAUAUGAGGUCGCAAGGUAUACAGUAAUAAUUUAAGAGUGUCAGUGUAACCUAAGAAGAAUGCUGUUAAUUUACCAAUGACUAUUUAAGCAUUUAGCAACCGCUGGAAUCCUACCUCGUCGGCUGUGACGGCGGAGGAGGAGGAGAGCGAGGGGUUCUUCGUUUAGAGUUUCAGUGGAUUAAGUGAGAGGAGAAGGGGAGAUAGUGAUUGGUUUUUUUUUUUUUUUUUCCUUUUCUGUUUGUAAUCGGGCUGAAUGGACUGGGUGGGGUAGGUUGAGUAGAGUAACCUUUUAUUUUUGGUUGGAUUGAAUUUUAUAUUUAAACCUUAGUAGAUUUUUUUAAAAAAAUUUAAUAUAAAUGAGACACUUACACAAAAGUAUCCUAAAAAUAUGUCUCUAAAAUCUAAUUCUGCUGUAGUGAAUUAAAUUUAGCUAGAAAUAUAAAAUAAUUAGAUUUUGAAUUUAAAAUCUCGAAUAUCAAUUAUUAAGCUUUUUACCACUUACGAUAAGAACGAUCAGUAAUAAUAUUUACACAAAUAAAAAUGUCACAUAACUCAGCAAGUACAGUAGCAACCCAUGAAUCCAUGAUACAACAACAUGUCUCUGGCAUUUCCCUUCACAUGUUCACACCACUCAUGAUUCUCUGGUAUUUAUGUCCAACUACUACCCUUUCAAAAUUGGCCCACAAAAUUUAAGACCUUUGUCAUGAACCACUGUCUUAUAGCAGUGGUGGGAGCCUCUUGUUGGGAUUGUAGGACCACAGGUUGAAACUAGGGCUGGCAAACGAGCGAGCCGGCUCGCGUUCGACUCGUGUUCGGCUCGAUAUUCGGCUCGCUCGAGCUCGACUUGAAAUUAAAUAAGCCGAGCUUGAACAAAAUAAAAGGCUCGAAAUUCAUUUCAAGCCGAACUUGAAUAUUACUCGGCUCGUUCGAAUUAGGCUCGAAAAGCUCGAAAAGCUCGAAAAAAUAUAUAUAUAUAUAUAUAUAUAUAUAAUUAUGCUACUAUACUAUCAAUAGUACCGAGCCCUUGGUACUAUUAAGUUUUCGGCCGUUGGAUGAAAAGAUGUGCGGUUAGGAUGAUAGUGGUCCCCUAGGAUUGAGUGGGUGGUUGUUUUAAUAGUAUAAUCUAACGGAUGGAAAUGAUCAAAGGGUAGAUCUAACGGUAGAAAAAUCAAUAGUACCAAGGGCUUGGUACUAUCGAUAGUAUAGUAGCCGGACUCAUUAUUUACAAUCAACANACAUUUCUUAUAAUUAUUUUGUAUUUUGAACUAUUGGACAUGUUGCAUCAAAUUGUAGGUAAUGUUCUAAAAAAAUUAAACUAUUGAUUAUAUAAUGUCGAGAAUUUCAAUCGGCUCGUUUAGAGCUCGAGCUCAGCUCGACUCGAAAUUAGGCUCGCUCGAGCUCGGCUCGAAUUAAUUUCAAGCCGAGCUUGAGCCUAGAUUUAGGCUCGAAAUUAAUUUCAAGCCGAAUUUGAGCUGACAUAAGCUCGCUCGAGCUCGGCUCGUUUCCACCCCUAGUUGAAACCCUACAAUCGAUACAUUUUUCUGGGCGCUUUGGUACAACCUACAUGUUAGCUAUUUAUUCUGGGCUAAAAUAGAUACAUUUUCCUGCCUCUUGAUAAUAAGUUCAAAAGAUUAAUAAGUUAAAUUAGGCUAGCUCAAUAAAUUAAAUAAGAUUGCGGUUCAUGAUAAAUCUAACGACAAAAAAUUCAGCAAUAGAUUUAACGCUCAGGUGGAUUGAGUCAAAUCAAAAUCCGUGAGCGUUGUAACUGAGCUCUUAAGUGCGAUAAAUGUGUUAUUCCUAUCAACAAGUACUUUCGGGAUAACUGGUUAGCACUUAAAAUUCAGAAGUGGUAUCAGAGCUAAUGGCGCAAGUGUGGGGGACUGUUGGCUAUUUGUUAUUGGCUAAAAUAAGUCCAGUUUUCUAGAAAACUAAUAAGUUGAGUGGGACUAUAGUCUACGAUAAAAACAUUACGACAAGAAUAAACCUAAUAUCCAAGUGAAUUGAGUCAGGUCAAAAUCCACGCGCGCUGUAGCUGGACCCUUAAAUGCGAUGGAUGUGUCAUUUCUAUCAUCACGUAUUUUUAGAAUAGUUGAUUAAUACUUUCAAUCCACACUACAAACAUCUUUAAAUGGACAUAUAAAUGCCGCCAACUUAGUUAUUAUCUUCAACACCAAAUAAUUAAUAAAGGGCCUAGGUUCGAAAAUCACAUGUAAACCUAAAUAAGAGCGUGACAGGUGCCUGUAAGCUGCUUCAAAGAAGAAACAAAAGGAAAACUAUUAAGCAGUACUAUUUGUCCUCGAACGAUUUCUAAAAUUAAAAUUGUUGGUAUGUUAGUUUUGCACACAUUUUUUAAUUUUACCACAAAAUUUUGUAGAGCUCAAAAAUCGAUAUACACUAUUUAUGCCUAGUUUAAAUUUGAUUAGACUAGUUUAAAUUUAAAUAAAGAAUAAUUUGCUCUAUUAUAACAUAUAUUGGAAUGUAUCAUAUCAGAUUUGGCUAUAUAGGUUACUUUAGUUUAUUAUAUAUAUAUUUUUUACACAAUAUUAAUAAAAAUCAUACAAAGUAUAUGUUUAUAGCUAACUUUAGUUUAUUAUUUAUUAUUGAACAUAGUGUUUAUUAGAAUCAUAAAAUCAAUGCCCAUUGUGUAGUUUUAGUUUAGAUUAUAUUGCAUUACUUAGGUUUAAUCAGAAAAUAAUUUGAUUUAGCUUCAGAUAGAUUUAGAUUUAGAAUAUAUCAGAUUAAAUUAAUUAUAAAGCAUAAUUUAUUUUAAAAUUAAUGCCCCGUGCAUGUGUAGUUUUAGUUUAAUUUAAUUUUGUGUUAAAUAUACUAAAAUAUUAUAUUAUUGCAUUAGAUUACAUCUCACUUUAGUGUUAUUUUUUUAGUAAAUUAUACUGGAUAUGAUUUUUAAUGUUUUAUAAUAAUGACUCUAUAUUGGAUUUGAUCACCAAUUGACAAAAAUCUGAAUAUGGGAAUAUUACUUUCAUAUACGUAACCUAUAUUUAUAAAUGAAACUAAAUUACGAGAUUGAAGCAACAUAAAGUGUUUUAUACAUAUUCCUUUUUUUUAAGAGAGAGAAAUAAAACAUACUAUCUGUUUCACUUAUUUUUUAAAAAAUAAAUUUAACUGAAAAUAUAAAGUAAUUAAUCUUCAAAUUUAAAAUCUCAAAUACCGAGCACAUGUUUAUACCUUUUUUUAGAAUAAUAAUAUUUUAAUCACCAUUCAGAAAGCUGAAUAGCAAAAUUAGCACGACUCUUUUUAAAAAUAUGGUUGAUAAGAGAGUAAGAAUGGCAAAAUUAUCUUACAAAAAAGUAGACCAUAUCAGUAAGGAUUAAGGAACAAUCCAAAGAAUAUUCUAAACUCGAGUAAACUGCACCAUCAGUCCCCCAACUUUCGAUUGCAUUUUUUUUGGUCCUCAAACAUUUAAUUUCGAUAUUAAAAGUGGUAAAUUCUUAAAAAGAUUUCAUUUUAGUCCUUAUAUUUAUUUACCACGGUAGUAAACUAUAUAUUCAUGCAAUAUAUAUAUAUAUAUAUAUAUAUAUAUAUAUAUAUUUAUAUAUUUAUUUAUUUAUUUAUCGAUCUUUCAUUCCAUUACAUAUUUCAACUCUAUUGUUUAUUGAGUAAUAUUUAUUUUUCUAUUUAGAAGUUGGACAACUAAAUUAAAAGUAUUGGCUACAUAAAUAAUCAGCAAAAUUUGUGGCGUUAAAAAUUUAAAGACUUAAAUAGAAUGCUCUCGCGAGUUUAGGAUUUUAAAUAUCGAAAUUGAAAAACUGGGUUUCCAAAUGAAAUUUAGUUACAUUUCAGGGACUAGUGGCACAAUUUACCCUUCUACAUUCCUAAAGGGCUCUAGCAAGUCAUUGAAAUUGCAAGUUAGUAGGUGUACUAAUUUUUGCAUCUUAAUACCGAAAAAUAAACAAGAAAAAUCUCAAGAAUAAAUAAAUACUAGUGGAGUGUGAAAUAGUUGUAAAAAAAUAAGUAAACUUCUUUUUAACACAGAGUAUCUUAACAAGAUUAAUAAUUUUAAUAUAUGAUUUGACAAGUUUAGAUCAAAGUAAUUUUAUUGAUGAUUUUAUUUUUAAAGUUUAGGAGAAACCUCAAUUAGACUCCUUGGGGUUUAAUGCAUGUUUAAUUUGUUGACAUGUAGUUUAAAAAAUAUUGAUUGGCCAAAUCUGGCAUUAAUUAUGAUAGCAAAGUAAUAAAAUAGUAAAAAAUAUAUAAAUUUAUCUCAGCUAUUACUGAUUUUUAUGUGACUAUUUGGCUUUUAAAAUUUUUCAUUUUACGUGCUAAUCCUUUAACUGAUUUGGUUUGAGCCCGUUAAUAAUCGAUUAACUUCAAAAUUUAAAUACAUUAUUUAUUUUUACGAGUUUAAUUAAUAUAUUUUAUAUAAUUAACGUAACUAUAAAUAUAUUUAAAGUUAACAAUUAACUUAAAUUUUGUAUGAAAAGAGCCAUCAUAUUAUCCAAAUCAAAAAAAUCAAAGAUUAAAUACUAAAAUGAAAAUUUUAAAAGAUUCAAUAAUCAAAUAAAACUAAUAUAUAGUUCAGAUAUGUUUUGUGUAAUUUUACCUAAAGUACAAUCAACUAGAAUUUUAUAAUCAUGUGACUUAUAAAUUAUAAUAAUAUUUUAAAAAUAAAACCUAAAAAGAAAAUAAUGUAAUAACAUCUUUCAAAUAGUAGAAUUAUUUUCUAAAUUUUACAAAUAUAUUUUAGAUAAAAUUAAAUCUUUCAUGUAAUUGAUAAUAGAUAAUAGGUGUUUGGGGGAAAAGAAAAAAGAAAACUCCAGUUAAAACAAAAACCAAUAAAUAAUAAAUAUCUCCAAGAGCUAAGAUUCUCUUGACUUGUGAUGAUGUAUAAAAAUAUAUAUUAUAUUUAGAAAAAACUUCAAAAUCCUACUAAUGUGAUUUCACACUAUUUCACCGGUUUUAUUUUUCUUUCUUUAUUAUCCCCUUCACUUUAUGUUUUUUGUUAUAUCAGCGACAAAGUUAAAAACUAAAAAAUACUAAAGUAAAUAUUCGAUAAAUCAUAAAUAGAAUAUCUGAUUUUUUUUGUAUAUAAUUUAAUAAAAAAUUGACAGAAAAGAAAAAAAAAUUUACGUCAUACUAAAUUGAUAUACUUUAAAUUAUAAAAUACUAAAGUGAGAACAUACGAAACUAUAGGGGUGGUAUUUUAAGUUUUCCCUUAUAUGUUAUAUACACAUACACAAUAUGUUGCUUCUUAUCUCCCAUCUCUUCCCCGCCCCAAAAAGACUAAAUUCAACUUCGUCUUCUUCCUCCUCUUCUCCUCUCCCAUGAAUUGUUAAUCCAUGAGGCCUCUCCCUCUCAAACUCCUCUCUCUCCUCUCUCUCCUCCUCUUCCUCCUCGUCCUCGUCUCUUAUCCCUCGCCUCUCGCCCUAAUUCGCUCCUCCGCGCCUCCCAAACUGCCCUUCCGCUCCUCCGACCUCCUCCCGCUCCUUCCAUGGCGCCUCGCGCGGCCGAUCCUCGGAUCCCUCCGCAGCGCCAUCGACCUCCUCCCCGCCUUCGUCGGCGCCGCCUCCUCCCCCGGCGACUCCGUCGAGUGGAAGGGCGCGUGCUUCUACGAGAACAGGGCGUGGUUGGAGUACCACAACGAGAGCGGAUCCCCAUUCGGGGGCGGCACACUCCAUAUCAAGGUUAGGUUGGGGAUUUGGGUAGUUUUGCAUUGUGGGUCUAGGCAAAACCCCACCUUUUGGAGUUCUUUUUUAAAAGAUUAUUGAUUCAAAUUUGGACCUCUUUAGGGUUUUGAGUGAUUUAAUUUGGUAACUAAUUGGAUUAUUAGAUUUUUCUAGCAUAAAAUAGGGUAAGGAGAGCUAAUAAUGUGUUUCUUUUUGACUUUCUCUAAUUUCUGUAGUAGUGAGCAUGCAUAAACAAUUAUUCUGUCCCUGUUUGUAAGAUAGAAUGGAAAUGAGGAUGUAUUCCGUGGAGAAAUGAGGCUUAUUGACAAUUUGAGUUCUACUUAGUUAUGCAACCGAAAUGCUUUUGUUGUUGUUCAGUUGACCAUACAUAAAUAUUGCUUCAAUCAAUAAUGUGGUAAUUUUUCUUAUUUAUGCAGACAAGCAAUGCUCAUAGUUGGACAUGCAUGGAUCUUUAUGUCUUUGCAACUCCGUACCGCGUGACAUGGGAUUACUACUUUCUGUCGCGAGAACAUACCCUUGAUUUCAAAGAGUGGGAGGGGGAAGCUGAGUAUGAAUAUGUAAGUUGCUAGAGUAAUUCUUAUGGAUUAGCUUAGCCAAGGAUUUAAGUGCCCAUAAAUCACGGGCCGUAUCUACCGUGCCGUAUCGUGCCGACAAGAUAUUGGCAUAAUAUAGCCCCUGUGCCGGUGGCACAGCUCAAAACGCUCUAUUCUUUGAAUUAGUAAGUAAUUUUCUCAAUAAAGUUCAAAAGUUUUGAUAAAAAUACAUAAUAAACAGUUAGAAUAUUUUGUUGCUAAAGAAAAUAAAUAUUUUAUGCUAUUAUGUGUCGGCAUACAUGAAUUUUUGUGACCGGCACGCAUCGGCACGGUGCAUGCUUGGCUCGGCCCAACACGCACCGUGCCGUACUAUGUGUCGACAAGUUUUCAGCAUGACCCUAUGCUACGGCAUUUAAAUCCUUGAGCUUAGCUGCUUCGAAGGUAGUAAGGACUAGCCUCCAGAAAUGAGCUUUGGGGCCCUACAAGUAGGACUCUAAUCGGAAGGUUCUGCUUUUACUAUAGCAAGAAACUGCUGGGGAGAGUUUGAAAAAGCAAUUAGUGCUUCUUCGAACAACUAUACUCGAGCAACACUUCGGAAGAAGCUUCAGCCAAUUCAUACAGGCACUAGAAUGCAUUCCAUUUGAUGUCUGCUUAUGUAUUGCAUUUUCUCUAUUCGCAGAGUGAAAGGCGUAUCUACCUAGGCCUUGUUUGGCCCAAAUGUAGCUCCCUCGAAGAACAAGUAGAUUUUUUUUAAUAAUUAAAAUCUCUUUUAGAGUUUCCUGCUGCAGUGGAACUUCUGCUUUUGGGCUCUAAAAGAUUGUUUUACUAUAGCAAAAUUUACAAUAUAUAUGUUGGCCUAACGCCUUGUUUUUGAAGCUUCUACUCGCUAGAGUGGAGUUGUUCAAGAAGCCAUGUUAAACAGGCUCUAAGAUGCAUGGUUCUCGUUAAAUAUGCUCCUCUUUUUCAUUUCAAUAUCAGGUAAAACAUAAUGGAGUAUCGAUCUUCCUCAUGCCAUCUGGGAUGAUCGGCACCCUACGUGCUCUGGUGGACAUUUUCCCUUUGUUUACAAAUACUCAAUGGGGUGAAAAUAAGAAUCUUGCUUUCCUUAAAAAACAUAUGGGGGCGACAUUUGAGGAAAGACCGCAACCAUGGGUUUCAGAGAUAAAUGCCGACGAUCUUCACUCUGGGGACUUUUUAGCUCUAUCGAAAAUUCGUGGGCGGUGGGGUGGUUUUGAAACCCUAGAGAAGUGGGUCACUGGAGCUUAUGCUGGGCACACUGCUGUUUGCCUUAGGGAUGCUGAAGGAAAGCUUUGGGUCGCAGAGUCUGGCCAUGAGAAUGAGAAGGUUAGAUAUUGUCAUAUAUGCAGUUAACUAUAUAUUUUUUUUAAUGUAUGUUUUAGCAAUAUGCAUAUUUAAUUUCUGUUUUCUGGUUCUAUUAUCUUCUAACCUCUUUAAAUUGUAUGCUGAUCAACCAACAUACUCUUUUUUGGUGAUGGAGAAGUUCUUGAAAUUCGAGUAUUUUUAUCAUGGUAGAGGAAUGGACUGUAGAAGAAUUUCCAAGAUUGAUGAAUAUGCUAUGUAGAAGUACUUGUUUGUGGCCGUUAUAUGUAUUGAUCUUAAGUGACAAAUUUCUUGUAAUUUUAUUUUUAUAUGUACAACUAGCCCACUUAAGCUAGUAUGCUAAUCUCUUUUAUGAAACUAAUCUAGUUUAGAUACACGUUGAUUGUGUAAUUUCAUCAAUUGUUGCCAUUUCUUGAACUUAUUCAUGAUAGCAAGUUAUUCAAGCCGACUGCUCUAUUUGGACUUAUCAAUACUAUUAUACUGUGCCUACAAAGGAAAAGAUGUGCUGUAUUAGAAGCGGCGAUAUCACGUAAUAUUGGAAUUAACAGUAUUGAUUAUGAUUUAAUGAUGCCUGAACAUCCAAUGCUUGAAGCUACAUGCUUCAGUUAUGUGAUAAUGUCUUGUUAGGGUUUUUUAAUAUAUAUCGUGUCUAUUCAAAUAUUAUGCAUUAAAAGUGAAUUUAAUAGAAAACUUAAGUUGCGGAGUCAUCUGAUUCAUGGGGAAAUGUGUUUUAUAAUGGAAAGUUUUUGAAGGGGCAUUAUUUUAAUAUAAAAUCAUUCUAGAGUACAGUGCAUGCAUCCGCAUAUGCACUUGCAUAUGUGACUGUGGUCACUUGACUGCUCUGCAGCAACUACAUCCGCAUAUAGCGCAGGUGCUAUAUAAUGAAUAUGUAUAUAAGAUGCAUCUUGUACUGCAUUUUAAGUAAAUAUAAGUAGAUUUAGCGUGAUAUGACUAUUAUUAGGUGUUCAAACACUAUUUAAAUCAAUAUAAAUAAAAUUUUGGAUUUAUGUUGAUUAUUGUAUAUUUUAUACUUGGAAUAUUCUUCUUAAAUAAAUUAUUUGAAACUUUGACAUGUAUGUCAGAAUGUUAGACAAUCUACUUAAGAAAGUUAUCAAGAUAUGUAAAUUUUGUUUAUUCUUUUUAUUAUUCCAUGUUUUCUUUUUGUUUAUCAGAUAUUCUACCAUUUUCAUCAUAUUCAUUUUAUUUAUUAUAUCAUCUUUACAUGAAUUACACGUUCACUCGCAUAUAUAUCUUCCUGCCAUAGAUGUGCAAUGCGAUAAGAAAAUAAGACUUUGAAUGGUACAUAGGAAUUUUAGAUUUUGCAGCGAUAUAUAAGUGGAAGAAUUGCACGGGUGCAUAUGUAAAUAUCUCUAUCUUGUUAUGUAUGUUAGUUAUUCUGGUGAUAGGAAUCCUAAAUUAUGCUAUACUUUUGCAGGGAGAAGAUGUUAUUGCAAUUCUGCCUUGGGAGGAGUGGUGGGACUUUGAGGUGAACAAAGAUGACUCAAACCCUCAUAUCGCGUUGCUUCCUCUGCAUCCUGAUAUGCGGGCCAAAUUCAACGAAACUGCCGCUUGGGAGUAUGCAAAUAGCAUGUCAGGGUUGCCUUACGGCUAUCAUAAUAUGAUCUUUAGUUGGAUUGAUACCAUAAGUGGGAACUACCCACCACCCUUAGAUGCACAUGUGGUAUGAUGUUAUCUUCUAUACCUUUCUUUUGUUUCAUUGCUUACAUUUGAAGCUAUGUUCUUGAAUCUUAAAAUGUACUGCCUGCUUCUGUUGCUUGGCUCCUUUAGUAGCUUUUCUACUUUGACAAGUAGAAGUGAGAUGUUUGGCAAACAGAAACUUUGAGGCUUUUGCUACGCUUGGAAGAUGACUUAACUUUCAAAGCAGAGGCUCCAAUGGAACUUUUGCUUCUGUCGUACUGGAAGUUGUCAGGGGGAUUUUAAUGAAGCUGUUGGUGCUUCUCCAAAUAGAUCUACUCAAAUAGUACUUUUAAAGAAUCUCUAGUUGUGCCAAACAGACCCUAUAUGUUAUAUCUUCUGAGGUUGAAAUUCUCAAUCUUUUCCUGUUGUUAAUAACCCUUUGAUUUCUACAAAUCAUUAAAUUGAAAUUUCUAAUCAAUUGACAUUGCUGAUAAAAUAAAUUUGAAGUUCUUGUUUGGAAAUAUUUUCAUUUCUUUUAGAGUUCUCAGGAUAAGAGUACUACUAUUAUAAUUAUAUCAAAUAAUAUGUUAUUUAUAGUUCUCAUUGUGUGGUUUAGGUUGCCUCUUUUAUGACCAUGUGGACUAAGCUCCAGCCAGCUUAUGCUGGUAAUAUGUGGAAUGAAGCCCUGAACAAACGACUUGGAACUGAGGUUUGACUGUUUCUAUUUGCAGUUUAUUUUCUGUUUAAAGAAUCUCUAGCAAAGUGCAUGUUGCACAUAAAUAUAGGACCAAAAUUUUAUUUUGGAAAACAUAAGUUAUGUUGAAAGGACCCAUGAUAUAUAAAGUAAAGCUGCAAUAAAAUAUUCAUUACAAGCAAAUAUAGCUAGAAAAUUCAUGAUUUUGGUAUUCAAAUUUUUGUUAUAUUAAAUAGCUCUAUUAAUUGUCAGUCAUCAAUAUUUUCAAUUUUAUUUUUAAAAAGUGAUUAAACUAUUUAAUUCGCUUUAAUCAUUGAUGAAUUUGAUAAAAUCCCUAAUUUAUUUGAUUAAAAUUUUAUUCAUUAAAGAAAAAAUCCCCAAAGUUAAGGAAGUGCCAAGAAAAGAGAAAAAGUUUGAAGGGGCAGUUUUAAAAUCACCUAUACGGGUUCUCCAUAUGUUUUUACCUAAAUCAUACCAACUUAGUUCCUAAUUCUAAAUUCUAAAUAAAGAACUCCACAAAUAAGAUAUGAAGUGUAUCUUCUCAAGUCCAGCAGUAUUUGGUUAUACAUAAAAGAGGUCCUACUAUAUGUUUUCUUACUGAUAAUGGAUCAUUUUAUAACACUAACAGAGUCCUACAUUUUGAUAUGACAUGAUGAUUACCUUUUUGAAAUUCAUAAUUGAAGUCUGCUUUUGUAAUUUUCUAGAAUGAAACGGGUUAUAAUAAUAUUAGUUUAUAUAACCUACUCUUUUUUCUGUUUGGUGGAACUUGUACAUUAUGUCUUUUUUGAGGAAAAUUUUGAUAAUACGGUUUAUUUUAUAAUGGUAGCGGAGGUCUAUUUUGUUACAAAAUUUGUAUUAGCGACCAUACCUACUCUUUUUUCUGUCUGGUGGAACUUGUACAUUGUCUUUUUUGAGGAAAAUUUUGAUAAUACGGUUUAUUUUAUAAUGGAAGUGGAGGUCUAUUUUAUAAUGGCAGUGGAGGUCUAUUUUGCUACAAAAUUUGUAUUAGCGACCAUAUCCGAUAACCUAGACAUUUUUGUUUUACUUGAAGUAGAGAAUGCCAAUUUCAGAACUACUACCGAGUAUUUCUGUACUUUGAUUUCUAUAUCAUAAGAUCUUUCAUACUUGUUUCACCGUUAGUCUACUGAUUAUAACACCAUGCACUGAAUAUGCUGUAAUUUUAAGAUUUGUCUAAAUGAAUAUCUUGCAGGGUCUUGAUCUAGCUGAAAUCAUGGUUGAAUCAGAAAAGCAAGGGAUAUCAUUUGAGAAGUUGCUGACUAUCCCUGAACAGGAUGAUUGGGUUUACAUCGAUGGAAAAUCGACAUCUUGUGUCGUGUUCAUUCUUGGAAUGUACAAGGAGGCUGGACUUUUUGAACCAUAUUCCAGUUCCAUACAAGUCAGUGAAUUCACUGUAAGUUAACAAAUUCCCUUCUUACUUUUUUUCUAAUUUUGACAUCUAAUAUAUGUAUGGCUACAGUUGAUCCUUUUAUGAUGGACGAUAAAUUUUGAAUUUGCCCUUGAAUGUUGUAAUUACUUUGUCUGAUCUAAUUUAUGCAACCAUUUCCUGAACAGUGGGACAAAUUUGAGUCUAGUUAUGUUAUUUUUUAGAUAUAUUAAUCUACUUUUAAUUGAAUAUGUAUUUUAUUUUAUUUUGUAAAAUUUUAAAUGGAUUUUGUAAUAAUUUUAUUUGUUGUUCGAACAGUCGAAAAUUAAGAUUGUGACUUGAUACCAUUUCCUUAUGGUUUAUCAAUGACUUAUUAUCUAGAUGCAUUAUGGACGUAGGGUACAAUGCCCUCUACUUAUAUUGUGAUUUCGUCUCUAAACUUUUUCCUCGAACACUAAUGUAUCUUAUGUGAUUUUAUUCGGAAUUGGUAUGUUUCUUUCAAGAUCUUCUAUGGCUGUGAUUAUUUGUGAACGUGCUCUAGUUUGAUGUUAGAUCCUUGACAUGUUUGAUCCUUUUGCAGAUAAAAGAUGCAUACUCUCUCAACUUUUUCGAAGACAACACAACCCGCUUGCCUGAAUGGUGCAACAAAGACGAUACUGUGAAGCUCCCCUUUUGUCAAAUUAAGGGAAGGUAUCGGAUGGAAUUUCCAGACUACAAUAUAAUGCAGCCAUACCCUCACAUGAAUGAAAAGUGCCCCUCCCUACCGCCAAAUUAUGUGAGAUCUAACUAUUGCUGAAACUGCUACUCUUCGGAAACCUAUCUACUACUUUCUUAGUAAAAUUGCAGGGACCUCCCUACAAAUAUUGUGAAUCUCAUUUUGCCUCCUGAAAUAUCAAUAUCAACUCAUAUUACCUCCUUAUAUUACAAUAUGUCAUUUCAGCGUUCUGUUAAGUGAGAUCUAUCACGUUGCUUAUAAGUCAGUGCGGUAAAAUAUUGGGUUUUCAAAAUUCAGGGGCACUAUAUUAAAAUCACAAUGGUUGUAGGGGAGUUUCCUUUACUAGAGGUAUAUCCAUUCUUCAGAUAGUUGUAUAUAAUGUAUGAGAUAGGCAGAGAGCUAGUCCAUUGCUGUAGGGCGCAAGUAUUGUAUAAAUAAGUUUGGGUGCCAAAGUAGGACUGAACUACCUGUAAAUUGUUGAAAACUAUAUAUAUAUAUAUAUAUAUAUAUAUAUAUAUGAAUUAACGAAUACGUAUUUUAAGUUGUAUUUCUGUUGGUUAGUAAACUGCUUAUAUCAGUGCUCCUUCCUAGUUAUAAGCUUGACUCAUUUGUAUGUUGUUGAUCUUUAUGUGGUUGUGCUAUUUCUUUGAUUCUGAAAUGUGUUGAGUGGCCCUUAAUCUCAUGUUUGCUGGAUUAUUUGCUCAUCCUGUUAGUUCUACAACUUUAUUUCUGUAGGAUGUUCAAUACCAAAUAAUUGUACAUAUCCUAUUAUCUGCUAAUUCUAAUCCCUGCCUGGUGCUGUAUAUGAUUCUGUAAUUUGUUGGCUCCAUGCUAUUAUUGCAAUUUUCUAAAUGCAUUUAAAUAGAAAUUCCCGACCCCUUCUUUUCACCGAGGGAGUGUUUGUCUCAGUAAAUUGCAAUUUGGCCAUAUGUCAAGUGACUAGAAAUGUUAGUCUUGCCGUCCAUCAUGAAGAUGUUAGUCUUUUGCCAUCCAUCAUGGGGUUUAAAUUCUUGAGAGCAAAUUUUCUUUGAAAUUGAUCUGUAGCCAUAUUUUGUUUAAAAAAAAACAGAGAGAGAGAAAAUCUAGUCUACAGUUGGAAGGUGAAUCUUUUUGGCAUUAUGUUAGUUGAUAGCAAGACUAACAUUUUUAUUCUCACCAAAUUUGAUUUUCAAUCGAUUUACAAUUACGUCAAUCCAAAUGCCUUCUAAAUUGCUUUGGCUCUCUCUCUUUUUGGUGGACUUAAAAUUUUCCGGCCUGUAAAAUUUUUCGGUUAUAAAUCAAAUAGCCUUCAUAGUGCUACAAUUUUAUGCUUCUUGUUGUAUCUUCUUUGCCAGUCUGUACAUAUUACAUUUCUAGGGUGAGGAUUUUGUGAGAUGUGGUAUCUGACUGGAACAAGUGCUCUGUUCCUGAAGUUUCUGCUCAGUAUAUGAUGAAUGAACAUUCUGGUGUUUUCUACUGUGCUGAAAAGCUAAAAUGAGUGUGUGUGUGUUUUUUUUUUUUUUUUUUUUUUUUUUUCAACUUAUGGUGGGGAGUUGUUGGAGAAAAUUUAAAAUGAAAAAAGAAGCCUACUAGUGCAUCUUUGAGGGAGUUAAUAUUUUUUAUAAUUUUAUGCACAAGAGUUUGGUGCAUACCUGGUUAUCUUUGUAGUGUGAUAACUUAUGUGAAAUUUUUACUCACGGCUGUAGAGGAUCAUGCCUCAGUUGUCAAUCAAAACCAUAAUAAAGGGCAAGUACUCGUAAAUGAUCCUUACCAAAGAUUUGGAAAUAGUGGUGUUUAUGCAAGUUUGAUCCUACCAAUGAUAAGAUCAUCUUUAUAACAACUUUUCAAAUAUGGCUUUUGAAAUAGCUUCUCUACUCAAUAAAAGGAUGCCAUGAAUUGAAGUGUUCAAGAUUCUUGCUAGCGUGGGAAGCUGAAUUUAACUUGUGAAUAUUCAAAACAAAAGAGAAUUCAAUUCUCCUUGUCAUAUAUUGUGAGGUCAAGGUAAAAUUACUGGGAAAAUUUACUUCGGAAGUUAGCAAAAUCUUCUUUCAACAAUUCUACUGAAUUAACACUCCCGCAGAAGCUCCAGUGGACCUUGAAGAGAUAACUCGUUGUUACCCUUGCUAGAUUUAGAUUUUGACAUUUUUUACACCUAAUAUUAUGGCAAAUUAUCAUGUAUAUAAGUCCAAAAUUCAGAGCUGAUGAAAAAUAGUUCAGAACAGAUUCAGCUUAUCAGAAUCAACAUAAACAGAACAUGUGCUUAUCCAGCAUAGGGAGCUCAUCCAGCGACAUUAAAUAAAUAUGACGAUUCAGCCCACUGCAGCAUUUUCUUUUAUUACUACGUAAAUACUGAUAGGUCGAGUUAAUACUCGACGAUGCUAUGUGAGGCCCGUAAAAGGCGGUAGAGAGUGCAGUUCGGUGCGAUGUAGAACACGUCGCUGGUGUUGAGUUGGGCGUCAGGCCGGAGCACCAGGCGUGGGUUCUUGAACACCCGGGGAUCCGCGACAGAGUGCCUCGGAUUCCGUGCAAUCACCUACGCCGCCGCCAUGGGACGGCGGUGGACCUCUACAAAGCCACCCGGGUGUACCAACUUGAGGACACCGCACUCGCGCCCCGCGACGCCCAUAAUGCUGGUAUAAAGGUGUGGUUAUGCACUCCCCCACCCCCUCAAAGACUCCUCAAUACUGAGCUCAAGAAGCAAUGAGGAGUGGAGUGCAUGGAGGGGCCAAACCUAGCUACUGGCCUUUUUAUAGCCAAUUGUGUAGAUUAAUUAUAUCAAGGGUGUGUUAAAUGAGUCAUAGAAAAGGAAUGAUUUUGAUUUGCUUUGAUUUCAUCCAGUUCAUUGUUUUUCUUGUAGAUUAUUAUGGCAUUUAAUUCCUAUUAUUAUUUUUUCUUUUUGCUUUUGUUUUUUCCUUACACCCCAAGAUUCUAUUUUUGGGCCUUAUUGGUGAAAUCCUGAUUUUUUUUCUUUUUUCUUUUUAAAUUUAUUGAGUGGACAACCGCUUCUUAUCUAAGUUUUCUUUUUUUUCUUUUUUUCUUUUUUUUGAGCGAUAGAUAGCAUACUACCAGCUUCGUUUAUUUCAUUUAGAAAUAAACUUAGCUGAAAAUGUGAAUCAACUAGGAUUCGAACUUGGGUCUCGGAUACCAACCAUCAAGUCCUUUGCCACUUGCUCUAGGGACGAUCAGUUAUCUGAGUUUUCUUGAAGUGUAUUGUUAUUGCUCGAUGUUUCAAUUGGUUAUGUUGAAAGAAUCCUACAUAACCUAGAUUCCAUCAAUAUUUUUGUCUUUCUUGUAGGUAAUGGGAUUCUAUUUCCAAUUAGAUUGUAUAUUCUUGUUGGGAUGUGAAAUGUAAAUAUUGUACUUAUUUUUAUAUACAUGUACUUUUGAAUACCGUUUAGUUGUCUAUAAGUAACCCAAUGAAAAUUUAUUAGUAAUUUUUUAUGGGCUUUUACUUAUUUACUCCUAACUAUUAUCGAAAUUUUCAGAAAUUAUGAAAAUCAAUAAACAUAUUUUGGUUAACCAGCUCUAUAUAUAUAUUAGAUAUUUUUAAAAUUUUAAAAGAUAUAUUCGAUAUUAUCCCCUGCUUUUUUUAAUUAUUGGUUUUUUGUUCUUGAAAUACCAGUUUCGCUCUAUUCCUUUUGAAAUCCUCAUAAUUAUUAUUUUAAAUGAUGAUUCCUUUUUCUAGGAAAGCAGUUUUAUCAUAUUACCCACGAAAUUUCUUAGAGCCCGUACAAAUAUUUUUGUGUACUUCCUAUCAACUAAUUAUUGUUGGAGAAUAUGAAUAAAAAUCAAGUAAAUUAUAAUUUUGAGGUGUAUAAAUUCACUUUUUUAAAGUGAUAUUUGUCCCCACUCAUGUAUGCUGUCGUGUUACUAGUAAAUCACCUCUAGGAUACAACAAGACCGCCGAAGGACUGCAAACAAUACUUUUGAAGAUUUUUCCCGCGCCCCAGCCCACCUCGCGCCCCGCCCGCCCCGUGUCCCCGCGCCCACGCCCGCCCGCCCCGCGCCCCUGCCCACCUCCCGCCACGUGGCGCGACAGGGAACCUCUGGUUCCCAAUUCAUAAGUUUAUAAAUAAACUAGUUAAGGGACCACGCGAUGCUGCGGAUAGUUAUUUGAAAAUUCAAUCUCAAAAAUUAGUUAUAAAAAUCAAUUUCAGAACAAUUAUGAAAUCUAAUGAACAAAUUACGAAACAAUUUUAAAUAAAUGGAGCUAUCAUUCCUAAUAUAAAAAAUAUAAGGAGCUCUCUCAAUAAUAAACUAUUUUGAAAUAGUUCUUCAACUUUAUUAAAUAUUUUCUCAUCUUGUUCUCUUUUGUUUGCUUUGAUAUUACUAAUUUUGUAAGGCUAUCUAUCAUAUUUCUAAUCUUUUGAGGGUACGAAUGAAAUUACCCUAUACUAAUUAUUCCAAACAUGACCACGUGUCUAAGGGAUUGAAAAAUAAUAAAUGGUGCAAUAAGUACAAAAAAAAUUUUUAGUAGGCAUAGUAGUCCCCCAUUAGUUAGUGAAAUAAUUUUUAGUAGCUAUCGUGGUCCCCCAAUAGUUAGUGAAAUGAAAAGAGAAAUUUUUAUUUGUGAUUCUCGCAAUUAACUUUCGUCAAAUAUAAAAUUAACUUAAACUCCAUAAUUUUUUUUUUAUUUUUUAAUAUACAAUUUAUAUCUUAAUGCUCAAUUUAUAAAAUUAAUAUUUAUAUUUAAUACCAACAAUCUAAAUUAUUUAAUAAUUAUUUAUAUAUUUUAUAUUUUAUAAUAAAAAAAAACAAAGUAGAUUGAAAUUUAAGAGAGAAAAAAAAAAUNNNNNNNNNNNNNNNNNNNNNNNNNNNNNNNNNNNNNNNNNNNNNNNNNNNNNNNNNNNNNNNNNNNNNNNNNNNNNNNNNNNNNNNNNNNNNNNNNNNNNNNNNNNNNNNNNNNNNNNNNNNNNNNNNNNNNNNNNNNNNNNNNNNNNNNNNNNNNNNNNNNNNNNNNNNNNNNNNNNNNNNNNNNNNNNNNNNNNNNNNNNNNNNNNNNNNNNNNNNNNNNNNNNNNNNNNNNNNNNNNNNNNNNNNNNNNNNNNNNNNNNNNNNNNNNNNNNNNNNNNNNNNNNNNNNNNNNNNNNNNNNNNNNNNNNNNNNNNNNNNNNNNNNNNNNNNNNNNNNNNNNNNNNNNNNNNNNNNNNNNNNNNNNNNNNNNNNNNNNNNNNNNNNNNNNNNNNNNNNNNNNNNNNNNNNNNNNNNNNNNNNNNNNNNNNNNNNNNNNNNNNNNNNNNNNNNNNNNNNNNNNNNNNNNNNNNNNNNNNNNNNNNNNNNNNNNNNNNNNNNNNNNNNNNNNNNNNNNNNNNNNNNNNNNUUUAAGAAUUUGAUUUGUUAAGAAUAUAAUAUACUAAUUAUCAUAGUUUAAUAAAUAAAUUAUUAUUUAAAGGGGAGAAUAAAGAACAAGAGUUGCUAUUCCAUAAGGUAGAAAGAAUAGUAGUUCUCUUCUCUUAACGGGUUAUUCUAGAAUAACCCGUUAAGAGAGGAAUAACCAUUUUUAGCUUGUUUGGUAGAAUAAGGGGGAUAAACUCCUUUAUUCCAUGUUUAUCCCCUCAUCAAACGGUACACGCGGCGCCCAUCCGCACCCUCAAAAAAAAAAAAAUGGUGGGCUCGGAUUUUAGGAUGAGAGAGAAAGAGAGGGGGAAGGGGGGGUGCGGAUGGGCGCAAACAAAUUGUUUGGGCACGGUGCCCAUGCCCAAACAAAUUGUUUAGGCACGGUGCCCAUAAAAUUUGUCCAUUUGGAGCGGGGGCGCCCUCGCGAGUGUCCGUGCCCGCCCUCGCCCCGCGNCCGUGCCCAAACAAAUUGUUUAGGCACGGUGCCCAUAAAAUUUGUCCAUUUGGAGCGGGGGCGCCCUCGCGAGUGUCCGUGCCCGCCCUCGCCCCGCGCACGCGCCACGCGCACGCCCCCGCCCCCGCUCGCGCCCACGCUUCCGCCCUCGCGCCACGUAUGCAGUUAUUGAGGAAUAAUAUAGAUUUACUAGUUCAGGGACCCGCGCGAUGCUGCGUGCAGUUAUUUUAAAAUUUAAUUUUGAAAAUUAGUUAUAAAAAUUAAUUUCAGAAUUUAAAUGGUGCAAUAAGUAUAUCAAAAAAUUUUAGUAGGCAUNUAAAGCUGCAUUGAUUUGAUUGUCGUAUUGCAAAUUAUUGAUUUGCAAUUAACUUCAAUAUAAUCAGAAUUUUCAGAUCAAAUUAUUGAACUAUGUAAUGUCGCCCCAAAUAAAUGAGGAUAGAUGCUUAUAGUCCAGAUUACUGAAAUUCAGAAAAGUUAACUGGUUUAGUUGCUUAGAAGUAACGCACCAUUUAUCUUUCUACUCACCUUUUUCGGCUGAAACCCGAACCAUCGGAUUGAAAUCUUUUAGAGACUCACAGCAGACGUCUGCUAGCGAUCUGCCACCGUUUAUGUUCUCAGGAAGAAUAAGAAAGUUCGCAUUACAAGCAUCCUCUGUAACAGGACGAGGAUCCACCAAUGUCAAACUCCCAACUCCUGCCAGAACAAUGUUCUUGCAAAGCUACAACAGAAGAAGGAAACAAAUAAGCCACUUUUGAAGAAUGCUUCCUACUAAAUUUAGAUCAGCGACAUUCCAUUUUGGCAUCAAAUCAGACUAUUUAUAACUUAUUACUAGAUCUCAAUUAGUAGCAUAAUAAAUAAAAUUGCUGCCAAAUGGUAGAACACAUAUAUUUUGAUCAACAAGGAAAGAAAAAAGAAAGAAGAAAAAGCAAUUAGCUAAUGGAUAAAAUCUCAACCAAGCAAAUCAAACAUUUGUGCCUGUUUGCUUGGGUUGUAGUAGAACAGCGUCUCUACUGUUUGCCUGUUUGGCUAUCAAAAGCCAAAAGCUAUGGUUGUGGCAGCAAGUUAAACUGAACUUCUAGGACCCAAAAACCAAUAGACAAGUUCUGCGAACUUUAAUAAAAAAAAUUGUUAGCACUUCUUUAAAAAGCACUAUGCCAAAAGCUUCACCCUGGCCAAACAGGCCCUUAAACGAGAUAAAAUAGUAGUUAUCAAAAGUAACAAAUAUUCAUCAAAUUAUAAAAUCACUGCUCCAUAGUAAUCUAUCAAUUCAUUCCCAGAACCAAUGAAAUAUUUUCAAUUAAGUUAAUCGGACAGCGCAAUCAAUUUGUGAAAUCAAAUUGUAUGUCGGUAAUACAUUUAACCUACUAUACUGCAUUGAGUUGAAACAAUAUACUUAGCAAGCUACUUAAAUGCACCACCAAGCUUCUUAGUAAGGAUAAAUACAAACUUUACACGCCAAAGAAGAGUUUUUAACAACAAGUAGUUCAAAAUAUUAACAAAAGGUAAACUACCUCAGCAGUUGCACCACUCAAACCGCUAAUCAGUACGUGAGCCCUGCUUAAUCUACACAAAACAAACAAAAUAUACUCAAAACACUUCAAAUCGAAAGAAAAAGAGUUCAAAGAGAUGGGCGCACUACCUCUUCUGCGCAUCGACGCCCCACACUCGGAUCUGGCGAUCGUAGAGGGCCGUUUCUUGCGCCGUGAGCUCCUCCUCGUCCAUGUCGAUCCGCAACCUGCAAGGAGAUGGGGCGAAUUGGUGGAGGGGGUGGGGAAUUUGAAACCCUAGGAAAGGGUAGAAGGGAGGAGGGAGGAGGAGAAAGCUAGGGUUUUGGAGAGAGCAUGAAGGGGUAGAAGAGAGAGAUUGGGGGUUCUCUCUUUUCCCUCGCUCUCGCACUUUGAGAUGACCAACCACUUCCGGUGAGGUUACCCCCGCGAGGGUUGACUAGUCUACGGUCAAUCUCCACCGUAUAUUAACGAACGGUGUUGAUUGAACGUUGGAAACGAGUCCCGACUCCGCAUGCGGCAUGCGACACUAGUAUAUGCUUCUAGGCGCGUAAAAAAUUGUUGCGUGGACCUGGUCUAUAGACCGUAGUCUCCAAAACCGCAUUAAACGUGUCGCAUUAUCUCGUAAUAAUAUAUAUAAAUAAAUAAAUAAUAUAUAUAUAUAUAUAUAUAUAUAUAUAUAUAUAAUUUUAAUAUAUUUUUAUUGUUUUAAAAGAAAUUUUUGGUAUAAAUUAUAUGAAAUAGAUGAAACAAAAAAAAAAGUCUUGACAGAAGAGGGUUAGGUGCAUUAACUUGAAACUUUGAGGGAUAAAAUAUAAAUUUUUGAAAAAUCAAAAUGCAUGUUUAUAUGUUUGGAAAUCUUUGGCUUUCACACUUUUUUACAACUGGCUCUCUCUCUCUCCUCCCUGUUCUUCCACGGCUAUCUCUCUCUUCAACUACCGCAGUCUCUCUCUCUCUCUCUCUCUCUCUCUCCCAUCUGGCGCUGCUCCUCUCUCUCUCUCUCUCUGACCCUCUCUUUCUCUCUCUUCCCCUCUCUCUCUUACUCUCUCUCUCUCUUUCUUUCUUUCUCUCUCUUUCUUUCUCUAUUUCUCUCUCUUCCUCUCUCUCUAUUUCUCUCUUUCUCUCUCUUAUUUAUUCAUUAAUUUGAAAUAAGUUCAACUUCAGUUUUUUUAAUUAAAAAAAUUUACUUACAGAAUGACCAUAUAUAAAUUUUAGUAAAGUUUUAAAUAAAAGUAUUAAAAUAAUUCAACUCUAUAAAUAUUAAAACUUAAAAAAAUAUUAAUUAAAAAAAUAUUUUUUUAAUGUAUAUAAGACUAUUUUAUAAUUUUUCUUACAUUUUUUAUAUAUUGUUUAUUUUUAAAUUUUUAAUAAUUGUAUAUUUUAAUUAGUUGAAAUAUUAUAUACCCGUCGCAAAGCACGGGUCACCAUUGUAUUGUGCGUUCUGAAGUUGUAUUAAAACUUUCUACUAUCAGUUUAUUAAUACUAUAUUUUACCAUAAAUUUUUGUCUUACUAUCGGUUUAUUUAAAUUAAUUAGCACAAUCUACUAAUCCGCAGCGAAGCGCGGAUCUAGACUAGUAUAUACAAUCUUGAGUUCUACUGUGGCCGACAUGUCGUCUUUUCCGCGCUCGCCAGGAAGAGAGGAAAAGAAAAAGGGAGAGAAAGAGAGAGAGGGGGGGCCUGCGUGCAGGCGACCCGCGCCCGCAGCACGCACGAGAGAGAGAGAGGGAGAGAGAGGAGGAGAGAGAGAGAGAGUGAGCAGAGAGAGAGAGAGAGAGAGCAGACAGAGUCUCUCUCUCUCUCAGCGCGCGCGGGGGNGUUGUCAUAAAAAGAUAUUAAAAAAACUUAAUAUGUAAAAAUUAAUAUUAUAUAUUAUAUAAAAGAUGUAAUUAAAAGAUAAAAUUAAAAUCCGUGCAUUGCACGGGUUAGUUGCUAGUAUAUAGUUAAGAUUAAGAUUAUAGAUUAUAUAUUAUAGAUAGAUUAUAGAUUUAUAGAUUUAUAGAUGGUUGACAACCUCACCUCCAACUGCAAGAUACGUCUCUCGAACUCGUGGUGUGAGCGACGCCGUUCCCCCUCACCUCCUCCGCUCCACAACUUGUCGACGCCGACCUCUCGUUGACGGGCCGGAGUUUCCGUUGCCAGGGCGGGGCUCCCGCCUUCAGAUCCGCCCCGUUUUGCAUCCCUAUCAGCGGAUCGUUCGACCGAACAUGAUCUACGGUGGUUUUCUCUUCGUCAUGAUCGCGUUUCUAACCCUAAUUUGGGGGCCUCAUUACUCUUCCUCUUCGGAUCAGGUGUGCGUGUUCUCUUUCCUAAAUUUUCGAGUGCCCUCUUAAUGUUUUCUCAUUUUGUAAAUUGAUGAGCAUGCCCAAUUUUUAUUCAUUGAUUUGCACAUUGGGUCCUCGAUUGUCUAAUUUUUUUUGUUUUGGAAAAAAAAAUUCGCAUUCUUUCUUUUGGAGGAUUGAUGUUAAAUUGACAGCAAUGGUAAAGAUUUUGCAAUUUUUUAGUACCUCUCAUCAUUUAGAUAGUUGCGAGUAUACUAGGGCAGUUUGUUAGUGUGCACCCUCCAAAUUUAAUUUCCUCCCAUAUGAGAGAUCUGAAUUUAAUUUUUCUCGUCGAGGUCUUGGAUCCAAGAAAGUUCUAGAGGGCUAUGUCAGCUUAUGAGAAAAGAUUUGUUUAGCUUAAUCCUAAGCUUUUGAUUCAUUGGAAAAUUUAUGCAUUCCAACAAAGAGAAAACAACACCAUAUUGUGUUAACUUAUUGGUCAUUUUUCUCCUUUUAUAAACUUUCUUAUUUACUCUUGCAUAUAGUAUUUUAAAAGGAGGUCCGCGCAAACAAAUGCUGAGGCCUUCUGGAGCCUAGGCGUGAGGCCUACCGUGAGGGCGUGCCUCAAGAGAGUGAGAUGCACAUUUAACAAAAUAUAAAUACUCUUCACAAGCNGGGAUGACGAUCACGGUAACUAACCUCUCCGUGCACGUUACGAAAAACAAUGCGACGUUAUACUAUAUCAUUUAUAAGAGUAGAUGAGAAUAGUAUAUAUGAUGUAAAAUAACUCGUAAAAAUUAUUUGAUUAUAAUAUAAUUUCAAUCAUGCACUUUCUACUUAUAUCUCUAUCUAUUAUAAAGAAUCGGUAUAACAAUUAUUAAUUUUUUUAUUUUUAUAAAUAAUAAAUACAAUAAUGCAGUCAGGUUACGGCAUAUGGUCACCAAAACACUAAUAAUUUAGUCGCAAUUCAUAAAAUUUAGGGUGGCUUUUAUCACGAUGAUAGUAUUUCUCAAAUUUUUAUGUAGAAUUGGAGAUAAUAUCAAUGCUUCCACUAUAACAUCUCUCUCUCCUUUUCUUUUCUUUUCUUUUUUUUUUGUUUCUACUGAACAUUGAUCAGGGUCAAACAGUUACACCGUACCAGUUGAAGAAAAAGAAACUCUAUCCUUUAAUCUAUGCUGGGGAUGCUGUGGUUCCUGGGACUCCCACCAAUGUUUCAGGGUAUAGAUUAUCUUUCAACUUAAUCCAUAAUAAAAGUUUAAUACUUUAGAUAGAGAUUACAGGAAGGGUUUAAUUGAAAUGCCAAAGAGGUGGUAGGAAUCAAACUCUGCAUGCUAAAUUUUGUAAUUUAAUCCUUGCAAAAACACUAUAUAUUCAAUCAUGUAACAUUCUUUUCAGACAAAAAAAAAAUUGUAGCUAGCACUGCAACAUGUUUAGCUACUAGUAUAUAUAUAUAUGGUGUGUUGCUUCUCUUCUCCAUCUCUUCUCCACCCCGAGGCGACCAACAAAGGCGGAGCGACCAGAGAGGCGAAGGAGGAAGAAGAGCGACUAGAGAUUGGGAAGAAAAAGGCAAAAUCCAACAUAAUCUAGCAUCAACCAAGGGCAAAUAGAGUAAAUAAACAUUGGAUUAACGAUUCGGGCAAUGGAUAGGAGUGGAACGGACACCAUGCGGAUUGGAUCCAACCGUCAGAAGUAACCAAGGGUGUUGACCGGAAAGGCCGAGGAGAGGCCCAAUCCACUCCCGAAAUUGGCCUAUAUCAGCCCAUAUAAUAUUAGUAUUUACAAUUGCAAUGUACUACCUUAUUUUCUUGCAGUUUAAAUAUAUGUAAUAAGGGGAUAUAAGGAGGAUUGUAUGAGGAAAUAGAAAAGAAAUGAAAUAGUAUCUUCUUCCCCAAUUCGCCUUUUUACCUAUCUCAAUUCCCCAAUUCUCAUAUCUGUCUCAAUUCCUUAUCCCUCUCUACCUCUAUCUCUAUCUCUAUGUCUCCUUCUCUUACCUCCUUUAGCCUCAAUUACCUCGGAAUUGCGACCGUGAGCCAUCAUCAUCCUCGUCGCCGUCCUCACCUCAGAGAAUUCUCAUCCUUGGCUGGUUGCGACAAGUCUGGGAUAUUACAAAUUCAACUUCGGCUUCUUCUUCCUCCUCUCCUCUCCUUUCCUUUCCUAUGAUUUGUUGUUAAUCCAUGAGGCCUCUCCCUCUCAAACUCCUCUCUCUCCUCCUCUUCCUCCUCGUCCUCAUCCUCUUCUUUUCUCCCUCGCCUCUUGCCCUAAUUCGCUCCUCGGCCCCUCACAAGCUCCCCUUCCGCUCCUCCGACCUCCUCCCUCUCCUCCCAUGGCGCCUCGCGCAGCCGAUCUUGAAAUCUCUCCGCAGGGCCGUCGACCUCCUCACCUUCGUCGGCACCGCCUCGUCCCCCGGCGACUCCAUCGAGUGGAAGGGCGCGUGCUUCUACGAGAACAAGGCAUGGUUGGAGUGCCACAACAAGAGUGGGUCCCCAUACGGGGGCAGCACACUCCAUAUCAAGGUUAGGUUGGACAUGAACAGAAGUAAAUACGGUUUUAUAAAAUCUAGCCUAAUAGUAAGCAACAGAUAUAAGAAUUCUUUUUUUAUUUUUACUUGUUGAAAAUGUGCGGAUGUUGCUAAUUUCACAUAUGGUACAUUGUGGUUUCUACCAUUAGUUACUUGAAGCUUCAUCUCUGUAAUUUACUAUUCGUUGAUUACUUUUGGAUAUUUUCCAAUUUCUUUUCAUGAACUACAUCGAUUUUAUGUAGUUGUUGAUUAUGUCAUGGCCAUUUUUUCCAUCAUCAAAGCGAUCUGAUCCCUUUUUUUUUGCUUAAUUGUAUAAGAUGAGUGAGCUUUUGUAAUUUGGCUACUGGCCAGGCGACUCAGAACAACAAGGAAUUCAUCGGCUGUUCGCCAUGCUCUCAAGCUUAUCUUUCUAGUUCAAAUUUUCACUGUAGUUGUGCUGAAAAAUCUGGUUCAGAUGACAAAUGCGAAGGGCCAAAUGUUGAUAUUACUGUGCUCGGAGUGUCAGAACUCCAACGGAAACUGGUCGGUGAAGGAUCCCAUCGAAAUUUGGUUUCCACCUUGAGAUUCAUUGACUGUUCAGAUGCUAUGCCAAAUUUUCUCAAUAGUUACGAUUGUGAAGCAGUGAUUAUUGAAAGACUUCCAAGAGGGGUUUUUGCUGAUCCCUUUGAGCUGCAACAUUUAGUCAAUCGCAGAGGUAGAAAUCUUCUUUUUUUUUGUUUUGGAAUAUAGUAAUUUUACUAUUGUUAUUUUACUCAUUAGUGUUGAUAAAAUCCUUUCGCCUGCAGUUUUUGCUGAUGUGGCAGUUUUCGGGGAUACUAAUUUGGAACUACCCUCUGCUCUCUCAAACAAAUCAAUUGUUCAGAUUCAUAUGGAUCUUCAGCAUCAUAAUCUAUUGAGCAAUUGUGAAAUUGUUAUUGAAUUGCCUCUGCAUGCUAGAUAUCCGGUAAGUUUUUGAACAAAGUACUUUUAAUAGAUCGUUUUGGUUGUUAUUUAAUAUUGGGUUACUUUGAUAUUAAUAGGCACUAUCUCUCUCUAAAAAAAUAACUAACUAUGUAGAAGAAACCAUAUAUCUGAAUAUUUUGUUGCAAACUCAUAUCCCAUACUGUUCCUAGAAGGCUGGUAUUUUGAAAUACAAAUGCCCCACUUCUGCCUAGAUUAGAGAUGUCAACGGGUCGGAUUCGGGGCGGGUUUUUAAAAACCCGAACCCGAACCCGACUCCAAACCCGAGACCCGAACCCGAACCCGAACCCGACGGAUUUUAAAAAUCCAUAUCCAAACCCGAACCCGACCAAAAAUCCGAAACCCGAACCCGAACCCGAACCCGAAAAUUUGAACCCGAAACAAUUAUUUCUUUUUUCAAUAUUUCAAAAUAUAUUAUAUUAAAUCUAAAUUUUUAAAAUACAAAUUUAAAUAUAACAUCAAAUUUUUAUAUAUAUAUUAUAUAUAAUACAAAAUAAAUUCGGGUUCGGGUCGGGUUCGGGUUCGGGUCGGAUACAAUCAAAAUCCAUAUCCGAAUCCAUAUCCGUCGGGUUUCUAUUUUUGAUAUCCAUAUCCGAAUCCAUAUCCAUAUCCAUCGGAUAUAUCCGUUUCAUUCGGGUUCGGGUUCGGAUAAAAUUUCGGGUAUCCAUACCCAUUGACAUCCCUAGCCUAGGUAAAGCAAGUGUUAUAAUAAACUCUCAAGAGUCAAAUGUAUAUUGGUAUGAGUAUUAAUAUUCCACAGAAUAUGUUUAAAAGUUAUACUGAUGAUGAAUGAUCGAGUGGUCAAGAUAGAUAGCCUUUGGAAAUGUAAUAUAUCAGCCAUAUUUUGUAGAUGAAGUUGUAUGAACUCCCUUCAACUUUAGGCCAUUUUAAAGUAGGUCCCUUCAAUUUUCUUGAUCCACAUCACCUUAAUGUUAAUUUGUAGUAUUUGGUAUCUUAGUUAAUUGAAUUGGGGAUUUUGUUAAAAUUAAUGACCUCAUUAGCUAUUGAUUGUAAGUAGUUAAUGAAAUCCACAAUUCCUUAUGCUGCAAAGUAGCUGUAAGCUGAAAUUUGGCCAAAUCACUGAUUGAUUUAACAAGUCCCCAGCUAAAUUGACUAAAGUAGCUUAAAAAAGCUGAGGGGAUUUCAAGGGAAAAAAACAAAAAGUUUAAUGCCUACUCAUAAUGGCUGAUAGUUGAGGGGGUCUUCGUACAUUUUGUAAUUAUUAUUUAAUUGAUGUUCCUUUAGCUUGGCUAUUCAAUUGAUGGACUUUGCAUCAGGCAGAAUCAAUGUUCUGAACUGUGCCCAAACAUAUUAUGCUGCUAUAGGGUAUAGCGGACAUGCCAUUCAUAUCAUAUAUGAACCUAAAAGUUUUUUAAUGGCCAAGAAAUAUAUGAAUAAGGCAAGGAUAGCGAUAAAUGCUUAAUGCGAAAAUCUAAUCGUUUUGAAAUCCUACUCGCAACUCAUUGGUCAACCACUUUUUUGGUCUCAACUUUAUUGUCUAGCCAUGGCUCAUUGUUGAGGCUAGCUGUCUACUUGAUGGCACAUUCGACCCUAUAUGUGAUUAUGCAACGUAAACUCAGCAUCUGAAAGUUUUUCAACUUGUCUCACUUUUCAUUCCCUUUUAUUUUUUCCUCCUGAAAUUCAUAUUCAUAUCAAAGCAUAUCAGCAAAACUAAGAGUUAUAUGUCCUAAAAUUUUCUGAUUUGCUUGCAGCCCCUUGAUGUGAGUGGCUAUGCAACGGUUGAUAUCGGCGGUCCAGAUCUGCUAUUACGAUUCAGGCCAAAAGAGGUAAGUUCAAAUUCCUGUUUUUGGUCGGUUACUCCUGUUGAUGUGGGACCUGCAAAGAUGGUCAAGUGGCAAAUACCUUGUGGAAGCGAAGCACAUUCAGGAAUGGUGUCAACUAUCACUUUUGUCUCAGCUCUAGUUGGUGCUAUGUCAAUUGUUUUCUCCGCUGUAUUUUACUCUCCGAAAAAUGUUUCUAAAAUAUUGUAAUAAAAUCUUUUGCAGAAUUAUUAAAUUUUGAUGCCAUUGAUGUGAUUUAUAUCUUGCUUGUUCAUUGUUAGCAAAGUUUAUUCGAAAAUCUCUCAUAAUGAUUUUGCAUUUGAGGCCUUUCAAUCCAGAAGGUCGUCGUGAAAACUUUUACACAAGUUUAAGCUCUUCUUCGGCGCCAACAAAGUUUGAUAUCACGAUUUCGAUAAAACCAUUUGUCCAUAUGGUGUCAAUUUUUGAAAUGCGACUAGCAUGAUUUCAGUUCUUGCUCCUAUAGCCUCUUAAAGUUCUCUUGCAAUUUUUUCUAAGUACUUGUGAGCAUUUGGUUGGAUGUUGGAACGAAGUUAUUUGGCGAUAACUCUCGCGUUAUGAGGAUUUUAUUUUGUGAUUGCAAUAUAUGAACUUUGGAUUGAAUGUCGAUUGCAAGGUGCUCACAAUCAAGCGUUGGCAUAUGUCGAUUCCAAGUUCUCGCGGAGGAAUCACCCAUCUUUUACUGUUAUUUUACUUUGGGUGCUAUUGGCAUUACUGCUGCUAUUUCUUCAUCAUCUUCAUAUUGGGCUAUUUAUCAUCUGGGGUUGCCAAUAAUGUAGCUGCUGUGGACUUCACUAUUAAUGUUAUAAUAUUUCACAGGGAGAAUAGAGGGUUUUUUUUUUUUUUUUUUAUUUUUCAUUUUUUGAGGGCAUUUGCUGUCUGUUUAGAGCUUUGGAGGUAUGCUGUUUGACUAGAGCUUCUUCGAGGUAACAAUUUUUUUAGGCUUUGUUUGUUAUUGUAAGAAAUAUGUGAUGAGAAAGUGCGUUGGGAAAAUAUUUUGUUUGCUUGUAUAAAAAAGUAUUGCAUUUGCAGAAUAUGAUGAUUCUGGAAAAUAUAGAAGCAUUUUUUUUUACGGUUCUUUUAUGCUUUUUUGCUCAAUAGUAUUACAUAUAUAUUCAAUAUUAGGUGGGCACUAGUGUUUGGUUCCGGUGUAAGUGGGGGAAUAAGGGGACUUAUUCCCUAUUUAUACCCAUUAUUUUAUACAUGAUUUAUAAUUAAUUAAUUUACUAAAUUAUUGUUUAUUAAUAUUUUUAUAUUAAUUAAUUAGGAAAAAUAUUUUAUCUUAAAAUAAUAAUUAUUCUUAUUCCUAUUAGUUUGCUCUAAAAACAUUAAAAAGUGUCUAUUUAUCUUAUUUAUAAAUAACCUAUACCAUCCAAAUCAAAUAGAUUUUAUCCUUGCUUUAUAUAUUAUAAUAUAUAAUAUAUAUAUAAUAUAUAUAUAUAUAGAGUUGAGCUAAAAUACUCUCAAUAGUAAACGGGCGUUUUACUAUCGAGUUGUUUUCGAUAAUAGAGCUUCCAAAUUGAGAUCGCUCCGUUAAAUAUGAUCUAAAACCAUUUAAAUUACAUAGAAAUUAAAUUUCACCACUUCGGAUAUGUUCUUUUAUCUAUCUAGUGAACAAAAAUGAAUGCUGAAAAUGAAUAUUCUUUAAAAAAUGAUGAUAGGGAGUCUUGUAUCAAGAUCAAGAAGUAUAGAUCUUGUUUUAAAUAGUUUAAAAAAUUUUCUAACAAAAGUUUCAAUUGAUUUGGAUAUAUUUACACCGUAAACGAGAAAACGUCUCUUACCACCAUUUAAAUACUACAAUUUGAAAUCCUUUGAUCAUUAGGUCAAAUGAUGUCGAAAAAUUUGAAAUUUGAUUUCUAAACACUUCAAGUGGUAUCGAUACAUUUUAACGGAGACCGAUCGCAAUUUGGAAGCUCUAUCAUCGAAAACAACUCGAUAGUAAAACGCCCGUUACUAUCGAGAGUAUUCUAGCGUCAACUCUAUAUUAUAUAAUAUUAUAUCUAUUAAAUUAUUAUAUAUAUAUAUAUAUAUAUAUAGAGCUAGGCUGGUAUACUAUCGUAGCACGGAGGCCUCCGUGCUACGAGUUGUUUUCAAAAUGCGGCUUUCAAUCCACGAUCCGUUUCGUAGACUGGAUCUAAUACUAUUAAAAGUACUUGGAAACUAAAUUUCAUAAUUUUCGUCAUCAUUUGGCUAGUGAUCAAAAAGGUCUCAAAAUUGACAAAUUUUAAUGUAGAUACGGUGAUGCGUUUGUAAAUUUAACGGUGUAAAAUAAUCCAAAAUUGAUGAAAUUUUAUUAAAAUUUUUUUUUCACUAUUUAGAGUAGAAUCAGUACUUCUGAUCUAAAAUUCAGUCUUCUAUCAUACUUUUAUGAGAUUUUUAUUUUUAGCCGAUUCAUUUUAGACGUAUUCUGUUUUGAUAGGUAAAUUGACUGCCGUAAAAUUAUGAAAUUUAUUUCUAAAUACUUUAAAUAGCCUAGAUCAAGUCUAACGGAGCCGAUCGCGAUUAAAGACGCAUCAUUGAGAAACAACUGAGAUAGCACCUGAGGUCUCGUACUACCGAUAUAUAUCCAAGCCUAGCUCUCUCUCUCCUUCUCUCUCUCUCUCUCUAUAUAUAUAUAUAUCAUGAAUAAGCGGUUUUUAUUUAUUUUGAACUAUAAUUGCGCUACCUUCGUAAAUAUAAUAUGCACUGCUUCUCUGCCACAUGUAGUAAGGAAACACUAAACAGGGGAUUUUACGACACACACAACCCAUAGAUAUAUAAUAUAUAUAGAUUAAUAUUAUAUAUAUAUAUAUAUUAACUUUAUUAUAUAUAUAUAUAUAUAUAUAUAUAGUAUAAGAGUUCGGUUACUGUCAACUAUUCAAUAGAACAAAAGCACUUGAGUCUACCAAGUUUUCCUGCCAAUUAGAUUAAGAGAUGAUGUGAUUAGGAUGAUGUGAGCCCCCUAACCACACAUAACUCUUAAUCCAAUGACUAUAAAACUUGGUUAGCUACCAUCCGAUUUGGCUGCUAGCCUAGUUCUAUAUAUAUAUACACGAAGAGUUGGCUUCUAUACUAUCUAUAGUACUGAAAUUUCGGUACUAUAGUUUCGUUUUCAAUUUUAGAAUAUUCAAAUCAAUGAUCCAUACCUUUAAAAUUGAUCUAGAGUAUUUGAAGAUUUUAGAAAUAAAAUUUUAUUUUUUUUUCGACAUAGUUUACUUUAUGAUCAAAUCAAAAUUGUCAAUUUUCAAUGGAUAGUAUGGCGAGCUUGUAGUUUAACAGUGUAAAAAAAUCUAAAAUUUAUUCAAAUUUUGAUAGAGAAUUCUUUAAACUAUUUAGAUCAAGAUCAACACCUGUAAUCUUAAAUUUCAAAGUUCUAUCCUCAAAUUUUAAAGAUUGUUCAAUUUCAACCGUUUAUUUUGCCAUGAUUUACUCAGUAAGUAAACGAUGUCGAAAAAAAUUAAAAUUUUAUUCCUAAGAACAUUAUAUAACUUAGAUCAUAUUUAAUGAUGUGGAUCGUUGAUUUGAACAUUCUAAAAUUGAAAACGACACUAUAGUACCACAGCUCUGGUACUAUAGAUAGUAUAGUAACCUAAUUCUAUAUUUCAUAUAUAUAUAUAUAUAUAGAGAGAGAGAAGAGAGAGAGAGAGAGAGAGAGAGAGUGAGUGAGUCUGGCUACUAUGCUAUUAAUAGCACGAAGCACUUGGUGCUACCAAGUUUUCCGCCGUUAGAUCUAUUCUUUUGAUCAUUUUCAUCCGUUAGAUCAUACUAUUCAACCAACCACCUACUCAACCCUAGGGGGCGCACAUCAUCCUAACCACACAUCUCUUAAUCCAAUGGUCAAAAACUUGGUAGCAUCAAUGACUUUGGUGCUAUUAAUAGUAUAUUAGCCUAGUUAUAUAUAUAUAUAUAUAUAUAUAUAGAGAGAGAGAGAGAGAGAGAGAGGCUCCUAUAAUANNNNNNNNNNNNNNNNNNNNNNNNNNNNNNNNNNNNNNNNNNNNNNNNNNNNNNNNNNNNNNNNNNNNNNNNNNNNNNNNNNNNNNNNNNNNNNNNNNNNNNNNNNNNNNNNNNNNNNNNNNNNNNNNNNNNNNNNNNNNNNNNNNNNNNNNNNNNNNNNNNNNNNNNNNNNNNNNNNNNNNNNNNNNNNNNNNNNNNNNNNNNNNNNNNNNNNNNNNNNNNNNNNNNNNNNNNNNNNNNNNNNNNNNNNNNNNNNNNNNNNNNNNNNNNNNNNNNNNNNNNNNNNNNNNNNNNNNNNNNNNNNNNNNNNNNNNNNNNNNNNNNNNNNNNNNNNNNNNNNNNNNNNNNNNNNNNNNNNNNNNNNNNNNNNNNNNNNNNNNNNNNNNNNNNNNNNNNNNNNNNNNNNNNNNNNNNNNNNNNNNNNNNNNNNNNNNNNNNNNNNNNNNNNNNNNNNNNNNNNNNNNNNNNNNNNNNNNNNNNNNNNNNNNNNNNNNNNAUAAAUUUAGUAAAAUUUUGCUCUUUUAUUUGUCUAUUGGGUUUAUUUUUAUGGGCCAACAAUAUUGUCCCAAUUUUAACUAAAUUCAGAUUAUUCACUCAGCCUAUAUAUACUUAAAAUAUAUUAUAUUUAUAUAUUUUUUAAUAUAUAUAUAUAUAUAUAUAUAAUUGAGCUAGAAUACUUUUAGAAGCAUCACCCAAUUGGUGCUUUUAUAUAUAUAUAUAGAAUUGAGCUAGAAUACUUUUAGAAGUAUCACCCAAUUGGUGCUUUUAGAUUUCUAGCCCUUAGAUCUACUCUUGAUUACUAAUAGCCCUUGGAUCAAACACUAUUCCACCUACCACCACCUACCACCACCUACCACCAUCAUCCCAACCUUACAUUUUUUCAUCUAAUGGUUAAAAACUCAAAAGCACCAACCUCAUAAUAUAUAUAUAUAUAUAGGCUGGGGCUACUAUACUCUUAUGAGUAUAAAACCCUUUGUACUAAUAAGUUUUCGACCGUUGGAUGAAAGGAUGCGUGGUUAGGAUGAUAUUGGUCCCCGGUUAGGUUAAUAAUGGUUUCCUAGGGUUGAGUGGAUGAUUGGUUGAAUAGUAUGAUCUAACGAGUAGAAAUGGUUAAAGGAGUAGAUCUAACAACCGAGAACUUAUGAGUAUAAAAGGGCCUCUACUUAUAGGAGUCUAGAAGCCGGACUCUCUCUCUCUAUAUAUACACACUUUUGAAAGUAUAGAGAUCUUCGUGUUUGUAAGUUUGAUGAAACAUACAAUUUAACGAUCGAUUUUAUUAGACAUGAUCUAUAUUAUUGGAACUAUUUAAAAACCAAAUUUUAUGAGUUGUUUGACUUCGUUAGCUUGGUGAAUGAGUAGACUCAAAAUAAAUGCCUGAAAAUAAAAAUAUCCUAAAAAAUAGUGAUACAAGAUUUAAAUUUUAAAUUGAAAGUAUUGAUCUUAUUCUUGAUGGUAAGUAAAAUUUUCUCUUAAAAUUUUACUUAAUUUGGAUUAUUUUACACCGUUGAACUGACAAACGUGACAUAUCGGCUUUUAAAAUAGUUGUUUUUGAGAUUCUUUGAUCACCUGAUAAAUGAUGCCGAAAAAUUAUGAAAUUUGAUUUUUAAAUAGUUCUAAUAACGUAGACCAUGCAUAAUGGAGCCGAUUAUCGAAUCAGAGAUCUAAUCAUCGAAAAUAACUUACAAGUACGAAGACCUUCAUGCUUUUGAAAGUAUAGGAGGUGUAUACUCUCUCUCUAUAUAUAUGUAUAUUAUGAGUCUAGCUACAAUACUAUUAUGAGUACUAUUGUCAUCAUGCUAAUAAAUCAUUUUUGAUAUUGGAGCAUCCAAUUCAAUGAUCUACACCAUUAAACAUAAUUUAAAGUAUUUAAAGAAUUUAGAAAUCGAAUUUCAGACUAUUUUUACAUCAUAUACCUUACAAUCAAAGGGUUUCAGAAUGGACAUUAAUUGCUCGCGCCAGGGAGAGAUUGGACACUCUAGAGAACAUUGAGAGGAAAGUGGUUAGAUGGUACAAACCCUAGGAGAAGUAGACGAGGGUAGAUAAAGUAGGGUAGCAGCGAUGCUGGGGAGGAUGGUUCUACAACUGUAUUAAAUGCCCGGAUUCGUAGUAGAUCGGGACGUAUAGGGCAGAGCAGGAGCAAAAAGGGAGAGAGUACCAACUCUAGGCUAUCGUAGGGUUCGAGGAUAGAGAUGCAAGGGAUACAAGGCGAGAGAGUAGAGGUCUUGAGAGAGCAAGUACACCCUCAGUCGCACACAGAAGGAGGAGGAGUGUCAUAUCCUAGUGCUUUUUCUAGAAAAAAAAAUGGUGAAAAAUAUAUGCAUUUUUUUAAAAUCAAUACGAAAAACCGCUUCAAAACAUGCACAGACCUGGCACAUAGAUAAAAUCUUCUCUAUACAUGCAUGACAUAGGAACAUAGAGUAUAACAUCAAUCACAUCAAUCACAACAAAAACAACAACAACAACAACAACAAAUAGGUAACUAAACGAACAAAUUGAGUCAGCAAUACUGAUACCGAAAGAAAACUAUCUAAAAUACCGAGAAACAUAAAUCCAUAUUUAUUAACAUGAGAGAUAAAUAACUAAAUCACAUGAGUAUAAAACAUAAAAGAAAGAUCAAACCAUCGAGAUCACAGUCUAAAAAACAUGUCUAUCUGCUAGCAUCCAAGAGGUUAAGAGAUUUAAGCGUGCUAGAACUAGAGUACUCUAUGAUGGGUGACCGUCGGUGAGGCGUCAAAGUUGGUGUCAGAACUAAUCACCAACAGAAAAUGUGAGAUGAGUCUCGCUGAACUAGAGUUAUCUAGUGAGUAAAGCGCGACUCCCAAUUGACGAACGUUGCAAGUAGAGUGCGGCUCAUCGUAAGGUUGGCUAAGACUAACGAGAUAAGUUUUAUAUUGUCGAAUACUUUUGAAUUUUUAAUCAGAGCAAUUUAGACGGUGACCAAAUACAAAAGUUAAAAACAUUAUGCGUGGUAGAACUAGUUACACGUAGGGUGUCCCUCCUAGAAAUGAGAGAGUGAAGAAACACGGGUACGAGUGACUCGAUAGAAGACUCGAGAGAAGAGAGGAAAAUGUUAGCACGAGGGACCCACACAAUCGAAAUCACAGAGAGACAUUCAAUCGAAUUGCAUUGAUUGAUGGCUUGUCAGUUGUUGACGUGGUAGACGCAGUCUACCUGAUAAACUCCAUCUGGUAAUAAAUAUCACGAAUCCGUAUAACCCUACCAAAGUUACCAAACAGACCCUUCUUCUCUCUCCCCUCCCACACAUUUGUCACGAGAUUUUGGUGAUCUCCUCUCUUUCUUCUUCUUGUCCUUCUUCCUCCUCUUCCCCUCCUCUGCUCCCUCACCAAACCCCUUUCGCCAUGGAUGAGGACGACGAAGAAGAGAUGCUUGUAGAGGAGAGGGACGAAGUCGAGUUCCUACCCAUCUCAAACCCCAACGAGGAAGCCCCCACCAAGCGAAAGGGCUUCUUCCUCAACCCAAACCCCCAAAACCCUAGCGCUCGAUCCCCGUUCGUCCCUGCUCGGUACAAAAUUGUCUCCUUUGACGCCAUCGAGGAGGCUAGAGUUCUCUUCAGGGGCUGGUCGAGCUCGCCGCGGCAGUGGGAGAGCUGGAUCGCGAAGCUCCGCCCCAAAUACGGCGAUUUGUGGCGAAAAGUUGGCGUCUUUGACGCGAUUUCGGCGUCUACGUGCCGAAUUCGCCGGGAUCCUUCCGCCAUUUUCGGGGUCUCGGCCUUCUGGUGCGAGGAGACCAGUAGCUUCAUCUUCCCCUGGGGGGAGGCAACCCUAACCCUAGAGGACGUCAUGAUUGUUGGCGGGUUUCCGGUUUUAGGGCAAUCGGUGAGGGAGCCGCUGCCGGGAGAGUAUAAGGAUUUGGAGGUGAAGAUGACGGAGGAGCGAUUGCGGUUUAACCGGAGCUCGAGCAAGAAGGCUCACCAUUCCGCCUGGAUGAGGCAUUUCAUCGAGCACGACGCGGACGAUUUGGAGCACAUCGCCUUCCUAUCGCUGUGGCUGUCGAGGUUCGUCUUCUGCAGCCACCCGGAGAAGACGGUGAAGCAGAACGUGUUCUCAAUCGCGAUUAGAUUAGCUCGAGGGGUGAGGGUCGCUCUUGCGCCCGCAGUCCUUGCCGUUAUAUACCGGGAUUUGCGGGAACUGAAGGAUUAUAUGGUUUAUAGUGGAGGGAGAAAGGACAUCCCUUUAGUCCUUUGGGCUCCUCUGGAAAUUUUGCAGCUUUGGGUGUGGGAGAGAUUUCCUGCUCUAAGGCCGGAGGCAGAGAAGUUGAUUGAGGCGGGAGAGCCGAGGGCUGCUAGGUGGCACGAUGUUGGCAAGAAAUCGGAGCUUUCCUUUGUGAAUUCCAUUAUAAAAAACCCUAAUGAGUUCCGAUGGCGGCCGUAUGCUGCUGAUUUGAGUAAUUGGUGUAAGCCUGAUUUCUAUAAAGACAAUGGUGAAUGGGUUCGUGGGGAGUCGGUUCGAGACGAAGGAUUGAAUUCCUUUGCUAAGUGCUUGAGGGUUUGUGAAUUGGUGGCAUUGGAUUGUAUCGAGCGAUAUCUCCCACACCGUGUAGCAAUGCAAUUCGGGUUGGAUCAAGAUAUACCGCAUAGCAUAUCUCGUGCUAAUUCGAGGUGGGAAGAAGCGUGGAGUACUUACGAGAUUGGUAAAAAGAAUUUGGCGGUUUAUUGUCCAUCUCGGAGUUCCGACUCGGGCAUCACGAUCGAGUACUUGAAAUGGUGGAAGGAGUGUAUGGCAAAUUGUGGUACAUAUGCGGUUAGUAGCGAGGAGAAAUCACAAAAUUUAUUGGAAAAUGCCAAGAGAUCGUCGGAGGAGGCAAUGGAGGAAGAAAAGAAGGAUAGUAAGAAGAAGGCCCGGGUUUCUCCUAAUGGUAAGAAGAGGAAAUUGGUGGACUUUUAUAAUACCACGCUCUCGGAUUGGCUUGCUUUUACUGAUCAAUACAUUGGAGGGAAUAAGUAUUUGAAUUCGGAGAAGCCUUCACUAGUCAAAGAGGGAUUAGAUAAUUCUAAUAAUCCCAAUGUAGAAAGGGUGAUGCAGAUCGGAGAAGCUCUUUCAAUAGAAGGGGAGAAGCUGAGAAAAACAAAUGAAGAAAUUGUCGAGGAUGACAAGGAGAAGGUGAUUGUGGAAACUAUUAAGGAGCAUAAAGAAGAUGUUUUACUCAAGGAAGCAAACCCUAGAGGAGAGAGUAAAGAAAUCAUGGUGAGUGAUGUGGAAGGAAAGGCUAUUGUUGACGAGGAUAAAAGAAAAGACAAUGGGGAGUCUACAAAGGAGAUUGUAGAAGUUGUUCCGUUAGAACAAGGAAAUCAGAAGGAAGAGAAUAAGGAUGAGGAAGAAAAAAUGAUUGCAGAAAAUGUUAAGGAAAUAAAAGGUGAAGAAUCUUCUUAUGAUUCAGUUGUGAAAAAUGAGCUCAAUGAAGCUCCUUCACAAGAAGAGCCAAAUCAGAGUAAAAAAGAGAAGGAGGAAGAUGACGUUGUGAUGGAGGAUGUCAAGAAAAUAGAUGGUUUUGAAUCUUUAUCUGAACCAGGUUCAGUGAAAGAGGCUGAAGAAAUUGCUAAUACAGAAGAUGGCGAGAAGAAGAAUGAAAACAAGGGAAUUUCAGAUGAUAAAAGUGUGGAGGAGCAAGUUGUCAGAGAUGUUAACAUUGGAAAUGAUGGAGAAUCUACUACUGUGGUAAAGGAGAGUCAAGAAGCACUUUCUCCAGGAAAGGCAUGUCAAAGAGAGGAAGACAAGGGAAUUUCGGACGAAGACCAGGAUGCUAACAGGACAAUCAAGGGGGAGCCUCCACUUGAUCCAGAUAUCACAAAGGCAGCUACUCCACUAGAAAGUGAAGGGAAGGGAAGAAUAGUAGAAAUUAAGAGAAAAAGUAUACCUCCUCAUGAGUUGAUAGUGAACAAGAAAAGUAAAAACAAGGCUACUGCAGAAGAUGGUAGGAGAAAAAUUGAGAGACUUUCUUCGCAUCACCUGCUGAAAAGAUUUGACUCAUUGGACAAGGAGGAUAGGGCUAAAAUGAUAGAGAUAGAAGAAGGUGAAGGAGUUUUUUCACCCCAAGUGGCAAAGCUUAGAAUGGAAAAGAUCGAGGAAAGGCGGGCUUCGCGUAUUGCUAAAGAAUCGGAGCUCGAGAUGCAGAUUAGAAAGCUAAAGGAAGAGAUUACUGCAAUGGAAGCUAGGGUAAUGGACUUGGAGCCCAUCAAUGAGGUGCACUUUUCAUCUUAGGAGUUUCCUUUUUUGUAGCUUAUAUCUAGUUGGGUGUAUGUUUUUGUACAAAUUGGCAUUAAUAUGCUUAUUGGUUUUGCUAGUAAAACUAAAUCUGGAAAGACAUCUUAUUCUGAGUUUUGUCCCAACUACCUCAAUUGCGCUAGUUAACUAUGCUAAUAUAAUUAGAUUCUCUUCCGUGAUUUUGACAAAAUUUUACCAAAAGUUUGGUGUCCACAACAGCAUAACUUACUGAUCAACGUGCAUCCCUCCUGAAGUUUUAUUUGAUUACACUUAGUUAUCCAAACUAUAGAUCAUUUAAGAAUCUCAUUGCAUUGAUAAUUGAAAGGAGAAAGUCAUUUAAUAUGUAUAUUAUUUCCCAUUAGGGUUUCCUGUAAAGCAUUAGAAGAAAAUGUAUAAAUACAGUUAUAUAUCGAACCUAACAUUGAAAAGAAACAAAAGUAUUACAAAUUCUAUACAAGAGAUCCAUGUGAAGAUUUAUUAUUUGUGGAAGUGCAGUUAGGGAAAUUGGGAAUUACGUGGCACCCAUGGAGAAAUAGUUUGAGCUAAACAGUUUUACUAUUUGUUAUGUACUUUUAUGGCAUCAUUCUGGAGAUACGAGAAUAAAUUAUCUUCUUGCACAAACCAAUGAGAAGAGUGAAUCUUAUAGGCUUAUAAUUUCGAAUGAUAAAUUAAGGGGUUCUAAGGACUAUCAUGGCCUGCUUGAGCCGGCUACGGCUUCUUCGGAAGUGCUUUUAGAUAAGAGUUGCUUCAAGAAGCUCUAACACCUUCUUUAAAAUCCUCCUAGAGGCAGAAGCUUCAAUUGAAGCUUUUGCUUUUCAUUUUUGGUUUAUUUCACAUUUAGAUGCGCUAAAUUUUUUACCAAAUGCUUGGUUUUCCUUUUCAAUUCAACAAACUGUUUGGGAAGUUAGGGUCAACGAUGCAAUCAAGUUGAGUUUAAUACUAUGUUGCACGGAUACGGAUACGACACGAUACGGACACGGCGAUAUGGCAUUGUCCCAAAACUCUAGGAUACGAUACGCCGAGAGUACUUAAAUAAAAUAUUAUUUUAAUAUGUAUAAUAAAUUUACAUUGAUAAUAUGUAUAAUAAAUUUACAUUGAUAAUAUGUCAUGACGUAUUGAAAUAUAAAAAAUAAACAAAUGAGUAAAAGUAAAACAAAUAUAGUAUUUCCAUUCAAUCAUUCACUUACCAGUUACCACAAAACAUCAUGAUAUUCAUCUUUACAUCUUACGACUUACAUACAUGCAUAGUCCACAUCCAAAACAACAAAAAGAAAAGGAGAGGGUUAUCAUCAAAAGACUUCAAUUUGGUUCAGUUUCAUUCUCAUUUGAAUCAUCAAUAAAUACCACACUCUCCAAAUCUGGCUCAUCAAGUGAAAGAUUUGCAAUUUCAAGAAGACCAACACUAUCAAAUGUGUCGAAAGAAUCUCCUCCAACAUCCCACAUCUUGGUCUCUUCUUUUAUAUAUUCUGGAGCCCUCCUUGAUAAAAGGCGAAGAUUAGUAUGUGCAUAUACUAAAUCUUUGGCUCGUUGUGGCGUAAUCUUAUUCCUCUUCAUGGGGUGAAUGAAUGAGUAGGUACUCCAAUUCCGCUAACAUGAAGAGGAGCAAGGUUGGCUAAGUAACUUUAGGGCCAAAUUUUGGAGCAUAGAUGCUGCCGCACCAUGGAUGACCCAUCACUUCUUAGGGUCAAGAACUCCCCUAUCUUCAAUAGAGUCGUGCUCAUCAAAUCUCUCUCCGGUAGUGGAAAAAUUUGCAAACUCCUCAUUUACAACUCUUCUUUCUUCAUUAUUUGGAAAAAAUCUUUUUAAGCACUUGUUUCUCAUCUUUGAUAUCUCCAAAUCCCUAUGCGGAGGAACUCGAUUUGGAUCCUCAUUAAGCCACGAUGAGCUAUAGCAUCUAAUGAAUAUAAGAAAAAUAAAAGUUAGGAUAUGAUAGUUGUAUUACAAAAUACAAAUGAACAAAAGUAUACAUAAGGUUUAGGGGAAAAAAAUUACCUAGGGUUCAAAGAAUGUGCCAAGCAAUGAAGUGGAGUAUUGCUUUUAGCCCAUCGGUCAAUCAAAAUUUUGUGCACAACGGAAUAAAAUGAUGAUUCCUCGUCUUCUUUCUUUCCUUCACGCCUAUAUAUAGCAACUUUCACCUUUUCUAUCAUGGAGUCCCAAGUUUCAUACAUUAAAUGUAAGCAAGGCUUGUCGGUAUCGGCAAUCCGAAGCAUCUCAUAUAUAGGUUCGGUAAAAGAAAGAAUAUAGUUAAUUUGAUCCCACCACAAGUCAUUGAGAAUUCUAUCUUUUACAAAUUGUGCUUUCCCCACAUCAUCCUCCCUAUAGCUAGCCCAUUUGUCACUAAUGACCAUAUUUUGGAGACCCCGUUUGAUUUGCUUGAAUCUUCCUAGCAUGACGAUUACCGAAGCGAAUCGAGUCUCGGCCACCGCAAGCAUUUUCAAGUUGACAAACUCAUUAAAUAUUGCCAACCUCAUGGAAUGAUUCAAGAUAAAAUUCUCGAUGCAUGCUACAUCCUCCGCUAUGAUAGUAAUUCAACUACAUUCAUCAAAAGUAAUUUCAUGGGCCUCGGAUUCUUAGCCUCACAAAUAUUUUUUAAUGCAAGGUUCAAUGUGUGCACAACACAAGGAGUCCAAAAUAUUGAAGGAAAUUGCGCUUCAAUCAACAUUCCCGCUGCUUUGCACACGGGAGCAUUAUCCGUUAUCACUUGAACCACAUUUUGGGAUCCAACCUCUUCAACAACUUUCGAAAUCAUGCUAGCAAUAAAAUAUUUAUCCUUAUAUUCCCCUUCGCAAUUAACCGCUUUUAGGAACAUCGGUCCACUCUGUUACGGCCAAAAAGUUGAUCAACGGUCUCCUUUGUGCAUCGGUCCAUCCAUCACAUACAAUGCUUAAACCUUUCUCCCUCCAAGUGCUUUUUAUAGGCUCAAAUAACCUCUCAAUAUUUGUUCUUUCUUGUUGAAGAAGACUAGUUCUCAACAUAUUAUAAUUAGGAGGUAUAUAACCUGAAAUAUUAUGACUGGCGGCAAAAGUAUAGGAGCUAAUAUAAUAAGGAUUUUUUGCAAGAUUAAAAGGAAAACCACCGGAAUAAAACAUUCUAGCAAUCUCACAAUGUAGCUGGUUUUGAGCCGCCACGUUGAAAGACUUCUCUAGAGCUGUUUCACGAGUUGAUGUUGCCAUUUUUUUUCUUAGCUCGAAAGAUUGCACCCCCAUACUCUUUAUACUUGUGUCAGAAGAUUUGGUAAUAGUUUUUGGCAAAGGAACUUGUUUAGGGAUAGAAUUCUUUAACCUUAAUUCUACCUCUUCAACAAGUCUUUUCAUCUCUGCAAUAUUAUCACUAGUAACCUUAGAACAACCUUUGAUUCCUUGUCCUGAAAUUCUCAACAAAUGGGCUUUGACCCUAUAAUACGAUCCAUUAUAAACUUGUUUGCAAAAAUUGCAUUCGAACCUCAUGUUUCCUCCACCAUCCCCUAACUUUUCCACCUUUUUUACAUACUUCCAUAAUGGAGUAUUAUCAUUAAUACUACUUGAACUACCACUAGCACUACCUCCUGUACCGCUACCGCUACCAUCAGUAGAAGCUUGACUCUCACUAUUCAUUUUCUAUAAUCCUAUGCAUGUCAAGAUAAAUAAAUACAUGUAAUUAAUAUAACAUUAUUGAUAACAAGUUAACAACAUAAAGCACAAACAGCGAAAUAUAAUUUCAAUAUAGAAAAAUAUAAUGCAAUUACAUAUGUGAUGUGAGAUCCUCUUUAAGAUUCAUUCCUAAAAUAAAAGAUUUAUUCCUAAAGAUUCGUUCCUAAAAUAUAAUGCAAUUAAACAUUCAUUCCUAAAAUAACUAAUCACUAAUCAGUAAUCAAUAAUCAUGCAAUCAUCUUUGGCCUAUUAAAUAGUAUAGCUAUAUAAGGUNUGUGAUGUGAGAUCCUCUUUAAGAUUCAUUCCUAAAAUAACUAAUGAUUCCUAAAAUAAAAGAUUUAUUCCUAAAGAUUCGUUCCUAAAAUAUAAUGCAAUUAAACAUUCAUUCCUAAAAUAACUAAUCACUAAUCAGUAAUCAAUAAUCAUGCAAUCAUCUUUUGCCUAUUAAAUAGUAUAGCUAUAUAAGGUUCUAGACUUCUAGUAUGUGAAAUAUAAAUCUUUAAGAUUUUAUCAAAGAAAAAUAUACUACCAUUUAAAAAGAUAGAGGAAAAAAAAAAUACUUUGUGUUAUUUUGUAUAAUCUUUGUAGGUUAGUAAGUUGUAACAUUAUUGGCCAAUUAAAAAAAAGAAAAGCAAAAGUUAAACUCUAAGAAACACCUAAGCCCAUGGUAUUUAAAAGAAAAAGAGAGAUUUAAAAGCCCAAUAGAGUUAAAUAUAAAAGAGAGAGAGAGAGAGAGAGAGAGAGAGAGAGAGUUGAAACUUGAAAGGUUGUGAAGUUGAACAGAGAGGGGAGGGAGGGGAGGCGGGAGGCGGGAGAGAACCUCAAGUUCCUGCCGGAGGGGGAAGAGAACGGGAGAGGGAGCGGAGGGGGGAGAGGAAGAUGCUGCCGCUCGCUGUGAAGAAGACCACCGCUGCUUGCUGCGAGGAAGACCACCGCUCCGCUUUCUCUCUCUCUCGGUAUUUCUCUUCUCUCUCUCUCUCUCAGUAUUUCUCUCUCCUCUCGCAACAAAAGAAAAAGCAGAAUAGGGCUUUAUUUGUUUCUUUUAGGGUUUUGGAUGUGGGAGUUUUUAAAUCCGACCCGUUUAGACCCAAUAAUAUGUCUCACGUAUCCCGCCCGUAUCCCGAAACGUGUCCAUCCGUAUCCCAAAACGUGUCCCGCCGUAUCCCAACUUAUCCGACCCCUAUCCGAUUUUUUUAAAUUUUUUAAAAAUUCCAGAUACUUCAAUCCCGUAUCCGAUACGUAUCGGGCGCAUAUCGGGCACGUAUCUGUAUCCAAUACGUAUCGGAUACGGGUACGGGUUAUGUUUUGGAGUAUCUAUGCAUCAUUGGUUUAAUAUUAUGUAAUACAAUUCCCUAGAAGUCUUCUCUGCACUCAUUAAAAUAUCAAAAACAAUUAGUUGCUAGAAAAGAGAAAUUUAAGGCAGUUGCCUUUUUCUCUUUUAAGUACAUGUUUCUUGGUUUGAGAAUUGGCAAAAAGUGGUAAUAUAUUGUUAUCUAAGACGGCCAAUUAAAUGCUUCGUUCAAAAAGAAAUAAAGCUUCAGUUAGUAGUUGUCCCCUGCCCUCAUUUGUGGUAUCCUGCCUUUUGAGCUUAUUUAGGGUUCAUUACUAGCUGUGAAAAUGUUAUGAAUUUUUUAAUAUAAUCAAAUAACUGAACAGAACUUCGAAUUUUUAGAGAAAAGAAGUUAACUGGAGCAGCACAAUCACAUGGCUGCCUCAUGUAAAUACCUACUAGGCAAGGUUUAAAUUGCCGUGGUACGGGGGCGUGCCGCUCUUUCCCUGGCACGGUACGGCACGGGCACGCUUCCGUGCCGACAUGUGGUACGCGUGCAUGCCGAUGGAUACGCAUGACCUCCUACUGACACGCUUUGAUACGGACUUAUUUAAGUUUUUUUGAUUCUAAUAAGUUUUUAUAAUGUUAUUUUGAAAGAUUUAGACAAAUAAUUAUUAAUAUUUGCUAUGUAUAGCUUACUAUACUCAUUAAUUAACAUGCAUGUAAUAUGUAUAUAUAUUAAUAUAUGUAUAUAUUAAUAUAAUUAAAAAUAAAUAAUAUUAAAUAAUAAGUGAUAUUCAAUAUUUUAUCUGUUAUUAUAGUGAAACCUCCAUUCAUAUGGCCCCCACCUCUCGAUGUGAAAAAUGCAGUAGAUGAAGGAUGGUUUGUUUGUUGUCUUGAACGUCUUGACGUGAAGGUGUCAAUCUUUGUUUGUCGUCUUCACUUGAUUAAAAGUUGGGUUAAGGUGAAGUUGGGUUUCAGAUAAAGGUGGGGUUCAGAUGAAUGCAACUUUGUUUGUACGGGGUUCACGUCGCAUUUAUAUCUACCCGUAUAUAGUUAUGUUUCUAUAAUGGGGAGCGUGAAAUCAUAUAUCUUUAUAUUAUUUUUACAGUUUUAUUUUAAAAUCUAUCUUAACAGUUUUUAUUUUAAAAUCUUAUUUUAAGGUAGUUAAUUUAAAUAUAAUAUCAUAAAAUUUAUAAAAAUAUAAUUAUAUUUUAUUUUUAACAAUAUCUUAGAUACCAUGUGGCUUACGUUGCAUUUAUAUCUACCCUGUGCACAGUUGUGUAUCUAUAAUGGGGUGCGUGAUCAUUAUUUAUUAUCUAUUAUCUAUCUGUCUAUUAUCUAUGAUCAUAUCCUAGGCGCGAAACGCUGCCCAUGUAUCAUAAAAUCAGUUAAUUAUAUAUAUAUGUAUUAAAAAUUUUUGAAUUUUAACUUUUUUGAAUGUUACUUUUUAUGUUUUACUUGAAUUUGUAGGAAAAUAUAUAAUAUUUUCGAUAAAAAAAUGAUUAUAAAAAUUGAAAGUCAGAAAUGUCUCAAUUUCAUAAGAUUAUUGAAAUGAAUUUUUAAGUUAGUUUAUAAGAUUUAUUUAUUCUCAAUAAGAUUUCGAUAAAAAUCAUCGAUAAAAUAUUUAUUUAAAAAUUCAAUUCUAAAUUUUAACCUUCUUGAUAAGAUUUAACGGUUUAUUUAUUCUAGCAGAAGUGAAAUGAUUUUAAAUAACCUUUUUCUAUAAUGAUAAACGUGUACUACAUAUAAUUGUGUGGUAUAUGGCGCUAAAUAUAAUCUCUUGAUUAAAGAUUAUAGUUUUACAUUAAUUUAUAUAGAUUCGAUACUUGAGAUUAUUAAAUUUAUAUAAACGACUUAAUUUAAAAUUUAGUGAUAAUCUCUAAAUUUCGUAUACAACAUACAUUAAUAUAUGUAAGUUACAUCUCUUAUGAAUUGAUACCUAGUACGAGAAACUUUUCGAGGAAAAGUAUCAAGAUUCUUUUUCUACUCUUUAAAACGAACAUGGACUAUAUAUGAUUAUAAAGUAUAUAGCAUUCAUAUAAUCUACUAACUAUUUUAUGGAUUAUCAAUCAUAAUAUUUUAUUUUAUAUUAUAUCACAUUAUAUUAUAUUUUAUACUUUAUAAAAUUAUUAAAUAAAAUAAUAUCUUUAAAUGAAAAAUAAGUAUAAAAUAUAGGCCAGAUGUCGCGUUAACCGCGUGCAACUUUUAAAGAUAACUUAUAUACCGUACAAAAAUAACCGAUUCCCGAUGUUACCUCUGCACCGAGGAGGCCCUCGGUGUAAAUACUACACUGGCUUAACAGCUAAGAUAUAAGAUAUAUCUAUCUACGAAUGACAAAGUAAAUAAUCGAUUAAAUAACUAACAACUAACUAAAGGAAAAAAAGCCCGUUACGUACGAAAACGAAAUGUCAGGGACAAGAGAAUUAUGAGUUGAAUCUCGGCGUUAGUAUUGAUUACGCUAAAAUAAUUAUUUCUAGUCAGGUUAUGUAGGUGAGAUAUGGAGUAAUACAACACGAUCUUGUCAUACUAACAAUUCAACAGAUUUAACCACUUGAGAAAACACUUGAGAAAACUUAGCGUAUACAUUACGUGUUUGAACUCUUUUUAACAUAAAUCUCAUCAUUGACAUACGAAAACAACCCUAAAGAACUUUGUUAAACGUAAAAUAUAUUUCCUAUAUGAGAAUUUGUAACAUUUAAACCCAUAUUUUCUAUCCGCUACAACUCUUAACUCAGUUAAAACGUCGUUUAAACUCUAGUUUCUCCCCAAAACUCCCUAAAGAUCCUCCCUAAAAGUAUUAUGUAACUAGUGAAAACCGUUUGGUUGGGAUUAUACGUGACCAACUGUAUAAGUUCAAGUCUGUAAUUCGUGGUUCUCGAAGUUAAUUCGACCAUUAUCGAAAGGAGGGUCUUAGAAGUUCGUGUUUAAAACGUGAAUUUUACGAUUAAACGAAGAAACACGUAUACAAAAUAUAUAAACGAGGUCAAUGUUCUUCGUUAACUCAGUAAAACCCGGCCAAACCCCUGAGUUGCCGUUCUUAAACCUGUUAAGGUCUACCAGGAGCACCAAGAUUAUACUUUCGUAAAGGGGGUUGACGAGUACAAGACUUUGUAAAAUUUCCCGCUUGAUUACUCUUUUCGUUCCUACAGUGGUAUGAACUAAUCUUACAUUAGAGAGAGAGAGAGAGAGAGAGAGAGAGAGAGAGAGAGAGAGAGAGAGAGAGAGAGAGACACUUAAGGAAAAGAGAACUUUAUUGUUUACACGAAGAUAUAAUAAAAAAAAUAAGUGUUCAAACAUAAAACGUUUACCUAAGAGAAAGAAAAGAACAACAUGACAUACCUUGGAAAAUAACUUCGUAGUUUAGUUUGGUGUAACUCGGUCAAGUUGGUUGAAUGAUUUAGUUUUAGUUAAGCCUUAGUUCUCCUGUUGGGUUGGUGUGGUUUGCUAGGUUGGUGUGGUUUGUGUUGAACUAUCAAAAUCUUAAACAUUUAAGCAAAGGAUAAGAAUUCUAACAUACCAACAUUGGAGGAGGUGUUAUAUCCUCAUUGGAGGAAGUGUUAUUCUCACUCUUCAUGAGGAAAUCAACAUAUUUGAAGAGUUAUCCUGUAAUUACUUCACACACCAGAUGAUUAAAGGAAUACCAUAAUCUCUGUGCGAUUCCUUGGUUUCUAAAAUUUUUUUACCGUAGCAAUAGAUUGAGCUUUAAAGGGAAAGAGAGGUGGUAAUUACACCGUUUAAAGCAGUGUAACUUCGAGUUACUGUUGUUGAUAGACGAGACCCUUUGUGUUCAUAACAGUGACUAACUCUCAAUCCUGAAAGAACCAAAGGAGUACCCCCUCUGAUAGCGUGAUGGAUUCUGCAGCUGCGAAGUAGGCGGGCAUUUUUGGACGGUUUGGGUGUUUGGUACCGUCGCUGGGCUCGACCUCUGGUUGUGAGUAUUCCCUCCCUGUGGUCGGAUUAGGUGCGGAAUUUUCUCUCCAGUACCGACCGCCGGAGUACUAUGCCCCGGGUCAGCAUUGUUGCCUAUGCUGUGAACAGCUCCCCAUACUUAAGAGCUGCCCACUGUAGAAGUCGUCCCUGGGUAAGACCCUCUUUCUACUGUUGCAGGGCGAGGACCAUCUCACGCUGUACUUUUAGGCAACCCAUGGGAUGUUUUACGGAUCGAUCUGGUAGCCGCUAGCAACGAACGCCCAUCACAGGUUCGAGCCGUCCUCCCUCUUGUAGUCGAUCGUGUCGCAAGGCGGAGAGGAGCGACACAAACUUCAUAAGGAGUCUCUUUCCUUGUUUUUGUCCUUUCCACCAGGAGGAGGGAGCCUAUCGAGAUGGAGACAUGCACAAGGAGGGAGACUUGUAAAAGAGAUGUGAAGGAACUCCAGACGAGAAUGAAAAUGGGGACGUGUCGGUUCUUCCCACCGGUUUAAACUUCGUCGCCUUUGUGGAUUCUCCAAGUGCUGUUCUUCUGUGAGCUACCAGCGCCCGGUUUGUAGAUUUUGUGGAAGGGAAAUUUCUUCUUUUGAAGAGUAGAGACCUUGGGAGGGAGGAGGGACGACUCUCGAACGUUCAAACUACUAGGUAAACACUCUCCCUCCAACCAACGAAUUCUUCCCGGACGUCUAUCCAAAAAUGUGGUGGAGGAUGGGAGACUCGAACCAGUUUCUGGAGCCCAAAGGUGUGACGGAAGGGCGGUCUAGGUAGUAGGUCCUAUGGGAACAGGCUCUAUCCCUGUCCCGCAGGGUGGAGCUCCGCACUACACCUGGGCUGUAUUACUCGUUCUUAGAAUGGAGGGUCACGGGGUCGUGGUGAGCGGAGGGACAUCCUGGCUCUAGCAUACCGCUGGAAAAGUGUGAAAGGGAGAUGUACUUGUUAUGGUAGUCUCAGGAAGUUGCAUCGGAACUCGGUUUCCUUGGAUCGGAGGUGGAGACCAAGCUUUCCACAGUGGAGAACACUCGCGUUCGUGGAGACUCGACCGCUCCUCCCCCCGAGGAAAUGUGCGGUCCAUCAAUCGAAUCAGACGCGUGAGGGCAGGUCUGGGGUAGAAGCCGCCAGCGGGAGUGAGGGCAGGAAGGCCGUAGGGGAGUAGGUUAAGGGGCUUUGGAACGGACGUAGGCAGAACGAGGGAGAGGCAAGCGGAAACGGUAGCUAGCUAUAAUUACAACUACCUGAGUAUUCAAUUCUUUGCCUCAAUUGUACUAUCAAAUAAUGGGUUCCGUAUAAUACCCAAUGUAUAAUCGUUGUUGUUUGUCGUUUAUUUUUUAUCUUCUUUUCCUGGUGAGGUGGGGAAAUUAAUUAAAGGAGGAAUGAGCACUUCGUUACUUCAACAACCGAAGUUGGAAUCGAAAUUGCUGCAGUCUCCGAACCUGCCGUUGGUGGAGCCUGCGCCAUUAUCGCUACGGCAGGCACCUCUACCGCCUGGGCCGUCGAACCCGCAACGGAUACUUGUCCAUGUCGCUGUCGACGCCGCCGCAACCCCACUGCAGCUGCCCAUACCGUCACCGCCACCGAACCCACCGCAACCGCUGCACCCGCAGCCUGUGCUGUCGCCUGUCACGGACAGUGUUGGGCGCUGGUGAGCGGAUAAACCGGCCUAGCACCUCGGCGGCUGUCUGGUGGCUUGCCUGUCUCAGAGGUGACAUGCAGGUUCCGCAGCGUUAGUUAUGUUAUGCUCUCCAAGGUUGGUCUUUGUCAUAAAUGAGUAUCUAACGUAUUCCUUCAUAGUAUUUGUAUUUUGAUGAUUCAAUAAUGUUGUAAGUUGAAUCUAUGUAAAAUGUUGUGUAAAUGUAAAAUGUGAAAUAUAAGUUGAAGGUUUAUGUUAGUGUUAAAAAUGUUAAAUAAUGUUCAAACAUGAAACAGAAAUUUGGGGGGUUCGAUCUGGUGGUUGAGCCCAUGAUGAUGGAGUCCAGAGACCCUAUCCCCCGAUAGAUGCCUCGAUGCGGGAAUGGAGCGCGGCGACGCGGCGAGUGCACACAUGGACAUUAUGGGGUUUUGUUGCACCCCACUCUUGGUUGAAGUACCAAGGGUCACCCAUACCGGUGGGUUCGCUUUUCGAGCUGGUUAUCCAGGUUACUCCGUGACGUUGUUCAAUCAGGUUAUUAUAUGUUUUCUAUAAAUACGAAAAUGAGCUAUAACUUGAUGUACAGUACGGAGCGCUAUAUAUUAUACUUUACAUACGUUGAUACGUUCAUUUCAUCUACUAAAAUGAAAGAUAGUAAAUGUAAGAAAUAUGAUCGGUAAGAAAUGAUGAACAUUAAGAGAGAAAUAAGAAUCGAUAAGAAAUAAGAAUCAAGGUUAAAUAAGUAGCCGGUAAGAAAAGAUUCCAAUGAGAAUAGAAUCAAGAGAUACGGUGGGCUGAGCCAGAACUCAGUUAGUUUACGCCUAUUAUGCGCGAGACGGGCCGAGCUCCACUUCCUUGAGAGUGUACGUGGAGUCGGUUGGUGUCGAGUGGCGCGAAUCACUGGAUCGGCAGACCGCCGCUUGCGUAGCGUGGAGUGGGUUGUUGUCGGAUCCAAUACUGAAUCGGUGGGCCGCCGCUUUAGCAGCGUGUGCGGUGCAGCUACCAAGUCAGGUGACCGUCAUAUUAGGAGUUUGACCGAUUGGUAGGCCGCCGCUUUAGCAGCGUGUGCGGUGCAGUUACCAAGAAAUCGGGGUCCGCCACUUUAGCAGCGUGUACGGGUUGUGGUGAGAGCCACAAGGUAUUCGAGAUCCUAAGGCUUUAGGUAAAGUGUAUUGAGUUCCCAACCAGAUUUGGGAUAUCACAGCUGGAUAGAUCUAGGUUACAGGAAAGGUAGGAUCCAUAUGAACUGAGAUCCAAGUUAAAGAAAUAGUGUGUUGGAUCCAAGUGAACUGAGAUCCAAAUCAAGAGUUGGAUACAAGAAAAAUUGGGAUCCAAGUAAAGGUGAGAACAGGUUGGAUACAAAUGAUUGUGAUCCAAUGUACGGUGUGAACAAGUUGGAUACAAAUGAUUGUGAUCCAAUGUACGGUGAACUACAGGUUGGAUACAAUAAAACGUGAUCCAAGUAUACAGGAAGUACAGACUGGAUCCAAAUGAUUGUGAUCCAAGUAUAGUAAGUACAAGUUGGAUACAAGUUCUGCGAUCCAAAUUACGGUGAGCCAGAUCACAUAUAUCUAACAGGUAUACGUGUAAAGGUAAUUGUAUUUGGAGAUAUACAAUCGAACGUAGUAGAUUGUAAUUGUAAUACAGUGAAGUACAUGUUAGAGAAUCGUAGAAUGAAAUCUAUUAAUUGUACGAAUAGGUUUGAUCGUAAGAAAUGUUGAAUGGUAAUAUGUAAUGUUGAUCGUACAAGAGAUGAAAUACAAUUGUACGUUUACAGUAAAUAGAGUACGAAAAUUGAUCGUAGUAAGUAUGUACAUAAAAUCGUAAAGAUAUGAUGUAGUAUACGUUAGAUGAAUCGUAAAACGUAGUAUAACAGGUGUACGUAAUCGAUACAGUAAAAUAAUUAUACGUAGUUAUACUUAAGCAUACAAAGAAUCUGUAUUUCCCGCUGGAUCAGCGAAGCCAUUCGUGUUGGGCGGAAUUUAACGAGAGGCUAAUGAACAUCAGUGAAUGUUAGCCGGAGGGCGCCGUGGGCACUGGGCCAAGCCGGGCUUGAGAGCGUGCUGGUGGGCUUGCCGGUGGUUAGGCGCUAAACUUUUAAGACCUCAAAUAGGGAGCUGUGGUGCUACGAAGCCUAGGCUAGAGUACUAAAAAUCUGCAAAUAAGGCGCACGACGCCGAUAGACAUGCUUUGUUACAAUAAAGCAGUUAUUGAAGCGCAUAUGAGCAGCCUAACAACUUGGCUCGCAAGGUAGCGCAAACAAACCAGGGGUUAAUCCAAAGAUGUUCCGGUUAAACGGGAUCUUUGUAGGUCUCCGUUUUCGAGAUUUAAAACCACAGGAUUGUUACAGUAUUAGUUUAAAGAACCCUAACUAGAACAUUGAUUCGUAUUAGUUCGAAUCUUGGUGGGUUCUUCGAGAUAUUAGAGUAAAGAUUUGGUAAACUUGGUAAGAAUCCCAAAGAUGAACCUUGGGAUUGUAAGAUGGUAAUCUCGUGUACUUCGAGUGUACCCAAAAGUACCACAAGUACCGGGUUGUUACGAAGAUUCGAACGUUCUUUCAGGUUUUGUGAUCUAGAAACCUAUUUUAGAUUUGGGAUCUACUUUAGAACGUUCUUGAGUGGAGUUCAGGGUUCGAGAUGGUUCAAGAGAAACAUCCUCUCGAGGUUCUAGAGGGGUUUCGAGGUUUUACAGGAGAUUAUUAGAAAAAGAGGAAGAGGAACUCGAACUACCUCUCGAAAAUCUCUCUCUCUCUCUUCUUUACCCUCUUCUCUCCUCCUCUCCCCGACGACACUCUCCUUCCUCCCAAACCCAAAUAAUUAUCACACGUUGUUAACGUUGAUUCGGGAGGUUUAUUAGUAUAAACGUUAUCUGGUUAAAACACGACAAGAUGAUGUCGCAUGGCCAUCUGCCCGACCACAGUGGCCAAUGUGCUAGCGCGUUAUCGGUUUGGGCUCUCGGAAGAAGAUCCUAAAAUGUGACGCAUGGCCAUGUGUGAUCCCCACAGUGGCCAUGUGCCGGUAAAAAGUCCUGAAUGGGUUAAAAAGUUGAAAAAAAAAAAAAAAAAAAAAAAAAAAAAAAAAAAAACGAAAAACCGGAAAAGAAAAAGAAAAAAGAAAACAAGAGACCCCAUGGUUCGGGUAUAACGAAAAAUAAAUAGUUAUAGCUGAGCUCGGGAGACGAAGGUGGUGUCUGUAGAUAUAAAAAAGAAGUGUUUAAUAAAACAGUUUUAAACAGCGUGGCGCUUCGAAAGCCACUUAGUCCCCUUGUUUUUAGCUAGAGGAUUUGUUUAAAACUAGUAUAUAAAAAAUUUUCUUAUUUUUCUUUAUUUUAUACUUACAUUAACGACAGGAUAAUAAAAUGAACGCUUAAAAUAAUAACGUAAAAUUAAAAAUAAGAUGUAGUCCAUAUCAACAUGAAAUAUAUGUUUUACCNNNNNNNNNCCCCCCCCACUGUACUGUGCCCCCUUCUUGGGGGCAUGGUACGGCACGGGGCGACACUUAAUUCCUUGCUACUAGGUAAAUGGAUAAAGAUUCUAGGAUUGCGUCCGUAUAAAUUAUACACCAUAAAUUAAAUUGGUACAUAAAUAUGCAUUAGAUAGAUGGAUAUAUAUUUCCUUCAUGUAAUUUGUGAAGCCGGCUCACCUUAUGUUUAAUGGUUCUUUUUAGGCUAAAAUGCAGAGACCGCCUUGAAUGUAUCCGUUUUUUCACUUUUCCUUCCUGACUUUCAAAAACCUACAUUUUGCCCCUUAUAAUUUCAUAAAUGUUUUCAGGAGGGCAUGGCGUUAAUGGAGAGGGCAAAAUGAUCAAAUUGCCUUCUUCUAUAAGGAUUUUUUAAUAUACUUCUGUAAUUUUAAAGGGCAUUUUCGGUAUAAAUUAUAAGAAAUUGAUGGAAUAGUUAUGGAACCUUGAUGGAGGGGGACUAAAUGCAACAACUUGAAAUAUUGAGGGGGUAAAAUAUAGGUUUUUGAAAGUUAGCGAGAGAAAGUGAAAAAAUAGAUAUUUAUAAAGGGCUCUUUUGUAAUUUAACCUUGUUUUUAUUAUAAAGUGGCAAAAGAUGACAAUAAACAGUUUGAAGAUGAGAAUUUGGAAUGCUUGUAUCUAGUUCGCGUCUAGUAAACUCCUCAAGUGGCCUGAGGUGUUUAAUUAUCCAGCAUGGCCAAGAACUCAAACUUUAGAGUGCUACAUUUGCACUUAAACUUGAAUUCUGCCUGUUGAGAACAAAGACACAAGAUCUUAUGUUGGCACAACAAUAACUCUUGUAGAUCUUGAAGAGCUUUUUUUUAUCCGUUCUAGCAAGUUGGUAACUCUAGCAUCACUUAUUCUGUUGGCGACACAGAUUUUAGAUAUUUCAGUUGCGUAUCCUAAUACAGUAAAUGCUUUUCUCUUGUAUCUCUGAUAUAUUUGUGCUUCAAUGUAAAUUAAGUUAAAAAUUACAUAAAUUAACAUGCUUUGUAACUCUAGUUCUUCACCAAUUCUUACAAAUACUAUAGAAACUCUCAAUGGAUUCAGUUGGUACAAUCCUUCAGGAACUUCAUAUUUGGACAAUUCAACUCCUUUUUUCCACUUAAUUGCUGUAACAGUUCAUCCUAGGGUUGUUGUAAAAUUUUCACUCAUUAAUAACGGCAUAUUUUCCUAAUAAAAUCUGUCUGGCAACAAUUUCGGCUAAUUUCUUUCUCACUAUGAGUUUGUUCUACAACUUAAAUUGUUUAUUUGGUUUCUGCAAUUUAAAGUCGUUGAAAUUAUGGGAUUUAGCAAGUCCGGCUGUUACCGACCAUUUGGAAAUCCAGAAAGGAGAUGCCAAACUCAACUAAGAAUAGAUAUCUGAGGUAGAUAAAUGGAAAAUUGCAAGUAAUUUUGUACCUAAGGUUUUACGUUAUUACCAUAUUGAUGCUUGUACUCGGCCACUAUAUGAGGAUUUUGAGAUGAGCUAAAGGACGAGAACCAAUAAGGUAUAAAUUCACAAAUUUAGGUAGUAAAUACAUACUUUAGAUCAUCUGUCAAGCAUUUAUUUUUUAACUAAGUUGGCAUCUCCAUAUAUCUUCACAUCACUUGGCUGCUGGACUUUGAUUGACACGCUUAUUACAUGAUAAACCUGCAUCUGCAAUAUCGUAUAGUAUAGCUGUAUAGGUGACUAAGUUGUUACUCAAUAUCAUACAAACUUGAAGUAUUAAAAUUUUAUUUUAUGCUUACCAAAAUAUAUGCUCAGAGCAGUUUCUUGUCCUUUUUGUUUAUUGGGAGGAAGCAAGUAAAUACGAUUUGUGUUUAGUCGCUUCCUUGUUCCAUUUCUUCUGUAGCUCUAUGGGGAAGGAUACAAUUUUACUAUCAUUCAGCAGUGCUUCUGUCUCUCCAGUUGAAGUUAGUGGAGAAACUCAUAUUCUCGAGUGUUUGUUUGAGGACUUAAUCCCAGGGAUAGUGAUAUACAUUCUAAAUGAGAAGUUUAGUUCAAGAUGGUUGACUAACCAUGUUUGGCUGAGAAUCCUAAUAAAUAGUUGGAAAAUGGAUAUGCCGUGAGGAUGCUGCAACUUCGGAAUCGCUGUCUCCAAAAUAUACUGGUUCCUGAUCGAAUUCCAAGUGGACAUGGAUGAUAUUGUUGACAUUGUAUUCGGGAGGAUAGCAGGACUAUCUUCUACUAUCCCCCACUCUAUCCUCUGAAAAAGUACUUAUCCUUUCGUUUGUUUUCUCGACAAUUGCUAGGGGGUUCUGUUGUCGCUUCUUGAGACUCUGUCCUUUGUUUUGCUGAAAUUCAAUCGCGGUACGAGUUAUGAAUCUCUUUGAUAUAUUUUUUGUUUUACUUAAAAGCAAAUCUUUAAGGGUGGUUUUGUUCUGUAGCUCUGAUGCUUAAUUUUACUUCCGGAGAGAAUUUGAAUACCCCUGCAUCAAAAUGGAAGUGGUUAAGUAAGAUGCCCAAAAUUCUGGUAGUACAUGAAUCAUGUAUCUGAUUCAGCAUUCUGGUAUAAAUUACCCUGUCUGUUAAGUUUCCAUUAAAUUGGACAAAAAUGUCUGAUUGCCACUUACAUGAUAGUAACCGCCAUCUAACCCUCGAUGGCUUUUCUCUUUCCAUGAAUUCAUAGUCUGGGAUGUGUUGUUUGUGGCAUCAUUUUGGUCAAAAUUAGCACUUUUCAAACUAAUCUUACCUUCUUUUGCAAUUGUUUUCUUCAGCCCUCUGUGAAUGGUGAAUAUCCAAUCAGUCUCUUUUGAAGGAUGCACCUCACUGCUCUAAUUCAACAUGUUUGGAUCUUUUUUGCCAUUUUCUUUUCCCCUUUCAUUUUGUCCUCAUAGAAGCUGCAUAAUGAUUAUUUCACCCGCACAUCCUCUUCUUUAAAUCUCCCGUUCUAGAUAGGCAAUAAAAAAAAUUUAAAUAAAACUCUCAAUGAAAUGUUAGUUAGUUUUAACGUUUUGGUUAAUCCAAGUUUUUUCAAAAAAAUGUCAGAAUUAAUUUGGGUGAAGAUUGGUCUGCUUGUGCUUUUACCUGACAGGACUGAAUGGCUAGAUUUAUAUUCCGAGAGAUAUUUCUUAUUUUUGGUCUACUAAGGAUGAUUAAACCAAAAGAAAAAAAAAUAAAAAUAAGAAGAACUUGUUAGUGAAUGCCUUAUUCUGCUGUCUCUUGAGAAUGUUGACUUUGGAUCUACGAUGAGAUCGUUUGCUCUCAGACAAAAGUGUUAUUUGAAUAAAACUAUUUAGAGACAAUUAGAUGAAGAAGACAACGGGCAGUGGUUAGGGCUGGCAAAUGAGCGGGCAAGCUCGUGUUCGGCUUGUGUUCCAUUCGGUAUUUGGCUCGCUCGAGCUCGACACGAAAUUAAAUGAGCCGAGCUUGAACAGGCAAAAAAAAUCGAAAUUUAUUUCAAAUCGAGCUUGAGUAUUGCCGAGCUCGAAAAGCUUGAAUAUAUAUUAUUAAAUGUAACUAAAAUAUCUAUUAAUAUAUAAUUAUAUAUAUUUAUAAAUAUCUUAAUAUAUAUAUAUGUAUAUUAAAAAAUUUUAUAAAUAUAUAAUUUUAUAUAAUUGUAUUUUAAUUAUAUAUAAGAAUAAUAGUAUGUACUAUGUAUUUUAAUUAUAUUUAUAUAUAGAGUUUAGGGUAUUGUACUAUAUUUACUAGUCUAUAAGACCAAAUCAGUAAAACUGUACUCUAAUUAUUGUCCGUUUUUUUCACUUUUUCGUAGAGUUGCUUCCUCUAAAUCAAUUUAUAAAUCAAUUCUUUUAAUAUUAUAAUGCUGUAUUUUAUGCAUUUAUUUUGCAUGUUGAACUAUUAGACAUAUUUUUAUAUCAAAUUCUAGAUAAUAUUUAUAAAAAUUAAACUAUAAAUUGUAUGAUGUUAAGAAAUUCAAGCGGCUCGUUUAUGGCUCGAGCUCGGUCGACUCAAAGUCAACUCAAGCAAGCUCGAGCUCGACUCUAAUUUAUUUCAAGCCGAGCUUGAGCUUAAAUUUAGGCUUGAAAAUAAUUUCAAGAUACACUUGAGCUGGAAUAAGCUCGCUCGAGCUCGGCUCAUUCCUACCCCUAGCGGCGGUUCUUGUGCUUUUACAGCUUGGAAGCUCGUCUGAGUUACCUAUUCUGGAUAGACACUUUUAUCUAUAAUUUCUAACUGCAAGAAGCAAAAUUUAAAUUUUGAGCCUCAAAUCGAAGCUUUGGCCUCAAAUCGAAGCUCGUCUGUGUUUGUUUUUAAGUUUUAAUAGAAUUUUGUAUAUCAGAAAAUACAGGAAUGGAUCGUGAAUUGAUUGUGUUAUUUCAUUCAAACUAUUUAUUUAGCAAAAGAAAAAUAAAAAUUUGAGAGCAAUUAUUUUUGCUUCGAAUUUUUUUCAAAAUAAGUCAUCAUCUAUUACUUAGCCAGAUGUAUUAUAAACUAGCCAACAAAAAAAGAUCUUUCCUCCAACACAUCAAGUUAUAUGAAAUUUGCAUUUUUAAAAAAAUAAAAAACAAACAAGGUACCUUAACUUGAUAUUUUUUGAUUUUGUUAUAUAGAGAAAAAUUAUUGAGGAACAUAUACUUAUUUCUCCUAAUGUGAGAUCCAAAUAAUCCUAUAUAUGAGAUAUAAUAAGAUUAAAAUUCUUAACCCGACUAUAAUAUUUUUGGCGGUUGUUAGGUCAAAGAGAUUAAAAGAGUUAAACGUCGGAAUAGUCUUAGGAUGGAUGACUAUCUGAAAAGUAGGACGUCAUACCUAAUAACACUACUGAAAGACAAGACUAAUUUGAUAAUUUAAUUUGAAAGCAUUAGUGAGAUUAAGAAUACCAAAAGAGGCCUUAAUUUGAUAUUUCUUGAUUUCUUGAUUUUGUUAUAGAGAGAAAUUAUUGAGAAACUUAUAAAUACAAUAUUUCUCCCAACAACGCUACUCGCUACUAAAAGACAUGAUUAAUUUGAUGGUUUUAUUUGAAAGCACUAAUGAGAUAAAGGUUAUCGGAGUUUCACCUAUUCAUCCUCUGUUAUGGAAGGUUUAUAUAUAGGAUUUUGCUCAUUGAAGUUUGUUAUUUUCCUUCUCAGUGCUAACAAGAUAAAAGAAGCGGUUUUCCAACUGGGUGGUGAUAAAGCUCCGGGCCCUGAAGGGUUCCCAUUAUGAUUUUACCAAACUUUCUGGGAGACCAACAAGGGCGAUUUACUCAACUUGUUUCAGGAGUUGUACGAGGGAAGGCUGUCCACCGCUCCCUUCGACUACUCCUUUAUAUGUCUGAUCCCCAAGAAGGAAGGGGCGGAGAGAGCAAAUGACUUCGGACCUAUCAUCCUCAUUAACAGUACCCAAAAGAUCAUCUCGAAGGUCCUAGCAAAUCGUAUUGCAGCAGUGACAAACGAGCUAGUUUUACCCUCACAAUCAACAUUAUUGAAAGGGAGGAACAUCACCGACGCGUAUGUCACCGUGUCAGAAAUAAUUGGCUGGGGUAGUAAGAAGGCCACCGAGGGGGUCGGCAUUAAAGUGGACUUCGAAAAGGCUUAUGAUAAGAUCCACUGGCCCUUUCUUUUUAGUAUUCUCCAAUGGUGGGGAUUCGACGCGAAAUGGUGUGACUGGAUCGAACAAUGUGUAUGCAACGCUAAAGUAGCUAUAUUGGUCAACGGAGAAGCGACCAAUUGGAUUAAAACUAAGAGAGGAGUGCGACAAAGGGACCCGCUAUCACCAUUCCUGUUCUUGUUGGUGGCGGAGUGUCUCGCUAGAUUAACUAGCGAUGCCAUUUCUAACAAUCUAUUCAAGGGUAUUGGUCCAUCUGACGAGAGUACAACGACUCUCACACAGUUCGUGGAUGAUACUUUCUUCUUUUCUAUGGCUAGAAAAAGAUAUAUGAGAAAUCUCAGACUAAUGUGGCACCUUUUCGAGUGGGCUUCUGGUUUGAAAAUCAACAGAGAGAAGACUGAGCUCUAUUAUCUCGGACGGGUUGAGGGCGAAGUGGCAAGACUAGCGAAUGUGCUUGACUGCAAAGUUGGCACCUUCCCCACCACCUACCUAGGGUUCCCCCUUUCCCCAACACCCCCCACAAAGGAUGCUUAGAGAGGGGUAAUUCUGAAACUACAACAUAGAAUCGAUGGAUGGCAAGCCAAACUCCUUUCAAGAGGGGGCUGACUUAUUCUUGUCAACGCCGUGCUUUCCAAACCACCUCUUUUCUUUCUAUCGGUAUUCAAGACACCCAGUUGGGUAAUCAAGCGUAUCGAAGCCUUGCGUAGAGAUUUCUUUUGGAGUGGAGAAAGCAACUUCUCAGGCAAGGGGUGCCUAGUGGCAUGGAAGAACGUCUGCUUGAGCAAAAUGGCAGGCGGGUUAGGCAUUCUGGACAUUGUUAUUAUGAAUCGUGCACUCCUGGCCAAAUGGUGGUGGAGAUUUCACACAGCAUCUCACCUGCAGUGGAUCAAGAUUAUCCGUGCAUUAUUUUAUCAAAGAAGAAGACCGCUGCGGGAGGGAAAAUGCUUCAGGCCUUCCUCACACUGGUGGAAAGGAGUUUUAACCACCAACGAUAUCUUCAAAUGGGGAAUCAAACACAAGCUAGGCAAUGGGAGCUAUAUUGACUUUUGGUCGGACAGAUGGUGUGGGGAUACCACACUCCAAACAUCCUUCCCGGAGGUUUACGCGUUGCCCGAUUGCAAACCAAUUCUGGUUAGGGAUUGCUUUGAAAGUGAGGACUAGAAUUGGAUUAGGAUCCUGGGCGAUGAGUCGUCCUUUCCGCCUAGUCUGAGUCCCAACCUGUCGGCGCUCAAAGAUAGGGUCAGCAGUUUUAGAGUAGGACACAGGUCGAACAAGAUAAGGUGGAGAUGGUGUAGCAACGGUAUUUUUUCUGCCAAUUCUGCUUAUAGGACGGGCUAACAUGAUCUGGAGGCUCCAAAUACCACUUAAGGUCGAAGUGUUCUGCUGGCUAGUCCUUAAGAAAAGACCUCUUACAGCUGAUAACCUCAUAAAGAGAGGAUGGACCGGAGAUACGGCCUGUGUGAUGUGCAGGGCUUACGACGAGUUUGUGGACCAUCUGUUUACUCAAUCAAGUAUAUCGUGGUGAUGGGCCUCGAGGACGUUCAGGCGGGAGAGUUGGGUGAUGAUGUACAGGUAGUUUGGGAUAGGAGGACGGGGAGGAAUGGUGCGCAUAAUAGAAGGAAUGGACUUUCUGAAUUAGCCGCCUGCUGGUGGACCAUUUGGAAGGCCAGGAACAACCUUAUCUUUCCUAACAUACAGCUAGACCCUGUAUUAGCUGUUCAAAGGCUCAAGCUGUUGAUUUCUUCUUGGAAAGAUCGUUCUUUUCUUGAGGCCUUGGUUGCCUCACCUUUGUAGCCUAAUUUAUCCAUUUAAUGAAUGAAGCAAGUAGCGUACUACCUAUUCUCUCAAAAAACAAAUAUAUUAACACAAAUUAGAAUUUUCACAAAUGGUGAAUCAGUGCCUUCAAUCUCCUACUUUGCUGCUUGAUUUAAGUUGUGCGCUUUUUCACUUUUUAAGAUAGAAACAAGCUCACUGCACUUGCUCUAACGAAUUACAUUGUCAAUGAGCAAUAAAAUAAAUAUUCUGAAUUACAUCGUCAGUAGGCAGCAAAAGAAAUAUUCCGAAUUACAUCGUCGAUAAGCAGUAAGAGAAAAUAUUCUGCCAAUGCUACAACAGGCAAAUAUGACUUUUUAUUUACAAAUGGUAGCCUAGUGUCUAGUAAUGCAUUUUGCUACUUGCUUUUUCGAUGACAAUUACCACUGCAAAUUUAUAGUUUAAACGGAAAAAAAAAAAUGAAAUCAUUUUUUAGACUUCUUAAACCUUUUAUAUAAAAUUGGAUACUUUUGAAAAUGUAUUACCGAACCUAACCUAGGUCAUGGUAACUCAAAACACUUCUUUAAACACUUAUAUAAAUACAAAGUUUGAUUACCACGAAUACAAUAUAAAGUAAAUAUGACUUUUACAGCAAUACACGAAGCUGCAGUGUUAUCUUGACAUGACAUUCGAUUGUUUGAUUUUUAUGCCGUAUUUGCCAUUUUUGACUUAUCUUCAAUGAAAUUUAUGAGGCCAAAUAAAUCCAAACAAGUUUGGAAAACUCUGAUCAACAAAGACAAAAUAAAGUGAAUUUAGAUUCACCAUGAACUAAUAUGAUUAAACACUCAAAGAGUAAACGAGGGGGAAAUAAAAAAAAUAAGAAGAGUAUACAUUGUCAGAGUGACAUAACCGAACUCUUUUUUUUUCCUACAUUGGCUAAGACUAAUUAAUAUUGUGGUUUCCACAUUUCCAUUCUAAAAUAUUAAAAAAUUUAAAACCUAUGAAACUUACCGGACAAAUGGGUUAAUCUUGAAUUGUCCGUCCAACUUUUCAAAAUUUUAAUUUUUCUAUAUAAUUAUUUAAUUUGUUUAAUUUGAAUUAAUCAGCAACACUUUAAUUUCAAAAUUUAAGUGCUUCAUUUAUCUUUACAAAUUUAGCUAGUAUAUUUUAUGCAAUUCUCACAACUUCAAAUUUAUUAAAAUAAAUAAUUAACUUAAAUAAGAAGUUGACACUGUUGUUACUGACUCAAACAAAAUAAAAUAAAAAAAUGGAUAGUAAAAUCAAAUUUUGGAUUAAUUCAGAUAAAUUUUGCAUAGUUUUUGCCUAUUAAAAACAACAUUUACCAAAUGGAACAUUGAUCAAUCAAAGGGAGUAGGCAAGAUAAAGUAAAUAUACAUGUAACCAAAAGAAGUAUUUGUUAACAGGGUUGAUAUACCGAUCUCAAAUAAUUCAUGGUGGCCAAGCGAAAAUCACAAAAUAUUCACAAGAGGAUUUUAGCCCUAUUUCAUCUCCCUCCUAUAUUUAACGAAAAAAAGGAGGAACUUCAUAAAGAUUAAAAAAUAUACUCUGAGAGUGUUGUUUAAAGAUUUUUCUCCCUCAUCUGCUGCGAAAUUUAACUCUCAGCCUAACCCAAGAGGGGGAUCUCCAAUUCAUAGAGCCUUUUUCCACGUAGAAGCCUCAUCUUAAACCAGUAUAAGCUAUGGGAAAUCCUCAAAAGCAAGAAGCUUAGACGCGCAUGGACCGGAUAACGACAAUUUUUGCGGCAAAUGCAAUAUUCUUGUGGCAUCUAACCAAUCAGGUUGUGCAGUGGGAUUAUGGGGCAUAAAUUAGUUCACCUUGAUCACCAUUUCCCCGAAGCAACAGCAGGUCUCCUGCAAAAGUAUUGCGCUCCAUAAGCUGCCCAUGAUGUUACCGUAGUUGAGGCCACCAACCAGCUGCAAAGAGAUAUAAGCAUUAAUUCAGUACGUUUUUAAGAAAACCUACAAACCUUUUCUUCGAUAAAGCAAGAAAAAUAAGCAAAUUACACAAAUAACAGUGAGAAUCUUAGUCAUAUACGCAUUAGGAGCACAAAAUUGCACCAUUUCAGUUACUCUCCGCCCGUCAUCAUUACAACAUGCAAGCUGUGGACAGAUGCUUACUCGAUUUAAGGUGCCAUUUCCAUAUUGGUUAUGGCAUCACAGAAAACUGAUGCAUCCAAUAAGUGUCAGAUACUUCAAAGGAGCAUUCAGCGUUUUAGAAAUUAGGCAAAUGGCCAGACAAUUGGGGGAUACUCAUAAGGACACGUGCUAGAUAUCCAAUAGAUAUGAGCAGGAUACAAGGCAGGUUUUUGGGCGAUUUGUAAGGAGUGAGAUCUGAAAAUACGUUACAUAAGCUACCAAACAUGCAUUUGGAUGAAAUUUGCAUCAUGGAUUAACAGUUGAUAAGUUAAUGAGUUUACUGUAUUCUGCCAUACAAUCAUCCAAACUAUUUCACAAUAUUUUGUUAUUAAGAAAAUCUACACUUGAAACAACUUUUAUUCCAAUAUCCCCCACCUUGUCAUAUACUAAGAUUUGUAGAAUUUGUCAUAUCAUUGUUCUUCAUGUGCUAUGUCAUAUCUAUAUCACAUAUUUGUCCCUGUCCGACACACUUUGUAGGCAUUUAAUGAACAGAUUCAUGCAAGCAAAUACUGAAAACCCUCUCCAGUUCUUUUUCGUUUAUUUCUUUUCACCUUCUGAAAGAAGCAUUUAACCUUGCCUUUUUCAUCAAUGCUAUCUGUACAUCCAAAAGUUACCUCCUCAAGCUACUCUGUUGGUUUACCAGCAUGCCAGUAAAAACAAAUAACUUGAAAGGAAAAAGUAUAAAGAAACACAUUACAAAAGCACUGUCUAUGAAACAUAAAUCUCAAAGGAAACCCUCAUUUUACUUGCAUUAACUAGUUAAAUAUAACAUCACAAAUAAUUAAGCUUUUGAGUUGUCUAUAUUCAGAUCAGAGCAAGCAAGAUGACAGCAAAAGCUUCAUUUAUAAUUCAACUAGUUAAUCGAUUAGUUUAGUUUCGAUUAACUAAUUAGAGCUUUGUAAGAUCAAUCAUAAAAGAUUUUAAAACAGGAUAAUUACCUUAAAUUUGUUAUAUACAAUUGGGUUUCUGCAGUGCCUAAUUCUGGUUGAAGAAGAGCAGCUGCAACUAAAACCAGUUGGAAUCCUGUAUUCAACUGCACCAAACUCCACUAUUAGAAAGAACUGAAGCAUAUGUAUUUAGCUAAAACUACCAGGUAGUCCCUGAACUUUCAAUACAUUACAAAAUCGUCCCUGAUUUCUCACUUGCCUGGUAGUCCCUUAAACUCACCUAGUUUCACCUGUUUAUGUGAAAGAUGAAUCUACAUUGCUAUUCAUAAAAAAUUCAAGGACAACCGCCAAGAAUUUAAUUGCACAUUGGCACGGGCCGUACCGACAGUGCGAUACCGUGCCGACAAGAUAUCGGCCUGAUAUGGCCUCCAUGCAAUGCCACGACUCAAAACCCUCUUUUCUUUGAAAUUAGCAAAUAGUUACCUUAAUAAAGUGUAAAAGAUUUGGACAUAGAAUAAGUAGAAUAAAUUAGCGCCAAAGAAAAUAAAUAUUUUAUGCCCUUGUAGCUGGGCUCAGAUAUUUUUAGUAACUAGCACGCAUCGGCACGGCAUGACACGCACCAUGCCAUACCGUGUCAUAUUGUGCCAACAAAUUUUUAGCACAACCCAUUCCACAAUACUUAAGAUCUUGCUACUUGCACAUUUUGCUUUAUAUUUUUGAAGCAAACAAUAAUAUCCUUUUUAUACACAAAAAAAACACAAUUGACAUUUUGCAUAAUGGGGGAAAACAUGCCUUGCUUAUAAAGAGAGGCUCCACUUUCUCUCGAUGAUUUGCAUCAAGGUUGACAAAAUCCGACCAACUGUUCCACUAAAAUCCAACAAAAAUAUAUUGGUGAGAUUAGAGUAAGCUGAUCUACUUAUUUACUACAUAAACGUAUGUCAAGUUCACCUGCCACCCCAAGAUAGAAGCUCUUCUGUAGACUGCACCACUGACAAGGGCAACAUCUCUUAAGAUCACCAGUCCAACUAGUUCAGCUGUUUAAACACAAAAAAAAGGAAAAAAAUGGGGGGGGGGCGGGGGGGGAAGUAACAAAUCCUUGGUCCAAUUAUACCACUGUUUUAUUCUCUCUUUUUUUCAAGGAUUUUAAGAUGUUUUAGAGAAAACUAGUACAUGAUUCAGCAAAUAGAUAAGAUAGUAAACCCAUUUUAAACUUACUAUAAACCAUUUUAUAGCUAGUGAUACUGAGGCUAGGCUAAAUAACGUGUCAUUAAAACAUGAUACUGCUAAUUUGUUCACUAGGGUACUCAAUUUGAUUAAUGAUUGAAUCGAAUGUAAUUGGAAGUUUAAUCUACCAUUUUAUUGUUACUCUCUCAUGUGGAACUCAAAGUAAUUUCAUUUUCAGAACUUAGGUAAACUUAAAUAUUGGGUUGCAUUGUUCUUUUGUGUAGUAUUUAAUAAUUAUUAUAUCUAAUUUAUUAUGAAAUAAAAAUCAUUUUUUGUAAAUAAAAGGCAAGAGCAAAGUUGGCAUUUUGUAAAUUCAACCAUCGUUCUUCGUAAAUAAAAGGCAAGGGCAAAGUUGGCAUUUUGUAAAUUCAACCACCAUCUUUUUUCACUAUUCUAUACUAUUCCAUAUAAUUAACCAAACACAAUGUCAUUUAUUCCAGAGAAUAACAACUUUAUAAACCAAACACAAUCUUAUUUUUAUUCCUGACUAUUCCGGAAUAGCAAGCUAUCCCGAAUAUAAAAAAAUUUAUACCCGUACUAAACGGGACCUUAAGAGUAUAACAACAGGGGAAAAAAGCCAAAGAAAGAAGUAGUGCUUGAUAUUGUCAAUAUAAAUGAAAAUAGAUUAUAUGCUGUCUCUUAGGACAAUAAUAAUCCGAUUUGAUAAGCAAACUGCAAUAUGAACUGCAUAAUGCACCUUCACAACUUUCAUAGCAGAAGAGAAAGGGCAAAGCUCCCAUAAAGCAUGAAUGUAACUUUGGAUACAAGCACAACUGAUACAGAAAAUAUAAUGAUAUUACAUAUUGAUUGUGAGACCAUCACUAGUUUAUUUAUCAAGAAGAAGCUACAAAUCGCAUCAGAGCGUAAGAAACAAUACAAUACUUAUGAAGUUUAGAACCAACAAGAAUUAAGAUAGACAACUUCAUAAAUGUUCAUGGAUUUCAUUAGUCACCAUUAUUUAUCCAACAACCAUUGCUUAUGUGAUGCAUAGGCAAAAUUUGAUUUUAACUGCAAAAUACAGAAUAUUUUUUAUGUGAUAAAGAUAAGUACAUGAAAUGAUAAGAUUAUAGCUGUAUUUAAACCAGGAUUAAUUGGUUUAGAUAUGAUGAACUUAAAUUCAAUUUAAACUUCAAGUAGAUAGUUUCAUUAGAUUUAACAAUUUCCUCUAGAUUCUAGUUAAAGCUGAAUAACUAAAUUGACCGUUGAAACACAUUUCACAUUACUACAGACCCUAACUAUAAUCAUAUGCACAGUAUUAUCUUCGGAUGGAUUUUCGUCAAUUGUGACAAAAACGGCAAUGAAGUUUCUACUUGAGCAUAAAAUAGAUUAGAUUAGAUACCAAGUCUAUGAAAUUUUAACAAAUCCAGCAUAUCCCCGCCACAACGUACUGAAUGCAUCUAAGAAUCAUAGAGAAGUUACUUACGGUGUAAGAGGUCCUUUUUAACCAUAGCCAGAGCAACACAACCAAUUAAAACCUGUUCAAAGAGGUUAAUGACAACCAGAACAUAAGGAGCUACAAAGAAACUAACAAACAUAAAUGUUUUAUUUGCUUAAAUAUUCCAUGGAUUGACAUUAAACCUUGUCAGCCAGUGGAUCAAGAUAUGAGCCAAACACGGAAUUGAUUCCCAUCCUCCUGGCAAGAAAGCCAUCCAACUAACACACACACACACACACACACACACACACACACAAACACACACACAAAGGAACAAGUGACAAAUUAAGAAUGCUGGCAAAUUUAUUAUCACAAUGAUUCACAGAAUAUGCAUUCUCUCACCCAAUCAGUUGCUCCAGAAAUAACUAGAGCACCAAAAGCAGGAAGAUACCAUUCAUUGAUAAUCAUCCUACACCAAGUUAGUAGUUCAUUAGAAUUUCAAAGAGAUGCAGCAUAAUAGACUUUCUUUGCCCAAUAAAUUGUGGAACUUCAACUCUGUGAAGUGUCAUAACAAACUUUCGUAUCAUAAUAAGAUAAUAUUUCUCCAGGAAAAGUGUUUAACUCCUAUUGAAUUAUCUAACUUUUGAUUAGGGGAAAAAAUGAAAAUUCUAGAUAUGAACUUAUCUAGCUUCAAUCAACAAUUCUUUGCUCUGCUUAAGCUUUUUAACUCAUGAAUCUGACUUUUGCAUCUGCCUUUACAAAUCUAAUCCUUCUACAUAUUUGUAUACAGAACAAAAAGAUGUGAUAAAUGCAGUUCGAGAUUUGCCUCUUGAUUUUGAAGACUAGAGAAGAUAGAACAAUACAGAACCAACACUAGCAAUCACACAAACGAUACGCAUUAUAAGUUUCUUCACUCAAUCUUUACUCCAGAACCAAACAAACAAACAACAGCAACUUCAUACAAGUUUACAUGUUAAGAGAAGGGGUUUGAGCAGUUGAACUAAUUUACUUUUGAAUUAAAAGCUAAAUAAUGAGCUCACAUAAAAAGUUUUUAUGCCCUUCCCUAUUUUUUUUUUCUUUUUCCCUGUAACUCUGUGGCCAGAUUGGAAUUCAACACGCAUGUUUCCAAUAAGAUGUUACACCUUUACACUGAACUUUAACAGCAACAGGCAGUUUUUAAUAUACCUAGUUUUUGAAAAGGCCCAAGGCGUGCCAAGGCACAAGGGGCUUGUAGAGUUAAGGCGCAAGGCGCAGGCGUGCGAUUGAGAGAGGUGAGGUGCAACUUUUCGUAAUAUUUGAAGAUAUAAAAAGAAACAAACAUAAAAAGAUCAUCACAAGUAAGCAUAAAACAAUAUAAGCAUAAGAUAACCAAAGUAACAAGCCAAAAACACUUUAAGUGUUCUAGCAUAGUGUUCUAGCUGUCAAGCUUAAUCAAAAUAUUCAUGCAAAGUAACAAGUAGUAAUUUAAAAGGCACAUGCUUGGUUGCCUAGGCGCAAGGCGCCAAGGCCAGCGCUUUUUGUGCUUCCCUAGGUGUGGUGCUCUCGCCAAGGAGCAGCGCCUAAGGCCUAAGGCACUAAGCGCACUAGGCGCGCUUGGAAGAGGCGAUAACAAGUCAAGUUUGACAAGUGAUAGCAAGUCAGGUAUGAUUAAAACAAGAGAGAAUAUCUAUACUACUUAUAAAAGCGUGAGUUUUAAAUUUUUUUCCUUUUUCCAAAAAUACCUCUAUCUUUUUUACUAAUAUUUUUAUGUCCAGUAAUUUUCAACCAUUCGUUUCAAAUAAUUUUUCAAAUAAUAAUUUAUUCUCAAAUAUAGAUCUUAAGUUUUUACCAUUGGAUCUCAUCCAACGAUUAAAAAUAAAAGUAUCUGUUACUUUCUUGACAAAAAUACGCUCAAUAUCCGUUAUCUUCUAUCUACGCGUUUUACAAAUAUCUACGUGUUUUCUCAAACGUAAUUAUCGCCAUAACUUAAAAUAUCCUCUUAUUUACGUAUUUCUCAAAUAUUUUCUUUCUCACACGUAAUACGUGCACCAAUCACGUAAAAUAUUGUUAGAAAGAUUUAAUACCCAUGUAAGUAAACUAAAUUGUUAAUUAAAUAAAAUUUUAAAUUUUUGAAUUUUUCACCUAUAUUUUUCUUAAUUAUUCUCAAAUAUAUAUUUUAGUAAAUCAUUUCUCAUUUGUCACCUUUGCCGGCACCGGCACAUGGUCAUCGUCCUCCUCAUCGUCAUCGUCAUCACCGGUGCCGGCACAUUGUCGCCUUCGUCACCUUCGCUAUAGGUAUUUUGAUCCUACUGAAAAUUUUUUUAAUAUGCCUUUAUACUAUUAUAGCAUUUUUUUUUGAGUAUUUUCAUAUUUUUACCUGUACGUUUCUCAAAUAUAAAGUAUGUAUAUUUUUAAUAAUAUCUUUUUAAAUAUUUCUUUUGUGACAUAGCUGGCAAUCCUUUCUUAUAUAAUGCGCAUUUUUUCACAUUUUCGUUGUCCUCGCCGGCUCCGGCACAUCGUUUUUGUCACCUUCAUCGGCCCGGCACAACUUCGUUGUCACCUUUGCUAGAAUGACGUAGUCGUCCUCACAUUGCAUAUAUAUCGACGGAAAUCCACUAAUCAUAUCAGCGUUGUUGAUGGUUUACCGACAUGUCAUCGGUGGUCGAGAUACAAGCAUAUGCACGUCAUCGGUGGUCGACAAUUUAUGCGUUGACAAUUCAUAUACACAUCAAUCUAAAUACUCUCCCAAAAUUGCACUUUGAUCAACAAGUUAUUGGUGCUUUUAGAUUUUUAGCCAUUGGAUUAAGAGAUAUGCGGUUAGGAUGAUGUGGGCCCUUUAGGGUUGAGUGGGUGGUUAGUUGAAUAGUAUAAUCUAAUGGUUGAAAAUGAUCCGAGUAGUAGAUCUAACGAUAAAAAACUUACAAACACCAAGUGCUUGGUGCUUUUACAAGCAGCAUAGCUGAACUAUAUAUAUAUAUAUAUAUUUUGAAUUUUUCUCUCUUUUCUAAUACAAAUAUCUUUUUUUAGUAAUUUAAUUUUUAGCUAGAUUUACUUUUUUUAAUUAAAAAUUUCAAAGUUUCUGCCCAAUUGUUUUCCCUUUCAUUAUCUUUAAUUUCUUUCUAAACAAGUUUCAUAAUUAAAUUCAAAUUAUAUUUCCUUUUCUUUAGUUAACAUACUUUAAUAAUAUAAUUUUUCUUUACAUAUAAUAUACUAACACCUUCUAUCAAACUUUAAUAUAUAAAUAAAUGCUGCAUUAAUUUUCUAUCACCUGCACAUACUCAAUUUAUACAAAAGUAUACCACACCUCUAAAAAGCUCACGAAUUUAAAUUAGAAUUCAAUUCAUAUUCUGUGAAAUUAAAAAAAAAAUCACAAAAUUCAUAAAUAUAACCAUACCUCUAUGACAUUAUAUAUUUUGAGCAUCUAUUUAUCAAAUUCAUCAACUCUUUUUAUAUUGUUAAUUUUUAUGUUUAUUUAAUGCCUAGAUAUUAUGAUUUUAAAAAUUUAUAAAUUUUAAUGUAUAAUUUUUUAAAAAUAAAUGUUAAAUAUUGAAUGUGGUGUAUAAAACAUGUAUAUUGGUACAGGCAAAAAUUUUUUCAAAAUAUGAACAGUAUCUCGAUAGGAUUCAAAAUUCUCCCAAAAUUGUAUUAAUAUUUUUACUAUCUUGUUCAAAUCAAUUGGUGUAUAUAUAUAUAUAUAUAUAUAUAUAUAUAAUAUAUAUAUAUAUAUAUAUAAGGGUAUAAAAAAUGUUAAAAUUUUUGCCCAAAUUAAGCCCAAUUAAUUUGAACAGUAAUAAUUGGGGAAUAGUAGUAUUAGUCUAUAUUUCAAUUUCAUUAAUAACUUAAAAUUAAUAUAUAUUUUAGAAAAAAAUUAUUUGAUUUUUUCUCACGUGCAUUGCACGUGCAUAUGACUAGUAUAUAUAUAUAUAGAACUAGGCUACUAUGCUAUUAAUAGCAGAAAGUCAUUGGUGCUAUUAGAUUUUCAACCCUUGGAUGAAGGGAUGUGUGGUUAGAAUGAUAGUGAUCCCCUAAGAUUGAGUGGGUGGUUGGUUGAUAGCAUGAUCUAACGGGUGGAUAUGAUCAAAGGGGUAGCUCUAACGACGAAAAACUUGGUAGGACUAAGCGCUUGGUGCUAUUGAUAACAUACUAGCUAGACUCUAUAUAUAUAUAUAUAACUCUUAAACCUCUCUCUCUCUCUUUGUGACCCGCUUUUCCUCCUCCUCUUCUCCUUCGCUACUUCUAUCAUAAUCGAGCUUCUUCGUUAUCACUGAGGUUAGCUCAUUUUUCCUCUGCCACCCUGUGGUUUAAAAAGUUUCAGUUUGUUCCCUUGUGGUUUAGCGCAAAUUUCAUUUUGUCACCUAUGGUUUUUUAAAAAUUUUCACUUCACCAUCCUUUUUGACAUGGAGUUUUUUGGUGAAAUAAAAAUUAAACAACCGGGAAGCAAAGUGACCACCGGGGGGGGGGGGGGGGGGGGGGGGGCGAAUUUGAAGUUUACCCUAGUAUAAAUGAGUAAAUUUGUAAAUGACUAUAUUUUUUACUUUUUAUUUGCUAAAUAAUCAAUAAAGGCAAACUUCCUCACCUCCAUGAAAUUUGAAUAAAAAAUUCCGAGUUCAAGAAAUAACCGGCUGCAUGUAAAAGGCGAUGGAGUAGGCAUUGCGAUGAUCAUUAAUAAUUUUGGAUAAUUUACUAUAUUUCUCCUCUCUCUCUUUUUAAAACACCUAGCAAUGGCUUUCCUUCCCUCAAUCAAUGGCCUCGUAAACACAUCCCUUCAAUGGCCUUUUCUUACCAUCAACCAGUAGAAGUACGCAAACAAGGUGACCAAAAACCACGAAAAUAAAUGAUGCUAGUCCAAAAUGUAGGCAUCAAUACAAUGCUAGCUACUCUUUUUCAGCUUGUAGCUUAAACUACCUUUUCUGCAUCAGGAGUGAAUUCUCUGCAUCAAGAGUGAAUUCAUUUUUUUCCCCUCUUUUUGAGCGUACAUUCACUACUUCCUACACUAGAUCCACUACUUUUGUUCUCAACUCUUUUUCUAAGAGAGCUCAUUUCUGCGACAUCAUCUUCGAUUUCAUCGUCGCCAAAGUGAUAUGCAUCUUCAAAGUCAGGUAUGAGUUAAUUUUGCUUUUUCUCUAUCACAUUUUUGGCCAUAAAAUAUUUAAUUUCCUUCCUCACACACGGUGGACGUCCUGUCGGAGCUUUUGCAUUUCGGAAACCUCCAAUAAUAUGUUGUUUUACUCUAUAAAUUUUCCCUUGAAGGAAACCUCACAAUUAAUAAAAUGUCCAAAUGAAUCAAAUUCAAAUUGUGGCUGAACGAUAGUUGAACCUUUUGUAGGUUUGUGUGAAGGAAUAAUACAUCUGUAAGAAUUGUACAGACAUUCAGCUGAGAAACAGGCAUAGAACUUGCACUUUGAUCAACAAUUAAUAUGCUAAAUGAAGUUGCACAACUAAGCAACUUCAUAAGAAUUCCCUUUCUUAAUAAUCUUGUUCCUUCCUCUUCCAUGCCUGCAUAUUCCCUAACAAUCAAAGCACAUGUACUACAUGCUAACAAAAUUGUUCUUUUCAUCGGUUCUUCCCAAAUUUAUAAAUAACAUAGCUAAUUCAUACUCAUUUUCAUAAGCCGAAAUGAACAACAAAGUAGCUUGCACAUAAUAACUCAACAAUCAACAAAAACAGAAGCUCUGAUAGAUUAUAUAAUUGUUUUCCCAUCUUAAAACCCUGUGCUAUACAUUUUGAUCUAUGAACAUAGCAAACAAUUAAAAGCAUCAUACAAAGGUGCAUUGAGGAUGAGAUGGUACAUACCAACCAAUCACCGGUCCCGAAACCAACCGACUGAUCGAUACCAAAUUCGGCAAAUUCAGAAACUUCUCAUCAACCCUAAUUUCCCCAACCUCUCCACCCACGCUCCGCUCCUUCCGCCACCCGAUAACGCCCCCAACGACGCCUCUUCCGACCUCUCCGAUAAUGGGGAACCGCCUCCCGUUAAGCAAAUCCUUGGGGAAAAUCGCCUCUCUCCCGCGCAGGUAGAGCGGGGUGGCCGAUUGUGAGAGCUUCCACGGGGGCGAGGAGAGGAAGAGGGGCCCGGAGAAGUGGGGGACGGCGGCUACGGCGGCAGAGGCGGCGGCGGAGGAGGAGGAGGACGAAAGGGGGAAUGGAGGAGAGGAGGAGUGGAAUGAGAGGAGAGAUCGAGGGUUAGGGUUUUGGAAGAGGGACCUUAGGGUUUUAAAAAUCGCCAUUAGAGGAGGAGGAGGAAGAAGAAGAAAUGGCAGCAGGCGGUUUGGGGGGGUUUUAGGGAGGUUCGAAACUGCGCGGGGGCGGCGGUGGCGGUCGCGGCCGCGGAGGACGACGCGUGUUGACGGGUUCGUGUAUUCUGCGCGGAUUCACUGCAAGAAUGCUUGUACCAUGUUUGUACAUACUCGGUGUUUUUGUUUAGGGGCAAUUGGUUAUAUACGCCCAAAAAUUUCCGACUUUCUAUUACUGUUCUUAAAAAGCCAAUAUUAAAAACACUUUUUUUAUAUUCUAAGUUAUUUCAAAUAUACCUCUAGAGUUAAAUUCUAUUAAUGAACUGUUAACAAUAGUCGUUAUUUUAGUAAAAUUAUUAUUUUGCUCUUUCAAAUAUAUUUUUUUAUCAUAAUUAACUUUUCUUAUUUAUUUUUAAGUUAGAGGCAAAAAAAAAAUAUUUUAAUUUUUGAUUUUUUCAAAUAUACCUCUCUACCAUUACUAACUUUUUUUAUUUGCUCUUAAGUUAAGGGCAAAAGAGGUAUUUUGAUUUUUUUUUUACAUGUCAUCAAAACUAUAAUAAUUUUACUAAAUAGCAGGUAAAAAGAUAACAAAAAAAAAGAUAACAAUAACAAUUAAAAAGAGGAGAUAAAAAAAAUUUUAAUAGAAAAAUCACAAUUUGGGACGAAAAAUUUGGCAAUCAAUAGUAAAACAUUUUGUAAGCUUUCCGAUAAUAUGCUUUUUCUAGAAACAUUGAGAAUUAUUUUAACUUAAACUUAGCCAUUGUCAUUUAAUAAAUAAAAAUAUCAUUCUUAUUUAAUAAAUAACUAGUGUAGAUACACGCGCGUUGCAGCGGGCAAUUCUAUAAAGUAAAUCAAUAUAUAUAACAAUUAAUCAAAAUGAUAUCAUAAUUCAUAAUUAGCUUUCAUUCAUUAGAAUACAUGAAAAAAUCGGAAAGUACUUGCAAUACAUAAAAUGAUAGUGGAAAGCCCUACUCUAUGUUUCAUUAAAUGGGUUUAAAGAUAUAUUUAUCAUAGUAAUGAGAGAAUAAUAUGAUCUACAAAUACAAAGAGACUUAAAAUUAACUUCAUAAUUCCUAUACAUUAACUCUCUUUCAUUAGUAAAUCCUAUAACUUUAAUGCCCCUUCUUCAAAUAUUUAUAGGGCUUUCAUCAAUUGCCUUAUAUCGUCAGAAAUCUUUCUCUCAAUGUAUUAUAGCUCUUAAUGCACUGAAAUCCAACAAAAUAAAAAAAAAAAGAACAAAAUUAGAAUAGAUAAGAAAUUUAGGUUUGAAAUAAUUUAAAUUUUAAAUAGAAAAUAUAAAUUAGUUAAGAAUAGAAUAAUCACAAAUGCACUUGUCAUUAUGAUGUUAUGAGAUGAAAUAUAUCUAAUUUACUCAAUAGUAGAUAGAGCAAAAAUCUGCAAUGGAAAAUAACGAAACAGGAACAACGAAGCAGUAAGCAAAAAUAAGUAGAUUUUCAUCAGUAUUUUUGCACUAAAUACACCCUUUUUUCUUCUUGCAAAUCAGUAAUUUGUGAACAAUUAAUAGAAGCAAGAGUUACUUAUCAUUGCUCAUUUCUUUAUACAUACUAAUUAAUUGCAAAUUAUUAUUCGUGUGAACCUUCACCCUUACUUUCGGUGAAUAAGACCCACAUUUAAUGCAAAUAGACUAUUGAACUUCAUAUGUAACAUGAAAGCAUAGUAUUAAGUAUAAUUAAUAUAAGCAAAAACUUUAGGAGAAAUAUUUAUACCAUCUUUUUUUUUUUUAUUGGUAAAAACAUAUAAAACUUAUCUAAACUAUGAACUAUUUUAAGUUGGCGAUGUAAUCUUUGCAAAUUUUGAUUUUACUAUCUAACCAAUCAAUUUAUUUGAUUUGAAUUAAUCGAUGGUAUUUGACUGUAAAAUUUAAAUGUCUCGUUUGUCUUUACAUAUUUAAUUAGUUUGUAUGUUUCAUACCGAUUCUCACAGCUAUGAAUUUAAUUAUAGUAAGUAAUUAGCUUAUAUUUUAGAGUCAAAAUAUCUCCGACUGACUUAAAGCAAAUAGAUUGAAAGGUUAAAUAAUAAAAUUAUAAUUUUGAAAAGUUAGGAAGCCUAUUCAAAAUGGUUCAUAGUUCAGUUAUGUACAGUUAUAUCUUUCUUUUCAAAGAGGUAGCCUUAAUACAGUAGUAGAAAGUAUGAAUUUCUAUAGGUAGAAAUUUGUAUUGCUAUGGUGGCAAGGAAAAAUAAAAAGAAAACAUGGGAUAGAGUUCAAAAUAAAAGGAGAAAAUGACUGUCAACAUCUCCCAAAAUCACAUGAAAAUUUCAAACACCAAAAAUAAAACAUGCAUAAUUGCUUAUCAUAUGACAUUUGUAUAUAUAAAAAAAAAUCAUAUAUUUUGAGGAACUAAGAAGUGUUUAAAUCAUAUAAUCUUCUCAUUACUAAAUUUUGGAACCUACAAACACUACAAAAAAAGCGGACUAUACCGACGCUUUUUAAAUCACAUACCGACGCUCGAAAAAGCGUCGGGCGCUGGGUCGGUAAGCGCAGUGACGGGAGAAAAAUGCCGACGCAUCGCAAAGCGUCGGUAAAUAGGGCCGACGCACAAAAGCGUCGUCAUUUUGGUCGUUAAUUCGAAACUAUCUACACAUGAACAAAAAUCAUUUUACGAUGCUUUAGAGCGUCGGCUACAUUUCUCGACGCUACAAAGCGUCGGCAUGGUAGUUAGGCUUAAGCCUGUCUUCCUUUGUUGUGAUGCUUUAAAGCGCCGGCAAAAUAGGUAACUUGUUUUUUUAUUUUUAGAUAGGGACACUUUUAUGCGUCGGCAACUUAUUAUAAUAUAUAUUUAUUUUUUUGAUAAUUUUCUGUUUAAACAAAAUUCACCGUUCAACUUAUUCAACCAAGAACUAAAAUCUAGUAUGUAUGCACAUUUCUAAUUAAAGAACUAAUGACAAUAACAAUAUAUAACUUAUAUAAGAAAGUAAUAAAUAUUUAAACUUCAUGUCAAUGUAUUACAUUACUAAGUCAAAACAAUAACAAGCUAUUGGCAUAUAAACUUAAUUCUAGAAUUAUAGUACUUAUAAGAUUUACAAAAAUAAAGCUAAAAAAAAGUCACAAUUCACCCUCGUCUCUGAGCCGAAGUUCACGUAUUGGCCUACAAGUAUCUCAUUCAUUUCCGAUUCGUAUUUCUUUCGCAUUUCUUGCAUUUGAACUUGCAGCUUUUGAACUUCUUCUUUUAUUGGAUCAUGUCUUUCAUUCUCUACAUUUCUUAACUGAGCCUGAAUUUCCAAAAACUUGUGUUGGUGAGGAACCAAUGCCACAACCCUUCACUCGAUCAUACCAGUUUUCUCCCUUUUUUUAACUUGAAAAUAUUAUAUCUUCAAUUUGUUUGGUGGUAUUUGAGAACUCCGGCAUAGUCGAUUGUUUAGCUAGAUCUCCCAAUAAGUCUUCUACAUUAAAGCAAAAAAAAUUGAACAUAUAUAUCAAUUGCAUGCCACAUAACUUUAUUGAUGCAAAAAAUAAAAAUAAUAUAAAAUAAAGUGCAUAUUGAAUACUGUAAAAUUAAUUGAGGCUUGAUAAAUAUAUUCUCGAUCUUUAGUUUUGCAAGUCCUCCUACAUUAUCGAAUUCAUUUGAAGAAAUCUGCAAAAGGAAAAUAUGCUAAUAGCAGGCUAUGUAUUAUGCAUAAACUAUAAUUCUGAAGAAGCUGCAGCAAAAAGAGAAAUAUCAAACAACUGACUAAAGAAACCAUUAAUAGAAUUCAACUUAUCAAAGAAACCAUUAGAAAUUUCAAAAUUGACAUUAAUAGUCAAAAUAAAAAACUAGAAUUCAAAUGCAUCAACUCACAAAUUAUAUACCCAAAUAUACUAUAGUUUCAAAACAUUAGCAAAUGGAAUAUCAGAGUUCAUUUGUUCUAGCAGAGUAAUAAUGAGCUUAAAGUUUCAUCAAGAACAAGAUAUCUAUUAGGAAUAAUUNAUGCAUCAACUCACAAAUUAUAUACCCAAAUAUACUAUAGUUUCAAAACAGAAAAAGAAAUAAAUUAUUACAACUUGUAGCACAUUUGUAUCGGAAGAAACAUUUCAUCAGACAUAUGAUAAAAUCACAACUUAUAGGUAAAUUAUGCACUGGAGGAAGGAUUCUUUAUUAAUUACUAAUCAAAUUUUGCUUUGUAGAAGAACUUAAGGUAACCAUUAGUGCACUCUUUAACUGUAAUUUGAACCAAUGAAGUGCUUAAGACAUUAGCAAAUGGAAUAUCAGAGUUCAUUUGUUCUAGCAGAGUAAUAAUGAGCUUAAAGUUUCAUCAAGAACAAGAUAUCUAUUAGGAAUAAUUUAAAAUACAAACAUUUCAUACAAACAAAAAAGAUGCAAGUAAAGACAAAUAGAAACAUCCAAAGGACAUUGUAUUACAUAAAUAUCAAUCCUAACUCAAAAAAUAUGUCAAUCAAUCAAAUAUAAAGGUUAAUUAAAACAAAAAAACCCUAAGCCCUCGUGUUUGUCAUGUGCUAACCAAAAAUUACCAUGCCAAAACAUAGCAUAUCGUUUCUCUUCCUAAAAUCUUUCUGUAGCCAUGCUUUUGUAUGGAUUUCUUUUUCUGAUUUAUUUCAGCAAGAAUCGAUCAAGAAAGUUCAUUAAUGUGUUUUUAUGUCACCCUAUGAUCUCCUUUGAUUGAGUAGUUCAUAAUUAGUAGGUUCGAAAGAUUUGCCUAUUAAUUGUCACUAAUUUUGUCAAAUUUUCUUUUACACACUCUGGUGUCGUAAAAUUGAGGGUUUGAGCUAGUGAAAUAAAACAUUACUAGGGAAGAGAACAACUCAGAGCUGUUUGUUGGUGCCAAAGAACUGAAAAUUAAAUCAAAGGAAUAGUUGAGGGAUUAUCCUGCAAACAAUUAGAUAAUAUCGAUAUAUUUCAGGAGAAAAAAAUCUAAUUUCUACAUCCCACAAUGGGAAAGAGUGAAGAAAAAAGAAACAAUGCUCUCUCCUUCAAUCCUCUUGCUGCUGGUUCCAACCACAAUGACACAAAUCACCCCAAAAUUUCCCAAAACACAAUUCACCUCCUCUAAAUUUAAACUCAAAUUAAAAUUAAAAUUUAAAUCCCACAGGGAAAAACCCUAACCCACACCCAAUUUCAAGAAAUGGGUCGAAAAAUUCAAAAAAUGGCUCUCAACCUUGGGAUUUCUAAAUCUAUCUGGUAGCAUAACUGUAAUAGUCGAUAAAAAGAGAAAAUCGAACCAGAAAAUGGGAUAGAUUCUUCUCGAUGCGUCGGUGUCGAAAUACUUAUCUCCCCCUCGCCUUCUCGUCCUUCGCUACCACCACCAUCGUCAAAGACCGGCGAGAUGUCGCCUCGAAAUUAGAGGGGAAGGUGGAGCAGCUUACCUUGUCGGUCGACAAGGUGGAGCCGGAGGGUUGCGCACUGACCUGGAAGGAGGCGAUGGCGACGACGAGGUCGAGGAGGGGCGGAUUUAGGAGAGGUAGCCAAACCCUAGCCUUAUUUGCUAAGGAAAGGGUUGGAGCGGGAGUGGAACGAGGGAAAAUGAAAAGGCCAAAAAAAAGGCCUUACCAAAGUAAUUUUUCGCGCUUUACUUUGGCGACGCUCAUCCCUAGCGUCGAUAAAAUUUCGACAGGGUAAAAAUUUGUGGACGCUUUCUAAGUGCGUCGGCGUAAAAGCGUCGGCAUAGAUCCUUUUUCUUGUAGUGAAAAUGUUCUGCAUUUUUGUUCUUUCAUCUCCUAGAUUUGGCAACUCACAUUGUUGUUAUACAGUGAUCUAUCAUACAACAACCUAUCUGGUAAAAUUCCUGGAGAAUUGGGGCAGCUGCAGGAUAUAAGAUUGGAACUUUGUAAGUCCCACUUUCUAUAUAUUUCUUAUUUUGUCGUAAAAGAGACUUUCUUCUGUGAAUUAUUUUAACAAACUUCUCAUGAAUAUAUAGGAUCCUGAAUAACAACUUGUAUGGAGAUAUACCUGCUUAGUUAACCAACUGCUUUAGCUUAACUUCAUUGUAAACUUUUUACUAUUUCAACAUCAUUUUAAAAAAAAUAUUUACAUCAAUUUUAAAAUUACAUUAUUGGCCAUCUGGUUUUAAUUUCAGAAACCUCUGUUACAACAACUUUUCUGGACAUGUCCCAUUGUCAAAGAACUUUUCAAAGUUUUCAGCAGAAAGGUAUUAAAGACACUAAAUUUUAUUUCUUUCCUUAUUUUUAUCAAAAUUGAUCUUAUUAUUAUUAUUAUUAUUAUUAUUUGAUGUAUGUUUUCAACUUCGUAGGCAAUCCAAUACUCCAUGGUUGUUUUUCGCUAGUUGAGCAAAAUUAGCAAUCAAAUUAUCGUUUAUAAUUUCUAGUUAAAACUCGGUCCAUCCUGCUAAUUAAUUGAUGCUUAAUCACUUAUGUACUCUCUUUUUUUUCUAUACUUAUUGCAGUCACCAUUUCUCGAACUAUAAUUGUUUGCAUAUUUUAAACUGCAUCACUUUACUCUCAAUGACUAUAGCGGCAAUAUACAAAUCCAAUCAACCAACUCCCUCAUAUCACCCAAUUUACAACAAAAAAAGUAAAAUUCACCAAGAAAAAACUAAAGUAUAAUCACUACCAACAGAGGAUUGGAAUCCCAAUCGUGAAACCUCAGUACAAAUCAAAUACAAAUCAUAAUAGAAAAUCUAAUACCGAAGACCAGAGUUUGAAAACCUCAAUUGACUGAAACAUUAUAACAUAGAUCUAAAUAAACAAAGAUCUAGAGAGAGAAAGGAAUGGGUAAGGAUGAAUUACCUUAGAGUUUGGAGAAGAACUUGAUAGCUGAGGGCUUUGGAGAGUCGCAACAUUCAUUGAAGCCUCAAAAGCAAAUUAAAAUAAAAUACAACUAAAAUUUAAAAUAUUAUUGACUUAAAAAUUCUAGAUAGAUUGCUACAUUGUCAGGUUAGACCAAACUAAAAUAUCAGUUACUUCUGGAUACUUAGAGAAAAAUUGUAAGUACUCCAAAAAUGCAUAGAUACAAAAUAGACAAAGAAAAGUUAUAUCUGAAUUGAAGAAAUUUCCUACGGUAUAUCUGAAGUCGUGACCUAAUAAUGUAUUUUACUUAAGAGAGAUGACUUACAUGUUUUGGUAUGUUCAGAAGUAACUAUCACUUUUGAAACUAUCGAAGGUGCUGUACAAUCUAAAAACAAUCAUUCACCUACACUUCAAAUAUCAUUACAAAAGACAAUAAGCAUGAAACUUUAUAAAAUUGAUCAAGCAAGUGGCCCUUCACCGUGAUCAGGUCCUUCGCUGCAUCCACCAUCACCUCCUUCACCCCUGCGCCUGUGAGACCCCAGAUAGUCCUAUAUAUGAGAUAUAAUAGGGCUAAACUCUUAACCCGGCUUAAGCAUUUUGGGUGGUGGCAAGGCCCAAGAGAUUAAGAGAGUUAAGCGUGCUAGGACGGGAGUAGUCCUAGGAUGGGUGACCCCCUGGAAAGUUGGGGCGUCACAGCGCCGCACAACCGCUAAUUAUUAUUAAUAUUUAACUUCACAUUAAAAAAAAGAAAAGAAAAGAAGAAACCCUAAUUCGGUCGUUACACCCCUCGCAGUGGAGCCGGAUCUUGAGCAUCACCGUCGACUCCGGAGGCUAUAAAUUUUUUUUAAAAAAAAUUAAGGAAUUAAUACCGAUGAAUUAAUUAAUUAAUUAAAAACGACCAGUAGGUUAAUUAAUUGAUUCAAUUAAUUAAUUAAUUGGUAAAAUAAAUAAAUAAAUAAAAAUAAAUAAAAAGAAAUUUGGGCACCUCUUUGGGCUUUUUGUCAUCGCCCUUGCCGGCGGCGGUGGCGUCUUUCGUGGGCUGCUUGGGGGAGUCGGUGCCGGACUUCUUGUCGCUGCCGACUUUGUUGUCCUUAUCCUUCUUGGGUGGAUUCGCUGGGGAGACGAACUCCACCUUCCUCUUCGUUUUGGUCUCGAUCCUCUCCUUCACCUCCCACGGAUCCGCGGGCCCCGUCACCGUCACCCUGUUGCUCCCCGCGUCCGCGGAUACCGUCAUUCUGCAAGUGGCCAAUUAUUGUAAGAAACUCUGCAACGGUUCAAAACCCAAUUAUUGCCACGUGGAAAAAAACGGUUCGGGUGAAAAAGAAAACGGUUCGGUUUAAAAGAGGACCAAAGUGAGGGUGAAGGAAAUUUUGCCAUGUGGCAAAAUUAUUGGGGAUUCAUAUUAGUUUAUAGAUAGAUUAUAGAUUUAUAGAUAAAAUAGGCCCACAUUCCUUCAUUGAGUCAUGUUUCUUAAGAUGGGAAUUAAAAUACCAUUUUCAUCUAAUAAAUUUAAUAAAUAAAAUAGAAUAGUGGGCCCCAUGUUCGGAAAGCUGGAAAAGGUUCCCAAUUAGUAAGUUUAGGAUUAAAAAAUUAUUCUUAUCUAAUAAAUUUAAGGAAAAAUUUUAAAUACCAUCAUUCAGUUUCACAUUUUCUCAAUCUAGUACUAUGUGGUUUAAAGUGUAUCAAUUUAGUGCCCUGUAAUUUCAUUUUUAUUUUUUUAUUAUCGAUUCCACUAAUUCUUCUUUGUUAAAUUAGUGAUAAAAUUAAAACUAAAGAGUACUAAAGUGAAUACCUAGAUGGGGUAUCUGAAGUUUUUUGUAUAUAAUUUAACGAAAUAUUAACGGAGAAGCUGACGAAAAGAUAAAAUGAAACCACAUGAGGCUUAGUUUGGUAUUGAGGUCUAUCUAACGCUAUUGAGUUGAGAAAAAACAUAUAGGGAUAUGCUUCCGCGUUCUCCGAUGGGACUAUAGAAAAUAUAUUGUAUCCGACUAACCGCAAUAUACUGAAUGCAAUAUUACGUUUGAAAACAAACACGGUAUUUUUUCAUUGUUGUUUCUCACCAUACGUAACACAAUCUCCCGCAAUCCCAAACGAACCCUAACUUGAUAUAUUUUAAACCACAGAAUAUCAAAAUCAGAAAGUAAAGAACCACAUGAAUGGUUUUUAAAGUUUACCCUAAAUUUAAUAAAUUAAAUAGAAUAGUGAACCCCAUAUUUUCUGAGACGAGGGAAAAGCUAAAAAAGAUUCGCAAUUAGUAAAUUUAUGAAUAGAGAGAAAGAGAACGGAGGGUUUAAGGGCGACAGGUGUCCCUCUAGGGUUUCCCCCAACCUUUUUUUAAAUGUAAAAAAAAAAAAAAGAAAGAAAGAAUAGAGAAUGUCUGAUAUCGUAAAGAUAACCAUGCAGUAAGAGUUGAGCUGGAAUGCUAUCGGUAGCAAAUCGGCUCCGUUGCCACCCAUUUGUUUUCAAUGAUGUAGCCUUUAAAUUGACGAUCGGCACCGUUGAACAUAAUUUAUACCACUUAAAAUAUUUAGAAACUAAAUUUCAAAUCAUUUCGACAUCAUUAACCUAAUGAUCAAAGGGUUUCAAAAUUUGUAAUUUUAAUGAUAGAUAUGAGGCGUUUUCUCGUUUAACGGUGUAAAGCCAUCCAAAUCAAUUGAAUUUUGGUUAGAAAAUUUUUUAAACUAUUUAGAAUAAGAUCUAUACUCUCGAUCUUGAUUACAAAAUUCCUAUCAUCACUUUUUAGAGGAUAUUCAUUUUUAGCCGUUCAUUUUUAUGCCCACUUGAUGGACAAGAAAAUAAUAUCGGAAAAGCAUGAAAUUUGAUUUCUAGAUACUUCAAGUAGUAUAGAUCAUAUUCAACGGUGCCGAUCGUCGAUUUGGAGGUUCCAUCAUCGAAAAUAAAUGGGUGGCAAUGGAGCACGUUUGCUACUGAUAGUAUUCUAGCUUAACUCCAUGCAGUAAUAUAUAAAAAAUUCUUAAGUAGGGUGAUUAACGGCUAAUUAAACUCUGCGCUUCUUUCCCCGUGCUAUAUCUUCGUCUCACUCGCUCCUUUCCCAAAUUUCCCACUUUCCGUUACUGGAGGGAGCAAAAAAUAACAAAAAUGGCGAACGCAUGGCGAAGAGACAAACCCUCCUCCCUCUCUUCCCACAAAACCCUAAUUUCCCUCUCCUCCAUCUUCCUCAUCCUCUUCUUCAUCUUCCUCUUCUACCCUUCCACCUCAAACCCUAGCCGCAUCGCACCCUACAAAACCCUAGCCCACGCCCGUGGGAUCCGGCCCUACGAUUGCCUCGCCUCGCCGCAGGCGUCGCCCGUGUUCGCGAGCCUCGUGGAGGGCGUGCGAUACCCUUUCUUCUUCUCCCUCUCCGAUUUCGGCGCCUUGCCGGAGAAGCCGCACAAGAACAUCGUGCGGAUGCUGAAGGGGAAGCCCUUCCGGCGCCCGGACAUAUCGGCGACGAUCCAGGAGCUGUUGGAAGGGAAGGAGAGGGGCCGUGGUGCGGUGGUGGUGGACGUGGGCGCGAAUGUGGGGAUGGCGUCUUUCGCGGCUGCCGCUAUGGGGUUCCGGGUGGUGGCGUUCGAGCCUGUGCUCGAGAACCUGCAGCGGAUCUGCGACGGGGUCUUCCUGAACCGAGCCGGGGAUCGGGUCACCGUGUAUGCAGCAGCCGCCUCGGAUCGGAUUGGGAACAUCACCUUCCAUAAGGUAGGGUCUCUUUCCGAGAAUUAGCGCAUGUUUAGUGCCUGUUUCUGAGAAAAAAAUGGUUUCUUUCUUGAACUACAUGAGUUCAAAUUUGAUACAUUGUGAGUGUAUGUCUAGGCGUCACGGACACCGACACGGGACAGGGGAACAAGACACGACUCGGACACGGCGGCUCGAAAAUUUUUAAAAAAUUAGAACACGGACACGGCAUGAAUACCGCUAAUAAAAUAUAAUAUUAUUAAUAUAAUAAUAUAUUUUAUUAUAAAUAAAAUAUUAAUUUUGGUAAGAUAUUGUUAUAUUUCUUAUACGAAGGAAAGUUAGUAAAAUUUUUAUUGAUAAUUCAUAUAUUCUAAGAAAAAAACAUUUGCACCAUACAUAAUUUAUUUAUAUUGUCAAAAAAUUUGUAUGCAUUCAUCAAAAAGCUAAAAUAUUUAUCAUCUUACAUUUAUAAUGCAUAAAAAAAGUAAAAUAAACAUAUGUAUAUCCUUUUUUUAAUUGUUUGCGCUAUGGAUCGGUAUUAAACGUGCGUCCAACGAAUGCCACAUCAGACACGUGUCCGACACGGACACGCGAGGCUGAUAGAAGUGUCCGUGAUACACAGGUGUAUGCCAACUCUUUGUAACCAUUGACUUUUCAUUGAUGUUAGAUUCCCAUUCUAGAAAUUAGAAUUGUGGUGAGUAAAUGAUGAUUUUUAGUAAUUUAUUAGGUUUCUAUUCAAUGUAUCAUUCAUUAACUAAAUUUAUCAGACACGUUAUUCAAGAUGGUAACAAAGUUUAUUGUGAAAACUUAAGAACUUAUGAAAAUUAUUUUUGUUUGAGCAACAAUGCAGUAUUGUAGCAGUAUCAGUUGCUACUUAAUAGGCUUUGGAGUUAAGACAGUUAUGACCGGUGCACUAAAUAUAUUGUCACUAAUUUGAAUAAUGAUGAUUUACAUUGCCAGUCAAACUUAAUAUUACCUGCAAUGCCACGUACUCUUUCAUAUUAUGUGCAGAAGUAUACUGAAACACUUAUUUUUUUAAUGCCAACUCAUGCUAUGACUUUUUUUUGGGCGGCAACAUAGAGAAUAAUUGGGGCUUGUUUGGAUCUUCGAACUUUGAACUAGUUAUCCAAUUUAAACUUAUGCCUAUGGGGAUUCCCUUCUCUCAUUGCAACAUAUGAGCUUGGUUGUAGGCCGUGUAAGGUCUUGACGGUCAUGAUUUUCCAGUAUGAGGCUAAGAGGUCGAAUAUGUUAUGACGUUGUAGGCAUUUAAUAGUACUCAUCCACCAAUAACUGCAUUAUCCCUAAGAAAAAAAAAAAGAGAUGUGCCGAAUAAGAUGUUCAUGUAUCCAUACAGGCCCUUAAAGAUUUUUGCAGUGUUUGAGGUGCAGUUAUCGAGGUUAAUUAUAGAAAGUAGUUAAAAUAAUAAUGUUCUAUAAUUCUCUAUUUAAUGUCAUCUGACAGUCUUAAGGUUAUCUAUGUCACUGUCCCUGGAGUCUUCUAUAUGUUGCCAUUAAUUACUGUAGAUUUCAAGUAAAGUCGAAGUCAAUUCUAGUCCAAGAAAGAACAGGCAGGUCAGCAGGUGAUAAUUGGUUGAUUUUAUUUUAUUAUUUAAAAUUAAAUAGAUUGAACCAGUUGUGGAUUUAGAUUAUUCUUAGGUUUAUAAUGAGGUCAUUAUUGGGCAUAAGAAGCCAAUCUUGAAUUUUGGAUAUUUUGUGGAUUAUGUUUGUCUAUAUCAGUUAGAUGUUAUUUAGGGCUCCAAUCUGGUUAUGUGAAUGGAGAAUCUUUGGGAAAGCUUGAAUCUUUUCUACUUUCCUAAUUAGGAGCCCUCAAGAGUCAAGAUAAGUUUAGGCUGAAGUAUGGUAUAACGUUUUCCUAUUAUUGCUAAUAAAUUGUAUGGGAAAGGUUUGGAAUGAUCACAGACUUUCAUGUAGGCCAUAGAAAAGGAGGUUUUCAGAAUACAGUAAUUGUAUGAUGGAAAAUUGUGGAUUAAAGUUUCUUAUUUAGGCCUUUAGGGGUGUUCACUCCUUUUCCUAAUUGUCUUUACUUGGCCAAAGUGGCAUGAACCCAUCAAAGAAGAAGCUGCAAAAUAACUAGUCAAAGAGACAACAAGUAUUGAAGAACAUGAAGAUGUCUGACAAAGAGAGCAAUAACAUUCUUUAUGAAUUGUUCUGUACAAACUACAUAUACUUGAGAACAAGGAAAUGAUGUUGGUUUGAAUCUUCCAACCAAGAGUCAAGUGCUACAGAAAAAUCUGUGUACUACCCUCUGUAUGGGAGUAGAACCAAGAAAAUAGUUUCUUCUUAAUUUCUAGAUAAUACUAAUCCAGAGAUGGAGUGGAUGAAGCAUCCCUAUUGAUCGGUAUGGCUUGAUGAUCAUGAACAGGUUCUUGUGAAGCAUUGAUGUGGCCCCUACAACAGUGGCUCGCUAUUUGGUCUGACAUUAUAGGAAGGUCAAGCAUGGUACUUUCCAGAGUUUUUAUCUCUAAGGAUACAAGGAGAUCAUCCUUCAUCUUCUGCUAACUGAAGCGCCAAGUAAAGGAGCCAGCCUUGCAUGGAAAGCGACUUGGCAGGGAGAUGAGAUUUUGAUACCACAUCCAUAUUGGAAAGCAGCAAUGCUAGACAACUAACUUCAAUGGUGAAUUGAGGUGCAAGGGAAGCAAACUUCAGCAAUCAACAAUUUCGGAUUUUCACUUGGAUCUAAAUUAAAUCGCCAGUCCUAUUGAGAGCACUUGGAUGAUAUUGGGAUGGAUCAAGUGAUUUCCAGAUUCAGUUGAUUGUAUCAAUUGUAGCUUUAGAGUCUCUAGAUAUAUUUGGAUUUAAUCAGGCAUAAUGAGUCAAUUUUCAAUUUAAGGGGAUUUUCAGCUCUUUUAUUUUUCAGUUUGUUAGUAUUAUUCGAAGUGUUCUGUUUGGGCUCGAGCUCUAUAUGGAUUAAUUGGCAAUCUUGAGGAUAUUUUGAAUCUUAAUGGGCCUCGGUUCCUUAACAGAAUUUUAAAGAAGGUUAAAAUAAGUUGAGAAUCAACAAAUGGUAUCAAAAGAGUUGUAGUAUUGUAGUAGAUAGCCUCAUUUCGUUAAAUGCUAGUUAUCCAUUAUUUUCAUUGUGAGAUCUUUCUCUACAUUGUCAGGAUGGUUUGGAAAUUUUCAAUUGUCAUUAUGUAUCUUAUUUUAAAGGAUAUCUAGGAGAUCCUCAUUAGAAGUUCUUCGAUGGGGCAGUUUAGGUGAAAAGAAUAGUAUACAAAAGACCAUGUUUUAAAGGACUUUUCCAAAGGCUUAAUUACAUCUUACUACACCGUACUUUACCUUUAUUUUCAUUUGCUAUACUCUUUGACGUUUUUGUUCAGAGGCACUAUUGAAUUAUCAUUUUCUUGUUAAUUGCUACGUGACUAUCAACAAAUCUAUCGUUUUAGACAGAAUAUUGCAACUCUAUUAAGAGGUACUGGUUAGAAGAUGGGUGUUUUUUGAGGGGGGGGGGGGAGGUGAAAUGAAGUGGGCCUCCGGAAAAGAUUAAUUGAAAGUUUCUAUCAAGUUGUUCUAGGUGCUUAAGUGCUUUCUUAAUUUUGCCUGUCAAAAAUGGACCGAAUAUAUGCCACUAGCGCAUGCUAAUAGAACUGCUAGCUUUUGUCUAAAACAGUAGGUUUUAUUGAUGGUUGUGUAGAGACUGACAAAAAUCAAUAGUGUAGUGGUGUCUUUGAAAAAAGAAGAAGAAGAAAAGAUAGUGCAAUUUUGCAAAUGAAUAAAAUCAUAAAGUACAGUGUAGUCAAAUGUAAUUAAGCCUUUUUCAUUUGCCACUGAUGUUAAACUUCUUACUAGACAGCUAUUAUUUUAUAAUCAGACUGGCCAUUAACCUAGGAGAGAAAGCUCAAAGCAUCUUAUCUUUGACUAGUUCAUAAGUAAUCAGCAUACAGUAAUUUUUUGUUCAGAAUUCCACAAGACAGAUAUUUUUUGAUUAUAUAGAAAGACAAACCUUUUAUCUAGAGUCUUUUCAAUUAUUCAACUAUAUCUGCAAUUGAAACAACUACACGAAAAAAAUUUAGUAGUUUCUUUUUUUGGUGAAAUUGCACUGAAUAUUAUAUACUGCUGCUUAAAUAAGAAGGUUGUAUUUUCUAACUUCUUUAACUGACUAUUGAUAAUUCUAAUGGGCGGCAAAGUGCACUAAUAAAUUUGAACAUAAGUUAUUUUUGCAAAUUUAUAUGCUACUAUGUUUAAAUUCUGAGCACUUGUGUUCAUGGAAGUACUCUCAGUUCUUUCCCUGAACGCCUUUCUUUCUUAUGAUACUUUCACUGAUCUAGUGCUGAAUCUAGGUUCCUUGUGAUCGUUUCAGCAAAAGACCACAUUAUAUGAUCGUGAGUUUUCUGCUAGGUUGAAGUAUUGAAAUAGGAGAAGUAUGCAAAUCUCAAAAAUCUACAUCCGGCACUUUCACCCCUCUUUUCCUGAUUAUCAUGGAGCUGUUACCUAGUUAAAAUUUAAAUUGUCUAUAAUCUGCUGAAAACACCAAUUGUAGAUUCUGUACUUGCCAACUCGUUGUAAGAGCCGAUAAAUAUACAAUACACUGUCAAAAUAUAGUUUCCAAAAUAAAAUUUUUCGUAUCUAUAGCAGAUAAAUAAUCACAUUACAUCUUGUCAUUAGUUUAGGAAAUACAUAUUAGGACGUAAUUGGUGUUGAGGCACAUCUAACGCUAUUUGAUAUAAUGGAGUAGGGGCAAAAAAGUAUAUAGGGAUAUACUUUUGCGUUCUUCGUUGGGACCAUAUACAAGAUAUCCUUCUGCGUUCUUUGGUGGGACCGUAGAAAAUAUAUCAUAACUGACUCAUUGCGAUAUGCGGAAUGCAAUAUUACAUACCGAAACAAACGGGAUUUUUUUCCAUCGUACUUUCUCACCGCACGUAACACAAGCUCCCUACAAUUCCAAACGGAGCCUUAGUUGGCUGUGGUAUUCAUUAUCCAUCGAUACAUGAGCUCAUAAAUUAUUUUGUUCUUUCUGAGGUUAUGGUUUUCAUCACUUUGUUUGAGAACAAGCUCAUUACAUAAACCACCAACAUGAUUCAAGUUCCUACCUUUUUAUCCGAGUAUUUACUUCCAUGAACCCCAUUAUCAACUUGUUUUUAAAAGUUGAGUAAAUAUUAAGAAAAUUUCAAGAUCCAAUGAAUGAACACUAGUGUAUUUGAAACCAAGAGGUGCAUUCAUCUUUCAAUCAUUAAUUGUUGAUGUCGAAUAGCUCAUGGGUUCUAUGUUGUCCGCCUCUGUUUUAUGGGUGGUGUCAUUUUCCUUGAAACUUAUAUGAAACUAGGUUUCGUAUAAUUGUGUGUUCUAUAGACAAAUUUAUGUAUGAAAGUCUCUUCAAUAUUAAUAAAUGUGUUUUUUAUUCAUAUCUCUGCUUCAAAAUUUCAGGGAUGUAUUUUGUUCCUUUGAUAACUCGUACAUGCAUCUUUCACUUGAAGUUUGUAAGACUUAUAAUAGCAUAUCAGAUUCACAUAUUGGCUCGUUUGGCACCAAGGAUUGAAUUGGAUAAGAUAAGAUAAGAGAGCAAUAUUUGGGGGGAGGAGGGAGAGUUUAGCAACUUGGUGGUAUCAAGGGUCACUAGAGGAAUCUGGUUGGAUCGAACAAUCCCGCUGCAAUUAGAUUAUUGAAUCCGACAAAAGAGAUUGGGAUGGUGUGUGAUUGAAUUCGAAAAAUCUCAUUGGAUCCUCCUGCCAACCCUGUAUUAGUCAUGACAUCUGAUGCCUCCGCGUUGCUAAGCCCUUUUGCUCCCCCAUGUUUGUUCCCUUGUCUGAUCCUUCUAAUCCAGUACCAAGUACCAAACGGUGACAUUAUGGAUAAUUUGGCAUAUUUUGUAUUUCACGUGAUAGUGCUCAUGGACCGAGAUCUAAGAGCAGGUUUAUAAUUUGAAAUUUGAACCAGCACAUUAUAAAACCAAUAAAUUUCCUUUUGAUCUCUCGCAUAUUACUUUUUUGGCUCUCCUUUAGUGGAGUAUUUCUUAAAACUUAUCUUGCUUUGAUGAAUCAGUUAGUCGGCCGUCUCGACAACAGUGCCAUCUCUGCGACCGGUGCGAAGCUUGCAUUCAAGUCCAAUGAAGAGAUCGCGAUUGAGGUCCCAACAAUCCCUUUGGAUGAAGUAAUUCCUGAUUCAGAACGGGUUUUACUGAUCAAAAUCGAUGUUCAAGGUUGGGAAUACCAUGUACUACGAGGGGCCUCGCGGCUUCUAUCCAGGAGAAAAGCUGAAGCCCCCUAUCUAAUAUAUGAGGAGGACGAGCGGCUUCUGCAGGCAAGCAACAGUAGCUCACAAGAAAUAAGGACUUUCCUUCGAAGUGUUGGGUACAGCCAUUGUUCAAAGCACGGUAACGAUGCGCACUGCACAAAGGAUUAGUCUUCAAACAGCUUUUGGCGGGAAUUUAACAUCCUCUUUAUUCUUUUCGGAAUUUUUGCAGAAAAAGUCCUUUUUCUCUAUUCUGCAACAGUUUACCUUCUUCUUCAUUAUUAUUAUUAUAUUAUUAUUAUUAUUAUUAUUUACUGCUUUGGGCCAAAAUCUAUUUUUAAUGGUCCGAAAUGCCCCUGGCCAGUGUCUGCUAGAGUUCCAUCUGGUGGUGUUCUGGUCAAUGCACGGAUAGUUUAAUGCAAGAUUGCAGAGGCAAAAAAAGUGAAUCAACAUUGCAAAAUGGAAGGAAAGGAGGAUUUUUUGUGCAAAAUGAGUAUUCUUUUCCAAUUCCACAUGAAAGGGAAAUGCUGAUAGGGCAUCACAGGCGAAUUUGCUGUGGAAAUGUGUAGAAGUUUACUUUUCUUUUUGAAACUUCUGAAUGUGGCUGAAGUGAGGGUUUCUUUUUUUCCUGUCUUUCUUGUGGAGAAAUUGCCCCUGGGCAAGAGGUAAAAUGAGUGCUAAUUUUUAUGGAAUGUAAUGUUAACUGCGGUGAGGUCAAUAUCUGAUUUCUAGAUGCUAACCCUGUUAGUCUUUUACUAAUUUAUGCAAAUUGAUCAUGAAGUAGUUGAAAAAUUGUAUCAACAUAUUCUUUGUUUAUUGGGAUCACCUACCUGUAUUGAUCUUAUGACGAUGUGUUAUUAAUGAUGUACUGGUACUGCAUUUCGUGGUUUACUUGCCAAAACUAUGCAUGCUGAAUGUUUCUGGCGAAAGAAGCAAUUGACAGCAGCAGAACAGCGUCAGAAUUGUUAUUUCUGUGGUCUUGACUUCUUUAUUUUUUUCAGUUGUCUGAAAUGCUGUCGCCUCAUCUCCCCCUCAAAAAGCCGCAACUGAGUGCGACGUAUUCAAUCUCUCAUUGUAUAUUUGGAGCUUAAUUCCUUGGACUCUUUUAUCCUGUCGACUCCCCUCGUUGCGAAGUUCAGUCUUCUAUACGUUGUAUGAGAGAGUUUGUCGGUUCUACAAACUGAACACCGAAGUCUAUUUGAAUUUGAAUUUGAAUUUGAAUUUGUACUUCUGGGUGAUUGAAAAAGAUGAUCUUCUUACCCGUUUUUUCUUGUGUUAUGUUUGGCGAAAAUAACAGAACAAGAACUAUUUGGGGAUUUUGUGAUGUAAUAACAAUAGGGUGUGUUAUUUGAUUCGCACCGUGUUCGGCUUUGAUUACUUUUCAGGAGGGUAGUUGGAUUGCCCGACACAGAUCUAGGACCUAACUAUUGCCAGUAUUUAUUUGAUGUCUCAAUUAGGAUGACGAGUUUAUAAUUUACAACCACUUAAUUUGUCAAAUUGCAUGUUCUAUACUUCGUGAUGGGACUUCCGGUGUUGAAAUAUACAUUGAUCAUCAGAGUAUUACUACAUGGAGCCCUUACAAACAAAGGUGCAUGAUAUUUGAUAUCUCCUGAUUACACUAUCGCAUGUCUCCUUUUUUUCAAAACACUUGAUCCUUAAGCAAAGACCUAUGAAAUACUCCUUGGUAGUGUAAAUGUAUUUUUUUCGAUACUGUAAUUUAGAUGGUCUUUGAUUGAGUCUAUAUUUUAGUUAUGAAAUUCCUACAUCUUUGUAGAAAAUUCAUUCUGCAGUAUGCAGUUUUAUGUUUCGACAUACAAGACAUACAAGACAUAUACGUGUAGUACAACCAGAAUGUUUUAGAAGCACCGAACCUUGGCGCUUUUGCUCUUUUGUGUCAGAUAAGUACCUUUACUUUUAUCAAUAACUUAACGGCAGCUCAAAAUUUUACUUUAAUUUAUUCCAGUCGAAUUUGAUGAAGUAUUGUCUUUUCAUUUCUUUUCUCUGUAGGGUAAGUUCACCUGAAAGCUCAGUAGAUUUAUGCCAUCUGUUUGGGACAAUUUUGGCUAUGAUGAUGAAUGCCAACUUGUCGGCGUGCUCGAGCAACCAGGAUGAGAUGUGGUUGCCUUCUAUUGUCACAGCUGCUUGAUGCUGUCGGAUGAGAUGGAAUGAACGGCUAAGGUAAGAAAUUGUUCCAUAACAUUACCUGUAAAAAAUAAAGGGGUAAACCAUAACAUUACCUGUAAACUUCAUUUCCGGUGGUAUGACCUAAUCUACAAGACAUGAAUAUUCUCUAGGGAGGAAGCAAAGUAUAACUUUGUGAAGACAACAUACUGUGCUAAAUAUGAUACUUGAAGAACAAUAUAGCUCCAGAACAUAAAGGUAACCAAAUAUAUACUUUACUGCAGACACUAGGGUAUCUUAUACUAAAGAAGGUAACCUCACAAUUGAAGAAAAGGCUCUUCUCAGACCUUAUAAAUACCCUCAACAUCAUAUCGAAUUCUGCGUGCGCACUCGGAACUCAAGAUCUAACCACUACCUAAACUUAAAUAUAUUGCAUCGAGGUUUGUACCAUGGCGACGCAUCGGGGCUCGGCCUUCGUCCUCGCCAUUCUCCUAACAUUGACUAUUGCAGCCGCAAGUCAGUUUAAGGUUGGCGGCUCGGGCCAAUGGACUAGUCCUAAUCCUAAUUCGAUGUCGUACAAUGACUGGGCCGAGAGAACCCGGUUCCAAGUUGGCGACACUCUAUGUAAGCAUUUUCGACUCGCUCUCGAUCAUCGAUUGCGUUUGUUCAUCGGGUUAAGUACAAAUUUAGUCUUCAAAGUUCGAUUCCCUUUCAAUUAUAUAUUUCCUCGUUGUUUCAAUUGUUACAUUCAAGUUCAUAUUUAGACUCUCAAUUUAGCCCAAAUGUUUAAACUAGCUAAACCAAAAGGACUUCACUAUUAACUCGUCAAAUGGAAACUAAACACGCCAAAAUCAAAAUCCAGAUCAAACUUUCGGGAUGAAAUUUGUCACUACCCCUUGUUUGUACAUCAAUCUGACACAACUGAAGUCGUACGCAAAGCAUUUUCAACUUGUGUUCGUGUUGCAGUGUUCUCCUAUCCUCCCGACAAGGACUCGGUGCUGCUAGUGGAUCAGAAUGCUUACAACAGCUGCGAUACGUCAUCGUUCAUCGAUCAGUUCAAGGACGGGAGCACGGCGUUCACGUUCGCGAGGUCAGGUCCCUUCUACUUCAUCAGCGGAAACAAAGACAACUGCAAGAAGGACGAGAAGCUGAUCGUCAUGGUCAUGGUGGGCCGAAACGGUAGAACGAGCUUAAUAGCGCCUUCGCCCUCGCCUUCUCUUCCUCCAUCAACUUCUACAGCUUCUUCGCCCCCGCCUAAGGGACAAAUAGAGGUUUCACCAUCAACUUCACCUCCCUCUCCCCCUCCACCUAGUGGGGCUUCUUCGCAAGUUGUGGGCUUCAUGAGCACACUUGGAGCAGCUAUUGUUGCAUCUUUAUUCUAUGUCUUAUGAGAGGUGUGUGUGUGUGUGUGUGUGUGUGUGUUUUGUGAUUAAUGAGUGUGGAGUCAACUUAUUGCUGUAUGAAAUGUUGUGUAAAGAUUUUUUUUUUCUUUAAUUUCUUACAUGUAUUUUUAUUUUUGCGGAAGUUAUUUUGGCAUUGAUUGUAUUGAUAGAAUCAUAAGGAUGGAGAAUAAGCAGGAUUAUUCAUACCAUUGUGAGUGUGUAUGGGUGUUGGUGUUGUUGUAUUUAUUGGAAAAGAGGAAAUAAAAUGUGUGUAUUGAAUUUGAAUCUCCUCAUUUGUUUAAAAAUAUCCUUUCUUUUUUUGUUUAAUUUUUUUUUCCAGCAUAUGUUUCAAUCUAAAUGAAAUUCCUAAGUUUUUUAAUUCUCCCCCUACUUUUCCAUUCAAAAAGAAGUAUAAAUGCCAUACAAAAACAAACACGAAUAAAAUAAAAUAUUUGUUUGGAAUAAAUUUGAGUUUAAUUGAACUUCAUUCCAUUUUAUAGUCCAGUGAAAAAAUAAGAUUUAUUUCAAAUUUUCAAUAUGUUUACUUUUUCAAAUUUUAUAGUUAAAUUGACUACUUUUAAAAGGGGUUAUAAACUAUAACUACUAGCAAAUCAAUUCUCACUAAAUCCGACCUCAAAUAAUCGAAAUUGGAUAAAAAUAUUCAUUUGUAUAGUGAGGAAUCUCGUCAAAUUAUUAUAAAUGAAUUAAAAUUUUAUUAACUAGUGAUUUCAAAUAAAGAAACUAGAAAAACUACUUCUUUAUCUGUGCAUUACAGAAUUGAUUUGCUAGUAGUUUGACGAGAUUCCUCACUAUACAAAUGAAUAUUUUUAUCCAAUUUCGAUUAUUUGAGGUCGGAUUUAGUGAGAAUUGAUUUGCUAGUAGUUAUAGUUUAUAACCCCUUUUAAAAGUAGUCAAUUUAACUAUAAAAUUUGAAAAAGUAAACAUAUUGAAAAUUUGAAAUAAAUCUUAUUUNUAUAUAUAUAUAUAUAUAUAUAUAUAUAUAUAUAUAUAUAUAUAUUGAGAAUAAGGUAGCGUGUUACCUGUUUCAUUCAUUGAACUGAUGAAUUAGGCUACAGGAGUGAGGCAGCUGAGCCUCGAACCGGAUGAAAAAAAAAGGAUUACUGAUUAGCCGACAAAAGUUGAUCCCACGAAUUCGACAACUGUUUAGCCUUACGCACAGCUUUGAGGGGUCUAAUCAAAUCCUUCUUUCAUGUAUUAGAUAUAAUAGUCCUUUUGCGUGUAGCUGUUUCAAAAUUUUAUUUUUUUUAUGUAAUAAAAAUAUGUAUAUCAAAUCUGGAUUGAGAAUAACAUGAAGAUACACAUAGGGAGAGUUUUGAGAAAUUACACUUGUAUGCUAAGUAUAAUUAGAUCUCAUCUUUAAUCUUUAUAAAAUUUUAAAUCUAAUACAGAAUUUUAAAUAACAAAGUUCAGAUUAAAUACAAAUAAAAAAUGCAAUUUGUACGUCCUGUAAUUAGGUGGUACAUCUUAUGCCCACUGCUAAAAAAAUUGUAAAAUCUCUUUAAAAUUUUAAGUAUUAAAAAAAAAUUGAUGAGAAUAGUGAAUAAAUGAGCGUCAUUAAAUGGUAGUUAGGGAUGGCAAAGGAGCGAGCCGGCUUGUGUUCAGCUCGGUAUUCAGCUCGCUUGAGUUCAACUUGAAAUUAAAUGAUUCAAGCUUUGAACAAAAAAAAAACUCAAAAUUUAUUUUAUGUUGAGCUUGAGUAUUACUGUGCUCGCUCGAAUUAGGCUCGAAAAGCUUGAUCCAUAAGUCCGGCUACUAUAUUCUUAUAAGUACGAUCGCCUUCGCACUCAUAAGUCGUUUUCGAUGAUAGAGCUUCCGAAUCAACGAUCCAUAACAUUAAACAUUAUUUAGAAUAUUUAAAACUUCUAGAAAUUAAAUUUUAUAAUUUUUUGACACUAUUUACCUUACAAUCAAAAAAAUCUUAAAAUUGACAAUUUUUAACGGCCGGUAUGGAAUAUUUGCUAGUUUAACGAUGUAAAAAACCGGAAUCGAUUGAAUUUUUGAUAGAAAAUUCUAUUCACUAUCUACAUAAAGAUCAAAAACUCCGAUCUUAAAUUGAAGGAUCCAAUCAUCUAUUUUUAGGAUGUCAUUCGAUUUUGACCGUUCAUUUUAUACCCACUUGAUGGACUUUAUUACGAUUUUGAAAAAUUACGAAUUUAUUUUUUAGAAGUUUGAAAUACUCAAGAUCAUAUUUAACGAUAUGGAUCGUCGAUUCGGAGGCUCUAUCAUCGAAAAUGACUUCAGUGUAUAAUAGCCGGACUCAUGUUAUUUUACAAUGACUUGCUAUGGUGAAGGAAUAUUAAGCCUUAACAUAUAUUCUGCUUCCAUUCAGUUUGACUGCGUAUCAAACCAUCAAUUUCUCCUACCGUCAAAAUAACUUUACUCAUGAUUAAACAUAACUUGCCAUUUUUAUUCAUUGAUAUCUUAACAGCACGAAUAUGAAUGCUCUGUAGUCCAUGACAGAAAAUUUUGAUCAAGCAUAGCCAUCGCGCCAAGUGAAAAUCUACUCUUCUCUUUUGUAAAUAGAACUAAAACAGUGUGUGUGUCAUCAUCAUUUAGCAUAUCUAUUCUUAAAUUUUUUUUGAAAAUCUUAAUGUGGGGUUCGUCAAUAUCUGGUAUCAAACUAAUUUCAGCACUAAAAUUAUUAGAUGUGAAUUAGCUAGGUGCAUGCCUUGCCUUACAGCCUUAGUCUACAACGUUAGCCAAACAGCCCAAUUUGAUUGCCCCACUGAUUCAAUAAUCAGCGAAACUUGAAUCCACAUCCAAAUCCUAUUGAGACUGAUGAAGUGCGACAUAAACAGUAGUAACUUGUUCUCAUCCCAGCUAUUAUCUACUUAGUUCUCUGUUCUCUCUGGAUGGUCUGCAUCUGUUACAUCUUGAAAUGGAACUGAGCUCGUCUUGUGAAGUUUGCAUACGUUGCAGAAGUCUCUUUGUAGAAAUCUACGAAUUAGUUUUUACUCAUUCUCCUGAAAACUUGCCCGACUGGAUCAUGGGCUUUGUUUACUAAUGUGUAUGUCUUUUAUGAACUUUUGAUUUUUUAUAUGCAGUACUGGAAAAGCUAGGAGUGCGAGAGCAAGUUAUGUUAUGGAAAUAAUAAUUUUGAGUCGUUGGAAUUUACUUAGGCAAUGGUGCAUAUAUUUGUUCAUGCAUAAGACAUCUGGGACUCUUGUGUUUUCCCUUGCCUUCCCCCAAUAAUGCAAGAAUAUUAAUUCACCAUUCUCAGUUCAUUAACCAAAAAAAAAAAAAAAAAAAAAAAAAAAAAAAAAAAAAGCAGCUUUUGUUAAUUGAAGCCUAUAAACAAAUUCUGUUUUAGAACAUUACGAGUCGCCAAAGAAAAUGGACACUUUUACAUGGCCAAUGUUUAUGAAGAAAAUAAGAAGAUAUAUACAUAUGUUAGAUUCACUAUAACAAUGAAUGAGUAACUUUACAUUUGCAUUAACCCCCAAAUACCUGUAUGAGCACUAAAUCAACACCCGCACUAUCUUGCGUGCAUAUAGUAUAAACAAAUUAAUGUAACAAAAAUUAACUCCAAUUACAUGCCGCCUUCUCAUGCUUCCUUCCUCAUGCUUUCUCCUGCAUGCUCAUUUCCUUGGAUCACAGCAGAAAGAUGCAGCGCCAUCAGACGAUGCUGGCGGCGGCAUCUGACAAUUUCUGAACGGCGUCUCUGAAUCAAUGAGUGGCGGUGGCGACGGUUCAUCAUUGAGCACCGAGUCAAACCAAUCAGAAUAGUCUUCGUUCUCUAGUACCGAUAGCAGCUGAUCCCAAUCGCCUGCUUCGUCGACCACCGUCCGCUCGUCCUGAUCAGGCGCCAAUAACAGCUGCUGGUCUGCAGUUGCAGCCGCCGCUGUCGUCCCAUUAAGUUCAUAAGACAGCAGAGGUGGCUGACGGUCCCCAGCUCCUUCCAUGGCCGUGCUACUACCUAUGUCUCCAGUGUUCACAUCUCCUCGGAGUCCAUAAAAAAUGUCGGCAUUCAUCGUCUCCGUCCACUUACGAAGAUAUGGAAUUGGCAGCAGAUCAAUGUCCGCCGUCAUCCCAAGCGCACCGUGGCAGGCAAGAUUGAUGUCACCGUUCGCCAUCUCUCUUUCUUUAAUACCAUCCGCCGAUGCGACAGAGUCAGCAUAUUCUGUGUUUGUACUACUGUAGCUGCACUCCCCAACCUCGAAGAAAUCAGCAUUCCCCGUCGCCACAUUUUUGCCGUGAUAUGGAAUUGGCUGCUGCUGAUCAGCAGCCAUAGUCCUCCCGAGCAGACCAUCGGAGACAAGGUUGACGUUGUUGACGUCGCGAACGGAUGCCGCAAUAUCGGUUUCUGCCGCAGGUGUGCGCGCCGCUUCCUCCCGCUUUCUUUUGUGGCUCCUCGCGAUCUCUCUUGCGCUCUUCUUGAUGCAGCACAGGACCGGUUCUUGCGAUGCCCCCUGUUUAUAAUUCGACAAAUUAAGUCCCGAAAUUAAAGAAAAUGUGAUCUUCGGAAAAAGGCGAGCAAGAGAUCGUUGAUUAGCGCGUACCUGUUGCCGCGUACCCUGGUUGGCUGUCGACGGCAGCUCAUACUCGUACAUGACGUAUCCGGUCGUCUUCUUGGAUGGUUUCUUGGAUGAGCAGUCGUCGUCGUCGCCGAUACAGAACGAGAACAUCGCUUUGAAGCCGAUGACUUCGCCGCCGGCGGACACGAUCUCGUUUUUCUUGGUUUGGCCGGUCCACGUCCCCCGGCCGGCAGUGCGCUUCACACGAUUCCCAUGCCGGGUCCUCUUGGUGAGGAAAUACCCAAUCUCGCCGUCGUCGCCGAGGAGGCUCCGUGGAUCCGUGGAGUAGACUUGGGCCUCAACGACGUGGUCCCAGCGCAGGCUCUGGCCGGCGGCGUAGGCGCGGAGGUAGUGGACAAUGAGCUGCUCAUCCGUGGGGGUGAAGGCGAAGCCGAGGGCCACCGACUCUUCCGACUGCGACCGGCUCGGCCGCGGCGCCGUUCCGCGGGAAGAGGGAUGGCAUUGUUGCGCCAUCGAUCUGAGAACCUUAAUUGGAGUCGGAGGAGGAAGCUCGCUGUGGAUUUCUGGCAGGAGACGAACGAGGAUUUCCAAGAAAGGCUCGAGAAGGGGAGGAGGGUGAGAAAGAGAUCAAGAAAAGAAGUUGGCGGGGUGGAGAGAGCGAGAGAUUUGAUCGUGAUCGAGGCGACCGUUAGUAAAUCCUCGCGCGCUCCUUUCUUGGGUUUAAGAUUGUAUAUGGGUUUGGGAGCUAGGAUUCCUAAUCGGACUCAACUUGGGCGUAAUUUAACAACGGUAAUCAGAUGGUGCUAAUUAUUAUACGAACGGCGUGACCGAAUAAUAAGCUUACCUCCGCGUAUAGUUAACUUAAUAUUGCACGAUAUGCAUGAAUUAAUGGAUAGCGAGUUUAAAAUUGAUUUUCGGUCCAAUAAAGCCUUUGGUAACACCAUUUUCAAAAUACAAUUCAAAUUUAAUUUUAAAUUUUAAAUUUUUAAAUUUAUUUUUUUAAUUUUUAAAAAUUAAAAUUUAAAAUUUACAUUUUACAUUUUAAAUUUCAAUUUCAAUUUUAAUUUUAAAUUUAAAUUUUAAAAUUUCAAUUUCAAUUUCAAUUUCAAAUAAAAUUUGAAAUUUGAAAUUCUAGAAUUUUAAAAUUUAAUUAGAAAAUUUAAAAUUAUAUGUUUUAAUUUUUCAAAUUACAAAUUUCAAAAUUUUAAAAUUCAUAUAUUAAAUUUUAAAUUAUUAAAUUUUAAUUUUGAAUUCUAAAAUUUUAUUUUUAAAAUUUUAAAUAUUCUAGUUUUAAAUUUGAAAUUUUAUAUUUCAAACUUUAAAUUUUAAAUUUUUAUAUUUUUAAUUUCAAAUGUCAGGUUUUAAAUUUAGAUUUUAAAUUUUUGAAAUUAAAAAUUUAUAUUUAGCUUUAAAAAUUCAAAUUGUGAAUUUUAAAUUUCAAAUUUUGAUUUUUUUAAAAAAUUAAAAUAUCAAAUUUUAAAUUUUGUAUAAUUUUUAAAUUUUAAUUUAUUUUAAAAUAUAAUUUAGUAGAAAUAUUAUUAUAUGCAGAUAUUAAAAUAUUUUUUACCAAACAGUUUUACGAAAUCAAUUCAGAAAAAUUGCUUUUAUCUUAACUCAGCCAAAUGCUCUACAGUUUUUAACCAAAAUCGCUUCUCCAAACCGAAAUCAAUUCUGCAGAAAUUACUUUUUCAGAAUUUAGGCCAAACCGAAGUUUUUUCAUUGUGAUUGUUAAGAAAAAAUUUAAUUUCUUUCACUUUUAAAAUGUCUUGAUGCUUAGAUUUUGUAGAAAAGCAUAUUUAUCUUAUUUUCAAAAAAUGAUUUGAAAGUCGAGUAUAGUGUUCAAUUUCUCACAUUUAAUCAUAUUUCUCAUCUUAUAAAUAUACAAAUUUCUUGAGUAAAUCAAACUAAUAUAUUGAAUAAUAUAUUUAUAUAUUCAAAGAGAGUCUAAGAAGUUGGUAGGCAUAGAUUCUGAAAAACAAUUUAUGUAGAAUUGAUUUUGGUUUGAAGAAUUGAUUUGAUCAAAACUUGUAUAGUUUUGUCUAAAUCUAGUAAGAAAGUGGAUUUUUUUUCUAGAAUAAUUUUAGAAAAUUGUUUGGAAAUUUUUUUAAGUGUUUGCAAAUAAUAAUUUUUUUGCUGAAUUUUAUUUUAAAUUUUGAAUAUAACAUUCGAAUCUGACUUUAAAAUAUGAAAUUCGAACUAGAAUUUAUAUCAGAAUUUACAAUCCAAAUUUAAAAUUCAAAAGUUUAGAAUUUUGAAAUUUCAAACUUAAUAUUUAGAAUUUAAAAUUUAAAAGUUAAAAUUUAUUAAAAUAAAAAAUCUAAAUUUAAAUUACAUUUAAAUUUAAAGGUAUAAAUAAAAUAAAGAAAUGUAGUCAAUGUUUAUUAGAAACCAACUGUAAAGAUUUAGGACCAAAUCGGUUAGCAAUUAAUGACCAUCGAAUAAGUUGUAGACAUAGCAUUUCUCCUAUCAACAAUUCUUUUUGGCUCUUGUAGUAAAAAAUUUGGAUAAUAAAUGUCACGCCUCGAAUUACCAUGUUUUUCCGGGCACGCCAACAGACCCGCCGUAUAUAUAGAAAUUUUUCGUGUAUGCGAAGCGAUAGCUGUACCUGUAAGCACGACAAAUCUACACCGGUCUACAACACCUCUUCGCUCCAGCGAGUACAGCAACAACAAAAAUCUCCUCGAACGCUCGAACGCUCGCCCAACGUCGGCAAGAAGUCGACAGGAGGAAACCCGCACUCUUGCUCGACCUCCAAUGGCUCAACUGAGACACCCACGCGCACGAACGGUCCUCCGGAGAAAUGUCAAAUCCGGAUGAGCUCGAUCCACACCUACCCAACGAACGGCGUACCCUAGCUAGAGAGAGAGAAGAAGAAGAAUGACUAUCUGUUCUCCCAAGGCUCUCUACACAACUCUAUAUAAGGACCAAAAUACCCCUCACCAACUCACUUUUCCACCUGGAGUAUUGGUACUCAGCUUGAAUACCGGUACUCUGCCCCUCAAUCCGCAGUCUCGCAUACUAGGUAUCGGUACCAGCCCGAUGUAGUACCGGUAUCCGAGCUCAGUACCGGUACUCAGCAAUAGGUAUCGGUACUCAGCAUCAAGCAUGCACAAACCCGAGAGCACCCAGUUCUGCAAUAUCACUGGGGUACCGAUACCCGAGCUCGGUACCGAUACUCGGCAACAGGUACCGGUACUCAGCAUCAGGCAUGCAAAAACCCGAGAGCACCUAGUUCUGCAAUAUCACUUAGGUACUGGUACUCCUCCCUAGGUACCGGUACUCAACAUGAAAUCCUGCACUUUGGAGAUUUCAGUGUUAGUACUCCACUCUCGCACCGUGCUGAGUCCGUUUUGCAUCUAUUUCGUGCCAAAACGACUCUGACUUGUCUCGACAAGCCACAAAUGCUGAAGUCAUGCAAACCACUAAACACCAAGGACAUUAUAUCCUCCCCCACUAUAAAAAGUUUCGUUCUCGAAACUUAGAAUCGUACCUUAAUCCUGAGCCUCAAACAAAUAUGGGUAGGACUCUUACAUCACAUCCUCCGGCUUAGACAUCGCCUCACGCUCCUUGUGAUUACUCCACUACACUUUCACGUACGGUAUGACCCGGUUGUGCAAUUCUUUUGUCUCACGAGUAAGAAUCCACACCGGUCGCUCCUCGUACUUUAAGUCCUCGCCAAGCUCAAGUGGAGUGAAGUCAAUCACGUGUGAGAGAUCAAACACAUAUCUCUUCAAUGCCGAUACAUGAAACACAUCAUGGAUACCAGCAAGUCGCGGGGGUAGUGAAAUCCGGUAUGCCACUGGCCCGACUCGCUCGGAAAUCUCGAAAGGGCCAACAAAUCGUGGACUGAGCUUUCCACGAACUCCAAAUCUGCGAAUGCCUCGGGACGGCGAGACUUUCAGGAAAACAUGGUCACCAACCUGAAACUCCAAGUCUCGUCUCCUAGUAUCAACAUAGCUCCUCUGUCGACUCUGGGCGGUCUCAAGAUGUCAUCGCAGAACCCUAACCUUCUUCUCUACCUCCAACAAAAUCUAGGUCCCAAAAUCUUCCUUUCACCCAUAUCACUCCAAUGCAAGGGUGAUCGACACUUCAAUCCAUACAACGCUUCAAACAUAGCCAUCCGAAUGCUCGCUUGAUAGCUGUUGUUGUACGCAAAUUCAACCAAUCUCAAGUGUCGAUACCACUAUCCUCCAAAAUUCAGAACACAAGCUCUCAGUAUGUCCUCUAGAGUCUGAAUGGUCCUCUCUGACUGACCAUCUGUCUGUGGAUGAAAUGCUGUAUUGAAGUGGAGCUGCGUACCCAAAGCCGUCUGAAGGCUCCUCCAAAAAUGCGAGAUAAAUCUCGGGUCUCUAUCAGAUACAGUCGAGGUAGGUACUCCAUGUAACCUCAUUAUCUCAUCCAAGUAUAGGUGGGCGAGUCACUCUCUAAACCAAGUGGUCUGCACUGGUAGGAAAUGGGCAGACUUAGUCAGUCUAUCCACUAUCACCCAUAUAGAAUCAAAUCUACCCUGUGCUCUCGGUAAACCCAUGACAAAAUCCAUCAUGAUAUGCUCCAAUUUUCACUCAGGUACUGGAAGAUUCUGAAGCUUGCCAGCAGGUACACGAUGCUUUGCCUUCACCUGUUGGCAAGUCAGACACGGAGCCACGCAUUUGCCAAUGUCCUCCACCAAAAGUGUACCUUUAAAUCCUUAUACAUCUUGGUUCCACCAGGGUGAACCAUAUGAGGCGAGUAAUGACCCCUCUCAAAAUCUCCUCUCGGAUCUCUGAAUCCUCAGGCACACACAGUCGGUUUCUAUACCGCAGUACUCUCGAAUUGUCCACAGUAAAGGCCUCCGCCUAUCCCCUCUCUAUCUGCUCCCGGAUUCUCAACAAAUGAGAGUCUCCACUCUGUUUCUCUCUGAUCCUAUCCAACAGAGUGGGCUAUAAAACCAUAGACAUCCGUCUUGCAGUAGUCCCAGGGGACACUAUCUCGAGCCUCAGUCGCUGUAACUCCUCAAGUAACAGUCUCUGCUGAGUAAUCAAUAUGCUCAAAUUCUGCACCGACUUCCUGCUCAACCCAUCUGUCACCACAUUCGCCUUGCCGGGGUGAUACUAAAUGCUAAUAUCAUAAUCCUUCAAUAACUCCAACCACCGACGUUGCCUCAGGUUCAACUCCUUUUCGGUGAACAGACACUUGAGACUUUUAUGAUCGGUAAAGAUGUGAGAUCCCUGGUGUUUGACUGUGGAGGCUUGUCGACAGCUCGGGAGAGUGUCGGCACAAGUCCGAGUAGCGUUGGCGUCAAAUAGACGCAAAACGGACUCCGUGCGACGCGAGGGCAGCUUUCAGCGAAGAAAUCUGCAAAAUAGCAGAUUUUCCUGCUUGCUGUACCGGUACAGCCAGCGAGGUGUACUGGUACACUACGCUGGCUGAGCGCGUACUGCUUUCAGGUUGGCUUCCUGUAACGGUACGCGAUCCCGUGUACCGGUACACCAGGGUAGGUGAGGGGGUGUUUUGGUCUUUUUCUACCUCGUUCGUAUCACCCUCCUCUCCCCAGCUUAUUUAUAUGUAGAGUGAGGCUGAGAGAGAGAGUUUUGCUCUUGGUUCUCUCUCUCUCUCUCUCUAGAGCCGAUUGUGAGCAAGGUGGAGCUCGGGUGGAGUUUCGUCGCCGACGUGGUGCCGCGGAGCCGUUCGGGCGCACGUUGUGUCGUCUUGGUGCUGUGAGGAGCUCGGGCGAGCGUGGAUUUCCGUCGUCCUCGACAUUGCGCCGACUCUUGAGGAUCUAUCAAGGUGAGUGCUCUGUGGAAUUGCUGCGCAUACUUCGGGUAUCAUUAAUUCAAGCUUAAGUGCUGAUUCGCAGGAUCUUGUCGUCAACUGUUAGUAUUUCAGCUUGUUCUCGACGUAGGAGCAUUGGAUUGCGACGAGACUUGGUUCGUUGGAUUCGGGACUUUGAGAGGAAUCCACGAAGCCCUUACUUACGAAUUUUGGUGAAGGUUAGCUUGGUCGAAAUCCUUCUCUUCUCUGCUGCUGUGGAUUUUGGACUGAAUUGAGGAUUUUUGGUGUUUUUAGUUUGGAGUUAGCUCGAUUUCGAGACUCGGGUGUUUUUGGUCGAUCCAGCAGGUGGUGUCGCAGCCGAGGGGGUUCCGUGCUGCCAGGGAUUAGCGUGCGAGGUGGGUUACAUCGGCUUUGACUCCUAAGUUCAUAAUCGUCGACAUGUAUAGAUCUCGAUUUUUGGAUAAUCUAUUCUAGCUCGAAUUCAUGGAUUAUAUGGUAGAUUGCAAAUCUGAAUUUGGAGUAUAUGGUAAUAAAUUAAGUAGGUUAUACAUGUUGGACUUGGAAAUUGAAUUAGGAGAAAACCUGCGAUUUGGACCUGUCACCUGUUUAAACUGCCUGAUUUAGCUCUAGGAGCCGUUAUAAAAUUAUACUGUCGCAGUAUCCUCAAGACGAGUACUCCAGGUAGUUUAGAAUGCAUUUACGCUCAUGCUGGUAUGUCGAGUGAAUUUUUACAGGGUCGGUCAGGUUGUUCCGGACUGUUGGGUGCCGUCAGAGUUGACGGUGGACCCGUAUCGCCUUUUUGGCGUCAGAUUGUGCCGAGGGCAAGUUACUUGUUGGUUGUUAGACCAGUUUGAGCCGGUUACUUGACUUUGGCUAUUGAGAGCCUGAUUGAGCUCGACAGAGAUACGCUGCAUACUCGGUUGGGUAGCGCCCACGAGUGCCACCCCGGAGACGGCCUUUGUGCUUUCGCGUUGGUGUCGCUCAUGCCAGUUGGACUUGCUCUCCACGGACCAGUUAGUGUGGAUAGAGCUCGAUAGUCGCAACGGCGCAGGGACGGGUGUAUUCACAGUCCCAGGGACGGGUAUGUUUACAGUCCCGAUUGGAUUGGGUCAGAUUUGACAUGUUCUACAGUUGGUUAGUGUAGAGCAUGAUAGUGUAGUGACUUACAGCGGUUGAGUUAUUUCCUGCAUUUUUUCUAUUAUCCUGGCUCCCUUUUGUAGAUUUAGUGGGUGGACCGAUGUUGUUUUGGGCGGCACCCACUGAGCACUCCUUGUUUUUACAGUAGUUCUCACGCCCAGAAGUUACCCCUGUUUUGCAGAGUCACAGGUUUCGGCUGCUACGCCUUCCGCGGAUCAGGAUCGAGGCAAGGGCGUCGCGAGUUAGAGCCCUACCCGCUGAGCAGAGCUAGAGGCACCCUACUGCAGGUAGUUGUUUUACUUCGAGCUUAUGUACAUAGUACUUAACUCGCCAGUGCAAGUGAUGCUGUAUUUUGGAUUCUGAACUAUGUAUAUGAAGCUCAGUUUGUUUAGCUUUUGUUUACUCGAGCAGCUCUAUACUACUGUUUGUAGUAUUAUUUGAUUUACAGGUACUGAUGUCGCUUCAUAUAUAGGGAAAAUUCCUUUGUAUACAGCGGAUUUGUCGGCGUGCCCGGGGAACGAGACAUCCGGGGCGUGACAGAUUUCACAGUGCUCACCAUACAAAUAAUGCCGCCAUAACUUCAAAGCAAAAAUCACCGCGGCAAGCUCCAAGUCAUGCGUAGGGUAAUUCUUCUCAUAAUCCUUUAGCUGCCGGGAAGCAUAAGUAAUUACCCUAUCAUGCUGCAUCAGAACACAACCUAACCCACUAUGCGAUGUGUCAUUGUAAAUCACGAAUCCUUCCUCCAUAACUGGAAGGGCAAGGAUAUGAGCCGACAUCAAUCUCUAUCUCAACUCAUCAAAGCUCCUCUGAUAAUCCUCACUCCAGACGAACUUAAUUUCUUUUCGAGUCAAUCGAGUGAGGAGUGAGGAAAGUUUCGCAAAACCUUCCACAAACUGACGGUAAUAACCAGCCAAACCAAGGAAACUCCUCACCUCAGUAACCGUCGUCGGUCUCGGCCAAUCCCGAAUCGCAUCAAUCUUCUUCGGGUCAACUGCUACUCCAGCUGCAGAAAUUACAUGGCCCAAAAAAGAAACCUUCCGAAGCCAAAACUCACACUUUUUCAACUUAGUAUACAACUUCUUCUCCCUCAGAAGCUGUAAUACUAUUGUCAAGUGCUCCUCAUGCUCAACAUCAUUCUGGGAGUAAAUCAGAAUAUCAUCAAUGAAUACUCGAUUCAUCAAAUCCAUAAAUAAGAUAGGGGCAUUCGUCAAUCCAAAAGGCAUCACUGUGAACUCAUAAUGCCCGUACCGACUCUGGAAAGCCGUCUUGGGAACAUCCUCGGCCCUCACCCUCAACUGGUGGUAACCUGACUGGAGAUCAAUUUUUGAAAAGACACAAGAUCCUUCCAGCUGACUAGACAGAUCAUCGAUGCGCGGCAAAUGAUACUUGUUCUUGAUUGUCACUGUAUUCAACUCCCGGUGAUCCACACACAGUUUAAGUGAACCAUCAUUCUUUUUUACGAAUAACACCGGCACUCUCCAAGGCAACACAUUGGGUCUCACAUACCCCUUAUCCAUCAAAUCCUGAAGCUGCGCCUUUACUCCCUUAGCUUUGCCGAUGCCAUUCGGUAGAGACCCUUUGAGAUUGGCGCAGUUCCAGGAACCACGUCAAUCACAAACUCAAUUUCUCUAUCCGACGGCAUAGUCGUCAACAACGGGGGAAAAUAUCUGAAAACUCGCGAACUACAAGGAUUUCCUCGAGUCCUGUUGUCACCAUAGGCACCUCUACUGUCGUCGCCAAGAACGCGAUGCAUACUCGGCUCAUCGGCUGUCUAGCUCUCGCCGAAGAGAUCCAAGUAGCAAACAGCGUACUCCUGCAGCCUCUGAAAGUGAACUCCUCCUGGCCUAGCUCGCGAAACGUCACUGUCCUAACUCCACAGUCGAUCGUCGCAUAGUACUGAGCCAGCUAGUCCAUGCCAAGCAUUACAUCAAAGUCCUGCAACUGCCCCAAGACCAACAUGUAUGCAGGCAUAAUCCAAGGGCCCAACUGUACUGGACAAGCCCAACAACACUCCGCCACAUGUAAAACAUUGUUGAAAAUUUGCACAUCGCUUGCAGGCAAUAGCGGCCCUAUCGCUAAUCCAUGUAAUGAUGCAAAUGCUUGACUAACAAAAAAAUGUGAUGCACCGGUAUCAAAUAAAGUACGAGCUCUAAUACCAUAAAUCAAAAUGAUACCUACUACAUCAUGAUCUGCUGCCGUGGAGUCCUCAACCUGAGCUACAUACACCCUACUACUCGAUGCCUGCUAUCGUCGCUCACUCUGUCGCAGCACUGAAGCUCUGUCAUCCUCGCAGUAGCUCAAAGACACUUCAUAGGUCUACUGGGGUACUGGCGAGGCCAACGCCAUUGAAGGUGCUGGUGAUGCUGCUCGGGGACAAGCCGCUCACAGAUGCCCUGGCUAUCCUCAUCCAAAACACCGGCCCUCUCUACUCAAAAUAACGAUGCCAGUGCGGUCCCAUACAAAUAACACACUGCAGAGUACCCUGCUGCUGUCGUUGCUGAGCCCCCCAGACCGCUGCCGCCCCGAAGACCCACGACCCUGAGAGCGUGAUCGUGGAGGCCUCGGCGGACGCCUGCUACUAGUUUGUCCUCCGUCAUCUGGAACUGGGUGCUUCGUGUCCUGACUCUGCCUCGGCACCGUCGCUCGCUCACGGACCGAUACAGAUCCUCUUGACCCACAACGCAUAACUUAAUCGACGCAUCCAAGGUUCGCAACCUUUGCCCCUGAACCAAAACAAAGAUCUCUGGCCUCAGACCUCUCUCAUACAGAUAGACCUUGUGGGCUUCAUCCCUAGCUAUGAAUGGAACACAGUUAAGAAGCCUGGUGAACUCUCGAGUGUACUCCUGAACUGACUACUCCCCCUGCUGUAGCUUCUUCAGAUCCUCAUUGAGUUUUUGCUUCACGCUAUUUGGAAAAUAGGCCCCGUACAGUAGUCCACAAAACUUGUCCCACCUCAUCUGUAGGGCAACCAAACCUCGAUUAUGCCGCGUCCUCCUCCACCAGGCGUGCGCAUCACCUGCUAAACAGUGCACUGCCAAAUGUACCUGCUCUCGCUCCGAAAUAAAGAAAUCCUCAAACAGUUUCUCCAUCACACUCACCCAUGCCUUUACUACUCAGGGCUCGGUGCGACUACCAUCGAAGUGCGGCGAAUCAAACCGACAAAAACGAGCGAGCCUCUCGGUCAUCUGCUCCUGCUCAGCCUCUGACAUCUGAGAUGCCUCUCCAGUAGGUGCAACUGGUGCGGUAGGAACUGUCGCCGGUGGGGGUACAGCUGUGGCUGGUGCGGCCACUGGAGUAGUCGAAGGUGGCGCCUGCUGCUCUGACACUCUGGGCGCUGUAUUCGACUGCUGAGUAAAAGUCUCACACAUUCUCUGUAGUAACACCCCUUACAGCAUGGUCACCUCAGUCAAGGUAGCCAACUACUCUCUCACAUCCGGGGGUGCACUCGGUCCUGCCUGCUCCGGCAUCUCUGAUGGCGCGGAAUGAUCCCGCGUCGACGGUCGACCUCGGCGUCGAUACUUGGCUACCUGAAACCAAAGCCAGAGUCAGACACAACACAUAACCAACUCUCGACCCAAUCAAGCGAAAGUCUACAAAGUCGCCCCUGUUCCUCCUAAAAAUUAUAUCGUCUACAGCAGAUAUAAUUUUCUUGGUAGAAACAGAUACUCCUUCAGUCACUCCCUCCACUCUAGGAUGAGUUAAUAAAUCAAUCGCCGACUCGCGUCUUGCUUUCCUAAGGUCUACCAAGCUUAUGGUUUCUAGAUCCCAACGACCUAAUUCUAAGCUCUGAUACCAAAUUAAUCUGUCACGCUCCGGAUUACAAUGUUUCUCCGGGCACGCCAACAGAUCCGCAGUAUACAUAGAACUUUCCCGUGUAUACGAAGCGAUAACUGUACAUGCAAGCACUACAAAGCUAUAACUAAGUGUAUAGAGCUACUAGAGCUAAAACAUAUAUAUAAAACAAAAUGGGUUCACUGUACAUACACCGGUCUACAACACCUCCUCGCUCCAGCGAGUACAGUAACAACAAAACAGUAUGUCCAUAAAACCCAAAUCUACCUCUGAUAGGUGCUUCUCUAGCAAACGACCAGAGAAAGGACGGCUCUAGCUCGCGACUCCCUUGCCUCGAUUCGAAUCCACAACAGCAGCAUCAGUAGAUGAAGGUUCUGCAAAAAGAUGUCAACCACUGGGUGUGAAAAGUACUACAAAACAGAGUAGUCCUCAGUGGGUACUGUCACCGACCUCAACGGCCCAUCCACUAAGUCUACAGAAAUGAUAUGCACAGGAUAGUAAGGAAAGCUGGAAAGAACUCUACAGCUAUAUCCCUUUAUACUAUCGCUAAUCAACACAAAUUAUCUAUAGACAUAAACAUGCAUCACUCUGACCCAAUCUCAUUAGGGCUGCCCAAACGGACCCACCAUGCCUAUAACCAAACUACACCAUACACCACCCACGGGGAUGACCGGUCCAAGUAAACAGUCCAAAACAGGACGACUGUGACAUCAACGCAAGUCAAAGCCUCAUUCUGGAGUGGCACUUGUGGGCGCGACCGAACCGAGAAUGCAACCGUGUCUCUGCCAAGCUCAAUCAUGCUCUCACAUGCUGUAGUCAAUGCAAAUAGGUCUAAUUGGUCUACCAACCAAAGCUCAUGUAUCCUCGGCACAAUUUGAUGCAAAUCUUGGUCCACCGUCAACCGCGACGGCACCCGAUAGUACGAAGCAGUCUACACACUACUAUAAAACGAGCUCAGCCCCCAGCACAAGCGUAAACUGACCUACACUAAUCUUAGUAUCCAAUACACACUAACAGCGGGGAUACAAGAAAAUCACAGCGCUCAAAGCUAAAUCUGGUAACUUUCAGAAAAUGACAGUGUAGGUUUAACGAGUUUUCUCCUAGUUCAAAUCCCAGUUCAACAUGUAUACAACAUCUAAAAUCACUAAUUAAUGCUCCAAAAUUUGGAUGUCAAUAAAGCAUGCAAAUCCACGAAUUUGAGCCACUAACUAUGAUGAACAAAGCCAAGAAUACAUGCUGGUAAUGCUAGGAUUUAGAAGAAAACUCGACGAUUUCGGUAAACAUUAACCCACCUCGAACGCUCGCUCAACGUCGGCAAGAAGUCGACAGGAGGAAACCCGUGCGCUCGCUCGACCUCCAACAGCUCAACCGAGACACCCACGUGCACGAACGGUCCUCCGGAGAAACGUCAAAUCCGGAUGAGCUCGAUCAGCGCGUACCCGACGAACGGCGUAACCCAGCUAGAAAGAGAGAAGAAGAAGAAUGACUAUUUGUUCUCCUAAGGCUCUCUACACAACUCUAUAUAAGCUGGGUUGGUUGGGAUGAACGACACUUCAAAAGGACCAAAAUACCCCUCACCAACUCACUUUUCCACCUGGAGUACUGGUACUCAGCUUGAAUACCAGUACUCGGCCCCACAAUCCGCAGUCUCGGACACUGAGGGUUCGAGCUCGAUACCGAUACUCGAAAACAGGUACCGGUACUCAGCAUGAGGCAUGCGCAAACCCGAGAGCACCCAAUUCUGCAAUAUCACUGGGGUACCAGUACUCCUCCCUAGGUACCAGUACUCAACACUGAAAUCCUACACUUUGUAGAUUCAGUGUCAAUACUUCACUCUCGCACUGCGCUGAGUUCGUUUUGCGUCUAUUUCGCGCCAAAAUGACUCUGACUUGUCUUAACACCCACCUGUCGUAUCGACAAGCCAUAGAUGGUGAAGUCACACUAACUACUAAACACCAGGGACACUACAAUAAAAAUAGUAGAGACAGAUGGAUUAUUGGAGUGUAGAGUUCUAAGAUUACAACCAAUUUUAGUUCUAGCACUAGCAUUGCUCUAUUAACUGUGCAAAUUGUAGUUCUUAAUUUUUGCUCCACCCCUCAAAAUACUCUGUGUAUGUGUGUGUGUGUGUGUGUGUAUACACAUGCCCGCAUGUUUGUCGAUAGCCAUUUUCAUCCUUCGGAAGGCUAAUUCUGGUAGAGAGGUAUUGCUUCAUGCCUUGCACAUGCUUAAUAACGCUCAUAUAUGAUGUAUCUGUUUUGUUCUUACUUGUUUUUGUUUUAAUCUUUAAUAUCGACGACAUGUAGUGUAAGUUAGAUUUUGGUAUUGCCUGCCAGUUGUUUAUUUGAUUGUCUCAUAGAACUAUAAGUAGAGAAGCUACUUUCGUUCCAUAGCAUGAGAUUUAAGAUGCAUAUAUAGCUUGGUCUACAGGUGUUGUCUAUCAUUUAUUUUAUUGAAAUAUGUCAGAGAACUCUAGUUCGAGAGAAGAUUGUCCUAGAUUUGUCUUAGGCCUUCUUUGGUUGUCAGAAUAAAAUCUCCAAUGAUAAAAUCUCCAAUGCUAACAUGCACAGUAUGAAGAUUUUCUUGGAUGACAAGUAGUUAGGAGUUUGAUAUUUGCUCAUUUAAAAGUCUUUACAUCCAUGAUUUGGUAGAAUGACAUGUUUUACCUAUAAGGUCAUUUAUAUUGUUACGAAGAAAUAAUUUAAAGACCGAAUAUGAUAUUCAUAUUAGGCAACACUCUCCUAAUCUACCAAAUAAUACAUACUUCUUAAGUAAAUCAUCAUAAGUAAAUCUUCAUGCAUCUACAUAGGGCUAUAUGGCUUUGUUUGAAUCCCAAAAUAUACCGUCAUUACAUCUCCUUGGUUUACUUAGGAAACUCAUACAUUUGGUAGAUCAAGAUGUGAUUAUACGUCUAGAAUAGAAUAUCAUAUUCGCCCUUCAAGUCAUUUUUUCUGGAAUAAGUUAAAUCAUCUCGUAGAUGAAAGGCUUGUAUGGAUCCAUGAAUACCUUACUAUGGAUAUAUUUUUGAUUUUCUCAAUAAUUAAGUGUAAUAUUUGGUAGAUGAGAAAUAUGAUCAAACAUCUAGAACGAAAUAACAUAUUCCACUUUCUAAAUCACACUGUAGAUAAUAUGUUAUCCUACCAAAUCAUGGAGAACUAGACCUUUCAUGAAGCAAAAAAUCAAACUUUUUGCCGCAAAUUGCAUAAGAAAAACUUCAUGCCAAAUAAGUUGUUCAAGGAUAACUUAUUUCCAACAUCCAACCAGGGCCGAAAUGUGCUAUCCUACCAAAUAUAGAUAUCGGCUUUUCAAGGAGAAAAAAAAUCAAACUUCUUGCUUCGAAGGCCAAAAGAGCUACCUUUAGAUUUUAGCAUCCAAAUAAUGUCUUAUUACCUAGGAGCAUGAUUUGGUGCUAUUAAGUUUUUUGCCGUUGGAUUAAAAAAUGUGCUGUUAUGAUGAUGUAGGCCCCCGAGAGUUGAAUGGAUGGUUAGUUGAAUAGUAUAAUCAAACAGAUGAAAAUGAUAAAAGAGGUAAAUCUAACAGCAGAAAACUUGAUAGUACUAAAUGUUUUGUGCUAUCGAUAGUAUCCCAGCCGGACUCUCUCUCUCUCUCUCUCUCUCUCUCUCUCUCUCUCUCUCUCUCUCUCUAUAUAUAUAUUAUAUAUAUAUAUAUAUAUAUAUAUAUAUAGAGUGAGGCUACUAUGCUAUCGGAAGCACGGAGCCUUCCGUACUUCCAGCUCGUUUUUGAUGUUGCGACUUUCGAAUCAUCGAUCGGCUCCGUUAAACUUGAUCUAGAGUAUUUGAAGUACCUAGAAAAUAAAUUUUAUGAUUUUACGAUAUCAUUUGCCUAGUGAACGAAGUGGCUCAAAAUCAAUGGCUGAAAAUAAAAAUCUUACAAAAUGUAAUAAUAUGACAUUAAAAUUUUAAAUCAAAGAUAUUGAUCUUGUUUUAUAUAGUAUAAAGAAUUUUCUAUCAAAAUUUCACGUGAUUUGGAUAUUUCUACACCGUUAAACUUGCAAACGGCUCACAACGGCCGUUGAAAUUUGUUGAUCUUGAGCCCAUUCGAUCACUAGGCAAAUGAUAUCGAAAAAUAAUAAAAUUUAUUUUCUAGGUACUCCAAGUACUCUAGAUCAAGUUUAACGGAACCGAUCGACGAUUCGAAAGUCGCAACAUCGAAAACGAGCUGAAAGCACGGAAGGCUCCGUGCUUCCGAUAGCAUAGUAGCCUCACUCUAUAUAUAUAUAUGCGCUGGUAUACUAUCGAUAGCACGGAGACCUCCGUGCUACCAAGUUGUUUUCAAUGAUGCGGCUUCCAAAUCGACGAUCGGCUCUGUUCAACUUGAUCUAUAUUAUUGAAAGUAUUUGGAAACUAAAUUUUAUAAUUUUUCGGCAUCAUUUAACUAUCAAACGAGUUGUGUAAAAAUGAACGGCUGAAAAUAUAAAUCUCAUAAAAAAUGAUGAUAAAAGACUUGAAUUUAAGAUCAAAAGUACUGAUCUUACUCUAAAUAGUGAAAAAAAAAUUUCUAUAAAAAUUUUAUCAGAUUUGGAUUGUUUUACACCAUUAAAUUCACAAACACAUCACAUCGACCAUUCAAAUUAUCAAUUUUGAGACCUUUUAAUUACUAACCAAAUAAUGUCGAAAAAUUAUGAAAUUUAGUUUCCAAAUACUUUUAAUAGUGUAGAUCAAGUCUAAUAGAGCUGAUCGUUGAUUUGAAAGCUACAUCAUUGAAAACAACUUGGUAGCAUGGAGGCCUCCGUGUCCGGCUAGGAUGCUAUCGAUAGCACGAACCAUUUGGUGCUAUCAAGUUUUCUGCCGUUAGAUUUACCUCUUUUAUCAUUUUCAUCUGUUCGAUUAUACUAUUCGACCAACCACCUUCUCAACCCUAGGGGCCCAUAUCAUCCUAACCACACAUCUUUUAAUCUAUGGGCAGAAAACUUAAUAGCACCAAUGACUUGGUGUUAUUAAUAGUAUUCCAGUCUAGUUUUAUAUAUAUAUAUAUAUAUAUGAGUUGAGCUAGAAUACUUUCAAAAGCACCAAAAAGGUGGUGCUUUUGAGUUUUUAGCCUUUGGAUGAAGAAAUGUAGGGUUGGGAUGAUGGUGAUAGAUGGUAGUAGGUGGUGGUAGGUGGAAUAGUGUUUGAUUCAAAGACUAUUAAUAAUCAAGAAGUAGAUCCAAGGGCUAAAAAUUUAUAAGCACCAAGGAGGUGGUACUUCUAAAAUUAUUCUAGCUCAAUUUUAUAUAUAUAUAUAUAUAUAUAUAAAAUUGAGCUCCUAUACUUUUAAAAGUACCAAGUUAUUGGUGUUUGUAGAUUUUUAACCAUUGGAUUAAGAGAUAUGCGGCUAGGAUGAUGUGGGCCCCCUAGGGUUCAGUGGGUAGUUGGUUGAAUAGUAUAAUCUAAUGGUUGAAAAUGAUCCGAGGAGUAGAUCUAACGGUAAAAAACUUACAAGCACCAAGUGCUUGGUGCUNNNNNNNNNNNNNNNNNNNNNNNNNNNNNNNNNNNNNNNNNNNNNNNNNNNNNNNNNNNNNNNNNNNNNNNNNNNNNNNNNNNNNNNNNNNNNNNNNNNNNNNNNNNNNNNNNNNNNNNNNNNNNNNNNNNNNNNNNNNNNNNNNNNNNNNNNNNNNNNNNNNNNNNNNNNNNNNNNNNNNNNNNNNNNNNNNNNNNNNNNNNNNNNNNNNNNNNNNNNNNNNNNNNNNNNNNNNNNNNNNNNNNNNNNNNNNNNNNNNNNNNNNNNNNNNNNNNNNNNNNNNNNNNNNNNNNNNNNNNNNNNNNNNNNNNNNNNNNNNNNNNNNNNNNNNNNNNNNNNNNNNNNNNNNNNNNNNNNNNNNNNNNNNNNNNNNNNNNNNNNNNNNNNNNNNNNNNNNNNNNNNNNNNNNNNNNNNNNAUCCAAGGGUUAAAAACUUGAUAGCAAAAAGAGCGUUUUACUAUUAAUAGUAUUCCAGCCUAAUUCUAUAUAUAUAUAUAUAUAUAUAUAUAUAAUUGAGCUAGAAUACUUUUAGAAGUAUCACCCCUUUGGUACUUCUAGAUUUCUAGCCCUUGAAUCUACUCCUUAAUUACUAAUAGCCCUUGGAUCAAACACUAUUCCACCUGCCACCACCUACCACCAUCAUCCCAACCAUACAUUUCUCCAUCCAAGAGUUAAAAACUCAAAAGCACUAACCUCUUUGUGCUUUUGAGGUAUUCUAGCCCAACUCAUAUAUAUAUAUAUAUAUAUAUAUGUAUAUAUACAUAUAUGUAGAGUCCGGCUACUAUAUUAUCGGUAGCACGGAGGGCUCCGUGCUACCAAGUUGUUUUCGAUAAUACGGUUUCCAAAUCNNNNNNNNNNNNNNNNNNNNNNNNNNNNNNNNNNNNNNNNNNNNNNNNNNNNNNNNNNNNNNNNNNNNNNNNNNNNNNNNNNNNNNNNNNNNNNNNNNNNNNNNNNNNNNNNNNNNNNNNNNNNNNNNNNNNNNNNNNNNNNNNNNNNNNNNNNNNNNNNNNNNNNNNNNNNNNNNNNNNNNNNNNNNNNNNNNNNNNNNNNNNNNNNNNNNNNNNNNNNNNNNNNNNNNNNNNNNNNNNNNNNNNNNNNNNNNNNNNNNNNNNNNNNNNNNNNNNNNNNNNNNNNNNNNNNNNNNNNNNNNNNNNNNNNNNNNNNNNNNNNNNNNNNNNNNNNNNNNNNNNNNNNNNNNNNNNNNNNNNNNNNNNNNNNNNNNNNNNNNNNNNNNNNNNNNNNNNNNNNNNNNNNNNNNNNNNNNNNNNNNNNNNNNNNNNNNNNNNNNNNNNNNNNNNNNNNNNNNNNNNNNNNNNNNNNNNNNNNNNNNNNNNNNNNNNNNNNNNNNNNNNNNNNNNNNNNNNNNNNNNNNNNNNNNNNNNNNNNNNNNNNNNNNNNNNNNNNNNNNNNNNNNNNNNNNNNNNNNNNNNNNNNNNNNNNNNNNNNNNNNNNNNNNNNNNNNNNNNNNNNNNNNNNNNNNNNNNNNNNNNNNNNNNNNNNNNNNNNNNNNNNNNNNNNNNNNNNNNNNNNNNNNNNNNNNNNNNNNNNNNNNNNNNNNNNNNNNNNNNNNNNNNNNNNNNNNNNNNNNNNNNNNNNNNNNNNNNNNNNNNNNNNNNNNNNNNNNNNNNNNNNNNNNNNNNNNNNNNNNNNNNNNNNNNNNNNNNNNNNNNNNNNNNNNNNNNNNNNNNNNNNNNNNNNNNNNNNNNNNNNNNNNNNNNNNNNNNNNNNNNNNNNNNNNNNNNNNNNNNNNNNNNNNNNNNNNNNNNNNNNNNNNNNNNNNNNNNNNNNNNNNNNNNNNNNNNNNNNNNNNNNNNNNNNNNNNNNNNNNNNNNNNNNNNNNNNNNNNNNNNNNNNNNNNNNNNNNNNNNNNNNNNNNNNNNNNNNNNNNNNNNNNNNNNNNNNNNNNNNNNNNNNNNNNNNNNNNNNNNNNNNNNNNNNNNNNNNNNNNNNNNNNNNNNNNNNNNNNNNNNNNNNNNNNNNNNNNNNNNNNNNNNNNNNNNNNNNNNNNNNNNNNNNNNNNNNNNNNNNNNNNNNNNNNNNNNNNNNNNNNNNNNNNNNNNNNNNNNNNNNNNNNNNNNNNNNNNNNNNNNNNNNNNNNNNNNNNNNNNNNNNNNNNNNNNNNNNNNNNNNNNNNNNNNNNNNNNNNNNNNNNNNNNNNNNNNNNNNNNNNNNNNNNNNNNNNNNNNNNNNNNNNNNNNNNNNNNNNNNNNNNNNNNNNNNNNNNNNNNNNNNNNNNNNNNNNNNNNNNNNNNNNNNNNNNNNNNNNNNNNNNNNNNNNNNNNNNNNNNNNNNNNNNNNNNNNNNNNNNNNNNNNNNNNNNNNNNNNNNNNNNNNNNNNNNNNNNNNNNNNNNNNNNNNNNNNNNNNNNNNNNNNNNNNNNNNNNNNNNNNNNNNNNNNNNNNNNNNNNNNNNNNNNNNNNNNNNNNNNNNNNNNNNNNNNNNNNNNNNNNNNNNNNNNNNNNNNNNNNNNNNNNNNNNNNNNNNNNNNNNNNNNNNNNNNNNNNNNNNNNNNNNNNNNNNNNNNNNNNNNNNNNNNNNNNNNNNNNNNNNNNNNNNNNNNNNNNNNNNNNNNNNNNNNNNNNNNNNNNNNNNNNNNNNNNNNNNNNNNNNNNNNNNNNNNNNNNNNNNNNNNNNNNNNNNNNNNNNNNNNNNNNNNNNNNNNNNNNNNNNNNNNNNNNNNNNNNNNNNNNNNNNNNNNNNNNNNNNNNNNNNNNNNNNNNNNNNNNNNNNNNNNNNNNNNNNNNNNNNNNNNNNNNNNNNNNNNNNNNNNNNNNNNNNNNNNNNNNNNNNNNNNNNNNNNNNNNNNNNNNNNNNNNNNNNNNNNNNNNNNUAUAUAUACAUAUAUGUAUAUAUAUGUAUAUGUAUAUAUAUAUGUAUAUAUGUAUAUAUAUAUGUAUAUGUAUAUAUAUAUGUAUAUAUGUAUAUAUAUAUGUAUAUAUAUAUAUAUAGAACUAGACUAUUAUGCUAUUAAUAGCACCAAGUCAUUGGUGCUACCAAGUUUUUGGCCAUUGGAUUAAGAGAUGUGUGGUUAGGAUGAUGUGGGACCUCUAUGGUUGAGUGGGUUGUUGGUUGAAUAGUAUGAUCUAACGGGUGAAAAUGAUCAAAAGAGUAGAUCUAACGGCGGAAAACUUAGUAGCACCAAGUGUUUCGUGCUAUUAAUAGCAUAGUAGCCGGACUAUAUAUAGAAUCCGGCUGCUAUGCUAUCGAUAGCACCAAGCACUUGGUGCUAUCAAGUUUUCUGCCGUUAGAUUAACCUCUUUGAUUAUUUUUACCCGCUAGAUUAUACUAUUCAACCAACCUGUAGUGUUUCUGAGCUUUAGAUAGGAUUGGCUUUAGUGUUAGUGACUGGUCGACACAUCUGGAGAGUGUCGAACUGAGUCGGAGUCGUUUCUACGCGAAAUGAAUGCAGAAAUGGACUCGGCGCACUCAAAUAAGCAAAACUGGAGUUUUGCUAGAUUCAGGCGCCCAGAAUAGGUUUUGGGUCGCCCAGAAGUUGAGUGCAGAAUUAAACUGAACUGGAAGCCAAUUCGGGUCCAUGUUUCGGGCGCCCGGAUGUGGGUCUCGAAAUCUACUUUGGACGUUUGCGCUGACACGUUGCUGGUUGUAAGUGAAAUCCGCCGGAGCCGGAUACGGGCACAGCACACGGCAGGCGAUGGAACCAAAGGGGAGCAAAUGUACAGCCUGGAGGUUUCGGACGGCCAGAAAUGGGUUUUGGGCACCCGAAAGUGGCCAUUUCUGCAAGUGUAACAGAAUUGCAGCCUUUGUUCCUGAGGUUCAUCUGACCCUAUGUUCACCCUAUAAAUAGCUGAGGAGAGUCCCUGGUGAGCUCUUUUCCUCUCUUCUUCACAGUGAUCCUCUACUUUGCUUUCCAACCCCUCAAAAUCACUCAAAUUGUAUCAAAAGUCCACAAAUUCAGCUUGAGGAGUGCUGAUUCUGCAGUUUUCCAGCAACGACCUUCGGUGUUUUGGCUUGUGUGUGACAUAGAAAGGUCGGAUUGCGGUGAAACCUGGUUUGCUGGAUUCUAGACUUCCAGAGAAAUCCACGAAGCCCAGAAUUUCAGAUUUUGGCAGAGGUUAGCUUGGUCGUUUUUCCGUUCUCCUUUGCUAUUGGUGUUUUUGGGCAGAAUUGUGAACUUAUGGGUUUUGUUGAUGCAAUUCUUUGAAGAAGCUGUAUUUUGGAUCUGAGCUUGAUCUUCCAGUAUAGCACACUGCUUUUGAAACUUUAUCUCAACGGAUUUGGAGUUUAGAAGGUAAAGUUAGCAUUGCAAUUUGGUUAAAUUAAGCAUAGGUGUUGAAAUAGUGCUAAUUGAUGGAUUUCAAUGUGUAGAGUUUGGAGACAGCUUGAUUGCUGGUCUUGAAGGAUUUCGGCUGAUCCAGCAGGGAUUAGCAUGGGUUCGAGACCCCUCUUUGCUGCCAGGGUUUAGCAUUAGAGGUGGGUGUUUCAUCGGUUUUACUCCUAAGUGCUUGUAGUCGACAUGUAUGAUUUCGGUUCUUGUAUAUCAUGUUGUAACUCAAAUUCGUUGAUUGUAGCAUGUAUGAAAUCUGAAUUGGGAGCAUGAUUAUUAAUUAGAUGAAUAUACAUGUUGGACUUGGAACUUGACUUAGGAGAAAACCAGCGAUUCGACCUGUCAUAUGAUUCUACUACCUGAUUUAGCUCUAGGAGCCGUGGUUUGAUUGUAUCAGCGUUGUUUCAGUGCAGUAGAUAUCCGGAGUAGUUUAGAAUGCAUUUACGCUCGUGCUCAGAAGCCGAGUUUAUUUUUAUAGUAGAGUCUAGGCUAUUUCGGAUUGUCGGGUGCCGUCGGGGUGGACGGUGGACUCAGAUUCCUGUUUUUGGUCUCAGAUUGUGCCGAGGGCAUAUGGGUUUUGUUUCUAGACCUGUUUUGAUUCUAGCGACUUGAUUUUGGCUUGUUAGAGCCUGAUUGAGCUCGACAGAGAUACGCUGCAUACUCGGUUGCGUAGCUCCCACGAGUGCCACUCCGGAGACGGGCGUUGUGCUUUCGCGUUGGUGUCGUUCGUGCAGGUUGGACUUGCUCUCCACGGACUGGUUAGUGUGGAGGUAGCUGUAUAGUCGCGACCGGGCGGGACAAGUGUGUUCACAGUCCCAGGGAUGGGCAUGAUUAAAGUCCUUAUUUGAGAUUGGGUCUGAGUUGAUACUGUUCUACAGAUAGUUAGAUUUAGAGCAUAAUAGUAGUGUGGCAUAUAGCUGUAAAUUUGUUCCAGCUUUCUUUACUAUUCCUACUUAUCCCUGUAGACUUAGUGGGUGGACCGAUGAGUUUGAAGGCGGUAUCCACUGAGGACUACUUGUUUUUACAGUAGUUCUCAUGCACUGUUGUUACCACUAUUUUUACAGAGCCGUCGCCUUCGGCUGCUGCUGUUGCUGAUCUUGAUUAUGGCAAAGGCGUCGCGAGUUAGAGCCCUUCCAGUCGAGUCGCAGAGCUAGAGGAGCACCAGCUACAGGUAGUUGUAGUUUUUAGGUCUUUACAUACAGUUGUUAUAUCUCACCAGAGCGAGUGUCUGUAUAUCUGGAUGACAUAUAUGUAUUGAACCACAAUUUAUAUAUUUAGUUUAUUUUCCUAGCUGCUCUAUACUAUUGUUUGUAGUAUUGUAUGAUUACAGGUACUUCUAUUUUUUCGCUUCGUAUACAGAAAAAAUAUCUAUGUAUACGGCGGGUCUGUUAGCGAGCCCAAAAAAAUGAGUAAUCCGGGGCGUGACAGAUUAAGUUGGUAUCAGAGCUUAGCUGUAGGUCGUUGGGACCUAGGAACCCUAAGCUUGGCAAACUUUAGAAAGGCAAGAUGCGAGAGGCGUGAUUUAUCGCGAAAGUGACUGAUUAAUUGUUCUAACUCCUCCUGAAACAGAGGGAGUGAUUGAAGGAGUUUCUGUUUCGGUCCAGAAAAAUUAUCUCGGCUGUAGACGACAUAAUUUUGAGGAGAAAUAGGGGCCGCCUUUCAGACUUUCGUUUGAUUGGGUCGAGAGUGUUUCUGUUGUAUCUGACCCCUGUUUUGUUCGUUACAACUAUGUAUCGUCGCCGAGGUCGACCGUCACUCAAGGAUCGCGCCACACCCCCUGAGAUGCCUGAGCAGGCAGAGCCGAGUGCACCCCCAGAGGCGAGAGCAUCCCCUGAUUUGAGUGCACAGAUAGCCGCCCUUACAGAGGUGACGAGGCGGCAGGGAAAGUUGUUGGAGAGGUUGUGUGAGAGGGUAGCUCCACCACAGGGUUCAGUACCGAGAGCACCAGAGCCAUCAGUUCCACCUCCGACUACUCCAGCGGCAGCACCAGCCGCAGCUGUAUCCCCGCCAGUGGAUAUUCCUGCAGCGCCAGUUGUGCCUCCUAGAGAGCCGGUACAGAUGACUGAGGCCGAGCAGGAGCGGUUGACAGAGAGGUUGGCUCGUUUUCGCCGUUUUGAUCCACCGACCUUCGAUGGCAGUUGCACUGAGGCCUGGGUUGUUGAGGGCUGGGUCAGUGUGAUGGAGAAGCUAUUCGAGGAUUUGUUCAUUCCUGAGAGGGAGUAGGUGUCUUUGGGAGUACACUGCUUAGCAGGCGAUUGUCACGCCCCGGGACACGGCAUAGGCCCGCCUGGUGCGUGCCCAGACCCGCCAUAUGCCUGCACAUAUAAGGCGUCUACAACAAAAGCGAUAAAUAACCUGUGAUACAAACAUCUAGAAAUAUCAGAGCGAGUAUACAACUAAGUUCUAACAACAAGUAGAGUCGAAAGAGAACUGAACCACUAAGACAUAAAGUAAACUAAUACAUUAUAAAUCUCAAGAUACAAAACAGGGUGGUCUCUAUAACUAGGUACAAAACUCUCACAACCUCUCCAAAAGAAAACAAAAGAGAGGUGGACCACCUAUCACCAAGUCCCUCGAUAGCUAACUCGAGGCGAAACCUUUCUCGCGAUCCCAAGCCUCUCCCGAAGUGGAAUGCUCUGAAAGAAAACAUAAAACAGGGGGCGUGAGAACUAUAAUUUAUAGUUCCCAGUGGGCAAUUACUGACCUUAGCAAAAUGCACCACUAGGCCCAAAUCAAAAGCAAAUAUGGAUAACAGAAAUUAACUGCGGUAAAUAAAGCGUAUAGUAAAAUGCUACUCUACUAUGCCAUAAGUAAUCGGAAUAUCAAUAUGGAGUACAUCUACUCUAUAGGAUCCAAAUAUGCCAAUACGUAGCAAUUAUGUUCUAUCGUGGCUACCAAGUAUACUAUGAUGCAACAGGUAAUACUAUGAAGUAUACUAUAUGUCCCAAAGUCCAACACAUAUCUAGUAUGUACUAUCAUGGAAAUUAAGGGUACCACAAUUCCCAAUGUCAACUGAAUCCAACUACGAUAUACAUUCAAGUAGUGUUUAUCACUUAUUGUUUAAUGUUCUAGUCAAUGUCCACAUGGCAUGUCACUACUUUAAGGUUCCAAUCUUGUAAGACCCGCGCGUAGGCUGUCUGGACUGAAGACUCACCCGUAGGCUGUCUGGUCUGCGCCGUGCCUAAUGGCCCCGUGGUAGUCAAUAUCCCCACUCUAGGAAUGAGCCUUCCCCACGGCAUCCCACUUCGGCGCCCAAUCCCGCACGAGCGAGCAUGUGUCGCGAUGGCUAUCUCCGAAGUGCCGGCUUGUUGGGAGCGACCCUCACAAACAUGUGCGAAUGAGCACAAUUGGCAAGCAAGCAUAUAAGUCCGUCUCAAAUUCCAAGUCAUCAUGUCUAAAACAUGAAAUGUAGCAUAUGUCUCAGUGGCCUGUCACUAUGUCAUCAUGUCUAAAAUAUGGAAAUACUCACUAGCAACCCAUAGGUCUAGUCUAUGCCUCAAGUGAAGGUUUACUAAGUUCACUAUGUUCAAUGCCUCUUUAUGGCAUUAUCUCACUAUGUCCAAAACCAUUUCAAGCCUAAUGCCGCUUUAUGACAUUAGCUUACUAAAUCCAUCUCUAGUCCAAGCCUAAUGCCGCUUUAUGACAUUAGCUUACAAUUUAUAUACACUCUAGCCUAUGUCACUCAAUGACAACAUGUGCAACCAUGCCAAGCAUGCGUUCUAAGUCCAAGAGUAUAAUCUACAUGUCAUAUGCACUACAUGCAACAUGAUCUCAAUCAAAUGUAAGAAUGCUAACCAUAUGCAAGGUUCCAAAUAUGAAAAGUUCUCUACUACAUAGAGGUCCAAUGUACUUUAUACAUAACAUGCACACAUUAAGCAUUCUAAAAUUCUCAAAUAUUCUAUCUAGUAAGAAUAUGUAUGCAUUUUCAUUUUACGAAAAGUAAAAAUAGAGAUGAUUUAUCCCAUUUUGGUGAGGCCAAGACCACCGAGAGAUCCACGCGGCCUUCGUUUGCGCCGACGAAGGUGCCCACAAGCUUCCUAGCUCCCUGAAGGUUAAAGUAGGAGCGAUACACGAACGUUACGAACAACAAAUAGGUUAAACAUUAACCAACUCAAGAAAAGGGUAAUAUCUCACCUAAGUGUAGAAAAUUCCCCUCAAGCUCCAAAUGGGAGCUAGAACCCUUCCAAUCCAACCUAGAGGAAGGUUCUAAACCGAUCAAUCGAGCUCCAAAAGCCCUAGGUCAAAAAUUCUCAAAAUAAACCCUAAAUCCUCAUUUCUAGGGCUACAACAAGCAAACCAUCAAAACACAAAUCAAGAGGAGAGAAUAAGCUCCUAACCUCUUGAGAAGCCUCAAACCAAGCUCAAAGUCCACUAGGUAUGGAGAUCUUCCUCCAAGCAAGCCUCAAACCCAAGAUCCAAGCUUCAACAAUGGUGAAAAAUGCUCUAAACGGCAAAAGAGAGCAAAACCCACAUAAAAAUCAAGAAAAAGGAAGAUCAAAUCUAUGGAGAGGCAAAAAAGACUCACUCACCUUGUUUUCUCUGAGUUCUAGGCUCAGGAAACCAAAAAGGGGGGAGGGGAGGGCGUGGGUGGUAAUAUAGAAGGCCACAAUCGCAAAAACACCCCUGCAGUUCGAACCUUUCAGAUUCUGCCAAAGUGUACCGGUACACGGAAAAGUAUACCGAUACAAAAUCCUGUACACGCAAACCCGAGGCUCGGGUUGGCAGAAAAUAGUUUUCUGUACCGAUAGAACCAUCAAAGUGUACCGGUACAAAAUGUGUUCCGGUACAACCAUCAGGGCUGUACCGGUACACAGCCCUGCUAAAGCUAAUCCGAGAGCAAACCAAAAAUCCCACUUUUGGGUUUUGGUUCAAAGUUUUAAACCACAAAUCUCGGGAUACGAGCCCUAGGUCGGAACAUUGUCGACGACCCUCCAGAAUAUCUAGAAAAACUUGAAAACACAGAUCAAACACUCGAACCUUGCCAUUUGCGAAAGUCCAGUGUGUUACAGCGAUGCUCACGGCUGGUGGAGGAGGGUGAGACGAGACUAUGGAUUAGUGGCGUUGCAGCUGAAGUGAGACGAGUUCUGUGGAAUGCUGUUCGGAAUGUAUUUUCCAAACAGCGUGAAACAGAAGCUCGAGGAGGAUCUGAAGAGAAUUCAGCAGGGCGAGCGGACAGUUCAGGAGUACAUCCGGGAGUUUACUUGACUCCUGAACUGUGUUCCAUUUGUGGCUCGAGACGAGGCGCAUCGAGUUUAUCUGUUCGAGUAGGGAUUGAGACCCGAGAUCUUCCGAUUGGUGCAGGCGCGAAGGUUGAGGACCUUGGACGCGUCGAUGGAGCAGGCUCUUUGGGUAAAGAGGGGUGAUGCCUCCAUUCGGGAGAGGACUCAGGCCGUGGGGAAGAGUCAGGACAGGAAGCGCCCCUUUUCAGAUGAUGCUGAAUAGUCGAGCAGCAGGCGUCCGCCGAGACCGCCACGAUCACGCUCUUAGGGUCGUGGGUCUGCGAGGCGUCAGCAUUCCAGGGGAUCCCGUCAGCAGGGACAGACUCAUAGGACACCGCAGUGUGUGAUCUACGGGGGACCACACUGGCCCCGAUAGUGCGAGCAGAGAGAGGGCCGUUGCUAUACUUGCGGUCAGCCCGGGCAUAUGAGGUCAGCUUGUCCUCGUACAGUAUCACCAGCACCAUCCACUGCAUCAGCGCAGCCGGAAUCUCAGCAGUCCUUUGGAGCAGCACAGAGUUUUCGCCAGGAGGACAGAUCAUCUGUGCUGCGUUAGGCUGAGCGGCGACAGCAGGCUCCGAGUGGCAGAGUUUACGCAGCUCAGGUGGAGGACUCUUCAGCAGCCGACCGAGUGGUGGCAAGUAUCAUUUUGAUUUUCGGUAUUCGUACUCACUGUCCCGAGGGAUUCGUAGAUUUGAAGUUCGUGGAAAACUCAGUCCACGAUUUAUUGGCCCUUUCGAGGUUUCUGAGCGAGUUGGGCCAGUGGCAUACCGGAUUGCACUACCCCAGCGACUUGCUGGUAUCCAUGAUGUGUUUCAUGUAUCGGCAUUGAAGAGAUAUGUGUUUGAUCCCUCACACGUGAUUGACUUCACUCCACUUGAGCUUGGCGAGGACUUAAGGUACAAGGAGUGACCGGUGUGGAUUCUUGCUCGUAAGACAAAAGAAUUGCACAACCGGGUCAUACCAUACGUGAAAGUGGAGUGGAGUAAUCACAAGAAGCGUGAGGCGAUGUCUAAGCUGGAGGAUGUGAUGCAAGAGUCCUACCCAUAUUUGUUUGAGGCUCAGGAUUGAGGUAUAAUUCUAAAUUUUGAGAACGAAACUUUUUGUAGUGGGGGAGGAUAUAAUGUCCUUGGUGUUUAGUGGUUUGCGUGACUUCAGCAUUUGUGGCUUGUCGAGACAAGUCGGAGUCGUUUUGGCACGAAAUAGAUGCAAAACGGACUCAGCACGGUGCGAGAGUGGAGUACUAACACUGAAAUCUGCAAAGUGCAGGAUUUCAUGUUGAGUACCGGUACCUAAGGAGGAGUACCGGUACCCAAGCGAUAUUGCAGAACUGGGUGCUCUCGGGUUUUUGCAUGCCUGAUGCUGAGUACCGGUACCUGUUGCCGAGUACCGGUACCGAGCUCUGGUACUGGUACCCCAUCGGGCUGGUACCGAUACCCAGUAUGCGAGACUGCGGAUUGAGGGGCAGAGAGCCUUGGUGAGGGGUAUUUUGGUCCUUUUGAAGUGUCGUUCAUCCCAACCAACCCAGCUUAUAUAGAGUUGUGUAGAGAGCCUUGGGAGAACAGAUAGUCANGAGUGGAGUACUAACACUGAAAUCUGCAAAGUGCAGGAUUUCAUGUUGAGUACCGGUACCUAAGGAGGAGUACCGGUACCCAAGUGAUAUUGCAGAACUGGGUGCUCUCGGGUUUUUGCAUGCCUGAUGCUGAGUACCGGUACCUGUUGCCGAGUACCGGUACCGAGCUCUGGUACUGGUACCCCAGUGAUAUUGCAGAACUGGGUGCUAUCGGGUUUGUGCAUGCCUGAUACUGAGUACCGGUACCUGUUGCCGAGUACCGGUACCGAGCUCGAAUACCGGUACUACAUCGGGCUGGUACCGAUACCCAGUAUGCGAGACUGCGGAUUGAGGGGCAGAGAGCCUUGGGAGUGAGUUGGUUAGGGGUAUUUUGGUCCUUUUGAAGUGUCGUUCAUCCCAACCAACCCAGCUUAUAUAGAGUUGUGUAGAGAGCCUUGGGAGAACAGAUGGUCAUUCUUCUUCUUUUCUCUCUCUAGCUGGGGUUUGCCGUUCGUUGGGUAGGCGCGGAUCGAGCUCAUCCGGAUUUGACAUUUCUCCGGAGGACCGUUCGUGCGCGUGGGUGUCUCAGUUGAGCCAUUGGAGGUCGAGCAAGAGUGCGGGUUUCCUCCUGUCAACUUCUUGCCGACGUUGGGCAAGCGUUCGAGCGUUCGAGGAGAUUUUUGUUGUUGCUGUACUCGCUGGAGCGAAGAGGUGUUGUAGACCGGUGUAGAUUUGUCGUGCUUACAGAUACAGCUAUCGCUUCGCAUACACGAAAAAUUUCUAUAUAAACGGCGGGUCUGUUGGCGUGCCCGGAAAAACGUGGUAAUUCGGAGCGUGACAUUUAUUAUCCAAAUUUUUUACUACAAGAGCCAAAAGGAAUUGUUGAUAGGAGAAAUGCUAUGUCUACAACUUAUUCGAUGGUCAUUAAUUGCUAACCGAUUUGGUCCUAAAUCUUUACGGUUAGUUUCUAAUAAGCGUUGACUACAUUUCUUUAUUUUAUUUAUACCUUUAAAUUUAAAUGUAAUUUAAAUUUAGAUUUUUUAUUUUAAUAAAUUUUAACUUUUAAAUUUUAAAUUCUAAAUAUUAAGUUUGAAAUUUCAAAAUUCUAAACUUUUGAAUUUUAAAUUUGGAUUGUAAAUUCUGAUAUAAAUUCUAGUUCGAAUUUCAUAUUUUAAAGUCAGAUUCGAAUGUUAUAUUCAAACUUUAAAAUAAAAUUCAGCAAAAAAAUUAUUAUUUGCAAACACUUAAAAAAAAUUUCCCAACAAUUUUCUAAAAUUAUUCUAGAAAAAAAAUCGCUUUCUUACUAGAUUUAGACAAAACUAUACAAGUUUUGACCAAAUCAAUUCUUCAAACCAAAAUCAAUUCUACAUAAAUUGUUUUUCAGAAUCUAUGCCUACCAACUUCUUAGACUCUCUUUGAAUAUAUAAAUAUAUUAUUCAAUAUAUUAGUUUGAUUUACUCAAGAAAUUUGUAUAUAUAUAAGAUGAGAAAUAUGAUUAAAUGUGAGAAAUUGAACACUAUACUCGACUUUCAAAUCAUUUUUUGAAAAUAAGAUAAAUAUGCUUUUCUACAAAAUCUAAGCAUCAAGACAUUUUAAAAGUGAAAGAAAUUAAAUUUUUUCUUAACAAUCACAACGAAAAAACUUCGGUUUGGCCUAAAUUCUGAAAAAGUAAUUUCUGCAGAAUUGAUUUCGGUUUGGAGAAGCGAUUUUGGUUAAAAACUGUAGAGCAUUUGGUUGAGUUAAGAUAAAAGCAAUUUUUCUGAAUUGAUUUCGUAAAACUGUUUGGUAAAAAAUAUUUUAAUAUCUGCAUAUAAUAAUAUUUCUACUAAAUUAUAUUUUAAAAUAAAUUAAAAUUUAAAAAUUAUACAAAAUUUAAAAUUUGAUAUUUUAAUUUUUUAAAAAAAUCAAAAUUUGAAAUUUAAAAUUCACAAUUUGAAUUUUUAAAGCUAAAUAUAAAUUUUUAAUUUCAAAAAUUUAAAAUCUAAAUUUAAAACCUGACAUUUGAAAUUAAAAAUAUAAAAAUUUAAAAUUUAAAGUUUGAAAUAUAAAAUUUCAAAUUUAAAACUAGAAUAUUUAAAAUUUUAAAAAUAAAAUUUUAGAAUUCAAAAUUAAAAUUUAAUAAUUUAAAAUUUAAUAUAUGAAUUUUAAAAUUUUGAAAUUUGUAAUUUGAAAAAUUAAAACAUAUAAUUUUAAAUUUUCUAAUUAAAUUUUAAAAUUCUAGAAUUUCAAAUUUCAAAUUUUAUUUGAAAUUGAAAUUGAAAUUGAAAUUUUAAAAUUUAAAUUUAAAAUUAAAAUUGAAAUUGAAAUUUAAAAUGUAAAAUGUAAAUUUUAAAUUUUAAUUUUUAAAAAUUAAAAAAAUAAAUUUAAAAAUUUAAAAUUUAAAAUUAAAUUUGAAUUGUAUUUUGAAAAUGGUGUUACCAAAGGCUUUAUUGGACCGAAAAUCAAUUUUAAACUCGCUAUCCAUUAAUUCAUGCAUAUCGUGCAAUAUUAAGUUAACUAUACGCGGAGGUAAGCUUAUUAUUCGGUCACGCCGUUCGUAUAAUAAUUAGCACCAUCUGAUUACCGUUGUUAAAUUACGCCCAAGUUGAGUCCGAUUAGGAAUCCUAGCUCCCAAACCCAUAUACAAUCUUAAACCCAAGAAAGGAGCGCGCGAGGAUUUACUAACGGUCGCCUCGAUCACGAUCAAAUCUCUCGCUCUCUCCACCCCGCCAACUUCUUUUCUUGAUCUCUUUCUCACCCUCCUCCCCUUCUCGAGCCUUUCUUGGAAAUCCUCGUUCGUCUCCUGCCAGAAAUCCACAGCGAGCUUCCUCCUCCGACUCCAAUUAAGGUUCUCAGAUCGAUGGCGCAACAAUGCCAUCCCUCUUCCCGCGGAACGGCGCCGCGGCCGAGCCGGUCGCAGUCGGAAGAGUCGGUGGCCCUCGGCUUCGCCUUCACCCCCACGGAUGAGCAGCUCAUUGUCCACUACCUCCGCGCCUACGCCGCCGGCCAGAGCCUGUGCUGGGACCACGUCGUUGAGGCCCAAGUCUACUCCACGGAUCCACGGAGCCUCCUCGGCGACGACGGCGAGAUUGGGUAUUUCCUCACCAAGAGGACCCGGCAUGGGAAUCGUGUGAAGCGCACUGCCGGCCGGGGGACGUGGACCGGCCAAACCAAGAAAAACGAGAUCGUGUCCGCCGGCGGCGAAGUCAUCGGCUUCAAAGCGAUGUUCUCGUUCUGUAUCGGCGACGACGACGACUGCUCAUCCAAGAAACCAUCCAAGAAGACGACCGGAUACGUCAUGUACGAGUAUGAGCUGCCGUCGACAGCCAACCAGGGUACGCGGCAACAGGUACGCGCUAAUCAACGAUCUCUUGCUCGCCUUUUUCCGAAGAUCACAUUUUCUUUAAUUUCGGGACUUAAUUUGUCGAAUUAUAAACAGGGGGCAUCGCAAGAACCGGUCCUGUGCUGCAUCAAGAAGAGCGCAAGAGAGAUCGCGAGGAGCCACAAAAGAAAGCGGGAGGAAGCGGCGCGCACACCUGCGGCAGAAACCGAUAUUGCGGCAUCCGUUCGCGACGUCAACAACGUCAACCUUGUCUCCGAUGGUCUGCUCGGGAGGACUAUGGCUGCUGAUCAGCAGCAGCCAAUUCCAUAUCACGGCAAAAAUGUGGCGACGGGGAAUGCUGAUUUCUUCGAGGUUGGGGAGUGCAGCUACAGUAGUACAAACACAGAAUAUGCUGACUCUGUCGCAUCGGCGGAUGGUAUUAAAGAAAGAGAGAUGGCGAACGGUGACAUCAAUCUUGCCUGCCACGGUGCGCUUGGGAUGACGGCGGACAUUGAUCUGCUGCCAAUUCCAUAUCUUCGUAAGUGGACGGAGACGAUGAAUGCCGACAUUUUUUAUGGACUCCGAGGAGAUGUGAACACUGGAGACAUAGGUAGUAGCACGGCCAUGGAAGGAGCUGGGGACCGUCAGCCACCUCUGCUGUCUUAUGAACUUAAUGGGACGACAGCGGCGGCUGCAACUGCAGACCAGCAGCUGUUAUUGGCGCCUGAUCAGGACGAGCGGACGGUGGUCGACGAAGCAGGCGAUUGGGAUCAGCUGCUAUCGGUACUAGAGAACGAAGACUAUUCUGAUUGGUUUGACUCGGUGCUCAAUGAUGAACCGUCGCCACCGCCACUCAUUGAUUCAGAGACGCCGUUCAGAAAUUGUCAGAUGCCGCCGCCAGCAUCGUCUGAUGGCGCUGCAUCUUUCUGCUGUGAUCCAAGGAAAUGAGCAUGCAGGAGAAAGCAUGAGGAAGGAAGCAUGAGAAGGCGGCAUGUAAUUGGAGUUAAUUUUUGUUACAUUAAUUUGUUUAUACUAUAUGCACGCAAGAUAGUGCGGGUGUUGAUUUAGUGCUCAUACAGGUAUUUGGGGGUUAUGCAAAUGUAAAGUUACUCAUUCAUUGUUACAGUGAAUCUAACAUAUGUAUAUAUCUUCUAAUUUUCUUCAUAAACAUUGGCCAUGUAAAAAGUGUCCAUUUUCUUUGGCGACUUGUAAUGUUCUGAAACAGAAUUUGUUUAUAGGCUUCAAUUAACAAAAGCUGCUUUUUUUUUUUUCUUUUUUUUUUUUUUUUUUUUUUUUGGUUAAUGAACUGAGAAUGGUGAAUUAAUAUUCUUGCAUUAUUGGAGGAAGGCAAGGGAAAACACAAGAGUCCCAGAUGUCUUAUGCAUGAACAAAUAUAUGCACCAUUGCCUAAUUAUAUACCAACGACUCAAAAUGGUUUCCAUAACAUAACUUAUUUCAUCAAGAAAGAUCAUCUGUGGUUUUUUCCAUAACAUAACAUAACAUAACAUAACUUAAGUUAUGUUAUUUAACAUAAUUUAGGUCAUCAAGCUGCUUUGUGGCAUUUUAUUAGCACAAAGGUAUAUAGAUACAAAAUAAGUUCUUUCAGCAAAAAAUAUAAAAUUCUGAUUUUGCAGGAAUAUAUGUGUAAAUAUCUGAAAAAUAAAUACACAAGGAAAAUUAAGCAUGCAAGUGACUUAGAUGACAAUCCAACAAAAGAAUUUAUGUGCACCUAUCACUUUGAAUGAUAGAAAAGAGAGAACAAUAGUAUAGUGAAAGAACGGAGUGGAUUGUUGAUUCGGAAGCUCCAAUAUCGAAAAUAACUUAUGAGUACGAAGGGUUGUAUACUCAUAAAUAGUAGCCCCACUUAUACAUACAUAUAUAGAGCUAGUCUCCUAUACUAUCUAUGGUAUCGGGGCUCCGGUACUAUUAUCUCGUUUUCGAUCUUAGGGUGUUCAAAUCAACGAUCCACACCAUUAAAAUUGAUCUAGGGUAUUUAAAGUUUUUAGAAAUAAAAUUUUAUAUUUUUUUGAUAUAGUUUACUUUAUGAUCAAACCAUUUUAAAAUUGUCAAUUUUCAAUGGUUACUAUGGCGAGUUUGGAGUUUAACGGUGUAGAAGAAUCUAAAUUUCUUCAAAUUUUGAUAGAAAAUACUUUAAACUAUCUAGAUUAAGGUUAACAUUCUUGAUCUUGAAUUUAAAAUUCCUAUGCUCAAAUUUAAAGAUUAUUCAAUUUCCACCGUCCAUUUUAACAUAAUUUAUUUACUAAGUAAACGAUGUCGAAAAAAACUAAAAUUUUAUUUCUAAGAACUUCAUAUACUCUAGAUCAUAUUUAACGUGUGGAUCGUUAAUUUGAAUACCCUAAGAUCGAAAACAAUACUAUAGUACCGAAGCUCCGGUACUAUAGAUAGUAUAGUAGCCUAAUUCUACAUAUAUAUAUAUAUAUAUAUAUAUAUAUAUAGAGAGAGAGAGAGAGAGAGAGAGAGAGAGAGAGAGAGAGAGAGAGAGAGAGAGUGCAACGACCUGACUUUGCUAGCAACAAUAACUCGUUGGACCCAACCAACCGGCUCAAAAUGCUUAAUCUCAGUUAUUAUUACUAGUGUAUUCGUCACUUAUAAACUUAUUAGACUCUCCCACAUUAUCCGAUGUAGGACUAUUGGGAUGUCACAUAAUCCCCUAGUUUAGGCCCUGAUGUCUUCGUUAGCCCGCCCAAUCAUAUACAUAGUCUGAGAUUUAUCAAGCGAUAUGAGAUCUAUCUUACACUUUCGACUGAUUAUCAGACUCUAAUACUAAAUGUAACGACCUGACCCGCUAACAAUAAUAACUCGUUGGGCCAAAAACACCACCCAAAAUGCUUAAGUCGGGUUAAGAGUUUUAGCCCUAUUAUAUUUUAUAUAUAUUGGAUUAUUUGGGGUCUCACAUUCUCCCCUCUUAUGCCUUGAUGUCCUCGUCAUGCUCAGACGCAUAAGUAUCAGGCGAUAUAAGACUCAUCUCAUUAGUCUAACCGACUUUGUGAUGAGCUGCGCUCCACCCACAAUAGUCAACAGUAUGAGAGUCUCGCUCUCCCUAUUGUAUAAUUCUUACUCAGCUGAGACUCAUCUCGCAUUUUCGGUUGAUAAUUGACUUUAAUACCAACUGUGACGCCCCAACUUUCCGAAGGGUCAUCCAUUUUAGGACUAUUUUCGUCCUAGCACGCUUAACUCUCUUAACCUCUUGGGACUAACCACCCCUAAAAGAUGAUAUUAUUUGGUUUGUUACUCAUGAUCUUGCUACAGCUAUGUAUAUAUAUUUUUUCUGCAUAAAUUAUUUUUUUAAUGCUUGAAAUGGAAUACAAUGUUAUAUGUUGCAAUAUGUACAAUUAAAUAUUGAAUACUAUCUAUCAGUAGGGCUGGCAAAUGAGCGAGCCGGCUCGCGUUCGACUCGCGUUCGACUCGAUAUUUGGCUCGCUCGAGCUCGACUCGAAAUUAAAUGAGCCGAGCUUGAACAAAAAAAAAAUCUCGAAAUUCAUUUUAAGCCGAGCUUGAGUAUUACUCGGCUCGUUCGAAUUAGGCUCGAAAAGCUCGAAAAGCUCGAAUAUAUAUAAUAUAUAUAUACUAUAUAUUAUAUAUAUAUAAUAUAUAUAUAUAUAUAUAUAUAUAUAUAUAUAUAUAUAGUAUAUAUAUUAUAUAUGUUUGACGGUCUCUAUCGGAGUACACGAGUGGUUUACUACCAAUUUGUUUUUAAUGAUAGAGCUUCCUAAAUUGACGAUCCGGCACCGUUGAACAUGAUCUAGACUAUUUAAAGUAUCUAGAAAUCAAUUUCAUGAUUUUUUGGCAUCACUAACUGAACGAUCAAAGGUCACAGAAUCUAUAAUUUUAAUGGCCGAUAUGGUGCGUUUGCUCGUUUAACGGUAUAGAAGAUUCAAAUCACAACUAAAUUUUUGUUAAAAAAAUUCUUUAACUCAUUUAAAAAAAGAUCUAGACUUUAGAUCUCAAAUAUAAAAAUUGUAUCAUUACUUUUUGAAGGAUAUUCAUUUCCAGCCAUUUAUUUUUCUAUUCACUUGAUGGACAAGAAACAAUAUCGAAAAUGUGUGAAAUUUGAUUUCUAGAUAGUUUAAAUAGUUAGAUCAUGUUUAAUGGUGCAUCAUCAAUUUGGAAGCUCUAUCAUCGAAAAAAAUAGGUAGUAACGAGUCCGUUUACUACCGAUAGUAUUCUAGCAAAACUCUUCUCUCUCUCUCUCUCUCUCUCUCUCUCUCUCUCUCUCUCUCUAUUUAUAUAUAUAUAUAUAUAUAUAUAUAUAUAGUGAGGCUACUAUUCUAUUGGAAAGCAUGAGCCUUCGUGCUUCCAGCUCGUUUUCGAUGUCGACUUUCGAAUCGUCGAUCGGCCUCCGUUAAACUUGAUUAGAGUAUUGGAGUACCUAGAAAAUAAAUUUUAUAUUUUUCGAUAUCAUUUGCUAGUGAUCGAUGGCUCAAAAUCAACAAAUUUAAUGGCCGUAGUGAGCCAUUUUGCAAGUUUAACGGUGUAGAAUAUAUCUAAAUCACGUGAAAUUUGAUAGAAAAUUCUUUAUUAUAUAAAACAAGAUCAAUAUAUUUGAUUUAAAAUUUUAAUGUCAUAUUAUACAUUUUGUAAGAUUUUUUAUUUCAGCCAUUGAUUUUGACCUCUUCGUUCAUUAGGCAAAUGAUAUCGUAAAAUCAUAAAAUUUAUUUCUAGGUACUUCAAAUACUCUAGAUCAAGUUUAACGGAGCGAUCGACGAUUCGAAAGUCGCAACGAUCAAAACGAGCUGAAGCACGGAAGGCUCCCGUGCUUCCGAUAGCAUAGUAGCCUCAACUCUAAUGAUAUAUUUAUAUAUAUAUAUAUAUAUAUAUAAUAUAUAUAUAUAUAUGAAUUAUGCUAUAUUUAUGUCUACUUAUACUAUCAAUAGUACCUAAGCCCUUGGUACUAUGAUUUUUUCGUCCGUUGAUAUGAAAGGAUGUGCCGUUAAGAUGAUAGUGUCCCCCAGUUAAAUUGGAUAGUGGUUCUCUAGGGUGAAUGGGGUGUUGCGUUAAUAAUAUAAUCUAAUGGAUGAAAAUGAUCAAAGGGUAGAUUAAUGUAGAAAAAUUCAAUGAGUACUUAACUGGCUGCUACGUACAUAGUAUAGUAGCCGGACUCUUAUAUAUAUAUAAUAUAUAUAUAUUAUAUAUUAUAUAUAUAUAUAUUAUAUAUAUAUAUUAUAUUAAAUAUAUAAAUUAAUUAUAUUUUUAUUAUAUAUAGGCCUACUCGGAAUAUAUCGGAUUUAUUAUAAAUUGGGCCAAUAUUGAUGACAUUAAAACAAAAUCCCAAUAGACAAAUAAAAGAGCAAAAUUUUAUAAAUUUAAAUUUUUUCUUUCGUUUUUUUUGUUCACAGAGCUCUACAAUUCAAUAUGUUUCUCUACUUUCUCUUUUUCUGUUCACCCUAUGUGGCCAAGCGCGAAAGCCCUCCAAAUUCCAGAGCAGCAUAUGUCUGCCGUUGCCGUAAUUACUAUUAUUAUAUGCUUGAGAAAUAUACAGAAUAUUUUUAAAGCUAAAAAAUUAUUAUUCAUAUAAAUUUAAUUUUAGUUAUAUAUAUUGGAUAGUUUAAUCAAUAAUACUAUAUAUUAUAUAUAUAUAAUAUAUAUAUAUAUAUAUAUAUAUAUAUAUAUAUAGUAUAUAUAUUAGUAUAUGUUUGACUGGGUCACUAUCGGGAGUAACGAGUGGUUUACUACCAAUUUGUUUUUAAUGAUAGAGCUUCUAAAUUGACGAUCCGGCACCGUUGAACAUGAUCUAGACUAUUUAAAGUAUCUAGAAUCAAUUUCAUGAUUUUUUGGCAUCACUAACUGACGAUCAAGGUCACGAAUCUAUAAUUUUAAUGCGCCGAUAUGGUGCGUAUUGCUCGUUUACGGUAUAGAAGAGUUCAAAUCAACUAAAUUUUUGUUAAAAAAAUUCUUUAACUCUUUAAAAAAAAGAUCUAGAUUUAGAUCUCAAAUAUAAAAAUUGUAUCAUUACUUUUUGAAGGAUAUUCAUUUCCAGCCAUUUAUUUUUCUGUUCACUUGAUGGACAAGAAAACAAUAUCGGAAAGUGUGUGAAAUUUGUUUCUAGAUAGUUUAAAUAGUUUAGAUCAUGUUUAAUGGGCAUCAUCAAUUGAAGCUCUAUAUCGAAAACAAAUAGGUAGUAACGAGUCGUUUACUUACUGAUAGUAUUCUAGCCAAAACUCUUGCCUCUCUUCUCUCUCUCUCUCUCUCUCCUCUCUCUCUCUAUUUAUAUAUAUAUGAUAUAUAUAUAAUAUAUAUAUAGUGAGGCUACUAUGUUAUUGGAAGCAUGAGCCUUUCGUGCUUACCAGCUCCGUUUUCAUGUGCGACUUUCGAAUCGAUCGAUCGGCUCCUGUUAAACUUAUUAGAGUAUUGGGAGUACCGUAGGAAAAUAAAUUGUAUUAUUUUUGAUAUCAUUUGCAAUAGUGAUUCGAAAUUGGGCCUCAAAUCAACAAAUUUAAUGGCCGUAAGGUGAGCCAUUGCAGUUAACGGUGUAGAAAUAUAAUUAAAUCUAGUGAACAUUUGAUAGAAAAUUCUUUUAUCUAUAUAAAACAGAUCAAUAUAUUUGAUUUAAAAUUUUAAUGUCAUUAUUUAAUUUGUGUACAGAUUUUUUAUUUCAGCAUUUUGAUUUUUGAUGCCUUCGUUCAUUAGGAAAUGAUAUCGUAAAAAUCAUAAAAUUUAUUUCUAGGUAUUCAAAUACUCUAGAUCAAGUUUAACGGAGCGAUCGACAUUCGAAAGGUCGCAAUCGUCAAAAGAGCUGAAGGCCACGGAAGGCUCUUAGCGGUGGCGUUCCGAUAGAUAGUAGCUCACUUAUAUAGAUAAUAUUAUAUAUAUAUAUAUAUAUAUACAUAAUUAAAUAUUAUAUAUAGAAUUAUCUAAUAUUUAUUCUAUUAUACUAUCAUAGUACCAGCCUUGGUACUAUGAUUGUUUUCGCCGUUGAUAUGAAAGGAUGUGCCGUUUAAGAUGAUAGUGUCCCCCAGUUAAAUCUUGGAUAGUGGUUCUCUAGGGUUGAGUGGGGUGUGUUGGAUUAAUAAUAUAAUCUAAUGGAUGAAAAUGAUCAAAGGGUAGAUUAAUGGUAGAAAAUAUUCAAUGAGUACUUAACGGGCUCGCUACUACGAUAGUAUAGUAGCCGGACUCUAUUAUAUAUAUAUAGAUAUAUAUAUAUUAUAUAUUAUAUAUAUAUAAUUAUAUUAUAUAUUAAUUAAAUAUAUAAAUAUAAUAUAUUUUUAUUAUAUAUAGGCUGACUCGUGAAUAAUCGGAUUUAGUCUAUAAAUUGGGCCAAUAUUGAUUGACUUAAAACAAAAUCCCAAUAGACAAAUAAAAGAGCAAAAUUUUAUAAAUUUAAAUUUUUUUCUUUCGUUUUUUUUUUUCACAGAGCUCUAAAUUUCAAUAUGUUUCUCUUUUCUCUUUCUGCUUCACCUAUGUGGCCAAAAAGCCGAAGCCUCCAAAUACAAGAGCAGCAAUAUGUCUGCCGUUGCGAUAUUACUAUUAAUUAUAUGCUUGCAGAAAAUACAGAAUAUUUUUAAAGCUAAAAAUUAUUAUUCAUAUAAAAUUAAUUUUAGUUAUAUAUGGAUUGAUAGUUUAAUCCAAUAUUUAUCUAUAUAAUUUAUUUAUUUUUGACUGCAUAAAUAAAAAUGAAUAAUAUGGAGAUUGAAGGCGGAAGAAAAAACAUGUGAGGCUGAAAAGAUUAUAUAUUCAACUCAUAAUUUUUAUUUUUCAUAUUAUAAUAUUAUAUUUUAUAUAAUUAUUUUAUAUUUUGAACUAUUAGACAUAUUUUUGUAUCAAAUUAUAGAUAAUGUUCUAUACAAGUUAAACUAUUGAUCAUGUUGAGAAUUUCAAGUGGCUCGUUUAGGGCUUGAGCUCGCUCGACUCAAAAUUAGGCUCGCUCCAGCUUGGCUCGAAUUAAUUUUAAUCCAAAUUUGAGCUUAAAUUUAGGCUCAAAAUUAAUUUCAAGCCGUAAGCUCGCUGGAGCUCGUUUCCACCCCUAUCUAUCAGCCGCAUCGCGGGUUUCUGCACAGUAGUUUACGUCGGCCCGAUAGAAUUUUCCGUAACUUACAUAACCGUGAAUAAAUUUCUCCCCCCCGAAAAUAUAAUCCUCACCGUCUCCGGCGAGUCUCAAAUGCGGCGAAGCCUCCUCUUCUUCUUCUUCCCUCUCCCCCGUCAUUUCUCUUCUUCUUCUUCUUCUUCUUCUUCGCCUCCGGAAAUCCCAACCCUCUACUCCUUCCUCCAACCCUCCAUCUUCGCCCUCCGCCCCAAACCCUCCCCUCCCCCACCCCAAAACCCUAACCCUCCGCUUCCCCCCAAAACCCUGACCCUAGAAUCCCUCGAACCCUCCCUCCUCUCCGCCCUCCGCUCCCGCUGCCCCGACGAUGCCUGGCGCUCCUUCCGCUCCCUCGCCGCCGCCUCCCUCCUCCCCUCCCCCUCCGCCGCCUCCUCCCUCCUCUCCCUCCUCUCCUGCGACCCCUCCCCCUCCCGCCGCCGCCUCUCCCUCAAGCGCGCCUUCGCCGCCGCCGUCUUCCUCCUCGACCGCUGUCCCCACGCCGUCUCCCUCCCCGCCGCCGAAUCCCUCUUCCGCGCCUUCGCCGACGCUGCCGCCCCCGCCCCAGCCCUCGCCCUCGUCAAAUCCAUGCUCAAAAACCGCUUCUUUCCGCCGUUUUACAUGUGGGGCCACUCGCUGAUUUGCAUCGCGAAGGGCGGCGGCGGCGGCGGCGGCGGCGGCGGCGGCGGCAGCGACAGCAGUGCGGGUUUCGCGGCGUUCCUUCGGGUUUUUGAAGAGAACUGCCGGAUUGCGAUGGACGAUAAGAACGAGUCCAUGAAGCCUGAUUUGGCCUCAUGCAAUGCGGUUCUGGAUGGGUGCUGCCGCGAUAUGUGCUCGGUUUCUGACGCAGAGAGGGUGCUCGAGAUGAUGUCUAAAUUGGGCCUGUCACCGGAUUCUGAUAGUUUUGGGUCGCUCGCUUACUUGUAUGCGUCGAAAGGAAUCGGUAAAAGGAUUGAAGAGCUCGACAGAUUGUUGGAUGCACUGGGCUUUUCAAAGAAGGAAUUUUUCAAGAAUUUGAUCAGCGGGUGUGUUAAAGCCGGAAACUUUGAAUCUGUUUCAUCAACAAUAUUACGUGCAUCGAAGGAGCGAAGGGGCGAUGAGGGUAGUAGUUUGUUGGACGACGAAAGCUAUAUUGAAGUCGCAAAGUGUUACCUAGAUAACGGGAGGAUCAAAGAGUUGGCCUCUUUAAUAAUUACGACUCAGGAGUUGGAAUCUUCUAUUCAAUCUGUUAGAGUAGACUGCUCAUUUGGAUUCGGAAUCGUGAAUGCCUGUGUUGGACUGGGUAUGUUGGAUAGAGCGCACAACAUACUCGACGAAAUGACUGCUCAAGGAGCGUGUGUUGGGCUCGGCGUGUAUUCAUCAAUCUUGAGAGCCUAUUGCAAAGAGCAACGGACGGCAGAAGCCGCGCAACUAGUUACGGAGAUUAGUGCCGCGGGGCUCCAGUUGGAUGUCGGCUCUUACGACGCUCUCAUUGAUGUUUCGAUGUCAGCGCAGGACUUCCAGUCGGCAUUCUCCCUCUUUAGGGAUAUGAGAGAGGCGAGGCUGCCCGAUAUCAAAACCAGCUAUCUCACUAUAAUGACAGGGUUAAUGGAAAAUCAGCGGCCUGAGCUCAUGGCUUCAUUCUUGGAUUCGAUAGUUGAUGACCCAAGAGUGGAAAUUGCUACCCACGAUUGGAAUUCCAUUAUACAUGCCUUCUGCAAGGUUGGCCGAUUAGAAGAUGCACGGAGAACUUAUAGGAGAAUGGUUUUUCUGAGAUUUGAACCGAAUAGUCAAACGUAUUUAUCACUUAUCAAUGGCUACGUUUCUAUACAGAAGUACUUUAGUGUGUUGAUACUUUGGACAGAAGUGAGGAAAAAGGGUAUUGAUUUCGAUCACGAUCUGAUUGAUGCAUUUUUGUUUGCACUGGUUAAGGGCGGGUUCUUUGAUGCGGCAAUGCAAGUGGUGGAAAAGGCUCAGGAGCUGAAGAUAUUUGUGGACAAGUGGCGGCAUAAGCAAGCUUUCAUGGAGACACAUAAGAAGUUGAAGGUGGCAAAGCUAAGAAAGAGAAACUUCAGGAAAAUGGAAGCACUUGUUGCAUUUAAGAACUGGGCUGGCCUUAAUGCAUAACUAUCGAUCGAGUUGCUGCAUGUCUUCUUGAUGAUAUUGGAUAUGCAAGUUUGGAUUGAUGCACAUCCUGUGCUGUGAUGUGAGGAUUGUAUAUUAUUGUAGGAGGAAUCUGGAGGAGAGUCAUCUAGAUUGAUUUCUCAUGGGAAAGGAAAAGCUUUUCCCGAACCAGGUAUAAAGCAGAUGAGAACAUUAAAUUUGUUGGAUUUCUGGAUAUCUGUUAUUGUAACGACGGUCUGAACUGCCAAACUUCGUAAUAAAAUCUUACAUGAGACUGGCUCGAUCCAGGAUAUUUUUUCUCCUUCUUCUGGCUACUUUUAUUUGAUAGAUAAUCAUUGGUGGAUGAAAUCACCUUUAAUCUUCAUUUCAAUCAAAAUGUUCCUUCCAUUGAUUUAUUUAAUCUCCAACAAGUUGCAAGAGCCAAAGAUUAAUUUUGGAACAUUCUGGUUCUCACGUUGGCCAUCAAUUGCGAUUCAACUGGAUUGGAGCUGCUCUUAUUCUUGUGGUAAGGGGUCAACUCUGGAGCUAUUUCUGAGAGUAUUGGUGAUUAAGCAUUGAGGCAGUGGUGGAGAACUGUCCAAAUCCACUGCUUGAAUGAUUUGUCAAAAUGCAAUCAACCAGAUAGGAAAGCUCGUAACUGGUGGCAACAGCUGAAUGUAGCCUGAUUUGUUGGUUAUAUAUCUUAUAUACUCUAUAUAAUGAUGAAUGUCACAUCUUCAUCUGGAGUUAUCAACUCCAAUUAACUUUUGGUAAGCAGGAAUUCAUUGCAUCCCUCAUCAAUGUAAAGGAAAUAGUAGCUUUGCUCCUAGUGCUUGGUGAAUGUAAGGCAAUGGGAAGCAUUUUGUUUCUUUUGUAGUCAUUCAGAGGUAUCUUUGUUUAAUCUAGUUUGUCAACAAAAUUUGUUACAAAAUUGAUUCAUCUUCAGCUUUCUUUAUUCCUCUAUUGAGAUGGACCCUGGAGUCUAUUUAACAGGGACCAAUUAAAGUAGGAGCAGAAUUGGGAGUACACUUAAUUUUAUUUUUUUGUCGUGAAUGUUGUCAUGUGACACUUGAUAAUUUGCUUGUUACAUAUGUUGAGCAGGUGCCUCACUUUGCUGCAUCUGUAUCUGAUCCAAAGUGUAUAAUAAAUAAAUCAAAUAAACCAUGAUUUUAAGAAGAGUGCAGUGAAAUAGUUUGUAAUAUAUUCUCUAUGCAUUUAGCUGAAGAAGCAUUAAGCAGAUCUCUAUGGAACUACAAACAUUGCUCCUUAGUUCUUACUUUGUUGGCUUUAUAUAUACUAGAAGCAAGAAAAGUAAUGGAAUACAUCUUUUUCCACUGGAAAUCCAAAAGUUAUUAAGUUUUAGAGCUGAGAUUAGAGAUGGAUUGAGACCUAGAGGUGUAAAGACAAGGAAAAGCAUGCUUCACAUAAAUGCUUAUAAUUCUUUGGUGUUUAAUUAAUAGUUAUGACUUCUGUUAUAUUUAGUUUGAAUUUGUCAUAGUUAGUUUUGAUACCAGCAAAAAUUUUUGUUCAUUUAUUUUUUUUUACCUGAUUAUCAGUACAUGAUUUAGAUUAAAGUCAUGGCAAGGGGAUUGAAGUUAUUAGACAGUAAACACCGUGCUCUAUCUGGUUUCUGUUCUACCUUGACGUGCUUGAUCAUAAUGUUUUCAUAAAUUGCAUAUUUGUUGGCUAUUUGUUAUGUUUUAAACUUGACACAUUGAUAAUAACUCUUGCUUCUUUCCUUUCUUGGCAUAAAUUGGAUCGCAGUCGCACAACACAUGGAUCUUAUAACAUUCAUGGAUUGUUGUUUCUCAUUGUUCUCAGGUGGAAAAUCUGCGACCACCUAUGACUGCCACUAUGCUCUUUAAUGAUAGUGUGCUGCUGCUUGUGGAAGAAUAAAGCAAAAAACUGACUAACUGUAAGUGCUGUUUUUAUUAAUACAUGUGGGUUGUGGUUUUUCUAUGUUACCACGCGCAUACUUUUAUCCUGUUAUUUUUGUUGUAUCCGGCAUUUAGUCAAAUGAAUUAUUUUUUAGUUCUUAUUCUCUUUCCAUCUUGGCUAGCUCACAUUAUCAUCGACACGUCUCCUUUAUAUACUAUAUAACAUGGAGAAAACAAACAAGCUAACAAGUAAGAGUUUGAAUCAAUUGACAGAAAUGCAAGUGAUGAUUGACAGAAAUCUAAUCAAUUCAAAAGUUGAUUCUGCAUCUUUAUUGAUGAGCUCCACUGGGUCACGGAUAUUAUACUCUGUCGGUAGUUUGAAGCUUCCUCAAUGUGAGCAAUUGAUCUGCUAUUCUCUUGUAGAUCUUUAAUUUCGGGGUAAAUUGGUAAACUUCAAUUUGGGCCCUUGUGGUUUAGCUCAUUUUCACUUUUCCAUGCUUUGGUUCAAAAAAAUUGCACUUAACUAUCCAAUAGUUUACCGAAAAGAUCUACUGUCAAAUAGGAUAGCAAAGUGAAAUGUUUUGAUAUCUAGAGGAUAGUUAAGUGCAAUUUUUUGAACCAUAGGGGUGGCAAACUGAAAAUGACCUAAACAUGAGACUUUUUGAACCACAAAGUGGCAAAGUGAAAAUAAACUAAACCAUAGGGGGCAAAUUGAAGUUUACUCUUAAUUUAGUUAUUGUGAAAACUCAAGUUAAUGUCAUCUCACUGUUUGAUAGUUUCAGAAUUUAAUGUUUUAUAAGUAAAAUGGCAUUAAUUUAAGAAAUAAGAUAUUUCAGAUAGUAAUGCAGAUCGUUUUACUUUCUUUCUAUCUAAUUAUGUGAUUAGCAAAGUAUGGAAUCCUUUAGUUAUAGGUCACCAGCCAACGGAUUCUUGUGCCUUUUCUUUUUAAAGCUUCUUAUGCAAAUAUUUCCAUAAUGAUGCAACACAGUUUUACUUGGAUUUUUUUACUCAGAUUUUUUUAAGUGCGGUCUACGAGUUAAAUGGGUCCGCUAAAUUGUAUGUAAAGAGUCUUGGUUGGGUCAAAUUGAUUCUAAGUCAGUGUUCAAUAUUUGUGGCUAUUCAUUAGAUGGUUUACAUCCAUAUUUCUCGCACCUUGUUUCGAGGGUCCAGUUUGGGCUUUAGGGCUAAUUAAGAACCUUUAUGAACUUUGGAUUCUAGGAUGCCUCAUUUUGUCAAAAGGUGUUUCAUAGAGAUUAAAACAAGUCUACAUUUGAUUAAAACAAAGUCCCACAAUGGUAUCAGGUGGGUUUGGAAAUGAUUUAAAUUUAUUCAAAGAUUUUCUUUUGUACAACUGACCUAGUUUUUUUUUAUAUAUAUAAAUUGCUAAGGAGAUAUUCAGUACGGAGUCACUGGAUCAUGUAAAUUUGCUAGUGGAAAUUGUUUCUUUAACAUCAUAAGCCUUCUACCUCUCCUCUUUCGUCUACCUUUUCUCCCUCUCUUACCUUUAUUUUUAUUAUUUCUUGUUCUGUUUGAUGUGGUCUGCUGCAUCCAAUCAACUUUGGAGUUUGGAUUUAUAUCAAUUGGUACCAAGACUUGAUCUUCAAUUUGAGAAUGAUGAACGUGGUGGGUUAUGAUGAACAUUGGCAACAAGACGCAUGUUCUAAUUGUAAUGACCCGACCCGCUAGCAACAAUAACUCGUUGACAACAAACCACCGGUCCAAAAUAUUUAAGUCCAGUUAUUAUGUCUGGUGUGUCCGCUACUUAUAAACCCAACAGGCUCUCCCACAUUAUUCAAUGUGGGACUAUUAGGAUGUCACACUAAUGUUGCUAAGUUAAUGUUUCAUGCUGAUUCUUAAAUUGGAUGGCAUGCAUUUUUCUUGAUCAAUGUUAUGUCAUUUAGGAAGCAAAACAUGGUGGAACAGUUUUUGGCCAUUCAAUAUCCUUUUGCAUAUAUUUUAGGAAACAUUUAUUUCUAAGCUUUUGUUUUAUUAAUGGACAAAAAUUUCGUGCACAUCCGUGCACGGAUGCGGAUGGCCGCCGCGUGUGCGGCGCCCAUCACCACCGCCCCUUCCUAGGGCUGGCAAACGAGCGAGCCGGCUCGCGUUCGACUCGUGUUCGGCUCGAUAUUCGGCUCGCUCGAGCUCGACUCGAAAUUAAAUGAGCCGAGCUUGAACAAAAUAAAAGGCUCGAAAUUCAUUUCAAGCCGAGCUUGAGUAUUACUCGGCUCGUUCGAAUUAGGCUCGAAAAGCUCGAAAAGCUCGAAUAUAUAUAUAUAUAUAUAUAUUAUAUUAUAUAUAUUGUUUUUAAUAUAUUAGGUUUAAUUUUAAUUCAUUGGGUAUUAUGUUGGCCCAUACAUAACCAUAGUAACGUGAAUUGAGCUAACUGUAUUAUUUACAUAUCCAUUUCUUUUUCAGACUUUCAUUGUUGCAAUAUCCGUUAAUCGAUGAUAUAUUAAUUUUCUCCUUUUGUUUCCUCUCUUCUCUCUUCUUUCUUUUAUCUCUCUCUCUCUCUCUUCGUUCUCCUCGGCCUCAUCCAGUCGCAGUACCUGCUUACAUUUUUGCAAAAUUAUUUUGUAUUUUGACCUUUGGGCAUUGUUGAUUAAGUUGCAGGUAUGUUUAUAAAAUUAAACUAAUUGAUUUAUUAAUGUCGAGAAUUUCAAUGCUCGUUUAGAGCUCGCGUCGGCUCGAGUUCAAAAUUGGCUUGCUCUGAGUCGGCUGAAUUAUUUCAAGCGAGUUGGGCCUCGUUUGGCUCAAAUUAAUUUUAAGCGGAAUUUUGAGGGCUGUAGCUCGUCGAGCUCGGUCGUUCCACCUACCCUUCCCCUUCUCUCUCUCUCUCUCUCUUUUCUUUCUAAAACGGGGCCUCGAUUUUUUUUUUUUUUUUUUGUUGGGACGGUCUCGAUGGGCCCGCACACCACGCUGCGCCAUCCGUAUCCGUGCCCAAACAAUUUGUUUGGGCACGGAUGUCCACGAAAUUUUUGUCCUUUAUUAAUAUCAGCACUAUAUUUUGUUUUGUAAUCAAUGCCUACACCACUAGGGAGCAGAAAAUAGCUCACUUUUGCACGUAGUUUGUACAUUAAAGUGGGCAUAGUAUUAUUAUUCAAACAUGCACGCAUGAUGACUAUUGGAAAGUCCUGUCCCUGCCAAAGAAUACUCUUUAUGAAAAGUGUCAAUAUAGUGAUCAAUAAUGGUUGCACAGCAGACCACCUCCUUUUGAAGAUGGUUUAAGUAAUUUUACCUUUGUAAUUUAUUUAAAUAUAAUUUACGAGUUGUAUAUCACCAUGUGCAUGGCUUUAGCUCCUAUUAUAUUUUAGGGUUGGAUUGGACCAUAGAAGCACUAUUCUCCAAAAAGCAGCAACUAGGGGCCUGUUUGGUCUGGCUUCUGAAAAAGCGAUUUCUGAAAUAGUAAUUUUAGUUUGAAAAAGUGAUUUCUGUUAAAAGCUGUAGAGUGUUUGAUGAGUUUGAUAUAAAAGUGAUUUUGUUGAAGUAAUUUUAGAAAGUUGUUUGGCAAAUUUUUUUGCUGAAGUAAUUUUGUAAUAUUGUUUCAUAAUCGCGUACAAACUACACAAUACUACAAAUUAAAUGGGAGAGAGAGGAGGGUAGAGAGGAGGGUAGUUGGAAGUGUUAAAAGGUUAGAGUAGAAUUAUAUUGUUUGUUUAGGGGUAGUUUCGAUAUUUUUAUAAAAAAUUUUAAGUGAGAAAACUGCUUUUGUGGGAAUCAGUUUUGAGAAGCAGCUUUUUUUUGCUUCUACUUUUAGAGGUUGAAAAAUCAGUUUUUUGAUUCUCAGAAACAGAAUCAGUUUUUAAAAUUUUUAUUGUCAAACGCUCUACUGAGCCCAAAAUUACUUUUGAGCUCAGAAUCAUUUUUAAAAAGCUUGGCCAAACACCUCCUAAGUAUUGGACAAACAGAGAUUUUGAUCUUGUUCUAUGUGUCCAAGUAGAAAUGAAGUUUUGGAUCCCAAAUAUAAUAGAAAAGCUGUUGGCGGAUUUUAACCAAAAAUUGUUAGUGCUUUUUUUAAUUGCUCUAGGGGGGGUUUUUAGUGCAAUAGUUUUCUUCUAAAAUUUUAUUCUAAAAAUAUAUCUGUUAAAUUUUUAUUUAUAAAUACGGUCAUAUAAAAACGGUGAAUGGUUCACCGCUUUUAAAUACGGUGAACCAUUCAUCGUUUUUUUUUUUCAUUUUUUUUUAUAUUUCUACUAUGAUAAAAACGGUGAAUGGUUCAUCGCUUUUAUUUUUUUUCUACUUCUAAUGAGGAGUUAUGAAUGCGGUGAAUCAUUCACCGCAUUUAAAAGUCUAUUUUUAUAAUAAUUUUUUAAAAAAAAUUAUUUUUAUAAUUAUAAAAAUAGAUAGAAUUAUUUAUAAAAAAAAUUCGCUCUAGGGCCUGUCUGGCCUAGUUGUUGGAGAAGUGAUUUUUACAAAAUUGAUUUUGAAUUGAAGAAUUAAUUUUAAUUAAAAACUAUAGAAAAUUUGGCUAAGUCUAACUGGAAAGUAAUUUUUUUUGAAGUAAUUAUGGAGGGCUCUUUGAUAAAGAGUUGUCAGGAUAUUUGGAUGGAAACAAUUUUUUCUUUUUUCCUAACAGCUUUACACAUGGUAUUUUUUUUGGCAGAUCUAGCGGCGGAAUAUAUAUAGAGAGCAAAAGUUCAACGAGAAACAUGCCCGCUGCUUUUUUAAACACCGCCACUCAGAAAGCACUUCCAAGGUACGAUGCUGCAACCUUCCCACUCACUAGAAUAAAUUUAGCCUGUGGUUACUACCAGUCUCCUCACCUUUCAACACUCCCCACUAUCACCACCAUGGCACCAUCAGCUCAUGACCCUCUUCUUCCUCCUCAUCCUUCCAUCAAGAAGCCCUCGCCGUAUUCCAAGACCAUCUUCUUGUUACUACUGUCCAUAGCUUCUCUCAUCUCCCUCGCCGCUCUCUUUUUCUCUUACAAACACACCGCCUCCACCACUGCCCCCACCGUGAACUUCUCCCACCUCUGCUCUCGCUCCCCUGACCAAGCUUCUUGCAACGUCGCCGUCUCGAGCGCGGUCGCUGCUCUCUCGGCCCAGUCCAAAACCCGUCCUGUCCCGGCCCAAGUGCUCCUCACCAUCAUCCAACAAUCUAUUCGUGAAAUAGAUGCCACCGUCUCUGAGCUCACCACUAUCCACCGUUCGGCGAAUGAUCGACGGCUGCGAUCCUCCCUCGCUGAUUGCGUCCACCUCAUGGGCCUGUCGCGUGACCGCCUGGUCGACUCCGCUGCCGCCGUGUCGUGCGGUGCCCACGCCGAUGCCCAGACGUGGCUUAGCGCUGCGCUGACCAACCAUGUCACGUGCUCCGACGGCCUCGACGGGCCGUUGAGCCGUUCCGUAGUUAAGGCCUAUCUAGAGCCCCUAACGGCGUUAGCGAGCGCCUCCCUCGCCGUUAUCACCACCAUGAACCCGCACGAAUUAGACAAAGUUACACGCCUCACGAGAAAGAUCCCAUUUCCAGAAUGGGUAACUGCGAGGGAUCGGAAGCUUCUAGAAGCAGCUUCUGUAGGGAGUGGGAUGACGGCGAACGUGACGGUGGCGGCUGACGGGAGUGGGGACUUCGGAACGGUGCAGGAAGCUGUGAACUCAGCACCCAACAAGGGGAAGGCGCGGUAUGUGAUUUACGUGAAGGCCGGCACGUAUGAGGAGAACGUGGCCGUGGGGAAGUCGAAGACGAAUGUAAUGAUCGUCGGCGACGGCAUGAAUUCGACGGUGAUCACCGGGAGCCUCAACGUCGUCGAUGGGUCCACCACUUUCAACUCUGCUACCUUAGGUUAGUAUCCCAUAUAACCAUAAGUAGAUAUAAUUAAUAAGAGUAGAGAUAGCUAACUAGUUACAAAUCGAAACAUCUGCUUUUAACUUUUCCAAGCUACUACUAGCUUCUGUCAUAGAAUCUUUUCGAACAUUCGGUAUUUUUACAUUUUCAUAUAAAAACUGUUCUAAAAAACUGACUCUAGCUUGUCCUGCUUAAGCGCAUUUUUGUGAGGUGAUUUUUGGAUGGAAUCCUUUGAAGAAGCUAGGUUGCUAGCCAGUAGAAGAACUACUUAACUUUUUGCUUUAAAUUAAGGUCAUAAUUCUUGAAUUAACAAAAAAAAAAAUAGAGCAAUAUGGAAAACAAGGAGGAAUUCUACACUGUCAUACUUGCACCACAUCAUCAAUAACAAGCUAAUCAUAUUUUUUUUUUUUCAAACAAAAGUAUAAUAAAAAUAUUUUUUUAUAAUCUUGAUGGGACGUAUACCCCUAAAAGGAGAUAUUUGAUUGGUUUGUUACGCCAUGUCACCAAUAUACUCGUUGCAUUCUAGAAUUUUUUCGGAAACAAGCAUUCUUGUCAACGGAAAUAAUAAUUAAUUUAGUUAGAAUACCCACGUAGCUGUUGAUGAACUAGCCCCUGCCUGACGUUGGGAAAAUCAUUAAAAAGCACGAUUUCACUUGUGAUUUUGGUAAAAUUUCUAAAUUAAUUGAUGAAAAUCACUCAAUCAGAAAACAAAAAAAAAAGUUUUGAAGGCCGAGAGAGUUUCAAUCUGAAAAAGAAAAAAGAAUGGGUCAGUUUUAGAUUGUACUGUAGGAUAGUGUGGGCCUCUAUGCAUUUUAAAAAAAAAGAUUUUAACAACAAACCAAAAACAUACACCGCGUGUGAUGCUUUAGUAGUCUCGUAUUGGAUGGAAAAAGAUUAUGCUUGGGUUUAUUGAGAUUUAGCACUAUAUUACCGAUAAUCAGUUCGUGAAAAAAAAAAAAACAAUACUCGCGAUUGUCUUUUGCCUCCAAUCUCCUUAGAAUACACUGUUUACCUCUGUUUAAAUAAUUUUAUUUUUGAGGUCUUUAUACUAGGAUUUUAGAGUACAGUGUAUGGUGCGCCCGAUGCUGCUUAAAGCAGCCGAUUGUUACCUUACUUGCCGGCUGCAUGAGUGGCCCGGUUCAAAUACAACUUCAAGCAGAAAUCGAUGCUUGCUGUCCUUUCUUUUAUUGCUCGUAGGCCUUUUAACCUGAAAAACUUUGCAAAGAAUUGCAGAACUAAACUUGGAAGUUGGGCCUUGGGCUCCAGAAUUCGGCACAUAUGGAGGCUCGAACUUUUGACCUCAUAAUUGGCUGUUCAACAUCUUAUCACUAGACUAUUACUCGUUUGGUGGGUUCGUCGCAUAUGUUAGUACACGGCUUUGAUCUAACUUUGAUCCAAUCCAUUUGCAAUCCGCCGUCCUUGUUUCAACCACCCAUAUCAUUUGAAGCGUCUGUGUCAUUUGAAAAGCUCUAAAAGUGCGUUUAAUCUUUUUUUUCUUUUCAAUGCUAUAAAAUUGUGAUAGAACCUACCACUAGAGAGGCGACUACGUACUUCUCCGAUGGUGAUUUUCAACAUAAUUUUAGAGUAUUGGAGGAGGAGAGAUUGAAAGCACUUACCCAUUUUUUGAGCUUUCCAAAAUAUAAAAGUUUAUAGUUUUCAGAACACAUAUUCAAAUUAGGCUACUAGGUGUUCCCCAAUAAACGUAAUUAAUUUGCAAUUAGACUACCUUAAUGUUCCCCCCAUGUCUUUUAUCAACUUGUCCGUUAAAAUCGUCAAACUUCUUUUUUUCCCCCAUAAUGAGAGGGAGUUAGAUCUUGCUAAUGUUUUAAAUAGGUUAAACUUUUAAUAGUUGAAGUCAGAUUAAUUACGUAUCGUCAAAUUCAGUUUGCUUGUUUAAAUCAAUUCAGCUGCGGUGGCCGAUGGUUUCAUUCUGCAAGACAUCUGCGUCGAGAAUACGGCGGGACCUGAGAAACACCAGGCGGUGGCACUCCGUGUUGGGGCCGACAGGUCCGUGAUAAACCGCUGCCGUGUAGACGGCUACCAGGACACCCUCUACGCGCACUCCCUCCGCCAAUUUUACCGUGACAGCCUCAUAUCCGGCACAGUCGACUUCAUCUUCGGCAAUGCUGCGGUGGUCAUUCAAAACUGCGACAUUGUUGCUCGCCUUCCCUUGUCCAAACAGGAAAACACGAUCACGGCCCAGGGGCGGACCGACCCGAACCAAAACACGGCCACCUCCAUCCAGAGUUGCAAGGUCGUGCCAGGGGCCGACCUCGUGCCGGCGGAGUCGGCAACACCGACGUUCCUCGGCCGGCCCUGGAAGCAGUACUCGAGAACGGUGUUCAUGCAAUCGUACAUCGAUAAUCACGUGGAUCCUGCGGGUUGGUUGGAGUGGGACGGAGAUUUCGCACUGAAUACGCUGUACUACGGGGAGUACGCCAACAAGGGCCCAGGUGCGGGGACUGCCGGGCGCGUCAACUGGACGGGGUAUCAUGUGAUCACCGACCCGAGCGUGGCGGCGGAGUUCACCGUGGCGCAGCUGAUACAAGGGGGGGCUUGGCUGACCUCUGCUGGAGUUGCAUUCACCGAGGGCUUAUGAAUUUGAUAGGCUAUGGAAGAUUUUAGAGCAUGUAAUAAUAGAUAAAUGUUGCGAAUGAUAUACAUUGCACCUAUUCUAGGAUGCGGUGGUCUUUUCUAAUUAUAUUGAUAUGACUAGUAAAAAAUUUUCUAUCUUAAGAUAGAUGAGAUGUAUAUCAUACUCAUCUUUGGUAGUGUAUUUGUAACAUUGCCCUAAAGGUGCGUUUGGUUCGCGCUAUCUUUUAAAGAUUCUUAGUAAUCCAAUGGGAAUAAAAAAAUAUGACGGUGUUUGGCUAAACGUACUAAGUAAUCUAGUUGGUAAUAUUGGAUUCACUUGGAAAUAAGAUUCAUCCCAAAGUACUAAUCUCAUUCCCUUGAGGGAGGGUGGGUAUCUCAUAUUAAUGGAUUGGAGUAAUCAUAAUAUGUCUAAUUUCUUUCUUUCUUCCUACCCGCCGGCUAAUUGAUAUUAUUUUUCUUUACACUCUAAUCUUAUAUCUCUCUCUAAACUUAUUUUUCUCUCUAAAAUUCAACUUUUUUUUUUCUCUCUCUAAACUAAGCUUUCUUUCUCUCUCUCUCUUUCUAAAAUUUCAACUCUCUCACUCCCUCUAAUUUCGACUAUGUUUUUAUUUCUAUUUUUUUUAAUUAUGCUCUCUCUCUCUAACUUAUACUCUCUUUUCCUUUUUUCUAAAAUAAUAUUGAAAUUUUUAGUAACAUUAUCUAAAAUUAAAUAAAUAAAUAAAUAAAUUAAUUGUAUAUUUUUUGUAAUAUUAAAUAACAUGGCUAAUUAAUAUUACCGUACGAACCAAACACAGAAAUUCUACAUUCUUCGUAAUAGGAUGAAUAGGAAUAAGAUUCUCGGAUAUCUUUUAUUCCUAGUAAUCUUUCAUAAUGCGAACCAAACGCACCCUUAAAGGGUUUGGCCCAUAGACCUGGUCCUUUUGGACAAUUUUUUUUUCAGCAGUAAUUGAGAUUUUGAAAAAUCCAGAGGACCCUUUUUUUUUUUCUUUUUUUUUUCUUUUUUUUUUUUUUUGUCCUUCCCUAAAUUACAACUACAAUAUAUUAUUGGUAAAAACAUAAAUAACUUAUCUAAAGUAUAAACUAUUUUGAUUCUAUUAUCUAACAUCUUAAAAUUUUGAUUUUAUUAUUCAAUAUUUUAGUUUUUUUGAUUUAAGUAAUUUAAUGAUUCUUUUAGUUAAAAACUUAAGUUAAUUACUUUAACAAAUUUAAUCAUAGCUAUAUUAAUUGCUUCUAAUACGCUAAUUAAGACUAUAAAAAUAUGGGAUGCAUUCAUAUUGAGAUUCUCACUUUAAGUCACGUCAGAGCACUCUUAGCAUAAUUAAUUUUUUCAUAUUUAAUUCAAAUUUAUAUCAUGGACCUUUCAAAAGUCUAGAUACGAAAAAAAAAAAAAUUGUUAAAUAUAAAAUAUUAAAAAAUACCGUUUUAAUUCUACUAGUUUAACUUUUUCUUUUUUCUUUUGAGAGAAAAAUGAUUAUUUUAUAUAAUUUAACACAUCAGACUACCGGUUAAAGCUCGUGAUUUGAUUUGGAUCCUAUUUUCUCCAUUUUGAACUCUCUUUGUAGGCAAUUUGAUAUUAAUUUGAAUGAACUCAAAAGUUCAUUCAAAUUUAACUUUAAAAUUCGUUAAGUUUCAUGGAGUGCUCAAAAAACUGCAAAUUCAAUUAGUAUUGUUAAAAUUGACAUGAUUGAGCAGCGUAUUUAAUAGUCAUUAUAAUGUGAAACAACCGUUGUACUAUAAAAAUUUAAACCGUUAGAGAACGAUAUUUAUAUAUUUUUUAUAUUUAAUAAUCAUACAUUCAAACACUUGUUGAAAAUAGCAUAAAAUUUGUUGAAUAUAAAAAUACCGUGACGUGAGAGUGAGAAUUGGAUAUAACAAUACUAAAACACCGAUCUCUAGCGGUUUAAGCUUUUAGACAAAUACGAUUGUUUCAUAAAAUUUAAUAAAGUGUUUCACGAGAAUAUCCCGAUUUCGAGUGCACGUUUUUUUUAUAACAACUUAAGCUUUUAUUAGAGAAAUACGAUUGUUUUAUAAAAUUUAACAUAAUAUUUGACCAGAAGAUCUUAAUUUCGAGUUCAGAUUUUGACCUAUAAAAAUAUCGUUUUUAAUAUUUUUCUCAUGCCAAACACGAUAUUUGACCAGAAGAUUUUGAUUUCGAGUUCAUGUUAUUGAAACCAUAAAAAAAACUCAAGUCGAAAUGUGAAUGAGAAUGUUAAAAAUAUUUUAAAAAUUACAGUUAUUUUAUGAAAUUUGACAAAACAAGCUAACACAAAUCACAACAACACAAUCUCUCUCUCUCUCUCUCUCUCUCUCCUUUCCUUUUGUUUUGGGUACAACAACACAUUAAUUUUGAAGCUUUACUAAUUUCAACAAAUAAUCAAAGAUGUAAGGGAGAAUAAUAAUAAUAGUAAAGAAAAUGGAAAAAUCCCCAAACCCCCUUAAUCUUACAGCACGAAAAUUAAAGCUCCCUCAUAAUAAUUACCCGUAUUAUUAUUGUUAAUUAAGAAGCUAUUAAGUGAUCCAUAUCAUCCGUAGUUGAGCCGGAAAAUGUCAUUUUGCACAAAGAAGCUCCCGUGCUGCGUCGGAACCAAGUGAAACAUCUACACAAUAAAUUAAAAAAUAAAAGAGAAGAAAAAAAAUUUAAAUUUGAAACAAUAUUUUAUUCUAAAAUUUAAUAUGUAAACUGUCAUAAUUAAAUUUGAAAAAAAAACCAAUUAAUCAAAUUAGUUGACAUAUAUAUAUAUAUAUAUAAAGGUAAUUAAUUACUGAAAAUAAAAGAUGAAAUUAAUUUUCUGAAUUAAUUCAUCGGUUUAAAUUUUCAAAUAAAAAGCAAAUUAAUAUUUUCUUCUUCUCGAAUUUAUAAGUGAGGGAGUACUACUGCACGUACCUGGCUGAACUUGAGGUGGUGUUCCUCUCCCGGAAGCUGAAUGCUGCCGCUGACGAAGACAAGAAUGCCGCCGGCGACCGGCGACGGCUGGCAGUCGACAGUGGAGACGGCAUGCUUGCAUUGGCCGAACGGCAGCUGCGCCAGCUUCCGCGCGAUCUCGUCGGCCCCGACGACCUUCUGCCCCUCGAAGGAGAGCAGGGAGCCGCGGUCGUAGAGCGCGGCCAGCGCGGCACGGUCCGUGUCGAAGACCCGGCAGUAGUGCUCGACAAACGCCUUCCCCACCAUCUCUAUCUGCUGCUGCUGCUCUUGCUCCAUGCAUAUGCUGCCAGCCUUUUCAUCUCUCUGAUGAUCCAUUGCAUGCACAAUCUUUCUCUCUCUCUCUCUCUAUAUUGGAUUGGUAUAUAUAUAUAUAUAUAUAUAUAUAUAUAUAUAUAUAUAUAUAUAUGGUGGUGGCCCAAUGAAUUAUACAUACGGGUACUCAAACUGUAAUUUGUAGUAAUUUCUUAUUCGAGUUUUCUGAAUUAUUACAAUCAAAUCGCAGAAUAGCAUUUAGUAGGUUAAAUGCUGAUAAUGUUGUUGAUGUAUAAGUGAUAUAGUAUCUUUAUUAUUCUCGCAUCAUUAAUCACAAUACUCUUAUAUAUAUUACUUCUACAUCAAUAAAUUCUGAUUCAAAAUUUCUGAAUUAUUAUAAUAAGUCGCCCAAUCCAAUUUAGUUGACUAAGUAUUGACAAAUUGUUAAUGUAUAAAUGAUAUGGCAUCUUAAUUAUUCUCGCAUCAUCUGUCACAAUACUUCUACAUCACUUCUAUAUCAAUAAUUUGUCAUUAAUAUUUAGCCAAUUAAAAUGGAUUAUUAGGUUUCAUUGUGACAAACCAAAAAACUUGAUUUUGAAAUUGCAACAGAUUAAUUUUAAGGACGUAAGUGUCACGCACCUCAUAGCUUGAGGACCAAAUUAAAGUGCAAUUUAUUUUUUUAAAAAAAUUAAAUAUAAAGAAUCCAAAACCUCUAGGGUUAUUAAUUAUGACUCUAUUUAGUAUAAAGGGUUGUAAAAUUAUAACCUCUUUUAGUUCGCAAACUAAUUAAGCAUUUUUUUUUUAGGCUUAAUUACAUGGUAUGUGUAUGUGUAUAUAUAUAAUCAGCCAAUGGGAUUCACAAAUUAACAAAAAAAAAGAGAUUAAAUUAACGCACUAGAUAUAAUUUUCCAAAUCUUUUAUAUUCUUAACUAAACUUCUAAAAUUUUGCAACCGAGUGUCUAGGAUUAUAUUUUAAAAAUUAACUUAAACUAACUAAUAUUAGUAAAAUGGUCAAGAAAUAAAAGUGAACAUACGCUAUAUAGCAAUACUGAAGCACACUCCCAGCUUUGUUUUAUAAUAUAGAAUUUGAUUUUUUUUUUUUUACUAUUUAAUUUUAACAAAUUAAUUGUGAUUAUUAUGGUCAGCUUCGUCUGAGAAAGGAAUUUUUAUUAUUUAUCGACCAAUUAGCUAAUUUAAUCACCAUGAAAAAUGAAUUUAGAUGGUUAAUUAUAUAAUUUUGAACGCUAAAUGUAAAAUUUUAGAAGAAAUUAAUUAAUUAUUAUUGCAUUAAUUUGAGGAUUUUAUUAGGAUCCUAAGAUUAAUUUGCCAAACACUGCCACGUUGCAAUGGCAAUGAGGUAAUUAGCAGCAACGUGAAGGGUAAUUUAGCAUAUGUUUGUACGUGGCUUGCACUAACCCUUCGGAGGUUCCACGCAACGAAUCAAAAGCNGGCCCUUAAAAACUAUUUAAUGUUCAUAUCUCCAAUAAUGUUCUCCAAUAAUGUUCAUAAUAUCUCCAAUAAUGUUCAAAUCUCCAAUAAUGUUCUCAUUUAUUUAUGGUAUUUAAUGUGUUUGCAUCCAUAAUGUCUAGAGCUCUGAUUAGUCGAGAAACACAAUCCAAAAGUGUCAUAUAAAUUUACCAAUGUUUAGAGGGACCAAAGUGUUCCCCCUCAUGUAUUGUUGACAUAAUAUAAAAACUUUUCAUCAUUUUAUGCAUGUAGUACAAAUUGUCACGUGAAUUUCCCAAUGUCAAUGUCGUAUAAUCAAACUAUACUAUAGAAGGGCAUCCAAAGCAAAAAAAAAAAAAAAAAAAAAAAAAAAAAAAAAAAAAAAAAAGAAGGAAAGAAGAGAAAAGUUACUUUGUACAAUCUAAAAGGAGAAUGUGUUAUUUAUAUACUCUUCAUUUUAGUGCUUAAUUUUUAAAAAAAAUUUAAAUUUUUUUCAGAAAAUGAUAAUGUAAGGAUUGAUUACAAUAAAAUCUUCAGUCGGGAGCUCAGUCUCGUUGAGCAGACCUCAAUUUUCUAUAUCCCGUGUCAGGUUUGCUUUUAUCUUAUAGUCCUCUUUUCUAAGGUUUAAAAAAUUAUUUUUGAAUUUUAAUAUUUAAAAAAAGGCCAAAUUACAUUAAACGUUCCUGUUAAAGCUUGAUUUUUCACUUUCCCCCCUAUAAUUUAAAAAUCUAUACUUUGUCCCCGUGUAAAAUGAAAAAUAUUCAUUUCGCCCCCUGCCGUUAGUAAUCCGUUAGGGUUCCGUUUAUAAAAUAUUAUUAUAUUUUUUUUUAUACCAAAAAUGCUCUCGGCCUUCACUCCUUGAACAUGGUGAGAGACAAAAUGAUCAUUUUAUCAUCACAGUUCAUACCGUACCUUCCUGUGAAUAUUUUUUAUUUUAUAAGGAGGCAAAGUGUAGAUUUUAAAUGAUCGGAGGAAAAGUAAAAGAUCGAAUUUUGACAGAAAAAUUUUCUAUAAUUUAGCCUUUAAAAAAAACAAACAAAUUCUUGGAUGGGAGCGGAAAAAAAAAAAAAAGACAUGCGACACGGAUUAGUGACUCUCUAACAAAGUUUUGGAGAGCUUUUUCACUGAAUUUUUAUCCCAUGUUAUAAUAAGCUCUUACAUAAGAAGGAAAAAUCCACUAUUCUCCCAUAAUUCUAUUUCAAUCAAAAUCUAGUUUGGAACUUAUAAUCUAUUGUCUCUUUCAUCCAUACUUAUAUAUCCUUAUUUUUAUACUUUCAUUUACUUCUUCUUUUUUUUUUUUUAUUGUGAAUAAAUUUACAGUAAACACCUGGUGCAUGGAUUCUUUAGACUCCUCCAUAAACCGGGUGCAUUGGUGCUUUAGAGGAAUUGUACUACUGGAAACUAGUCAAUAUUAUAGAUUCGAUAUAUAGUAUUUAAUCAAAAAAUUUUAGAUGAAAUUAAAAUACCUCUUUAAUUAUAACGAAGGUGGCGAACGCGACAAUGUUUCGGCACAGGCAAUGAUGAUGAGUAGAACGAUGACGAUGUACCUCUGUAACAAAUAAAAAGAGAUAUUACUAAAAAAAUAUUUGAGAAAAAUAUAGAUAAAAAUAAAAAAAGGAUACUACUGAAAAAAUAUAUAUUCUUUAUAUGUAAGAAACGUAUAGGUGAAAAUAAAAAAGUACUAAAAAAGAUAUGCUAACAGAAAAGGUAUGAUGUAUAUAUUGUGUGAAAAAUAUUAUAAUGAGAUAAGAUUAGUUAGCGUAGAUAUUAUAUGCAAGGGUAUUAAGAUAUAUUCUAUAUUUGAGAAUGCGGAGAAUAUUUUAGUGUGUAUUAUUUAAACAUUGAAUAUUUUGCUAAAAAAAUUUAAAAUUAUAUUUAAUUAACGAUUUAGUUUUGGUUGGACAACAAUAUUAAUUUUUAGAAAUAUUCUAUACUUUUUAUGACGCAUUAUUUAAAAUAUUAAAUAUUUUGCUAAAAAUAUUUAAAAUUAUAUUUAAUUAACGAUUUAGUUUUGAUUUGGAGGUAUUAAUUUUUUUAGCAAUCUCGUCAAAAUUAAAUCUACUAUUUUAUGUAAGAAAAAAUCUACUAUCAUGAAUUAAAAUUCAAAAUUAUCAAAUUACGGAUAUUAAUUUUUAGUGAGCAUAUAAAUCUAAAAUUUAAUUUUUGUAGAUAUUAUGUUUGAGAAAAAAAAUAUAUUAAAAAAAUAUUUUGAGAAAACACUUGGAUAGGAAAUAAAUUUAGCGGAGGUAUUACGUGAUUAACAGUAUUACGUUAGAUAAGAAAUAAAUUUAGUUUUACGUAUUAUGGAUAGAAAAAAAUAUUUGAGUAACGUAGAUAGUAAUAACGGAUAUGGAUGAUAUUUUUGUCAACAAAAAUGAUAAAUACUUUAUUUUUAUUCGUUUGAUGAGAUCUAAUGGGGAAAACUUAAGAUUUAUAUUUGAGAAUAAAUUAUUAUUUAAGAUUUAUUUAAAAUUGAUAAAAUAUAUUUAUAUUUGAGAACGCGGAGAUAUUUUGGAGGGUAUUAUUUAAAAAUUGAAUAUUUGCUAAAAAUAUUUAAAAUAUAUUUAAUAACGAUUUAGUUUUGUGGCGGGUAUUAAUUUUUUUUAGUGAUUAGCAGAGGUAUUACGUGAUUAGAUAAGAUAUAAUUAGUUUUUUACGUAUUAGUGGGUAGAAAAAAAUAUUUGAGACGCGUAGAUGGGAGAUUACGGAUAUGUAGGGUAUUUUUGUCAACAAAAUGACAGAUACUUUAUUUUUAUUUCGUUGGAUGAGAUUUAAUGGCGAAAACUUAAGAUCUUAUUUGAGAAUAAAUUAUUAUUUAAAAUUUUAUUUAAAUGGAUGGUUGAAAAUUACGGACAUGAUAAUAUUAGUAAAAAAAAAUAGAGAUAUUUUGGAAAGAGAAAAAAUUCAAAACUCAUGCUUUUAUAAGUAGUAUAUAUAUAUAUAUAUAUAUAAUAUAUAUAUAUAGAGUUGAGCUAGAAUACUCUCGAUAGUAAACAGGGCGUUUUACUAUCGAGUUGUUUCGAUGAUAGAGCUUCCAAAUUGACGAUCGGUUCCGUUAAAUAUGAUCUAAACCAUUUAAACUACCUAGAAAUCAAAUUUCACGCACUUUCGAUAUUGUUCUUUUAUCCAUCUAGUGAACAAAAAAUGAAUGGCUGAAAAUGAAUAUUCUUUAAAAAAUGAUGAUAGGAGUCUUGCAAUCAAGAUCAAGAGUAUAGAUCUUGUUUUAAAUAGUUUAAAGAAUUUUCUAACAAAAAUUUAAUUGAUUUGGAUAUCUUUACACCGUUAAACGAGAAAACGUCUCUUAUCCACCAUUAAAAUUAUAAAUUUUUAAACGCUUUGAUCAUUAGGCAAAUGAUGUCGAAAAGAUUUGAAAUUUAAUUUCUAAACACUUCAAGUGGUAUAGAUCAUGUUCAACGGAGCCGAUCGUCAAUUUGGAAGCUCUAUCAUCGAAAACAACUCGAUAGUAAAACGCCCCGUUUACUAUCGAGAGUAUUCUAGCUCAACUCUAUAUAUAUAUAUGCUUAAAAACUGUAUGAAAUUACUACUAAACUUUUUGGUUGAUAGUUUAACUCUUCUAUAUUUUUCAGAUGUAUCGAUCGUCCUUAGAGCAAGUGACAAAGAGUUUGGUAGUUGGUAUUCAAGACUCAAGUUCAAAUCCUAGUUGAUUCAUAUUUUCAGCUAAGUUUAUUUCUAAAUGAAAUAAACGAAACGUACAGUGUGCUAUCUAUCUCUCAAAAAAAAAAAAAAAAAUUUUUUUUUCGGAUGUCUUUUCAAUGCAUCACAACACUUCAUUAUUUUCUGUAGUAAAUAUUUCUAGGAAUUUUAGAUAGGAAAAAAAAAAAAAAAACACAACAGCGACGGAGGGAAAGAAACAAUAAAACGAAUUUCCUGAUUCUUUUUAUCCCUUCUCUUCAUCUCUUCAUCUCCUCCCUUCUCCGAUCGAUUCCACACGCUCGGAUCCUUCGAUCCCACGAAAAAGGUGCGUUUCGAAACCCUAAUUCUCUUCGAGUUACUCCUCGUUGAUUUCGGCAUUGCAAUUGGUUUCGGACGGAGUUUUUCGAAUUUUUCUUUUUUCGUUUUCCCCCUUGCUUUGAUGCGUCCCUGUUAUUACUCAGAGCAAUAAUUUUUGAAACCCUAUUUGAAGAGAUUUACUGUAUCUUUAUUGCUUGCCGUGUUCCAAUGUCGAGGCGCAUGUAAAUUAUCAAAUUAGAGCGGGGUGUGUAACAAGUAGUGUGUGGUUACCGCAAUUUGAAUUGAAAACAUUUUCGUCAUGUAUAUAAUUUUGAGUAAUGAGGAUCGGAGUUCGUGUAUAAUUGGGAACAAAUUUUCUUUUCGGAAUUUCGCCCCUGUUUUGAUAAUGCAGUUUUCAUUAUAUCCAUGAUCAGCAUUAGGAUUAGCAUUUAACGUUAUUUCUUUUUUGGUACCAGUUAUUUCUAAUUUAUUUUUUAAUUGGAGCACUUAGAAUCGUUGGGUGCAUAUUGUAGAGAAAACUAGUUUUUAUGGCAGCUCCAAUUUCAUUCUAGAAUUUCUUUUUCCCCCCUUCUUUAAGUCAUAAUUAUAUUUUCCCCUUCGCAGGUAUCAAAAGUUGCGCAAUGAGUUGGAAACUUCCUAUUUUUGGGUGAGUUGAAUAUUAGUGAACAGUGAUGAUCCCCAAGUGUUUCUCUUUCGAUUUGUUUUUUACAUCAUGUUCAAUUGUAUCUGCGGUUUAAAAUACUAAGCUUAUCACUAGCUUCGCACAUCUUCUAAUUUAAUAUGUGUUCCUUGUUUCUCAGUCGUUUUGUUGCUCUUAAUUAUUCACCCAUUACUGAAAAUGAAAGAAACAAGUGAUCAAUCAAGCGAUUAUUGUGUCUUACGCUUCAAAUAAGCAAUGGAACUUCUGAAUUCCUUUUAAUUCCCAUGAUCUAAAUUUAUCCUUAAUGUCUUGUGACAAUGCUGGGAGGGUUUUUCACGGAAACAUAUAGAAAAUUUGAAAUGAAAUGUGGAUUCUUGGUUGCAGUGGGGGCCAGCAGCAACAAGCUCCAUCGAAUAUCCCAGAUAUCCCUACGCAGUCGUGGUAUCCUCCCUCGGUGCUUAGCUCAUCUUCGCGCCUUUCUGCGGCAAGUAGUUCUUCCAGUGUUGGUGGUAGUCAAAAAACUCCGGAUGGCCCUGCUCCGCAUGGACAGCCGUCGCCAGCUGGGGCAGCAGGAAUAAUUGCUCGCUUGAAGGAAAAAAGGUAAACAAUUGAUGCCUCAGUUCAUAUUCUUUUGGCCUCGAACACGUUUAUACUUUUCUAUUAUGUGUUCACUUGGUGCAUAAUUAAAUAAUAUCCUUUUCAUGUGAUUAUUUUUUUAUUACUAAUGUUGUAGAUCAGAUGCAACAGCGUGGACAUGAAAUUUGGAUUUUAUAUUAGAUGAUAUAUAUUUUUUUUCCUCAAUGGGGAUUUGUUCAUCUACAAGACUUUCUUUUGUACUUUCAUUGUCUACGCGAGACAUCUAAUUUUGUAUAUAAGGAAUGAGGAUUGGUCGACAUAGGAAUUCAAGGACAAUGGUUUAGUCACGCCUGUUGAGCUUUUUGAUAUUCAAAAAGCUAAUGUGGUUCUAAUGACUGAUUGUUUAUCUUUCUCGGUGGUUGCAAUUUGUUCUUCUAAAUGUUGAACUUAUGACUCUGGCUUAUGUGCAGCGUUGAUGAGUUGCGAAAACUUUUAGCUGAGAAAGAGUCAUAUAAUGCUUUCUUCAAUUCACUUGACCAAGUUAAAAUUCAGAAUAAUGUAAGCAUACAUUCUCCUCUACGUUUCUCAUCUGCACCAUCUAUGUCUCAUUAUCAUGCUUAUACAUUCUUUAUGAAUAUCACACUAUUGCUAUGCUUUUACUUGAUCACUUUCUCUAGUCAGGCAAAUUACAGGAAAAACUCUCAUAAUUUGUCUGAGUUCAUCAUUGUGAAUCUUAUUUUAUUGUCCUUUAUAGUAUCAUUGAACUCAGUUUUCUUUAAUCCAUUUCUAACAUUUAACCUGCUUCUUGAAGCUGACGAUGCUUGCAAUUAGACUGGUUAUUUUAUUGCUCUUAGCUAUAGAUGCUUCAAGGUGUAUCUCUCUUUUUCUUUUCGGUAAUUAUUUGUCUAUAAUAAAUUAAUAAAAUAAGUUAUGUGUAUUGUUUCACUCUUUAACCAUAUAUGACUUUUAACACUAGAGUAUUUUUGAGUCUGCUAUUACCCUGUUAGUUGUUAAGAUGAUCCCAAGUUUAUAUUACAUGGAUCUAUGUAUUUAUGGACUAGCAAUAUCUAUUGGCUUCCAGGAUUUGUGACAAAUUUGGUGAUUUCAAAAUUCAAACCACUUUGAAACUUAUACUGUCAAAGCUCGAUCAGAAAGCAGAUGACAAGCGAAUUUCAAUGUUCGAAUGUUUUAAGUAGAUACUAAAUAGGAUGCUGACUUUUAUUCUCGGAAAUGGCAAUCUCCAUAUUGAAGUGAAUGAAAUGAAACCCGGGAGAAUCUGCAGUACACUGUUUACUUCACUCAAAAGUUGAGGCCAGUACUGACAUUCUUCAAACUUGUUUUUUAAGGAUAGAGGUGGUUUAAUUAACUCGAACAUUGUUAUCUGAGGCAUAGAUCUCUCACUCUCUUGAAUCUCUAGGGAUGCCUUUUGGUUAUCUAGGAAAAUACUUCUCUUAUCUAAUUUGACCUAAUUCCCUUUUAGGUACGUGACGAACUUCGUAAGGAGACAUUGCAACUUGCUAGUAAGCUACUUUCUUAAUUGAACUACAUACCCUCUGUUUAAACUGUUUUGACAACAGUGUUAGUGCCUUACUGUUGCAGGAGAAAAUUUGGAAAAAGAACCCUGCAUAUUGGAGCUCAGGAACCAGGUAUAGUUUCACUUCUUUUCUCGAUACCAAGCAUUUUGCCUUCCAAUGCCAUGGAGAUUCGCACUGGGGUUAAGCAGCAUCGCUGUGCUUUGCGCCUAAAACAUGUGCAAUAAUAUGUGACACAGCUUUUCGGUAGAGGAAGGAUGCAAUGACCUUUAACAUUACAAUACCUAGCUAACAUAUGCAGUGCACUGUAAUUCGGACAACUGAACUGGCCGCUGCUCAAGAGAAGCUGGCUGAAUUGGAGAGGCAAAAGGAGGAGACUUUGAGGUCGUAUUCCCCUGCUGCACUUCUUGAGAAGUUGCAUGGUAAGCAUGUCCCUACCUGUGCCAUUUUAUCUCAGUUCUUCUAUUCCAUAGUAGUUCCUACCCAUUCUCUUCCACCCGAAAAGCUUAAUAAUCGGGCGAACGGAGUAUAUAGUAGUAUCUCAGUGGCAAAGCUUUCGUAUCUCGUGAUUUGCGAAUGUCAUACCUGGCUAUUGUAUAUGUUUGAGAGGAGAUGGUCGCUUCCGAAGGCAAAUUUGUACAUGCACAAGAACUUAUCGGGAAUACGUAUACAAAUAUAUAUGUACAUACAAAAUGUUGAGUGCUUUAUAGAUGCACUGCUCACACGUAUAUGAUGUCUUAUUCCUCUGCAGAUGCUAUGAAUAAGGUGGACGAAGAAUCUGAGCAACUACACAUGAAGCUUCUUGAGAAGGAGGUCGACUUACCUGCCUUUGUACAGAAGUACAAGAAGCUCCGCACCACUCACCACCGACGGGCGUUGCUCCAUCUCGCUGCCAAUACUUCGGUUUGCUAAUAGCCUGGAUUUGCUUGCCCUUAUUGUUGUAUCGCCAUAGCUUCGCUUGUGAUGGACUCUGCUUGCACUUCUUCUGUGUGCCUCAUCUUCUUUUUAUUAAUAGUGUGUCUAAUUUGGUUUCAUUUGUAGUGCUGGUGUGCUUUUUUGCAGCUUUUGAGGCUAUGCUAUAUGGUUUUACUCUUGAGACCAAAUCAAGAAAAAUCAUCAGGUUUGUUGUUUUUUCAUCCAAGCGAGAACAAAUUUCUUCACUAAUUUUUUUUUAUACACAACCAAGCCCAUUUUGGUGUGUGCUUAUUUUGGUUUUCCCAUUUUGGUGUACCUAAUCGCUUGGAACGUAUGCCCAGUUUGGUUCUGGUAGUGUAGUAGGUAAAGACUGUUGGAUUUGUAUAUUGUAUACUCUUUACAUUCAUUCUACUUUCUGCUGUACCGCUCUGCUCUAUCCUUUAGACUUAGUUUCGUAUUGAGCCCUAUUAGACGUUAUUAAAUAAAAUAGAGUUGGUGUAAAAGCAUAUAGAGAUAUACUUUUGUAUUUUUUGAUAGGACUACAGAAAAUAUAUUGUAACUGACGCAUCGCGAUAUGCGAAAUACAAUAUUACGUAUGAAAACAAAUAUGAUAUUUUUUCAAUUUUCUCACCGCACGUAACGCCAUUUCUCCGCAAUCCCAAAUAAAGCCUUAGUGUAGAUAGGUUAGACCUUCUUAUGCUUUUCUAAGCCACACACUUUCAUAAAUUUUUAAAUUUAAAUCAAAUUUGACUUUUAUUAAGGUGGUGCCGUGGUCAUGACUCGAACAACAGGGCUAUUAAUCGCGAUUGGGUUGAUGUAAGUGGAGGAAUGAAAUUUAAGUUUAAUUCAUUAUUUUCAGUAUUUAUUUUGGUAUAAAUCAAAAAAAUAAUAUAACUCAAAUUACAGUAAAUCUCCACUUACCUACUCUUGACUUUCCUCACUAAAAUAUGGAACUCAAGUUCCAUGUCACUCAAUCUUCUCUAAAAUUUUAAUAAAUAUUAAAAACUAAAUUUUACUUUUUUUAUAAUAGAUUAUCUUCUUUAUAGUGAGUUAGAAUUUACCUUUAAAUAAUAAUAGAGAAUUUAAUUAUUCAAUAUGUUGGAUUUUGUGGGAGUAAGUUUACUAUUAUCUUUAGGAGGUAAUGAAAUCUAUUUACUUAUAUUAAAACAAACAAUAUAACUCAAAAAACUAGUUACACUAGCACCAAGUUACAUUAAAACAAACAAAACAAGUGCUUGAAUUUAAUUUUUAAGAUGUGCAAGUUACAUUAAAGCAAACAACAAAAAAUUAACUACAUUUUUAGGAAAUUCCAACACCACUACACUUGAGUUAUUUUGGAUCUAAAGAUUUAUCAAUCCAAACAGGCCCCUAAGCCAAGCGGGAGAAAACCUCAUCUUAAGCUAGAGAGGACUUUCCAUGUUACCUUAUACAAUAAAAAUUUUAUACAAUAUUUUACCUUAAAUACCAACCGUCCCUAGCGCAGGUGCCACAGGGCUUAAUGGCUGAUCCUUGAGGUCCUAAAAUCUAGUUGCUUCACGUUUUCAGCUAAGUUUAUUUAUCCAAUAGCAUGUUACCUUUCUCUAAAAAAAAAAAAAAAAUUACCAUAAAUAUUGUUUGACUUUUGCAUAUUCCGAAGUGAAAUUAAUAAUCCAAUUAAAGCUAAACAUAACUUCCACAAAAGUGAAAAUGAUACAAACCUGCCUCUAAAACUAAUUUUAAGCUCAAUGGUUAGCCCAACAAAUUUAUGGAGCUAACAAUUUAACUAGACGAGGUAGAAUUCAAGUACAAAUCAACAAUUUUGUCCGGCGAGAAAUCGGUGAAAUAGCCUUUCCCUGCUGCCAAACCCUCCUCACCAGCUAACCGUUCGACUCGAGCCUGAAUCUGAUCAGAUCCAACUUGCAUCGGAUCGAGCAGAUUACAUGCCACCUCGGCUCUGUCCUCGCCAUGCAUCAACCCGAUUGCUUGAACCGAAUCGAACCCACCCCCUCGCCCACUCAGUCCCCGGGCGAUUCUUCGAACAAGCUCAAUGUUGGUAGAAAAAAUGGGCACAUUGUAGGUUCCGACCCAACCGGUCGCUCCGAUGAUCAAAAUUCCUUUGGAUUGAGUCACUUGGGUUGGACCCAAAUCAGGGUUUGGGUUCAGGGGCUCCAAAUUUAGGCCACCUUUCCAUUGGUAACCUAAUGAGUUGGGUUUGUAGUAACCAAGUUCCCUUCUUAUGGAGUCUACGCUCCUCCCUUCAUCAUGAGCUGCUCCAUACAGAUAUGUGGGCACUGCAAAUACCAAGAACAGGUUUGUUUAUAUCUGCUAUAUAAGAAUUUGAAUGCAUGCUCUGCUGCAAAAUUAAAGAUAUUACAUGACUUGUAAAUCAACAACCUAUCAAUAUUUAACUAACUAAAUUGAAUUAUAGGACUUAAUUAUAAUCAUUCAAAAAAUUAGAGUUAAACGUUAUAACAAAUUAAAAUUAAGAACCAAAAUAUCAACUUGCUCAUAGUUUGAGGACCGAAAGUAUAAUUUACGCAACAAAUUUUUGAAUCCUAGAGCUCUCCUUCCUUCUCUUGUCUGAUAAAUUGUUUUUCUUUGUUUUUUGUACUAAAAUUCAAAAAAGGUUGUUAUAUCCUACAUCCGUUUUAAGUUGUAGACUUAGGCUUAGUUUGAUAUUCAGCUCUAUCUGACACUGUUAGAUAAAAUGAAGUUAGAAAAAAAAGCAUAUAGGACAUGCUUCUGCAUUCUCCGGUAAGACUGCAGAAAAUAUAUCAUAACCGACUUAUCAUAAUAUGCGGAACGCAAUAUUACGUAUGGAAACAAACAGUGCUUUUCCCAUCGUACUUUCUCACUGUACGUAAUGCAAUCCCCCCGCAAUCCCAAACGAAGACUUAGCAUUUCUCUCUAUAUAUAUUUUUAUCUAAAAGAUGUAUGCAAGAGAGAGAGAGAGAAAAAAAAAAAAAAAAAAACCAUAUACCUUGAAGUCGGCAGGCAAUGUCGGCUGCUGCAGACUUGGCAAGCCCCGCAGCUUGAUCCAGUGAAGCUCGAGCCAAAGGGUGGAAGCAAAUAUGAUCGACAACGCCGAGGCGGGGAUGCGUCCCGCAGUGCGAGCGGAGGUCGAUGGACGCGAAUGCGGCUUCGACCAUGGCGGCCGCCGCAUUUCGCAGGGGUUUGGAGUCGAACGAGCAGUGGGGAUCGAAGCGCGACACGAUCGUGUAGCCCACCCUGUUGUAGAUCUCGUCCUUCCACCUGUUGAUGAUACCAACUUCCGGUUCCGGCAAGUGUUUCGCGGCUCGCUCGAUCGAGUCCAGCGCGAGAGCAUUCCGACCCCCUUCCGAGAUGUAUAUCUUGCAACAUGCAAGCUUGGCCUCGCGCGUUAUUUCUGGGGCUCUCAUGUACAGUUUCAUACAAGCAACAACAUUAUCACAAGAUAUAUUAUAUAUAUAUAUAUAUGUAUAUAUACAUUUAUCAGAUAGUUAUACACAGGAAACAACAAAAAAAUAAAAUAAAUUUAAGGAUCCAGCAUUAAUUUCUUUAAUUUUUUAUGAGAGUUCUUUGUAAGUUUAAGCUAAACUUAAGCCGACAUGAAUAUGAGAGAGAGAGAGAGAGAGAUGCAGAGAGAUGCACCUGUAACCAUGGCUGCCCCAACCAAGUUUGCAUUAUCAGCCAUGGAGGCGGGGUUUGGGGAGAAGGGGAAACAUCUUUUGGCAAAGGAGAUAAGAAGGAUACCUGCUUUUUUUAUUUUUUAUUUUUUAUUAUUUUUUAUUUUUUCUGUUUUUAGGUGAAUUGAAUGUUUGAUCCUCAAAUUAUGAGUUGCAAAUUUUAAUAUCUUAUAAUUUGUGGUCCGAACUUAAGAAUUAUUGCAAUCAAGUUGUUGAUGUAAAAAUAAUAUUGUAUUUAAGGCUAGGGCUACUAUAUUUUUAUGAGUUUAGAUUUCUUUGAACUCAUAAAUUUUCGACCGUUGAAUAAAAGGAUGUACAGUUAGGAUAAUAGUGGUUCUCUAGCGUUGAAUAGGUAGUUGGUUGAAUGUAUUAUCUAACGGAUGAAAAAGGUCAAACUCUAACGGCUGUAAAUUUAUGAGUAUAAAGAGGUCUACACUCAUAUAGUAUACUAGCCGGACACUGCAUCUUAAUUAUUAUUGUAUCAUCAAUCAUAAUAUUUUCACAUCAUUUUUAUAUUAACAGUAGUAGACAACAAAAAUGCAAACGAUCUAUGCAACCUAAUUCAUAACUCAAAGGCUAAUUAAGGAAAUGGGAUAAGCGAACUGGAAUAUGAGAUGCCAUAGCUGGACCUUAAUUUGCAAAUCCACUAGUUGCAAAUUGAUUUAUCUUUAUUACACCAAACAAGAUAUCUUGAUUUACACGCAUUUGAUAUUUUGAACCUAUAAUGUAGUCGGAGAUGAGGUAUGAGUAGUAAACAUGUAUAACUAAUGAGAUAACAUGGAUAAUAAACAAGUAAUGAACCACUAAAGCUACUAUGCCUCCAAUUUCACCUGUUAUUUAACAAAUAUAAAGACUACUCUAAUAUGAGUAAGCAUGUUAAUAUCAUGUCCACUAAUAUGCACUAUCUAGUAGUGGCAGUUAAUUAAUACAUUUGGUUAUUUUUACCCAAUUUAUAAGGACCUAUAUAAGUGUAGUGCGGCUUGCGCCGUGCCUAAUGGCUCCGUGGUAGUAAACAUUCCCCACGGCAAUCCACUUCGGCGCCCAAUCCUGUACGGACGAGCAUGAUGUCGCGUAGGCCAACUCCGGAGUGCCAGCUUGUGGGGAGCGACCCUCACAAGCUUGUGCGAAUGAGCACAUUGGCAAGCAAGCAUGAUCCACAAUAGAAAGCUCUCGGUCGUCAUGUUUAUAACAUGGUAUGUCCACUAACGACCCAUAGGUCGGAGUUUAUGUCAUAAUAUCAAAUUCUAGUCAUUUAACUAGGCCAUAUACAACAUCAUUAAGUUCANAUAUAUAUAUAUAUAUAUAGAGUAGGGCUGCUGUGCUCUCAGGAGCACGGAGGCCUCUGUGCUCCUGAGCCGUUUUCGAUGAUGGAGUUUUCGAAUCGACGAUCGGUUCCGUUAAACUUGAUCUAGCGCAUUUGAAGUUUCUAGAAAAUAAUUUUUGAUAUUUUUCGAUAUCAUUUACCUAGCAUUCGAAAGGAUUCAAAAUCAAUAAUUUUUAACGGCUGAAAAUAAAAAUUCUAUAAAAAGUGGUGAUAUAGCACUAAAAUUUUCGAUUAGAAAUAUUGAUCUUGUUUUAGAUAGUAUAAAGAAUUUUGUAUCAAAAUUUCAUCUGAUUUGAAUACUUCUACACUGUUAAACUUGAAAACGACAAAUAUCAACCCUUAAAAAUUAUUGAUUUUGAAUCUUUUCGAUUGCUAGGUAAAUAAUAUGAAAAAAUCGCAAAAAUUAUUUUCUAAACACUUCAAAUACCCUAGAUCAAGUGUAACGGAGCCGAUCAUCGAUUCGAAAAUUCCAUCAUCGAAAAUGGCUCAGGAGCACGGAGGCCUCCGUGCUCUUGAGAGCACAGCAGCCCUGCUCUAUAUAGAGUGAGGCUACUAUACUAUCGAAAGCACGGAGCCUUCCGUGCUUCCAGCUCGUUUUCAAUGUUGCGACUUUCGAAUCAUCGAUCGGCUCCGUUAAACUUGAUCUAGAGUAUUUGGAGUACCUAGAAAAUAAAUUUUAUUAUUUUUCGAUAUCAUUUGCCUAGUGAUCGAAUGGGCUCAAAAUCAACAAAUUUCAAUGGCCGUAGUGAGCCGUUUGCAAGUUUAACGGUGUAGAAAUAUCCAAAUCACGUGAAAUUUUGAUAGAAAAUUCUUUAUACUAUAUAAAACAAGAUCAAUAUCUUUGAUUUAAAAUUUUAAUGUCAUAUUAUUAUAUUUUGUAAGAUUUUUAUUUUCAGCCGUUGAUUUUGAGCCCCUUCGUNGUAUUCUAGCUCUACUCUAUAUAUAUAUAUAUAUAUAUAUAUAUAUAGAGAGAGAGAGAGAGAGAGAGAGAGAGAGAGAGAAUGAAAGUUAGACUAGUGUGCUUUUAGAAAGUACUGUGAUUGUUAUACUAUUAAGUUAUUUUCGAUGCUGAGACUUAAUUCUGAAUCGACGAUCGGUUUCAUUAAACUUGAUUUACAGUAUUUGAAAUAUCUAAAAAAGUAAAUUUUGCAAUUUUCGAUAUUAUUCACUCAGUUAUCGAGGAGGUUCAUAAUUAAUAAUUUUAAUGAUCGUAGUGACUUGUUUGCGUGUUUAACGAUAUAGAAAUAUCCAAAAUACGUAAAAUUUUGAUAGAAAUUUUUUUUAUAUUAUAAGAAAUAAGAUCAAUAUUUUUUAUCUAAAAUUAUAGCGUCAUAUCAUAAUUUUUUAUGAGAUUUUGAUUUUCAACGGUUGAUUUUGAAUAAUUUUGAUUACUAUAUAAAUGAUACCAAAAAAUUACAAACUAUAUUUAUAAAUACUUUUAAUACUCUAUAUCAAGUCUAACUAAAUCUACUAUCGAUUUGGAUAUUUUAACAUUAAAAAUAAUUUGAUAGCAUUGAAGUCACCGUGCUUCUAAAAGCUUGGAUAUUAUGUCCCCAAUGGGAGGUUCUGGUCCACCCAUAUAUNNNNNNNNNNNNNNNNNNNNNNNNNNNNNNNNNNNNNNNNNNNNNNNNNNNNNNNNNNNNNNNNNNNNNNNNNNNNNNNNNNNNNNNNNNNNNNNNNNNNNNNNNNNNNNNNNNNNNNNNNNNNNNNNNNNNNNNNNNNNNNNNNNNNNNNNNNNNNNNNNNNNNNNNNNNNNNNNNNNNNNNNNNNNNNNNNNNNNNNNNNNNNNNNNNNNNNNNNNNNNNNNNNNNNNNNNNNNNNNNNNNNNNNNNNNNNNNNNNNNNNNNNNNNNNNNNNNNNNNNNNNNNNNNNNNNNNNNNNNNNNNNNNNNUUGGAUCAAACACUAUUCCACCUACCACCACCUACCACCAUCAUCUCACCCUCACAUCUCUCCAUCCAAGGGCUAAAAACACACAAGUAUCACCCCCAUGAUACUUUUACAAGUAUUCUAGCCCUACUCAUAUAUAUAUAUAUAUAUAUAUAUAUAUAUAUAUAUAUAUAUAUAUAUAUAUUUUGUUCCCUUCAUACUAUACUCCAACGUUCCUUCACAUGCUCUUUGGCAUCAUUGCUCCACCGCUUAUCAUGUAUGAUAGUUUGAUUUUUUGGCAUCUAGUUUAUAUUUUGUAGCACAUUAAUUUUGUGGGUUUAUAUUGUUGGAAAAUUGUUUCGAUUUUUUAUUAUAAUAUUUUUUAAAUAUCAAUUCGAAAAUUGCCCCUCCACUAGAAGCGAAAUUGCCCCUCCACGUGUGAGACUUUCCGGCAAUAACUCCUAGCGAUACAACGACUACGUUCCACUCCGUCGGCACGCUUCCAAGGUGGUGCAAGACGAAUCCAACAAGCUUCAGAUCUAGCAAAAGAAAACUUGCCGAAAAUCCAGAAAAUAGAAAAAAACGAGAGGCUUUAGGUAUGCUCGGAUUAUUAUUAUUGUUUAAUUCGUGCAACAUCGCCCCAUAUUUAUAACCUAGGCGAGAAUCUUGCUUCAAAGCGUCAAAUCCGUGUAGAACGAGAUAAGCCUAAGAUUAUACGGAUAAAGAUUAAGAUUAGGAUAAAGAUAAGGAUUAAAAUAAAGAUAAAGCCGAAAAAAUAAAAUAAAAUAAACCGGGUGUAUAAACACCACGCACCGCCGCCCGCCUGGCCCGGCUCGUGUUCGUGCUCGUGUGUAUUUAAACGAGUGCAUUACUCUUAUUUUCUUCCAAGCAACUAGCUUGAGAACAAAAGAAUAUAUAAAAACAACAAACAACAAACACCUUUUUGGUUUCAAUGUGAGACUAAACAUCAUACAUGAAAAUUUUAAUUGGGCUCCUCAAGCGGCUCAUUAAUAAUUAUUGGGCUCUUAAGAGGCCUUAAUAAGUUUUAAAUCAUAAGAAAUCCAAUAAAAUCCAAUAUAUAUGUUAUCUAUUGUAAGUUUUUACUCCUUGUGAAAAGAAUAUAUAUAUAUAUAUAUAUAUAUAUAUAUAUAUAUAUAUAUAUAUAUGUAAAUAGGUACUUUUGUGAGAUCAAAAUGCUCACCAUCAUCAUUUAUACAAAUACGUAGUGCAUUGGUACACAUCAUGCAAGAGGACCAAUUUUUUAUGAUUAAUAGCUUCAUAUCAAAAUCUAAUUCGAUAAAUACGAUAUAUGACCUAUAAAGAAUAUAUUACAAAAAUUAUAAGAUUUCAACACCUAUCGUUGAAGGCAUCAAUUAGUUUUAAUAAUUAACGGAAGGAAAACAAACUACUAUUUUUGAUCCAUAAGAAAUCAGAGAUCUAAUUUUGUGAUUUUUUAAUAUGUAAGGUUUUCUAAUGUCACCGAAUAGAACUAGCAAGUUGAAUGUAGGUUUUCUUUUUUUAAUGUCAUCGGAUAGAGCUGGUAAGUUGUAUGUAGGUUUUUUUAAUAUCAUUGCAUAGAGCAAGUGAUUAAUUAAGGAUUUUGAUUUAAGACAAGCACAAUUCUUAGUAGGCCAAGUGCUCAUAAUCUUGUGGGAUUGUUGAUGGGCCCUAUUGUGAGAAGAAGGUACAGCCUACAAACUGUGUGUUUGUACAUCUCAUGCACCAAACAAAGUUUUAAUUUGAUGCAUGAUUAAUAUCUUACAAACAAAAAUUCAAUUCAAAAGACAUGAUCUACACUAUUUAAAAGGUUUUAUAUAAGAAAUCACAGAGUUUGAAAAUCUGUUACUAAAACGUCAAGUAAUCUCAAUAAACAAUAAUUGUAAAAAAAAAAAAUUUGUUUAACUAGUGAGAAUUUGGUGAGUAAAAUUUAUGAUUUUCUUAUGUAGGUCUUUUUGUUGUUGUAGAAUUAACACGUUCUAAGAGUUAGAUUUUGACUUUAAAGCUCUAUCUUAACUUUUAGGGUUAGUUUGAUACAAGAUUAAAAGCUGGGGGUUUAAAUAUGUUUCUUGCAACAUUUUAUGGAGUAAAUAUUAUUCUUUUGGUUGUGUCACAAAUAAAAGUGAGGAGAGAGAUGGGAGAAAAUGAAAAGAGAGAAAGAGGUUAAAAAGAAAGAGAGAGAGAGAAAGGAUAGAGAAGUGAAGAGAGGGAAUAAAGAAAAUGAGAUAGAAAAAGGGAGGGAUGAGAAAGAAAGCAAAGGGAGAGUGUUGGAAAUUAGAGGGCAGCGGAAAUUAGAGGGCAGCAGAAAUAAUUGUGGAUAGCCAACGUAUCCAGGAACCGGAAUCAGAUCGAAUUGCUUGUUUUACUUGCCUGCUUAGAUCAUCCUGGUCUCGAUGCUUCUAAAUCUCCCACAUAUCUCGGCUCCUCCCACGCCUACGCCACUACAACAAAAACGGUCUAUAACGACACUUUUAAAUGUCGGUACAGAUCAAAAAAAGUGCUACUGGCUAAAUUAUUGACACUUUUAAAAAGUGUUGUUAUAUGUGGGGUUGCUAGGUAUAUAGUGACAGUUAAAGAGUGUCGCUAUAACCCAAAAAAGUGUUGCUAAUUUACCAACAUUUAUUUAAGCAUUUAGCAACCGCCGGAACUCUACCUCGUUGGCUGCGAUGGCGGAGGAGGAUGAGAGGAAGGGAUUUUCGUCUAGGAUUUCAGUCGACUGAGUGAGGGGAGAAGGAAAAAUGAUAACUCGAACCAAACGCACCCUAAUAGAUAUCCACUAGAAAAUACGUUUCUUAACUAACAAGAAAUAUAUAAUCCAUCCUUACCCUUAACUUAUUAGGAUAAAUCCCAAUCCACAUUUUGUGUGGAUCGGGUUAAAUUAAGACCCGCCAAUGUGGAUACACCACAUAGAAACAAUCUCCCACUUGGCCACAUUGGUUAAUUCUUUCUCACUCAUUCAUCUCUUCCUACGGGUAAUGGAGCGUGCGACCUGAUGAAAGAAACACAUGCAGGAGUGCUAUACUAAGUCACCACCCAACUAAUAUAGUAUAUCACUGAAUUAAUUUGUCUAUGCCCUAGACGUUCCAACACACACCGGAUCAAGCAUCAGAAAGUCCCUCCCCUGUAAUGAUAGGGCUCGACUCCACAAUUAUUUCUCGCACUCAUGAUUAUCUCAAGUAACGCAACCGAGAUAACCGCCCAGGCAAUGAGUCACACGAUUAACAUGGUUUGUUAUUGAAACAUCUUCCUCAGCCCCUCAUGUUAAUCUGUAUUGGUCCAAACACUUUACUAGACAUGCUCUGCGAGAUCGUAUUUUCUCAUGACCCUGAGAUACAUGCUAAGUUAGUUACUUUGGACCUCCACUUCAUAACGUAGUUCUAAGUCGAGGGCACAAAAGGGUUAGUACUCAUAGUGACAUAGAGGGAAGAAUUUAUGUCAUUUUACUAACUGGUCGACAAGUACAUACAGUAUGAUAUGUACGUUAUGGCGGAGCUCCCACUCAAUAGGUCAUAUCAUGUUCUGAAAACGCCAUACGAACCUUGGUCUAGGUACUACUAUGGUAUCUAACUAUGACAAUUCAAGUCAUCUCUCUAACCUGAGCAUUUAGGUUCGGCUACUAUACAUGCUCGAUAUGAAAUUUUAUAGAAAAACUUUCACAUUCAACUCUUUAGAGUCUCAUUUUAAACUAAUUAAGAUGACUUUUAAAUUAUGUCAACAUUUUAUUUAUAACGUAUAUGAACAAAGCAAUCAUAUUACAACUACUCAAGUUUAAUAUGAUUAUCUAGUCUCAUUCUGCCCACCACCUAGGUGCCAGGGCGAUCAUCCGUGUGAGUGGGUUGAUCUGAGCCUAGUGACUAAUCGAACAUGUGCCUAUCAGUGUCAAUUACAGUUAUAUUAAAAGAAGAAAAACAUAUUUUCAUUAAGAAAGAAUAAGAUACAAAAUAAUGUCCAUACAUCAAGACCUGCGAAGACCCAAACUCCUAACGUGGGUCUGGAACAUAUCUCUAGAUAUCGGCUUGGUCAACGGAUCAGCCACCAUCCUGGUGGUGGAGAUAUGUCUAAGAGUGACCUCGCCUAGCCUAAUCAUCUCUUGAAUGUAGUGAAAACGGAUGUCUAUAUGCCUGGUCCUGCCAUGAUACUCGGAGUCUUUCACAUACUCCGUGAUAGCCAUACUGUCAGAGAACAUCUCAACAGGCUUAUUAGCUCGAGUCACAAAGUCGAGGUGUUGGAGAAAUCUACACAGCCAAAACAGCCUCAAGCAACAUACUCCGCUUCCAUAGUAGACAAGGCAACGCAGCCCUGCUUCUUACUACACCAGGAAAUUGCCCCGCCUCCAAACACAUAGCAUGAGGUGGACCUGCACUCGUCUCUAUCACCACCCUAAGUAGCAUCGCUAUAUCCUUUCAAUCUUAAGUCCCUAGCUUGGAAGUAGAGAACAAGAUCACUGGUUCCUUUUAAAUAUCGAAGGAUUCUCUUCACCGCUUGCUAAUGAAUUGGCCCUGGGUUGCUCUAGUAACGACUUACCAAGUCAACAGCGAAGUAAAUGCCAGGUCGAGUACACAUCAUAGCGUACAUCAAACUGCCAAUUGCACUCGCAUAAGAAACCCUACUCAUUUGCUCCCUUUCUUUAUCCGUUUUAGGACACUGAUCAAGACUUAGAGUGUGAUUCUUCUCCACUGGAGUGUCAACGGGUUUACAAUGGUGCAUCUUAAAACGCUCUAGAACCUUUUUAAUAUAAGAUUCUUGAGACAAACCAAGAAGCCUUCUAGAGCGAUCACAGAUGACCUUCACUCCGAGCAAAUAGCUCGCCUCACCCAUGUCUUUCAUCUCAAAGUUGAGAGAUAACCACUCCUUAGUGGUAUUGAUCGACUCCAUGUCAUUUCCAGCCAAUAGUAUGUCGUCGACAUAUAGGGAAAGGAAUAGAAUCCCCUUCUCUGUUUUCUUGACAUAUACACAGUGGUCCUCCUCUAUCAUGAACAUACCGAUAGAUGUGAUGGCUUCAUGAAAUCUGAAAUACCACUGUCUUGACGACUGAUUGAGACCAUAAAUGGAUCUUUUAAGGCGACAAACCUUAUCUUCUUGCCCUUUGAGUAUAAAACUCUCAGGUUGAUCCAUGUAGAUCUCCUCCGCUAAUCCUCCAUUGAGAAAAGCUGUCUUGACAUCCAUUUGGAACAAUUCCAAAUCUAGUUAUGCUACUAAGGCUAAAAUCAAAUGUAUAAAGGCAAAUCGCACAACGGGAACAAAUGUCUCGUUGUAAUCUACCCAUUGCCUUUGAGUACAGCCCUUGGCCACAAGCUGAGCCUUGUAUUUAUCGAUUGAUCCAUCCGCCUUGCGCUUAAUUUUUAAAACCCAUUUAUUUCUAAUAGACUUGCACCCGGGCGGAAGGUCAACCGACUCCCAUGCUUGGUUCGUACUCAUGGAGUCUAUUUCAUCUCUCAUAGCAGCCAUCCACUCACUGCAAGCUGACGUUUGCAGUGCUUCUUUAUAAGAAGCAGGUUCAUCAUCAUCGAGCGGAGUGCACAUAAAAAUAUUCCCUUCGAUCUUAAAAUGUCAACGGCGAAUAUGUCCACGUUCACUUCUACGCAAUAAAGGGUCUAACCUGCCGACUUCCAAGGGUAUGCUCUCAUUCAAGGAAGCACUCCUACUAGCCAGAGGAUUGCUACCACUUCCUUCAGCAACUUCGGAAAGUGAUUGAUCACCCUCAAUAGUAGAUGGGGUAGCGUCGUCCUAUAACUCAUACAAUCCGACAUCUAUUCGCAUUUCACCAAUGCUUGAAAAUUCCUCUUUUAGGAAUUCCACAUCACGAUACUCAAUCUCGAUCAUACCACCAUCUGGAUGUUCACCAUACAUCACAUAGCUUUUCGAAUUUUUAGGGUACCUGAUGAACACAUGCUUGCUCGCUCUAGGGCCAAGUUUUUCGAAUUUAUGUGAGGGGUUAUGAACAUAUCCAGCCGAACCCUAAGGGCGUAAGUACUGUAAACUCGGCUUUCUACCACUCCAUAACUCAUAUGGGGUAGAAGACACUGAUUUGCUAGAGACUCGAUUAAGGAUGUAGGCUGUUGUUAAAAGUGCAUCUCCCCAAAAAAUUUAUGGAAAGAUGCACCUGCGCCAUCAUCGACCUAAUCAUGUCUAAUAGAGUACGAUUCCUCCGCUUUGCAACACUAUUUUGUUGUUUGUUGCGGAGUAUCAGGAAUAAUGAGCUGUCUACUAAUACCCUUUUGCUCACAAUAAGUUUUGAAUUGAUCAGACAAGCACUCACGACCUCGGUAUAGUGCGAAGCGCCUUUACAUUUCUUUCUAUUUGAUUCUUAGCCUCCGCAACGAAGCGCUUGAAGCAAUCUAAAGUUUCAGAUCGAUGAAAAAAUAAAUACACAUAUCCAUAACGGGAAUAAUCAUAAAUGAAUGUGAGAAAAUAGCACGCACCAUACUGGGCCCUCACAUUCAUUGGCCCACAAAUAUCUGAGUGGAUUAGCACUAAAGGAUGAGAGGCACGGGUAGCCUUACCAAAGGACUUUCUACAUACUAUCCCCAACCAGACAAGGCUCACACAUAGAUCGGUCAAUUUUGGCGGGAGACCCGAAAAGGCAUUCUCGAACCAGUCUAAUCAUUUUUUCUUGAUCUAUAUGAUCUAAUCUGGCAUGCCAUUUAAUGGAUUCAUCACAGAGAUUAGAAGAAGAAGAAGAAGAAGCAAAUGCAAACGAAUCAUCCUCCAAAUCUAAUUUUAAAAAAUCAUCAACUAAUGUACCAUAUCCAAAUAAAGUAUCAUGAAAGAAAAUGUCUAAGCGGUCUCUGUCAAAAUGGCUCUACAAAGCUUUCCAACUACACCACAGGGAGCUUGAUUUCGACUCUUCUGCGCUCCAUUGUUGUGACACUUUUUGCGCUUGGGAGGGAUCCCUUGCGCUUCUCGGAGCUUGUAACAAGAGCGACAAAACAGUUCGCUUCCAAGUGCUCCACCUAAAGCUCGAGAUGGCGCAAGAUGUCAUUAAACGUUUUAAUAUUCUUGAUGUGGGUCAUCAGGAGCUUCAUCUGGGACCAUUCAGGAUCAGGCAGUGAACGAAUCACUGCUAGAACUUGUUGCUCAUCAGUGAGCUCGUUUCCAGUAGCCUUAAGGUCUCGAAUCAUGGCGCUCAUCAUACGAAGGUGCUCAGCCAUUGGAUGUUUCGAGUCUUUAAUAUACUGCUGAAAUUUGAGAUUUAAGGAACAUAGUCUUAUAGCUGAAGUUUGACCAAAAGUAAUCUUCAGAUUGUCCCACAUGUUCUUAGAAGUCUCAAAGGUCUCAAAUUGUCCAAUGAGGUCGUCUUGCAUGGCACACAACAUAGUGUACCGAGCAUUUCGAUCCUCCUUGAACCACUUGUUAUAGACCUCUUUUUCAUGCUCAGAAGUGGUGCCUUCGGCAGGCAUGGCUCUUUUGAUAGAGAGAGUUUCGAGAACCCUAUAUUUAUUAAGCAGGUAUUGCAUUUUCCUAUGCCAAAUAUCAUAAUUCAUUCCAUCUAGCUUAUCACCCUUGGUGAAAUCAGUUAUGAUGAUUUUGGAAGCCAUUUCACUACAUUCAAAAUAUAGGUUUGGAUAUUAGGCACAUUUACAAAAAAUUAACAAGAUUGAAAUCCCAGAGAGAAAGAAGAGAGAGAAGAAGGAAGAUUGAUCGUGGAUUCUCUUAGAUCAAAUUAGAUCGAAUGAUACGGGAGAGAAAAUGGGACGUAUUUAUAGAAAAACAUAGAGAUUAAGAUCAGGAUAUCCAUAAUAGAUAUCCACUAGGAGAUAUAUUUCUUAACUAAUAAGAAACAUAUAAUCCAUCCUUAUCCUUAACUUAUUAGGAUAAAUCCCAAUCCAUAUUUUAUGUGGAUCGGGUUAAAUUAAGACCUGCCAAUGUGGAUACACCACAUCGCAACAGAGAGAAAAUAAGGAGAGAAAAAGUAAAGAGAGAGUAAAGUGAGAAGAGAAAUGUGAGAAGAGAAACUAAGAAAAGGGAUAAAAAAAAUUAAGUGAAGAGAGAAAGUAGGAUAAGAAAGUGAAGAGAGAGAGAGAGAGAAACUAGGAGAAAGAAAGUAAAGAGAGAAAAGUAGGAGAGAAAAAGUGAAGAGAGAAACUAGGAGAGAAAAAGUAAAAAGAGAGAAUGAUAGAGAAAGGAAAAAGAAAUUAGAGAAAAAGAAAGAAAAGAGUGAGGAGACAGAAAAUAAAGAGAAAGAAAGUGAGGAGAGACAAUCAAAAGAAUAAUUGGUUCCAAACUUCCAAUGCAAAGUCCCGACCUCAGCCACGCAGAGUAUAGGAACCCUUCAGAUUCUGAACAAUUAAUAGAAAGUCCAGAUCUCCAGCAGCUCGGGGCCAAUAUAUACAUAUUGUAAUUUCUCUUUUUUGAGGGCUUAACUAUAAAUAUGCAAUACAUAUAAAAUCACCCCAUUUACUCCUGUACACCGAACUAAAGAUAAAGCUCUUUCUCUUUUCCUCUCUUUAAAAUCUAGCUCUCUCUCUCUCUCUCUCUCUCUCUCUCUCUCUCUCUCUCCCUCCUCAUCCCUAGCAAACCAUAUUCAACCAAGGAUCUUUGAGCAAGAUCCAAUAGAGGAGCUGUUGUGCCUGAGACCUGUCCAAUAGGAUCCACUCGGGUGCGUGCAACAGACCCACUGAAUGAGCAAGAUUUUUCUUGCUUACACAAAGCGGUAACACCAAUUUAUCCAUGAAUACACCAAUUUAUACAUUUCAUAUAAACAUAGGUAUAAGAAAAUAUCAGACUUAAUUAACUGCUAAUUUAAAUUUUUUGCAAUACUAUCUCUUUUGAGUUUAUAAUGACAUCUACAUAAAAUAGUAUAAGCUAUCUUUACUUUUACAAAAUGGUACUCUCUAGACCGACUCUUGGAUGAUCUAUUUAGCUCACAACAUCCUUGUUGCGGUCAUGCGCCUUAUCGGUGAUGGAUGGCUCUGCAAAAGUAGCAACAAUAAUAAGAUGAGAACUUGAAGUACGUUUUCAAUAGGCACAAGCUGAUAGUAGCAUUCUACACUCACUCGACAUAAAAGAAGCAUAAGUAAAACAAUAAUUAUAUAAUGGAAACUACUACUGCAUGCAAAUGCACAACUACUAUGCCUCUAGCAAGAUAUUAAUAUACCAAGUAAGAUGUAACUAUGUCAAUGUCCAAGAAAGAUUUGCUCAUGUCAUUUCUUUAACUCUAGCCAACUCAUUAGUUCAAUUCUAACUCCUUUAUAAACACUUCAUGGAGAGUUGAAGUCGAUCGAAUUUCUCACCAAUCGGUAAGUAUUCGGUGUCGAUGGUGAUCGUACUUCUCCAAGUUAAGUCAUAAAGAAGUUAAGGGUGAUGGAGCUUCUCCUAUGAUGACUUUUCCGGAAGGUCAUGACCUGUAAGGUCGCAAUCCCCAUAAACAAUGCUAAUGCUUAUUAUUUAGUUUACACUCUAGGUUUCUAAUUGACGCUAGGUUUAACCUAUGAGCUUUUCCGAAAGGUCAUGACCUGUAAGGUUGCAAUCCCCAUAAACAAUGCUAAUGCUUAUUAUUUAGUUUACACUCUAGGUUUCUAAUUGACGCUAGGUUUAACCUAUGAGUUCAUUCGCAUGUUCACGUAUCCUCUACAAACAAGUUCUCACAGUUUGCCUAUGCUUUGCUAUGUUUAUCGCCGUAGGUUUUCUCCUAUGCAUAAUGGCACGACCAUAUCCACUAAGUGUAAGGAAAAUUUUAAAAUAAUAGAUUUUGUUCUUUGAUUUUAGUAAAUGAAUGCAAUUUUUAGUGAAUGGAUGCAACCCUUGGAUGCAACCCUUAGUGAGUGGAUGCAACUCUAAUCAAAUGGUGUGACUUUUAGAGUGAAUGUGAAAGGAUGUGACUGUUAGUGAAAGGAUAUGACAUGAAAAGACACAUCUUUAUAGUGUGUCUCAUCGAGCAUAUGUCUGUUAGAAUCUACUAUUAUAUUCAUUGAACUUGACUCAAUAACUAAUUGGUAGUUAUGAUCAAAUGAAAAGUCACAGUUGAGAGGUCACUUUACGAAACACCCAUUCAUGAAUAGUCUUCAUGAAGCAUCUGGUCGUGGUUUAUAUAAGUCCAUAGCGUUGGUUGUAGAAUGAUGAAACAAUUAAAGAGUCUCUAUUUAUAAUAAUUCCAUUCUUGUUUUCUUAUUCUAUUUCUUUUGACAACUUAAUCGAGUAAGUGCUCAAAGGCUUGACUUCGUGUGUGCAAACACAGUUGAGGUUUGUGCUUCAUUGUAUCCUGGGAGUGUCACGCCCCGGGACCGCUGCCAAUUUGGCCCGACCCGAGCACGUCAAACAGACGCCGAACGGACAGAGUUUCCCCUAUCCGCCCAAGGCUCAUCACAUGCACAUUUUCAACAAUAGAGAAAAGCACUAGCGGAAACAUACACAACGGCUUACUCGNGCUCAAAAACUGCAGUUUUGCAGAAUUUGAUUCUCUAGCUCUCGAAAACCUCCCGUAACUCACUUUUGAUCAUUUCAACACCUUCGGACUUUCCGAAGUGCACCAUUCUCGCACUUUGGUCAAUUUGACUAAAGUUCGAUACUUAUUUUUCCGAAUUUUCGGUAUAUUACAGGGAGGCUGUUCGUUGACUCAGUGCACACCAAGUUGUUUGAACGAUGGGGACGGAUUAAGCCUUAAGGAGAGUGGCAUUGCUACACACCUUGAAGCUAUUUUCAUCUUUUUAUUUCAUACCUUUUCACUAUCUGUUCCAACAAUCUUAAGGCUUAACUCCGAAAAUGUCGACUGCUACUCUAUGAGAGAUGGCAACAAACUUUAUGAGACUAGAAAGAUUUGAUGGCAUGGACUUCAGGCACUGGUAGAAGAAAUUAUUUUUCCUUCUAUUGACUCUCAAAGUUGCUUAUGUCUUCACUACUCCAAGACCAAGACAAAAUGAUGAUGAACCUAUUGCACAAACUCGUACGAGACAAAGAUGGGAUGAAGAUGACAAUAUAUGCCGAGGCAACAUUCUAAAUGCUAUGUCAAAUGCGCUUUUCGACGUCUACCAAAAUGUGAAAACGGCUAAAGAACUGUGGGAAGGUCUUGAAGAAAAAUACAAGUCCGAGAAUGCCACAAGUAAGAAGUUCUUGUUAGCAAAUUUAAUAACUAUAAAAUAGUUGAUAGUAGAUCCGUUCUUGAUCAAUUACAUGAAAUUCAACAUAUUUCAAUCAAUUUAUUCAACAUAUAAUAUGAAUAUUGAUGAAUAUAUAAUUGUGGCCUCUAUUAUUGAUAAACUUUCUCUAUCAUGGAAAGAUUUUAAGAAAAGUCUUAAGCAUAAAAAGAAAGAGAUUAUUCUUAAAGAUUUGGCUAACCAUCUUCGCAUAGAAGAAGAACAUCAUUUGCAAGAUAGCAAAAAGGAGCAAGAUACUCAUAGUGCCAAAGUGUAUGUGACGGAGGAUGAGUAUAAUAAAACCCAUCAACCCACAAAAGAAAAUAGAAAGAGAGCCAAGCAUCCUAUCAACUACAACACGACAAAUAAGAAAAAGAAAGGUUCAUGCUUUCAUUGUGGUAAACCAGGUCAUUACAAGAAAGAAUGUCGGUUCCUCAAAAUCAAAAGUGCACCGGAUUCCAAGCAGAAUUUUGUGGCUAUGAUAUCCAAGGCUAACGUACUUGAAGAUGAUGGAGCUUGGUGGAUUGAUUUGGGUUCCACAAGGCAUGUGUGCAAGAAUAGAAGUUUAUUCAGAACUUAUGAUAAAUUGCAGGAUGAAAAUGUUCUGUCUAUGGGUAAUUCUUCAACCGUACAAAUCAAAGGAAAGGGCAAGGUGAAACUCGAGUUCACAUCAGGAAAAACUCUCACUUUCACCGAUGUGUAUCAUGUAUCCGAAGUUAGAAAGAAUCUUGUUUCAGGAGUCUUCUUAACAAAUUUGGGUUCAAACUUGUAUUUGAGGCUGACAAAUUUAUUUUGUCGAAUGGUGAAAUCUUUGUGGGAAAAGGAUAUUUAUAUGAGGGCAUGUUAAAACUCAAUCUUAUUAAUAAAAUGAAUAUUUCUGUCUAUAUUAUUGAUUCUUCUUCUUUAUGGCAUAAUUAUAGAAGCUUACAUGAUAUGGCUAAGUUAGAAUUAAUUUCUAAUUUUGAUUAUAAAUUAGAAAAAUGUAAUACUUGCAUGCUCACUAAAAUUACUAGAAAAUCCUCUCACUAAAAUUGAUAGAUAUUCUACUUUACUUGAAUUGGUGCAUAGGGACGUUUGUGACUUGCAUGCUUUUCCUACUAUUGGUAGAAAGAAAUAUUUUGUUACAUUUAUUGAUGAAUUCUCUACAUAUAUAAUUAUGUUUAUCUUUCAAAUAGGGUAUACCCCUGUUUAAUCAAAAAAUUAUGUUUAUCUUUAACAUUCUAAAAACGAAGCGCUAGAUAAAUUUAGAAUUUUUAGAUCUGAAGUUGAGGUGAAAUGUGAGAAAAUGGUCAAAUGCCUAAGAUCUGACAAAGGAGAAGAAUAUUAUGAUCCUUCAUUUUUUUGAGUCCAUUGGUAUUAUACAUGAAAUCUCUACACCUUAUUCUCCACAACAAAGCAGAGUUGCAGAAAGAAAAAAUAGAACAUUAAUGGAAAUGAUCUAUGCUAUGCUUUCUAAUUCAGGUUUGAGUUAUGGAUUUUGGGGCGAAACUUUAUUAACAGCUUGUCAUUUACUAAAUAGAAUUCCGACAAAGAAGAAUAAUAAAACUCAUUAUGAAUUAUUUAAGAGAAGAAAAUCCAAUUUAAAUUUGUUAAAAUCGGAACGGCGAAAAAUAGAUCCAGAAAAAUAACUUAAUGCAGGAAAAGAAAAGAAAAGAGAAAAGAGCACACCGAUAUUUAUGUGGUUCGGCCAACGGCCUACGUCCACGGGCGAAGCCGGAGCAAAUAAUUUAUUAAUGUCAAAAGACGGAGUACAAAGAUUGAAUCUCUCAAAGACCAAACCUUAAUUAGAUCCGAAACGACGAAAGACGCGCCGUAUAUGGGACUCCAAAAUUGGCUUCUCUCUCACCACCCGUACGGACCACAACUUGAUCUUAAUUAGUGCAUACGGCUCCGCAGAUGCUCACUUAAUUAAUUUACUGCUCCAACUCUCUCUUGGCUCAUGAUGUUGCUGCCACCGUACCAAACACCAAAUUAAGCACGAAGCUCGGUUCUCUCCGCAGCAUCCGUACCCUUCAAGAGGCUUAAUUAAUUAGUGUAUGGCCUCUUCAUUAGCUCUCCGGCUUCAUUAACAUAGCCACAUAUAUAUAGGGUAUGACUUCAAAUUAGAGUCUAAUUGGAACUCUAAUCUAAUUGGAUUUCUAAACACAAGUCUAAUCUAAUUCAAUUUUGAAUUAGAUUCCGACUUAUAAUCCAUAUAUGUCAAAUUAAAACUAAAUUAUAUCUAAUCCCAAUUAGAUUAGGAUUUAACUCAAAUUUAGGUAACUACAAAUCAAACCAAAUUUAACAAAAUUAUUUAAAAGUUUGGGGCUGUAGAGCUAUUGUGAGGGUUCCAGAACCGAAAAGAAAGAAACUGGGUGAAAGAGGAAUUGAGUGCAUAUUUGUUGGGUAUGCACAACAUAGUAAAGCAUACAGAUUUUACGUAAUUGAAUCUAAUGACUUCAUUGAGAUCAACAUGGUUUUUGAAUCUAUAGAUGCUAUAUUUGAUGAAAAUGGAUUUGUUUCACUUCCUAAACCCAAAGAACUUAUUGUGGGUAAAGAACAUUCCAAUGAGAAAAAUGAUGUUGCAAUUGAAACCCCAGAACAUAGAAGUAAAAAAGUUAGGAUUGCUAAAUUAUUUGGACCGAAUUUUUAUACUUUUCUUGUUGAGGGUAGUAGAGAAAUGAUUAAAGAAAGUUUUCAAUUUUGUUUUAACAUUGACUCAGACCCCACAACAUUUGAGGAGGCAAUGAAAUCUCUUGGUGUCGCUUUUUGGAAAGAAGCGAUAAAUGAUAAAAUGGACUCAAUUAUGGCCAAUCAAACAUGAAAAUUAGUUGAUCUUCCUCCUAGAUGUAAACCUAUUGGGUGUAAAUGAAUUUUCAAAAAGAAAAUUAAAGUAAACGGCACCAUAAAUAAAUUCAACGCAAGACUUAUUAUCAAAGGGUUUACAUAAAAAAAAAAGGCAUUGACUAUUUUGAUACCUAUGCACCUGUUGUUAGAUUAGCGACUAUUAGAACUUUGAUUGCACUUCCUUCUAUAUAUAAUCUUAUUAUUCAUCAAAUGGAUGUCAAAACUGUAUUUUUAAAUGGAGAAUUAAAUGAAGAAGUUUAUAUAGAACAACCUGAGGGCUCUGUUGUUUCAGGACAAGAACGCAAAGUGUGUAAACUUGUUAAGUCGUUGUAUGGGCUUAAACAAGCACCUAAACAAUGGUAUCAAAAGUUUGAUCAGAUUAUUCUUUCCAAUGAUUAUAAAAUUAAUCAAUUUGAUAAAUGUGUUUAUAGUAAAUUUUCAAAUAGUAAAGGUGUUAUUAUAUGUCUCUAUGUUGAUGGUAUGUUAAUUUUUGGCACCGACAUUCAGCAAGUAGAAAUUACUAAAAAUUUUUUAUCUUGCAAUUUUGAUAUGAAAGAUAUAGGGGGAGGCUGAUAUUAUUUUGAGAAUUAAAAUUAUUCGUGAAAAUAAUGGUUUAUUUUUAACCCAAUCUCAUUAUGUUGAAAAGAUUCUUAGAAAAUUUGGUUCUUUUGAUUGUACUCCAAUAUCCACUCCUUUUGAUCAUAAUCUACAAUUAAUUUACAAUUCUGGUAGAUCAAUUAAUCAGCUAGAAUAUUCUAAGAUUAUUGAAAGUUUGAUGUAUGCCAUGUCUUGUAUUAGGCCUGAUAUUGCAUUUGCUGUUGGUAAAUUAAGUAAAUUUACUAGCAAUCCGGGUAAUGUACAUUGGCAUGCUAUUUACAGAAGUUUAAAAUAUUUGAAAAAGACAACGGACAAUGGAAUUUUCUAUAGUGGAUAUCCAACAGUAUUGAAAGGCUAUACAGAUGCCAGUUGGAUAACAGAUCGAGAAGAUCAUGCAUCCACAAGUAGGUGGAUAUUUUUAUUAAGUGGAGGUACGAUUUCUUGGGGUUCCAAGAAACAUACAUGCAUAGCAGACUCUAUCAUGGCAGCAAAAUUUAUAGCACUAGCAUCUGCUAGUAAGGAGGCAGAAUGGAUAAGAAAUUUAUUGUAUGAAAUUCCAGUUUGGCCAAAAUCAAUGCCGCCGGUAUCACUACAUUGCAAUAGUGAGGCUACGCUCUCAAGAGCAUAGAGUAAUACAUACAAUGGAAAAUCAAAACAUAUUGGAUUAAGACAUAGUUAUGUAAAAUAACUGAUAUCAGAUGGCAUAAUUACCAUUGAUUUUGUAAGAUCAAGUCAAAAUCUUGCGGAUCCGUGACUAACAGACUUCUAAGAGAAUUGAUAUUCAAGACAUCGAUGGGGAUGGGUCUCAAGCCCACAUUACAAAAUCACCAAUGAUGGAAACCCAACUUAGCACUUGAAACAUUAUCAAGUCUUAAGUUCAAUGAGACAAGUACAUCAUAUGGAGUGAUUGCAAGCACUAUAAUAUAAAAUUUUCAUCCCAAGUAAAGUGUUUGGUAGCCUAUUGAAAAGGGAAGGUUGAGCUAAUAAAAUUCUAAAUAGACCUACAGUAGUAUUUACUAAAGUAUAAAAUACGAGACACUUUUAAUAGAGUCUACCUAUAUGAAUAUGAGGUGCGGCCACUUCUAGGAGUUAAGGGCUUGACUCUGACAGCAUUCAUAAAACAAGAUGCAGACACAAGGUCAUAAAAGUGUUAGCAACAAAAUAGAGCACUCGAUUGAUUAUAAAUUUCUAUGUGUGAGAUAUGUCCGGUUAGUCAAAAAUAAUUAUUGGUUCAAAGCUUGUUUACUAUUUAAUUAUGACUAACUUUGAUGUGUUUUCACUGAGUGUAGGUUCAAGUUUUAUUAAUACACUUACACCUAUGCAUAUGAUUUUGUCAAGUUGUCAAGAACUUUUUAUUUUUGAUUUUUGAUUUUGUUUUAUUUUGUAUUUUGAUGUACUUUUAUCUAUUUUAAAAAUUGGUAGGGAAUUGUAAGGAAAUUUUUAAAAUAGAGUUAUUUGCAUACACGUCCCUGCAAAUAUAGUGAAUUGCAGAAAUAUCCCUGCAAAACGGAAACUCCGUAAGUUAUCCCUGCAAAAGUCUAAAGUUAUGCAGAUAUGUCCCUGCCGUUAAGGAUUGUUAGAAAAUUUUCGUUAACCACGGUUAAAAUACUUAACCAUGGUUAAUUAUAACGUGAAUUUAUGGUUCUACCCUUCUUUCUCAUCCUUCUCUUUCUUUUCCCUCUUCUUCAUCGCCGGCGAAGAGAUGCGGCGGCGGCGGCGGCGACGUCGGCGAACCCUCUCCAUCUUCCUCUUCCCCCUUCUUCUUCCUCUCCCUCUUCUUCUUUUCUCUUCCUGUUCCCCUUUUUUCUUCCUCUCCCUCUUCCUCUUCCCUCUUCUUCGUCGCCGGCGAGGGAGAAGAUGCGGUGGCGGCGGCGAACCCUCUCCCUCUUCAUUUUCCUCUUCCUCUCCUUCUUUCUCUUCACCCUUCUUCUUCCUCUCCCUUUUUCUCUUCCCUCUUCCUCGUCGCCGGCGAGGGAGGAGAUGCGGCGGCGGCGGCGGCGGCGGCAAACCCUCUCCCUCUUCCUCUUUCCUCUUCCUUUCCCUCUUCCUCUUCCCACUUCUUCUUCCUCUCAUUCUUUCUCUUCCCUUCUCNUUUUUUUCUUCCUCUCAUUCUUUCUCUUCCCUCUUCUUCGUCGCCGGCGAGCUCGACCCGCGCUGUCGCCGCCAUCCGCUCCGGCGGCCCGAAGAGGAAGAGGAAGAGAAAGAGAAGGGGAAGAUGAUACUUUUGGAGGGAUAUAUUUGUGAGGGCAAAAUGGUCAUUUCACAAGAAAACUGUUAAAAAAUAAACAGUUCUUUAACAGAUGUUAAUCAGAGGGACAUAUCUGCAUAAAUUAGGACUUUUGCAGGGACAACUUAUGGAGUUUCCGUUUUGCAAGGAUAUUUCCGCAAUUCACUAUGUUUGCAGGGACGUGUAUGCAAAUAACCCUUUAAAAUAAUAUAUUUUGUUCUUUAAUUUUAGUGAAUGGAUACAACCCUUAGUGAGUGGAUACAACUCUAAUCAAAGGGUAUGACUCUUAGGCUGCAUUUGGUAACAGAAUAACAGGGGAAUAAACUGAUUUAUCCUAAUUAUUCUGCCAAACAAAAUUUAAUUCCGUCUAAAUAUUUUAACCCGGUCAAAAUAGGUUAUUCCAGAAUAUCAUGGAAUAACUCGUUAAUUUUAUUCCUCCUCACCCCUCGAAUAAGGAUUAAAUCUAGAGAAUUGCAGGGGUAGAUGUAGUAAAAAAUAAAUUUUCUCGAAACCCGAGCAACUUUACUCUCCUCUCCACCAACUCACCUGCCCAUUCUACGCCAUUGUCGUCUCUUUUCUGUGCUGAAGCCUUCUUCUUCCUCCUCAAAUCCCUUUUAACUCCAUCCUCUCACCUACUCCUCUUCUUCUCAGCUCUCUUCACUUUUCAAUGGCGCCGGUUUUUCUCUUUCAUAUUAACUCCAUAUUAAACCUAAUCCUUCCUUUGGAGCUUAAAACCAGCAUUAACUAUGUGGGAAUGAUUUCAAUCUACCUCCCAACCUCAUCAAUUGGUAGCCGAUCUGCAGUUCCCUAUGCAGAUCUUCAAUAAAUUCAGGUGAUUUCCCUCGGAUGCAAAGUAGAAAGUUAGAUCCUUCUUGGAUUGUGUUGCUUCGAGUUGUCGACUCGCCUCGGGAGGCCUCAUCUUCUUCUCUUCUUCAAAACCAACAUUAAUUGGAGUUGUUUAAUGUGCAUCUGCAUCUCCCUCUCAAGAAUGGACGGAUACUGCUCGAUUUCCUGUGCAGAUUUGUUAUUAAUUGAGUCAAUUGCUUCGGCUGCAAGUUAAUACAUCUCUGAAGCUUGCUUGACCUGUCAAGUCCCUCCAUUACUACUCUUUAUCUACUUCCACCUAAGACAAGUAAGUGGCCUUUUUGAUGUUCUAUAUAUGUCUCUGUUGUGAGAUGCAGAAUCUUCUCGAGAAUAGUUGGGCCUUGAGGAUCUCUAGUCCCUGCUUGACUAUGAUGUAAAAACGUUCUAUUAUCCGCAUACUUGGAGCCUGGAGGUGAGCUUUUUAGUUCCUUUUUGGGUUUAAUUUGUUGCCUUUACUCGGUUAUUGGUGUUUUUCAGUCCCAACAUGGAUUCCGAUGAAAUCAUCCCAUUACCUAUGAUGCAUGGUGGAAUCAGAUGUUUUGUGGCUUGGAAGCAUGGUAUUAGCCAAAUGUUGCCGCCAGUUCAAUUCAAAUGACGAUUCAUACAUGCUGAGCUAUGAUGCUGUUAUACUUUAUGCAAUGUUCUCUAUUGAUCAAAGUAUGACAGAAUAAAGGAUAUGCUGCCAUCACUUUUAUAUGGUUUUAAAUCUGCAAUGAUAUAGUCCCUUUGAGAUAUAAUUGAAGCAAUGUAUAAGCUGUAAGAAAAUUGCGUACGGUAAAAACGCAGCGGAAAAAGAAAUCAAACAAAUUUGAUUUUUGAAAACUCUCGAGAUCAAAUCUCAAAAACCACGCAAUUAGGAUCCCUCAUGUUCUUUAAGAUUAAAGGAGAAAACAAGAUCGAAUCUUUACCUUUUCGUGGAUAGAUCUUCAUCUCAAUUUGAUGAUCGUAGAAUCGGGUUCUCUUGAAGCCGCACACGCGUCCGACCUCUAUAGGUAUCCACACGAGGUUCUUGAUUUGAUCGAUGUCCUCACCGGGGUGCUAGCUCCCUUGCAAAAGGACGUCUUUCUUGCUAGAAGAUGGAAGAGAGAAGAGAGGAUAGAUGACGGCUAGGGUUUUCUAAAAACUCCCGUAUAUUAUAUAUAGGAAUAUAAUCCUAUUCCUAAUAAUAUAAUGACAAUUAAGGAUAAGUAUAAAUCUAGAUUUAAAUUUAUCUUUUCCUUAAUUGGUUAGAUCGAUCAAAUCCUAAUUUGAUUCGACUUGAAUUUUAUAUUAAUUUGAUCUUAUCAAAUUAAUAAUGCAACAUUUGCACAUAAGUCCUCUUAUAAUUUACUAACUAUUAGUAAGUCCUCUCUUGUAACAUUUACACUUUAAUACCACUAAUUUGUAACAAUUACAAAUUAGUCCAAUUAUCAACAUAUUGACAAUUAGGUCCUCCGGCGAUUCAAUAAUCGCGAUCUAGCUAUCCGAUCAAUCACAACCUCUUAUGUGUGUGACCCCAUAGGUUCUAUUCUAUCUGGUAGUGAGAUAUAUUUUGAUCACUAUCAACAAUAUCACUGAAACUCCUUUCAGUGGAUCGGAACAAUUCCAACUCAGCCCAAUGAGAAUUAUCGAUCAUCUAGAUAAUUCUCAUGAGUCUCACAAUCCACCAGUGACGCCUAGCAGCAUGUAGUGGCAUUCCAGUAGAAUGGAAUACUGAACCUCUUGGUGCAGUUACCGUGUGAUACAAUCCUUCUAUCAUGAGUCCCGACUAGACGGAGGUUAUGGAAUAACUCGUCAAACCCCAUCGUCUGUCAUAUGUUAAAUUUAUUCGACUCGAGUUUCUAAUAUCGGAAACCCUUUUCCGCUAUUUAUUCUGCCCUGGCCAAGGUCUUCUAAACUCGGUCUCAUAAAUCACAUAGGACUAACACCCCUAUCUACCAAGGGAGAUAGAUUCCAUCUAAGUGCGCACCCUAUUCCUACAAUGAACCUACUGCAGCCAACAUGCACCGCAAGGACCCGAAUGGCUAGGGACCAAGUGUAUGUACAGUCAAACUACAGUAACCUCAUUGUGAAUAGCCGAGGCACCGCAGGUCAAAGGACCAGUCACACUACUGCAACAAUUGAGUAAGUCACUGACGAGUGAGUAGACAUCCAAGUGACUUCUCGCGUUGGUCACGCUCGGUACCCUUGUUCUCUAACAACCACCUGCAUAUUCGCUUCAGUGUCCCCACACUGUCGACUCGAAACUCGUCUACCCUGAAAUGGAAGCGACCUAUGCACCAAUCUCAUCGGAUCAAUCACCGUCCCCGUGAUGAUCCAUUGAUCGGGAGCAUUUAGGAAUUAACCACCAAUGACACAUGUCUCAAAUUCUCAACUCUUGAGAAUAUAUGUCAUCAUCUUAUUAAUUCCUUGGACGAUUCAUGGACACAUACAUAACAUGAAUGGAAAUAAAAACCCAAAGUUAUUCAUAAUAUUUAAAAGUCAAAUACAAAUUUAUGUCCUAGAAAGAAUAUAUGUGUCAGCCUGGUUGGCUUCUAGGGCAUACAUCUAACAUAAGCACCAUCCAUUGAUGAUCAAAUAUGUGAAUGAAGUGAACAUGGACAAUUCGUAAAAUGGUGAUGCUUGCUUUCUUCAGUUGCAGGUUGCCUUAUAUCUACUAAUCUAUUAAAUUAGGCAAUGAUGCAUGGGUUAGAGGCAAGAAUUUCAUGGUUGGGUGGUAAGCUAAUAAUAGCAUUGCAGCCACCAUGGAAUAUUAUUACCAUCUUUCCCCUGAGCCAUAUUGAUAUAAUAUAACAUAUAUGUUCUAACUAUAUCUAAAUUUUGCUUUCUUGUAUAUGCGUUCCCUUCAGAUGGCAUCGCAGAACAAAUUCCUGAAUCGUGCAGUGAACAAAAAUUAUAAUGUUAUUGAUAUCACAUCAACUGAAAGUUAGAGCAUCGAAAGUCACGGAGCUGAAACAUCCAAAACCAGAGUAAGAUCUGGCAAUUGGACGGAGGUCAUGGAUUCGGCUAUGUUGAAUUUGAUAACCGAGGAACAUGUGCUUGGUAAUUUCGUAAAUGGAAGUUUCACUCCUUUGUCUUGGAUAAGAAUAGUACAUGACUUUAAUGCACGGACCAAAGUGAAUUUCGCCAAAAGCCAUCUUCAAAAUCGAUUAAAAGUUUUGAAGUGGCAGUUCGUUAUGUACCAAACGUUGGCAAGCAAAAGUGGAUGGGGAUGGGAUUACGAUCGUAAUAUUUCGACGGCCGGGGACCCGAAUGAUUGGGACGCAGUGGUAGCAGUAUGUCAUUGAACAGUUCUUUCAAAUUUAUUUGUAAACAAUAUAUUAUUAAUACUGUGAAUUAACCAUUGUGGUAAAUAUUUUUGUAGGAAAAUCCAGUUUAUUCACGGUGUAGGGACAAACCAUUCCUUGCAUAUCAGGAUAUUGCAUUUCUUUCUGGAAAAACCACUGCCACGGGUAGGCAUGGGUUUACAACAGGGAUGCAAAAUGAUGAUAUUCGGAGCACGUCCUCCUCUUCACCAGGUACUACUGCGAUUUUACAACAAAUUAAAAAUUCUAUGGCAGAGGCUUGUGGUUUUGGGCAAACUUCUGGUAGUCAAUAUGUACCCCUGCCGUUGUUGCCGCCGAAUUAAGAAGGUCCCAACGAUGUGUCAUCUUACUCCCCAACUCCAACUCCAGUGAAGAGCGGAAAUCCGAACACUAGCAUUGCUUCAACCGAUACCAUUUCUGGCAAGAGACGUCGUUCUUCACCCCCUUCACGUAAAACUACACCAACAUCAACCCGUAGGGGAAAACUUGAGUGCAACACUAAUGCCAUCCAAGAGUUGGUCAAUCUCGGUAAGAAACGAUUGAACAUUGCCGAGCAAAUGCUACAGCGCGAGCUCGAUGCACGUCCAAAGGUUCACUCUAUUGAGGACUGUAUGGUAAGAUUAAAUGAUAUUCCAAAUCUGACUCUUGAAGCUAUCCUUUCUGCAUGUGAAGCGUUCAAAGAUGAGCGCAAUCGAUCGAUCUUUAUGCCGCUAAGUGGCGAUAUUCUUUAUAUGUGGAUCGAUCGCCAAGUGGUCAUGCAAAGGACCGCCGUUGCAGAAAAUCCUGAUUCACCUCCCUUCCCUCCUAACUAGAUUAAAACUUUCGUACUCUACUUUCAAAUUUUUGUGGCCUUACAUACAAACUUAAUCUAUUUUGGAGGUACGGUAUGGUUAGCAAGGCCUAUAUUAUCCAUAUUUAUGUUAUGUGGGCUUAUUUUGUAUGUGAACUAAUAUAUCGCUAGUUUCGUGCUACUAUGCAUGUGUAGUGCUAAAGGAUAUUGUGUAUUGAACAUGUACUGCCAGCAUAAGCUGUUGCUUUUAUGCUAAUUUUGGACUUAUUAUGUUAUGUAUGUCAUGUACUCGUUCUAUUUGAAGUCCUAAACUAAUGCUAUUACUACCUCUUUUCUCUCAAUGCAAUGGUUUGUCACUUUCUUGGAUGGACAUGUACUACAUCAGUUUCUACAUAAAUUAAAUUCCAAAUGGCAGCAUACAGUUGUUCUUCAAUAUGUACUACAUCAGUUUCUAUAAUUAUUGCUAUAGUUGUAAAGCUAAUUAUAUGGAUUGAAGGCAUCAAAUCAAAGCUUCCUUGUCGUGGCAACGAUGAUUAAUAGGUGUAAAAAAUCCGGAGGGAGUGCAAUUCUUCUGCUUUUGACAGUUUCUUCUGCUUUUGAAAGUACAAUUGUGUAGCAGUUUGAAAAUUAAUGUGAAAUCUAAUUUAUGUUGCUCAAGAUGCCUUCUCUUUUAUCUGUUCUGAAGUUUUGAUGGUAAGUAAACUACUUUUUUCUAUCUAUUUUUUCUAUGCUUAGCUAGAUUCGAUGUGCAAAAGUAGUUUGUUUGUACUUAUUUGUUGUUUCAAUCUGUAUUAUUUAUGUUACCAAAUUGCCUUUUCAAUCUGGCAUAGGUUUGUAUAUAACAAUCUCAAAUUUAUGUCCAAAACAUUUGCUUUUGAUGCCGUGAUCUGUUGCUGCAGUUUGUAAUCAAUGCAAGGUUGAUACGUUUCGAAGCAAAUGCACAUAUAUUGUUGAUGGUUCACAAUUACUUAGCAUAUCUGUCAUGCUGUUUAUGAUGCGCAAAGCAGCAGAUAUACAUAUAUUAUUGAUUGUUUGGGUUUGAUGCACAAUAUGCGCAUAAGUUGUAAGUGCUAGGGAGGUGGUGAAUUCCAAAACUGCAGCCACCAUUUCAUCAAUAAUCCUUUCAAAGCUGAGGCAUGAAAAAUCAAAUUGGAAGGCAGUGAAGUUCUUUUUAUUCUACUGUUUUCAGACUGUUGGCAGCAUGUUCAGAUGUUUUGCCGAUGUUUUGGCGAUGAUGUGCGAAAGGAUGUAAGAUGUAAAUGGUAGGGGGGCAGUAAUUAUUCUGCAGCCACCAUUUCUUCAUACUUUCUUUCAAACCUAAGCCAUCAAAAAUUUGAUUGGGAGGCAGUGCAGCUCUUUUCCUAUUGAUUUUGAAGCUGUUAACAGCAUAUUUAUAUAUGCUGCUGAUGUUUUGGCGAUGAUGCGGCAAAGGAUGUUAGAUGUAAAUGGUAGGGAGGCAGUAAUCCUGAACUGCAGCCACCGUUUCAUCAUACUUCCUUUGAAACCUGAGCCAACACUCCCCACCAAAACUUACAUAUUAGAUGUUAGUUAUUUUAUUUUUUUGCCGUAAACUUGCAUAGUAAAUUGACAUUUCAUUGAAAUCUUUUUAUCGUCUUUUUGUAUCUUUGCAGUUAUGAGUGAGAUAAUCAAUCGCCGAGCUUUUUCAUCUCCAAAUGUGGCAAACCUCAUGACUUUCUUGGAUGAGGAGGAAGAGUAUUGGGAAGAGGUGCAAGCCAUUCUUUUAGAUGAACGUGCCUUUGCAUUUCAAGCCACCUUACAUAAGAGACCAUGUCGCACUAGACCAUUCACCAGGCAUCAACUAAUUAUGGAUAUUUUACGAGGACAUCCCGACAGAGGGUACCAACAUUUUCGAAUGUCCAACACAACAUUCAUUAGACUUCGCAAUGAAUUGGUCGGUCGAGGUUUAAUACAAGGCACUCAUCAUCUUACGGCCGAUGAACAACUCGAAAUUUUUUUAUUUGGUGUCGGGCAUGGAGUAACAAAUAGAGUGUUGGUAGAAACGUUUCAGCACUCGGGGGAGACUAUAAGUAGAUACUUUAGUAAUGUCUUGCGUGGUGUGGUCGAACUUAGACAUGACUAUAUACAAUUGCCAAGUAGUAAUAUUGGGAUGCACCCAAAAAUUAGGGAUAAUCCAUUAUUCCAUCCAUUCAAGGUGACAUACAAGUCUGAAUUAAAUAAUUAUGGUUAUUAAGUAAGCUCUACAUCAGUAACAUAUUUUUAACUCUCUGUUAUAACUUGUAGAAUACAAUUGGCGCUAUAGAUGGGACACAUAUACCAGUGAUUGUAAAAAAGAGCAAGCAACCACGAUAUCGAUGUCGCAAAGGAUAUACAUCGCAGAAUAUGAUGGCCGCCUGCUCGUUUGAUCACCAAUUUUUAUUCAUAUGCACUUGAUGGGAGGGAUCUGCAGCUUAUGAGAGUGCUGCGAUGGUGUUGUGAGAGCGGCGGUUUCAUGGUUCCCGAAGGUAAUGUUAUUUACAAAUUCUUUUCUUUCUAUUAUAGUAACUUGUAUUAACUAUUGGUUGUUCUUGUGUAGGAAAAUUUUACUUGGUCGAUUCAGGUUAUGCAAAUACUGAUCGGUUCCUCGCGCCUUUUAGAGGUGAGCGAUAUCACUUGAGCCAAUUUGACGGUAAUACAAGGGCGCGUACACAUCGAGGACCGCGAGAUCUAUACAAUCAUAGACAUGCACAACUCCGAAAUGUUGUUGAGAAGGCAUUCGGAAUUUUGAAGAAGCGAUUCAAGGUGCUUCGCCAAGCCACUCCGUUUCCCUACAAGGUGCAAUGCCGCAUUGCGCUAGCAUGUUGUGUUAUCCAUAACUUUAUUAAGAGGCACCAAGGAAGUGAUAUAUACUUCAAUAUGCAAAUGGAGCCAAAUCCCCUUGAAGAGCAAGAAGAGGAUCCUACACGUCUCGUUGGUAUUGAUGAGUCGCGUCAAGGCGACACUCUUCGCACUAUGAUCACCGAGCAAUUAUGGAAUAGUCGAUAGGAUAGUUUUGUUGACUUUGCAAUGAAAACUCUACUUGCAUUAGCUUCCUCUGACUUCCAUUAGUAUUUUAUUACCUCGUAGAGACUUGUAUGUCUAUUUGGAGGUUAACUGCAGUUAUCAUCUAUGGUUUUCAGUUUGUAUGACACAGGCUGAUUUGUUUAGCUAAGAUAUUAAUAUUGGACUUCAUUGUUGUGAUAUUUUGUCAAAUUAUAUUAUGGUUAAUUUAUUUGCAUUUGAUAUAAGAAUUUACUGUUGCGUUUUUUAAACUUUUUCCAUUUGCUGCCAAGUGUAUUAAUGUUGCUUUUUGCGACGAUGUGCCAAAUUUGCGACAAUGUGCCAAGAUCCUAAUAUGUUUAUAUAGUAUUUAGUACUAUAUAAUUCAGUUUUGUAAAUUAAAUUAUUGUCCUAUUACUUACAUUGAAUUCUACGGUUAUGUAUAAUAUUCCUAAUUUUUUCUUAAUCAUGUUCAUUACUUAUUAAUAUUCAUUACUUAUUAAUUAUACAAAUAUUUUAAAUAUAUUAUAAAUUAUGGGAGAUAGAGAUAAGGGCAAACUUGUCAUUUCUAAUUAUUUCAAUCUACUUUUCUCACUAUUCUUCUCUUGUUUCAAAAAAUUAACCAAACAUCAUUUUACUUAUUCCAAGGAAUAAGCUGAUUUUAAACCAAACAACAAAUUACUUUUAUUUCUCUCUAUUCUAGAAUAAAGAGAUAUUCCAGGGACAAAAAUAAUUAAUCCUGAGAACCUUAUUCUGCAGCCAAACGCAGCCUUAAAGUGAAUGUGAAAGGAUGUUACUGUUAGUGAAAGGAUAUGACAUGAAAAGACACAUCUUUAUAGUGUGUCUCAUCGAGCAUAUGUCCGUUAGAAUCUACUAUUAUAUUCAUUGAACUUCACUCAUAUAACUAAUUGGUAGUUAUAUUCAAAUGAAAAGCCACAAUUGAGAGGUCACUUUACGAAACACCCAUUCAUGAAUAGUCUUCAUGAAGCAUCUGUUCGUGGUUUAUAUAAGUCCAUAGCAUUGGUUGUAGAAUGAUGAAGCAAUUGAAGAGUACUCCAUUCAUAAUAAUUCCAUUCUUGUUUUCUUAUUCUAUUUCUUUUGACAACUUAAUCGAGUGAGUGCUCAAAGGCUCGAUUUCGUAUGUGCAAACGCAGUUGAGGUUUGUGCUUCAUUGUAUCCUGGGAUACUGUUCGUUGACUCAGUGCACACCAAGUUGUUUGAACGGUGGCGACGAAUUAAGCCUUAAGAAGAGUGGCAUUACUACACGCCUUGAAGCUAUUUUCAUCUUGCUACUUUAUACCUUUUCACUAUCUGUUCCAACACUAAGUUCAUAUGUCCAUGUUAUAGUGUUCUACUUGCUCAUGAAGAAUGUUACCAAAAUGAUAUGACAUAACAAGAAAGGAUGCAGUUAUUUACAUGCUAGGUCAUACACCCAUAACCCCUCAUGAACCCUACAAAACUUGCCUGGUGCAGACCCAUCAAGAUUAAUCUACUCAAGAGAAUGUGAAAGUUUAGACUACAUGCAUAGAAAUAGAAAUACUUUAGAUAAGUGAGGGAUCAAAUUUAUUUCUAUGAUGUUUCCUAUCUUGACUUGUAAAGCCCUAUUAGAAUAUUCCCUUGAGCUCUUAAGACUCCAAAGAAAUCCUAAACAGUAAGUGCUAACCAAGUUAGAAUCCUCAAAACCCUCAUUUAGAAAAACUCUCAAAUUUGAACCUCAAAAAUUUCAACUCAUCUCUACUUCUUCCUCCUAGAGCUCUUCCAAAGUACUCUUACCCUUCCUUGAGUUUGCUAGAAGAUGGAGCUCUAAGGUCCCAACAAUGGUGGCAUAGGGUUUCCUUUUCUCUUUUAAAAAGAGAAAGUAAAGAGAGAGUGAGAGGGAGAAAUAAGCAUGAGGAAGGAGUUGGCUGUGAAUGGGUAUUUAUAGGAGUGCUACAAUUGCACUUAGAACCCUUCAAUCAUAUAUAUUUAUAAUAAUGAGCUGCUGCCUCCUCACUAGGUUUUAGGCGCUCACCUGAUCUUUUGGGCAUCGGAAAGCCCUAGGCUAUAGCUAGAGCCCUCGAGUUCAGCAUCUGAAAGUUGAUCUGGAUGCCAGCCUAAUCCGUUCGACAAUGAUUUUUGAUGCCCGCAGGGCAAAUCUGGUACUCUAUUAAUUAAUGAGUCGAGCGACCCAUUCUCUCGGGUUGAGCAUCCGGAAGUGAAACCAAGUACUAGCAAGAGCAGUCUGGAAGGUUUCGAAUGCCCACAGAAGUAUUGAGAUGCCCGAACGUUUAUUCCUUUAUAAACUUUUUCUCUUAGGUAGAGUGUCUGUUAGAAUCGGAUAGUCGACCGGACUAUCCGGGCACCUAAAAUGCUUUUCUAGGCAUCCUGAAAGUUUGGGAAACUAGAUUUCCAUUUCUUCGAAACUCUGUUUCGACCAAAUUGGUUCGAACUCAUUUCAAAUUCAGCCUUAGCUUCUCCAAAUCCAUUUUAAUCAUGUCUAACAUAUCUUUAAUCCUCACCUUGCAAUUUUGGCUAAAGUUCGGUACACUAUACUGAAUUUUAGUAUAUUACAGAAGUUUCUCUAGAAGGUAAAGUAUGCUCUAAGACCUGAGCAACUACUUUGACAAUGUGUUUGAGUUGAAUUUAUUGUAAUUUCUUGCUAGAAUUUGGGGUAAAUAUGGAAAAAAAAAGAUUUUUGCAAACUCUAGGAGAAUCUAUACUUGAUGUUUUGAAAGAUUUAUUUUUUUGUUUUGAAAAUUUCUUGGGGAUAAUAGUAAUCCCAGGUUCAAAUUGGAAGUAUUGCUCCUAGAGGGUUUUGAAAUGAUCUAAUUUUUGGGAACUCUAAGUGAAGAGUAAAUUAACACACCAAACAACAUAGAUCGACGAAAUAGCGACGUUUCGACUUCCAAUUGUCAAUUGAGGUAAAUUUGGUGGCGUUUUGCAAGAAUUGGAUCUCAAACUUGGAUGAUUACAUGUAGAACAUCAUGAUCGUCUUGAUGUUGAUUAUUGUCUUCAAGUAGGUUGUGCUAUCUGAAGUGGUGGACCACUUUUUAUGUCUAAAGAACUUUGUUUUUGUUUAAAUUUCUCAUGCCUAGUAGGGUAGCCUUUCGGUGAAAGCAUGCAAAUACUAGUGCUCAUAUGAUUGUCACACUUCUAUAGUCAAAGUAGCUAUCAUGGCUUGUAAGAUUCCUAUAUACUUUAUGACUGUUGGAAAUAAUAUUCCAAACUUAAUUAAAAUAUAAUUAGAGAUAAGUUUAAAUCUUUUAUUUGAUUAUGAUUAGGAUAUGUAAUUAUCCAAAGUAAAUUGAAUUUAUCAUCUGUUACGAUUUGAUAGCUAUAUAUAGUUAGGCAUGGGUUAAUUAGAUGAAUAAGCCAUAGUAGACAUGGCUGCAUGAGAGUUACCCAAAAUGUGAUUAUACCUUUUAUUAAUAGCUUCUUCCUCCUCUAAUAUCUCUUCUCCAUAUUAUUUUGUUCUAUUUUAAAUCUUAGGUUAUAUAAUCGGUAUCAGCACAAAUACUGGUUCCAACAAGUAGUAUCAAAGCAAAUCACGCUUCCAACAAGUGGUAUCAAAGCCAGAAAGUAUCAUGCGACUUCUUAACCAGACAAUAGCAGAUUCGAAAAGUAUAUAGAUCCAAUGUACCGGAUAGCUAUGUCAAAAUCAAGUGAUUCGUAGUUGAUCAAUGAAGGUGGCGUUCAUGUGAAACCGAAGCAAAGAAUCGCUUUGAAGAAGUUGACCUCCGCACAAUACACGACAGCAAGUGGUUGUGAUGCUUGACGAAAAGAGAGCGAGGAGAGCUCGUGAAGAGAUCCAAGAAAACUCGACCAUAUAGCCAGGAGGGCUAGACAAGCAAGCCGAAAUACAAAAAAUUUGGCAAGAUCUCGAUGAACUAAGGACGUCAUCCAAACAGAAAGGUACAAAUUUGAAACUUAUUUUUCGAAUUUUCAAGUUUUGUUAUGGAUUUAGAUUGGUUUAUUCAACCUAAUUUACCAAAGUUCGAUGGAAUGAACUGUAAACGAUAGAAAAUCAUCAUUCGAUGUUUUUUAGAAUCCCAAGAUUUGUGGGAUGUUGUGGAGAAUAAUAAUUAUGAAAAAGAAUUGGGUAAAGAAGAAUUUAGAAAAAGAGAUAGAGAAGUUCUAUCAUAUAUUUUUCAAGCAGUGGAUCUAUCGUUGGUAGGAAAAAUUUCAACGAUAAAGACUGCACGAGAAGCGUGGAGAAUGCUACAAAAAUUGGAGGAGAAUAUUUGCACGAAGAGAAUGAAAUUCAAGAAGAAGAAGAAAUUCAACGCAACAACGAAAAUACAGAAACCCCAAUUUGGAAAGAAAAAUCUGAUCAAAGUCAUGAAGAAAAUCAAAUUCGUGAAGAGUAUGUUGAUGAUCAAAACAGUGCAACUCAAAUCGAUGAGAAAGUUCACAAUGACGAUAUGAUUAAAGAAUUUUCUGUUGAUGAAAUAGUUACACAUCAAGUCAAAGAGGAAGUUGACUCUUUAUUUAAUGUGAAUGAAGAAAAGAAAAUAGUAGACGAAAAUAUAGAAUUAAAAAUACAAAGUUUUGGUAUGAUGACGCACAAAUUGAAAUCAGCGAAACCAAAAUAUCAAAUUUAGAUAUUCGCAGGAACCUGCGGAUCUUUAAAGAUGAUGUGGAUAAUCAGUAUUAUAGGUGGCAAAGAUUUCGUGCAUGGCAACAUCAUUGGACAGGUGUCAUGUUGCACAACUCGAUCACGACGACAACAACAGCGACAGAGAUUGCAAAAUCAAAGUGCGCGUUUCACGGGAUUUGCGGCUCGAAGAUGAAGUUUGGAUUAAGGGAGAAUGUUGGAAAUAGUAAUCCAAACUUAAUUAAAAUAUAAGUAGAGAUAAGUUUAAAUCUUUUAUUUGAUUAUGAUUAGAAUAUGUAAUUAUCCAAAGUAAAAUUGAAUUUAUCAUCUGUUACGAUUUGAUAUGUCACGCCUCGGAUUACAUGGUUUCCCGAGCACGCCAACUGUACGAAAGAAUUUUUCCCUGUAUACGAAGCGAAGCUGUACUGAAACUGUAAUCAAACAACACUACAACCAGUAGUAUAGAGCUGCUAGAAAAAUAAACAGGUAAAACUGAAAGCAAGUUCCAUAUACAUACAUAAUAUCCAGGUACAAAAGUACUUGCUCCAGCGAGUUAUAACAUCUGUAUGUACAUGAACUCAAAAAUAAAAGCACCACUACCUGCUGAAGAUGAUCCUCUAUCUCAGCAACUCGUCUGGUAGGGCUCUACUCACAACGCCCUUACCACGGUCGGUCUCGGAGGAUGCAGCUGCCGGAACCGAAGGCUCUGCAAAAGAAGGAUAACAACAGGGCGUGAGAACUACUGUAAAAACAAGUAGUCCUCAGUGCGUACCGCCCUCAACAUCGUCGAUCCACCCACCAAGUCUACAGAAGGGAGCAAGGAUAGUAGGAAAAGCUAGAAGAAAACUACAGCUAAAAGCCCCUACACUAUCAUGCUCUACUCUAAUCAACUGUAGUAACUGACCCAAUCUCAUUGGGGACUGUAAGCAUACAUGUUCCUGGGACUGUGAACACACCCGUCCCGCCCGGUUGCGACUAUACAGCUACCUCCACACUAAGCGGUCAGUGGAGAGCAAGUCCAACCUGCACGAACGACACCAACGCGGAAGCACAACGCCGGUCUCUGGAGUGGCGCUCGUGGGAGCUACCCAACCGAGUAUGCAGCGUAUCUCUGUCGAGCUCAAUCCGGCUCUCACAAGCCCAAGUCAAGUAACAGAGUCCAACUGGUCUAACAACCAACAGGUCACGUGCCCUCGGCACAAUCUGACGCCAAAACGGCGAUAUGGGUCCACCGUCAACCCCGACGGCCCCCAACAGUCCGGAACAGUCUGAAUGCUACUGUAAAAAUACACUCAGCAUCCCAGCACGAGUGUAACAGAAAUCUAAACUAUCUGGGGUAUCCACCACGCCGAUACUGCGGCGAUACAAAAUAACAACGGCUCCUAGAGCUAAAUCAGGUAGUUUAAGCAUAUGACGGAUCAUAAUCGCGGGUUUUCUCCUAAGUCAAACCCAAGUCCAACAUGUGUAAAUAUCUAGUCAUAAUAUAAGCUCCAAUUCAUGCUUUGAAGAUAAAUCUACCAAAUCCGCGAAUCAAGCCAAUUCAAUGUUCUAAACAACACGAAGCACCCAUGUUGACUAUUUAGCUACUUAGAGAGUAAACCGACGAUUAACCCACCUCGACAGCUAAUCCCAUCCGGCGCGACGUCGAGAACGGCGGAAUCGCACCCUCUCCCGGCCUCCUCGCAAUGCUACGACGACGAACGUAAACUUGAAUGGCACCGCGGCGCGACGUCGACGACGAUUCGAGCUCCAACGGCACUCCACCCGAGCUCCACCUCAACGGACCAAGCUAUACAGAUGAAUGAGAUAAUUAAUUCUCUCUAAAGUCUCAGGUGGAUAUGUAUAUUGGUUGAGUAGGUGGGUGGAUAACCAUAAAAAAACAAUUACAAUUAUACCCCCCACCAACUCAACCAAGGACAUUAAUUGCAUGAUAGCUAUUUAUAGUUAGACAUGGAUUAAUUAGAUGAAUAAGCCAUAGUAGACAUGGCUGCAUGAGAGUUACCCAGAAUGUAAUUAAUUAUCUUUUAUUAAUAACUCCUUCCUCCUCCAAUAUCUCUUCUCCAUAUUAUUUUGUUCUAUUUUAAAUCUUGGGUUAUAUAAUCGGUAUCAGCACAAAUACUAGUUCCAGCAAGUGGUAUCAGAGUAAAUCACGCUACCAACAAUGACACGCAUGAUUAUGAAUCUCUAACCUAUGUUAUGAUUCUUGAACUAGUAUAACAUUCUCUGGAUGUAGAUUAAAGAAUUUGGCAUGAGAAUCUUGUUGACGAACAUAUGCUAAAAAUAAAAUUUGAUUGGAUCAAUACUUGGACAAUAGCGUCAUUGAACCUAGCAUAAAUGAGAACAUUGAUUGAUUGAGUCAAUCCUUGGACAAUGUUGUGGUUGUUGAAUCGUGACUCUUUAACCAUGUGCAUGCGAUCGAUGCUCGUAAAGACCAUUAACUCACUGAGCUUUGCUUGUUGGGAGUCACAACCCCACGAGCCCGGUCCCUCCAGAUAUGUAGACCAUUAGUAAGGUGUAUGCAACGAUUUCACAAACCAUAGAUUAUCCCUGAGUGUGCACGACAAUUUCGUCCCUGGUAGACUUUUACGCCUAAGGGCAGUUGCGAUGAUUUCGCCACCAAAAGACUAAGGGCCUGUUUGGGAAAUCUACAAUACUCUGUUUUGGGCUACUUUACAUUGUUUUUCAAAAAGUUCCUUUUUUUUUUUUAAGUAAGCCCGUUUGGAUAGCCCAAUGGACUAAAACUUUUACUCUGUAAUAUUGGGUUUUCAGAGUAUUAUCAUGGAAAAUAAAAAAAGAGAUUGGAGCGCUGUAAAAAAUUUCCCCAUUUAUCGCGUUCUUCCUCAUACGCCCUCUCUCGCAUUUUCGCCCCGCACCUGUCCUCAUCGCCUCAUCGCCCUAUCCUCCUCACCUCGUCGCCCAAUCUCCACUCCCCUCUAGUAGACCUCAUUUCCACACAAUGUCUUCAGGUUUGAUCUAUUUCUUCUCUUGCUGCUCCUCCUCUAAUAUAUAUGAAUGUGCCCUAGUUUUUCUUACAAAACCCUAUUUUUCCUCUCAUCCAUGAAUUUAGUGGAAAAAGAAUUAAUAAAUAAUCCACUAGGUAUAAAAGAGAAUUGUUUAGAUUAUGUUUCAAAAGAAGUGGGUUCCAACACUCCCUUUGUUGAGAUUAUGUUUUAAAAGAAGUGGGUUCCAACACUCCCUUUGUUGAGAUUAUGUUUUAAAAGAAGUGGGUUCCAUCCUUUUGUUGAGAUUAUGUUUCAAAAGAAAUGGGCUCCAUCACCCCCUGUUUUCACCUAUAUACUUAAGCAUUCCCGACAUCUUCCCAUCAUAUAAAAAUUUGGGGAACAGGACGAAAAGCCGAGAUGCUAAGAUGCAAUCUGAUGAUAUAAACUUAUGCUCCUACUACUUUAUUUCAUUUCAUUAAUAUUCAUUUAUCUAUAAUGUAAACUCGUGUUUUGAAGUGGAAUAUGAUGAGGGUUGGAAGAUUCUAGUAGUUAACUGUUUAAUUUCUUCGGUUUGAUUAUUUGAUGAUACAUUGAUUCAACUUUAGAUAAUUGUGUGCUUGACUUCUUUCAUAUAUAUUUGAUAUGUGUUAUACAGGUAACGAUCCAAAAAUAAAAAAUAGAGCAAAAUGGACUGAAUUGCAAAAAAUUUAUUUAGUAACAUUAUUGAAAGAGCACAAUAAUCCUAGAUUUCAUGCUCAAAAUGGUUGGACCAAAGAAGGUUGGUUCAAUAUUUCAAAAGCAAUGAAUGCAAAGUUUCCAAAUGCGCAAUUACAAAUGGAUCAAAUUAAAGAUCAAGAACAACAAUUAAAGAGAGCUUUUCGAUUAGUGAAAUCAUUGACUAAGCUUAGUGGUUUUGGAUGGGAUGCUACCACCAACAUGGUUUCUGCUCCGCAAAAUGUUUGGGAACCUAUUCUAGAGGUUAGUCAAAUAUCCUUUAAUCUCAUUUAUCUAUAAUUUAUUUUUUUAUCAUUUUACUAGAUAAUUAUAUCUUGUUUUUCUUAUUGAAGUCUAACAAGGAAGCAAGGAAAUGGUAUAAUAAACCUUUUCCACAUUUCGAUAUGCUUUUCGAGAUUUAUGUAGGUCAGUUUUAUGAUUAGUUGAUACAUAUAGAAAGAGUAUUAAAUAUAAAGUUGAUACUAAUUUUUACUAUUUCGUACAUAAUAUAUUAUAGGUAAAUAUGCCGAAGGAAAGCGUGCUCGUGGAAGUAAUUCUUGUAUUGAAGUACUUCCAACUGAUCCUCCUAUAUCCCAAAUGGACUUACCAUCACAACCAACAUUUCCAAAUCCAAGUAUUCCUGCCCCUGGAGAUUCUACUCGUCGCUUUGAUUGGGAGAACGAAAGUGAAGAAGAAUAUACCGACUUAGCUAAUCUACCAAUGUCUCAAGUGUCUCCUCCUACAAAUUAGAUACAAUCACAACCCUUAAGGCCAUCAAUCCCUCCCUCAGAACAUGAAGAGUGCCGAGAAAAAAAGGAGCCGAAAGUAAAGAAUAAUCCCAUUAGUAGAUUUGGUGCUGAGUUCUUAGAACUGAAGAAACAAUCUGAUGAACGGUAUCUUGCAUUGAAAGAAGAAGAACAUUGCUUGUGGCAACAAAAACAUGAAAAUGCGGAUGCAUUUUCUAUAAGUAAGUGUAUUCACGCACUUUAUGUAAUUCCAAGCCUAAGUAAAGAGGAGAGAAUAAAGGCAAUACAGAUCUUUACAAGUAAAGACAACCGUGAAAUAUUUCUUUCCAUAGAAGAAAGUGAUCGGAAAAUAUGGUUGAAAACCAAUGGCUUCAUUUGAUAUCUUAUAUUUAUUUUGAUAAUUUGGAUUGUGUUAGAAUUUUACUUUCCUCAUUUUGAUAUUAUGUUGGAAAAUUUUGGAUAUUAUGUUGGAAAAUUUUGGAUGUUCAUAUAACAUGUGUUACUAACAUGUUGGAUUAUGAUACAAUAUGUAAUAUUUUGGAUAUGAUGCACUAUAUAAUAUUGAUGUUUCAAACAACUAUAUAUGUGUGCUUCUUUAUAUUUAUUUCAUAAAAUUGAUUGCAUGUAAAGUAGAGUAUUGAUAAUUGUUACAAUCUUUUGCAUAUGAAAUGAACAUUAUAACCAUACAAAUAACUUGGAUAAAGUGUGUACAAAGAUAUACAAAGUAGGGAUUGUCACUUAAGAAUUUCUAACAUGCCGUCUUGUAACAUAGUCAUUCCACAUAUGAUGUGCAAUAUUAUCUCGUUUUCGAUUGCCGGCUUGUCUUUGAUUGUUCAUAUAUUCAAUAUUAGCAACAUACUCUUCAUCGCCGUCAGGCAUCACUAUGGCAGGAUCUUCAUUUAUGCCGGUGGAAUUCUCAUUAAGCCAAUUGGUUUCACCAUUAUGUAUCCGUAUAAAAUUAUGUAGAACACAUGAUGCAAUGGCAAUAUUUGUUUGUCAUUCAAUUGGAUGAAAAGUAGCAACCUUGAGAAUUGGAAAAUGCAUUCUUAAAAUACCAAUAAUACGCUCUACAUGAUUUCGUAGUUGUGCAUGACGUAGAUUAAAUAGUUCCUUAUAAUCUUUAGGCUUUUCUCGGCUUUGCCCUUGCUCUUUUAUGUGAUAUCUUGUAUUGCGAUAAGGUGCAAUGAAAUUGGGAGUAUUUGCGUAUCCAGCAUCAACCAAAUAAUACUUGCCUUGUGGAACCUCAAAAUCGUUGUCAAGUGAAUCUUGUAGCACUCUCGCAUUAGAAGCCGAACCUUCCCAACCUGCCCUUACAUAUACAAAAUGAAGAUCAAAAUCACAAGCAACCAUGACAUAUUGUGAUAAAAUUUGCUUUCUAUUACGAUAUGGUUCCUGCAAACUUGUCGAGAUUGCUAUGGGAAUAUGUGUGCCAUCUAUAGUACCAAUGCAGUCCUGAAAUUUGUAAAAAAAAAAAGUUAAUUAUUUUAGUACAUUCAUUUUCAAUAUUGAAUUAAAUGUACAAGUAUAAAGAAAUUCAAACGUACCUCAAAAUAAGGAAAAAAUUUUGAAUUGUUUCUGAUUUUUGGUGGGAUAAUAGAUCGUGGUAAACGAAUAAAAUCUUUACUCAGUUGUGUAACUACAUGUAGCACUUGACGAAAAUGUCGACUAGCAGUUUCGCCGCUAUGCUGAAACCGCUCUUGUAGAGUCCGAUUACUUGCAUUUUUUGCCAAAGUGUGUAAAAACAUAGCUACCUGCUCUUCAACACUGACAUACCUCGUAUCAUCUAGAAAACCUUUGUCUUUCAAACAUUUCACUAAUGAAUGAAAAACGUGAGUCUCCAUUCGAAACUCUAUCUUGCAUCUAAGUUCAUGACCUUGGAGAACUUCAUUAACAUAACGCACUCCUGUUUGACUUGAGGUGUGAAUAGGUGUUCUCACAGCCAUAUGAUUGUCCAUCAUAGAAUAUAGGUUUGUCACAAACUCAUCAUCAUCUUUUUGCAUUUUCCUCCAAUAAUCAUCGUCUUCUUGCAUUCUUCUCCAAUAACUUUGAUCCAUAUGUUUUUAUGUAGGAUAUGUAAAAAUUAAAUAUAGAUAGAAAAAAAGUAUAAGAAAUGAUUUAUGCCAUUCUAGUGAAAGACUUGAGCAUUAUAUAGAUAUUAGAUGCUUUUGCUAAAAUAAAUAAAAUAACUUCUCCAACGGCUAGUUUGACUAGUUCAAAUUACUUAACGGCUAGUUUGACCACUUUUGAAUAUAUAUGAGAUUCAAAAUAGUCUAACAGCUAGUUUUUUAAGACACCAAACGGCUAGUUUUUUUAAAAAAACUAGCCGUUACUUCAAACCUGUAAAAAUACAGUAUUUUAUCCAAACAGUCAAAAACAGAGUAAAAUAUUUUAGAGUAUUCAGAAUUUUAUACCAGCCUAAUACAACAUAAUAUAAAACUCUGUUUUUAAUUCCGGUAGUUGCCAAACAGGCCCUAAGUUGAGCAGAAGUAAGGAAUGAAUAUUGGUUCUAUGACGAUCCGACCCACUAACAAUAAUAACUCUUGGAUCAAAACUAUAUCGGUUCAAAAUGUUUAAGUCCAGUUAUUAUUACUAUAUGUAGGCCUCAUAUAUUCUAAUCACCCGACGUGCGACUAUUGGGGUGUUACAGGUUCGGUCCAUAUCUAUUCGAUAAAUUGAAUAAGCGAUGAGACCUUAAUGCAUGAGUGGAAUUGUAUAAUCGUGUUAAGACGUCUUGAUCCUUACUCGUUGAGGCAUAAUAUUUGCCAAUUUAAUGCUUGCAACAUUAGGGCAUGUUUGGUUCAUAAUUGGAAUAGGAAUGUGAAAUGAAAUUGGAUUGAUGGAAUGACGAAUCACCAAAAAAUGUUUGGUUCAUUAUUGGAAUGGAAAUCGGAAUGAAAAUUUAGAAUUUUUGUAAGAGAGUUUUUAUUAAGAGAGAGGAACGUAAUGAAGGAAGAUGAGGUAGGUAUUAGUGAAAGAGAAUUUUGAAUAGUUUACUUUAAAUGGGCCAAUCCGGAAUUCAAAGCCGGAUUAGGUCAUAAAUAAAUUUGGACAUUCCCAUUCCGGAGUGGAAUGGGAACCGGAAUCCGAUUCCUAUAAAACAAACGACAAUUAUCAGAAUUAAUGAAUUCCAUUCUGAUUCCAUAGUAUAAAAUAGGUGAACUAAAUAUGCCCUUAGUUACUAUCAAUGCUUUUUAUUAUUUAUUAUAUCCUCAUGGUUUGUAUAUUAUGCCUUUUUUGCCCAUUGAUCGCUGUGAAAUUCCCAUCUAUAUCUGAUAAAAAUUAAUUUUCGGAUCCGAACUCAGGUGAGAUCGGAUCGGAUCGGAUCCGUUUUAAUCCCUACCGUUACGUAUCUCACCCAUCCGUUUCCCGUCCUCCUCCUGCCUCCGGAGCCCUUUCUUGGAUUCGGUUAGGUUAUUACAUACACAACUUUUCGAAAGGUAAAUAAUUAAUUUCGUUGCAGCUUCUUAUUUUAUGAUUGGAUGUUGUGUAUAAUUGCACUGCUCUGAAUUGUUUUUCUUUUUCUCUUCUAGUCGGUUUGGAUCGAAAAGAAAAGAAAGUUAGAGGAAUUUUAUUAUUUUUCCUCGUUUUUUUUUUUAGUUUUUCAUUGUUUUGGUUUCAAGACAAACUAAUUUUUUUUUUCGAAAUAUUUAAAUUUUCCAGAUUUUAUAGAAAAACUACUGUUUCCAUUUCCUUCAAAAAAUAAUCCGGGAAACGAAAACAUUAAUUUGUCAUGAAAUUUAAUUUGACCAUGGAAAUUUGCGUAGAUAUCAUCUCUUCCCUUCUUCUUCUUCUUCCCCCUUAUUUUGGGUUGAGCAGGAGUUGUUGGUAAUUGUCGCAGCUGCUGAAAAGAAGGAAAUUCUGUCUUCACAAAUCCUAAUGCACAUGUUGCAUGGGUAGAGGCAUUUGCUAGUUGUUGAAAAUCAUGAUGUUUGUCAUGUGAUUUGAUCUCUUAGGUGUGUUUAUCUAGUGUUUCAUGGGGCCCUCGGGUUGAUAUAAUUGCUAUUCGGUAGUAAAUCGAGUUUAGUAAGAGUUGAAAUAUUAGUUCUGUUGUCGACCACGACAAUGAAUGUGCUCAACGUCUUGGAAAUAGUACGUCUCACCUCUAAAUGGUAUGACGCCAUUUUUCGUGCAUAGUUCCAAAAUUUAGCCCUAAAGUUAAGUAAUAGAAACUCCUUAGCAUCGUCUUUUUUGACAACGGGACUAGUAUUUUAACUCUCGGUAAACUUAAUUUAGUGCUGAGCUAUAGUCACGUUAAUCCAAAUUUUUUCCUUAGAUUUCGUGAGAUGCAAAUUGGUAGGAUCUAUGAAAAUAUUCUCUUGUGAAUUACAGGACUUAAUUGCCAAUGUAGAGGUUGGAAAGUGGAGACGCCACCGAAAGUAUCAGUUAUGCAAUCCACCGUAUGUACGGGGGUCUAUUUUCAUUCCUAUAUGGUUUUUCUUAGGAAUCUUUUCUUGAAGUAAACGGCAGUUCUUUUGAUAGUUCUACAAUAAUCAAGCAGAUUUUCAUGAGAAUAGUGACAUGAGAGUUUUGAUGAUUGAACCCAAGAACUGUCGCAUCAAUCACUUUUCUAUGAGAACAGCAACAUGAGAGUUUUGAUGAUUUUCGAACUUCAUACCAUAUAUCCUAAUUUUCAUGGUCCUAAUUAGCUUGAGAUCUAAGUAUCAUUCGAACAAACAGUUAAUUAGAUAGGCCUGAUGAGACCAUGUUAAAAUACUUUCUCUUCGAGCGUGCUUCUUUAUCAAUAGAUUGCUGUUGUAAUGUUUUAUUGUACUUUUUAAAUGACCUGAGCGUGCUGUUCUGUAUAAAGUUUUUAUACUUCUUUGGAAGUACUAGAGGGUACAUAAGAAAUGAUCGUGAUGUAUUUUCAUAUCAAUUUGGCAUUAUUUUCUAAUCACUUCCUAUGCGAGCUGUCUGUGGUGCUGUUUGAAUCUCCGGGUGUUGUCUCAAUCACUUGUUUAUGAACUUUCUUUUUACUAGGUCCUUUUGUUUGCUACGUAACUGAGUCAUUGGAUCAGCGUGAAUCAAGUAACGUGCUAGUUAUGCAAUACAAUGAUCUAUAAUGGAUUAGACGCUUCAUGAUCCAGAUCAUACAGUACAUAAAAGUAUUUGACAAUAUUCUACAACUAUGAUCUUGCUGUGUUAUCAAGAUUAAUGUUACUUUCUUGUCUGGAUCAAGGAUGGGGGAUACUAACUACAGUUCAAUAAGCUAUAUAAUUAAUACUCUCCUUAUCCAGAUGCUAGAGAAGCUAUGUGAUGGAUCAUUUGAUCUGUGUAGGCCACAUUAGAGUUUCUGUGGAGAAGACAAUAACCAGGGCUUGCUUCAUAGGAUCUUUGAUGGAAGCUUAUUGAGUUGUUGAAGUGUUACGGUAGUGAUAUAUAAUAUCAUGAAUAUCCAUGAUUGUUCUAUAAGGAUAUUGGGCAAAUAGGAAACAAUAUGUGUGAAAACUUACUUUAGGUAAGAUGAGAAAAUUGAGGUAGAGGACUCUAGGCUCUAGAUUGCUAGAAAAAAAUGUACCACCGAAGAUUAGUUGCACGAAAGCCUAUCAAGAUGGUUUGACAAUUUGCAAGAUAGGUAAGCUGGUGUAUCACAAAGGAGGGGAAUGCCAAAAGUGACAUUAGAGGAAGUAUCAGGAAGAGAUAUGAUGAUUAAUUUCUGUCUUGGCAAAGAGAAACUUAGCUAAAUGGGAUAUGUAGCUAACCAUUGUUGAGGACAAAGUGUUUAUUGCACAGUAGCAUAUAUAAUGGCUGAUCACUCUAGGACUCAUGCAAACCUUCCGAAGAGGGAAAAGAAAUAAAAAAAUCUGGCAGAAUCAUACCUUGACUAAAUUUGAAGAAAAGGAAACUCGAUAGGUUCUAAAACUUUCCUAAAAGGAUCUUACUAGCUGUCUUUUUCGCAUUUUCGCAGUUUUAUUCAUCUCUCAGAUCUGUUAACUAGGUAAUAAUAAAUGUGAUUCCUCAUGUGAUUUAAAGCCAACAACUAAUAACAUAUGAAUUUCAUAUAUUUAUUUAUGCAUAUAAAAGCCGCUUCUGCGGAUUCCUCAGUAAUCUUACUUUUUUCAGCACAGGCUUUGUUGUAUUACGACUUCCCUGAGGUGCUUGAUCAUUCUAACUGCAUCUUCCAGGCAAAGAGAGAUCAUUCCAACUGCAUCCGGUGACAGUCAUAUCAAUGGAGCCAAAAGCCAAUGAUCCGGAUGAUUUUAUUGAAUCUUCAGUUCUGUUAGAUGAAACACAGUACCAGGAGGGUUACAGAGAUGGUUAUAAUGAUGGGUUGGUGUCAGGAAAAGAGGAGGGAAGGGAAGUUGGCUUAAAGAUGGGUUUUCAAGGAGGGGAGGAGAUGGGCUUCUAUAGGGGCUGCAUUGAUGUAUGGAACUCAGUAACAAGGGCUAACCCGGAUGCAUUUUCGUUCCGGAUCAAGAACAGAAUUGAGCAAUUGGAGAAGCUUGUUGAGGGUUAUCCUCUUCUCGAGCCAGAGAAUGAACAAGUUCAAGAGAUGAUGGAGAAAAUUAGGCUGAAAUUUAGGAUUAUUUCAGCUAAUUUGGGAGUUAGAUUGGAGUACGAAGGGUCUCCUACAUCUACUAGGGAAGUUCAGGAUUUCUAGUAGUAUCUUAAAAAGCACUCCACACUAUAAAGUGUUGGUAGAGUGGUAGAUUUAAUUCCCUUUCUUUCAUGUUAGAAUGGGGAUCUUGUGUUUAGUUACAUAGUUGGUUAGCCAAAUAUUACAUUUUAACUAUCUUGACAAUUGCCAACCGCACCGCUGCUGUGCUUUGAUGGUCAUAUAUUAUGUUUUGCAUAUUUCACUGAAAUUGAAAACUUAGGUGCAGAGCCACGGAGUUUUCUUUUUUAAUUUUUCCCUCCUAUUUUUCUUUUUCAUGAGGUCAACUAUAACAUUAUAACUCAAGAAGGGAUUCACAUUCAUAAGACACAACCAGGAUAUUCAAACCCUUAACAAAUGACAACCCUCUUGAGCAGUAAAACCCUUUACGCCUCGUGUUGAUACUUCAUUGAAGUGUGGAUCAACAUUUGCCGUAAGUGGACAUUUUUAUGGUCCAGGGAAAAGUUGUUCUUUAACUUUUUUCAGAAUUUGCUUUCGCAGCUAUGAAAUAUAUUGACAUUUAUGCUGCAUAAGUUUGUGGAUAUUAAAAUUGAAUGGAUUUUGGUGGACUUUGGUGAGCUCCUGAAAUUUACAUUAUUAUCUUAAUUUUCUUUUUUAAGUUAUUCUGGGUCAUAUUUUUGCUUCUAAUCUGGAGUUAUGAACAGUAAUGCUAAAAUAGCAGUGAAAAUGUAUUGAAGGGUUCUUUGCAGGGAUUUAAGUGCCGUGGCACGGGAUCGUGCUGGAAACUUGCCGGCACGGUGCGUGCCGAGCCGUGCUAAUGCGUGCCGGUCAAAAAAAUUCUUAUGUGCCGACACAUAAUAGCAUGAGAUAUUUAUUUUUUUUAGCAACAAAAUAUUUUAACUAUUUAUUAUGUCUUUUUAUCACAUCUUUUGAACUUUAUUGAAAAAAUUAUUUACUAAUUUAAAGAAUAGAGGGUUUUAAGCUGUGCCAUCGGCACGGGUCUGUAUCGUGCCGGUUUCUUAUUGGCACGGUACUGCACGGUGGAUACGGUCCGUGCCAACGGGCACUUAAAAUCUUGGUUCUUUGUCAUAGAGGUACUUCUGAAUUAGUUACUGUUUAAUUUUGAAUUGUGUGAUGCUAAUGCUCUACUUCAUCCUCUGCUACUCUCUGGCUUCUAUCACGCACAUAACUGUUUUUCUUUUAGUUUGGAUAGUAAUCGUAUCUUCAGAAGACUUUCUGGUGAUCCAAAAAACUGUUGUGUAAAUCGGCUUUUCUUAGUUAAAUGGAAUCUGAUAGUUUUGUGCAUUUUGAAUAAAUUAUUCAUUAGCAGAUAAAAUACAUGUAAGCCUGUGGUAUAUCAUUACAUGUAUCAUAAGUAAUGUAACAAGGAGGCUGAAACUUACAAGUACACAGUUAUAAAUGUACUCAUUUGCAGAACCACAGAAUUUGAUUAUUUACAUAUUUGAUUAUAAUAGAAAAAACAGAAGCCAUGGUUUCAAACUAUGUGAAGUUGAUCACUUAUUUAUAAGUUGAUGGAUAUCAAUGUGGUUGUCAUCUAUAUUUUUUCUUUUCUUUUCCUUGGGUGCUUCUUCUCUGACUUUUCAGUGAUCAGCUGUGAAGGUUAUCAUUGUCUGUAUUUACUUCGAACUUUGCAGUGAGGUCAAAACUAGCUAGUCCGUAUGCCUUCUAAUAUCUCGCCUUUUAUUAUCGCCUAAGUUUAUGAAAUAGUUUCACUAAAUUGCGAUAACUUGGACAUAGUAUAUGCUUGCUCCAGUAGUCUUUUAGUUGUUUGAAAAUAUAAACUGGUUCCCUUUCAAACCCUGGGGAACUGUCCUUUUAAUUCUAUUUUGGUUACUAAAACUCAAUUUGCUAGCCCGUUGCACUGAGGAAUACUGUCCACAAAAGCUUUUGAAAGAUAAGAUAUGGGUAUCUUUUGUCUUUCUGUCUUUAUCUGCUCAUUUUCUCAUCUUGCAGCUUCUUUUGAAAUUGUGAGAAGGUGAGGAUAUGCUCAAGUCUAUGCUUACUUGUUGCAAAGUAUAUAUAUCCGAAAGCCGAAAUGCUCUUGCCUUAGAAUCGAUCGAACAAGCCGCAAAACUAUUUCCAGAAGCUCCCGUCAUCAACAGGUUCAAGGAUGAGAACUACAACAGAGUUGGCUACACACUCGUCUCGUGCUUUGACCCGAAUUCUUCGUCCGAAGCCACCUCCUUGAAGAACGCAGUGCUCGGCAUGGUUAAAGCUGCCUUCGACUCGAUCGAUCUCAGCUCGCACUGCGGAACACACCCCCGCCUCGGAGUAGUUGAUCAUAUUUGCUUUCAUCCUCUAACUCAAGCUUCGUUGGAUCAAGUUGCCGAUCUCGCAAAGUCUGCAGCAGCUGAAAUCGGUCGGAGGCAUCAAGGUUUUCUUCUUCUCUCAAUUAUCAUUUUAAACCAGGCUUUUGCAUACAUUAUAUGCCACUGCACAAUUGUCUAAAGAAUUUUUGCAUAUCACACUCAAAAUAUCAUUUUCCUAAGUUUAUGGGCAGAAGUUAGUUUUGUAUUUGAGAAGUUUACGAAGAGAGAUGCAUAAGAAGAGUUUUUAUGGGCAUAUACAAAAAUGAAGAUUCUGCAGGAUAUAUAUCAGAAAAUAGAUAAUUUUGCAGGGGCAUGUUAUGGUUGCCCAGCAUGAUCUUCUAUUGAUGUUAUGCAGUUCCUACAUUUCUAUAUGGAGCAGCACAUGGGGAAGGGAGGAGCCUAGACUGUGUCAGAAGGGAACUUGGUUACUUCAAACCCAAUUCAUCUGGGAACCAAUGGAGAGGUGGACUAAACUUGGGGCCCUUGAAUCUAAAACCCGAUUUGGGUCCAACCCAAUUGACUCAAUCCAAAGGAGUUGUGGUUGUCGGAGCUACCGGUUGGGUCGACAACUACAAUGUGCCCGUAUUUUCGACCAACAUUGAGGUUGUAAGGAGAAUUGCUCGGAAAGUGAGCGGGAGAGGGGGCGGGCUUGAUUCGGUUCAGGCGAUGGGGUUGAUGCACGGGGAGGACCGGACCGAGGUGGCUUGUAAUUUGCUUGAUCCUGACAGAGUUGGGUCUGAUCAGGUUCAGGCUCGAGUCGAGCGGCUCGCAGCUGAUGAGGGUUUGAGUGCAGGGAAGGGCUAUUUCACCGAUUUCUCGCGAGAAAAGAUUAUUGAGUUGUAUUUGAAUGCCGCUUCGACUGUGUAAAAGGUCAUUUUUGCAAGAAUGAUGGUAACCAAAUAAAUGGUAGAAAGGUACUAAGGCCCCUGAACUUUCGCAUUUUUGUAAAUAGAUUAUAAGCUUUAAAGUUUGCCAAUUAGACCUAAAUUUUAUCAAAUAGUUUAAUAUGCCUUUCUUGAAAUUCAAUAAGAUAAGGAGAGUAAAGCUCAUUGUUUCCUGUGGCUGGAACAGGUCCAGCUUGUGGUGCUUGCGCCUAAUUUCUUUUCGGUUCAAAGGGAAACUGGAGAAGGUUUUGGAUUAACAAAAUUUGAAAUUGCGCUAAAUUAGGUCCCUGUACCAAUCUUCGUUCGUGCCUACACUUAGGGGCCGUCUGGUUGCAUAUAGUUACAAUUGUACGGCAGUUAUAACUGUAUACAAAUACAAAUUUGGUGUUUGAUUUAAUAUAUUUAAGUCCAACUGUUGCAGUAUGAACUGCAGGAGGGGGUCCAACUGUAGCAUUUGGAACUACGAUCAAAUUGGCCGCAGUUCCAAAUGCAGCAGUUGGAGAGAAUAAUUUUAAACAAAAGGCAACCUUACCCCUUUAAAUAUUUUUUAAACAAAAAAAAAUAUUUUUUUACAUUCGAGGUAAUUUCAUUAUUAUAUAUAUAAAAUAAUAAAAUUUUAAAAAUUAUUUCUCAACUGCAUGCAACCAAACAAAUUAUUUAUAAUUGCAGCGAUUUUUACUACAUUCAACCAAACAUGAUGCAUGCAAUUAUAACUAUUGCAUCUUCAAUUAUAUACAUUUCCAACUAUACUGCACUUGUAAUUACAUGCAACCAAACGGCCUCUUAGGUACCGUUUGGUUCGGGUAUAAGUAAGAACUAGCUAUUACAGGGAUAGGUGCAAGUAUGGGGAUAAGAAAAAUAGCGUUUGGAUGAAAAUUGGGUUGUUUCCGGGAAUAAGAACAAUUUUAGAUAAUUUUAUAUAGAAAAUGAAGGUGUUGGUGGGAAUAACCGAGAACUACUAUUCUCGAGUAAAAAAUUAAUGUUUGGAUAUAAAGGAGGGGAUAAGGGUCUAUUUCUAUCCCUAUUCCCUAACCAAAUGGUGCCUUAAGCCGACAGGCUUAUUAACAACCUCUGAUUGAGGACCUGCAUUUGCAUUUGCCAGCCUGUAAGCCGCCUGAAAAGGUGUUAUCCAGGGCUGAGCUGGCACGAUUGCUGGAACAACAGGACUAUUGUGCCGAACCGCAGGACUAUGAUUUGGAGGAAGCGCUUGACGAACAUUUUGUCCUCCGAGCGGGUUCAGCACCGGAGGACCUUGUGGUCCUUCUUGUAAUUGUUCGCUUCGGGCUAAUAUAUGCCUAAUGGGUGCUAUCCCCCUCAUUUGUAUACAAAUUCAGCUGCAGCCUGCAGCCGACACGGUACCACGUCUAAGCGGGUAGUAUUAUGUUGGUUGUUUCUUCUAGAUUUUGGAGUACUCAGUUUCAUUUGCUCGAGUGCGUGGAUAAGACUCGGCUCUUGUUGAGCCAAAUGUCCAACACUCUAAUUCUGUAGGUAGUGCCGACUGUUGCUCGUUUGCAUUUUCGGCAUUACUCGCCUGUUCACUGCCUGAUGGCCUAGGAACUGUUCGAUUACAGAGAUGCAUUCCAUCAUUAUUAUUUUCAACGAUAUCUCUCUGAGCUCUAAUUUCUUAGAAAAUAUAGAAAAAAUUGAAAACUUUUACCUAAAUAUCCCACCGAGCAUCCCAAAAAUUAUUUGCGGGAAUCGAAUGAUUCUGAAACAGGUUGACCGAAUCAAUUGUUGACUAAAUCAAAGCACUAUUGAUUGACGAAUUACCUCAAAAGUUUGAAAAGAGAUAUGCUAAACUGAGUUCUUUUCUAAAUACAUAAAAGGUUUUUAGAAAUAAGUCAAAUUCAAAAUUUUGUACAUAGUAAGCUAGAGCCGAACUAAUUAAACUUCAUUAAAAAUCUUAAGUAGUCACUCAAUGUUACAAGGAAAUAAAGGUGCGAGGGCUCGGGUUACAAAGUUCUUGGCUAAAAACUAAGGAUUAAAGUCUAAGACUAAAGCUACUAGUAAAAAAUUAUGUAAAUACUAGAAAUGGAAAAUGGUGGUUAAGGAAAAUAGUGGUUAAAAAACAAUGGUCUUCAAUAUAGUAAAAGACCUCCUUCUCAGGCAACUUUUCACUAUUUAUAGACUUAUUACCUAAUUUCAGUUGUCCUGCAGUUAUCGGAUGGUUCUUGCCUCGGAAAGUGCUCUACUGAUAUUCUUUCAGUUAUGAAACCACUUCCUCGCCUUUCAAUUUUUUCCGCCCAAAAUAUAUUUGUCUUUUUACUCUUUUUUUUGCCUCUUGUUAGUUUACCACGUGUCAUCUUUCUAUUUGACCAUAUUAACUGAGCCGAUUAGUUGGUACCGUAUUUUUCUAUGCCAACGCCACUUUAAUUGGAUAAAUGAUCGGAAUUUCUCAGUUGUUGAACUUUUUGUAUUUAGCAAAGAGCAUUUGGCAGAAUGUAAGAUAUGUUGGAAUUAUCUAUUUUACACCAUUACCCUUCAAAAAGCUCUUCUAUAUAGGCAUAGUUUGGUAUUGUGGUGGUUGCAAGUAUCAUUAUUAUGUUUUUGAGGACCUCANAAUUAUUUUUUAUUUUAUGUUAUAAAUUAAAGUGCAACGGUUACUGCCAUUGAAGAAGUAUGGAACUAUAUAUAUAUAUUUCUGUAGUGGCAGUUAGCUGAGCAGCUAACUCUAAGGUUAUAGAGUCAAAAAAAAAAAAAAAGCUACAAAAGCAAAUCUUACCAAUAAACCUUUAUUUAAAUAAAAGAAAGGUAAAUGCAUAUAAACUUAUAAGAACUAUGAACUAUUUUAUCUAACUUUUCAAAAUUUUGAUCUUUCAAUUUAUAAUUAUGAUAAUUAUAUGAAAUAUACUGACUAAAUUUAUAAACAUAAACGACAUAUUCACAAUUUGAAUUCAAAAUAUCAUUGACUGGCUUAAAUCAAACAAAUUGAAAGGUUGAGCGGUAAAAUCAAAAUUUGAAAGGUUGGAUAGUCGAAUCAAAAUAGUCUAUAAUUCAAGUAAGAUUUGUAUGUUUUUAUCUGAAAGAAAAUUCUAAGUAUUUGCAUGAUGGGUCCUUCUCAACUGGGUGGUGACCAUUUGUGUGGUAGGAUUUAGGACGGAACAAGUUGGGUCGGGGUCUAGGGUUGUAAGCACGAGGGGAGCGGUGGGGGAUGAUAGCGUGCAAAUCCUUUAUCCCAUGUUCAAAUCUGGCACAAGAAAACAAUGCCUUGGCGGCAGUCACGCCGCAACAAAAUUCCGAAUUUGGCCUAAUUUGGAUUCAAUUUUGUACAUCAUCCACGCCUCAGUGUACACAGUACACUUAGAAAGAAAAACAAUAUAACUUUGAAAUAACAAGAUGUAGAUCCAAAGGUAUGUGCGCGUACUAGCGCAUGCAGAAGUAUUAUGUGCCUGUUUGGGGAUAGCAACUCUCUCUGUGGAGGAACACGGCACAACUCAAGAUCGACUCUGAUACCAAUUGGGUUACAAAUCUCGUCAGAUCCAAACCUAGAUUAUAAUUAUCAGGAGAUUUUAGAAAUGGAUCAUAUGAGUUCAGCUCUGAUACCAAUUGUAAUGACCCAACCUACUAGUAACAAUAAUUCGUUGGACCCAAACCAUCAACCCAAAAUGCUUAAGUCCAGUUAAUAUUACUAGCGUGAAGGUCUCAUAUAUCCCAAUCAGAAUUAUUUUGCCAUUUGAUAAAGGACUAUUGGGGCGUUAUACUUGGUUUGCGAUAUUUUUGAAAAUUCCUAGAAAUGUAGGUCGGGAAUUAAGGAUUCCAACGUUUGAUUUGCCACAGAAAUUCAAAUCAUAGAAAUUUAGGAUUCAUAAAUACUAAUGAAGGGGCCCCGCACGAUGCGGCGGGCGCAAUGCAGCGGGAAGACAAUAUAACAGUAAAUUAUUAUAAUUAUUAACAUCACUUUUUUUUCUAUUAUAUAUUAAUAUUUUUUAAUAUUAUUUGUCUUAAUAUUGAAUAAUUAAAAAUUAAGGAAUAAAAUUAAAGUAUAUUUCUAUCAAAAAAAAUUUAAACCAUAAAAAAAAUAUUGAGAGAAAAAAAAUAAAAAAAAAGAAAAAAUAUAGGGUGCGUGAGAGAGAGUGAGAGAAAGGGGAAAAAAAGGUGUGUGAGAGAUAAUGAAAGAGAGAGCGGUAAAAAAAAAAUGGAUGACCCAUCAAAGCCGCCCGCCAAACACGGGGAGGUUUCUAUUAGGUUUAUAUAUAUUAUAUAUAAUAUAUAUAUAUUAUAUAUAUAUAUAUAUAUAUAUAAAUAAUAUAAGGAUGGCUGUAAUGCUUAUGAACCACUGAGCCCUCCGUGGCUUUCCACUUUGUUUUCGAUGUUUCGGCUUUUCCGAAUUCGACGAAUCGGCUCCGUUAGAAUUGAUCUAGAGUAAUUUGAAGUCCUAAAGAAAAUAAAUUUUUUUGUGAUUUUCGAUAUCAUUUGCCUAGUAAUCGAAGGGGCUCAAAAUCAAAUAAUUUUAAACGGCCUCGUGCUGAGCCGUUGAAAGUUUAAAAGCGUGUAGAAAUAUCAACUCCAUUAAAUUUUUGAGUAGAAAAUUCUUAUACCUAUAUAAAACAAUAUCAUAAUCUUUGAUCUAAAAUUUUUAAUGUCAUAUCAUCAUAUUUUGUAAGAUUUUAUUUCAGCCGUUGAUUUUGAGCGACUUCGAUCACUAGGCAAAUGAUAUCGAAAAAUCACAAAAUUUAUUUUCUAGAUACUUCAAAUACUCUAGAUCAAGUCUAACGGAGCCGAUUGUCGAUUCGAAAGUCCGAACAUCGAAAACAAAGUGGAAGCACGGAGCGCUCCAUGCUUCCAUAUGCAUACCAGACGCACUAUAUAUAUAUAUAUAUAUAUAUAUAUAUAUAUAGAGAGAGAGAUAUAUUAGAUAACAUACAUAAAUUGAAAGAUAAGAAAUUCUUCACUUGAAAUUUUAAAUAAUUUCAUUUUUUUCAAAAAAAUUUGUGUAUACCUAAAAUGUGGAUAACAUACUAAUAAUAUAUAGCUAAGUUGCGCAUGCAUCAAGAUAUCUAUUUGAAGUUUCGGAUUAUUUAUAUCAAAAUUGGCAUGAAUAAUUCUUUAAAAAAUUAUGUGGGCACCACAACCCUCCAAAAUAAGGAGAGGGUUUCUUUAGGAUUACCAAUCCAUAUAUAUUUUAGGGACUAAAGUAAAAUGCCUACAAAAUUUAAGAAUCAAAAUUGGCAUGAAAAAAAAGAUUAAAUAGGCGAUGACAUAAUAAUUUCGAUAAUUUUAAAAUAUUUUUUAACGGUUGUUAUUCUAUCGCGAUGAAAUUAAAAGGUUUUAAAACUUAAUUGCAAAAAAAAAAAAAACCAAAAUAAAAAAUGGUGGAAAGUUUGGGUAGUACUAUGCAAUUAAUUCUAAAAAAAUCUCCAAAACUUUGUGGGUCCCACAACCCCAUAAUAAGGGGAGGUCCUCUUUGAGUUCCAAAUUAUAUGAAAUUUUAAUUUUGCUAUCUAUAGUAAAAAUAAAAAAAAAUAUUUGUUGUAGGCAAAAAUAAAAAAAAAAAUAUUGAGAGAAGAAAAAUAAAAAAAAAUAGUAAGAGAGAGAGAGAGUGUGUGUGAAAGUCUGAAGUAUGAGAGAGAGGCGAAGAAAAAAAAAAAAAAAAAAAAAAAAAAAAAAAAAAAAGAGGUGGGACACACCGAAGCUCCCCGCCAAACGCGGGGAGGCUUCGGUUGGUUCCCAAUUCAUUGCAUAAGAAAUGGCAUUUUCUAAUCCCACAGAAGGUGAGAAUUCAAAACCCUCCCCCCUCUCUAUCCUUUUUUUUUUUUUCUUUUUUCAUAGGAGUUUUAUUGUAAUGGAUUAAAAUACAGCUUCAAUUAAGUUUGAAAUUUAUCACCUAUUAUGUACGUUAAUAAGGAUAUUCCUGUAUACUUUUUGAUGUAAUCCAAUACACGGUGAUGAUAUAAUUCUUAGUAUUCUAAUAUAUAUGCAAACCAAACAAAAAAUAUUUUUAUUUUCUCAUAAUUCAAUUCUAGAUCAUUUCUAAGAAAUUAAUUUUUUGUGGGAAUUUUAAAUCCAUCGAAUGAAAUAGAACCUAAUUAAGAAGGUAAUCCGGUGCUGUGAAUAAUCCAACAUUUUUUAUAGAAUUAUAUGCAAAAUGAAUCAAACACAGUAAUACGUAAGCAUUCCUGCAGAAUGCUCAGUAAUUCAGAAAAGAUCACGCGAAUCAAAUACGCUCUCUUUUGUACUCUAUUUUAGGCUAUAGUAAUUGGAUAAAACCUUGACCAUUGUUUUCAGUUAUUUACUAUUUAAAACCAGCCAAUAACAAGUACCCUGAAGUAGUAAUUGGUUCGUUUAUAUAUGGAUUGUAUUAGUUUAUUUUAUUUGAAGAAACUACUCAGUUGUCUAAGCACAUGGUAUCCUUUUAUUUUAGUUACUCUUAUGUCUUGUCCCCUCUCAUGUAUGAGUUGUGUGUCAUGUGUAUUCAAAUGUGAUAUAAUCAAUCAAUGAUGGCCUAACAUGAAUGGAUGCUAGUGUGCUUAUAUCAAUGCCUAAUUAUUGGGCUGUAGUUCAAUUGUGAUGAGUAGUAUAAUCCUUGUCUGAAAAGAUUCUUUCCAGCAAACCCAAUGUGAAGUCUUCCAUUAAAAUGUUUAAUAAUCUUCCUAACUUUAAUUUUAUUUCUGUCAAAUAAACAAUUUUUUUAAAAAAAUUUAAGCUGCUAAUAAAUGGUUUUCGUAUAUUUUAGUUAUUUCUCGAGACUCUCCCUCAUAUUUUAGUUCAAAACUAUGUGAAGAUUGAAUUAAAAGCACGGUGGCUACUCAUUCUGCUAGUAAACUGUCAAAGAUCCUCGUAAGGUCUGAACUUACCUUGUUAAUAUUAUUAUGAAAUAAUUAUUUUUUUUUGAAAACUUAAGAUGCUAGGUGAUAAUGUACUAUUUUAUCUCAAGAAAUGCAUAUUUUAUAGCAACCACUGUAUAUAAAACCAUACAACUAAAUGACAAGAACUAGAAAUUUCCAAUGGACAAUGCCAACAAAUUAAAGAAAAAAAAUGGUGCUUGAAUGGAAUAUUUUGAAAGGUUGUAAAACCACAUGCAAUAGGUUUCUCAUGAGACUCUAUAUAAGUGCUAGUUAGCUAGAAGUCCUUGUACUAGUACAACAGAAGAGAGUCCUAAUUAAUUAAUCUCAUUAGCUCUUAAGAUGGCCUCAAAGACUCUACUAGUGUUGUUGCUCCCUUUCAACCUAGUGUUGUUCCUCUCCAUCUUAGCAGAAGCACAGCUCCUGCAGGUUGGUUUCUACAGCAAGACAUGCCCGAAUGUCGAAGAUAUCGUCCGGAAGGAGAUGACCGAGAUCCUCUCGGUAGCUCCGAGUCUCGCUGGUCCUCUUCUGAGGUUGCACUUUCACGAUUGCUUUGUAAGGGUAAUGUUGCUUGCACGAUCACACCUCUUGGAAUUCUUAAGUUGUUAGAGACUGAUGUGUUGUACACGCAUAUUCUUGACCCUUAACGUAUAUUUCAAAUCAAACAAGUAAAGAUUUUUAUGUUAAACAACUCUCUAAAUAUAUGCAAGAUUUCAAACUGAGGGUCUUCUACUCUGAGACUUGACAAACUCUCUAUGUUCUUUAAAAGCAAGGCACUUGUAACAAACAUUUAUUAUCUCGGGAUUGAAGUUAAAGAAGAUUCAUGUCAUCUAAUGAGAUUCUUUGAUAUAGGGAUGCGAUGGUUCAGUUCUACUUGAUUCUACGAAGAACAAUGUAGCUGAGAAAGAGGCAGAUCCGAACAAGAGCCUCCGAGGAUUCGGGGUGAUAGAAAGGGUGAAGGCUAAAGUGGAGAAAGCUUGUCCAAACACUGUCUCGUGUGCUGAUAUCCUGGCUUUGGUGGCAAGAGAUGCAGUGUGGCUGGUAAGACAUGCCAUUUUUCUCUCAUUUUGUGCAACAAUCUCUAUUUUCUGUAAGUUUACGUCGCUAGCUAGACAUCACGGACACGGAAACGAGACUCUACAUGACACGACUCGAUUCAAACAUGAUGACUCGAUAGCUUCCAAAAAAUUAAGACAUGGAUAAGAUAUGGAUGCCGCUAAUAACAAAUAAAAUUAUUAAUAUUUAUGACAAUAUAUACUUAGUAUAUAUAUAAAUGUUAAUUUUGCUAAAAUAUUAUUGUAUUUUUCAUAUGAAUGGAAAUCAAUAAAAUUCUUGUUGAUAAUUCAUAUAUUGUAUAGAAAGAAACUCUUCACUGCAUAUAAUUUAUUUAUAUCAUCUAAAAAAAAGUUUGUAUGCAUUGAUCAAAAAGCCAAAAUAUUUAUUAUCUUAUGUUAUAUAGGCAUUAAAAUAUAAAAUAAAAAAAUAUAUUUUCUAAUAGGAUGCAUAAUGGGCUCGCAUCGAAUGCACAUUCAUGGCGAGUCCGACAUGAACACACGAGACUUAAACUGCUAAUGAAUAUUUGUUUUGAUCAUACAACUUAAAGGGAAAUUGUUGAGCUAAUUAAAGUUUCUUCUUUUUUUUUUAUUACUUUCAAAUAGUGAGCUAAUUAAAGAUUGGUCUUUUGUGAUGAUUUAGAGCAAAGGGCCAUCUUGGCCAGUAUGGACAGGAAGAAGAGAUGGAAGAGUGUCACUUGCAACUGAAACCAAGCAACUGCCAUCACCCAAUGCAAAUAUUACUCGGCUGAUCUCAAACUUUGCAGCAAAGGGCUUGAGUGUCAAGGACCUAGCAGUCCUAUCAGGUAUCCUCCUUUUACUUGCAUCUUAUGUAAUAAUACAUACUGAAGGGCUUCUUCUUUUCACUUCUUUUUUUUUUUUAUAAAUGGUCAUAGUAAAUUUAUAUUUGCAUAGAUAACUCCCUCCUUACCACGUGAGCGCCUAGAUGGCGUUAUUUAAAUAUUUUUUAUCUUUUAUUAUUUCUAAGUUAAAAAAAAAAGACUAAAGUGUGAAUAUGAAUACGGUGAUUCAAUUGCUAUAUUCAACUUAAAAUUACCAUUGUGGCACUCGCAUGGUAAAAAAAGAGCUAUAUAUGCAAAUAUAAAUUUACUAUGACCAUUUAUAAAAAAAAAAUUGAAAGGGCUAAAUGUAAAAAAAGUCCAAUAUUAAAUUAUUGAUACUAUAUAUGUUUCGUGAAGGGAAAAUUUCUGGAAGUUAGAAACAAAUUGAGCCUUUUGUGCCAAUCUUUAACAUCUUUGUGCUAACAUCAACUCAACUCUCUCUCUCUCUCUCUCUCUCUCUCUCCUCCAUUGAUUUUUACCUCUUUCAAUUAUCAAAUAAAUAAUAUCAAAAAACUGUAAUAUUUAUUUUUUAAAUACUUUAAAUAAUUUAGAUCAUGUCUAUUAAAAUUAAUAUGGAUUUGAAAAUUUCAUCAUCUAAAAUAACCUAAGAGCAUAAAGGCCUCAAUCCGUACUUUUAAAAGCACUCCAGUUGAACUCUCUCUCUCUCUCUCUCUAUAUAUAUAUGUACUAUAUAAGAUAGAGAGAGAGAGAAGAGAGAGUAGAGAGAGGAGAAGAGAGAAUGAUCUUCUUAUACUUUUAAAACAUCAAAGUCAUUGGUAUUUAUAGAUUUUUAGUUUUGAUGAGAUUUAUAAAAUUAGGAAUGAUAGUGCGACCCCUACUAGGGUUGAGUGAGUAGUUGAUGAAAGUAUAAUUAAUAGGAUGGAAUGGUUAAAAGAAUAGAUUGUAAGGUGAAAAAUGUUAUAAGUACUUAGGUAUUGAAUACUUUUAAAAUGUAUAGCCGGACUCCUCUCUCUCCUCUCUCUUCUCGUGCUCUCUCUCUCUCUCUCUCUCCUCUCGUAACUAUAUAAUAUAUUAAGCUAUAUAUACAAUACUCCUAAGUAUAUAUAUUAAAAAAAACCUAUAUCAUGUUAAAGCUUAUACAAUGAAUCCGAUGCAGCAUAUGGCUACCUUACCUUCCGACACAUCUAUAUACCUUACCAUCCCUUCCAAAUUGAUUUUCUCUCACCUGCAAUAUCCAUCUUUAUAUAUAUAGUAUAUACUUAUUAUAUAUAACGCCCCCGAUAUGUCCCCACAUCGGAUGAGAUUACUUAAUUCCGAUCAGGUAUUAUUGAGGCUACCUACGCUACCGUAAUAAUCAACUGCGCUUAAGUAUCUUUGGGGCCCGCGUGUUUGGCCCAACCGAGUUAUUGUUGCUACGGGUCGAUCCGUGCAAUAUAAUAUAUAUAUAUAUAUAUAUAUAUAUAUAGUGCGGCUAGCAUGCUUAUGGAAGCACGGAGGGGCUCCGUGCUUCACUUUGUUUUCGAUGUUCGGACUUUCGAAUCGACGAUCGGCUCUGUUAGACUUGAUCUAGAGUAUUUGAAGUGUCUAGAAAAUAAAUUUUGUGAUUUUUGAUAUCAUUUGCCUAGUGAUCGAAGUGGCUCAAAUCAACAAGCUGAAAAUAAAAAUCUUACAAAAUAUGAUGAUAUGACAUUUAAAAUUUUAGAUCAAAGUUAUUGAUCUUGUUUUAUAUGCGUAUAAAGAAUUUUCUAUCAAAAUUUCAUGUGAUUUGGAUAUUUCUACACCGUUAAACUUGCAACGCUGCACCACGGCCUGUUAAAAUUAUUGAUUUUGUUCGAUCACUCGGCAAAUGAUAUCGAAAAUCGCAAAAUUUAUUUUCUAGGUACUUCAAAUACUCUAGAUCAACUUCUAACGGAGCCGAUCGUCGAUUCAGAAAGCGCCGAACAUCGAAACGACCUUGGAAGUACGGAGGUCUCGUGGCUUCCCAUAAGCCAUACCAGCCACAACUUCUCUCCUCUCUCUCGCUCUCCUCUCUCUCUCUUCUCUCUCUCUCUCUCUCUCUCUCUAUAUAUAUAUAUAUAUCAACUAUUCCUAAUGCAAGUACAUGGUUUGUAUUCAAGGUUCUAAGUUUAAAAUUUAGUUGCUUCAUAUUUUCAGCUAAGUUUAUUUUUUAAAAAAAAUUUGAAUGAAACAUAUUAUAUCAUACUACGUUUUUAAAAAAAAUGAUCCCCCUGUAUAUAUGUCUACCUCACUCUCUCGCUAUCUCUUCAAAUCCCUCUCUUACACUUUCGUAAAUAUCAAGCUCAUUUGAAUUAUCUUACGUGCAUUGUUUUUAUCAUUGUUUUCUGAUAUUUGCCCAUUAAUGCGAUUAAAGCUAGUUAUUGUCCUUUAAUUAAAGCAAAUUAAGCAUUGGUGAUUACUUAUAUACACCUCCUAACGGAUUGAAUUCGAAAACUUACAAAUCAUAAUUUGAGUGAAACAACUACGUAUAACAUUUCUAACAAGAAUUAAAAGAAUUAAUAGAGAAGUAAUUAGAUUUCACAAGAAGAAGUUAAUCUUUUUAUAGUUUCUGCUGUAUCGUGAACUAUCUAAUAUUAUGCUAUAUGUUACGAUAUAGGAUAUAUAUAGAUUGAGACACAUGUAUUUUUGCUUUCUAUUUAUUCUAUUUUACUGUGUCUGCUGUAAUAUGUAAAUAGUUUGUAAUAGAACUCGCUGGGGAUAAUUUUUUCUCUAAUUUCUACUCCAAAAAAACUUAUGUACAAAAUUGUGAUACCUAGGUGGGCACACUCUCGGUACGUCGCAUUGCUCGUCCUUCUCCGAACGCCUCUACAACUUCACGGGGAAGGACAACCUCCACGACGUCGACCCCGCGCUCGACAAAGAGUACGUGCCCAAGCUGAGGGCCCGCUGCAGCCUAACCGACAACACCACCAUCGUCGAGAUGGAUCCUGGUAGCUUCAGAACCUUCGACACCAGCUACUACAAGUAUGUCGCGAAGAGGAGAGGGCUGUUCCACUCCGACGCCUCCCUCCUCACGAACAGCGAGACGAAAGCGUAUGUUCAGCGACAUGCUGACGGACUUACCGCGGAGUUCUUCCAAGAUUUCGGCGACUCGAUGAUCAACAUGGGGAAUGUUGCAGUCCUGACAGGCAAUCAGGGUGAGAUCAGGAAGAAAUGCUAUGUGGUUAAUAAAAUUAACUAGCUAUAUAUAUGUAUAUAUAUAUAUAUAUAUAUAUAUAGCUAUAUAUAGGCUUGUAUGUUGAUUCUUUUUGAGUAGGUCAUGGUCAAUUAAUUAAAAAGGAUUUAUGUGUUGUUUAUCAACAUUUUUAAGCGUAAUUUGGGUUAUAAGUCAUCUUCACUUUUUGUAUUUGCUUGUAAUCUCUUUAUUUAUUGUUUCUUUGUUCCUUUAUUGUAAGCAUAUAUGCUGUAAAUGUAAUUAAUUCUUUUCUGAAUAAAUAAUCCUCAUUUAUUUGUGUGUGUAGUAAAUUCAAUGUCUUAAUCCAGGAUACUAGUUCAACAGGUGAAGAGUAGUGAUAGCAUUUGAAAAAAAAAAAAAAGGGUAGUUAAUACUAUAUAUAUAAUAUAUGAUGAUAAUUGCUAGGUUUUUUAACAUUGUGCUCUAACUAUACUUUUCAGGGUAAACUUUGCUUUUCUUCCAUUAUGGUUUAGUGCAUAUUCACUUUACCACCUAAAAUUUGAAAAGUUGAGUUUAACUAUUUUAUAAUUUUAUUUUUGUUUCCCAUCAAAGGUUAAACAAGGCAGAUACUUUUUGUAAGUCCAAGAUAAUAAAUAUCGUAUUUUUUUAUCUUAUAAUAAUCUACACUUCACUACUACGGCUUGAAAAAUUAUUACUAUCUUGUUUUUUUUUUUUUUUUUUUUUUUUUUUUUUUUUUUUUUACUUUUUUUUUUGAGAGAAAGGUAGCAUUCUACCCUCUUCGUUUAUUUCAUUUAGAAAUAAACUUGAUUGGAAAUGUGAAUCAACUAAGAUUCGAACUUAGAUCUCGAGUAUCAACCACCAAGCCUUUUUGCCAUUUGCGCUAGGGACGGUCGGUAUUAUUACUAUCUUGUUAAACAAUAGGUUCAUAGAGUUAAAUAAAAAUAAAAUUAUAAAAUAAUUAAAAAUAAAAUUUGGACCGCAGAAUGACAAAGAGAUAUGCUAAAUCAUAGGAGGGGCAAAUUGAAGUUUACGCUUUUUUUCUAAAAUAUAAUUCCAAAUUAAAAAUUGCUCGACUAAGACCAUAAAUGUGCUAGAAAUUAUCGUAAACUAAACAGUCCAGGUAUUUGUGUUUAGUAGUUUGGUUAGUUUAGAACCUCAAAAGUGUUAUACGAUUUAAUAGCUAGUUACAAUGAAGCACCACAUUUAUUUCCUUUAAAAGGAUACACCAACUUUUUCUUACAACCUCAAAUUUCUAUAAACUCAAAAAGAAUUUAAAUUAUGUUAGAUGGUCAGAUUUGAAAUGUUAGUUAGAAUGAAGGGCAUUUAAGCUCUCCUCAUGCAAAUCCAUUUUCCUGCAAGGGCCUCUCUACAAAAUUUUGCUUGCAAUUCACUAUUGUAGCUAAAAACUUUAGGAUUGGGAGAAUUAUAUUCUCAUCUCUUUUAAGGGGCCUGUUGAUGCCAAAAUUGAAAUUAACAUGCCGACCUGAUCCGCAUAUGAGCUAAUAAGGACACGUGGUACACCAGGAGUUGGCAAUAAGGCGCCUGAAGGUUUUAGGUGGGAACGGUUGAGAAGUGGGCAUAACUUCCACGAUGGAGCAUAACUUCCAUAAAAAGUGGGCGUAACUUCCACGAUCAUGAUUACAAUCACUCCCCCCGCUACUUUCAACCAACCAAUAAUGUGGGCUUAAAGAUAUUAUAAAUAGUAACUUUGAAGCCUGCAAUAGGGGUCUUUCUCUACUCUGAACGAGAAGACCACCGCAUUUUCAUAUCUUUCAUUUCCUGCAUUUACUGCUUUCCUAGGAGUAGUUUUUAAGUUAGAUCUCUAGAGUCUAUAUGCCCCACGGGCACACUCUGUUGUAAACUAUAUUUUUGGAGUCUGUCUGCCCCAUGGGCAUCACUCCAACCCUAGAGUCUGUCUGCCCCACGGGCAUCACUCUGUUGUAAAAUACAUAUUUGCAGAGUCUGUAUGCCCUUCGGGCACACUCUGUUUUAUUAAUAUAUAUAUAUAUAUAUAUAUAUAUAUAUAUAUAUAUAUAUAUAUAAUAGAUUAGAGUAUAUGAUAGUAUAUAGUAUUUCGGCUCUUUCCAGCGAUCAGUUACUAUGUACUUCUUCCAUUCGCUCUUCUGGCCGACAAUUGAUGCCCUGCCAGCCGAAAAUCUUGGUGUUCUUAGCAUUCGGUCUUCGCCGAUUUCAAUUCUUACUUUGUCCAUACAUUCGCUCAUUCGAGCCCGAAUCGAAUUUUGCUGUACUGAGGUUUCGAAACCCUGCUGAUCCGAUCCCGUCGUCAGCCGAAUUCGCUUGAAUCAUUCGAAGGAGCGCAAAUUUCGAGGUGUCCAGUAUCCUAAGACCGUUUCCAUCCCGACACCCCCGAGGAGACUUUAACCAGGUCAAUGGUCAGAAACUUCGCUACUAACAUUGUAUUGGCUACGCUCGGUGACUCGAUUUUACGGUAAAUUCACAUUUUUAUUAGAAAAUUAUGGCUGAUAACUAAUGGCCAUGAAUUUGUGCAAUAGUUGUUCCUAGAAAUUCUGGGAAGUAGAUCAACCUAGUGCAUUCAGACAAUGCUUGUCGAAUGUUAAACAGUGUUGCUAGUUUGAAGGAAGAAACUAAAAUUGGACAGUCGGCUUAUCAAGAGCGCGAGUCUAAAUCUCAGGGCACUGGCGGCCAGAUGAAGUUAGUCCUGCAAACUUUAGAUCAAAAAUAUCCACAAAGUACGCUCGACUAUAACGCGGUGCUGCCGAUAUCACGGCCAUAAUGAAAAUAAUUGUUCGAAUCGACAAUUAAUUACCCCGAUAACGAGCAAUCCUUAUUGGGGCGCAAAAGGGCCCCUAAAUGUGCCGGUGCAACAAAAAUCUCCGUCACGCCGCCGGCGUCUCCACAGGUGCAACCGGCAAAUGUCACCUUUUCCAGACUGCUUAUAGCCGCGAAUAUCAACACCCGCGCCCGCAGUCUGAGAUUGCAUCAGGUUUACCUCCUUUACCAGUUUAUCAGUCUCAAAAUGUGGGAAUUAGAGCUGGGGGGCAGGCUCUGAAUAUGCAAGGAGUUAACCCUGUUAUACCGAAUUUCGGUCUACCGCAAGGACCGAAUGUAGUACAAACACAGAUUCCUUUGCAGGGGAACAAUAAUGAAAUAUACGCACAAAUUGAAGAAACCAUCCAAAAUACUUUCGGAAUUGGCGCAAGGCCGGCAGUGCGCCUGUAUUUCGUUCCCCUUAUCCCGCGAGCAUAGACGUUGAGCAUUUAUACCCAGCAAACUGGAAAAUGCCGAAGUUUGAUAAAUUUUCUGAGGAUGAGACCGAAAACACGGUCGAACAUGUGGCACGGUUCACGGCACAGUGCAGGGAAGCCGCGACAGAUCCAUUUUUAAAAUUAAGAUUGUUUAACACGUCGUUAACUAAAACGGCAUUUACUUGGUAUACAAGUUUAUCAGCCAAUUCCGUCCAAGAUUGGGACGAAUUAUAAAGAAAAUUUCAUGAGCGAUUCUAUAGGUCGGAGCCACAAUUAUCGGUCGCCGACUUGACUUUAUACCGACAAAUGUCGGGUGAAACGGUCAAAGAGUAUUUGAACCGUUUCAAAAUAACCAAAACCCGGUGCUUUAUGAGAAUGCCGGAAUCAGAGUUCGCCAAAAUGGCGUUAAAUGGUCUGCAUUUUAAGAUAAAAGACCAUUUUGAAGAUAACUAUUUUUUUAACCUAUUUGAUCUAGAUGUUCGAGUUGCCCAAUAUGAGCAAUUUCGAAAGAAAAGUGAGGACAAUCGGCUGCAAUGGAGCCGAUAUAAAAUGCAAAGCAAAGUCAAGGAGAAAUCCUUGAUAGAAGAACAUUCGGUUCAAGAAAAGCCAAACCAAUCAAGUAAAAGUAAAGAAUCGGCUGAUGAAGCCGAGGUAUAUACGGCUGGGACGAUAAAGAGCCGUUUUCUUUAAGCCGACCAAGGCCAGCGAAACAAAAGCUUGAGUCUCGGCUGUGUCAUUUGAGCAGUCGAUUUGGCACCAAUAGUCAUCCGAAUGUUCAUUCGAAAGACUAUUGGGUGGGCAUUGUUGAUGCCAAAAUUGAAAUUAACAUGCCGACCUGAUCCACAAAUAAGCCAAUAAGGACACGUGGAACACCAGGAGUCGGCAAUAAGGCGCCUGAAGGUUUUAGACGGGAACGGUUGAGAAGUGGGCAUAACUUCCACGAUGGAGCAUAACUUCCAUGAAGAGUGGGCGUAACUUCCACGAUCAUGGUUACAACCACUUCCCCCGCUACUUUCAACCAACUAAUAAUGUGGGCUUAAAGAUAUUAUAAAUAGUAACUUUGAAGCCUGCAAUAGGGGUCUUUCUCUCUCCUGAACGAGAAGGCCACCGUAUUUUCAUAUCUUUCAUUUUCUGUAUUUACUGCUUUCCUAUGAGUAGUUUGUAAGUUAGAUCUCUAGAGUCUGUAUGCCCCACGGGUACACUCUGUUGUAAACUAUAUUUUUGGAGUCUGUCUGCCCCACGGGCAUCACUCCAACCCUGGAGUCUGUCUGCCCCACGGGCAUCAAUCUGUUGUAAAUUAUAUAUUUGCAGAGUAUGUAUGCCCUUCGGGCACACUCUGUUUUAUUAAUAUAUAUAUAUAUGUAUUCGGCUCUUUCAGCCGACCAGUUACUGUGUACUUCUUUCAUUUGGCUCUUCUGCCGACAUUGAUUCCUGCACAGCCGACAAAUUCUUGUGUUCUUAGUCAUUCGGCUCUUCGGCCGAUUUCAAUUCUUACUUGGUCCAUACAUUCGGCUCAUUCAGCCGAACCGAAUUUGCUGUAGAGGUUUCGAACCCGGCUGAUCCGAUCCCUCGUCAGCCGAAUCGCUUGAUCAAUCGAAUGGCGCAAACUUCGAGGGUCAGUAUCCGAAGCCGUUUCCAUCCCGACACGCUCCCCGAGGAGGACCUUUGAACAGGUCAAGGGUUUGAAAAUUCGGCUACUAACAAUUUUUGGCACGUGGGACUCGAUUUUAAGUAAAUUCACAUUUUUAUUGAAAUUAUGGCUGAUGAUAAUGCCAUGAAUUUGCGCAAUAGGGUUGUUCCUAGAAAUUCUGGGAGUGAUCAACCUAGUGAUUCAGACAAUGCUGUCGAAUGUCAAGCAGUUUUGCCAGUUGAAGGAGAAACUAAUGGACAGUCGGCUUAUCAAGAGCCGAGUCUAACUCAGGCACUCGGCCAGAUGAGUCGAGUCCUGCAAACUUAGAUCAAAAUAUCCAUCAAAGUACCGCUCGACUAGACGCGGUGCUGGCCGCUAUUACGGCCUAUAAUGAAAAUAUUGUUCGAAUCAGACAAUUAUUUACCCGAAACGAGCAACCUUAUGGGGGGCAACAAGGGCCCCUAAAUGUGCCGGUGCAACAAAAUCCCGUCACGCCGGCGGUCUCACAGGUGCAACCGCAAACGUCACCUUUCCAGACUGCUUAUAGGCCGGCGAAUAUCAACACCGGCCCGCAGUCGAAGAUUGCAUCAGGUUUACCUCCUUUACCAGUUUAUCAGUCUCAAAAUGUAGGGAUUAGAGCUGGGGGGCAGGCUCUGAAUAUGCAAGGAGUUAACCCUGUUAUACCGAAUUUCAGUCUACCGCAAGGACCGAAUGUAGUACAAGCACAGAUUCCUUUGCAGGGGAACAAUAAUGAAAUAUACGCACAAAUUGAAGAAACCAUCCAAAAUACUUUCGGAAUUGGCGGAAGGCCGGCAGUGCGGCCUGUAUUUCGUUCCCCUUAUCCCGCGAGCAUAGACGUUGAGCAUUUAUACCCAGCAAACUGAAAAAUACCGAAGUUUGAUAAAUUUUCUGAGGAUGAGACCGAAAACAUGGUCGAACAUGUGGCACGGUUCACGGCACAGUGCAGGGAAGCCGCGACAGAUCCAUUUUUAAAAUUAAGAUUGUUUAACACGUCGUUAACUAAAACGGCGUUUACUUGGUAUACAAGUUUAUCAGCCAAUUCCGUCCAAGAUUGGGACGAAUUAGAAAGAAAAUUUCAUGAGCGAUUCUAUAGGUCGGAGCCACAAUUAUCGAUCGCCGACUUGGCUUUAUACCGACAAAUGUCGGGUGAAACAGUCAAAGAAUAUUUGAACCGUUUCAAAAUAGCCAAAACCCGGUGCUUUAUGAGAAUGCCGGAAUCAGAGUUCGCCAAAAUGGCGUUAAAUGGUCUGCAUUUUAAGAUAAAAGACCAUUUUGAAGAUAAGUAUUUUUCUAACCUAUUUGAUCUAGGUGUUCGAGUUGCCCAAUAUGAGCAAUUUCNNNNNNNNNNNUAGAAGUCUUAUACCGAUGGUUCGAUCCUUAGUUUCAACGGUUUUUUUUAAUUGUGUAUCCCUGGCAAAAGUUCCAAGGAAUAUAACUCCUUAUGAAGUUAUGAGGUAUAUUUAGAACUGAUAAAUAAAAAGAAUUAUCUACCAAAUCUAAAUUAUACUAAGAUCUCCACUGAACGAUAACUUCGUAUCCAUGGUAAGUGGUCCAUGGGUAAAUUUCCCAUAAAAUCAGAAACAUUUUAUCAAACCAGGUGUUUUGGCCAAAAUAGGUUGAUUCUUAUAACAUUGGGAGAAUUUAUGGAUGUUGUUAUUAACUUAAAAUUUAAUGUUGGAAAAAAAAAAAAAAACACACACACACACACAAAAGCCGCUUUACAACUUUACCAAGCUUGAACUCGGUUAUCCGUUCUCUCAAGAAAGGGAUGCGGAUUAUCCAACUUGUACCGGUCGGGUCGGGUCAGAUCGGGUCGAAAACCCAAUAUGUACUGAACUCAAUGAACGGAUUGCCCGUAAAAUGAUGGUCUUAGCUCAUAAAUUAAUUCACUUAUUCAGCUCACUUUAAUAAGAGUUUUUCAGAUUAGCACUCAGAAAUGUAUCAUCUGCGGAACCCUAGUUGCUAAAAUGUUAAAUGCCAAGUAGAGAAACUAAAUUGCGACUUUAGAAUAGUACAGGGACUAUCCAUGCAUUCUACCAUAUUCCUUUCUUCCUCCUAACUUCUACAUAACAACCAAACAAAAAAAAGUAAAAAAAAAAAAAAGUGCCUUUUCUCUUCUAUCUAAUAAUUAAAUUGUAUAAUAAUACUAUAAUAAUAGCAAUAUUUGCAAAACAAUGGAAAAAGUUUUAAAUUCUCUCCCGCCCCUUCUCGCACACUCCUCCCCCAUGCACAUCCCUAUUUAAACAUGCCCCAUCUCCCUCCACCGCACCAAAACAAACACAAUCGACCCCCACAACCCAACUCACACCAAUGUCGUCCUGGUUCCAAUCCCCGGCCCCGGCACCGGUCACCCACCAACCCCGAACCCGACCGCGAACCCGAACCCGUGUUUACGAGACCGUCACGAGCCGCGUGGCCCAGUGCGUGUGCUCCUUCCUCCUCACCCUCCUGCUCAUCGCCGGCGUCAUCGUCUUCGUCCUCUGGCUCAGCCUCCGCCCCCACCGCCCCCGCUUCCACCUCGACGCCUUCUCCGUCCCCGGCCUGGCCCAGCCGGGCGCUCCCCCGGCCUUCCAAUUCAACGUCACGGACCGCAACCCCAACCGCAAGAUUGGCAUCUACUACGACGCCAUGUUCGGCUCCGUUUACUACAACAACCGGCUGGUCGGGUCCGGCCCGGUCCUUUUCCCCUUCUACCAGCCGCCGAAGAACACGACGGUGGUUCAGGGGACGCUGAGACCGGCGGCGCCCGAGGGGGACCCGGUCUGGGCCGGGUUCAUGGCCGACGCAGCACACGGUUCAGUCCAGCUCCGGCUCCAGCUCAACUCGACCAUCCGGUUCAAGGUGGAGACGUGGGACACGCACCACCACCACCUCUACGUCGACUGCGACUUCGUCGCCGGGCCCGACGGGAACCUGCUUCCCCUCUACAAGGGGGAGAGCUGCCCCAUAUAUUUCUAAUUUUAAUAAACCGUGUGUGAAGUUUAUUCUUUUUAAAUUUUAAAUUUUUUCGUUACGUUUUUUUUUUUUUUUCUUUAAUAACUGUUUUUGCAUACAAACGAAUUGGUAUAUAUUCCGUUUCUUCUUUUUUUUUUCUUUUCUUUUCUUUUCUUUUUUUCUUUCCCACCUACCNUUUUGCAUACAAACGAAUUGGUAUAUAUUCCGUUUCUUCUUCUUUUUUUUCUUUUCUUUUCUUUUUUUCUUUCCCACCUCUCUCUCUCUCUCUCUCUCUCUCUCUCUCUCUUCUACUUUGUAAGUACAUUGGCAAGGUUGAUACUAGAUACGUGUUCCUUUAAUUUGAUUGCUUAUUUGUAAGAGUUGAUUUGUUUAUUAGAACACUUCGUUAUAGUAUUGCUGAUGUGCUAACAUCCAUAGCAUGGAUUUACUUCAAUUUACCAUCACAGAGGUGUAGAAUAUUUUUAUUUUAUCAUCUUAUAGUUCAAAAAAUUAUACUUUACUAUCUUAUGAUUUGGUUAUUUUCACUUCUCAACUAUAUGGCUCAAAAAGUUAUACUUAAAUAUUUUAUAAUUUUAGUUUUAUUUCACCACAAGAUCUAUCGUUAAACAAAAUACUAUCAUAUAAUUUGUGCAAAAAUUUACUUUAUUACCAUAUUUGGCAGCAGAUUUUUUCGACGAAAAAGAUAAAGAUAAGAACAACUUUUUAAAUCACAAGAUGGCAAAAUAAAAAUACCCUAAAUGGUAGAAAUUGAAGUUUGUCAAAAAAAAAUUUAUUAAUUCAUGAGCUCAAUGUUAGAAUGUAAUAUGAGCUUACCCACACAAAGAAAACACCCGAACAAUACUGUGGAGGACCCAUCUAAUACCCUUAACAACAUAAGGAUAAUAUAGUGGAGGGGCCAAAAGUACUCUCCUCGCUUCUUUUAACUAGAGGUUUACAUCAACAGCAUGAUAAUAUUUUUUGAAAAAAAAAAAGGAAAAAAAGCUAUUUGUACACUGGAUUUAGGGAUAUACACUUUACACCCUCAAGCACAUAGGAGUGCAAAGAGAGCACUACUCAGAAGUUGAUAGGGGUGGAAACGAGCCGAGCUCGAGCGAGCUUAUAUCAGCUCAAAUUCGGCUUGAAAUUAAUUUCGAGCCUAAAUCUAGGCUCAAGCUCGGCUUGAAAUUAAUUCGAGCCGAGCUCGAGCGAGCCUAAUUUCGAGUCGAGCCAAGCUCGAGCUCUAAACGAGCCGAUUGAAAUUCUCGAUAUUAUAUAAUCAAUAGUUUAAUUUUUAUAGAACAUUAUCUAUAAUUUGAUGCAAUAUGUCCAAUAGUUCAAAAUACAAAAUAAUUGCAAGAAAUGUGAGCUAUGGUGACUGCCUGACUGGGUGAGGGUCUGAAAGAGAGACUGCCUGACUGGGUGAGAGUCUGAGAGAGAGAGAGAGAGAGAGAGAGAGAGAGAGAGGGGGUGGAUUAGGGAUUUGGAAAUUUGAAUGUUAUCAUAUUUUAGGGUUAUGUGCAACAGUAAAAGUCUGAAAGAGAGAAUGUAUUAUGUAAAUUUAGAGUUGGGCUCAAUUGCACGGUUGUACUUGUUGGNNNNNNNUAUAUAUAUAUAUAUAUAUAUAUUUUCGAGCUUUUCGAGCCUAAUUCGAACGAGCCAAGUAAUACUCAAGCUCGACUUGAAAUGAAUUUCGAGCCUUUUAUUUUGUUCAAGCUCGGUUCAUUUAAUUUCGAGUCGAGCUCGAGCGAGCCGAAUAUCGAGCCGAACACGAGUCGAACGCGAACCGGCUCGCUCGUUUGCCAGCCCUAGAAGUUGAUGACCAAAAAGGAGAAAAUUACACUUUGGUCCUAACUAAGAGGCUCGCCAUACUUAAUUCCUCAAAUUUUAAUACAUUAUAAUUUGAGUCCGGCUACUAUGCUAUUAAUAGUACGAAGCACUUGGUGCUACCAAGUUUUCCGCCAUUAGAUCUACCCUUUUGAUCAUUUUCAUCCGUUAAAUCAUACUAUUCAACCAACCACCCACUCAACCCUAGAGGACCCACAUCAUCCUAACUGCACAUCUCUUAAUCCAAUGGCCAAAAACCUGAUAGCACCAAUGACUUUGUGCUAUUAAUAUAUAGUAUAUUUGCCUAGUUCUUAUAAUUUUCAGAUCAAUUUUCUAAAUUAUUACAAUCAAAUCUCACAACUCUUUUUUUUUUUAACUAUAUGAUGAAAAAUUACUAGUAUAGAAGUAAUGUAGCAUUUUAAUUAUUUUUGUAUCAUUAAUUGCUUCUAUAUUAUUAAUUCAUCAAUAUUUUGUCAACGAAAAAGAAUUCUAAGGCUUGAGUGUAACAAUUCAGAAAGUUUGAACUAGAAAUUACAACAAAUUAAAUUUGAGGUCUGAAAGCGUUACGCUGGCCAUAGUUUUGAGGAUCAAAACUGUAGGAAGGGAAGUUGAGCAUGACAAACUCAACCAUACAACAAUGAAGAUUUAAGGUGUUAAAUCAUUCUAUACGAAGAUGCGCAACAGGAAAUCGGAGAGAGGGGGCGGACAACACGUGAGCCAUUGGGAGAGAGAAGGGAUCAAAGGGGCGCGAGAGAAAACGGCAGAGACGGGCGCUGAGAAAGCAACACGUCAGCUACAGUAAAACCCAAGUUUUAAUAUAUCUAUUGAUGAUUGAUACUGGCCGAUCAUACUAUUCUUCCUAUAAGAGUCUUAGGUAAAACCAUGUAAGGACCAUAGUCUACAUCUAUUUGAGAUCUAAAGAUAGUUACUACAGGAAAACAAUUGGAGCUGAGGAUGACAAAUACAAGGUUUACACACUUGCUAAGAAUUCUUUAUUGCAGGAUAUUCACUCCGUGAGAUCCAAUGUUAUCUAUUUUAAAUGUUCCUACAACAAGUUGAAUUUACAACAAGAAUAUAUCUCGAAUAGGAAUUAGUGUGACAGUAAUGCUUAAACAACUAGUUUAGUCAUGCAUACCACAAACAUCAUUUCCUUCCCCAGAAAUAAAGCCCGGAGGCAAUUGCUGAUCCAGUCACUGCAAGUCCUAAAGAUGUUAGGAUUUUUGCCCUAGAGAUACCUGAACUUCUAGUAGGAAUUUCAAGCAGAUCCUUCACCUGCAGCAAGGGGCAAGAACUAAAGAACAUCACGCAAGCAUGACGGAAAAUUAAACAAGAGAAAACACUUUGACCUCAUUUGGCGUCGUUGCGCUUCUUUUUCUAUCUUUUUAAACACGAUUCUAUAUAAUUGUACCAACAUAUAUACCCUCUUGUGUUGUCAUGAUUUGUUAGCAUGCACUCCAGCCAAGUGAUGGAUGAAUAUAUAUUUAAAUAAAUUUUGUAAGUAAAAACAAGUUCCAAGUAUUUGUUUUUGUGAAACAAACACCUUCGAUGUAAGGAUUGCAUGCAAUCCACCAUCCCCUUCUACACUAUAUCCAGUAGAAAUUCUUUUUUUAAAAAAAAAAAAAGUAAAGAAAAACAACAAUACCAAACAAGGCCUUUAAUUUUUGCUUUUUCUUUUUUGUUUCCCAAAAAAACACAUAAUUCGCAAUUAUUUGAUGCACAUGAUAAAAUGACUAGCAAAGGUUUUCCGAAAUGGACAAACUAUUUUAUUUUACAAUUUCACAAUCGAUUUUAAUAGAAAGGGGAAUCAGUAGAGCUAUGCAGGCUGCUUCAUGGACUCUUUGGAAAAACUGAUAUGAUAAGAUCAAAAUGUCAAUUUGCCUCCACAACAUCUAAAGGUAAUUAAGGUAUGAGAGUAAAUUUUUAUGUGGGUAAGGUAGAAUUACACUAGCUAUGAUGACAUAACUUUUAGUACUACGUAACUUCAGAUUUUUUAUGCUUCCACAAGAAAAAAUUAGGACAAACUAAAUAUAUUGUUGAGAGCACACUUAUUAAAGAUAUCAAAUUUCGCAUUUUAGAAAAUAAAAAUUGAGGAAUUGCAAAGCAGCAAAUAGUUCAGAUCUUUGGAUUCACUAGAAAAUUUAUCUACACCUAAUAAUAUGCAAUUAUUAUUCACAAAAAAAACAAAAAGUUUGCAAAACGUUAACAAACCUUGAUAGGCUGUUUCCAGUAUUUCUUUAUUCCUGGUAAAUGCCCUUUUCCAACAACAGCAACAACUGAAGAAUGUUCGCUAGCAACCUUCAGUAACUUAGACGACAUGUACCUACAUGUUCAAUAGAAUUAGAAAAGGUCGCUGCACACAUCUAGAUUAUUGUUAGAAACCUUUUUAGUAACUAUCCCUAUGCCUCAAGACAAUUCCUACUUUUAUCCAUAUAAAUUCCAAAGAGAUCCAUCAAAACAACUUUUCUUUUGCUCACUAAUGGGACUGUUGAAAGUAGAAUAGUUGUGUCUGUUCAUUCACAUAUUUAGCCUUGCUUUCUAUGACUUGCUGUCAACUUAGGGCCCGCUUGGACGGUGGGACAAUUAUUCAACGAUAACUCGAGUAUGGGAACUUUCUUUUACGCUUUCAACCUAGGAGUUAAAUUCAUCAUCACCAUCAUCAUUUUCACAACAAUAUAUUCAGCCUACAAGGUGAUAUAUUAUAUCCCAGAAAAAGACUUGAAAGCCAUAUAAACUAAGUGCUUAGACAUAUUUCAUACUCACCAUCAACAAAUGAGAAUAGGCUCAAGUAAACAAAAGGGACAUGCUGAGCAAGAUGGCCGUGCACCCAAACAAACCCUAGUCUUGAAGAUUCUUUCUUUUAAAUUCAAGCAUUCAGAAUAAAUUAAUGUGAAGAAAAAAAACUUUUUCAUGUUAAUUGGCUUAGCAUGCAAAAUUAAAAUCAAAGGUAAGUAAAGCUGAACUAGCAGUUAAAGUUAGCAACAAGAGGCAAUAGCCUCUAAUCAUGCAGCCCAAAAUAUUUAGGUCAGCAACAGUACUACGCUGGUCCUUGCACGCUCAAGCGUAGAGGCAAUUUCCCACUUUUUUUCGAAAAGAGGCAAUUCAGGUGCAGGAAACUCUUCCCAGUUAAAACAGGUUUAUGCAUAUUCUUAUUUCUAAUACACAUCCAUAUGGUACUUUGGAGCCACAAGAGCAAAUACAUUGUUGCAAAACCUUCGUGUUUGUACUUUGUAACUGAGAUACAUUCCGAUGGCCUAACAUGAUAGUUAUUCCUGAGUAUGCCUAAUAAAUACUAUAAGCAACUAGACCAUAGGGUCCUUUGACCAUGCCAUAUGUCAUAACAGCCAGUAAAACUAAACAAAAGCUUAUCCUAACAACCAAUUCAUUUAGUAAAUAGGAAGACAGAAUAAGAUUGACCAGACUCGACUUGAUCUAACCAUCCUAACUGACUGAGCCGCCAAUAUUUAAAAGCCCCAAACUUAUUCUUACAUAAUAGUUAAAGUAGACCUUGAAUAAGUCUGCCUAUUCCCAGCUAUGAACAAGAGCAGAACUAAUAUCAGGCGAAGAAAAUCUGGUUUGCAAGUGCAUAGAGUUGAUCCAAAUAACUUUUCAACAAUUUGUAUAAAGAGCACAGACAUUUUGAUUUAACUCGAUAAUUAAUAUCAAAUCUAUUAUCUCUUGCAUCAUCAAGCAUUUCAAGUAACAAAAGGCAAAUGCAAUGGAUACAACAAAUAAGUCAUUUAUUCAGCCAUGAUUGAGAAAGUUUGGAAGUGAAAAAGAGGUAUUAGAAUUCACUAACAUGUCACGCUCAUGAAGAAGUGUUUCCAUCAAAGUCGGAAAUUCCUUGCUCAUCUCUUGAAUCACAAUAGUAAGAAUGUCAACAUCAUCCAUUUCCUUCAACUGAAAUACAUGAAUCCUAAUUAAAUGCUCGUAAUUAUUCAAAAGUUUAAAGAGUCUACUUAUAUAUGAAUUCAACACUCGAGCCAUUAUCAGGAAUUUGCUAGCAAGAACACCAUGAAAUAAUUCAAAAUCAUUUGCAACAGGGAAGAAUAAAUAGAAAAAUUCACAAUUAAACAGUAGGGUUGAAUUUGAGUUGUUUUUAUCAUACAGCAGUGAAACCUCUAUCCACCAUCUAGAGUGCUCAAGAACAUCACACUGGCAACUACAGAGUUGCACAAUUCUUCAUGGAACCAAUAUAUUAAUUCUAGAAGCUACUGAAAUUUCUUGGUAAAUAUUGAAGACAAGAAUGUAGAAUAUAGCAAGUGUAAAAGAUCCCAAAAUAUGGGCCAAUACAAAGGGAUCAGGAUGCUUCUUUUGUUUGGCAAUGAAGAUGAUGCAGCACAAAAAUUAGCCAUCCCUUACUCUUUUUUUUACCUUCAUUUAGAUUUUUUUUUUCACUAGCAAAUGUAGGGUUUAAUUUGAGAUGUUUAAUUGGUACUUAGUUCGUUUCUGGAGUGCCGUUCUGAACUCGUGAUGAUGCGCGAGAGAUUUGACAAGAUUUCUGUGUUCUUAGUAAUUAAAGGACCACCUAUUUCCUAUUAAACUUCUAGUUGAACAAUACUUUGAGGGUUCAAUUAAUAUAUCUUUUUGUUGGAUGGAAAUUGAUAUAUUAUUGAGCUUUUCCGCCGCUGGGAUUUCCCCUUCUUCUUGGAGUUAUCCUUGCCAUGGGUGAUUUUUUUUCCUCUCUUCUAGCCUUGGGAUUGGGCCAUUCUCUUCUUCUUGCUGUCCCUGGAUCGAACAUUUGCUCCUUUCUUCUCCUGCUGCCCUGGAUUGGGCUUCCUUCCCCUUCACACCUUCCUCUUGCUGCCGUUACCCUGCUGCUGUCCCUGCAGCUGUUAUUCUCAAUUUCAACUGCUGUUAGAGGCCAGUUGAAGAUCUUCUCGGUUGGAAUUGAUCCAGACAGAACCUUUUUCCAUCGCAACUUCAGUAUUAUUAAUGCUCUGUAGUUUUGUGACAAUAAAAGAAGUCGUGAGGGCUCCUAGCAUAUGCAUAGGUUUUUUCUUCCUAUUUUUCCUUCAAUUUGUAUCAGCUUUAUGUCAGAACAUUUGAUAUUAUAUCAAUGACAUAAUGGAGCUAUUAUAUUUCCAACUGCAUCAGAAGAUAUCACAUUUAAAAGCCAAAGCAGUGAAAACUUCUUGCAUCAUAACUUGGCAAUUGCUGCAAUGAAGCCUCUCUUAUUACUUUAUUUUCUGGAAGACCCUCAUCCGAUCUACUGUUUUUACCAUUCCACUAGUUUAGUCCCUUUCUUGAAACUUGGCAUCAUUUUCCAGCCAUCAUGCAAUGUAAACAAUUUGAAGUCUUGGAUAGUAGUAACAGAGCCAGAUAGAAGAUACGACCCAAAACCUUACAAUGGGCACUCAUAGCCGACAUGCAACCACCCUUUUCAACAUAUUUUGCCUUCAUGGAGGGGGGGAGGAAAAAAAGAAUGUAAGGCAACAUAUAUAAGGCCUAAAGGUUCCAGAUAUCCAAGUAGAAAUAUUCAGCAUCUUUAAUAGCAAUUCAAAUACCAUCUUCUAAAAGUAUAGAACAGACGUAUAGUCCCUGAAACUAUUCCAAAACAGAGACUUGGUCCCUGUAUUUAAACAAUUUAGUACUUGAACUUUCAACUACUUUGUUUUCUAGUCCCUGACCGUUAAAUGAGAUAAAUCAAACUUUUCCUAGAAAACGAUCUUCUUAAUUUUAUUUGUACUAAACUAAUAAAAAUAAGCCAUUCUAAUGAGAAGGGAUAAAAUGAUUGAGUCACCCCCCAAAAAAAAUGACAGUUAGGAACAAAGUGUGGAAGUUUGGGAAUUGAAAUGUUUAAAUGAAAAGAUAGUGACUAAGACACAAUAUCAGGGUACUUGCCCUAUCCAAACAUAUUACCCUUUUUAAAACCGCCAUCUUCAAACAAUGUACUAUCAAAGUAAAGCCAUAAUCUAGUAGUUGCAUAGAUUAACAGCUAUUACUUCCAAGAAUACAAGAUGCUGAUUGCCAAGCCACCGAAGAGCAUGAUAGAAAGCAAGCCAUCCAAAAAGAAUGGUUCAGGGUACAAGAAGAAAAGAAUUUAAAAAAAAAAAAGUUAAAAGCAAUUACAAGCAGAGCUUACCAUUCUAGUGAGAUCUUCAGGGCUUGGCAAGAAGAUUGUUUGAAACAGAAUGUAGUAUAGAAAUUUCAGCCUAUGCCACAACGUCAUACUCCCCCAUGUUCUCCUCAGGGUGAUCUGUUAGACGAGGACCAUUUCACAAAAUGUUGAUAGCUUACAGAAAGAUAACAAGCAAUCACAACACAAAAUAUUACCAAAUAUCAGUCCGUAAGAAGAGGUAAAAACCAGUACUAUAACACCAAACUAAGAUUAUUAUCAAAAUAACAUACACCAACAUGAUCAUUCAAGAUACAAAACAAGCCACUAGAAUAAUGAUACUGGCAUCUUCCAUAAAGUUAGUUAGCCGGCUACAUAUGUUAGAACUCUAAGCAGGAAGUUGUUGAUAUCUCGUAGUUGGAUGACUGCAUCUUUAAAUUAGGCUGAUGAGACUACGGAAUAGAUUCAAGUAACAAGAUAGGUAAUUAGAUUUAAUUAACUUGAUAUUUUUUGCUAGCUAAUGAACCUUGAAAGUUGAAACUUUGAAACCCAAUUUGAACACAACCGAAGGAAAAUUAAAACCAGUUUGGCAAGCAAAAUAGCCAGUCUUGACUUUUUCCAAGCUCAAUGCAUUUUCUUGCAACGGGCAACUAUUAAUCCUACUUACGGAAGAAAUUAUAGGCCCUUUCGCAAAUUUUUAUUAUACACGAGUCUAAACAGGACAUUUGAAGUUAUGAAUGUGAAGGGUCCCUUCUCUCUUCGGGGUUGUAUUUCAUUACGAUAGUUUUUUUUUUUAUUAGGAUACAUUUGAAGUUAUGAAUGUGAAGGGUCCCUUCUCUCUUCGGGGUUGUAUUUCAUUACGAUAGUCUUUUUUUUUUAAUUAGGAUUCUAAGUCCUCAUUUUAUAGCAAGGAAACCAUAUUAGAAAGCCACACAUCUCUCCUCUUCCUUGUACUGUUCUCUGGCUAAAAGCCCAGUAUCUCUCACUCUCUCCUUUUAUCUCUUCUUGUUACUCUUAUUUCAUCGCCUACUGACAAACAAUUGCUGCCCCAAACUCCUACUAUGUUCUUACUUUUUGUUGGCUUCUUUUGGAAUCUUAUUUGGACUUUGAAGUUGUGAAAAUGACAAAAGUACAAAAUCCAGUAGGUGGCUUGCAGCGAAAAAAAAAGGCAAUUAAUACGGCUAAUCCUGUUCCAAUAUAUCAUACUUCCAUAUCCCAGUGUUGUCAUGCAGAAAUUCAUAUGUUUGCAUUUAAUUGGUGGUUUGUCAAGCUAUCAUAACAAGGAAACAGGAUGCCUUCUUAUAACCUCCGUAAGUGGCAGUUCCUUCGUCCUAUUUUUUUCACAUCAAUUACUAUAAAAAAAGCUGUAAUUCGAGAAAACCUUCACCGAUAAUCCUAUCAUAUGCCAUUUUUCCUGUUCUGCCGCUCAAAUCCUAUACGUGAAAAAGGGGCUCUCUAAACUAAUCUACUGACUGAAGAACUGAACAUUAUUCUUCUAGUUUGCUAUUACAAAAUUUCAUACUUUUUUAUUUGAAUCGGACAAUUUUGCAGCAAAAUCUUACAGAAUGUUUAAGUUUAACCGCAUAUAUUUUGGUUGACUAUAGGUGAAAAAUAGAACAACAAUGCAUAACAGGGAAAUUUUGAGCUUGCUGCUUGGUCACAGGCCUAUCAUAGUAAUAGCUUGCUGCUUGGUCACAGGCCUAUCAUAAUAAUAGCUUGCUGCUUGGUCACAGGCCUAUCAAGCACUGAAUUUUCAGUUUAGCAAAUCUUCGCUCUAACAUGAUUAUUAAAAAGUAGAUCCAGCAUUGCAAAAAGAGCAAUAAGAGAUCACAGCACCAAAAAAGGCUUCUUAGCAAGGUUUAAAGUGUCGUGGCACGAGAGCGUGCCGCUGUUUGCCUGGCACGGUACAGCAUCGGCACGCUUCCGUGCUGACACAUGAUACGCUUGCGUGCCGAUAGAUACGCAUGACCAAGGAUUCAAGUGCCAUGGCACAGGAGCAUGCCAAAAACUUACCUGCACCGUACGGCAUGGUGCAUACCGAACCGUGCCAAAGCGUGCCGUUCACAAAAAUAUGUGUGCCGACACAUAAUGGCAUAAAAUAUUUAUUUUCUUCAGCAACAAAUUACGCCAAUUAUUUAUAAUAUAUUUUUAUUAAAUAUUUUGAACUUUAUUGAGAAAAUUACUUACUAAUUUCAAGAAUAGAGCGUUUUGAGUUGUGUCAUCGGCACGGGAGUUGUAUCGUACCGAUAUCUUGCUGGCACGAUACGGCAUGGUGGAUAUGGCCCGUGCCGAUGGGUACUUUAAUCCUUGCGCAUGACCUCCUACUAGCACGCUUUGGUACGGACUUAUUUCAGUUUUUUUAGUUCCAGUAAACUCUUACAAUAUUAUUUUAAAAGAUUUAAUCAAAUAAUUAUGAAUAUUUGCUAUGCAUAACUUACUAUACUCAUCAAUUAAUAUACUUUGUAAGUUUUUUUUGCAUGUAAAGUACAACUAUAUCUGAUGCAAAAUAGAAAUUUUUAUAGGUAGAAUUUUUAAAAUGCAAAAACAUCUUUUGUUCUUUCUUUCUUUUGACUAUAUUACAGUCUUUUUUUUAUAAAAUACAAAAAAAAUAAUUUUUAAAAUUAUUUUAAAAAUUAUUUUAAAAAGUAUUUGAAAAAAUUAUUUUUUAAUUAAUAUAUUCAAAAAAUUAGUAGAUCUAUCAAAAAAAAUAAGCGAUAAAUUAUAUGACAAAUAAAUUAAAAGGUAAAAUUCAAAUAUCACCCCUGUGGUUUCACACAUUCUCACUUUAGUACCCUGUGGUUUAAAGUGUAUCAAAUUAGUGUCCUGUGGUUUCAUUUUUAUCUUUUCGUCAUCUUUUCCGUUAAUAUUUCGUUUAAUUAUAAACAAAAAACUUCAGAUACCCCACCUAGGUUUAUCGAAUAUUCACUUUAGUACCCAUUAAUUUUAACUUUGUCAUUGAUUUAACGAAAAAAAUUAGUGGAAUCGAUAAUAAAAAGAUAAAAAUGAAACCACACGGCACUAAAUUGAUACACUUUAAACCACAAGGUACUAAAGUGAGAAAGUGUGAAACCACAGAGGUGAUAUUUGAAGUUUUUCCUAAAUUAAAUAAAUUUAAGUAUCAAUUGAUUUAAGUUAACUUUUAAUUUUAUUAGUAUUUUCAAUCUUCUAACACAAAAAUAAAAUUAUAUAUUUGAUGUGCCUCAAAUUUUGUUUAUUGAGUUUGAUUUUGUUCCCCUAAUUCGGCAAAAGUUUCACGGUGCGACAAUUUUUGAUAAAAUAAUUUGUGAAAAAAAAUGGAUGUCUGUGGUAUGGAUCAAAUAUGUAAAUUAAAAAUUUGGUUGUAUAUUGAUAAACAAAAAAAUUAAAUUAUAAUAUUUUUGACUUGUCUAACAAGUAGAUUUUCCAUUUGCAAUGUCUUUGGGGAGUGUGGACUAUGGAAUACCCAGAAUGUUUCGGGUACCCCAAAAAACAAAACAAAAAGAAAAAAAAAAGAAAAAGUAAAAAAACAAAAGCAAAAAAAAAAGGAAAACAACAGUGCCGACACUGUGCCGCGGCACACUACGCCGUGCCUCUGUCUCGUGCGGCACGACGCCUUGUGCCGCGGCACGAAGGGGGUGUUCGAGACCCCCCGAUACCGUGCCCCCUACGUACCGCCCCGUGCCAUAUGGCACAGGGCGGCACUUUAAACCUUGCUUCUUAGUUAAGCAAUACACAUGCUAACAGUUCAAAUUCGAGUUGCAAUCAAAUUUGAGUCAUUACUUGCUCAAUUGAGUUGAUUUAAUUUUAUUUGAGCCUAUUAGGUUUCUCAUUGGGUUGAUCUUUUUUUAUUUUUAAAGGAUUUUCGAAAUCCAUAUUUUCAGGGUAAAUUCUAGAAUGUCCUAAUUGGACUCCAUUAAGGCUAAUUAGGACCUUUAGGAUGAUUUGGAUCCUAUUAGAUCUUGUUUCCUUAGUAGAGGCCCUAAUAUGGUUUAUUUGGUAUCAAAAGAGUUUUAUUAUGAUAGCAGAUAAGUUAGGAUAAGUAUUGAAGGACUCAAAUUAUCUUUUCGGGCCUGACAUGGUGCUUUUGUUUUACCAUAGUUUAAUCCUCUCUUUUUCUUGCCUUGGAUUAGGCGCCUCUACUUCUCUCUUUUAGCCUUGGCUUGGGCCUUCUCUUCUCUUGUUUUUCGCCGUCCCUAUCCUCUCCUCUCUUCUCCUACUGUCCUGGAUAGGGUUUUCUUCUCCUCUAUGCCUCCUCUUGUUUCCGCUUAUUCUCUGCUAUCCUAUGCUGCUGUUCUUUCAAAUCUAAAGGCUGAUUGACGGUGGUUUUGGGUUGGAAUUGAUCCUGGCUGAACCAUAACUCGUCACAACUUCAAAAUUAUUAUUAUUUAACAAUUUUCUAAUAACAAAAGAAGUCCUGAGCACUCCAAGCAAACCGAUAGGUUCUUUCAUUCCUCGAUUUAUUUAUUGUCUUUUCAGUUUUUAACAGUAUUGCAUAGGAACAUUUAAUUUACAGAGUACUAUUGCUUUCAAUUGAUUUAUUAUAUUUCUGACUGCAUCAAUUUUGGUAUCAGAGCCCCAAAGUGACCCAAUUAAACUUAGGGCUACUACAUCACAAAUACAACCAAAAACAAAAGUAUUUUUCUUACAGAAGAGAGCUUCAUACAUGGACAGGACGAUCGCCAAGAAUAACUUUGCCUCCAUAGCUCAUUGCUUCUUCAAAUGCCACUCGAAACUCGGAACCAGGUAAAACCUCAAGUGUACUGGCAACCUACAAUCAACCAAAUGAAUGUAUCAAAUUGCAAGGUAACAUGAAAGGUAUGAUUUGUUUAGCAAAAUAAGCACAUAAAAGCAUACCUUGGCAAGAAACCAGCUAUAAAGGAUUCCAAAUGUGUUCAUUUUCUUUUUCUUCCACAUGUCAAUCAUUUCACUCACAGUAGGAACCUGACAAAGAGAGAUUUAUCAAUUAAAGACAUACUAUACAUGAAGCAACUAGAAUUCAUAUCUCUAAAAUUUGAGCACCAACGAAAGAAAAUUUAGUGAAAUUACAACCAUCAUCGAUAAAUAAUACAGCCCUUCUCUUGAAUAUCUAAAGAGAAGAUUCUUAUGAGCCAACAAACCGAAGAAAAACAAUGUAUACUUGUAUUUUAAACCUAAAGAUUAUGAACCGACAAAUGUUUAAACCAAAAUAAUCUAAGGAAAUGCCUGAGUUCAAUAGUUAAGAUGGAAAUUCGACAUUCCAAAAACAAAAAAUGAUAGGCAGGACUACUGCCUUUAUGCCGUUUGCCCAGGUCAAAUUAUAUGGUGGAUUUUAUAGAAAGAAUUGUUGUUGUCUUAACAUGCUCAUAGUAUUAAAUGAAUUUAAUUCAACUAAAAGGUAAGCAGCAGAUGUGCCCCUCAUUUUCAAGAUAAUAUUUAGCGAUGCUACUCAGAUAACAUCUAUUAUAUAGCCAAAAAGACAUUCACUGCCAAAAUAAGGGUAGACUGCGCCAGCAGUCCCUGAACUUUCAGUCAAUUUUGACUUUAGCCAUUGAACUUUCUAAGGUAGAAUUCAACACCACAAACUUUUGAAAGUGCUCCACUUUAAUCCUUAUUGUCAUAUUCUAUUAGAGAAUAAAUAAGUGCCUCGAUAUUGAAAUAUGAGAAGGUAUCGAGGGUGGACAGAUGUGUGCCACAUGAACGUACAGCUGCACCAGCUGCAGACAAUAAUUAUCCCUUAAAAAGUAGAUGAGGCCAAGGACUAAAGUGAAACACAUCCAAGAGUUUGGGAUAUGCAAUGUCCAACUUAAAAGUUCGCAGACUAAAAUGAAUCUCCACUAUAGUUCAGAGACUAAUAGUAUAAUUCACAAUGAUUGAAUUCCUAGAAAACCAUCAAGCCAGGCCUUAAAUUAAGUAGUAAGCAACAAAGCUUCAACUUAAUGAAUUCUGGUACAAAAAGGUUUGUUGCAAUAAUUCUUUCGAAGGAAACAGCUACUUCACAGCGCAUACAGGGACACAUAAGUUUUUCUACCAGUAAUAAUCAACACUUCAAAGUUGUCCUUUGAGCCAAUGCCUGCUCAAUGCCAUCUAAUUUUAGCAUUUGCAAACAAAUAGACAAUAUUACUAGCAAAAACUUGCAACAAUGUCCUUUAAAAUUUGGCCAUUAGAUCGAAUUAAAUAGUUGGAGCGAAUUUAUUUUGGCAGGUUUCAUUUUCCGGAUUGGAAGCUUAACUACAGAAAAUAGUAAAAUAAAAAAAAAAAAAAAAAAAGAAGAAGUAGCCUGAACCUGACCAAGUAGUUAUAUGCAUCUAGUUUAGUUACAAUUGAGUUCUAUUUGGUUUAGUUCUAGUUAGAUAUGAAUUUCCUAUUGCCUAUAGAAACUUCCAAAUAAUCUUCAUUGGAAAAUGCUGCCUAUACACACCCUCUUUAGGGAGUAAAUCAUACACACCACCAACCCUAUGGGUGGGGUUUCCCCACUAGUCAAACCAAUAUGACUAGUGGGAAAAUCCCACCCAUAGGAUGGGUGUGGAGUAUAGGAUGGGUGUGGAGUAUAACAAACUGUUAGGUUAGGGCUCAAAUUUAAUUUCAAAAUAAUAGAGCUUAUCCUACAAAAUAGGAUUUGUUUAGAUUUCCACAAAAUGCUUUUAAGAGUGGAAUCUUGUAUCUCAUAUGAAUAGAUUUGUAGCGAUCUCAACCAAUUUUAAGUUGGUGAAUCUUAUCGAAAAAGAUAUGGAUACAAUUUGUUAGAAGGUUGUCUAUCUAGUUAGUACUAUCAGUGUUUGAAAAGGCGCACCUCAACGCCUAGGCAGGAGGCGCGGGCGUCGGCGCCUUAGGGAGCGAGGCGCGCGCCUUAGAUGGGCCCCGUGAUAUUUACGUUUAAUGGGUCUAGGGUUUGGGUUUUCGGGUCUUGGGUUUUUCCAAUAUUCUAAACUAAUUUGAACGCUUUCUUUCCCUUUUUAUUAGCCGUUCUCUCUUCCAGCCCCCAAUGGCAGCAGCAAGAAGUAAGAAGAAACAACAAGCACUUUUAAGUUGAAAGUUGAAACACAAUUUUUUUUUUCUUGUUUUUAGUUUGAGAACAUUAAUACAUAUGGUUUCUUUUCUUUUUUAUACUUAUUUUGUUUCUGUAUGGCUAUUUUAAAAUUUGUUAAUGUAAAACAUCCAUUUAAACUAGGCUUAUCAAGAGUUUUAUUUUCAUUAGAUGUGCGCCUCACCUUCCCAAGGCGUGCGUCUCACGGCGCACCGCAUGCGUCUCACGGCGCACCGCAUGCGUAGGCUCUAGAAGGUCUUUGCGCUUUUUUGCACCUCACAUCUUUUUCAAACACGGGUACUAUUUAUAGGCAAUGAUUCGAUGACCUCUAAUACUCAUGAUGGAUUUCUAAUGAAGGAAAAUUUGUUCCUUAGACCUCUAAUACUCAUGAUGGAUUUCUAGUUAUCCAUCUCAUUUCACAUUUAUUCACAUUUACCAUAGUGUUCCAGUUUGUUUAGUGUAAACUGGAUCAAUAUACAAUGUCGUAUGCAGCAUCAGUACGGUGAUGUUGUAAGCCAAUUUCUCAGGAAUGCGGUACGAGCUACGCAGGGUUAGUCAAAUCAUUCAUAUAUAUCAGGGCAGUAUUAGUUAGAUCAUUCAUUCAAAAUAUGGUUUGUUUCAAGAACGUAAAAACUAAUCCCCACAUAAAUAACAUACAUAUUGUUAUUGUAUAUAUUUUUUUGGUUACUUUCUUUUAGGUUGGAUUGGCUCUCCUAAUCAAAGUUCGCUCUCUUUCUCCUUGCAAAGUAUGAUUCUUUGUUCUAUUCUAUCUUCUAAAACACUUCUCUUUAAAUCUAAAUAGUAUUCUACAAUUCUACUAUCCUCAAACUUCGCCACAUUUUGCAACCUGGAUCAGGAAUCCACCAAAAAGCAGAACACAUGAUUUAGAUCACAGUUUGGAGCAGGUCUCCAAUCCCGAUAACAUUGAGUUUGAUUAUUUCGGCCUACUGCGCAACUCCGUUCUGGGCAAUUGUGCUACAUUUGGUCAGGUAAACAUCAUCAUUGAGGUUGAAUGUAUGGCAUUUGCGCAAAUUCAUAUUGUUUUGGAGAAAAAUUGAGUAAAUACAAACUAGAUGAAUGUGAAUGCUAAUAGAUGCUUGUUUGACAGAUAUAUUCCCUAUAUUUAUAUUGUCCCAAGAAUUUUAAAAAACAUCAAUGUGUCUAAGGAUCAACAUUAUGGUGCAUUGAGUAUACCAAAGACAAAAUUAUAUAACAGUUAAAUUUAGAAGCAACCUCAAUUUAUGUACCUUCUAUUUCAUUUUACUUUUUAUUUUCUUACAGAGCUGUCUCAUAAAUGAUUGUUUGGCCUAACUUCUAGAACAACAACUCAUUUUUAAGAAGCAGCAGCCAAGCAUUUUCACUUUAAGAAGCACUUUCGGCCUCUUUGGCCCUCCUUGUUUUCGGUUUCAGUAGCAACUAUUUGAGCAGGUCAUUAGAAACUAGAAAUAUUUAGAGCAUCUAUUGUAGUAGAGAGCAGAAAUGAAAAGAAGACUCCCCAAUUCAAAGUUUCUCAUUCUAAUGCUUCUCACAACAGCAGUUCUGAGAUUUUGUCAAGCAACAAUACACCCUAUGACAGAAAUGCCUAAGCCCUUUAAGAAGUUGCAGGAAACUCUCUAAGCACUCACUGAAAACAUAAGUUCCAUUUUGUACCUUCCACUUAUGUUGUAGUAGUCAACUGUUUCUACAAUUUUAAUGGAAAAACUACUAAUGCUUCUUCCAACAACUUUACUCAAAUAGCACUUUUAAGAAAGCUUCAUUCAGGUGAAAAUGGCUCUACAUUGAUCGUUAAUAUACCUUGAAUACAUAAGGAACCUCUUCUAUAGUAUCGUCAUUGCAAAAGCAAUAGCUCCUAGCCACUGACGCUAUAUCAAUGCGAAAUAUAAGAGGAGCUAUUAAAGAAGUACUUACCUGAAGAUUCUGCGGUGUCAGAAUGGCAACCCUGCUUGCGCACAAUUCCAAGAAAACAACCUAUAUAUGAAGAGAUGGAAACAGAAUGUUCACAAAAGGAAUCCAUAUAUAUAAAGCUAAGCCAUAGACAAGUGAUUGAUAUGUUUCAAAGAGAGGAGAAGAACCUGCGGUUUCAAGUAAUUGAUUACCGCCUUGACUUCCUUGCAUGAUUCCUACAUUGACAUCAGUAAGAACAAAUUGUCACUCCUUCCCAAAAAUAACCUAUAAAUUGUUCCAACUUAUUAAAUUAUAACCAAAAGAUAAAUAAAGAUCAUGCGUUCUCAUACCAAAAUUCAAAUCUAUUAAAGAUCGAAUAGGGCACAAGAAAAUUGGAUAUGAAAUUGGGAUAACUCCAGAUCAGAGGCAAUGAGAUCACCUGAGACACGUGCGCGGUCCCGACAAGGUAAACGUCGCACGCGCCGCCCUCGGCCGAGGACUCGCACUGCAACAACACGACGCCCUUGGCGAGCUCCUCGGGGAGAUCCCUCCUCCCAUCCGAUCCCCCGCUCGAAGAAGAUGAAGAAGGAGCAAACGACGACGCCACCGCCUCGCCCUCAGAGGCGUCCUCGGCUCCAAGAAGACGAUGGAGCUCGGGAUCCACGUUAGGGUUAGGAUUAGGGGGGGAGGCCUCUCCAACUGCGGCGGCGUGGAAGGCUCCGGCGAGGUCCAUCGCCGGAGGGAGGCGGCGGAGUGGGGAGGAGAAGGGUUUGGGAUGGGAAUGGUGUGGGAUCGAGGAGAAAGGUGCGGCGACGAGGGCUUUUACGGAGGAGAGGAGAGGGACGGGGAGGGGGCGACGGAGCCGGGGAGGGGCCGAGUUGAGGAGGAGGAGGAGGGGCGACUCGGGCGAGUUAGGGAGACGAGUCAAGCGGAGCAUAAAGAAAAUGUGGUGGCUAGUUCGAUUGGUUCCUGGCGUAGAAGGACCAAGCGGUUUAUGCGUCUCACACGAAUCGAAACGCCGGAAAUUCUUGCCUAGAUCGGGUGCACCCGUACAAUCCAAACACCGCAUAUUAUUUUAUUUUAUAAAAUUAUGGCCAAUUUUGCAUAAAAAAUUCACUAAUUUUAAGCUUUUGCAAAAAUAGACCGCUUUUUUAGAUUUUACAGAUUUGAGCCGAAUUUUUAAAAAACUGACCAAAAUAUCUUUAUUCCUUUUUCUCUCUCAUUUUUUUUUCUUUCGUUCUUUUUUUCUUUCUCUCCCAAGAGGGCGGCGAAGGCUGCCAACCUCGCCUCUGUCCGGCUCACCCUCACCUUCGCUCGCGCACCCUCCCGCCUUCCUCACCUCUGACCCCGCUGAGGCUGCGCCGCAAUCCUUUUUUUUUCUUUUCUCUCGAACCCUCCUCCAUCACCUUUCCGGCUCUUUAUGACAGGGUAAUGCUGCAACGUUGUGUCUUCUUAAUCCACCUUUGCCGACACAGGCACCGACUCUGGGUCGAAGAACGGCUCGAAGCGAACGCGGGUGAGAGCGGAACUAAGGAAAAAUAUAAAAAAUAAAUAACAUAAAAAAUAUAUAUAUAAAAUAUAAAAAAAUACUUUUUUCUACCGUAAAAAUAAAGAAUCAAAAAGAAAAGAAGAAAAGAUGAAGAUGCACUGUUUCAGAGGAACGUUGCACUGUUUUCAAGAAAUAUUAUACUUUUCUGAAUGAAUGUUCUACUCUUUAAACGAAACUUACAUUUCUUAGGCGAAAAUGAUGCUAUUUCUCCUCAUCCACACGAAAGCAAAGAAGGAGGAAGAAGAUGAGAAAUAGUAUAAUUUUCAUCCAAAGAGUGCAACUUUUUUUAAAGUUGUGCAACUUUUAUUCAGAAAUAUUUAAUUUUUCUUUCAAAUAGUGUAAUUUUUUUAAAAAAAUAGUGCAACAUUCCUCUGAAAUAGUGUAACUUUAUCAUCUUCUUUUUAAUUUUCUAUCUGAUUCUUUAUUUUUCUUGUAAUUUCUUUUCUCCCUCUCCGACCCUUAUCCUGUCAUCUACCACCUCGUGGCCCUCGGCGAUGGUAACGACGAUGGCGCCACAUCCUCUUCCUCUUUCUCUAUCUCCUCCUCCGCCAGCGCCAGCGCCAGCGACCCUCGACGACGAUAACGAGGGCAACGUCACCUCCUCCACCUCCGCCUCCGCCUCCGCCUUCGCCUCCGUCUCCUCCUCCGCCGGUGCCGGAGAAGGAGAAAGAGAACUUGAAACGGAUCCGGAUGAGAAUGACCAUUAUAUAUCAUUGCUCCUAUCAAAAAAUGAUAUAUAAUUAUUUUUUAAAAAAAAAAAUUCUUCAUUUUUUUUACUAAGCAUUUGAAUUAUCUUCUUUUGUUCAGCUGUGAUAGAACGAUGAGACCGAAGUGAAUGAGUUUUGGAGGGACUUACAAGUAAUCAUGAUUAUAUUCCUUCACAAAUGUAACCACUUCUUACUUUUCAUUAUUUGUCAUUUUUACUUUAAGAUGUAUCUUGCAACACUACAACAAAAAAGGGAUAUAGCAGCACUUUUAUAUGUCGCUAAAACAUCAAAAAAGUGCUGCAGUAUUUUUUACUGACACUGCCGAAAAUGUCGCUAUAUGUGGGGUCGCAGGACAUAUAGCGACACUUAAAAAAAGUGUCGGUAUAUAGAAGAAAAAAAUGCUGCAGUGAGACGACACUUUUUCUUACAUAUUCCAGCAAAUUAAAAGUGCCGGUAUAAGAUUCUUCCGACACUUUUAGUGCUGUAAAGAGAAAAAAAAAAGGGAUAUAUUUUAGACAAUUCCGACCUUUAUUUUAUAUUUAUAGCGACACUUUAUUAUAAUUUAACAACAAUCAGACAAAUAAUGCAAUUAUUUUUACCAUCACUUUUUUACUACUUAGCGACACUUUUUAAAAAUAUUAUAUUCUUAAUAUAUAAUAAUUUUAUUAUUUAAUUUUUAUCAUAUACUAUUAUUUAUCAUCCAUUCAUUAUAUUAUUCAUUAAUGAUUCAUCCAACAAAAAUUAUUUACCAUAAUCUUUUCAACACAUCAUCAAAAAAAUAUACAAAUAAGAAACAUAUCAUUCAUAUUAAGAAGAAAAAGUUAUUGUUAUACAUUUCAUCAGUUGAUGUUAAUAUUAUAGACAAACAACAUAGUCCGAAAAAACCCAAACAACAUUGUGCAAAAAUAUCCAAAAAACUAAAAAUGAUAUAUAAAAUUCUAUGCCUAAGCAAAUACUCAAAAUGUUAUCCCAUGAGGGCGACUUUGUCUCAAAAUACUCAAAAUACUCAAUACGUUCUAUGUCUUUUAAAGAAAGGCAACGAGGACGACUUUGUCUCUUUAUUUCUGCAGCAUAUUCCCUACGUGAGAAUAAUGUAAUCAACAAGUUUCUAUAAAUACAAAGUACCAAAAAUAGUCAAAAUAGAUUACUAGUUAACUCUAAUACUAACUUUAGAAAUGGUGCAACAUCUGGACAGUUGAAAAGAACAUAUCGAUAUGCUUGAACUUUGGACAGACUGUCUAGUAUAUAUCGACUAGGCUUUCCUAAUGGUCGACCCACUCGAGGAAAUAAAGAAUGUCCUUGCUCCAUAUUAGAACUUCCAGAUGCUUCAAUAUUGUCAUCAUUUCAUGAAGAUCGAUUAAGUUUUGUCUCAAAACCUUUUAUAUACUGAGAACAAAAAGUCAUGCACUCUUGCGCUAAGUAAGAUUCUGCAAUAGAACCCUCUGGAUAUGCUCGAUUACGUACAAAAGACUUCAAAGUCGAAAGAUACCUAGCCAACAUGAUAAAUAAGAAGUUUUAGGAUAAAAUUAAUUUACUAAAUAAUAUACGAAUAACUAAACAAUUAACAAUAGAAAAUGAUACCUUUCAAUUGGAUACAUCCAUCUAUAAUGAACCGGUCCUGCAAUUCUAGCCUUGCUCGCCAAGUGAAUAACCAAAUGAACCAUUACAGUGAAAAAACCAGGUGGAAAAAUCAUUUCCAAGUGGCGUAAUGUUAAUCUAAUCCUAGCAUCAAGUUGCUCAAGAUCCUGAACUUGAAGAACUUUUGAGCACAAUUCUCUAAAAUAGCCACAUAAAUCAAAUAAAGGAGCUGUCACAUUCUUUGAGAGAAACUCUCGUAACGAAAUUGGAAGUGGUUGUUGCAUUAGUAUAUGACAGUCAUAACUUUUGAGUCCAAACAUUUUACCUUUUGUGACAUUUACACUUCUUGAGAUAUUUCCAGCAUAACCAUCAGGAACUUUAAUGUUUUUCAGAAAUGUAUAAAAUAUUUUCUUCUCAUCUCUAGACAUUGCAUAACAAGCAGGAGGAAGAUACAAGCUGUUUGAAACCCUAUUUUCUGGUUGAAGUUCAGCCCUUAUAUUCAAAUCUUGUAAGUCUAGAUGAGCAUUUAGAUUAUCCUUCGACUUUCCUUCGAUAUUUGCUAAUGUUCCAUACACAUUUUCAAAAACAUUCUUUUCUAUAUGCAUGACAUCUGGAUUAUGCCGCAAUAAAUUAGAUUUCCAGUAAGGCAAUGUGAAAAAUAUGCUCUUCUUUUUCCAAGUUUGUGAGUUUUCAAAAUUAUUAAUUUCUUCCAAUUGAUCUAACACCGUAGUCCCAGAAGGUCUGCUUGGUGUAGUUCGAAACUCUCCAGUUCCAUCAAAAGAGACUUUGUCAUAACGAAAUUUAUGAUUUGGCUCUAGAGAACGAUGAUGUCCCAUAAAAUAGUACUUUCGACCAUAUUUUAGACGUCGUGAACAAGUCUCUACAUUACAACAAGGACAAGCAAACCCAACAUGAACAUUCCACCUUGACAAAAUUCCAUAUGCCGGCAAAUCAUUUAUAGUCCACAUUAAUGCUGCUUUUAACAUGAAAGAUUCGUCACGAGAAGCAUCAUAUGUGUCUAUGCCAACUUCCCAAAGCUCCUUCAACUCAUCAAUAAGAGGUUGUAAGUACACAUCAAUCUGAUUUUCUGGUCCGCUUGGCCCAGGUAUAAGUAACGAAAGAAUGAAAGAAGAUUCUUUCAUACAAAGCCAAGGAGGUCAAUUAUAUAGUAUUAGAAUAACAGGCCAGCAGCUAUAGGUAGAGCUCAACAUUCCAAAAGGAUUAAAUUCAUCACUAGCUAAUCCAAAUCUAACGUUACAAGAGUCUAAAGAAAAGUCAGAAUGUUUGGAGUCAAAACUUUUCCAUGCUUCAGAGUCAGCCGGAUGCCUCAACGCUUCGUCCUUUGUUCGUUCUUCUUCACGCCAUCUCAUUAAUGUUGCUGUCUGCUUAGACAUAAACAACCGUUUAAGUCUAGGCUUUAAAGGGAAGUAGCGUAAAACUUUUGUCGGAAUUUCUUUUUUCUUUCUUCUUGUUGAACUAGAAUGGCCUCUAAUCGUUCUCCACCUAGAAGCCCCACAAAUAGAGCCACUAUCAUCAUUGGCCUUAUCCUUCCAAUACAAUUGACAAUUGUUCUGACAAGCAUGAAUUUUUUCAUAUCCAAGCCCUAAAGUUUUUAUAACUUUUUUGGCCUCGCCGAAUGUUUUUGGCAAGCAUUUUCCAUUAGGGAUUGCAAGUUGUAAUAUUCCUAACAAAUCAUUAAAUGAUUUAUUACUCCAUUUGUUAGUGCAUUUUGUAUGAAAUAAAAGCACAAUUAAAGAAAGCUUUGUCAAUUCGCAUCCUGGCCACAAAUUUUGGUCGGCAUCUCUAAGCAAACUAAAGAAGUUUUCAGCUUCAGAAUUCAAUCCAUUUACUUGGGAAUCAGAUGCAUUUGUUAAAUGACUCAUAGAUUCUUCACUAUCUCUAACUCCAAACAUAUCAUGUAUCAUUUGAUGCAUAUUAACAUGCAUAGUAGAGUCAUCAUCUAAUUGAUGUGCACCAGUGUGAAAAUUUUGUGCAAUUGAUUUUCUAUGAAAAAUCCAAUCUCGAUAACCACGAAGCAUUCCAUCACACACCAAAUGGUCGUACACAUCUUUUCUACUUAAAGUUGUUCUAUUAAUGCACUUCACACUUGGGCAACGAAUCUUUCUAUCAGAAGAUGGAUUCAAAAAUGCAAAAUCAAGAAACCUAUUUACUCCUGCCAAGUAUUGAAAGCUUUCUCUUGGCCAAUCCAAAUUAUCUUUAAUAGUUUUUAGAUCCAUAAAUUGCUACAACUAAUAUAAGAAUUGACUUUAACAAAAUAUAAUACAAACAUAUCAAUGAGAAAUUGCUAUAUAAAGCUAUUAGCAUAUUAUAGGAAAAAAUAAAUUAAGAACAAAACAAAUGUGAUAGCUAGACGGCAUUACAAUUACUAAAAUUAAGGAUAUAAGUUUUCCAAGCUUUUACAAACAAAAAUAACACAAGUUUGUAAUAAAACUAUAUCACAUGAGGAGUUAUCAAGUACACAAAUUUUGUAUAUAAUAGAACAAAUCAUAAAGUAAAACUAAAAAGUUACUUGGUUGCUAUAAUAGACAAGAACUCGAAGAAGGUUGAUUUACUUCUCAACAUGAACGAACAUUUGUUGUCAGUAUUAAAUAUAAUACUAUUGCUUUGUAUUUUACUCUUUUACAUGUCAUUAGAUAGUAGAUAUUCUAAAAUUACUCUUGAUUUUAUAAUAUUCUAACAUUACAAGUGCGAAAAAUAAAAAAACUAGUAUAAGAGAGAGAAAAAAAAUACUAAAUAGAGUAUCUAAAGAGGAAAAACAUUAUUAAAAAUAAAUAAAAUUAUAAAAGCAAACAAAGAAAGAAAAUAAAUAAUACUAGUUUAAGAUCUAGUAGGUAAAAAUUAAGGGAAGUCCUUGAACUAUAGGACAUUUUGAAGUGUCCUGCCUCCCAACACUCUCUGUUUCAUUCAAUGGCAGUUUCUUAACUUUGAAUUUUUAAACUUGAAUUAAUUUGAAAAAUAAGUUAGAAACUUGAACAAUUAUUCUAUGAUUCAUAAAAUUUAAUUUUUUUUUAAUAACUAUUUAACAAAUGAAUUCGCAAAUAUAAAUAGACUACAGCUAAAGAAGACAUCAUGUUUUAGCAAGUGGAGCCUUAACAUACGCCAGAAUCAUAUUAAAAAAACAAAACUUAAUUCACUUAACUACAGUAAUUUAAAUUAAAAUAAAGUAAAAUUGUCUAAGUCUCAAUCAAACAAAAUGCUCAAGUUCUCAUUUUGAAAUUCUCUAUAGGGUGAAGGCUGGGUCUUUGCAUAAUUAUACAUUUUCUAAACUAUACAAUUUUGAGACAAGUUUGCAAUAACAUAAUGCUUAGGGACCACCUCUUAACACCUUUUGCAUAUUUAAAAAAAUAAAAAAUUGAGUGAAUCUUCUACCACCAAUAGUUUCUUAGAAUCUUGUGGAAACCUUAUACUAAUUGAAAACUAUGCUUUCUCUGCUAUAAUGUCUUUUGUACUAUUAAAAAAGCUUACCAAAAUAAAAUAUAAUAUACUCUUUAGAUAAUUUUAAUAAACUGUGAUAUAGCCUUCGUUAAUGAUCUUUCUAAAAAAAAAUUUAGACACAAACCCACAUGAAAUUUUUUAAAAAAACAAACAUAAAGUACAAAAACAAUUAAAAUAUCAAAUCAACUAAUCACUACACUCCCACCUAUGCCAUUACAAAAACCCUGAAGCUCUAACAAAAACCCUAAAGCUAUAAAAUAAAACUUAAUUGAUAGUGGAACAAAAAAUGGUACAAAAAUCCUAAAGCUCUAAAUAAAACUUGUUAAGUAUAAAAACUCUCUAAAAAAUAUAAAACCCAUUAAAAAUCUAUGUAAAAAACUAACAUGCUAAUUUUUGAACCCUAAAUUCGAAACUCCUGUAAUUUUUUUUAAAAAAAAGGGAAUAAUACAUUUGCAAAAGAAAUUGAUGAUCCCAACUUAAAGUCGACGAGGCCUCUGCUGAAUCCAAGAUCUCCACGGAGAAGAACCUACCCGCGCGCCGACGAUCUCAACAAGGAAAUCACUUUUGAGGGGGUAAUUGUUCAGAUAUUUUCUUUUAUAAGUAGGCUUUCUUUUAUUUUUUGAAAGGACCAAAAAGCCCAAUGUGUUAAAGUAUGGUUCCAACUUAAAGUAAGGGUACAAUAGUCUUUUGAUGAAUAUAGCUGCAAUGGAGGGAAAAAAGGAGGGAAUGAAAUAAUUUAUUAUCAAACCCAAGCAACUUUUUAUAAAAAAUGCUGCAAAUAAGGUAAUCGAAAAUUCCAGCAAAUUUUCAUAAAUGCUUCUAUAAAAGUGUAGCUAAAACCUGUUUUUGUUGUAGUGCAACCUGUCGGACUGUACCACAUAAGUUUCUUACGUGUGCCUUUAUUCUCCACUCCUCGACUUUUUAGGUUUGGAAUGACCUUCUUUAGAGCAAAUAUAAUACAAUGUUAUAACCAAUUUUGUUCUUUUCUUUUUCGCUUUGUAGUAGGAAGCUUUUCUUAUACUAAUACCGAUUUUAUAUGCAUAUAUAUUAUAAAAUUUUUUCACUACCACUUCAUUCUCGAAUUCAUAUCCUCUAAAUAGCUCAUUAGUUGAUAAUUCUGUGCCACAUACAACAACACUAGAAUAAUCCUUUUCAUAUUGGUUCCUCUCAUUUGUGAAAGAAUCAAAUUCUCUAUAACAAUCUUCAUUUAUAUCAAUUAGAGAAAACUUGGAUCCAUCCCAUUAAAAGAUCUAGUAUGUAAAUCAUCUAAGCAUGGUAAAUCAUAGCAUUCUACAUUAUCCAUCUGUUCAAUCGCAUAAAGAGUAAAAUUUCAAAGUAAAUAGCAAUUUUAACAAAAUAAAAGUUGUCUACUUAUAAAACUCAUAUUUUCUCAAACUAUAUAUUCAAAGUUUCUAAAAUUCAUAAAUAAAUGAGAAAAAAAAAUAGAACCAAAUAUAAAUUUAUAAAAGAUUUUAUAUGCAACACAUACUUUUUCAAACUAAUAUUUAGAUAUUUUAGAAAAAAUAAAUAAGAAAUUAUUUUUUUGGUCGAUUAAGUAUGAAACAAUCCAUUAAAAAGAAUCAAAAAACAAAGAAAAAAAAAGAAGUAGCUAGAAACCUGUCACAGCCCGCGACCACCCGCCUAUUUGGCCGAGGUCCCGGCACCGCCGACAUCGCCGAAUGGACAGGGUUUCUCCUGUACUACGGACAGAGUCUCCCCUGUACAUUCAAGGCAUCGCAAUCAAUACAAUUCACGAAGGUUCCAACCAGGAACAGAUAUCAAUCAAGAUUGCAAGUGGAAGGUAUCAUACAACAUAAACACAUCCUAAGUUAUUACAUUCAUUCACUUUCAUAGUUUUUACAUCACAGUUUCCAUUCUUUUUCAUCCAAAUGCAAUCUAAGUUAUUACAACAUUUACUUACUACAAGUUUGAUACAUUGUAUUCUUUUCAUUUCCUUUACCCCUAAGCUAUAUAGACGGGGUACUGCUAGCUCUGGUCUCUGGGGUAGGGCGCUAUCUGCAGAACUACGCCCUCGCCUUGCGCCGCCGCGCCGCACACGUGUGUACCUGUACCCCCAAAACAGCAACACGGGGGUGAGACUAUUGUCCAUAGUCCUCAGUGGGUUUAGCCACCCAAGAGAACCAGCUCAACCAACAGGUCUAACGAGGCACUGCAACAUGUUAGUUCAACAAUAUACAACAGAUAUAUAUAUUCAAUUGAAAUACAUGUCAUGCCUCACGAAAUGCAAUAUGCAAUACCUGUAAUCAUGCAAGUAGGUUACUUUAACGCUACUUAUAUUCUUAAUCAUUCUUUACUCUUGUCAUUUAAUGUUUACUUUUAGCUCUUAGCUAUUCUUUACUUGUAACCUUUCUUUACUUAUCAGCUAUUCUUAUUCCUUAGCCGAUCUUUAUUCUUUACUUAUUCUUUAUUCUUUACACUUUGUCGCACUUUUCCACUGGCCAUUCUUUCCUAAGGUUUCUCUUACCUUAGUUCUCUAAGCCACCCGACUCGGUCUUGAGUCAAUCAAUCGCGGAUAGUCCGCGCACUGUCUAGCUCGAGGUGAAGGAACUCUCACAUGCACCUCAGCUGGCAACAGCUCACCGUACUCCUGUCCUAGCCGUCUGGCGGCGAACGAAUCGCACCUCACCCAACAACGGCCUAGGUCCAUGACUUAGCCACCCGGCGGCGAAAUCGUCGCACAAACGCCACGACAGUGGUUCAGUCAACAGGCGGUAGGAUCCACAAACUGGCUAACCAUCCGGCGGCGAAAUCGUCGCACACGCCACGACAAUGGUUCUUUAGCCCUUGGGCGGCGAAAUCGUCGCACACACCCGACACCACUUUGGGUGUAUCCUUUUAGCCUUGGGAUUCCGGAAUCCAUUUCACAUCACAUAGGGGUUGGUCUUAACCCUAUGGAACUGACCUCUCUAGGUCUAAGCCUUUACUCAACCUAAGUUCACCCAUUAGGUUUAUUGCUUUCACAUUCUUAACCUAGGUUUAUUACACUAGGAUCAUUAUUCUUUCCAACCUAGGUUCACUUGACUCUAGGUUAAGUACUUUUCAUUUCACGACCUAUGUUUAUUAACACUAGGUUAGAUGCCACUCGAUCUAUUUGAUUCUAGGUCUACUCACGACCUAUGUUCCUUAACACUAAGUUAGAUGCCACUCGAUCUAAUUCACAUACUAAUUGUCCAAUUAAGCAUUCUACUCAUUCUAGAGUUAUCAAUUCUCAUUUUCCAAUGUUAUCUCUCUAAUCAAGCUAGAGUUAUCAACCAAGUUCAUAUGCAUAUAUAAUCUCACAAUGCUAAGCAUGCAUCUAUGAUCUCAUAAUGCUAAUCAUGCGUUUAUAAUCUCAUAUAUCAUUUAUAUGCAUCUACUUAGCAUUUACAUCAUACUAUAAACAUGCAUCAUAUAACUUGCUCAUUAUGCAUUCUAGCAUUUCUACAUUACAUUAUUUAGCAUUAUGUAACUUGCUCAUAAUGCAUUCUAUUUAGCAUUUACAUCAUACUAUCAACAUGCAUUAUUUAGCUACAUGCAUCAUUUACAUGCUUCAUUUACAUUUAUAUGCAUCAACAUGGAUUCUUAGUUUCUUAGACAUAAAGGCGACCUAGUCGCUUCGGUAAACACAACCCACCUUAAUUCGCGUUCCGAUUGCUUGUCGACACUUGCAAUCGGCCUCCCGCGGCACCCGUAUCCGGCACGGCCCGAUACUGCAACUGCGCCUCAACCGUGCUCCGCUUCGCAGCCCCGAAAAUUAUAGGUCUUCGGUUAUGUGCCACGAUGCCUCAAAUCCAUUUCCAUGAUUUUACGACGUCGCCUCGGCCCUCCCGGCGGACCCGAAGCCUAAACGUCUAUUUCUUUAAUAACUUUGUAACAGCUCGUCGGAUUGCCGAACCGUCUUCGCCAACGCGUUUCGUUACCUAGCAAUUAGGUUUACGAAGGGUCAAAUGAGAUCAAACCCUCAUAUUUUGAAAGUUUGCAUUUUGGAGCCCUAGGUUACAACUAUGCAAGAAAUCACUAAAUUGAUCCAUGAUUCAAGCAUUAAUCAUCUAGAUAGCAUGCUAGGACUCCUCUAAAUCCAUUUAUAAGGUAUUUAAACCAAGCAUUAAAGAUCUACCAUUAAAGGGCUCAAGAAGCUCACCUCAAAAUGAGCUCCAAACCAUGGAGAAGAUGAAGAAGACGAAGGCGAUCCACCUCCAAGCUUCAAUCUCCACCAAAUCCAUUCUUUUUGGGAGAGAUUUAGAGAGAGAAAGAGAGGCUUCUCUCUUCCCUUCCAUGCGCGUGUGUGUGUGUGCGGUUUGGGCUGCUACGGCUGGGAGGAAGAAGAAGCAAAAGGGAUUUAAUCCCAUUUUACCAUUUUGCCCCUCAACUACACACUAUUCACUACGGGCAGCCUGAAAUCUGAUAAAUUUCGUUGGAGCCCUUCCGGAUGUCCGUUUUCGCUCAAAUUUGACAGGCAGGCUCAGUUUAACGUACUGAGCAAGAAUAUAUCUUAAGUUUUCAGUUUCGACCCCGUUUGGUCACCGAAAACUGUGCCGAACUGCAAUCUUUAUCAGAUAGCUUUCGGAUUUUAUUUCUCACUCUACGGGUGUCAGAAAAAUAUGAAACUUUAAAUCUAGUCUCAUAAAAAUAUUUCUGACAUCCCCGCUAAUUUUCAUAAUUUUCUGAGACUGUGCAUUUUCUGCUAAUUUAUCAGUCCCGUUUCCAACAGAAAAUUCUAAAUCUUCUGUUUUCGCUCCGAUUUCAGCACAGGUCGUUCCCAACCAAUAUUUCACUUCUCUAAAUCCAAUAAAAUAGUAUCUCAUACUAUUUUUAUUUAUUUUUCUCUUUUAUAUUUAAAAUCCAGUAUGUUACAAAACCUAAGAAAUUCUUUAGCGGUAUUUGUAAACAGGGUUUGCAGGUGCUUGGAGGUAGGUGCGGAUUGCAGCGCCGAGGUGAUUGAGAAGAGGUAAGAGAACUCGGCAUGGUAGUGAUAGUUUCGGUAGAGGCAAGGGAAAGGCAAGCGAGACAGGGGAACAAAGGAGUGGAGAAGAUAAGGUAACGGCCACAGUCUACAGUAAUAGCGACCAAGGAUGGAGCACACCCAAUAUAGAUCGAGAAAUCAAAGGCAUAGAUCAGCGCCGAGGUGAGACCUGCAUGGAUAAGUGGGAUGAGAGGUGCUAUGAGAGUAUGGAAGGAGAAAGUAGGAUUGGGAAGGUGAAAGUGGGAUUUAUUUUUUUUCCUUCCCAUUGUACAACAAACGGAAUGCGAUAUUAGUCCCCGUUUGACCUAUCUCUUUCUAGGAAUCUCUAGGCAAUUCAAGGGUAGAAAAAGUGGUAGCAACAAGGACUGGUUGCUACUAAUAGUAGCACCGUACCACUCAUAUAUAUAUAUAUAUAUAUGUAUAUAUAUGUAUAUAUAUAUAUAUGUGUGUAUAUAUAUAUAUAUGUAUAUAUAUUAUAUAUAUAUAUAUAUGUAUAUAUAAUAUAUAGUAUAUAUGUAUAUAUAUAUAUAUAUACUGUAUAUAUAUAUAUAUAUAGAGAGAGAAGAGAGAGACGAGAGAGAGAGAGAGAGAGAGCGAGAGAGAGAGAAGAAAGUCCGGCAACAUACUAUCGAUAGUAUCAAGUCCUUGGUACAUAUUGAGUUUUCUAACCGUUAGAUCUACCCUUUGAUCAUUUCAACCCGUUAGAUUAUACUAUAAACCAACCACUCCACUCAACCCUAAGGGACCACUAUCAAUUUAACCGAGACCACUAUCAUCCUAACCGCACAUCCUUUCAUCCAACGUCGAAAACUCAAUAGUACCAAGGGCUUGGUACUAUUGAUAGUAUAGUAGCAUAAUUAUAUAUAUAUAUAUAUAUAUAUAUAUAUAUAUAUAUAUAUAUAUAUAUAUAUAUAAUAUAUAUGAGAGAAAGAAGAGCGAGAGCGCGGUAGGCUCCUAUACUAUCUAUCGUAUCGGAGCUCUGAUACUAUAGUCUCAUUUUCGAUAUUAGGAUUUCAAAUCAACGAUCUAUACUGUUAAAUAUAUCUAGAGUGUUUGAAGUUUUAAGAAUAAAAUUUUAUUUUUUCGACAUAGUUUACUUUAUGAAUCAAAUCAUUUCAAAAUUGUCAAUUUUUAAUGGACUAGUACGGCAAGUUUGUAGUUUAAUAGUGUAGAAGAAUCUAAUUAUUCAAAUUUUGAUAAAAAAUACUUUAAACUAUCUAGAUCAAGAUCAAUAUCCUUGAUCUUGAAUUUUGAAGUUCUAUCCUAAAAUUUUAAAGAUUGUUCAAUUUCAACCGUUCAUUUUGACAUGAUUUACUUACUAAGUAAACAAUGUCGAAAAAAAUUAAGAUUUUAUUUCUAAGAACUUCAUAUACCCUAGAUCAUAUUUAACGGUAUGGAUCGUUGAUUUGAAAAAUCUAAGAUCGAAAACGAGACUAUAGUACUAGAGCUCCGGUAUUAUCGAUAUUAUAGUAGCCUAAUUCAUGUGUAUAUAUAUGGCAGUUGCUAAUAUAGAUUGUAAUAUUAGAAAUAAUAAUAGAAGUGAGAAAAUUAGUUAAAACUAAAAAUAAAUGAAUAGUUGUAUCUUUUUGGUAAAUUAGUUAUUCUUAUAAAGAUAUAUCUUUUUAUUUGAAACAAAAAUGUGUUUCUUUACGAAGAAAUAUGCUUCUUCGCAAAGAGAUGAAACCCUUUUUGAAAAAAAAAAAAAUCUUUUCAGUAAUUAUGAAAAGAUGUCUUUUCACUAUUUGUGCAAGGAUGUGUUAUUUUAUGAAAGAUAUAACAUUAAAAAGUAUGUACUUUCAUUGUAAGUAUUCAUCUCCUAUAAAUAGGAGAUGUUUGAAGACUUCAAGGGCAUUCUUUAUUCUUUCUAAUUUUUCAUACUGAUUCUUAAGAGAGAAGUUCUUGAGAGAACAUUUUCAAAAGUGAUAUUUGCAGUCUUUCGACAAUCUUGUUAUAUUCUGAAGAUGAUUUACUAUUAACGUGAAAGCAUAUAUUCAAAUGGGGGCAAAUAUCACCUUAAAGAAAUUGUUCCUACACACCUCAAGACCUUAAUUGACUUGAUCUCCAUUUAUAUUCUCUGACAUGAGCUUGUACAUGCGGUACUAGUAGAGGUGUGGCUGCCAUAACAAUGCCUACAGAAAAAAACCUUUUUUCCCUCUUUCGCUUCCUUUUUUUUUUCUUUUUUUAAUGCAUAAAGAAACUUAAAACCAAUUAUCACGAGGUGACAAAUAUGAGUAGCACUAUCGUAUGUAGCGAUCCGAUGUAUGAAGUCUCCAGUAAUAUUACCUCCUUACUUCAGUUGAGUGAAAUGGCUUGUAAAAUGGAGGUGCUUUUGUUCGAGAAACAAAAAUUGAUGCAGUGAACGGACAGGAAACACAAGUGAAGUGGUCACGCGGUGUUGAACGGCGUCAGCAUGACGUGGACACCAACUUGAUGCAAUGAUCGAUAGUCUGUGAUCAAGUGUCGAGGGCUUUGCAUCAAUAGCAGAAUAAGCUUCUUGCUGGAGCAGCAGACCAAGAAAUUUCAUCUUUGGCUCUAAUACUAUAAAAUAGAUUGAAAUUAGAGGAGAAAAAAUAUUUAUUUUCUCUAUUAUUUUAAUAUUAACUAUAAAAGACCUCUUUCUUUCUGUAGAAAGAGGUCAAAUGAAUACAUAGAAAAUUCUGAUUUGCUAACUAAACUAAUAGUAUACAAUUAUAUAAGGAAUAUCUAUGAAAUGAUAUAACGAAAAAAACUUAUUUAUGGUGAUACACUCUAUAUUGAGGUGUAUAUGUUACACUCCUUGAAUCCAAUAAUAUUUAACUAUUUUCAAAAUUUUUUGUCUUAAAAAAUUGAUAUGACAAUUGGAGAGUGUAAGGGGGUGUUUGACCUAGCUUUUAAAAAGCGCUUUUGGGUUGAAAAGUGAUUUUCGGCCCAAUAGAGAGUUUGGCAAACUCAUUUUUAAAAGCUGAUACUGCUGCUCAAAAUCAGAAAACUGAUUUUGAAGGCCCAGAAUCAGAAACUGAAAAAAGCUGGUUCUUGAAAACUGAUUCUGAUUUUGGACUCAAACUUCAAAUUUUUAUUUUUAUUUUAAAUUCAAUGUUGAAAUUUAAAUUUAAUUUUAAAUUUUAAUUUUCAGAUUCAUUUUUGAAUUUUUAAAUUUUUACUUUUAAAAUUUAAAUUUUGAAAAAUAAAUUUUAAAUUUUAAUUUUAAAUUUUGAAUUUAAAAUUUUAAUAUUAAAAUUUCAAAUUUCAAAUUUUAGAUUUUAAAAUUUCAAAUUUAAGAUAAAAUUUAAUCUUCAAAUUAUAAAAUUUUAAAAAUUUAAUUUUAAUUUUAAAAUUUAAAUUUUAAACUUUAAAUAUUAAAUUUUAAAUAUUUAAAUUUAAAUUUCAAAUUUCAGAUUUCAAAUUUUAAUUUUCAAUUUUUAAUUUUCAAAUUUCAAAAUUUCAAAUUUCAAAUUUUAAUUUUCAAAUUUCAAAUUUUAAUUUUUAAUUUUUAAAUUUCAAAUUUCAAAUUUCAACUUUUAAAUUUAAAUUACAAGUUUUAAUCUUCAAUUAUAAAUUUUAAUUUAAGUUUUUUAAUUUUAAUUUUAAAUAUUUAAAUUAAAUUUUAAAUAUUUAAAUUUUAAAUUUUAAUUUUAAAUAUUCAAAUUUUAAAUUUUAAAUUUAAAAUUUUAAAUAUUUAAAUAUUAAACUUUAAAUUGUAAAUUUAAAUUUUAAAUUUUAAAUUUGUUUUAAAUUUUAAAUGUUAAAUUUUAAAUUUUAACUUUGAAAUUAAAUUUAAAAUAUAUAUUUUAAUUAUUAAAUUAUAUAUUUUAAAUUUCAUAAUUAUUUAUAUUUUUAAAUUUAUUUAAAUUUAAAUUUUAUUUUAAUUUUAUAUUUUAUAUUUUAUAUUUUAUAUUUUUAUAUUUUUAUUUUUAUUUUAUAUUUUAUAUUUAUAUUUUAUAUUUUUAUAUUUUAUAUUUUAUAUUUAAAUUUGAAUUUAUUAAAAAUUAAUAUUUUUAAAUAUUAAAAUAUAAUAUUUUAAAAUUCAUAAUUAUUUAUAUUUUUAAAUUUAUAUUUAUAUUUAUAUUUUUAAAUUUUUAAUUUUAUAUUUUAUAUUUCAUAAUUAUUUUAAAUUUUAAAUUUUGAAUUUUUAAAAUUUUAAAUUUUAAAUUUUAAAUUAUGUUUUAAAUUAAAAUAUCAAAUUUUAAAUUUUGUACAAAUUUGAAAUUUAAAAAUUUUAAUUUUAACUGAAAUUUAAAUUUAGUUUUUAAAUUAUUUUGAAAUAAAAUUUUAAAAAAAUAUUGAUUUAUGCAAACGUCAAAAAAAUUUUACCAAACAGCUUUUCAAAAUCAAUUCAGAAAAAUCACUUUUAUCUAAACUCAGCCAAACGCUCUACAGCUUUUAAUCAAAAUCACUUCUCCAAACCAAAAUCACUCUUCAGAAAUAACUUUUUCAAAAGCUAGGCCAAACAGGCCCUAAGAUUUACAUCUAUAGAGUAAGUGUAUAGAUAACAUUGUUCUUAAUAUGUUGCAAAUAGUGAUUGGUGUAAAGCUACUAUGCUAUCAGAAGCAUAGAGUGUUUUAUGCUUCCGACUUUUUGACCUUUGGAUAAAAAAUUAUACGCUUGGGAUGAUUACGGUCCCCCCUAGGAUUGAAUAGUACCUCUAGGGUUGAGUGGUCCCCACAGGGUAAUAGUAUUACUCCAAAGGUUAAAAAUGAUCAAAGGGGUUGAUUUAAGGACCAAAAAGUCGGAAGCACCAAGUUUUCUAUACUUCCGAUAGCAUAGUAGCUCUACUCUAGUGAUUAAUAUGUUUCUUAUAUUUCGUCUACACACUCUAAAAACCUAAGUGGUAAUUAAUCACAUGUCAAGAAAUUGGGUCAUACAGAGCAAAUCGGGAGUAAAGACGGAGAGUAUGACACCCCAAUAAUCUCAUAUUGGAUGGAAACUGGGCUGUGAUUGAAUAUAUAAGAGACUAUAGAUCCUACAUCAAAUGAGAACUAAGCUGUCAUUAGGUAUAUAAGAGACUCUGGACCCUAACAAUAAUAACUAAGGUUAAGCAUUUUGAAAACCAGUAAUUUGGACCCGAUGAGUUAUUAUUGCUAUUGGGCCAGUAAUUUGGACCAAAAUGAUUUAUUAUUGCUAGUGGGUCGGGUCGUUACAGAGAGAUUAUAACCCUAGGUGGGGGGUGGAGGGAGAAGAGAGAGUAAGACAAAGGAGAAGUCUCCCGGGAGCAGGUACACUCUCAGCUAAAAAAAAAAAGAAAAGAAGUAUGUGUAAAAGAUUGUAAUAGAUAUAUAGUAUACUGAUUUUAUGAUGUACAGAGUGCUCAAUGAAAUGUAAAUAGUUUAUACUCCAUGUAUCGAGCAAAUAUGAGAUGUGUUAAAAUAUUCAUGGUAAUAAUGAUGUAAUAUGUGAUACCAUUUAGGAAUUUCGAUUUGAAUGAGAUAAUCUCUUACAUUCUAAUUGGAAUAUUAUUCAGUGUUUUUUUUAAAAAAAAUGCAUGUUCUUUAUUUUAAGGGUUUAUAGUUCUCAAAUCAUAAGGGUUUAUUUUUAAAAAUUUUAUAUGUGCUUAUAUAUGGGCGAGCAUCUUGUCCAAUGACUCGAAGUCAACCUGAGUCACGUUCGAAAUGGCAUAGUGAGACUAGGUUGGGCAGAGUUAUGUUCAAAGUGACGUGAGGCUGGUUGAAUCGAAUCAUAAUUGAGACCCAUGAGCGCUGUGCCUCUACACUUUAAGCAUAUUUCUAUUAGUCCGAGUUUUUUGAAUUAAUGAUUAGCACAGUGAUAUUAGAUCAUAGAUUCGCAAAUUUGUGUAGAUGCUAGAAGGGAUUGCCUCAUAACGGAAAGCCAAGUAAGACCGAGUCAUGUUCGAAAGGAUGGCAUGCUGGUGCUAGAGGGGAGAUUGCCUGCGACCGGAGGUCGGAUUGGACUUGGUUAUAUUUCGAAAAAAUAGUGCAAGGCUGGAUGCAGAGAUGAUGUGGAUUUGUCAUUUAUUGUUGCGUGGACUUGCACUUCCACCCCCUUCUAUGUCUUUUCUAAUUUGGAUCCUACUUUUGAUUUUUACAGAAAGUUGGUUAUCCACACACCCCUCGGAUGGAGAAAGCUAAAAAAAAUUAUUUACUCCUGUUUGAAAUAAAAUAAAAAUUGGAGCAAAAGGCAAAAAAAAAAAAAAAAUUACAAAAAUACAAUGACUUUUAAUAAUGAUUUUUUUAAAAAAAAUCAAGCCCAAAGAUGUAAGGCAGAAUUACAAAAUUGAUCUUACAAAAUUCGCGAAACAAUCAGCAACCCAAUUGGCUUCGCGGUAUACUUUCGUGAUACGAACAUCCAAAACUGGAGAACAGCAAAAAGAGCUUUUCAUUUCCCGAAUACAUAUUCUCGAUGUGUUCUAUGUUCAGUCAAAUUUCUCCUUUUAGAAUCUUUACUGGACCGGCGUAUUACAUUCAGUGCAUAGACCAGAGAUGUUAGUACAGGAUGAGGCUCGAAAAGCGCUUCUCUUUAUAGCUGCAGCUUCAGCGAGGCCGCAAUGGUUUGCUUUGGAAUGUACCAUGGUUCGCACUGUUACUUGCACUUAUAAUAAAUACUGUUCUUAAACUCUGAGUUUGUCUGCAUCCAAACAUUGUAGUUUGCUUGUUCCUUUCUUCAGUUGGUCGAAGGCGCACUGUAUCUUAUGCUUUUCUUCAAUUGUUCGGGCAAAUUUGUCAGAACCCUGCACCGAAUACACGAAGAAUCAGGAAUGUAAGGCAAUUUAGUUCUCCGAGCAUGACAGCUUAAACAGCUAGCUAUGAGUCAGAUGCUAGGACAUUAAGUGAACCGACUUUUUUCUUACCGAUGCAAAAACUCAAGUAUUUACACACACAAACUUUUCAUAUAGAUAUCCUUCGCCGGGCAUGUGCCAAACAUGCCACGGACAAACAUACCAACUUUGUAUAAGCAUUUGUGCAAUUUCACAUAUGUCAAGGGGCAUGUACGCAAAAAGUCCUACAAGAAACUGAUGCCAAAGUAAGAGAGAAAAACUCAUCCCUCUAUUCUUGCUACUUACCAGCAGAUUUUGCAUGUUCUGCAAGAUAGUCUUUAUAACUGAUUUACUUGACCGAAGAGCUCUUUGGAGUCUCAUUUCGCCGCACAAAAAGAGAACAAUAGAGGCGGCAGCAUGAACUCGACGUGAUGGCUCCACAGAAUAACUAACAUCAAACCGGGAAGGAAACAAAGAAUUGUCGUCCAUCAUGAAGGAAUUAAGUAACUCUAAUGCAGAAUGACAGAGCUUGUGAUUUCCGCGAAGUAGGGAUAUGCACGGCAUCAGGUAGAACUUGAAUGCUAAGUUCUCGUCAUUUUGAGAAACUGCCUCAAUGUUUUCCGGGACGUACUGUAUCAACAAACGGAAACACCGAAUUAGAAUCACGUCGCACUUACUAGUACAAGAGUGUAUUCAAUCUGGUUCACAAACGAACAAAUCCUACAGAGUUGACAGAUCCGCUUUACAAGCAAUAUUUUGAAGAAUUUGCAAGAAAAUUACCACUACAUGGAGAAACAACACAUAAGACUCUGAUAGCUGUUACAUGAAGCAAUAUUUUGAAGAGUUCCCCCCCCCCCCACCAACCAAAAAAAAAAGGGAAAAAAAGAGUGAGAAAAAUGCUGCUUACAAGAGUAGCAUCAACCAUGUAAAAAGAUAUCCAGCGGGAAAGAUUAUUGACAUCCUCUUCUGGAAAUCUACCAGUUCUAUUGUCAAGAGCAGCAAUCAUUCCUAGCAACCCAUUCAUGUUGUCCAUUGGCGGCAUCAAUGACUGAAACAUAAGCAAAACAUAGUGAACUGUAAUCCUCACGCCAGUAAGCAAGUUCAAAAAAGAACAUCGACAAGGGUUAAUUACAAAUUUCACAAGUUUGACCCCGAUUACAUUUAUGUCCUAAGUGUUUCGAAAUUUCACAAUAUUCUCCCUAAAGUUUAUCUUGCAUGAACAAUGAAUCUUUCCUUUAAUCUACGUAUGAAAUUGGUUACAGUAGUUGAUAUCACAAUUUCUCAAGCUUGGCUAUCACACUAGAUGAUGCAAAUGUGACAAUUCUUUUUAUACAGUAAACUAAUUGAACGAUCAGAAGCUAUCAGUAAAAUUGGAAAUCUUGGGACACUGACUGAAAUUAAUAUCAAAUUUCAGGGACCAAAUUUGCAAUCAUCUCUAAUAAAAGAGACGUGGCGAAUCAAAGCAGGCAAAAUUAUUCAUCCUGAUAAUCUUUUUCUGAAUGCAUACCAUUUCGACGAUUAUCUUCUUCCACAGUAUUUCCAGAACGAGGGAAGUGUCACCCAUUCUUUUGAAACAUUCGAAAAUAUGAUCGCAUAGAUCCAUAUAAGUGCGCCGAUUUGAGACCUUCCCAUCACUCUUUUCGAUACAAUAUUUCUCUGAAUGAAAAAUGGGCAAGACGGUGAUUAAACAUGGAAUCCAUCAAUAAGAAAAUUCUACUACGCUAUUGGAUAUACAUAUGUACCAAACCGCAUGGAUAUUCGAAACAAAAAAAGCUGAAAAGCUAUAAGAAACAAGAACUAAUUACUUCUCGUAAACUACAAAUAAAAAUAAGAAAGAAAGAAGAAUAAGAGCCUAAACACUUUACCAGGGUAAACUCUAAAUCGCACAACUAAAGUAGCCAAGAAAUCAAGAUGUCCUGCUAUGUCAAGAUAACCACGUUCAUAUGAUGACUGUAGAACCUCUAUUAUCCUGUGUAAAGUAGAUGGUUCCAACUCAUUGCCUGCAUCGAGUAGCAUGGUCAAGAAAGUAUUUGAAAGAGAAAAUAAGAAAGAUUUAUAAAUUGGGAUCUUCCUACUUCCACUUUAAAUUGCCAGAAAAUGCGACAGAUUUUUAGAAUUGGUUAGAUCUUCCUCCUUUCAAUUUAAACUUCUCAGCAAUGACAUUAGCAGACAACUAAAUCUUUUUUGUCGCUAAAAAUUCAGAUAUCAGGUGCUUUUUGCCUCCUAGAAGCGAUUAAAAAUCUCAUGCAAAGCUACAUUCAAUGGUUACUAAAAAGAACUACGUUAGCAAUUGAUGUCUCUACAAGUAGAAGCAUAGCAGUGAAAACCAUUACAUGAUUCAUUGAAAAUAGAAUACAACCUCCAACCAAGUAGAAAAAGAAGAAAUACGUAACUUCAGCACACUCAAUUUUCUUGAAAAUUGAGGAAUGAAUAACUUACAUAAACAACAAGACGUCAACGACUCGAGAAAGUCUGAACCUAUGUUGGAUAAGUGGUAGAAACAAGAAAUAGCAAGUUCCUGGCUAUCAGGUGGGUGCUUCAAGAAGGGCCCAUAAGAUAUUGUUCCUGAAAUAACUGAAGACAAGCAAGCAUUGCUAUUGUAGACAGUAGAAGAAAAAUGCCUCAAUUAAGAUAAUAAAACCACAAAUGUAGCAUGAAUUUCUCCCAAAUACCUGACACUUACUUUGAACAGCAUAAAACUCUUUUAAUUGCCACUGCAGAUUGUCAUACUCUGUACGUCGAUGAGUGUUUGAUGAAGAAGUCUGGCCAAUUCGAGAUAAAAGAUUCAAAACGGCCUACAUAUUAUUCCAAGUAUGGAGGUGUCAAAUAAAGCAGAACUAGGAAUCGUGUAAAUUAUGUAAUUUAAAUGCAAUAUUGCUAAUUGUUUUUAGGGUAUACAUUACAGCAAAGAACAAGAAUAACCAAAUAUAAUGAAAAGUUACUAAUUAAAUGAAAGUAUCAUGGCAAGAGAAAUUAGUAACUUAUCAAAGCAAUUGCAUACCUUUGAGACUGAGACGUGUUUAUCACCUAAUUGCAAUAAAAUCCUCGGAAGCUCUCGCAUCCAAGUAAUCUGAUAGUCAAACAACAAAUCUGAACAAUUGGAUGCCGGCUGCUCACAGGUCGUAUUCCACUUGCAAGUGGAAUCAAGAAAAAGAAUGAUGCCAAAAUCAGUUCCCCCCCAAAAAAAAGCUUCAAUUUGCUUACACCAAUUUUAUCAGCUUAUUGAAGAUAAAAGUAACCAAUGUAAGGGUUAAAAAAAAAAAAAACAAUGCAACAUAUAAUUUUGAAAAAUUUACAGACUGGUGCUUACAGAUAUUAGCAUUUCAUUGAUAGCAGACAAAAAACCCAAAAUUAACUUAGAAUCCGCCUUACAAUCUUUAAAUGCAAAAGUAAAAGCCUGCAAAUGCAUUUGAUACAUGUUAGUCAUCAUUAUGCAUGAAAUUUGAUUAACAAAACAAUACUUAAUUACAAGUUGAACCUCUAGUAGCCGUGCUUUCCAGCUCUCUGUGGCCUUCAAUAUAAUCCCAGGAAUAAAAGGCAAUAAUGGACCAAAAUGCUUUUCCACAUGUGCCUUAGUAGGUGACGAAUGGGUCCCAGCCUGUUUGCACGAAACAGAAACUGUUAACAUCAAUCAGAAUAAAAAUUAUACGAUCAUCUAGCGCUGUUUUAUUAGUAAAAGCCAAAAGGACAUAAUCAGGUGAUCAAAUCAUCAAGAAGAAACAUAAAAAAAGAUUCCUUAGACAACUCUGAAUAAUAUUUGAUAUUUUGUAAGGUUGAUCAAUCCUAUCAAGUAAAGCGAUCAGUAUAAAUGCAGGAUAUGAUAUGAUGGUUUCAAAAAAAAAAAUCACCAACAUUAAUAAAAAAAUCCAGCAAUUAAGAAAAUGAGAUUAUUUAUGAAGAACUAAAAGGAAGAAAUAAUUGCCAUUUUAUAUAAGAAUGAAACUCAUCGCAAUAAACACAUGUGAAUAAUGGAAGUGAAAUAGUAUCAAAGGUACAAUAAACUAGGCAAGCAUAGCAGCAAAUAUAUUUAGAAGGCACAAUUCAUCAAAGAAGUAUAUACAAACAUUAGAAGAAAUACUUCGAAUUGGAUAGUCAAGGCAGCUUAUGUAUCAGACCUUCCGAAGAAGGAAGUUCUCAAUGAACUCAAGAAGAUAUACGCUCUGACUAAUCCGUUCACUGAGCAAAAGUAUUUCAGCAACUUUAACAUUCAGGAUGAAGAAUCUGUCAUCUUCCUGCAAAGAAUUCCAAGGAAAUUAUAUAAAAGGUUGGCAAUUUCUAAUUCGUACCAAUAAGACUAGUAAGCUAGUGAAUGCUAACCAUCAUUUCAUGGAAAAUAAAAGCAGAAGUUUUAAAUUUUGAGGGCAGCAUAUCCCCAAUGAGGUGGAAACCAAAGUUAACUGAUUUGAAGCUCAUAGCAUGUGUAGAGCAGUGAAAGCCAUACUUGAUGCGAAGGGCCCUUUGUUGCAAAAGAAAUAUUGCAAAUAAAGAUAAAGCAAUAAGCCCUCUUACUAUGAAAGCCAUUGCAGUUUGAGAUGCCUGUAGUACUAAUAAUUAUUCUCACCAUUUAUGUUAUCCCGCCCCCAAAAAAAUCACCUAUUAUGAGUUACUAUCCAAGCAUAAAACAGAUAGUUAACAAAUUAUCAUAAAGGCUUAAUGAAAAUAGCAGAAAGACCUUUUCAGUGUAUAUAUUCUUCUGACCAAAAGGAAAUACUUCUGAUAAUUUCUGUAAGUUCCCCAAGAUUGCGAAAUCCUCCAUAUCAUGAAGUAUUUUAGUAGCGAGGUUUAUGCACUGAAGACAAGAUACUAGGCAAUCAUAUGAUCGAUCAUCUAUAUUUGAAGUUGCAUCAACCAAUGAAGCAGAUUCUCUGAAACAAUUAACGAGAAGUGGAAAAACAUCCUCGAGUUUCUUGACAAUAGAAGAUGUCCCUGCAAUUUCAGCGAAUAUGAAUGUAAUGCGAGAAAAAGAACCAAGCAGAAUAAUAAACUGGCAAUUUUUUCGCCCUGCCAGGCAAGCUAGUCUCUUUUUCCUAAGCUAUGUAUGCUUUAAUCCUGUAUUUUGUUAAUAUUAUGCGGCAAAAUUAUGACAAAGGUUUCAUCAAUCAGAACCAAUCGAAAAGCAAGUAAUGAACUAAACGUGUUUGACAGUUUUAUCUUUUUGCAGGAUCAAGGAAAUUAAAACAACAUGGUUCCAGUCACAUUGUGUGCUAAGGUACAAGCUAGAAAUGUAUAAGAAGACAAUAGGAGACAUAAGAGGAUGUUUAAAGCCGAAUAUUGAUUGCCAAACCUGAAUCAUAUUCAUGACUGGAAGGUCUAAAAGCAAACAAAAGUCUCUGCUGAGCAAUACUUUGUUCCUGCCAACAAAGAAUAAUGAAAUUGGAAUUAGAAACCAAAGUCAGAUAAAAGACUAGCCAUAUUCUUAAUACUGAAACUCCACACAAAUUCCUAGCUUAAUGUACAUACUUUAAAUUAGAAAUCAUGGCAACAGCUCUCAAGAAAAGGUUACUAUCAAGCAGGAAGUAGAUUGCGGUCCUUGGUUGGAUACUUAAAUAACAUUGCAAACCAGAAUAUCAAUAAAAGGUAAUGAAGUCCUAUGAACAAUCUUAAAGUUUAAAUUUGUCUGGAGACUUCCCAAGAGAAUUGGCUGUUUAGUAAGAAAUUGCACUUUGAACGAGUAUAUAUAUAUGAUUUGCAGGGUUACAUACGUCAAACCCUCCAGAAAAAAAGUUUUAGAUGUACACAUCUCAACAUCAAAAUAGAUCAGAUAGAAUAGCUGUUUGCAGACAAGAAACCAUAAGCAUAUAAGAAUUACAACUAAAUCCAAUAAGUGAUGUAAAUCAANCAAAAAAAAGAAAAACGCAAAAGAAAAUGAGAAUAACAAAAUCAAGACUCAGGAUAGUCAAUUACUUACAAGACAAAUAUUUACAAUGGCAUAGUAAACAAUGUAUAGUACAUCAGUUGUAACAGAGAGUGGUUAUUGAAUGAAAAGCAACAAAGAAAUUUUCUACAACAAAUAGCAAUUUAAAUAUAAUUCAUACGGUACAAACUUGUUCAUUUGACCCAUCCUCCUUGCUCACUUUGCUAGACAACAGGGAGAGACACUGAGUAAGCGCACCGAGAAUACUUUUGAGUUUGCUCUUGUCAUGUAUAUGGAUUUGGCUAUUUUUCAGAAUAUCGGCAUAGUUAUCAAGAACCUAAAAGAAGCCAAACAUAUGCCUUUAGUUUCUGAGCAAUAAAGUGCAGUAAAUUCAUAGUAAAUGCAAUCAAUACUGCCUCAAGAAGUAAUAAAUUGAGUCAUUAUGAAGAAACAAAUGAGCAUUGACCAAAAUGGAUAAAUUAGGCAGAUCCAGAAGUAAUAAAAUGAGGCAUCUAUCAGAUGUUAGAUACUUCACUAAAAGCUAUAUUCGUAAUAAUAAUUAUGACACACAAAGCUGGAUGAGCCUACCCCAUGGAUGAUGUUCUAUUUAAAACUUCUGUCAUAGAAAUAUACCAAAUAUAUCUUACUCAUAAAUGGCAUUAAUCAACCGUUUAUAUUAUUCUUCGCAAUUAACAAAGGGUGUGAAUUCCUUAAUAGUCACUUGCACUGAUUACAAACUUAUGAAAUAAAUACACUCUCGGUGGACAGUAAUCAACUCUGUAAGAAACAUGUUCAAAUUUCAAAGCACAUCCCUAACAUGGAUUGUUCAAAUUUCAACGCACAUCCCUAACAUGGAUUGAGUAAAAUGAAGCGCAUAGAUGCAGAAAACAUGAACAAACCUCAGAACCAGACAUGAAAAAGGAAGACGGAAAGUUGGCAAUAACAAGCUCAAGAAACUUGAAAGCUGUGAGUCGAAUAUCCACUGAAAUGUGUGUCAUUGCAACAAUAAUAUAUUUAAUCAACGCUUCAAUAGUAGACUUUGGAAUGUCCUGCAGAGAAGGGGAUAAAGAGUUUGAGAUCCGCUGAAUGAGAAAUAGACAUCAAAUUGAAUCACUCAAUCAAAAAGGAGAAAAGGAAAACAAAAAAAAAAAAAAGAUUUAUAUUUCCAUACUUUCAUCUUCCAACUAAGGUAUUGUAUGUAGCUUCUUACAUGCUAAUAUUUGGAUUUAAAUUACGAUGAGAGGUAAAAACAAAGAAUAUCUACCUCUUUUAAAGAUGGAAAGAUCACAGUUUUCAAGAGGUGAUAUAGAAUGUCGCGAACAACUCUAUCACUGUCACACAUUCUAAGGCAUAACCUCUCUAUAAUGGGCUUGUGUAGCAUUAGCUCUGACGGAUAUUUGAUGAAAAGUUCCUUUAAACCAUGUAAGGCGGCUGCAAACAUACCACAUAAAAAUGAAAAUGCAAGAACAUAAUUUUGCUAAAAAGUGCAUAUUCUCCAAAGCUCAUAAAAGAAAAAAUAUAGAAAGGAUCAGGUAAAGAAAAUAUGCACAUCAAAAUUACAUUGGAAUUCACUAAUAACCACUGUUUCUUUCUCACCAAAAAGGCAGGCAUUUAGGAAGUGAACCAAGAUACCUUUCCUAAUCUUCACAUUGUGGUGAGAAGUCUGGUUAAGAAGCUCUGCUAGUGUUAAACCUCUCUUGUUUACUGCUAAGCCUCCUCUGUCUGCUGCCAUGCUCUGCUCCGGGAGAACAAUUGCUGCACACAAUCAACCACCCAAAAGUAAGAAGUAACCCGUAUUAAAGAUAUAUGAUUGUGUAGGGUUUGACUACACAUCAAAAACAUCGAAUCUUUCACGAAGAUUGAAUGGUGAAAAGUCAUUGCAGCCCUAGUUUGGUAACUUGGUGGUUAAAAUUACUCCUUUCAUACUACAGACAGUCCAAAAAAAUCCAAAAGCACUUACAAUCUUCCUUCCUCCAAUGCUUUAAAAUUGCAGUUGCAUUCACCACCGAAGAAACCUAUGACUUAAAAUUGCAAUUUUAUAGUAUGAAAUCACUUUUAAAAUUUUUGGGCCCAUUAUAGCAUAAAAAUCAUGCUUUUGGCUACCACAUUACCAAACUAGGCCUUAGGAACAAUAAGAUUAUCGUAUAGAAGCCCUCUAAACAUGCAUCAGAUGGUCACACGAUGGAACAAAUAAGGCACUAGUGUUGCAAAACGCAAAAUCGAGCUUCCAAUUUAAAGUUCCAUAGUAUAUGCAUGUAUCGUCUAUAUUUUUGUGUGUACGACAUCCCUAUGAAUUGGAUGCAUUUGUGUCUCCAACUGUGAGUUAACAUAUAUGUAUGUAUGCAUACAUGUACAUACAUACAUACACACAUACAAUAGUUGUAAUACACAUAUAAAAAUUGCAAAUUUAUAAAUAAGAAGAGCAUAAAAAUUAGAAACCUUUGGAUUUGAUUUCAGUAUUGGUGGCAUUUUUCGGUGGCGGCAGUUUCCGCCCAAUCUUACGCUUUAUUUUCUGCAUAGAAAAAGCAAAAUAGAAAUUAUGUGAACAAAUUACAGAGAAGAAGAUCCAAUAAACAUGAAAGGAAGUAUUAAAAAAAUAUAUACUUUAAAAUCGACUCCGCCUUUUGGUUUCUUCGAAGAAGAUGGCUUCGAUCGCACCAUGUUAACACUCUUAUGUGUAACAAGAACCUGGAAGAUAACAAGUAUUAGUAGUUAGAUGUAGAAGAGGAGUAAAGGUAGCAGCUUUACUAGCUAGAAGGAGAAUAAGCGGCAGCAGCAGGUGGAGAGGAGGAGGUGCGGCAGGUGGGUCCGACGAGAAGCGCCUUCGAAAGGACCCAGGCGAGCUUGACGGAGCAGUCCCGGGAGAGGUGGUCCGGGCGAAGCUCUGGUGGGACAACGGAGCUAGGGCAUCCUCAAAGCUCGGAGAGGGCGAUGGGAGGUCCGACGGAAUCCAUGUAGUUGGGGCGAAGAAGAGGACUGGCGGAUCAAAGUAUAAGUACGAGAAUGUAUGGCAAACAGGGACAUGAAUGAAAUGAAAUAUGGAAUCUGCUUCUUCCCCAAUUAUCCUUCUUCUCCUCUAAUCUUCUUCCCCUUCUCGUCUUUUCCCACUCUUCUCUAUUUCUUCUAAAACCCUACUCUCUUCCCCACAAUCUCACUCCUUAUCUCCCUCUGUCUCUCUACCUCUCCUUUUCUUUCCCAAACUCUUCCCCACAUCACCCCCAAAUCAUCCGGGAUAUUACAUUACGUAACAAAACAAUUGGGGAAAAAAACCAAAAAAAUUUACUGAAAAUUGGCAGGAAAAAACACUACGAUGCAAAAUCCGAUUCAAAGCGAAGCUUAUAGAUGAUUCUAAGUAGAAUAUAAUCAAAAUAAUUGGGAAUUUGAAGGAUUUCGAUCAUGGAAACGAAGGGGAAAGCGAAUAGCGAGGUAGGGUUUAGGGUUUUAAGAAGCGGAAGUGGAAUACUAGUAAAGGGUGAGGCGGGGAUUGUGCGCUUUUCCGUUUCAGGCCGGUUUAAGGAGAAAUUGAGCCGAACCGGUUGAUCCGGUUGAUCGUCCACUUUUAAACUUUUUUAAUUUAUAAUUUUAUAUCUAGAUAAGUUAAAAAUAUUGUUAAACAAAAUAAAUCUAUUAGUUAUUGACCCUUAAUUAUCUAAUUUUCUUUACUAAAAGGAGACAAAAAUUAUUAAAUUUGGUAAAGUUACUUUUGAAUUUGAUUAAAUAUUUAGAAUAUUUUACUAAAAUCACCAAAUUUCAAAAAAAAAAAAAAAAAGAAGAAAUUGAGGAGGCAAGUUCAUCAAUACCAAAGGGUGAAACAAAAACUGUUUCUACAGUUGCUCCGCAUUUUCGGUCUGGAUCUCACUAUUUUCGGCCUGUGGGUCCCUCCUGUCUGCCUUUUCGGUUCCCUCCUCUCUGCCUUUUCGGUUCAUCUCUUUCUCUUUCCCCCCUCUCUUCUCCGCUUUUUUCGGCCUGUAGCCCUUUUUACUCUUCUCUUUACCAUCUGACCCGUGGGCCCCUUUUUCCUGGCGCCUCCCUUUAUUUCGAAAGUGGGCCCCAUCAACCCUUUCUCAACCAUCUGAACAGUGGGUCCUCUACUUCUCUCCCGAGUCCCGACACGGCCUCUCUUUCUUUCUCUCUCUCUCUACCAACCCCUACGUUUCCUAUAGGAUCGGCCCCCCUUCUUCUCCGCCAGAUCCCGGCGAUCCCAUCAUCCGAGAUCCGUGCCGUACAUGGAUCACGGAGAUCUUGCACCCGUCGCUUCAGAUCGGUCGGCCGAUCCCAAAAAUCUCGCACCGCCGGCCGUCAACUCAGGCCGAUCCGUCGUCCCGUACGCGAAUCCCAGUGAUCGCGCUGCCACCGUCACCCACGCCGGCCGAUCCUAAAAAUCCCGCGAGAAAACUCGCUGUCGCCGUCGCAUACCCCGGAUUUGGAGUUGCUAGGGUUUCUUUUUGGGGCGUAGAUUUCACAGAUCAGAUGGAUAAAAAGGAUUAGAUGGGAGUUUGGAGUGUUUUCUAGAAGUCAUCAUACCUGUAUACAAUAUUUUUUCCUGGGCUUUGAAAUUUGCUCUGAAUUUGAAGAAAAUGUCCUGUUUUUGUUGGUUGAUUAGUCCUUUGCCUGGCAAUUUGCACUUUGUUGCUUCGGAGUGGAAUUAUGGAUUUGCCGUUUAUUGUUUUUGAGAUAACUUUGAAGAAAUUUAGCCGCGUAGUUUUUUGAUUGGUUCUUAUUUCUCUACCGUAAGAAAUUGUCCGUAAUAUUUUAUGCUAACUCUAUUCUGUUCACCCCUUCUCUAGGUGGGAAAAAAAAAGGUGUUCACAGUGGAGAUAGAGUUCACCAUACUAGCCCAGAUUCGAGGUGAGCAGACGUGAAAAAGAAAAGGGGAAAAGAAAAGGGGAAUUACUUGCGGAAAUGUAUCUAUGCGAUGUGUGUUUUGUACUGGGAUGCUGUGCUAUACGUUAUUUAGAUACAAAGAACUGUUGAAGGGAAGAACGCUUUCAUACUGUAUAAAGCUAUUAUUCUUUGAUUAGCUCUCCUAUGUUUUGAUGUAUACUAUUGUUUACGAAAACUAAUUUUUAUGGUUAAGUUGACAGAGAAUGUUAUUUACACAGUGGCGUUUUUUCUUCAAGUGUUAGUGGUCUCUAGAUUUUAAUAGUUUGUCCUUUGAGAAACUAUUUUGUCAAAUAUAGCCGCAGCAUAGUGUUAGUGGUCUAUAAACUACUUAGCUAAGCUUGAACAAUUUCAUUGAUGAGCUAUCUAAUUUUAUUUGCUAGGUACUCCUUGCAAGAUCACUUGCUCCGUCUUCUACUGCUAGGCGUACUUAUACCUGGUAUUCUAAUUACAAGUGAAAUUUGUUCCUUUAUUAAGCUUUCUACGAAAUUGAGUGUGCCAUAUAAAUGUGAAAUCCAAAAAAGUACAACAAGUGUAAGCACGUUACGGGAAUAUAGUGAAAUUUGUUUCUUUGUUAAGCUUUCUAUAAAAUUGAGUUUCUUGCCAGAAACAAAGAAGCAAAGUACUGAAAUUUAGUUUCUUUGUUAAGUACACAUUUGUUUCUUUGUUAAGUUGCCACAUUUGUUUCGUUGUUGAGUUGCCGCAUUUGUUUCUGUUGGAAAUAAUUGGGCAGCGGAAACUUACAAACCGGAUAGCCAACGUAUCCGAGAACCCGAAUCAGAUCGGAUUGCUUGUUUUACAAGCCUUCUUUGAUCGUCCUUGUCUCAAUGCUUCUAGAACUUCCACGUUUCUCGCCUUCUCCCACGCAUACGCCUUACGCCACGGAUCGGAUGCGGAUCUGAUGCGACGGAUGCCAAUCGAAGAGGGCUACCAGAGUCCUCUUCUAUGUCCACACUCCAAAACCCCGAGAACGUAGGUGGAAAUCCCAAAGAGGAACAAGAGAGAGAAUAAGGAAGAUAUUUCGUGGGUUCUUACGAAUUUGAUCGUAUGCGAUCGUCUCUUUUUCCGGAGAGAAAAGGGGGCGUAUUUAUAGAAUAACGGAACCCCUAAAUAUCCUGAAUCUCAUAUAGAUUAGGAUAAGGAUCAGGAUAUCUAUUAACAUAUAAUAGAUAUCCACUAGUAGAUACGUUUCUUAACUAAUAAGAAAUAUAUGAUUUAUACUUAUCCUAAACUUAUUAGGAUAAAUUUCAAUCCACAUCUUAAAUGGAUCGGGUUAAAUUAAAACCCGCCAAUGUGGACACACCACAUGGCUACAAUCUCCCACUUGGCCACAUUGGCCAAUUCUCUCUCAUUCAUUCAUCUCUUCAUACGGGUAAUGGAGCGUGCGACCUGACGAAAGAAACACAUGCAGGAGUAUUAUAUUAAGUCACCACCCAACUAACAUAGCACAUCACUGACUUAAUUCGUCUAUGCCCUAGACGUUCCAACACACAUCGGAUCAAGCAUCACAAAGUCCCUCUCCUGUAAUGGCAGGGCUCGACCCCACCGUUAUUUCUCGUACUCAUGAUUAUCUCAAGUAACAUAACCGAGAUAACCGCCCGGGCAAUGAGUCACAAGACUUACGUGGUGUGUUAUCGAAACAUCUUCCUCAGCCCCUCACGUUAAUCCGUAUUGGUCCAAACACUUUACUAGACAUGCUCCGCGAGAUCGUAUUUUCUCAUGACCCUGAGAUACAUGCUAAGUUAGUUAUUUUGGACCUCCACUUCAUAACGUAGUUCUAAGUCGAGGGCACAAAAGGAUUAGUGCUCACACAGUAACAUGGAGGGAAAAACUUAUGUCACUCUACUAACUGGUCGAUAAGCACAUACAGUAAGAUAUAUAUUCUAUGGCGGAGCUCCCACUCAAUGGGUCAUGUUACGCUCUAAAACGCCAUACGAACCUUGGUCUAGGUACCACUAAGGUAUCUAACCACCACAACUCAAGUCAUCUCUCUAACCUGAGCACUUAGGUUUGGCUACUAUACAGGCUCAAUAUGAAAUUUCACAAAAAACAAACUCUCAUAUCCAACUCUUGAGAGUCUCAUCUUAAACUAAUUAAGGCGACUUUAAAUUAUAUCAACACUUCAUUCAUAACGUAUAUGAACAAAGUAAUCAUAUUACAACUACUCAAGUUUAAUAUGAUUAUCUAGUCUCAUCCUGCUCACCACCUAGGUGCCAGGGCGAUCACCCGUGUGAGCUGAUCUGAGCCUGGUGAUUUAUCGAAUAUGUGCCUAUCAAUUACGCAAUCACAUUAAAAGGAAAAAUAUAUUUUCAUUAAUAAAGCAUAAAAUACAAAAAAAUGUCCAUAUCAAAACCUACGAAGACCCAAACUCCUAACGUGGGUCUGGAACAUAUCCCUAGCUAUCGGCUUGGUCAACAGAUCAGCCACCAUCCUAGUGGUGGAGAUAUGUCUGAGAAUGACCUCGCUUAGCCUAAUCAUCUCUCAAAUGUAGUGAAAACGGAUAUCAAUAUGCUUAGUCCUGCCAUGAUACUUUGGAUCUUUCACAUACUCCAGAGCAGCCAUGCUGUCAGAGAACAUCUCGACAGGUUCAUUUGCUCGAGUCACGAUGUCGAGGUGCUGGAGAAAUCUCCUCAGCCAAACAGCCUCCUGAACGGCCGCUGAAUAAGCAACGUACUCCGCUUCCAUAGUUGACAAGGCAAUACAGCUCUGCUUCUUACUGCACCAGGAAAUUGCACCACCUCCAAGCAUAAACACAUAGCCUGAAGUGGACCUGCGCUCAUCUCUAUCACCACCCCAAUCAGCAUCACUAUAUCCUUUCAAUCUCAAGUCCCCACCUUGAAAAUAGAGAAUGAGAUCACUGGUUCCUUUUAAAUAUCGAAGGAUUCUCUUGACCGCUUGUCAAUGAAUAGGUCCUGGGUUGCUCUGGUAACGACUUACCAAGUCAACAGCAAAGCAAAUGUUAGGUCGAGUACACAUCAUAGCGUACAUCAAACUGCCAAUUGCACUCGCAUAAGGAACCCUACUCAUUUGCUCCUUUUCUUUAUCUGUUUUAGAGCACUGAUCAAGACUCAGAGUGUGAUUCUUUUCCACUUGAGUGUCAACGGGUUUGCAAUGAUACAUCCUAAAACACUCUAAAAUCUUUUUAAUAUAAGUUUCUGGAGACAAACCAAGAAGCUUUCUAGAGUGAUCACGGAUGACCUUCACUCCAAGCACAUAGCUCGCCUCACCCAUGUCUUUCAUUUCAAAAUUGAGAGACAACCACUCCUUAUUGGUAUUGAUUAACUCCAUGUCAUUUUCAGUCAAUAGUAUAUCGUCGUCGUAUAGAGAGAGAAACAAAAUUCCAUUCUCUGUCUUCUUGACAUAUACACAGUGGUCUUUCUCUAUCAUGGACAUACCGACAGAAGUGAUGGCUUCAUGAAACCUGAAAUACCACUGUCUCGACGACUGCUUGAGGCCGUAAAUGGAUCUUUUAAGACGACAAAUUUUGUCUUCUUGACCUUUGAGUACAAAACCCUCAGGUUGAUCCAUAUAGAUCUUCUCUGCCAAUUCUCCAUUGAGAAAAGCUGUCUUGACAUUUAUUUGGAACAAUUCUAAAUCUAGGUGUGCCAUUAAGGCUAGAAUCAAACGAAUAGAGGCAAAUCGCACAACGGGAGCAAACGUCUCGUUGUAAUCCACCCCUUGCUUUUGAGUGUAGCCCUUAGCCACGAGCCGAGCCUUGUAUUUAUCGAUUAAUCCAUCUGCCUUGCGCUUAAUUUUUAAAACCCAUUUAUUUCCAAUAGACUUGCACCCAGGCGGAAGGUCAACCAAUUCCCAUACUUGGUUCUUGCUCAUGGAGUCCAUCUCAUCUUUCAUAGCAGCUAUCCACUCACUGCAAGCUGACGCCUGUAAUACUUCUUUAUAAUAAGCAGGUUCAUCAUCAUCAAGCGAAGUGCACAUGAAAAUAUCCUCUUCGAUCUCAAAAUGUCGACGGGGAAUAUGUCCACGUUCACUUCUGCGUAAUGGAGGGUCUAAUCUGCCGACUUCCAUGGGUAUGCUCUCACUCAAAGAAGCACUCCCACUAGCCGGAGGAUCGCUACCACUUCCUUCAGCGACUUCAGGAAGUGAUCGAUCACCCUCAACCGCAGAUGGGGUAGCGUCGUCCUGUAACUCAUACAAUCCGACGACUCUUCGCAUUUCACCAAUGCUUGGAAAAUCCCCUUCUAGGAAUUCCACAUCACGAAACUCAAUAUCGGUCAUACCACCAUGUGGGUGUUCACCAUACAUCACAUAGCUCUUCGAAUUUUCAGGGAAUCUGAUGAACACAUGCUUGCUCGCUCUAGGGCCGAGUUUCCCGAAUUCAUGUAAGAGGCUGUGAACAUAUCCAGUCGAACCCUAAGGGCGUAAGUAGUGUAAACUUGGCUUCCUACUGCUCCACAAUUCAUAUGGGGUGGUAGGCACUGAUUUGCUAGGGACUCGAUUAAGGAUGUAGGUUGCAGACAAAAGAGCAUCUCCCCAAAAAUUUAUAGGAAGUUGCGCUUGCGCCAUCAUCGACCUAACCAUAUCUAAUAGAGUACGGUCUCUUCGCUCUGCAACACUAUUUUGUUGCGGAGUACCAGGAAUAGUGAGCUGUUUACUAAUGCCCUUUUGCUCAUAAUAAGUCUUGAACUGAUCAGACAAGUACUCACGACCUCGGUCAGUGCGAAGCACCUUUACACUUCUUUUUAUUUGAUUCUCAGCCUUCGCAACGAAGCGCUUGAAGCAAUCUAAAGCUUCAGAUCGGCGAGAAAGCAAAUGCACAUAUCCAUAACGGGAAUAAUCAUCAAUGAAUGUGAGAAAAUAGCAAGCACCAUACCGGGCCCUCACAUUCAUUGGCCCACAAAUGUCUGAGUGGAUUAGCUCUAAAGGAUGAGAGGCACGAGUAGCCUUACCGAAAGGCUUUCUACAUGCCUUCCCAGCCAGACAAGGCUCACACACAGAUAGGUCAACUUUGGCGAGAGACCGCACAGGCCUUCUCGAGCCAGUCUAUUCAUUCUUUCUUGACCUAUGUGGCCCAAUCGGGCAUGCCAUUUAACGGAUUCAUCACAGAGAAUAGAUGAAAACGAAGAAGAAGCAAAUGCAAACAAAUCAUCCUCUAAAAUCUAAUUUAAAGAAACCAUUAACUAAUGUACCAUAUCCAAAUAAAGUACCAUGAAAGGAAAUAUCAAGGCGGUUUCUGUCAAAAUGAAAGUUCUACAAAGCUUUCUCCACCACAGGGAGCCUGAUUUCGUUUCUUCUGCGCUCCAUUGUUGUGAUGCUUUUUGCGCUUGGGUACGAUCCUAUUGCGCUUCUUGAAGCGUGCAACAAGAGCGACAGAAUGAUUCGCUUCCAAGCGCUCUGCCUCGAGCUCGAUAUGGUGUGAGAUGUUAUUAAACAUUUUAAUGUUCUCGUUAUGCGUCAUUAGGAGCUUCAUUUGGGACCAUUCAGAAUCAGGCAGUGAACGAAUCACUGCUAGAACUUAUUGUUGCUCAUUAUUGAGCUCGUUUCCAGCAAUUUUAAGGUCAUGAAUUAUGGUGCUCAUCACACGAAGGUGCUCAGCCAUUAAAUAUUUGGGGUCCUCAGUGUAUUGCUGAAACAUCAAAUUUAAGGCGCGUAGCCUCGUGGCUGAAAUUUGCCCAAAAGCAAUCUUCAGAUUGUCCCACAUGUCCUUGGCAGUCUCGUCAGUCUCAAACUGUUCAAUGAGGUCGUCUUGCAUGUCACACAAUAUAGUGUACCAAGCAGUUUCGAUCCUUCUUGAACCAUUUGUUAUAAACCUCUUUUCAUACUCAGAAGUUGUGCCUUCGGCAGGCAUGACUCUUUUGACAGAGAGAGUUACGAAAACCCCUUGUUCAUUAAGCAGGUAUUGCAUUUUCCUAUGCCAAAUAUCAUAAUUCUUUCCAUCUAGCUUAUCACCCCUGGUGAGAUCAGCUAUGAUGUUCUUGGAAGUCAUUUCACUACAUUCAAAAAUAGGUUUGGACAUUAGGCACAUAUUCCCAAAAAAAAAUUAACAAGAUUGAAACUUUUAUCCUCGACACAACGGGAUCGAAAACUUCGCUAUGCUCGUAAUCAUCACCCAGUAUCGAUUCAAAAUAUUACAAUCUUAUUAAUUUUCUAUUAAUUUUGAAACUUAUCCAAAAUUUGGAACUCAUCCAUAUUAAAGAACACAUCUUUUCUUAAAAAAAAUUUUAUGUACGGAGAACUAAUCUCAUCACACAGAUAAAAAUUAAGUACUUAUGUCAAAAUUUAAUUUGAAAAAUGUCGACGCUGCGUAAAACACAUUCCUUUACAUGGCCUUAAUUAUUACAUCAUCUUUUGCAUAAUUAAAACCUACUACAUCACUACAAGAUGUACAUCUGAAAAAAAAACUACAGGAAUGCUGCACACGUCGAACCCGUUUUUUCAAAAAUUAAAUUUAUUGAGAAAAACACCGAAAUAACAUAAGUACUUAUAUGCCAAUAAAAUAUCAUGCUACAUAAGCAAAAAAAACACCCACAUAGGAUAAACAACACAUGCAUAUUCAAAAAAAAUGGCAUAGAAAAAAAAUAAAUAUAUUCCAAAAAAAAGAUAUGCAGGAAAUAAAAAUUAUCCACAUAGGAAUUUUUUUUUUUUUGUUCUGGACUGCGUGUGGCGAGCCGGGCCGGCAAAAAAAAUCGCCCACAGCGCGUCUGGUUGGGGCCGGGCCCACAGGCCCCCUGUACUGUGCGCGCUGGUGCUGCCCGCGCCCGCAACGGGCCGGGCUUGCGCGGUGGGAGCAGGUGCUGUCCGCGCCCGCAGUCCGCAGCAGGCCGGGCCCGCGCAGGUGGUGCGCGCCCGCGUCCGCAGCGCGCCCGGGCCCGUGCAGUGCGGUCGAGUGCGCACCGCGCCCGCAGCGGGCUGGGCCCGCUCGGAGCGCGCGGGUGAGCCCCGCUCGUGCAACGGGCCUGGCCCGGGCAGAGCGCGCAGGUGAGCCCCGCUCCCGCAACGGGCCGGGCGCGCGCGGAGCGCGCGGGUGGGCUGCAGCACUCGCAGCAGGCCUAGCCUACGCGGUGGCGCCGCUGUGCGCCCGUGCCUGCAGCGGGCCGGGUCCGCUAGCACACCCGAGCGCUGCAGGAACGCCCCCGCUCGCACGCUGAGCAACUGCGCAAGGGCGCGCGGAACCGCACAGGCCGGGUCGCGCAUAGCCUUCGCGCAGAGGCGCACGGGCCCGUACUGGCCUGGCCCAGGGCUCACAGAGGGCUCAGGGGCGUGCGGACCGGCUCGGGUCGGUCCUAUAGCCCCACAGCGUUGAGCGCGUGUACGGCCCGUGCGCUGCGUGCGGGUGCGCGCCCGCGCGCCGCUGGUCCACGCGGUGCGCGUGGGUGCAAGCGCUGCGCGUGGGUGCAAGCAGCGCCCGCAGCGGGCCGGGCCCACGCCAUGAGCGCGGGUGCUCCCUGCUCCCGUAGCGGCCCGGGCCUGCGCGGGUGCGCCCCGCUCCCGAAGCAGGCUGGGCCUGCGCGGCAAACGCGGGUUCGCCCCGCUCCUGUAGCAGGCCGGGCCAGCGCGGUAUGCUCGGGUUCGUGGCCGCGCCCGCCCGCAGGGGUUUGCUUUGUGCCAGCCGCUCGCAUUGAUUUUUAUAAAAUUUUUUUAAUGCACGAAGCAGAAAAAAAACAGCAAAAGAAUAAGUAUUAACCUAAAAAAAAUCGCAUAUUUUAUGAUCAAUUUGAGAAAACUAAAACUAAUUUAGUUUUUCUCUUUCCUCCUUUUUAAUCGAUUUUACAUAGAAAACGAAAAAAUAAAAAUUUGUAGAACCAAUCUACUAAAAAAUUGAUCAACGAAUGUGAUCUAAAAACAUCACAGGCAUGAUCAUAAGGCGAAAACAAGCAUUCAAUCUCUGAUACCAAUUGUUGGAAAUAAUUGGGCAGCGGAAGCUUACAAACCAGAUAGCCAACGUAUCCGGGAACCCGAAUCAGAUCGGAUUGCUUGUUUUACAAGCCUUCUUUGAUCGUCCUUGUCUCAACGCUUCUGGAUCUCCCACGUUUCUCGCCUUCUCCCACGCGUACGCCUUACGCCACGGAUCGGAUGCGGAUCUGAUGCGACGGAUGCUAAUCGAAGAGGGCUACCAGAGUCCUCUUCUAUGUCCACACUCCAAAACCCCGGGAACGUAGGUGGAAAUCCCAAAGAGGAACAAGAGAGAGAAUAAGGAAGAUAUUUCGUAGGUUCUUACGAAUUUGAUCGUAUGCGAUCGCCUCUUUUCCCGGAAAGAAAAGGGGGCGUAUUUAUAGAAUAACGGCACCCCUAAAUAUCCUGAAUCUCAUAUAGAUUAGGAUAAGGAUCAAGAUAUCUAUUAACAUAUAAUAGAUAUCCACUAGUAGAUACGUUUCUUAACUAAUAAGAAAUAUAUGAUUUAUACUUAUCCUAAAUUUAUUAGGAUAAAUUUCAAUCCACAUCUUAAAUGGAUCGGGUUAAAUUAAAACCCGCCAAUGUGGACACACCACAUGGCUACAGUUUCUUUGUUAAAAUUGAGGUUUCUAUGGAAAUUUGUUUCUUUGUUGAUUUCUUUGUUAAGCUUUUAAUUUAUUUUCACAUGAGAUUGAUCGAAGUUGGGACAACUGCUCAUUUGGCUUUCUUGCCCAUAGUCCUUUGACUAAAUGAAGUUCCCAGGCUGUUACCUCCCCUCUGUUAUCUGCUAUUUUUCCCUUUUUUUCGUAAAUAAGUUUUGUUAUAUCUGGUUGAGUACUAUCAUCUACGCUGAGUUGCGCCCUGUGUAUCGAGGGGUAUUUCGGAGGUUGAUGUUGAGAGAGAGGAUGAAUGUGGGAUGAACUGCAAUCAUGCUAUCUGCAUGAAGUGCUAUAGAGAGUGGUAGAAAUUUCAACCCAUUUCAUUUUCAUCUUUUCUAAUUCAUUAUACCUUUAGUUAAAUUUUCUUGAAAUUAUAGAAUACGAAGGUUCAUGGUGAACUAUAUAUUGCCGAUUCUAUUUAUGAUCAAGUGAGAAUUGAUUGUUUUUUACCUCGCCACUCAUUGGUUUAUGUACUAUUUGUUCAAUAAACAGUCUUUCCUAUUUUCUUGCUUUUUUCAGAUUUUACUAUUAUCUUAAGAUGUUUGAAAGCAUCAAAGUGAGUUGCUGAUCAUCUAUUUUAUAUUUGAUUGUUUUUUUUAUUUGUUUGUAAGCCUCAUGCACAAUUCACAUAAUCCCUUCCAGAAUCUAUUAUAUUAAAUCCAAACACGACACAUAAGACCCAAUAUGAAUUGGGUGUUUGAGUCAAUAUAAUUCAUCAAAUUAAAGCGCACCUGAUAAAUUAUAUUAACUUGGAUAUUGUACACUUUUUAUAUUGCACAUGAAUCUAUAAGGGAGUCAAAGAAAGUAUUGUCUCUUCUAUACAUUUGAAUAUGAUUCAUUAACAUUUCUAACAAUGUAACUUAAUCUUUAGUAGCACAAAUAUUUGUGCAAAUAUUAUUUUCUUCUGUUGUUUAACAUUUAUUGUUUGUGUGUUCACUAUAAAUUUUGCCGUCCGCCGCGAAGCGCGGGUACUUAACUAGUAAUGCACUAUAAUUGAGGUGGUCCCAUACAUUAAUUGUUAUCAAAAAUAAUAAUUAGUCAUCAACUUAUUUUAAUAUAUGCUAACUCAUCUAUAAACCUAUAUGAAACCUCAAUGUCUUUUGCCACGUGGCAAGCUAUGCUUCAUUCUCAUAACCUCUUCUCAAACCAAACACUUUAUUCUAUAAAGUAAUUAGUAACUUAAACAAAUAAAAAUCUCUAAAUUAAUGCACAUUUAAUUUGACCGUUUUUCUUUCUAGGAGAGCUUCAUUCUCAUAACCUCUCCUUAAACCCAAACCCUUUAUUCUCAUAAUAAUCCAACGUUUUCAUAUAUAUAUAAAGUAAUUAGUAACUGAAAGUAAUUAGUGCUUCAUGCUCUUCUUUAAACAAAUUAAAAUCUCUAAAUUAAUGCAUAUUUAAUUAGACCGUUUUUCUUUCUAGGAGUGGAGUAUUUAAAUAAAAUUUCCAAUAGAAAUUAAAUGUGAGAAUUAAAUCCCCCAUUUACUCUUUUCUAUAUUAUCUCUUAUUUUGCAUAGAUAACGGUUACAAAAAUUUUUAAUUAUAAGUGCACUAUAAAUAUCCACUAGAGUAGAAUAAAAAAUUUGUCAAAUUUUUGGUCAAUAAUACUUUUUUUUUUCUUGCUUUCCCAACAUAGUAGAUUACCUUAUUCAUUUGAUAGAGAAUAAGAUAAUCAGUUAAAGACUUAAGUGUAAGUUAACCAAUUUUUUUUUCUUUAUUUUUUUUCUUUUUUUUCCUUCAGGAAGCAAAGAUCAUAUUAAUUUUUAAUAUACUAUACCACAAAGAUUUGAUAUGUUCAUCUAUAGAUAAUUUAUUAUCACCUAUAUACGAUAUAGCCUAUACUUUAUAUAGGCGAAAAAUAAUCUCCGGUAUUAUAUUUGAUACAUUUAAAUUUCACAUACCUUCUGCAAUUUUUUUAGUUUGAUUUUGUCAUCAUUUUUCUAUUAAUUUGCAUAUUUUUAGAUUUUUUUGUGUGUUUUUAUAUUUAUUGAGAUUUUAAUUUUUUUGAUUUAUUUAAAAUAUCAAGAUGUUAAAAUUGUUAAGCUUUUUCAACAUCGAUUUGAUAGUUGUGUUAUUUUUAUUUCAUUUUUCUUACAAAAAUUAAAACUAGCUUUAAAAAAUAGUAACAAAAUAAUAUUUAUCACCAUAGUAAAUAUAAAUUUUUAUUUGUUAAUAUAUAAUAAAAAUUAUUUGUGAAAUUUCUUACAUCGCACUGAUUUACUUACUAUCUAAUAUUAUAUAUAUUUUUUAAUUUGGAAAAAGAUACAUACUUACUCUAUAUUAAAGGAGAGUUCCAUCAUAUCAUUGGGUAUGAAGGUGAUCCGUGUCCUCUCCAUUCUCCUAUAUUCACUUCAAGAAAAAUUGAAAACAUCUUGUCUACAAUAAUAUAACAUGCACCAAAUUUUUUUCUUAAUUUGAAAUUAAAAUAUAAUUUAGCAUAUAUAAUCUACAUGAUAUAAAGAGAUAAUCAGUUUAUGUACCAAAUAUUAUAGAGUUUAAAUUUAAAAAAUAGUGAUAUAUCAAUAUGGUGUUUAAGAAAUAAUAUACACCCGGAGCAUGGAAUGAUUCUCCUCCCAACCCAUUCCUCAUGUAUAAAUAAGUUGCCUACACCCUGUCUAUAAAUAUUACAUAUACCAACCCUAAUUUUGAAUAAUUAAUACUAUAAAAUUAAAAUAUAAUUUCAAUGCGAUCUAUACUCUAUUGGAAGCCUCCAUAUAAAAAAUUAGUUAUUACAGUUUAAAUUUUUAUAUCAGCUUUUUUAAAAUAAAGUACAUAAAAUUUACUUAUACACCCGGUGUAACAAAUAGUAUCAUUUCCUUUAAUAUAGGUAAAAAAAUAUAGAUACCCUAUUUAAUUAUAAUUUCUAUUUUUUUAAUUUUAAUUUUUAUACUUAGUUAAAUUAAAAUGAUCAAAGAUAAUUAUUAAAAUUAUUAAAUCCGGUGAACCUAUUAAUAAAUUUAAUUAAUUUAUAAAAUUUUUGAUAAAAUUAUUUUAGUCAAAAUAUUAAAAGUUUAGAAAGUCUUAUACAACUAUUAAACACUUUGAGAUAGACAACUUAAAAUUAUUUUUUAAUUAUGAUUAAUUAUAGUUAAUUAAACAAAAUAUUUAUUAAAAUUUGUAUAAAUUAAAAUUUUUAAAGUUACUGAAAUACUACAAAAUAUUUAUUAAAAUUUAUAUAAAUUAAAAUAUUUAAAUUUGCUAAAAUAUUAUCUACCCGCCGCGAAGCGCGGGCCUGGCCUACACUAGUAGAUAUAAUAUAUGGAUGGAUGUGAGUCUACCUUGCUUAAACUUAUCAUCAUAUUUCACUGUCCGAUAUUUAUGAUCCAUUGAGCAUUAUAGAUUUUAAUUUUCAAAUUAAAAAUUUCGAAUGUUUAAAAUCAAAAUUUUAAAAUUUUAAAUUUUUAAAUAUUAAUUUUGAAUUUUAAAUUUUUUUUGUGAGUUUUCCAGCAACAAUGAUUUUGUACACGCAGCAACUUUAUCUCAAAUACUGAUUCAAAAUAAUUAAGCUAAUAUUUUAAAGUUUAAUAUCUAAAAAUAAAAAUACGAACUCACUUACCAUCAAAUAAUCUUCAUUAUUUUGAUCAUGAAAAGUUAAAAUAUUAACAAAUACGUAGCAAACAAAAAGAUAAAAUAUAUUAGCAAACUAUGUAAUAUGUGCCCCGUCAUUACUUUGAGCCUAAACUUUGCAUAUACACACGCAGGCCCUGAAAUUUGUUACAUAUUGCAUAUCUAUCUUAACUAUCAAAAUAAUUAGCUUUAUAGAAAAAUUUAACGCUCCUACCAAAAAAGAAAAAAAAAAAAAGAUUAGACAGGUGAAUUUUUUGCAUAACUCGGCUGUCACUAAUCUUUUUUUGGAGACAUAAACAUCAUUUAGAAAAAAUAUGUAAAAAUAUAAAUGGCGAGGAGAUUAUCGAAACAAUUAAUGGCAAAAGCAUGUAUCACAUAAAUUAGCUCUAUCCUCAAAAAAAGAAAAAGAAAAAAAGAAAGUAGAAGAUGAGAGACGAUAUUGAAACUUUUCCACUGAAACCCUCUUAAUUUGUUAGAUGAUAUAGCAACUUAACCACAUUAAGGAUUGAAAAAUAUUAGUAGCUAGUGAAAGAACCCGCGCUUCGCAGCGGAUAAAAAUUAUAGGGAGUAAUUAAUAAUAAGACAACAUCAAAUAUUAUUUUGUAUUCCUCACUUGCCACAGUCACGAAAGAUUACUCACUAUUGGUAGCAGAGAUAGAACUGAUGAUGCAUUCUCCGGCGAUGAUGAUAGUGAAAAUGACGACGAUCUUUUCGGCCGCGGCUGAGAGGGGACAUGGGCGCGCAUUAGUGAGAGAGGGAGGGAGGGAGGGGGGUGACAGUGUAUGAAAAAAGAUGAGGGACAGAAAAUUUUGGUGGAGGAAAAGUUUGGAACUAAAAAUGUUUAGAUGUAUUAAUUACAUAUAUUAAUUGGAAGUUUCAUGAAAAGAAAGGAAAUGGUCAAAUACGGUGAAGAACAACUUGUUAUUGAAAGUUUGGUAUUGAUAACGUUUAGAUGUAUUAAUUGAAAGUUUUAUGAAGGGAAUGGAAAUGGUCAAAUGAUGGUGAGGGUGAAGGACAAUUUGCCACAUGGCAGAAACUAUCGUGGAUUUAUAUAAGUUAAUAGAUGAUAACAUUUAGACGUAUUAAUUAAAUGUAUUAAUUGAAAGUUUGAUGAAGGGAAUGGAAAGGGUCAAAUGAUGGUGAGGGUGAAGGACAACUUGCCACAUGGCAGAAAAUAUCGUGAAUUCAUAUAAGUUAAUAUAAGUUAAUAGAUGAUAACAUUUAGACGUAUUAAUUAAAUGUAUUAAUUGAAAGUUUGAUGAAGAGAAUGGAAAGGGUCAAAUGAUGGUGAGGGUGAAGGACAACUUGCCACAUGGCAGAAAAUAUCGUGAAUUCAUAUAAGUUAAUAGAUAAUAGAUAGAUGAUAACUGAUAUAAGUAAUAUAAUAAGAACAAUAAUUAAACAGCAAAUUUGUAACCACAUUUAAUUACAGCAACUUUAGAGCAUCAAGCAAAAGAACAUUACUUACUACUAAAUAAAACUAACUUGCCACAAUUACUAAACAGAGAUAAAUUUUAUUUUAAGUAAAAAGAAGGUUGCUACUGGCACUGUGCAUUGUUUUUUUUUUUUUUUUUUUUUUNCAUAAAUUUUUUUUUUUGGAGAAUCGGUAGCACGCUACCUGCUUCAUUCAUUGAAGAUAUGAAUUAGGUUACAGGGGUGAGGCAAUCAGGGCCUCGAAGUCGGAAAAAAAAAAUCAUUAAAGGUGUUUCCAAGAAUCGAUCAGCUGUUUGAGGCUUCGCACCGCUCGAGCAGGAUCGACCUGUAUGUCGCGAAAGAUAAGGUUGUUCCUGGCCUUCCAGAUGGUCCACCAGCAAGCUGCCAAUUCAGUUGGUCCGUCCCUCGUACUUCGUCUAUCAGACCUUCCUUUCCACCUAUCCCAGACGGCACGGACAUCGUUACCCAACUCCCCUGCCUGAACAUCCUCGAGUUCCGUAACCAUGAUAAACUUAAUAAAGAUGUAUUGGGUGAACAGGUGGUCCACCGACUCGUCAUACACCCUACACAAGACACAGGCCGUAUCUCCAGACCAUCCCCUCUUACUGAGAUUGUCUGCUGUAAGUGUCCUUUUCUUAAGGACUAGCCAGCAGAAUACUUUGAUUUUGAGUGAAAUUCGGAGCCUCCAAAUCGAGUUACCACGGCCGUCCCUCGUCCCCCCGUCAUUCGUCAUUCGAUAGAUUGAUUUGAUUGAGAAUUCACCGUUACUGCCCUAUCUCCAGCCUAUCCUGUCCUCCCUAUGCCCAAUAUUAAAACUGGUAACUCUCUCUUUGAGUUCUAAGAAGGUAGGGCUUAGCCCCGGCGGAACAGAGGACUCGUCGCCCAAGAUCCUACCCCAAUUCCAGCCGUCCAUUCCAUAGCAAUCCUUAACCAGCAUCGAUUUGCAAUCCGGCAACGCGAACACCUCCGGGAAAGACGCUUGCAGUGUGGUAUUCCCGCACCAUCUGUCCCUCCAAAAGUCAACAGAUCUCCCAUUGCCUAGAACAUAGUAGGUCCCCCAUUUGAAAAUAACGUUAGUGGAUAGCACCCCUUUCCACUAAUGUGAGCGAGGCUUGAAACCUCUACCCUCCCACAGGAGCCUUCUUCUGCGAUAAUAUACAGCGAGGAUAAUCUUGGUCCACUGAAGAUGAGGUUUUGUGUGGAACCUCCACCACCAUUUAGCUAGGAGCGCCCUAUUCAUACCCGCUACAUCUAGAAUGCCUAGUCCACCUGCCGAUUUGCUCAAACAGACAUUCUUCCAGGCUACUAGGCACCCCUUGCCAGGCGGGCUGCUGUGGUCGCUCCAGAAGAAGUCUCUGCAUAAUGCUUCGAUACGCUUGAUCACCCAACAAGGUGCCCUAAACACCGAUAGAAAGUAUAGUGAUAGGUUGGUGAGCACCGCAUUGACCAGGAUGAGUCUACCCCCUCUAGAGAGUAGUUUAGCCUGCCAUCCGUCGAUUUUGUGCUGCAGCUUCUGAAUAACCCUUCUCCAUACCUCCUUUGUGGGGGAUUUUGUGGAGAGAGGGAAUACUAGGUAAGUAGUGGGGAAUGUGCCAACUUUACAAUCGAGCACCUGUGCAAGUCUCGUCGCUUUCCCCUCAGCCUAUCCUAGGUAAAAGAGCUUGGACUUUUCUCUGUUAAUUUUCAAUCCAGACGCCCACUCAAAAAGGUGCCAUAACAUUCUUAGGUUAUGCAUAUACCGUUUUCUGGCCACUGAGAAAAAAAAGGUAUCAUCCGCAAAUUGUGUAAGUGCCGUAAUACUCUCUUCAAAAGGACCAAUACCGUUGAAGAGGUUGUUUGAAGUGGCCUCGCUGGUUAAUCUGGCUAGGUACUCUGCCACCAACAAAAAUAGGUAAGGUGAAAGUGGGUCCCCUUGUCGUACCCCUUUCUUGGUUUUUAUCCAGUUAGUCUCUUCUCCAUUGACCAAAAUAGCAACUUUAGCGUUGCAAACACAUUGUUUGAUCCAGCCACACCAUUUUGUGUCGAACCCCCACCACUGGAGAAUACUAAAAAAGAAGGGCUAAAAAUUCUUAUCGUAAGCCUUUUCAAAGUCAACUUUUAUGCCAACUCCCUCGGUAGCCCUCUUACUACCACAUCCAAUAAGUUCUGAGACGGUGGCAUAGGCGUCGGCAAUGUUUCUCCCUUUUAAGAAAGCAGAUUGAGAGGGGGAGAUUAGCUCGUUCAUACACGUCGCCAGUCGAUUUGCUAGGACCUUCGAGAUAAUCUUCUGGAUACCGUUAAUGAGGCUGAUAGGUCGAAAGUCAUUUGCUCUUUUUGCCCCUUCUUUCUUAGGAAUCAGGCAGAUAAAUGAGUAGUCUAAGGGGAAAGUGAAAAUCCUGUCCUCAUCCAACUCCUGGAACAGGUUGAGUAGGUCUCCCUUGAUGGUGUCCCAGAAAAUUUGGUAAAACCUUAGCGGAAAUCCAUCAGGCCCCGGUGCUUUAUCGCAGCCCAGCUGAAAUACAGCUUCUUUUAUUUCAUCGAUGCAGAACUUCUCCGUAAGCCGCGUCAUCAUAGGGGUCGACACCCGUUUGUAGGUAAAUAGCCUACUCCAAUCCCCGAAGGAUUGUGGGGCAGAGUCUUCUGCCGAAAACAGUUCUUUAAAGUAUCAGAAAAAAUAUUUCUUCUUAUCCUCCUCUGAUUGGUACACCCGUCCGUUGUCGGUGACGACCCCAAUACCAUUAGCACGUCUUCUCCCAUUGGCAAAACUAUGGAAGAAUUUUGUGUUGUUAUCUUCCUCGCGUAACCAGUGCUGAUUAGCCCUGGCUCUCCACAUGGAUUCCUCAUUAUUUACGACAUCCCGUAAUUUAGCUUCUAGAUCCUCUCCUCUCUCUACACACUCCUCAGCCAGUGUUCCUUGUUCCUCCGCUAGGUCGAUUUGUCGGAUUUCCUCCGAAAGGUAGUUUUUAUACUCCUGGAUGUAGUAGAACUCGUUGUUGUACCAUUCUUUGAUCCUUUGUCGACAGUGCCGCAACUUCGCAGUGAAAGUAAGCAUAGCUGAACGUUUUGGCGCUCCCUCCUUCCACCAUCCAGGUACUUUGUCUAUGAACCCCUUAUGAUUGAGCCAUGCUUCUUCAAAGUGAAAGAUUUUCUGCCUCCCCUUGGUGCCUCGCUCAACCGUUAACAAUAUAGGACAGUGAUCCAAAGUGACACAGGGUAGCUCAACAACCUUGGAUAGGGGAAACUCCUGAUCCCACUCUGUUGAGAAAAGGAAUCGGUCGAGCCUCGCAAGAGUCGGGAUUCUUUGCAUAUUGGACCACGUGAAGGAUUGAUUCAUCAUCGGUGGAUCUAUUAGAGCUAGAUCACUUAUGAGCUCGUUAAACAAAGUCAUGGCUCUAGCACUCCAAGUCUUCCCUCUCCUCUCCUCUUGCUUUCUAAUACAGUUGAAAUCGCCGCAAAUUAUCCAUCUUCCCUCGCAUUGCGAUUUCAGAUGUGCCACUUUGGAGAAGAACUCCUGCUUUCUGUCCCACGUCGCAGGUCCGUAGACGUUCGUGAGGUAGAAAUUUUUCCCAGAUGUGUUGUGCGAAAGAAGAACAGUAAUCGAAUAUUUUCUUACGAGGACAUCGCGGCAGGAGAACAAGCGAGAAUUCCAACACGUAAUGACACCCCCGGAGGUACCGUCAGAUUCGAGAUAGACACACUUAUUUAGAAACGAGCCACCGAAACUACGCAGAAAGGAGCUAGACACAAAGUUCACUUUCGACUCUUGUAAACACACAAUCUUACUACAAAGCUUGGCAAUAACCGCCUUAACAGUGUGACGCUUCGAGCUGCUGUUGAGCCCUCUUACGUUCCAACUACAAACUCCUAACAUAACAGAGAUAACAAAAGACACCCAACUACAAAAACCAAAACGGUGCCCGCAUUUCUGUAAACACUCCCCAUUUACGCGCGCUUGCUCACAAACUCCUUGAAAUUCCUCGCCUCGACUUCUCCCAAACUCACUCCACAAAGACGACUCUUCCGAAUGAGGGAUUUGACAAAGCGGCCGACCCCACUCUCCUCCCUGCCCUCCCGUUGGUUAGCCUUCCUAGUGAUUGCCCGUUGCAAAAUCAACGUCUUCGCACCCUUUGCCAGACGCUUGCUACUUCUAGGGCUGAGGAGCUCUACUGAAUCGGCCCUGUUAUUCCGCAGCUACGUCACGAUUUUCUGGACGCCCCUUACGUUACCACGGCUCAUAGCCCGACCCUCCGUGACCGUGGGCCGCCCCGUGGCCAAAAAGGACCCAAGCUAAUAACCGAACUGUCCAAAGCUCCUUCCCCCACCACGUAAUCAAAGCAUGACACAGUCGAAUCAGUGCAGCCAGCCCCAUCCAUGCAAUCUCGCCCGUGGGCCAUCCACGCGGUCAAUAGUUCGUAGGCGUUUACCAGCUGACUCCUGCCUUGGUCCCCUCUUUCGAACAGUCGAUUGGUGGGUCCCGUGCAUGGACCCGGAGUAAAAAGCCAGGUCCGCAUCCCCAAGACCACUGGUCCUUGGCCGCUUCCCCAUGGGUUCACAUAAGCAGACAAAAAUAAAAUACCAUUUUUGAUCAUAAGGGCCUGCUUCCAUACAUAUGGUCUCGAGGUUAGCAGAGAGUCAACUAAGGAUUUGGGCCCUCCACCCUUGGGCCCUGGGUCAGACCGUACUCCAAAUCCUUUAUCAACUGAGAGUGGCAGACCCCUUUCACCCCAACACCUAAUAGCCCUUUCCAUCUUCGGUGCAACCACCGUAAUUCCGCCCCCUCUUCUCCGCUACUUUCUCCAGUAAGCUCGAAGCUAUGCGCCCUCACUGCCAUGUGUCUGAGUCGCGCAGUGCCCGUUGGCUUGCACCCCACAUCCUCGAGCGUCGCCGUCGCCGGUGUCCAGCUGCGUGCCUGCGUCAGCCGCACACACCGCCGACCAUACAACGACGAUUCUUGGAUAGUUCGCCCGCCGACUGCCACCCUCUUCUCCAGUCCCAACGCGCACGACUUCCGACCUCCUACUCCUCCCAUACUGGGACUGCCCGGCGGUGCGCGUGAUCAAACUGGAUCGAUCGGUCUGCCGUUGCGAGCUUCCCCUUCUCCACUCUCACCCGAUCUCCACUUCCCUCGUCGUCCCCUCGCAAUCGCUUGGUCUGCGUCCUCGCCGCCUAAAUUGGUGACUGACCUUCUGUAACAUCGUCAGUCCAUCUCCUCAUCCGCCGUCCACUCCUGCAGGGAAAGGACGGCGGAAUUCUUCCACCCGCCCCCAAUACGACGCUCUCCCAGCUUUUCGAGAUGGACCAUGACGAGUAGAGCCCCUCGCCUAGCACGAUGGACCAAAUUUAGCAGAAACAAUCUAGCAGAGAAUCGCGGACUAUUUGGAACCACCUUGAACGCGCGUAAGAUCCGUCAUGCCCUGAAGGUUUUGCAUCCACCCUUCACAAAUCUCCCCGAACCCCCACCCCCCCCGCCCAUGCGCCGCAACCCGAGGGAUGGUCCAACUUUCGAAGGGAAGAUUCAGCAGUCGGAUCCACGCCCGAUACCUCGAACGAUGAGGCUGAGCGUUCCAGUGCCUCCCCUAUGGGUAGCACCGAAUCCAGAAGUCACUUAAGGUAAGCACUUCUCGUCUAGUAAGCACACCUGUGGAGACCCACUCCGGCAGGAAGAUGGCGAAGUCCCUCUCCCUGUGCCGCGCAAUCGCGAAAUCAUCGACGUAGCCUCCGAACCGUCGCCCCAUUGCACUUUUGAUAGUGGAGAUAGGAUCAGGCCCGAGGUUUGCUGGCUGAAUGACAUCUGCGAGGACAGUGUUGCGGCGCAGCUCUUGUCGUUGUAGGUAUUCCUCCGUGUAUGGGAUGAACACCUUCAUCACUGGGACACGACCCGAACGUCCCUGUCAUUGGUACGGCCUGUACAUACCGCCGUCCACCUGGUAUCGUCGCUUCGCCUUACACUGGUGAGCACGAUGCCCAAAUCCAAGGCACCUACGGCACCUUACUGUCGCUGGUACGGCCUGUACACACCGCCGUCCACCUGGUAUCGUCGCUUCGCCUUACACUGGUGAGCACGAUGCCCAAAUCCAAGGCACCUACGGUGCUUACAGCACUGUGCAUUGUUAGGAUUGAAAUAUGGUAUUAGCGGCGAAAAUAAAAAUUUUAUCAAAAAUGAUAACAUAUCACUAAAAAAAAUUAGAUAUUGAUCGAGGCAAUUUCAAACAUAGUCCUCUAAACUUCAAAGUACUAUACAUAUCCUUUCAAAAUCUGAAAUACCAUUAAUCAUAUCCCUCUAACCAUAUAAAGCAAUUAUUCAUACCCUCUAAAAGUAUAAAACUAUCGCAAAUGCCCUCUAAACCUCAAAUUCAAAGCCUAAACCCUAAACACUCUUAUGCUUAUAAGGGCGCAAAUGAUGUUUUAUAGUUUGAAGUUGUAUUCACAAAAUUACAAUCUUUCAGGAGGGUAUUGAUAAAGAAAUUAACCUAAAAUAUUUAAUCAAAAUUUCACUAGAGUGGAAUUCACCUCUGAACUUGCAAACGACUCGUAUUGACUAAUAAAUUAUUAAGCCAUUUCGAUCAUUAGGUAAAUGAUAUUGAAAAUUACAAAAUUUGAAUUCUAGAGACUUUGCAUACUCUCGCAGUCUCGUUCAAAUUUAAUGGAGUCAACCGUCGAUUCAGAAUGCAUUCAUCAAAAACUAAUUGAAAGUAUGAAGGUCUGCGUGCUUCUGAAAGCAUCCUUGCUUGUUCAACUCCCUUAAUCUUGAUUUAGAGUACUCAAAAUAUUUAGAAAAGAAAAUUUGUGAUUUAUCAAAAUUAUAUACUUAUUAAUUGAGUGGUCUCAAAAUAAACAACUGAAAUAAAACUUUCAUAAAAAGUGAUGAUACAAUACUAAAAUUUUAGCUCAGACGUGCGAAUUUUAGUUUAGAUUGUAUAAAAUUUUUUUUGCCAAAAUUUCAUCAGAUUUGGAUAAAUAAAAUUAUUAAUGCUGAUCCUUUUGACCACUAAGUAAAUAACAUUAAAAAAAUUAUAAAAUUUGAAUCUUAUAUAUUUUAAAUCAAGUCAAAUAGAACGGACUGUCAAUUCAAAAAUUUUGUUCAUCNUAGCAGCUCUCUACUACUGUUCGUAGUAGUGUUUGAUUUACAGGUACAGCUAUCGCUUCGUAUGCAGGAAAAAUUUCUUUGUAUACGGUGGAUUUGUCGGCGUGCCCGGGGAACGUGUAAUCCGGGGCGUGACAUCCAUCUUCGUGCAACUACCAGAUCCGCCCCUCUUCUCUACUUUCUCCAGUAAGCUCGAAGCUAGCGCCCCACCGCCCGCGGUCGUCGAGCCGCCAGUGCCCGUUGCUUGCACCCCACAGUCCUCGAGCAUCGCGUCGCCGGUGUCCGUUGCGUGCCUGCGUCAGCCGCCACACACCGCCAACCAUCCGAGUUCUUGGAUAGUUCCGCCGCCGGCUGCCACCCUCCUUCUCCAGUCCCAGCGCGCACGACUUCCCGACCUCCCUACUCCCCCCCGAACUGGGACCGCCCGGCGGUGUGCCGAGUCAGACUGGAUCGAUUGGGUCUGCCGUGGAGCUUCCCCUUCCUCCACUUCACCCGAUCCCACUUCCCUCUCGUCCCCCGCAAUCGCUUGGUCUCCCUCGCCCCCUGAUUGGUGACUGACUUCUGUAACAUUGUCGUCCAUCUCCUCAUCCGCCGGUCCGUCCUGCAGGGAAGGCGGCGGAUCUCCACCCCUCCCAUUAUCGAUCCUCUCCUAGCUUUCGAGAUGGACCAUGACGGAGAAGAGCUCCUCGCCUAGCACGACGGACAAAUUUAGCGGAACAUCUAGCAGAGAAUCCAAGACUAUUUGACACUUGAACGCGCGUAGAUUCGUCACGACCCUAAAGGUUGCGUCCGCCUUCACAAAUCUCCCGAACCCCCCCCCCCGCCCCGAUCGCCGCAACCCGAGGGAUGGUCCAACUUUCGAAGGGAAGAUUCAGCAGUCGAUCCACGCCCGAUACCCCGAACAUGAGGCUGACGUUCCAGUGCCUCCCCUAUGGGUAGCACGCGAAUCCAGAAGUCACUUAAGUAAGCACUUCUCGUCUAUUAAGCACACCUGUGGAGACCCAUCCGGCAGGAAGAUGGCGAAGUCUCUCCCUGUGCCGCGCAAUCGCGAAAUCAUCGACGUAGCCUCCGAACGCUCGCCCAUUGCACUUUUGAUAGUGGAGAUAGGAUCAGGCCCGAGGUUUCUGCUGCUGAAUGACAUCUGCGAGGACAGUGUUGCGGCGCAGCUCUUGUCGUUGUAGGUAUUCCUCCGUGUAUGGGAUAGAACACCUUCAUCUCACUGCGACACGACCCGAACGUUCCCUCGUCAUUGGUACGGCCUGUACAUACCGCCGUCCACCUGGUAUCGUCGCUUCGCCUUACACUGGUGAGCACGAUGCCCAAAUCCAAGGCACCUACGGCACCUUACUGUCGCUGGUACGGCCUGUACACACCGCCGUCCACCUGGUAUCGUCGCUUCGCCUUACACUGGUGAGCACGAUGCCCAAAUCCAAGGCACCUACGGUGCUUACAGCACUGUGCAUUGUUAGGAUUGAAAUAUGGUAUUAGCGGCGAAAAUAAAAAUUUUAUCAAAAAUGAUAACAUAUCACUAAAAAAAAUUAGAUAUUGAUCGAGGCAAUUUCAAACAUAGUCCUCUAAACUUCAAAGUACUAUACAUAUCCUUUCAAAAUCUGAAAUACCAUUAAUCAUAUCCCUCUAACCAUAUAAAGCAAUUAUUCAUACCCUCUAAAAGUAUAAAACUAUCGCAAAUGCCCUCUAAACCUCAAAUUCAAAGCCUAAACCCUAAACACUCUUAUGCUUAUAAGGGCGCAAAUGAUGUUUUAUAGUUUGAAGUUGUAUUCACAAAAUUACAAUCUUUCAGGAGGGUAUUGAUAAAGAAAUUAACCUAAAAUAUUUAAUCAAAAUUUCACUAGAUUGGAAUUCACCUCUGAACUUGCAAACGACUCUUAUUGACUAAUAAAUUAUUAAGCCAUUUCGAUCAUUAGGUAAAUGAUAUUGAAAAUUACAAAAUUUGAAUUCUAGAGACUUUGCAUACUCUCGCAGUCUCGUUCAAAUUUAAUGGAGUCAACCGUCGAUUCAGAAUGCAUUCAUCAAAAACUAAUUGAAAGUAUGAAGGUCUGCGUGCUUCUGAAAGCAUCCUUGCUUGUUCAACUCCCUUAAUCUUGAUUUAGAGUACUCAAAAUAUUUAGAAAAGAAAAUUUGUGAUUUAUCAAAAUUAUAUACUUAUUAAUUGAGUGGUCUCAAAAUAAACAACUGAAAUAAAACUUUCAUAAAAAGUGAUGAUACAAUACUAAAAUUUUAGCUCAGACGUGCGAAUUUUAGUUUAGAUUGUAUAAAAUUUUUUUUGCCAAAAUUUCAUCAGAUUUGGAUAAAUAAAAUUAUUAAUGCUGAUCCUUUUGACCACUAAGUAAAUAACAUUAAAAAAAUUAUAAAAUUUGAAUCUUAUAUAUUUUAAAUCAAGUCAAAUAGAACGGACUGUCAAUUCAAAAAUUUUGUUCAUCCAAAAUAACUUGAAAAUAUGAAGGUAUUUGAGCUUAUAAGAGCGCUUAGAUGAUGACUCCGACUAAAGUUAAGAAACUUAGAGAAAAAUUUUAGGUUACAAAAAAAAAAAAAAAAUAGAGCAGCGGUCUUCACUUUUAAAAUUUUGAUCGCAUUUAUAAUUUUUGCGGGCCUAAUAGAAACUCAACUAAAAGUUUAAGGACCAAAGUUUUCAAUUUUCCUUUCAUAUAUUUAUUUGCAUUUAGAACUUUGAGGCACCUUAACCCAACAGGCUGCUCCCUAACGACACCUUUUUGAGAAGUCUCUAGUUCAUUAUUAUAUAUUAGUUUAAUUUGUCUCUAUCAAAUAAUUCGUUUGGGUACCUUUCUGAUACUAAAAUCUAAACAAAAUUUUAAACUAGAGAAAAAGAUUAUAACCUUUGGAUAGAGAUAAAAAUGACAUGUGGUGACGGAUUGGGACUCCUAAACGAGGCAUCAAUGGAGAGCAUCCUACUAAAUUUUUUCCCCUAAUAUGUAUAGUGUUUUUAAAAUUUUCAUUGUUGGAUGCAUGAUCUUGUUCAUAUUUAAAGUAAUCUUUAACGCCAUGUUUUAACAUAUAUAUAAGUAUAUUGGCCAACAAAGUUGUUAAAUUUUAGGCUAAAUUACAGAAAAUCUCCUUAUAAAUUUUUGUUUUUCACUUUCUCUUUAUAACUUUCAAAAAUCUAUAUUUUACUCUCUCAACAUUUCAAGUUAUUACAUUUAGCCCCUUAUGUCAGGACUCUAUAGCUAUUCCAUUUAUUUCUUAUAAUUUAUAUCAAAAAUGUCCUUCAAAGUAACAGAAAUAUAUUAAAAAUUAUUUUUUCUUAUAAAAGAAGUAAAUGCAAUUUGAUUAUUUUGCCCUCUCUGUUGAAUUUUUUUUAUAAAUAAUCUUAUUAAUUUUUAUAAUUAUAAAAAUAAUUUUGUUAAAAAAAUAAUUAUAAAAAUAGUCCUAUAAAUGCGGUGAAUGAUUCACCGCAUUUAUAACUUCUCAUUAGGAGUAGAAAAGAAAUAAAAGCGGUAAACCAUUCACCGCUUUUAUCAUUAUAAAAAUAUAGAAAAAAGUAAAAAAAAUAAAGAAAGCGGUGAAUAGUUCACCGCUUUUAAAAGCGGUGAAUCAUUCACCGCUUUUAUAAGACUAUAUUUAUAAAUAAAAAUUUAAUAAAUUUACUUUUAGAAUAAAUGUUUAGGAAAAGACUAUUACACUAAAAAACCCCUCUCUGUUAACACUGUACUAUGUUGAAAAUAUUUUUGAAAUUUUAGGGGGCAAAGUGUAGAUUUUUUAAAGUCAGGGAGGGAAAGUGAAAAAAUGAGUAUUUGUAGGAGGUUUUCUAUAAUUUAGCCUAAAUUUUAUAAUUUUUAUUUUACUAUUAAAUGCCUAAUCCGAGGCAACUCGAGCAUUAUAAGGAGGGUGUUUAGCCUAGAUUUUUGAAACUGAUUUUAGAGCCAAAAGUAUUUUUUUUCUUUGAUAAAGCAUUUGGUAAUUACCUAUAUUAUAAAAUUUAAUUCUGAUUUUUAGAACCAUAUUUGUGAUUUAGUAGCCCCAAAAUCAAAAGAAGGAAUUUAAUUCUGAUUUUUAUAACCAUAUUUGUUAUUUAGUAGCCCCAAAAUCAAAAGUAGGUAAAAGUUGCUUCCUAAAUUAUGAUUCUGAUUAUGGAUUCAAAUUUUUAAUUUUAAUUUUGAUUCCAAAUUUUAAAUUCAAAUUCAAAAUUUAAAUUUAAAAUUAAUAAAUUUAUAAAUAUUAAAUUUUACAUUUUAAAUUUUAAAAUUUGAAAUUCAGAUUUAAAUAUUAAAUUUUAGCUUUUAAUUUAAAUUUAGAUUUAAAAAUUUAAAAUUUUCAAAUUUUAGUUUCCAAAAUUUUUAAUUUAAAUCAAAUUUAGAUUUUAAAUUUAAAAUUUCAAAAAAAAAAAUUCCAUUGUUAGUGUUCUCUUCACUUCAAGGCAGCGUUUGGUUAGGGGAUAGGGAUAGGGAUAGGCCCUUAUCCCCCCAUUUAUACCCAAACGCUAAUUUUUUAUCCGAGAAUAAUAGUUCUCGGUUAUCCCCACCAACACCUCCAUUUUCUAUAUAAAACUACCUAAUAUUUUUCUUAUCCCCGAGAACAACUCAAUUUUCAUCCAAACGCUAUUUUUCUUAUCCCCAUACUUGUACCUAUCCCUGUAAUAGCUAGUUCUUAUUUAUACCCGAACCAAACGGUUGAGGAGUUAUAUUUGUAACAGCGAAAAUCCAAAUUUACAAAUAAAAUUAAAGAAAGAAAGUAAACCUAAAAACAUAGCAACUAGCCUGAGCUACAAUUACAAAAUUUUUCAUAUCUCACUGCAUUUGGCAGGUACAAAGGAAAGCAUACCCCCAGCAAGAUUAUAUAGAAUAUGAAUGUUUUUUUGUUGGUAAUUACCCAAAAUUGAUCCUCCGCUAACUCCGAUCAUCGCUAAACAAAACAAUCCUUUAUUGGAAUCAACAAUCAUGUAGUUAUCCAUCGGCAAAGUCAUGUUAGCACCUUCGAAGUGUAGUAUCAUAUCCGGCAUGUUAGGAACUAAACGAGACGAUAGCGUGAAGCAGAGUUCAGAAGAGUUUACUAAUGGUAGGUUGACAAUUGACUUAAUUUCUCGCGCGACAAUGUCAUACCCAGCUUGCUCCAAUCUAGUUAAGGCCGUGCCAGUGUCGAUGAUCACACCGCCACUCCCGUCCUUUUUCAGUUCAAAUGUUUCCGCACGGAUUGGGAGAAGGGUUUCACCAAUUGAUAUCCCUUUUAAGUCGAGAUAGUAAAAACUCGGAUCGAAGGGGUUUUGUGUUAGCAGUGUGGAUUGCGUUGCACCUGAGCUUGUGUUCAAGUCCGCCAUGGACCCAAACAGUAGGGGGCUGGUGAUAUUGGACUCGAGAAAAGAAGUGAGACAGUAAGAGAACUUUUCUAUGCCCAACUGAGAUACUAGGGACCCGUGCCCUCGACCUAGCCCGACCGUCCCCGUGGAAUUGAAUGAUGCGCCUAGAUUUGCGUGACCGCACCCGAAAGCGACGUCGCGUACCGAAUGUGCGCCGAAGAUUAAUGUCUCGGUCGCUAGAACACCUUGUGUCGAGGCGCUAUCCGAAUAGUUAUAGUAGUACCGGCACUCGGGGGUGCAGUUAUAGUAUGCGAGGCUCUCACACUGAGGGCUUGAGCAGGGGAGUGGGGAGAAGGUAGAGGACCUGGAGGGGUCGUAUACAGGGGUCGGCUGAGCAAAGCAACUGAUACAGGGUUCACAUUGGGUCCAGAUGAGGUCACUGCCAGUGUCAACAAUAGCCAUGAAUGGAAUAGAUGGGGUGCCUAUCGCGAGCUCUAAGAGAUACUCACCGUCCAUCGAAUGGAGGGAGGAUCGGAAGUUAGGGCUAGAAUUCGUAAGCUUCAAUUCUCGAGUCUUCGUCCUAUAUCUAGUUCGUUGAGAGGCGCGAUGAAAUAGCUCAGACGUAGAGAAAUUGCUUCUAGAGUCGAUGUGGAUUAGAUUGAUGCGGAGAUCGACCGGCGGUGAAGCGGACAAGGAAGCAAGGAAGAGAAGAGAGGAUGCAACAAGCAAGAUGCCUAACAUCUCUUUAUCAAGAAAGAAAUAGUGCUGCUACAAUUUAAAUAGCAGCAUUAAUAGUUGUUGUGAUAUAUGCAUGACAUAUAUACAUGUUUUGAGAGAGAGAGAGAUGAUACAUAAAAUUAACAAAUGAGUGAUAUAAUUAAUUAAUGUAAGUGGUAUCCAUGUCUUGGUAGGUAGAGUUGAAGGUAUUUUGUGUGCCGGCCCAUUUGAUUUGAAUUGAUCUGUUUUAUCUCUUCUUCGUUGUGGUGGUGCACUAUCACAUGCACGUCGACAUGUCACAAUCUCUCUUAAUUACUAAUUAAAUUUUGAAACUUGCAUCUAAUUUAUUAACAAUUAAUUGUACUUGUGGAUCGGUACAAUUUUCAACUCGUGGGUUCCUAAGAUCAUGCUGAGGAUUAUACUAAAGAAUUAAUUAAUAUAUAAUUAGAUGUGCAAAUUAUUUUUCUGUCGAUUUUGGAGACAAAACAUAUGAGAUAAAAAAAUGAGCGCAAUUGAUCAAAAUCAGACUCUCUUAAAAGAGAUGAGGUUAAAGGAUCAAUUAGCUCUAAUUAAUGCUAUAUAUAUAUAUAUAUAUAUAUAAGUAUAUAUAUAUAAAAGAAACGUUAGACAUGCAGUUAAUAGGUCAAGCUCGAGCUGUAUCGAAAGAAAUUAUAUAUGAGCAAUGCUUCUAUGUACCAAAAAUAUCUCGACCCUUAAAUUUUUUAAAAUGAAUGGUGGAGAUGUCUUUUAGUUAGGAGGGUGACUGGCUUUUGUUGCCUUAGGUACCAGUCACCCUCUUACCAAGGACAAACUAUUUCCUCAUAUGUAAAAUUAGCAUGGAGAGCUUUUUUGUAAAUUUCUAUUUUCAUUCCCAUAAUACCUCUCUAGUAAUUAUAAAAUGUCACAUUCUAUUUUCGAACUUUAAUGUUGUUUUUACUAUCGAAUGAACAAUUUGAAUUUAAUUUUAAAAAUAGAAGUCUUUAAUUUAAAUAAAUAAUAAAAGUUAUGCUUAUAACUACAACAUAAUUUACAAUUUAAAAUAAGGUAAUAUAUUUGAAAUUUCGUGUCAUUUUAAUAUCAAAUUAACAAUUUGAAUUGAAAUAUACUAUUCAUUUAAACAUAAAUUUUUUCGUUUUGAAAAUUAAAAUUAAAAUUAAAUUUGAAUUUAAUGUACACAAUUAUAAAGUUUAAGCUCAAAUUGAAUUUUAAAUUCAAUUUUAUAAAUAUUUAUUACUUAUCAAAUUAGCACUAUCUAAUUUGGUAAGUAACAAAAUUAAAUAAGAAAAUAAAUAUUUGUGUAGGGUUAAUCAAAUUUGGUAAUUAGUUUGUAUUUGUUUUCUCAUAUUAUCCUUACGAAUGGUAACCUGUUGAGCAGGUAACUAUUAUGCAAAAGUGAAUCUCGCCCUUAAAAUAUGAACGGCUAGAUUUAAUUUAGCUGGUGUAUUAAAGCAUUCCUUUUUUUAUGUACAUUAUUUAUAUUCUAAUGAAUCGAAUUAACAGUGGACGGUGCCCAUCUCCAUCUGUCUGAGAUCAACUUCCAAUCAAAUCCUCCUAACCAACGUUUUAAAGAAAGUAUGUUUUUUUGUUUUUUUUGUUUUAACUUAAUUUAGCUAAUAUAUAAGAAGCUAAAUCGGAAAUGAAAAAUGCUUCUUAUACACUUAAAAAGGGGUGUAAAUCUUACACCCGUAAUUUUAGAGUUGAUAAAAAUUGAAUUAAUUUUUAGUAAAAUUUAAGAAAAUUGAAGUGAUGCAUGGGGAUCGAUUUAUGGGAGCCUCUCGUCUCAUAUUUUUUGUCUACCUAAUAACUAACGUGCCUGAAAGGGUUUAACAUUUAACUUUUUCUUAAUAUUUUGAAUGUGUUGCAUUAUUUUUCCUCUGAAAUAUUAUACACAUAUACAUUAUGGACGUGUUUGGUCCGUCUCUUUUUUAUUCUGAAAUCGAAAUCGAAAUAAACAAAUCUGUUUGUCCGUAUUUGGUAUGCGUGAUUCCAUUCCAAUUCCAAUUAUCGGGUGAAUGGGAAUCUCUCAAUUUCGAGGCAAAAUGGAUUUAUUCAGAUUAAACUUUUUCAAGUGGCAAUUCUUCAUUUGCCGGCGAAAUGGAUUUAUUCGGAUUAAACUUUUUUAAUUGUUGAUUCUUCAUUUGCCAAUGCUUUAACUGACACUUUCAAAUGUGACAGUAGACUAUAUUAGGAUGCUUUUAACUAUCGUUAAAUAUAUAAAAAAAAAAUCCUUAAAUAUUAUUUUUUUUAUAAUGAUAUACGUAUAGAACAAACCAUUCGUUUAGUUCACUUUUAAGAAAUAAUAUCAGCUCCCUGCUACCCACCUCUGGUACUUCCGAUGCUAGGAGGGGUACUGCCUAUCCUCUCACCCAAGAAGAGAUUCGGCAAAUCAAAGCUCCCUGCGGUAUUGUAGACAUGGGGAUUGCGGCUUCCCACGCCCCGCAGGCGCCCCCGACUACCGAUGCGAUGUAGCCCCCCGGACCGGAUCUUUGGCAGUUGGCUGUUGAGUGUUGUGUUCUGUUUGCAGUGACAAGAAAUAGAGUCUUUUGCUUUCUGUCUUGGAAUGUUCGGGGCCUUAAUGACCCGAGCAAAUGCACUGUUAUUAAGAGCUUUAUUCGUAAUGCUAAAUGUUGUGUUGUCUGUUUGCAAGAAACCAAGAUCUCGUCUAUCUCUCCUACCAAGUUUCAUGCCAUUUGUCGAUUCCAUCUUCAGGACUUCCGUGCUCUAGACGCUGUUGGGACCAAGGGAGGUCUCCUAACAGCAUGGAAACCCUCCAUCUUUGACUGUUUAGAGGACUGGGGUGGAUCUUUUUCUCUCAACGUUGUCCUCAAAAGAAAGCGUGAUGGAUCUGUGUUCAUGUUAUCUAAUAUCUACGGCCCCACUUGUGCCAGCCUGAAAGCAGCCUUCUUCCGCGAGCUUCGACAUCUCGGCCAACGGUCCCGAGGCGUGUGGGCGACAAUGGGAGAUUUCAAUGCCUUACUUUCCUUGCACGACAAAAAUGGUCUGCUCCUAAGCACUAAUGAUAUCUUGCAGUUCAGGGAGGUUGUAAGUGACAUUGGCCUUGUAGAUCUCCCCCUGCGGAAUAAAUCUUACACGUGGACCAAUGGACGGCAUAAUCCAACUCUUGAACGACUUGAUCGCACUUUCAUCUCGCAAGAUUGGCUGCUCUCCUUCCCCAAUUUCUUCCUUUCUGCACUUCCGCGCCCCCGCUCGGAUCACACCCCGCUGCUACUCUCGGCUCACAACUUUGUGCCCUCUGCUCGUAUUUUCAGAUUUGAAUCUUUUGGCUACAAUAUCCGGUGCUUUCUGGAGUGAUAUCUCAAGCGUGGAACUCAUCGGUACCUUCUUCGGACCCUUUAAAUCAUUUCGCCUCCAAGAUUGUGUGUGUUCAAAAUGCCCUGAAAUCUUGGUCCUUUGGGCUCACCUCUGUAAUUAAGGAACAAACUGCCACCUGCCUCAGAUGGUUAGAAUGGCUUGACAGGGCGGAGGAAGGCAGGGCCGUCACGACCAGUGAAUGCAUGUUGCGGCCCCUGCUCAAAGUAAGAUACGAAGAGCUUUGCUUACAAGAAGAGAUUAGGUGGAGGCAAAGAUCACAGAUUCAUUGGCCUCGAGCGGGGGAUGCAAAUACCAAAUUCUUUCGUCUCCACGCUAACCGUCGGAAAAUCAAAAACUCUCUCUCCCAACUUUCGGACGGCAACACCACUUUCUCUUCACCAGGGGACUUAGCGAAACAUUUGUUCCAUUUCUUCCACAACACUCUGGGAGUCGAGCAAAUCUCUUGUGCGGCGGUCAACCUCUCCUCGCUCUAUGAUGCCGAUUCCAUUGAUCUUUCUAAACUGUCUCUUCCUUUCACGGUAGACGAGGUGAAAUCGGCUAUCUUCUCCAGUGCAGCGGAUAAGGCCCCGGGUCCAGAUGGGUUUCCGAUGCUCUUCUAUCAACGUUUUUGGACCAUCCUUAAAGAUGACAUCAUGGACGUCUUUUAUUCUUUCUACAAUGGGUCGAGUGACCUGACUCGUCUCAACAACAGUUGGAUUUGCCCGAUUCCGAAGAAGAAGGAUGUCACCUCGGCAAGGGAUCUCCGCCCUAUUAGUCUUGUCCACAGCAUGCCCAAGCUCAUCUCGAAGGUUCUCGCAACCCGACUUCAAUGUUCUAUGAACCUUCUGAUCAACCCCUUUCAAGCUGCUUUUGUCAAGGGCCGGUAUAUUCUUGAUAAUUUUCUCUCGGCGCACAUCCUCAUUCACCACUUACAGUCUUCCAAUCAGCAAGCUACCCUCUUCAAGAUCGACUUCGAACGAGCUUUUGACAACAUCAAUUGGCAUUUCCUUAUUGAGCUUCUUCAAGCAAGGGGAUUCGGCCAGCGGUGGAUCAAUUGGAUUUCUUGCCUACUGCACUCCUCGACCACUGCGGUUUUGGUUAACGGUGCUGCGGGCUUGCCGUUCACCUGCAAAAGAGGACUGCGACAGGGCGACCCGCUUUCUCCUCUACUUUUUAUUUUAUGUACUGACGUUCUCUUCAAAAUGCUUCAUUUUGCUUCUUCCGCUUAUUUUCUACCAUCCAUAGGAAUUGGAGAUGCUAAGCUCCACACCUUGCAGUUCGCCGACGAUAUGCUGCUUUUCUUUGACGGCUCGAUUCGCUCGGCCGCUGUGAUUAAACUCAUCCUCGACGCCUUCUCCGCAACCUCGGGUCUCAAAAUCAAUUUUCAAAAAAGCGCCAUCAUUCCUAUCUCGUUGCACGGUAAUCAAGCUUCAUCAUUAGCGAGCUUCUUUGGAUGCUCCACCCACGGCUUCCACUUCAAAUACUUGGGUCUGCCUCUUUCCCCGAAGAAACUUCGCAAAACUGACUAUCUUCCUCUUAUCGAAAGUUGGACAACCGCCUAGCCGGAUGGAAGGGACUCACGCUCUCAAGGGCUGGCCGCCUGGCUCUCCUCAACUCGGUACUUUCAAGCAUCCCGACUUUCUUCUGCACUACUUUUCGCCUUCUUUCUUGGGUUAUCAACUCCAUUGACAAGAUCCGCCGAGGCUUCUUUUGGAGGGGGAAAAAACUUGACAAUGGAUUUUAUUGCUUGGUAAAAUGGGAACACGUCUGCCGUCCCAAGAGAUCUGGAGGUCUCGGAAUCCGGAACCUACGUAUAAUGAAUUCCGCCCUAAUGAUGAAAUCAAUCUGGUGUUUCUACAACACUAGCUCAUUACCCUGGGUUCAUCUACUUAAGAACAAACUGUACAAGUUCAACGCCCCAUCGAUUCCUGUCACACAGCAAGCUGCCUGUUGCCCUAUUUGGCGAGAUAUCCUUACUGUGACAGCGGCGCCCUUCCUCUCAUCUGUCGACUUCUCCCUCCGUAAUGGCUCUGCUUUAUUCUUCUGGAAUGCGCGAUGGUGCGGUGAUUCCGCUCUAAGGGAUCGUUUCCCUAACCUUCAUUUAGCUAUGAAACACAAGCAUAUGUCUGUUGCUAAGUGGCUUCAUCGUUUCGCUUCGAGGCCCAAUCUCGGCUUCUCUCCUCCCCUUGCCCCUGAGGAGCAGGCUGAACUCCAGCUCCUCACCACCCUGGUCCAUUCUGCCUCUCUAUCCAAUUCCGCUGCUAACCUGCCUUCUUGGAGAUGGUCCGACUCUGGCUCGUUUUCGACUCGAAGCGCCUACGACUUCCUUACUUUCGACAGAGUCAAUGACACUAAAAUUCUCUUCCUCUGGCAACUGAAAAUUCCGCCGCGAAUCAAAGUGUUCCUGUGGCUAGCCGCAAGGUAUAGAAUCCUCACCGCCGACUUUUUAGCCACGAGAGGUUGGCACGGUCCUUCUAUAUGCGUCCUCUGUAACUCCGAUGAGGAGACUCUCGAUCACAUCCUCCUCCACUGCUCCUUCGCAAAAGCCCUUUGGACCAUGCUUCUUCAACCUUCUCUGGCCACUCAAAUGCUGAGCUCCGGUCCCCAUCGGAAGCUAGCAAAUCUAUGGUGCAAGCUGAGAAUGGCGCUAUCUGGUCAAUCCAGAAACGACCUCGACCUUUCCGUCGCGGCCGGUUGUUGGGAGCUCUGGAAUGAAAGAAAUGGAAGGCUUUUCAACAAUCGGUUUCGCCGAGUUGAUGCUUUGGGGAGAAGUGUUCUUCCGACGGUGCGAUUGUGGAAAAUGACGCUACGGACUCGAGUUUUGUCCUCGACGCUACGGACUUGAGUUUUUCGUUCUCGACAUUGCUUGUUGUUUCAGCUUUGAGACUCAUCUUUUCUUUCGUCCUGUUAUCCUCUGUUUCCUCUACCUAUGGGUUGCUAAACCCGAUGUUUUCCCUGCUAACUUAAAAUCGGGUAUAGCCCUAUUUAAUCAAAAAAAAAAAGAAAUAAUAUCAACUAGAAAUAUGAAAUAAUUAGGCUUUGAACUUAGAACAUUAGAUUCCAAUCAUCAAAGUGUUACCUCCAUAAUUUUUCAUAUAUUACUGUAAAUAAAUUCCUAGAUUCUAGGCAAGUGCAUCAUAGUCUUUCAAACCACCUGUGAAUUGACAUUUAUUUAUUUAUUUUUAUAAAUAUUCUGCUACUCUAAUCAAGGUUAGUGGAGUAAGGUUAAAAAAUCAAAUUCCUCGUCUUUUCUAUACCCCACUUUCCUCAGCAAACUAUUCAUCAUAUUCUCUAAUUUUUUCCCUUUUUUCCAUCAUCAAAAGUGUUGACUCUACAAAAAUAGCACCAUGAGGUAAAGCAAUUCCAACUAUUUGAGCAAAGUGACAGAAGUGAGACAAAAGGUGACACGUGGUACAUCCAGAGCUGGAAGGAGCACGCCCAAAACAGAAGGGCAAUUUAGACUGGAGCGGUUGAAGACAUGAAGAAAGGGUUUCGUGGCUAGCGAGAGAUCGGCCGAAGCAUAACCUAAGAAAAUAGGGACGUGGCUGAAGCUCCAUGAUGGGAUUAAUUCAAUAACGAUAGGCGAGAGAAGAUAUCGCUAUAAAUAAAAAAAAGCGCGUUUUUAAACUAGGUCCUUCACACGAGUAAGAUAUCACAACAAAUUUUGAUUUUUUUUUCGGCAUUUACAGUUUUUGUAGAGAUAGUGCAUAAAUUUUCUUGUUAGUUUCCUUUUUCAAUAGUAUAGUUAACAGUGUGGUUAAAUAGGAGUAGAUUUUAUUUCUAUAAUAGCACUUGUAAUUCCGCUUUCUCGAUAAAUAUAACAGUUCAAAUCAUUCAGCCAAGUUUGUUUUUAGGUCAAUUGUGAAUAGUUGCGGAAGAACCCGAUUGAGCUGAUCCCUCGGCUGGGUUGCUUGCUUCGCUAGUUGCGCACUCGAGGGUCAUCUUAGGAGCCGACUCGUGUCUCGAAGAAGAAACUGAUUUGAUGAAGGCCUUGAUCCGGUCAACCUUUCCCGGCAUUUGGUUUCUAGCCCAGCAAAUAGUAAUACACUAGUUAAACAUCCGCGCUUCGCUGCAGGAAAAAAAAAUACAGUAAAUAUACAAUAAUAAUUAAUAAAUAAUAACAAAAAAGUAUUAAAAAAUAAAAAUUAUUUAUAUAUUAGCCCCUUUCUCCUUCACUGCACCGCCAAUCCCGUCGCUCCGUACAUGAAUCCCAGAGAUCGUGAGGGUACAACCAUCCCCUGAUCGAAUCUCGGCGAUCCUGUGAAGCCCGCCGAUCCGCCAGAAAUCCGCCCCGUACACAGAUCCUGCGAAUCCAGCACCCCAAAUCUCACCGAUGCACCGUCUCGCUACUCCCCGCCGCUCACUGAGCCGGAGAUCCCACAAAUCCCGCCAUCCCGUACGCGAAUCCCGGAGAUCGCGCCAUUGCCGUACGCAGAUCCGGCGGAUCCGGCUGCAAAUCAUACCCCCAUCUUGUCGCCGUCAGUCGCCGGCAGGGAGCCCGAUUUCGGGUCCCUCGAAGGCCUAUAAAGGGAGGAGCGAGCGCAAGGGGGGAGGGGGGAGGCUAGGCACAGACAACCCAUCCACACACAAACUGUGAGCAAAUAAAAAAAAAAAAGAGAGAAGAAGAACUGUGCUCCUUCUCCUCCCCUUCCCUGUUCGUCGCCGCCCGAGGCCGCGUCCACCACGUUCGCCGCUGCUACCAAUAUCACUCCGCCGACAUCGCCCAACGCCGCCCCAAGCUGGUGCCGUCCGCUUCUGUGCCCGCCGCUGACAUCGCCCAACGCCGCUGAAGCCGCCGUUGGCGCUUCGUCCACCAUCGUGCCAGUUGUUAACACCGCCGGUCCGCCGCUGUGUCCACCCUCCCCUCGGCGGCUCGAAGUGCCGCCGCUGCGCUCUCCCUUGCCGACCCCGGGCUGCGGCGAGAGAGAGAGGCGGGCUGAGAUAGAGAGGAGAAGGGAAGAGAGAGAGAGUAUGGGAGAGGAGGAAAGAGAUAGAAACAGGGAGCCAACUGGAUGAAAGAAAGGAGAGAGAGAGAGAGAGAGAGAGAGAGAGAGAGAGAGAGGGGAGGGGGCUAAACCUCAGGAAUAAGAAGAUGUCUUGGGAAGGAGAGAUGCCUCGGGAAGGAGAGACGCCUCGAGAAGGAGCCAAGGUUCUUGGGAAGGAGAGAUGCCUCGGAAUAGGGAGGAGAGAGAAAGGGAAAAGAUAGAAGAGACAAAAAAACAGACGUGGAUGCCUAAAAUUAUGCCACGUCUAUUGUUACAACCAUCAAAUUAUGUAUUUGUAUGGAUAUCAUCAUUUAUCUACAACACAGAAAAAAUUGUAAUGAAAAAAAUAUAGGAAAACAACCGGUUCAUUACAGUCUUUUGUAAAGAAUAAACAAAUUUUAUAAUAAAUCAUUGUGCUCCCUAAAUAUUUGUUUGCUUAUUUAUGAUUUAGAUUUUGUUUAGAUGUAUGAACAUUUUAUUCGGUACAUCUUUUUUAUUUAUUUAAGAAGCAUAUAAUAUUUGAUAGAUAAGGAGUUUCAAAUGUCUAAAAUGGAUAUCAUGUGUAUUCAAAAUUCAAAUCAUUUAUUUAAAAUAAAUAAAUUAUCUCAUAAGUAAAAUAUGAUAUCCUGCUAAAUCAUAAUGUCAAGAUUUUUGAAGGAACAAAAUUACAUUCCUAUAUUUGAAUCAUAUAAGAAAAUAUUCAUAUCGAAUAAUUUGUUAUUCCAUAUCUUUGACGUCCAAACAAGACCUAAGGCCCUAUUUGGAUGCAUCAAUAUUUUAUUUAUAUAUCACUUUUAUUUUAAUCAAGAGGUACAGUAUUUGGUAGAUAAGAAGGGUAAUCAAAUAUCUGUCAUAGAUAUUAUAUUCAGCUUCAAAUUAUUUUAUUUAGAAUAAGAUAAAUCAAUAUGCUAUUCUACCAAAUUAUGAAUCUCAAAACCUUUUAAGAAGCAAAAAUCAAAUCCUUACUUCCAAUCACACAAAAAAUUACGCAAACCGAGUAAGUUAUCUUCGAAUAACUUAUUCUGAUGCCCAAGCAAGGUCGAAGACCCUAUUUGGAUGUAUGAACAUCUUGUUCAGUAUAUAUCUUAGAUUUAUUUAAGAAACUUAUACAUUUGGUAGGUGAGAAAUGUGACCAGAUAUUUAGAAUUGGAUAUUAUAUUGAGUUUUGAAGUAACUUUUUUAGAAUAAAAUAAAUAAUAUUAUAGGUGAAAUAUAUUAUCCUACAAAUUAUAAAUAAGAAGACCUUUACAAAGAAUAAAGAUAUAACUCCUUCCAACCACAUAAUAAGAUUCUUGUACAAAAUUUUAUCAUUGAGCGACUUAUAUAUUCCGACAUCCAAAUAUGACCAUCGAAAGAGAUGCUGAAUAAAAUAUUCGUACAUACAAACAGGACCAGAGACUUUCAGCUUUAAGUAGCUAAGAAGCUCCUAAAAGAGUUGACUGAAAUCUAUCCAUACAAAUCUAAUUAAUGGGGUAAGUUUGGUCCAAUCCAGAUUGGGAAAUCCCAAAAUGAGCCAAUUUUAGUGGACUUAGGGUGGAAUCAAAUGUAAAUAGGCUCAAUCCAACAACAAACAUGCAUGCACAUACAUCAAUUGGCUGUUCAAACACCUCUCCUUAUUUUGCGAUGGAGGGCCCGACUCUAAUCGAUAGGACUUAUGUCAUCUAAAACCUCUAUAUAUGUAAAAUCACUAGGUUAGAAAGCCCAUGAUUGAUGCAUAAGUAAUUUCAAUAAUCAAUAUUAGAACAAAAAUAUUAUUCAAUUUGUGAAAAAAUAGCGACCAAAUUUUAUGAUUUUUGAAUGUCGGUGCUUUUUAAUAUCAUCAAUACAAUGGGCAAAUCCUUAACCUGUUUGGAGGCUUUUGGGUUGCAUGGGUCUCUCACUCUAAUCUUUCUUCUUUGUCUCACCUUUUUCUGAAAUUCUCAUUUUCUUUAAUUUUCAGUUGAGGGUGCCCCUCACUUCGCUCCUCCUCUCCUCUACGAUCUCUUUCUCACCUAUUUUCUUAAUUCACUGUCGAGGGCAUACCUUGGUCACCUCUCUAUAGAUCUCCUAUUUUGUCUAAAGACUUCUCUUGUCUCUUGCUCUCUUUUUCUUCUAUCUAAGGAAUUAAGUUACAAGAUUCGUACUCUCUCUCUCUAACUGAACCCUGGCCUCUCUCUCUUAAGGAUUUCUCCAUUUCCUAUACUUCACCAAGGGUUCGUAGUAUCUCCCCUUGUGCUCCUAAUCUUCUUUGUAAGGCUGAUCUCCUCCUAAUUAAUCCGAGCUGGGCCCGGACAUAGUACAAGAGGCUGAGGAGAAAGUUUGAUUUGUGCACGGACAACUUGUGAUGGUACAAGUUCAACAUAAAACCAUGUGAACAAGCGUUGACGUGAAUUAGAAAUUCAAGUAGGAGAUCAUGUCUCCUUGAAAGUAUCGUUGAUAAGUGGAAUUAAGAGAUUUGGAACUCGGAGAAAAUUGAGGCCUCCAAAUAUUGAGCAGUUUGAGAUUUGGGGCAUGUAGGCCUAAUAGCAUGACGACAUUCUCUACCACAGAGUCUAUUGGGAGAAUACUGCAAGUCUCAUGCAUUGACACUCCAAAAGUAAGUUUUGAACUUCAAGAAGCAUCCUACUCGAAUUUCAGCUUGAGAAAUAAAGAAGUUUCAGAAUUGAGAGAUUCCUCAUACGAAGCUUCACCAGAGUAACCAUAAGAGGUGUGAAGCUACUUGGGAGCUCAAGAUCACCAUGAGAAACCAUUUCCCUCAACAAUUUGGGAGUCAAUUUGAGUUUCAGUUUUGCGAAUGAAACUUUUUUUAAGGAGGGAGAAGUGUAAUGUAUCGAACUUUGGCUAAAUUGAUAAAGUGUGGAUUAAGUAAUGAUAGACAUAAUUGGAUUUUAAGAAGUUUAGACUGAGUUUGAAUCAAAUUGAUGUUAAUUCGAAUCAAAACGGAGUUCUAAAAGAGAAGAAAACUAAGUUCCAAACCUUUCAAAAUCUCGGAAUAGGGAUUUGGGCGGUUAAAAUGGUUUCGAACGGCCCGAUUCAGUGUCGGGAACAAGCAUACACUAUUCCAGAGAGAAAAGUUGUUGCGAGGCCUACUUUCAGAGACCCGAAUUACCCUGUAGGCGCUUGGAUCUUUUUGGACCCCUCUUGAGGGCAUCCAGAAGCCUUUCGGACUCCCAACUCAAGGGGUAGAAUGUGAAGGACUAGACAUUCAGGUGAUCGAAUUGCCCUGCCAGCAUCCAAAACAACUUUCAAGCAGUCCUUCACAGGUGUCCAAGUGCAUUUCAGAUACUUAACUUGAGAGCACCAGUCGCGUGGUGGAAUAAACAAUCAAAUGUUCAAUUCAUCUUUUGGGCGCUCAGAUUAUGAACUAAGUAGACCAAGCAGGCAUCUGGAUCCUAGAUCGAAGGCAGCUAUAAUGCUUUUGGUCUGGCAUAAAGGCAAUGAUGGAUUUAUUUGCAAAUGAGAAAUGUUGCAAGUUUGUGCUAUUUGUAGACUUCUAUAUAAAGCCUUUUCACAACCUAUUAACCACCCCCAUUUCUCAUCUUUUACUUCCUCUCUCUUUCUCCUCUCUCCCUCAAGCGAUGGAGCCCUAAAAUUUUCUAUUGUUGGAUCUUACAGAUCCAUCACCUUGGAGGCUUGGAAGAGACCAAGAACACCUAGGAGGAGCUCUAGGAGAGUGAAGGCAACCCUCUCAACCCGUUUUUUCUGUGCUAGAAGGCGGAGAGGUGAGUUGGUUUCUUAGGGUUUGUUUGGAGUUUUUCCAAAUUAGGGAUUUUUGAGGUUCUAACUUUAUUAGAACUAUUUUUAUAAUUUUCUUGAGGCUCUACGAAGAUCAAGAGGAUCAUUCUUUAGAAGAGAUCUAAAAGAAAAUAAAAAAUAUCACCGAAAUGAGUUUGAUCUCCCUUUUGUCUAAAGUUUUUUUUUUUUAUUAGAUGUACGUAUUAUGAGUAAUAAGCAAACUAAAAAGUGUUUAAUUGCAUGACAGGAGAUUUAGUGGGUUAAGAUGACGUAUAAACAUUUGACAAAAUAGGGUUUUGAACCUAUUGUCUGAUGAAAGGUAAACAUAUGACACACAUGUGUAAGAAACUAUGUAAACCUUAUUGUAUAGGUGAAACAAGUGGCAUCCAACCUAGGAUGGAACCUACGAUGUCGAAGCAGUGGCAUUGAAGCUAGGUUGAAACCUAAGGCAUGAUCAUAGUGGCAUUGAACUCUAGAAUGAACUUGACAUAGAGAACAAGAAAUUGGUAAAUGUAUAAUGUGAAUAAUCCUAGAAGUCAAGAACUUAGGGUGAAAUGGUAAAAUAUGCGCAGCAUUAUGAAAAUUUCAAACUUGGAAAAUGUUGAUCUCCCUAGACUUCCAAUGUAAAGGGAGAUGUCAAUCCCCUCGACUCCUAAUGUUGUAAAGGGAGAUGCUGAUCCUCUUAACUCCCUAUCGUACUUGGUAAUACCUAUCCCUCGACACCAAGUGUCUAUCGAUUGUAGAUAUGCCGAUCUUCCUCAAUGCUCCAUGAGGUGUGUACCUACCAAUUGGAGAGAAGUCUGAUCUCUCUUGACUCUUCAUGAGGUGUGUAAUAAGAAAGAAAACCAAACUAAUAAGUUAGUAAAAGUAUAGAAAUGAAAUGAGGCAAUUGUAUAGGCUAAUGAUAUAGCAAAUCAUUGUUGUAUAUUGUAUAUAUGUUGAGACGCAAUAGUUUUAUUUCAGUUUAUUACAUUUAUAUUAUAAAAAUGGUUAAUUUUAUAAUAUAAAUGUAAUAAAUAGGAAUCUAACCUCUAUGUUGGCAUCGGUGGUAAUUUUCUCACCGAGCUUCUGCGAAAAUACUGCUUAAAAAUAUAUUAAAGCAGUUCAUGAACAAAGCAUUACAUAAAUUGUUAAUCUUUUUUUAAAAAAAAUUGGCAAGCCAAAAAACUUAUUUUAAUUCGGCAAAACUCUAGAUUUUUUAUUUGGUAUUUGUCUAGCGGCUAUUUCUAAGACUCGUAAAUGGAGAAUAUGUUGCAAAAGUCAGGUCAGUCACACCGACAAUUAGGUGGGUGAAGCAUCUACCCAGCCAUAAAUUGCUGCUCUAGUUGUGUAGAAAGUCACCUUCACGUGUCGCUGUCAAAUUCCUAACUAGUACUAGGCAAUAAUAAACUUCUAAUUAGUUGAUUAAGUUAAUGAUUGACAGCAACAACACUCGCAUAUAUUGCAUUAGUGUCCAAAUCAAUUAGACCCACUGAACACUGAUCACAUUUUCUCAGCCACAUAAACUGGAAUUCAUAAACAAUCUCAUCCCACCAUUCAUAGUUUGCCCCAAAGACCGGCGCGAAGACUGACCCAAGGCUUCAACGCCCAUCAAAGAGAAACAAAGACCUACAAGCAAUUGCAUAUAUUUCAGCUUUUGCGGUGCCGCAAAGUUGAAACUAGCUAUUGAGCCCCAGCUGAAGCUUUUGCAAGGGGAGCUGUCGACGGGGGUAUCGACGAGAGUAUGUUGGUGUUCUUCUGAACAACUUUACUCGACAUCACUUCAACAGAAGCUCCAACCUCGCCAAGUAUGUAGUAUGUCAUAGCAAUCACUUCUUUUUUUUUCUCUUUUUUUUUUUUUUUGGUGUCUGUUAAUUAAUCUCAGUCACAUAAUCGAUGUCUUUUCUCCAAAGAGUCCCAAUUCUACUUCUUUCUUCCUCCAUUAUUCUCCUCUCUACCAAAAUCAAGGCUCAAUUUCUCUAUAAUUUGUGCCAAAACAGUGGUAGUUACACCACAAACAGCACAUUUGUCAGAAACCUCAAUCUCUUGCUCACCUCCUUGACCGCAAACACUCCAAAUUCCGGUUUCUUUAAUAACACCAUAGGGACAACACCUGAUCAAGUAUAUGGCCUCGCGCUCUGCCGCGGAGAUAUCGGUCCGCAAGAGUGUACCCAAUGCCUUCAGACUGCCUCUCAAGAUCUUCCUCAGCUUUGCCCAUAUAAGAGAAGUGCAAUUGCAUGGUACUCUGAAUGCCAUGUGCGCUACGCGGCCACAAAGUUCUUCUCAAAAUUAGAUGAGUCCCUCACGGUUCUUCGUUAUUAUAACCAAAAUGUCUCGGACCCAAGAGAAUUCAAUUACCAAUCGGUGGAGAUGAUCGGUGUUAUUUCUAGUAUGGCGGCCUUUAAUACAUCGACUCAAAUGUUUGCCACCGGGGUAGUCAACAUCACAGACAUUGGGGAAGUGUAUGGGCUGGCACAGUGCACGAGAGAUUUGUCAAGAGAUCAAUGCUUCAAGUGCCUUAAUGACUCUUUGAGUGAUCUUCAGAAACGCUGUUAUGACAGUCCAGGAGGGAUAGCACUACAGGCAAGCUGUGUAUUGAGGUAUGAUUUGAAUAAAUUCUUGGAGUCAACUCCACUUUGGACAGCUCCAUCUACUAUCAGUACAGCUCCUCCAUCAAAAGAGCCGUUUUUUCCUCCUCCAUUACCUGGUGCAACACAUAAGAGUAAGAAUGCAACAACUUUAACAAACACAAACCUUUCGUUUACUAGUUAAACUAUUUCUGUUCUGCACACCUCUUUGAUUUGAACCUCUGGAGGAUCAAGAAUUGAUGCAAAUGUUACGGGGUUGCUUCAGCUUAUAUUUUCUAAUAAUGGAGUUUGCUUCCUUUUUUCCUUUUUCUUUUUUUUCCUUUUUCCAACUUCCUCAGUGUCAUGGGGUUUUGUUCCCGAAUCAGGCAUAAAUUCGUCUUUCUGAUAAAUUUUUGAUGACUAUAAGUAAAGGGAAUGGAAAUAAAGGAAACUGGCAAUACGGCCAAGACAACCUAACUAACCCAAGAUUUUAUAGAAGGCGAUGGUGCAAAAAACCCGCUCGCAAUAUAAAAUUAGCACUUUACCCCUUGAUAUAAAAAAUGCAUAGGUUACCCUCUUGAUUUUUACAAAUCCUGCAUGGUGCGAAUAUUUUAUAUCUCUAGGAUUUAUCUGUAGUUUUUAAUUGCCAACAGGGAUGAAGUGUAAAUCAUGAUACUUGCAGGAGGCCUUCCUGCUUUGUAUACUUUCAUUAAGAACAAUUAGCAGAACAGAGAGUUGAUAGCAGAUACUUAUAUUGCUUAAAGAGGACAAGACAAAAAUGCAUCUAGGAAAAUAAUCUGGCAAGGAAAGAGUUCUUGUGAGGAUAAUGUGGGACAUAAUAUUACUUCACUUGAAUUUAAGAUCUAUCUGAGGAUUUAAGUACCUCAAAGCAAACACUUAAAUGAAUAUAUGUUUGAACUUUGAAAAGUGAAUUCAACCCCCAAUAAUGAAGAUACAUGAAAAGAAAUGUCAUCAAAUUAGCCGGCACAAAAACUCCGAUGUUGUGAAGUCAAUAGUUUGGAUCCUUUGUCAUAUCCCUUAACAUAUUUAUCCUCAUCUAAGUUGUCAAUGUUGGUCCAAAUACUUUUAUGGGCCUUUUAGUCAUUAAAUAUGUGGAAGCAUACACCGGAGACUGAUUUUAGCCUAUCACAUUGUCCUCAUGAUUAUGAACUUUCAGGAACAGCAUUCCUUCUACGAGAAAAUUAACCAUUUGUUACAAAAAUGUAGAGGCCAUAUGUGUUCUGCAGUUGCAAACAUCUGUUCACACUUAUUAUCAACCAAUUAAUACAUGCUCUUUUGAGUAGAUAAAAGUAUACUGAACGAGAUGCUUAUGCAUCCAAAUAGGCCAUCAAAAUCAUAUGCAAAUGCCCUUUUUAUUGAUUUUGUUUUCUUACAAGAUUUAAGGCAUUAAUCUUUUCAAGAAAAAACUCGCUGAAAACAGCUUUAGCUAUCAUUCUCAAGAAAGAUUAGAACCCAAAUGCCAGCAAUAACCAUAAAGAAAUGAGUAACAACCUAAAUUGUACGGCGAUGCUGUUAAUUUAAUAAAUAUUAUUGUAAAUCUCCUCUUUUGCAGUUUUUCACCACAAUUUUUCUGUCGUAUUUUUAGUUAACUACUAAUGCUAUUGUUUCAGACUGCCUUUCUAGACAUAAUGAUGGAUUAUUUCAUUUUUAUCUGGUGCAGGACAUAAAGAAAAAUUAGUAACUGCUACUAUUGUUAUAUGCGUUUGUGUGCUUCUCCUGUCGCUAGUUGCAUGUUCUUCAUACAUUUCAUUGUCGAGGAGGAAGAAAAUUAAGAAGAGAAAAUGUGAGUGGCUACAAAAUUUUGCAAAUCUCUCGUAUAUUUAUAUGAAAAGUGUUGUCCACUAUCACCAACUUUGUAUACUAUAUUGUAUAAAUUGCAAUUUAACUUUGACUUUUUCGGCACUUCACCUAUGGAUAUGAUAAUAAUGCACACUAUGAACUAUGAUAAUAGAGUUUAUCGCAUUCGUUAUUUCUAUAUCAACAACUGAUUUCACUUUCUUUUGUAUAUCUAGUUCUUUUUAGUUUCCCUUAUCAUAGAAAUUGAAAGAUACAUAUCAUAUACUCCCUCAUUCUCUUUGCUAGUACGGGAAGAUAUUCAGGAGGAUCCUAGAAGAAACAACACUUUGGAAUUUGAUUUGUUUGCACUUAAAGAAGCCACUGACAAUUUCUCCAACGUCAAUAAGCUUGGCGAAGGCGGGUUUGGUGCAGUUUAUAAGGUGUUAAUUGACGCAUGUUGCUUAACCCUAAUAUUUCUAGCAAAUAAACUAACUAUCCACCAAACACUCAAAUUAUCUAAGUAACCUUUCCACAUUUCUUUUUGAAAAAGACAGAUAAUAAAUUGCCUCUUAUUUCUAACAGGGAACAUUUCUAGAUGGACAAGAAGUAGCAGUAAAGACGCUUUCAAGAAGUUCAGAGGAAGGAGUAUAUCAACUAAAAAAUGAGCUGCAAUUUCUCACGAAGGUCCAACACAGAAAUUUGGUCAAGUUAUUAGGCUUUUGCAUAGCAAAAGAAGAGAUGCUGCUUGUCUAUGAAUAUGUUCAGAACAAAAGCCUUGACACUUUCAUAUUCGGUACUUCCAACAUAUUUCCAUUCACACCUGAUAAAGAACCUAAAAAAGAGUAUCUUUUAUAGUGCUAGGUGGAAUCAUUCUUUGAUCAUCAUAAGUUCUAGAAUUCUAUGGUGCUGUUAGGUUCCCUAUGAAUGAUCCAAAACCAAGUCAAAUUAGUCAAAGAAAUCUGAAAAUGGCAUAAAAAAGUACAGUUUAGACUAAACACAAUAUUGUGGUAGGUUUUCUUUAGUUUAGACUAAACACAAUAUUGUGGUAGGUUUUCUUUAGUUAUCCCACCUCUCUAUUGCCUAAACUAUCAAUUAAGUUGACUCUAUCAAUUUAGCCAACAGACAUUAUUUUCAGUCAUACAGAUUAAAUAGCAUAUACAGCAUACAUGGCCAUUCAAUAAAUCUGCUUAUCGCAUAUGGCUUGUGCAGUACAUUGGCCAGCCACUUUGAGUGACUUCGCACAUUGAUCUUAACACAUUCAACUAUUCAUGUACAAGAUUAUUUGUGCCGUCAUUUACAUUGACUCAUUACCAAUAAUAUCAAGUGGAUUAGCAAUUUCACAUUAUAUUUCUAUAAUGUUACGUUUGAAUUCCCAAUUAUUCACCUACAAUCAUCAGAUCAGCAAUACUAGUUCAACUUCAAUAUCUACCUACCUGAAUAUAUGUAAAAUUGCCACUUAAUCAACAUUUGAGCUCAUUUUCCUAGAAACAAGAGCACAUACGAAUUUCAUUCAUUGUCUAAGAUGGAUAACCAAUCGAUUAUGAAAAAUUCUACCAGUAAGGAUCACUUAAAAUUUUCCACAUUCAACUCUAACACAUGUUUAAUGGCUCAUGUUAUAAUAAUUAAUUAUUUAUGCUGCUUACUGUCUCCAGCAAUUAUGCCUAGCAUAGUAACUCAGAUUUGGCAUGCUCCACCAUUAUUAUUUAGGUGAUUCCAUAAAUGAACGAAUAAACUGGGAACAACGAUACAAGAUCAUUCAAGGAGUUGCCAGAGGUCUUUUGUAUCUUCAUGAAGAUUCUACUGUACGAAUAAUUCACCGAGAUCUAAAAGCCAGCAACAUUUUGUUAGAUGAGAAAAUGAACCCCAAAAUUUCAGACUUCGGAGUGGCAAGGCUUCUUGCAAGAGACCAUACUGAAAGCAAGACGACAAGAGUAGUAGGAACAUUGUGAGUUCAGAGCCAAUUUCUCAUCAUUGUUAAAAUGGGGUUAAGUCCAUCCUCGACCUUUUUCAAGAUCAGUUUCAGUUAUGUACCUAGCUUAGUUCAAUUGGGUUUCCUAACCUUUGCAAUUCAUUCAAUACCCUUUUUCACUCGAUUUCUUGCUUAGAUUGGAGGGAAGGGCCCAUUAAUUUGACAUUUGAGAGGUCCAAAAGUUGCUUAUGUGAAUACCGGACAAAAAUUACAAGGAUAUUCAUCUACUUGGAUGGAGAAACCUAAGAAAAAAGUAAGAUUGCACCGAAAGGCAAAGGUGAGACCCAAUUGUGAGAAUUGAAAGGUCUAGGACUGAACUAAAACUACACAAAAAUUCGAGGACACGUGUUAAGUACCAUGUAAAAUUGAUAAAACUCUUAUUAGUUACUUGUUGCGUUUUGCAGUGGAUAUAUGGCACCAGAGUAUGCAAUAGAAGGAAAUGUUUCUACUAAGGCAGAUGUUUUCAGCUUUGGAGUCUUGGUUUUAGAAAUUGUGAGCGGACGAAGCAACAUAAGUUUUUAUGAUCCCACAAACGUGGAGAAUCUUCUAAGCUAUGUAAGUUUGCUAUGAAAUAUAUUCGUAGGAGAUAAAGGAUUUUAGUGCCAUAAUAGGAGCUCAUGCUGAAAACUUGCUGGCACGAUACGACAUGGUGUGUGUCGUGCCAUGCUGGUGCGUGCACCAUGCCGUAUCGUGCCGAUGCAUACUGGUCAUAAAAAAUACAUUUGUGCUAACACACGAUGGCAUGAAAUAGUUUAUUUUCUUUGACACCAACAUAUUCUUAUUGUUUAUUAUAUAUCUUUAUCAAAUCUUUUAUAUUUUAUUGAGAUAACUAAUUACUAAGUUCAAAGAAAGAGAAUUUUAAGCUGUGUCAUCGGCAUGAGAGUCGUAUCGUACCAAUAUCUUACCAGCAUGGUAUGGCAUGAUAGGCAAGACUUGUGCUGAUGGACACUUAAAUCCUUGUAUGCCAUCUAUAAUAUAGCUAAGGAUACAAGGCAUGGAUACUCCAUGAACCCUCAUGUUAUUGUUCUAUGGUCUCUAAACAUUUCAUUUCAGGCGAUUUAGCCUCUAUAUUUGUCUAUAUUUCUAAUUUCAUCCUUGGUGUCGUUUGCUAUCCAAUGCAUAUUAUGUCAUGUGCUCCGCAAGUAUCCUUUUUAAUGAAACAUAGCCAUGUUAACCCCAUGUUAGAUAUGCCAAAAAUGUCCCAAGUGUCGUUUGCCAUGCCGUUCAAUGUCUGUUAUGUCACGUGCUCAACGAAUAUCCCUUUUCACAUGAAAUAGCCAUGUUAACCCCAUUUUAGAUAUGCCAAAAGUGGGAACCCAUUUCAUUGAAAAGGGCUAGUAGUAUAUGAAAAGGGUCAUAUGCAAACAACAAACCACAUUUCAAAUAUAUGUCAUAGGAAGUGGAAAUUCAUUUUAUAGGAAAAGAGUUAAAAUUGUAAAUUUAGCGUGAAAAGGGUCACGAGAGGAGCACAUGACAUAAUAGGUGUUGGAGAUUAUGGACAGAAAAACAUAGGAAUGUUGAGGAACUAAAUUUUCGAAUUCAAAAUUUUACCGACUAAAUUGCAGUAUUGUGAACGCAUUAGGACUUUCUAUACAAUUUGCCUUGUUAGUAAUUGAAAGAUCAGUAUGCUCAUACCUACUUGAUUUCUCCACAGGCAUGGCAGUGCUGGAAAAGUAGUACCGCGACAAAAUUGAUCGAUCCAUCUAUUAGUGAGAAUUGCCCGAUUCACGAAGUGUUGAGAUGCAUCCACAUUGGCUUACUAUGUGUUCAAGAGAACCCGGUCAACAGACCCCAAAUGUCAUCAGUUUUUCUAAUGCUCACCAGGAACAAAAUGAAGCUCCGACCUCCUUCACAACCUGCAUUCUGUUUCAAAGAAAUUAGUGAAGAAACAAGUAUACUCAGUAGAGAACCAAACUCACUUGGAGGCACAAUUGGGCAGUCUAUAAGUAGAAAAGACACGCAGAUCUCUGUCAAUGAGGUGACGAAUACAGAAAUAUACCCUCGAUAGGUAAAAUUGAAGCUACUUGCAAAACUUUUAACUUUGAACAGUUGCCAUGUUUGUGAGAUGUUACUUUGUGUAAAGAAAGUGUUAUAAUUAUAGGGAAAGUAAAGAUUUGUCCAAAUAGGAUAAGCAACUCACAUAGUUUGUUUCCAAAUUUUUAUAUACAUCGAGUAAGCGAGGUUGGUAUGGAAAUUAAUUCCAAAAAAUAUGCAAAGUGAUGGGGAUAUAAAGCUCCAUUUUAAAAAUUACAUGAAAAUAAAUGGUACUAUGAUAAAGAGAAAAUAGAGUUUAAACAGAUGAUCUAUUGAUUCCAUGAUGGGAACAGAAUUUGGAGCAUACCACAAAGGCCUACUUACGACUAUUUUACCAAAUUAAAAUUUCUGCUCUGCCAGCAAAAAUAUAUGAAAUAUGUAGCUAUGUAUUGGUUCUCUCGCAAAUUUACACUCUGAAGUGGUUUGAUAUGAUAUGUCUUUUGUACAUAUUAAAUGAAAGUUCACCUCGAGUCCCAUGUUCCAACCUAAAUGAUCCUAUUUCUUGCUGUGUUGCAGAACAUUUUGGAUAACUAUAGUAAAGAAGCUAAACAGAUGACAACUGAAAUAUUAAUCCAGUCAAAUAUAUGCUGUAACUGUAAUUCUGCCAUAUCUUUCAAUUCUCCUAAGCUAUUCUAUGGAGGCUUACUAACAAAAUUUGCUGAAAACCUCUUAAUUGAGAAGCAGUAGCUAAUAAAGGAGUUAUCUAUAGUAAUAAUUAGCUUCACAAGAGGUAAUCUCUAUAUUAUUAAAGAAAUUAGUGAGAGGGCAGAGGGGAAGGCAAUAUAUGCAGACUAACAUCAAGAUAAUGAGAAACAACUAAUAAAGGAAGAAUCUCUCGAGAGGUUCAUCUCUGUGAAAAUUGAUGACCAUCCAAAAAAUUACAAUCGAAUCAUUGGAAAAUUGAUGAUCACAGAUAGAGCAAUUGGAAAUAAUCAAAUGUUGAGUCUUCAUAUUUACAGAAGAAACUCCUCAUAAGCAAAACAAAAUACGUCAGAAGUACACGGCAUUAAUACUGUGCAUGUUGAUCGGAGAGAACAGCAAGAUCACUACUGUAAUUUACAAGAAUGAGUAGAACUUUUUCAAGUAUGAACUAUGAUCGAAAGAUACUAUCAUAUCAAAUUAGUGCUUAAAAGCACCCAAUUUAGUAGGUGUGUCCAAAUCAUGAAAGACUAAGAAAUGUGUUAGGCUUGAUGUGCUAUGAUUUUCAGCGUAAAGGGCCUAUUUCCUUUGAGAGUGUCUUCGAUCUACCGUUAAUCAAAUGCAUGUGAACAGGUUUGCACCGUCCGAGUGCCUAGAAGACUCUGAACAGGAACCGCAAAAGAUGAGCAGAUGUCAAGAAACAACUAAAUUUCAUAAUUCACAUGCACAUUUACAUAUACAUCAAAAUGUAUGAUUUUACUAAAUAGUGAUGAUACAAACGGAUUGUCCUAAUGGGUAUCAUGAUUUUUUCGAACCAUUUCUCAAUCUUAUGAUAGAUAUCAGUUUCUUUCUCCACCAGUAUCAUCAGAAGAGGACAUGUGAUGUGAAUAAGACAAAUAAUCCGAUGAUAUGAGAUUCCAGGAGAUUCCUAUAUUGUCCAUACAGACAAUCAAAUUAAGGAGUUUUGGGAAAUAGUUUUCUUUUUAUUUUUCAAUUAAUUGGAAAUACUGCUUUCAUCAUGAAGGAUAGGAAACAUUACACUGUAAUGAGAAUCUAUAUGACUUCAACUUUUGGAUAUCCGAAAAGAUAAGGCUAUGCCAAAACAAUCGCUCUCAGCCCUCCAGAAAUUUAUAUUAUUGCAACAUCUAGCAUUUUCCUCGAAAAAUAAGUAAACCACCACUCAUGAAGCAAAAAUUGAAAGAAGGGCUAAAGUGCAUACCCUCUUGAGUUGUAUUAAUGAAUAUAUAUAGCACAAGAGAUUGUCUUACUAUAGUAACAAUGACUAAUAUAGUAAGAGUAUAACUAGGAUUACAUACUAUAUAAUCCAACUCUAUAGAAGGCAAUGAUACUACUCUAUAUAAGGCAAUAAUACACAAUAUCCUAAUAUAUCGUAACAUCCUAAUAUAGAUAAAAUAUAUCGUAACAUCCCCCCGCAAGCUAAGCAUCCGGUGGUCGGAUGCGAAGAUUGAGCCGCAAUAUCGAAAACCGAGAGGAUGACAGGGGCUUGGUGAAAAUGUCGGCAAGUUGCUUGUCAGAAGGGAUAUGAAUUAAGGCCAAAUCACCAGACUGAACUUUUUCCCGCAAAAAUUGAUGAUCAAGUUCAAUGUGCUUCGUGCGAGCAUGGAGAACAGGAUUGGCCGCAAGGUAGGUGGUGCUGAGAUUAUCGCAAUAAAUACUGAUAGAGCGCCAUAAGAAAACACGAAGGUCACGAAGGAGACGACGAAUCCAGACUGUCUCAGCAAGUGUGUAGGCUACAGCACGAUACUCUGCUUCAGAACUAGAACGAGAAAUGGUGGGUUGUUUCUUAGCGGACCAGGAGAUAAGAUUUGGCCCAAGAAAAAUGCAAUAUCCAGAAGUAGAGCGACGUGUAUCGGGGCAACCAGCCCAAUCAGCAUCAGCGAAGGCCACAAGAGAAGGAUUGUCACAGCGAGAGAUAGGAAGGCCAUAAGUCAGCGUCCCCCGAAUAUAACGCAGAAUACGUUUGACCGCUUGCAUGUGUGGUUCACGAGGUGCAUGAAGAUACUGGGCAACAGAGUUGACGGCAUAUGAAAUGUCCGGUCUGGUGAAAGUGAGAUACUGGAGAGCACCAACGAUCUGACGAUAAGUGUAUGGAUCCUCAAGAAGAUGCCCUUCAUGGGAAGAGAGACGAGAUGUUGGCGAAAGAGGAGUAGAAACGGGCUUACUGUCAAGAAAACCAUGUCGCUGAAGCAAUUGAUGCGCAUAUUUUUGUUGAGAUAGAUGAAGACCAGAUGGAGAGCGAUGAACCUCAAUACCCAAAAAAUAAUGCAGCGGUCCGAGAUCCUUCAUGGCAAAUUCGCGUUGUAAAGUAACGAUAAGAGCAUCGAGAAGAGAUGAGGAACUGCCGGUGACAAUAAUAUCAUCAACAUACAAGAGGAGAACAAGAGUGCCAGAGGAAGAAUGACAAACAAACAUUGAGGGAUCAGCAGUGCUGCCAACAAAACCAAUCUCAGAAAGAAAAGAAGUGAAACGCUGAAACCAAGCCCGAGGAGCUUGUUUGAGACCAUAUAUCGCUUUACGUAGGCGGCAAACGUGACUAGGAAGCGAAGGAUGCACAAAGCCAGGUGGUUGUUUCAUAUAAACCUCCUCAGAGAGAGUGCCAUGAAGAAAGGCAUUCUUCACAUCAAGUUGUCGGAGAGACCAUCCAGAGGAGAGAGCGACUGAAAGAACAGUACGAAUAGUGGUCGACUUGACAACCGGAGAAAAAGUCUCAUCAAAAUCAAUGCCUUGUUGUUGUUUGUAACCCUGAGCCACUAGUCGAGCUUUGAGACGCUCAAGAGAGCCAUCCGCCUUCUGUUUGACUUUGUAGACCCAUUUACAGCCAAUAAGAUUGACAGAAGGAGGAGCAGGAACAAGCUCCCAAGUAUCAUUGGUGAGUAAUGCAUCAAAUUCUUCAGCCAUGGCAGCACGCCAAUCUGCAUCCUGAAAAGCUUCAUGAAAAGUGAUAGGCUCAGUAGGAAGAGUAGUAUGUGUAGAAGCUAGGAAGGAGGUAGACCCAGCAAAAUUCUUAGCCAUAGAUCGAGUAAGCAUAGAGUGUGUCCGGAUUGGUAAGGAAGGCUCUGCAGGCUGAGGUGAAGGUGGCCUGUCCGAUGUGGAAGGCGUCAACUCAACAGGAGAAGGUAAAGCUGUAGCAGCAGAAGGUCGGAGGGUGUGUCGUCUGGUAUAGACUCGGAGUUCAGGUGGACCAGCAACAGUGGCAGCAUGUUCAUCACUAACCUGUGUGGCAUCAUGAUUCAAGGUGGAAGGAAAAGUCGAUACAGUCUCAGAUGGUGAAACAGAUGCAUUUGAACUAACAUCCGGAGAAAGGCGUGUGAAGGAAAAACCAGAGAUGGCAUCAAGAGAGGAAGGACUUUCGCCCAAUAAGGGAGGAUUAGAAAGAAAAUGUUGAAACAUUUGAAAAUUUGAGGUAGUGGGGGAAGAUGAGGAAGAAAAUUUGGACAGACAAGAGUAAGGAAAAACAGUUUCAACAAAAGUAACAUGGCGAGAAAUAAAAACUUUACCAGUGCUCGGAUAGAGGCAGCGAAAGCCCUUAUGUUUGUCAGAAAGACCCAAGAAAAUACAAGGAAGUGAUCGGGGAGAGAGCUUGUGAUCUGCAAUGUCCUGAACAUCGGGAUAACACAAACAUCCAAAGACUCUGAUAAGUUGCAAGUCAGGAGAAGCACAACCAUGGAGAAUGUCAUAUGGUGACCGCCCAUUUAAAACAGUAAGAGACGGAAGUCGAUUUACAAGAAAAACAGCAGUUUGAAUGGCCUCAGCCCAAAAACGAGGAGGCAAGCCAGCUUGGAAUAGUAGACUUCUAACAAUGUUAGAUAAAUGCCUAUGUUUUCUCUCAGCAAGGCCAUUUUGUUGAGGAGUGUAAGGACAAGAAAAUCGGUGAAUAAUUCCAUUUUGUGAGCAAAAACUAGAAAACUUGUCAUUUACAAAUUCCGUACCAUUGUCAGAUUGAAAAAUUUUUAUUGAGCUAUGAAAUAUAUUUUCAACCAUCUUCUUGAACUCGAAAAAUUUGUCAAAAACUUCAUGUUUAAAUUUUAAAAGAUAAAGCCAGGAAAAUCUAGAAUAAUCGUCGAUAAAAAUAACAUAAUAUUUGUAUCCAGAAACCGAGGGCACAGGUGAUUGCCAAACAUCAGAAUGAACAAUAUGAAAAGGAAAAGCAGAUUGAGAUUCUGAAUCAUGAAAUGAGAGUUUAACAUGUUUUCCCAUAUUACAAGCAUUGCAGACAGAUAAUUUCAGUGCAGAAUCAGAAACAAUUUUAUUAUUUUUAAUAAAUGUAGAAAGAACAGGAAGACUAGGAUGACCUAACCGUCUAUGCCAGACAUCUCCACUAAAUCUAGAUGCAAUAAGAGCUAGUUGUUGCUUAUUCCCUACACUUGCAAGUCUAGAAGAAAUUGGAUAAAGUGAUGUUCCCGAGCUAGGACAUCGAAGAAGCUCCUUCCCUGUUUCCUUGUCCUUCACAGAGAAACCAGUAGAGUCAAAUUCAAAAAGAGAAUUAUUAUCUUGACAGAAUUUACGCACUGAAAGUAAAUUUCUCUUAAUAGUAGGAACAACAAGAACAUUUUUUAGAGCAAAAGAGUUAGAAGAUGUAUUCAAUUGAGUUUCACCUGUCUGAGUAAUAUCAAGUAAAUUUCCAUUACCAACAAGAAUUUUUUCAUGCCCACUAUAAGGUUUAGAAGAUGAGAGAAUACCAGAGUUUGCGGUUAUAUGAUUUGAUGCUCCGGUAUCCGGAUACCAGACUUCCUCACCGGGUUCGUGAAGGUUCAUAGCAGCAAAGGUCUGAGGAACUUCAUCAGCAGCGAAAGAAUGAUUGAAGCGUUGUCUGCACUGAAGAGCAGAAUGAUUGAACUUUCCACAUAUCUGACAUUGUAUGCCGGACUUCGGAAUAUAUGGUUGUUGAUUUGGAGUGUAAGAUUGUUGAGGAUAAUUAGGUUGAGACUGUGGGUAGAUUUCAGGAGAUCCACGACCAGAAUAGUGUCUACCACGUUGUCCUCGGCCUCCACGAUAUCUACCUCCACGGCCUCCACGAUUACCACGUCCACGAUUGGCAUAAAGAGCUUCACUGUCAAUAGUGGGAAUAGCAGAGGACGUAGUCACACUAGUGCGACGCUGAACUUCUGUUUCUUCUUGCAUCAAGAGUGGACGAAGUUGUUCAAAAGUUGGCUUAUUUCUGUGUGUGUUUAGAGCACUAACAAAACCUCGAUAUUCCUCUGGUAGCCCUAGAAGAACAGUCAUGACCAAAUUAUGGUCUGACUCGAUUUCACCAAUCGCCUGAAGAGCAUUACCAAUCGUCUUGAUCUUUUGCAUGUAAUCACUCAUGCUCAUUGAGCCUUUCUUGAUGCUCCGCAAUUCAGAUUUUAGAGAAAAAGUCGUGGAAGCAGUCUUAUCAAGAAAAUAUGCCUCAAUAAUUCUCCAAGCAUCAUAUGCAGUUUUAGGUGAGCUAGAAACAAUCAUAUGUAAUAUGCUAAGAGAUAAAGUGGCAUUAAUCCAUAAAAGUAUAGUAGUAUCAUUUUUUUUCCAACUCACAUAUUCAGGAUUUAUAACCUCCUUCUUAUCAGCAGUAUCGAUAGUGUGAGAAGGCACAACACUAAUUCCGUCCACAUAUUUUGUAACACCAAAACUUUCUAGAACAUUAAGAAAGACUUGUUUCCACACAAGAUAUGUGGAAUCGGUGAGUUCUAGUGGUAUGAGAGUUUUAAUAUUAACAAUUGGCAAAUUUGAGGUAGAAGAAGCCAUAUUUACUACCUUAAGAUAAGGAUCCACCACUAGAUAAGAAAGAAAGAUAAAUCGGAAUGUAGCGGAUGUAAAUAAAAAAAGAACCUGAAUUCUACUACAUGAAAGGAACCACUUAUCACCAAAUAAGAUCGACCGCACCAAGGAAAGAACUAAGCGAUACGAGCAACCAACAGUAGGACAGUCCGAGCGGCACCAGAGGAGCAAAGAGGAAUCACAGAAAGGCUAAAAAUACUGUAGCAGAGGCACUGUAGCACCAGUACUAUAGCGCUGAUACUGUAGCACUGGUACUGUAGCAUCAGUACUGUAGCAAUAAUACUGUAGCAGUACUGUAGUGAUAAUACUGUAGCAGUACUGGGAAGAUAGAAAACCAAAAGAAAAGACACCUAUAGAAAAAGGUGAGAUUUAUGGUGGAUGGUGGCUAUGGAUCGAUAUCCCCACAUUAGGGUUCCCGCUCUGAUACCAUGAAAGAAGGGCUAAAGUACAUACCCUCUUGAGUUGUAUUAAUGAAAAUAUAUAGUACAAGAGAUUGUCUUACUAUAGUAACAAUGACUACUAUAGUAAGAGUAUAACUACGAUUACAUACUAUAUAAUUCUACUCUAUAGAAAGCAAUGAUACUACUCUAUAUAAGGCAAUGAUACACAAUAUCCUAAUAUAUCGUAACAUCCUAAUAUAGAUAAAAUAUAUCGUAACAAAAAUAAAUGAUUUUGUCAUGAACUGCAGAAAACCACUGAAUAUCGAAAUAGACAGCUAAUACUUUUCUAGAUGCCCGUUUACUGCAGGUAACUCCUUUCCAUGACAUUGGCUGUUCAUAGGUGCAUAAGGUUCAACUUAAAGAUUGGCUGUUCAUAGGUGCAUAAGGUUCAACUUAAAGAAAAGAAUAGAGUACUUAACAUCUUAUGGCAUGUAAAAGUCCAAAGGGGCAUGAGAAGACAUAACUAGUACAGGACAGAGCAAUCAUUUUCUGUUGAGUUAAAUUCAAGUUUUAGACAAAUCCUCCUCCUCCUCCUUUUAUCUUCUGUAACUUAAAAUUCAAUUACUAAAUUAGUAGAACUUAUGGACAAUGGGAGGCUUUCUAAGCCACCUCUGAUGAUGGAAAUCUGCAGGAAACAGGAAACUGCUAAAAGCAACUGGACCAAAUUGAGGAAAUCGGAUUUUCAGUUAGUUUUUACUUCAGUGCCAAUUAGUUAGGUUGCAGUUCAUGCUUUUUGAAAACUGUAAACCAAUCAAUCAAAUUUGGUUCAGUUUAGACAAAAACCAAAAUCAAAAAAAAUCAUCCACACCCCCACGUGCGAAGGCCACUACAAAUUAUUUAAAUUCUCCAAUUGAACUAUAAAAAAUCAUUUUCCAUCUUCACUUACCAGUUCUGAUUGAGCGGUAGUGAAAUAAAAGAAAGCUAAAGGUUAGGUACUAAAAUAGAAACUGUUGAAAUUCAGGAACCCAUAUCAAAGGCUAUAGUUCAGGUAGCCCCUAUAUGAUUUUACAGAGGGAAUUUUCAAAAAGCACUAUAACCUGGCAAGUACCAGUCUAGAAAGCAAGAAAAAAAGUAGGGGGAUUGUAAAACACUCAAAUGUCAAGUUUGAGAUUCCGGACAAUCGAGAGACAUCUAAAAGGAUUUGUAAGGUAGUUAAGAAACUAAACACAGAUAACAAGACAGCACAUCAGUUAUGGAACAUAUUUAAUAUUACAUUUUCCACUCUCUUUCAUUUUUAAAGAAGUUUGAAUAGCUGUUCCUUGUUUCUUCUUCGCUGUAUUCUAACUUAUCCACACUUCUUUUCUCUUAUUAUUUGUUUAUCUUUCACGGCAAAGAAAAUAAUAGCAGUCUUCAAUACUCGUGUUUUUGCUAAUCACUUGGAACUCGAAGUAAAAUGCACUGCUGAUCCCUGCUGAUCUUAAUCUUUCAUUUGAAAUUCUCAGGUUAGGGUGGAACACAUAACUGGCACCGUGUUAGCGAAAAUCUCAAGGUAAAAAUGUAUGGAGAUCCCCUCAACUAUAGGUCAUUCUGAAUAAGUUCUCCCAACUUCAGUUUUUUUAUUCACACCCCCUUAACUUUUAAUUUUUUUGAAUCUAGUAUUUCUAGCUACUUAAGUGAAAAAAAAAAAAGGGAAUAAAUUUAGUGGCUCUAUUAGCCACUAGCAAUCAAUUGUUCUAGUUUUAUUUGUUAAACAAUAAAUAGAACUAUUUGAUUUAUAUGAUAUCACAGGUGAAUUUGAUAAAAUCCCUAAUUUAGUUGGUCAAAUUGAGAAUUAGAAUAAAUUUAAUGGUUUUAACAGCUAUUAGCCAUUUAUUGUUCCAGUUUUAUCUGCUAAACAGUAAUUAUAAUCAUCAAAUUUGACGAAAUCAACGUGAAUUGAUAAAAUCCCUAAUUUAUUUGACUAAAGUAACUCAAUUCAAAAAAUAAUAAUAAUAAUAAUAAAAGUUAAGUGGGGGUAAUAAAAAAUAUUGAAGUUGAGAGGGCCAUUUCAAAAUGGCCUAUCCUUGAUGGGGUCUCCAUACAUUUUCACCAAAUCUAAUUCAUAAGGUUUAACCAAUGAAAAACCUCCAAGUCUCUUUCCCUUUUUUUGGCCAAAAUAGAAAAAUGCGAAUCAUGACAUACAAUCAUUUGAAAUUCUCAAGCAUUUAUCAUAUUUUAGGUGAUCUAAACAUAUAAAAAAAUUAAUGUACGAUUAUUAGUAAAUUAAAAAUAAAAUCUACUACCUCAUAAAAUCCAGAGUGCAUUAUUGAGGUCAUCACAAACAAGUCAGUCUAUGCAAAGGAAAAUGACUAAAUUAUUCAAAAAAUUGCAUUUUAAAUAUCCUUCUGAUUAUUAAGUUUCCUAAAUCUCUAUUCAUUUGAAUAUUUAUAAAACUUGUUUAUCCAUCUGCAUUAAAAAGCAAAAUAAAAUACGAACCAACAAUUUCUUUAAUUAAUGACUGUUUCUUAGUGAAGCAUAAUGAAUAAUAAAAGAUUUAAGAUCUAUGAAGGAAGAAGCCUUGUUGCUUUUCUCCAGAGUUAACAUGAAGGGAAACACCAGUGGAAGCUCCACUGUUUUGGAAACAGAGAGUAUAUACAAGGAUUCUGGUGUUAUGCAAGAGUGUUUUUUACACAAUUUCCUGUAAAAUAAGAUUAUUCGCAUAUGCUUCACAUUUUAUUAAAUUCUGGGUAAUUUUAUUUACUUCUAAAGAGUUCACAUAUGCCAUAAAUGGUACACACAACAUAAACAAGGUUCUGAAAUUUCAUAGGAACUUGUUAUAAUAUGCUAAAUCCGCCAACAUGCUAAUCACGAUUUCUACUUCUACCUAGGUUCUAGUUCAGUAAUCGAAACCUCAUUUGGCGACAUGGGAAUAGAACUAUUCGAGGAUUGGUCUCCAAUACCUCCAUAGUGAUUAGCUUGAUGUCGGAAACUUCCGGAGUUAAUACCGCUCUUUCCAAUGCAAAACGCUGGCUUGUAUGGAGCUUGAAGUGAAACUGUCUCACUGCUUAGCAUCACCACCACUGUCGACAUGUUCGGUCUAUCAGCUGGAUUCUCCUGAACACAUAACAAUCCGAUGUGGAUGCAUCUCAAUGCCUCAUUUCUUGAGUAAUUCCUGCCCAUGGAUGGAUCCACUAUCUCUAGAAUUGUUCCGUUGAUCCAACGCUCCCAUAUCUACAUGAAUGCAGUUUUAGUAUGUAGAAAAUAGGAGGAAAAAAAAAUUAGAAAACAAAUGUGCAUUUUGUGCCUAUUGAGCCAAACAUAAGGUUCUAGAACCUAGGCAUUUGGCCAAAAAAAAAAAAAGCACUCUGGAGCUUUUGCUGUGACGGGAAUCUGAAAUUUGUUUUUGGACACCAAAAGCAAAGACUGCAAUUCAUUUGCUGCAGCAAGAAAGCUAUCAAGGAGAUUUCUGAAAAAAAAGAAGCUAUUAGUGCUUCCUCAAAUAGCCUUGUCAAAUAGCAAUUAGACAGAAGCUCCAACCAAGCCAAAAGGGCCCUUCAUUAUGGAUCUAUAGCGAGAGCGUCAAAAGAAGUAUUUUUCAACUUGUGCAGUCAAAAGAAGCACUAAGGGCAUUUUCAUCUAAGCCCCAUCAACUUCUUCCUCUACAUCUAGAAGCUUGGAGCUUCUACUUUUGGGAUAUCAAAAGCUUAUUUUGGUUUCCUGCCACAACUUAAAGCUCUAGAUAUUUUUUUCAGUUUGCCAAUUGCCCAGUUCCCCUUCAUAAAUAUGAAGCAGACAACUAUUUCAAGAAAGUGGAAGCUGGACGAAAAAAGCACUUUAUUCUGAAAGGAGCAGUUCAAUUGAAACACUCACAUAGGUUAAGAGAUCUUCAGCAUGCUCAGAUUCGAGGGUAGCAGUGUUUUUCCUCGAUGUGAUGAUCUCCAGAAUAAGAACACCAAAGCUGAAUACAUCUGACUUGAUUGAGAAGUGGCCGUGCAUGGCGUAUUCUGGUGCCAUAUAUCCACUGAAAAUGCAUUACAAGAUAAUUUUUAAUGAAACUUGUAAUGACUGAUGAGGAUGAGUUAAAAUUGGACAUAGAACGAGAAAAGUAACAAGCAAAGUGAUAAACAAAAAUACAAGCUAACAUAACCCUGCAAACUUAUCUACUUAAACAUACAUUAUCCAUGCAACAUCUGCAAUUUCGUAUAUCCCCUUCAGAACCUUAUAAUGUUACAUAUAAUUUCUUGUAUGUAAAAAACUGCCUAUUUGAAAACCUGUCCUAAUGCUGAAAACAAUUUUCUUCCAUGACCAACAUAAAACAAGGGUAUUUACACAAGAAAAUACACAUUCAAGGGAUGUAUACAAGAAUUCAUAUUUUAUAGGGGUGUAUAUGUAAAAAAAUAGGUAACUUCGCAAGGAUAUAAAUAUAUGUAAAAGGACGGUAAAAAGAUUAUAAUGUGGCAAAUGGAGAAAACUGUUUACUUACAAUGUCCCAACAACACGGUUCGUGACCGCCUGAGUUUGGUCUCCUCCAAAAAGCCUAGCCAGACCAAAGUCUGAAAUCUUAGGGUUCAUGUCUGCAUCUAGUAAAAUGUUACUAGCUUUCAAAUCCCUAUGAAUAAUUUUCAGCUGAGAAUCUUCAUGCAGAUAUACUAGUGCUCGAGCUAUUCCAUUAAUGAUCCUAUACCUCUUCCCCCAGUCAAGCUGCUGCUUCUUCUCAGAAUCUUUGCAAAUUACAUUACACAAAAUUUCAGAAAAAAAAUGAGCAAUUCAAAAACUAGAAAAGUGCUUCCACUAGAUUUAGUUUGAAGCUCAGAAAGGACUAAAUGAAAGCAAAUACAGAAUGAUCCAAUAUAGUUAGGACUUAGGACCUGUUUAACUUUUCUAACUCCUACCAGCUUCUCAUUGCAGCAGAAGCAGAAGCUUCAAUUCAGAGCAUCUGCUGUGGGGGUAGCAGCUCAUUUCAAGCUUUCAGCUCCCCGUAAUAGCAAAAAUUUUGGACUUUUUGUCUGCCAAAUGCCUUGCUUGUUCUCCUCAAAGUAGAGUAGUAUUCCAAAAACCAGCCAAAAUGACAUUUAGCUCCGUAAAAAGGUCAAAGGAGAAGUGAAGUGUUACCAAAAAGAACGGUGUCUAAGCUUCUGUUAGGCACAUAUUCAUAGACAAGAAGCUUCUCUUGCUCCUCCAAGCAUACGCCUAGAAGUCUUACAAGAUUCUUGUGUUGAAGUUUGGCUACAAGAACAAGCUCAUUUUUCAGUUCCUCUAUUCCUUGCCCUGAGCUUCUGGAUAGUCUUUUAACUGCUAUCUCACGCCCAUCAUGUAGGAUCCCCUAUACAAGUUUAGAUAUUAAGCUCUAAGAACCGACUCACAAAAGAAACAUGUAUUAUGCCUGUUAAAUUAUGAGAAAUAAUCAUUGUUCUUUAAAGCUUAAGUGAUCAGAAAAGAAAACGGUGUUUUAUAUUAUUAUUCAACACUCUCCCUCUCGUCUGAGCUAGAGACUUUUUGAUAGCCAAGAUGUGGACUUUAUUAAAUGGGAGAAAAUUAAAUAACGCUAGGAGGCUAGCGGAAAUCGAACUCAAGACCUCUUGGUUUGAUACAAUAUUAAAUUAUAAGAAAUAACCGUUGUUCUUUAAAAGCUUAAGCUAUCGAAGAACAACGUUUUUAUAUUAUGAUAUUCAACAGUCUAAUGGACAAGACAGCAAUAAGCUUUUGCAUUACUCAGCACAUUCUAAUAAAGAAAAUCUGUAUGUAUGGUGCCUCAGCUGGCCCCCACCCGCUCCACCCUAAAUUCCUAACAAUAUAGAUUAUCGUUAUACAGGUCCCUGAAAUUUAGUCAUUUUUAAUCCUCAACUAAUGUGCUUUGAUUUCAGAAAGACCAACAUAUUGUGUCACGCAUUAAUGGUUUUCAAAAUUUUACAUGGAAAUUCUAUUACAUGACAAAAUUCUUUUGAGUCAGAAUAUUUUGUUACACAACUUACAGACUAAAGAGACUAGGUUUGUAAAAUUUAGAGAUUUUACUACCAAAUGACAUUUUUAUUUUCCAUUCAUUUCUUUGGGAGGGUGGAAUGUUUUAUACUUUUUUGCCCAAAAGUAUAGAAAAGGGAUCAUUCCAGAAAACAAAAUGUUGUGAUACCUUAUAAACAGCACCAAAUCCUCCUUCGCCAAGUUUAUUGACCUCAUCAAAAUUACCAGUUGCAGCUCUGAGUGUUGGCAGAUCAAUAAGCAGUGAGUCGACAUUUCUAAUCUCCUCUGCAGUAGUUUCAUCUGUUGAAGUAGGAUACACAAGGUUAUAUGUAUGUUUGUGCUUAUUUAUGCAUGCAUACAUACAUACGCAUAAGGAUUUUUAGGUGACAUUGUUUGCAUAACCUAACUUUGUUUUGAUCCCACAUAGCCAGCUGUACGCUUGGACAGUAGUAAGGCCCAUUUACAUACAAGUUACUUACAUAAUAGUGGUUGUUUUAUUGCCGAUCUCUUCCUCCAGAAGCAAAUGCAGAUAGCAGAUAUAAGAACAAGAGCAGCAGCUAGAGGUAGGGCAAUUGCGAGAACUGUUGCUGUUACAUUCUUCUUCUUUCCUGCAAUUUCCAUAUGACAAUAUAAUGUAAAUCCAAAUGAAUAGCAAAGAGUGAUAAAAUUGGAGACUUGCGAUCGUAAGUUGAAGACAUGCAUUUCGUUGGAGUAUGUUUGCGGCUAACUUUGUAAAUUGGCUAACAACCUGUUUGGAAUCCUCCAAUUCACUGAUUCCGAUUGCAUUGUAAAUGAGAAUUUAGUGAGUCCUAUGUUUGGAAACAUUAGUUGGUAUGAUUUAAAUGAAUUUGCCAUGAAUUCGGAUGAUUUCAGCAAGUAUAAGAAAACUCGAUGGUUCUAGGUCGGAUUUGCCACGAUUUGUGUUUCCCACAUGUAUGAAAAAUGAUAUACCCUCCCAAAGUCCUCUUUAACCCAUGUGAAUACGGACUGAACUGGGAAAGUAAAGAAUGAAAUUCAAUACAAUCCCACUCAUUCUAAACAAAGUCCAAAUCAUUGACUUAAAUUCACGAAAUUUAAAAUCAAUUUAAUUCUAUCUUGAUUUGGUACCAAACAAAAAGUCGGUGCCUUUGACUUAUUAAAACAUGAGAUUAGUACUUAUAGCGAUGGCAAAUUUCCCCUAAACCCUGGCACCUACAGGGAUCAGCCCCAAAUUAGGCGGGGAUGGAGGUUUUGGCCCUACAAGGAUGGGAUUGGGGGAGGAUUUUCCCAACUUGUGGGGACAAGGCAGGGACAGGAAAACUACUCCCCAUCCCGCAAAUCUCCGAUCCCCACUACAGUUUCUUCUCAAAUAUAUAAUAAAUUAAAUUACAUGUCUUAGUUUGUUUAUACAUAAUGUCUUAGUUUAUUUAUACAUAUAGAAUACCAACUUUGAUUUCCUUGAUAAUUUUCAAUAUAAUAAAAUAUAAUUAACAUAUUUAAUUUACUAUAAAGUAUGAUAGUUAGAUAAUAUUAAUGACUAAACAGUAGAAGGAUAAUUGGAUGAAAUUUAAAAUAAUUUGAAUUAAUAUCAAACUUUAAUAUAAUUAAAUUUCAAAUAAAAAAUAAUUUAAAAUAUUUCUUAAAAUUCCCGUAGGGACGGAGGUACCCGCAGCCCGCAGGGGUGGGGAUUAUUGAAUAAAACAACACCAGCAUGUGGGUUGCCUUGUGACCAAGUAUUGCGUAUUGGUAACAUAUUGCUGUUUAUUUGUUAUUCUGUAAUCGAGUCCUUAGGAUUUGUUAAGCUGAUCCUAGUUUUUAGGAAUUAUAGGUUAGUGAACUUAUUGCUUAAUAUUAGCUGUGGAAAUGGAUAUUGUGUAAGUGCUCUGUUUUGUGCUAUCAGCCUAUUAAAAAGGCAAUGAUAUGCAUCAAAUAAAAUAAGUCAGUUUCUUUUCUCUUCCCUUGUUUUACCCUCCUUAGAGGUUAUCGAACCAUUCUCGCUGCGUGUCAUUUCUACAAUUUGGUAUCAGAGACAGAGGUCACGGGUUCGAUUCCUGCAUGCUGCAAAUGUGUGCAGGUGCUGGAGGGAGGAUUAUUGGCUUAAAUGGGUCAGCAUCCUGCCCUGUGGCGGGAGGCCAUGUGGGCCGAGUGAUGUUCGAAAUGGCGUGGGGCUGGGUUGGGCCGAGUUAUGUUCGAAAUGGCUACUGCCAAGAUGGGUGAUCUUCAAGUCGUUGGCGGAAUCAAGAAGCUCAACAACCAGAACUACAAUUCUUGGUCUACAUGCAUGAUGUCUUACAUGCAAGGCCAGGAUUUGUGGGAGAUCAUAAAUGGAAAUGAUGUGAGACAACCAGAGGCUGAAGAUACGAAUGGGACAUUGCGGAAGUGGAAGAUUAAAGCAGGCAAAGCCAUGUUCGUUUUGAAGACGACGGCUGAAGAAGAUGUGCUGGAGCAUAUCCAGGCUGCGGAAACUCCCAAAAAAGCCUGGGAUACAUUCGCCAAACUGUUCUCUAAGAAGAACGAUACGAAGCUUCAACUCUUAGAGAGUGAAUUGCUGUCUGUAGCGCAACGCGACAUGACGGUCGCACAGUAUUUCCACAAAGUGAAGACGCUAUGUCGAGAGAUUACUGAGUUGGAUCCGGAGGCUCCUAUUGGCGACACCAGGAUGAAGCGGAUCAUCAUCCAUGGUUUGAAGCCAGAAUUCAGGAGUUUUGUUGCUGCUAUACAAGGAUGGCAAACUCAGCCGUCGCUUGUAGAAUUCGAAAAUUUGCUAGCAGGUCAAGAAGCCUUAGCUAAGCAAAUGGGAGGAGUCUCGUUGAAGAAUGAAGAAGAGGCCCUCUAUGCCAAUAAAGGCAGGUGGAAUUCCAAGCAGCAUGUCAACGAUGGAUCCAAAAAGAAUGAUGACAAGGCGAGAAGUCAUCAAGGUGAAGGGAGUGUUCGUGCUGGGAGAGGUUAUACGAACUAUGGCAAUGGCCAAAAGUUUGAAGGGAAGUGCUACAACUGCAAAAAGAAGGGUCAUAUGGCGAAAGAUUGCUGGUCAAAAAAGAAGGUCGUCGAGAGUAACGCUGCUACUUCCAAAAGUGAAGACGAAUGGGAUGCUGAGGCUCUCUUUGCUAUGGAAAAAGAGGAGCUAGCCCUUGCAGCAACAACACUCAAAUCAAAUCAAUUAUGAGGAUGAUUGGAUCAUUGACUCAGGUUGCUCAAACCAUAUGACUGGCGAUAUAGAGAAGCUGCAGAACUUGUCAGAGUACAAGGGAAGUCGGGUGGUGGUGACGGCAAAUAACUCAAAGUUACCGAUAGCUCACAUCGGUAGCACGGUAGUCUCUCCCCAAUGCACUGAUAUCGAGGUGCCACUCCAAAAUGUCUAUCAUGUUCCAGGUAUGAAGAAAAAUCUUCUCUCGGUAGCACAAUUAACCUCUUCUGGCCAUUUUGUUCUGUUUGGUCCACAAGAUGUAAGGAUAUAUCGGGACCUUGAGAUCACAGAAGAGCUGGCAAUGAAGGGACAAAGAUUGGAGUCAGUCUACGUGAUGUCUACGGAAACAGCAUAUAUAGACAAGACGAGAAGGAACGAGACAGCAGACUUGUGGCACAUGCGGCUAAGUCAUGUUAGCUAUUCCAAGCUAGAUGUGAUGAUGAAGAAGUCGAUGUUAAAGGGACUUCCACAACUCGAAGUGAGAACAAACAGUAUAUGUGCGGGCUGUCAAUAUGGGAAAGCGCAUCAGUUGCCGUACGAAAAGUCCAAAUUUAAAGCGAAGGAACCAUUAGAGUUGAUUCACUCUGAUGUGUUUGGACCAAUUAAGCAAGCCUCCAUUAGUGGGAUGAAGUACAUGGUGAUCUUCAUUGACGACUUCUCGAGGUACGUAUGGGUUUAUUUUAUGAAAGAAAAAUCUGAAACUUUUUCAAAGUUCAAACAGUUCAAGAAGGUAGCGGAAGCGGAGGUUGGUAAAAGAAUUCGUUGCUUACGCACCGACAACGGGGGAGAGUACACCUCACAUGAGUUCUCAAACUUCCUUCGGGAAUGCAGAAUACGCCAUCAAUUCACAUGUGCCAACACUCCGCAGCAAAAUGGGGUAGCAGAAAGGAAGAACAGGCAUCUGGCAGAAGUAUGUCGAAGUAUGCUUCAUGCAAAGAAUGUCCCGGGACGAUUUUGGGCGGAAGCGAUGAAGACUGCGGCCUUCGUGACCAAUAGGCUUCCUCAACAAAGGUUAUACUUUCUUUCACCAUUUGAAAAAAUAUGGAACAUGAAACCUGCUGUUGGUCAUUUUCGAGUUUUUGGAUGUGUAUGCUAUGUAUUUGUACCUGACCAUUUACGUAGCAAGAUGGAAAAAAAGGCUGUUUGGUGUAUCUUUGUAGGAUACGACAAUCAAAGGAAAGGUUGGCGAUGUUGCGAUCCAACAACCGGGAAGUGCUACACAUCUCGGAAUGUGGUGUUUGAUGAAGCUUCCUCAUGGUGGUCCUCAAACAAGGAAGUACUCUCAGACUCAGAUAUUUUUAAGGAAGAAUUAAAAAUUUCUCAAUCUCAGUUAAGUUCAGGUGAAACAGAGGUUGCAGACGAUGGUGGAGAUGUUGAAGAAGGCAUAGCUCAAACUCCUUGGCAAACAAGUGUAUACCAAAGGCCAAGUGAAGAAGGCGAGCCAAGUACACCAACUGCACUUAGAAGAUCAACAAGAGCCAGAAAGCCAAAUCCCAAGUAUGCCAAUGCCGCCAUAGUAGAAGAAGCAGAUGCAAAAGAACCAGAGACAUUUGAGGAAGCAUCCCAGAGUCCGGAAUGGAUUAAAGCUAUGGAAGAGGAAAUUGCUGCAUUAAAGCAAAAUUAGACUUGGGAACUCGUAUCAAAGCCAAGAGAUGUGAAACCUAUUUCUUGCAAAUGGGCGUACAAAAUAAAGCGUCGCACAGAUGGAUCAAUAGAAAGGCACAAGGCUCGUCUGGUCGCCCGAGGGUUCUCUCAACAAUAUGGACUAGACUAUGAUGAAACGUUUAGUCCAGUUGCAAAGUUUACAACUGUACGAGUCUUACUAGCACUUGCAGCUAGCAAAAGUUGGAACUUGUGGCAAAUGGACGUGAAGAAUGCAUUUUUGCAUGGGGAGCUAGAUCGGGAGAUCUACAUAAGCCAACCGAUGGGCUUUCAAAGUCAAGACCAUCCUGAGUAUGUGUGUAAGCUCCGGAAGGCUCUCUAUGGAUUAAAACAGGCACUGAGGGCUUGGUAUGGUAAGAUUGCCGAAUUUCUCACUCAUAGCGAUUUUUCUAUGACAUCUGCGGAUUCUAACGUGUUUGUCAAAACUAAAGGAGGGAAGCUAGCUAUUUUGCUGGUGUAUGUGGAUGAUUUAAUCAUCACGGGCGAUUGUGAAGAAGAAAUUCUCCAAACCAAGGAGAAUUUGUCAGUUCGCUUUCAGAUGAAAGAACUUGGAAAGCUCAAGCAUUUUCUUGGUUUAGAGAUUGACUGUACUAAGGAAGGAAUAUUUCUCCAUCAACAAAAGUAUUCUAAAGAUUUGUUGAAGAAGUUUGUAAUGCUUAAAUGCAAGCCAAUUUCGACACCGAUGGAGCCAAACGCCACAAUGUGUGCUCAUGAAGGGAAAGAUUUAGAAGAUGCUACCAUGUACCGGCAGUUGGUGGGUAGUCUUAUCUACUUAACUUUAACAAGACCAGAUAUUUCUUUUGCAGUUGGUGUGAUGAGUCGCUACAUGCAAAGUCCAAAGAAAACUCAUUUGGAAUCUUUUCGUCGAAUCUUGAGGUAUGUGAAGAGUACGCUUGGGUAUGGUAUUAUGUACAAGAAAGGUGCGGAUUGCAGACUAGUUGGCUAUUGUGAUGCUGACUAUGCAGGCGACCAUGAUACUCGACGUUCAACUACCGGGUAUGUUUUCAUGCUUGGGUUCGGAGCAAUUUCUUGGUGUAGCAAAAGACAACCAACAGUGUCUUUAUCAACCACUGAAGCAGAGUACCGAGCAGCAGCAAUGGCAGCUCAAGAAAGCACUUGGCUUAUGCGAUUAUUGGAAGACUUGCAUCAGCCAACAGAGUAUGGUAUCUCUUUGUAUUGUGACAACUUGUCGGCAAUACGUUUGGCGGAGAAUCCAGUUUUUCAUGCAAGAACUAAGCAUGUGGAGGUGCAUUAUCAUUUUAUCAGAGAGAAAGUCUUGCAAGAAGAAAUUAAGUUGGAACAUGUCAGAACAGAAGACCAAGCUGCAGAUCUGUUUACAAAAAGCUUGACUAGCAACAAGUUCGAAAGUUUAUGUCAUCAGCUCGGUAUGGUAAAAAGAGUAGAAGCUGGUGUUGAGGGGGAGUAUUGAAUAAAACAACACCAGCAUGUGGGUUGCCUUGUGACCAAGUAUUGCGUAUUGUUACCAUAUUGCUGUUUAUUUGUUAUUCUGUUAUCGAGUCCUUAGGAUUUGUUAAGCUAAUCCUAGUUUUUAGGAAUUAUAGGUUAGUGAACUUAUUGCUUAAUAUUAGCUGUGGAAAUGGAUAUUGUGUAAGUGCUCUGUUUUGUGCUAUCAGCCUAGUAAAAAGGCAAUGAUAUGCAUCAAAUAAAAUAAGUCAGUUUCUUUUCUCUUCCAUUGUUUUACCCUCCUUAGAGGUUAUCGAACCAUUCUCGCUGCGUGUCAUUUCUACAGGGAUCCCCAUGGGUACAAGGAUGGGAGAAUUUCUCUCAUGUCAUUGACUCAUUCCAAUUAUGACAACUCAACUAAAAAUGUUGUUAGUCUAACAUUAAUAAAGUAACUUGGUGGAGGAUGGCCACCAAAAAGUCCAAGAGAAAAUAAUUACCACUAAAGUCGUAUGUAAUACUUCACGAUAAAUUAGUUAGCAUUACUUCGAAACAUCAUAAAGAACUUGAACCUUCUGUUCAUGCAGGUCAAACUUUGCUACUAAUUUUGGGAUGGUUGACUAGCAUAUUGGCUGAUAUAUGAAAUUUCCAUUUAUUUUGUAUCUUAUGAACCUAGUAUUUCGUGUACAAGUACUUCAAACUUUCAUUGCAAGAGUGCUUCAGUUUCUAUGGGCCUCUCUUCCCAGUUAUCAAGCUACUCUCCUGUAAUUUAACAUAUAAGAAGUUCACGAAAGUGAUUGGUGGGUGAGUUGGCUAAUCUGUAAGUGUCACGGAGUGGGAGGUGUUUGGUCGUUUUAGUCCAUUGAAAAGUCAGAUACCGUAUAUUGUUUUGUCAUUGACUUGACUAGAGCAGUGACAAGAGCAUAAGUACACAACAAAAAAAAAGCGAAAGGUUAGGAAUACCCAAGUGUCAUCCACAUUAAUGCCUAUGUAAUUGAGCACCAUGUCAACUUCAUGGUAUCAUGCAAUGUCUUAGGACCAGGGCAAAAACAAUUAGGAAAGGGACAUAAUAUGCCUCAUGCAUGCUAACUAACCAAUUUGGUGCAAAUGAGAUGUGAUUUAUCAUGAAUGAAUAAUCCUAAAACUCGUAAUAAAGAUAAUUAAACUCAGACUCAGCUUCAGAACAAUAGGUUGGAUCUGAUGAAGACCAUCAUUUAUAAGUUGUAGCUAAUUGGAUUAGAAUUCUGCUCUUCCUCAGAUUCAACUUGAAUCCCACCAGUUAAGUGCUUGAGUCAGUUUAAUAUACUAAUGCCACCUUCAUCUUUUCAGCUCUACCUUGUUGAGAACUUGAGAAUUUAUUUCUUCCAACGAAUUGACUGAGAGAAAUAGAAGAGAGUGAUAGAAGUGACUAUCGAUGAUACCAGGAACAAUACGGUGUGCAGUGUAGUCUUGAGAAAUGACAUGUGACAGUGAUCUGAUUUGGACUAAAGAUUUUUUUUAUUGAAUUUCAUGUUGAGUCACGGAAGGAAGGAUCAAUUUAAGGAGGAAUCUUAGCAAGUUCCCGCAUCAUGCAGCGGGUCAAAUUACAAUUGGAAGUCAACAUAAGUGGGUGAAAAUGGCUGAUGUGUUGACUUUUCUACUAGUAGGCAACAAUUUAAUAAACUCUAUCCUUAUCACAUCAUUCUCAUGAGAAAUAUGAAGAUAACAAUAAUUCUAGCGAAAGCAUAUUUUUCCAAGCACAUGUUUGCUCUUUCUUAAUUAAUUUGUUUACAACAAGUUCAUAAUAAAAAAACAUAUGCAACUUUAAGAUUAAAGUUAGACUCGCUUCUAGUGAACAUAUCAUUUUCUAAUAUUUGUGAUACCUAUAAACCAGAAUACUAAUGAAGUGCUCCUUAUUGUUGACAGUUUCUUAAACUUCUCUUGAUCUUUCAUUUUCCUAAUUGCUUUUCCCCCAGAUAAAUUAUUCUCCUGAUAAUUCUAUUAAAAUCAACCAACAUCUAAAUGUGGGAGAUGCAAAAUUAUUGCUUAUCCUACAGGGAACAAUAUAGCCAAAACUACUAAUAUUUGCUUAUAUCUAUUUUCCGUUUCUCUUUUUUUUUUUUUUUUUUUUUUUUUUGUACAUCGAAAUAAAUGGUUCUUGCUGAUAUCUGCUACUUCCUGUUCCUCUUUGUCUUUGGUUGAUGACAACCUUACCUCCUGGACUUUAGAAAAUAACAUGUCAACAACCGAAUUUAUCAUUACGUCCCACAAAUUUCCCGUUUCACACAAGAAGACCCAUUGUCCUUAAAUUGGAUAAACAUUCAAUUAGAGAGUUGAAGUUGAUUUUAAACAAGAACAAAUCUUUUAAGAACGGACAUUUGUGAAAGAAACCAAGUUCUUAAAGGGUAUUGUAAAGGCAACCAGGGUCUUUUAAAGUACGUAAGAAAAUACACAUUUUCAAGGGGUCAUAAAUGUAAAUGAACAAUUUUUCACGGGUAUUUAAAUACUGAAACAAAUUGAAAAAACAAAACCUUUUUUUCCCCUUACCUUCUUCCCUAGCCGGAACAAAUACUGGGGUAUGUACAACAGGAGCAGGCGCUGGCGCACUUACUGCCGGAAGAACAAGCCUUAGCGAGUGUGCCACAUCAAAGAAUGAAUACACUUCAUACCGGAGAUUGCACCUCACUCCAAGAAUUCGCCCGCCCUUUCUCCCUAAGAAAUAUUGGGGCAUCUCGCUAAUUAGGUUUUGCAGACACUGCCAGCACUCUACUGGCGUCAAAUCUGGUGUACACUGCACCAACCUGUGAAUUUUGAUAUUAAGAACCAUUCUCUUAUUUAAUAUCCUGUGCUUUUAGAGAAAAAAAAACAAAAGUUGUUUCACAUAGUAUCAUAGUAGGAGAUUAUACCUCUUGAGAGUUCAAAUCAAGGAUUAAAGUGCCGUGGCACGGGGGCAUACCGAUUGUUACCUGGCAUGGUACAGCACUAGCAUGCUUCCGUGCCAACAUGUGGCACGUUAGCGUAUCAAUGGAUACACACGACCUCUAGUGGUACGCUUUGGCAUAGGCUUGUUUUAGUUUUUUUGGUUCUAAUAUACUCUUAUAAUAUUAUUUUGAAAGAUUUAGUAAAUAAUUAUGAAUAUUAGUUAUGUAUAGUUUACGACACUUAUCAAUUAAUAUAGUAAUAAACUUUUUUAUAUGUAAAGUACAACUAUACCUCAUAGAGAAUAAAAAUUAAAAUACAAUAAUAAAAUUCACAAGUAUAAUACUUAUUUAAAUUUACAUCUUUACAAAGAGUUCCACAUAGAUUGUUGCGGUGGAUUAUAUAGCAUAUUGUCAUCUACAGAUACAAGAUUUAUUUGGCAAUUUUGAUAUAGAUAUUGCCGGUAUAGUCAAAUUAAAUUGGCUAUAUAAUCUACUAUAAUCAACUAUAUAUUCUAAUAUAUCUAAUAACAUUAUCAAAAAUAUUUUAUAUUUACUGACCGUCCUUAGCGCAAGUGGCAAAGAGCUUGGUGGUUGGUACCUGAGGUCCCAAGUUCAAAUCCUAGUUGAUUCAUAGUUCCAGCUAAGUUUAUUUCAAAACGAAAUAAAUGAAGUGGGUAGAAUGCUACUUAUCUCUUAAAAAAAAAUAUUUUAUAUUUAUGCUAAUUUACAAAUUCUAGAUUAGAAUAGAAACAGCUUAAGUAAUUUUAAAUUACAUUUGCUUGCUCAUAAGAUUAGAUUAGACUAAAUCAUAUUAGGAAACUUAAAUAUAAAAUAGAUUAGAUUAGAUUCAAUAUAAGAUUAAAUAAGAUAAUUUUAGGUUAGAACUUUUAAACUAGGUUAGAUUAAUUUAGGUAAUUUGGAAUUACGUAAAUCGAAUUUAAUUAGUUAUAUUCUACUAUAUUUAGUUCUCUAAUAGAUUAUUCUAGAUUAGAUUUGAUUACGUUUCGUAAUUAUAAAUUAGAAUAAGAUAAAUAUAAAUAUAUGGUAUAUUAGAUUCUAGAUUAGAUUACAUUUGAUGAGAUUUUAUAGAUUAGAUUAAGUAAAUCUAGAUUGGAUUAGAUUAGAUUCCUGAAUAGAUAAGAUUAGAAUCAUUAGAUAACUAGGGGGUAUCACGUGAGACACAGGGGGGUCCUACAAGACCCCCUUUGUACCAUGCCCUCUUCUUGGGGGCAUGGUACAGCACGGGCCAGCACUCGAAACCUUGGUUCAAAUCCUAAUGGACCCAUUCACUGCUUAAGUGAGAUUACUAAAUUUCACUAAGUAAAUUCAACGUCAACAUCUUAGGCCUAUCAAAAGUCUUGAUUCUGGAAUAAAAUUGUAUAGACACUAACUGAACUAUAGGUCACUUUGUAAUCUGUUCUAAUUUUGGUGCCUAAAUUAUCAUAAAUGUUUAUUCCACAACAACAUCAAAACUAAAUGGUGUUUGGAGCCGUUUUGAUGAGAUAUUCUAAAAGUGGCACUUUUUAUGAAACCAUUAAGUUUUGACAAAACCUACAGAAGAGAUACCAAAAGCAAAAAAAUAUAAAAGAUUAGAUACUGAAAUCAUAGGUCUUAAAAUUCUCGGAUCUAUUACAAGAUAAAAUAACACUGGAGGUAAGCAAUGACGUAGUUCCAAACUGGUGUAACUACAAUUUGUUUGGUUAACUAAAGUGCAAAUGAAAUUAAUGACACAAAGCUCACUUCUAAGAAGCUAACUUCCUCCUAAGGAGAUGUAAAGUCAAGUUCCUAGAAGUUCACUUUUUCAUUUCCAUAUACUUACCUCCAGCCAAAUAUUCUUUAUCUGAAAACCUUUCUCUAAUAGCUAAAUCUUUUACCCGUAUAACGGUAUAUCGGCUGUGUAGUUUGCCUCCGCCGUCGCAAACCUACUCUUUGUGUUGUGUGCUGCCCAGUCGGCUGUUCUAUUGAUCAACCAUGCAGUCAUUUCAUCAAAUACAUGGGGUUUGUAGGUGAUAUUGUAGAUGUUAUACAAGAUCUCUUGCAGCGAGUUGUCCGUGGAGGUGAGGAAGUGCAAGUUAGAGUAGCGGAUGAGGCAGUCAUCGUACCUAUGAAAAUAAUUGGUACUGAGAUCAGGCCAGAGAUAGCAAGAUAUCAUCUAAUCAAGCAGUAGUAAUCUAAAAUCCAUAGAAUGUUCCGCUACCAUCCUGAUACUCUCACAUAGAUGAUUCAUUAGUCCAUAACAUGUUUUUUAGUAUAUCUCAAAAAAAAAAAUAAAAGUUGUCUGCGGGCCUUUACCAUAAGAUUCUGCCCCCAACCCAAUUUUGUAGCAAGGCAUGAAUGGGGUUCAAACCCAAUCUUUAGAAUAGUCCCACAGUAACAAUCAACCAUAGAUAGUAGGAAGUGGUUGUUAGUGUUUCAAACAACCUAGGAAAAAGAUAAUUUUUCACAAAAGUAAACAAAUGUUUGGCAUUGUUUGCUAUUGUUUCCCUUUUCUUCUUUAACGCAAAUUCUUGCUAUGAAAAAAAAAAAAAAAAAGUUACUUUUGUUGAAAGGUAAAGAAACGAAACCCAAUCCACCAUUCACUACUAUAAUCUUUCAUAUAAAAAUUUUAUUUGAAAAAAGAAAGAAAAAAAACGAACAAAACCAUAAUUUUUUUAUAUAAACAUAAAGUAGUUAAGGGUCCAUUUGGAUACAUGGAGCAUCUUGUUUGUCUCUACUGUUUACUCAAUAAUUAGUAGAUAAGAAGUAUGAUCAAAUGUCUAUAAAGGUAUACCAUAUUCAUCUUCAAAGUCAUUUAUUUGGAAUAAAAUAAACCAUCACAUGUGAAAUUUGCUAUCCCAACAAAUCACGGCUCCUAAGGUCUUCCAAAGAGCUAAAAAAGCUCCUUACUUACAAUAUGUUAAUAACAAAAGAAAAUUUUCGUACUAGACAACUAAUUCAAAAUCCAAAAAAGGUUAAGGGCCUAUUUAAAUGCACGAACAAGUUGUUCAGCAUAUAAAAAGUCUUUUUAGCAUUUGAUAGGUGAUAAGUAGCUAGGAUCUAGUGUGUAGAAUGGCAUUCCAUAUUCGACCAUCAGUUCCCUUCUUUUUCUUUGAAAUAAGAUAACUCACCUCAGAGGUAAAAUAUGCUAUCAAAGAAAAUCAUAGACUCCAACUCCAAAAUCUUUAAGAAUAAAAAAUCAAACUUAUAGCUUCCAAUCACAAUAUAGAAGACUCACAUCAAACAAGUUACGUCUUGGGUUACAACUUGUUAACUUAUUCCGACAUCCAAAGAGAACAUAAGGCACAGUUUGGGAGGUCAGAAUAAGAUUUCAAUAGUAACUUAUUCGAUAUGAAAUUUUUUUUUUGUGUGAUGGGAAGUAAUGAGUUUGACUUUCGCUGCUUGAAAUGUCUCGGCGUUUAUGAUUUGGUAGAAUCAUAUAUUUCACUUAUACGAUAAUUUAUUAUAUUUUGAAAAAAAUUAACUCAAAAAAGAUGAAUAUGGUGGUAGUAUAUUAAGCAUCUCAUCUCAUCACACUCUUCAUAUCCCAAAUCCUACAUGCUUCUUGAGUAAAUCAAAAGUACACGCCGCAUAAUAUAAUUUAGCCUAGAAAGAUAGUUACCAGAUGACGGCGUCCUUGUUGUAGGGGCAGAGGUUGAGGACGUCGGAGGCGCCGAGGCGGAGGCAGGAGCCGCAGGCGGAGGCGUUGACGUCGCCGCGGCAGAGGGCGAGGCCGGAGACCUGGUUGGGGGUCUGGCCGGCGGUCCCUUCGGAGAACCCGGCGCCGCCGGCGGAGGCGUUGGCGGCGAGGGAGGAGAGGAUGAGGUUGAGGUUGGACUGGUACGUGCUGUUCGCCGUGUAGUUGCCAUUGUUGCCGCAUAUCUGGUAGAGAGGGUCGUCGGCGGCAGCCGGGGGAAGAAGAAGGUGAAGAUGAAGGAGGAGGAGGAGGAAUUGGGAAAGGGAUAAGAACAAGAUCUUGGGAGUAUACAUGGUAUUAUUAAAAGAUCAAGAUGAAUACUAAUAAGAUGGUCUUGUGCUCGAGAAUGAUAAUAAAUUAUUCUUGGUAUGAGAUCGUGUUCUCGUUGCUCACAUCGCUGAGAUUAGAGAAGUAAGAAAAAAAAACACAAAAAAAAAAAAAAAAAAGUGAGGCUGCAGUCUACAGAGGAGGAGGAGACUAGUAUAAGUAGAGCACAGAAGAAGACCCGCAGGGAUUGACUGACUCUGCGAUGCCCCAGCAUCCUAGUCCACUGGAAAAGUGACAGCAGAGGAAAAAUAUUCACCCCACUUUAUUAGAGGAAAAAUAUUCACCCCACUUUUUGAAGUUUUCCCUUAUUAUAAGUCAUCAUUUUGGACCAAGAAAUGCUACACGCAACGGACGAAUAUCUUACAUCCACCCGUUCGAGAGUUUUUUAAACCGUCUUAUUCGGGUAUAAGUAAGAACUAAUUAUUAUAGAAAUAAAUAUAAAUAUAAAAAUAAAAAAAAUAGCGUUUGGAUAAAAAUUGGGUUGUUUCCGAGGAUAAGAAAAAUAUUAGGUAAUUUUAUAUAGAAAAUGAAAGGGUUGAUUAGGAUAACCGAGAAUUACUAUUCUCGGAUAAAAAAUUAGCAUUUUGAUAUAAAGGGGAAUAAGGACCUAUCCCUAUCUCCUAAUCAAACACCGGUAGAUUUUAUUUUAUAUUAUUUUAAUAUAUUUAAUAAUAAGUAAUAAAAUUAAUUAGUACAAAAAAUAUCUUAUUUUUAAUAAAUAGAAUAUAAAAUUUAUACUUACUUUUUUUAAGCACACAAAUAGAAUUAUGCUCACUUUUAUAAAUAUUUUCUAGAAAAACUUCAAAUAUCACCCCAGUGAUUCCACACUUUCUCGUUUAUUACUCUAUAGUUUAAAGUAUAUCAAUUUACUGCCAUGUGGUUUCAUUUUUAUCUUUUUAUUAUCGAUUCCACGAAUUUUUUUCAUUAAAUUAGUGACAAAGUUAAACCUUUACCCCGAAGUUUUUUUGUAUAUAAUUUAAUAAAAUAUUAAUGAAAAAUCCGAUGAAAAGAUAAAAAUGAAACCACAAGAUACUAACUUAAUACACUUUAAACCACAGAAUACUAAAGUAAGAAAGUGCGAAAUCAUAAAAAUGAUAUUUAAAGUUUAUCCUACUUUUUAAAAUGUAAACCUCAUCUCGCUUCAUCAAAGUGCUAAUAUUUUUACACCAGUUUUAUCCGGCUUUAUUUUUUUAGGACUAAAAAAUACUAAAAUUUUAUAAAAUUUAGAUUGACAAGAUGUAAAAUUUAUAUUUAUUUUUAAGUGUACAAAUAGUAUUAUUAUAUCACUUUUUAGUUUUUUUAAUACUAAAAAUUAGAAUUAUCUAAACUCUUGCACGAUGAGAGUGUAAAAUUUAUAGUCAAAAGUUGAUAAGUUUAUUUCUAAAUGAAAUAAAACGAAGCGAAUAACGUGCUACCUAUCUCUCAAAAAAAAAAAGAAAAAAAAAGCAUUUUGCAUAUUACUUCGGAAAAAAAAAAAUCUAAAAUUUUCAACACUUCAGAAAUUUGGCGGCCCACCAUCGUAGGCCCCUUGUCCUUAUUGCUCUUUUCUUAUUUUUAUAAGCAAAAUUUCUACACGCAAUAGACCACGAAUUACUUAAAAUCUUAUAUUCGAGAUGUUUGUUUUAUAACCAAAAAAUAAAAAACUUAAAAUAAGCUUUCAUGCACAAAUAAAACUACCUACUUAUUGAAUAUUUAUUUAAUGGCAUAUUUUGCACAUUACUUUCUAAAAUUUGAGAAUACAAAGAAGCCUAUUUCUUUUCUUCUCGUUAUGGUAAUUAAAUUUCAAGGUUGAAUAAUAGAAUGAAUCUUUAUCUUUAGAUUUUAUUAUUUAUUUUCGUGCAUUAGAAUGAAAAAAUAUAUCCUCCUCUAACAAUAAAUUUAUUUCAUUGGUGUGACACAAUUCUUUUCUUGUUGCGUUGUUACGUGUACGUCGGAACCAUUGGGAUUUAAAAAAAUAAAAUAAAAACUAAGAAAAGAAAAUAAAAAGAACCAAGAAACUAAAAGUAGUGUAUAAGCAUAAAAUUCAAAAGUUCAAUGAGUCCUUAUUAAGAGUUGAAAUUUAGCUUGAAUUAUGACUCAAGACAUAAACUUAAAUCAAAUAAAAAAUUUUAAAAAAAAAUUAAGAGUCUAGUGACUUUCUGAUCUGCUGGUAAAUAAAAUAAUAUAAAACAAUUAUUAUUUUUAAAAAUUUUAAAUAUCAAAAAAUAAUAAUUUUGAACUUUUAAAUUCAACAAGUUCUAGUAUCUACUCCACUGUAAACCCUACCAAAUUUGAGAAAAGCAUGCACAUCAUAAUAUCGGGUAAUAUAUGAUGGGGAGCAAACUAUAUAUAUACUAGAAUUUUUUUUAAAAAAAAAUUAAGACUAAUUAAAAUCUAUAUUUGUGAAAACAAACUACACAAAAAAAUAUCGUCAACAAAGAGUUUAGCUAUAUUGCAAAAUCUCAGUCCUUACAAUGUCGGUCCAAGGAUCUCAAACAAGUGCCACGCCACUCUAAAUAGCAUAUAACCCUAGCAGUGGACCGCUGGGCUCACAGGUCGAAAGUCCGACCACUUUUCCGAAAAAGAACACCGUUGCGGUAGCCAAACCGCUGGUGUACGUGAAAUGCGUACGAGCAAUAACAAUCAAUGCAAAUAUGAUCAAUAGUCGUCGGCAAGUAACCAACAAUCAACACCUCAGGAUGUGCGAAUAGGUCAUCAACCAGAAUCUCAAACCGACCAACUAGGACACAAUGAUGUCAUAUCAUGCACAGAGAUAAUCAUCAACCACUCUACUCCUAAAUCAUGAUAGUCGAGUACAGAGAUAUAACCGAGUAGAGUAACAUGUACUGAAGUCAAAUGGUGCUAGGCUUAACAGACAUGAAUAAUGUGAGAAACAUGAAGAGAGAGGGUGGAGGGAACGUCAUCAAGCGUGCACCACUAAACCGACUUCGGAUCGAAGUACCCACCUGUAUCGAUGUUGCGCCUGUUUCCGAAUUAGACCAAAUUGUCAAUUGAACCUACGAAGGGUCCACCAGGUGAGCGUCCAACCCACAGAUUCAAAAUACACAACUCACAACCCCACACAUACCCACGGGAUCGGUUUCCCAAAUCUGAUCGCCGUCACUUGCCGAAAGUCCCGAAAAUCACACCGGGAACGCCGCCGAGACCCACUAAGUGUCCCAAAACUCGCCGAUUCAUGCUACGAGUCACCCGCUAUCUCAAAACACAUCGUUUUGGGCGUCUUGGCAGCAAACAUAAGGUCUCGCGUCAAAACAAUUAUCGUCGGAUAAUCGUUCUGAUUCGGGUUCCCGGAAGUGUCAACUUCGACAUCGGAACCCUCCGCCGCUCACUCGUCGUCUCCGAAGUCUUGGAAUGACGAUGAUGACUAGCCAACUAGGCUCAGUGGCAAAACCCAUUGUAUUCCAACACCGUCUGAUGAAAUCCGAAACGAAAUCGCGUUCCGCCAGCAAAUUUCGCCGAAAAACACACCAAAACCGACAGUCGAUCUCCGCGAAGGGCUUCAGACCUUGGACGAUCAGUCUAGAGGUCGUCUACCAUGCAUACAUGCUGCCCGCAGCAGCCGUGGGGUGGCAUUUUACAUAAAAGCCCCCAAAAGUGUAAGUAAUUUCAACAUUUUAUGUAAAUAGCAUGGUCUAAUAGCUCGUUACCGCUUACCAAGUAUUUCUGAGGUCAGCCGAGACACUGGCUGACAGGUCUCUACAAGGCGGGGGCCGUGCUCGCUAUUCAGAGCACCGUGGAUCGCUGCGAAGAGCGCGGAAGCAAGCCGAAGUUCAAAAAAUCAAUUGCACAGGGAGCAAACCAGGCCGAACACGUAGAUCCGAGUCAUGCCGACCACAGAUAAGGUGAGCACUGUGAUUAGCACUAACCGGGGAUCACCGUGCUAACCUCUGAAGGUGUCGAAAAAGCCUCAGGUCACAAGAAUAGUGAGAAAGAUCCGAAAAUGGCAUGAAAACAGCCUUAAUGGCUAGCUAUGAGCAGGGGGCUCACUCACGACUGGCGGCGGCUCGGCGGUGGGUGCACCGGCGGUGUCACGCCCCGGGCUGCACAGUCCCCCGGGCACGCCGACAAAUCCGCCGUAUACAAGAGAAUUUCUCCAUUAUACGAAGCGUAGCUGAACCUGUAUAAACAUACAAUACUACAAGCAGUAGUAUAGAGCUGAAGUAAACUAUAAACAAGCAGGUAGAAAUAACAAACUUAAUAUACCUACAUCAGCCACGGAUACAAAAGAACACUACUCGCUCCAGCGAGUUCAACUGUAUGUACAAAAGCGCCCGAACAAAAACUGUCACUACCUGCAGCGGGAGUCCUCUAGCACUGUACUCGAAGGGUAGGCUCUAACUCGCCACGCCUUUCCCGCGGUCCGCCUCAGAAGGAGCAGCAGCCGAAACAGAAGGCCCUGCAACAUCGGUGGAAGAAAGAGGGCGUGAGAACUACUAUAAAAGCAAGUAGUCCUCAGUGGGUGCCGCCCUAAACAACAUCGGUCCACCCACUAAGUCUACAGGGUAAGCAAGAUAGAAGAAAAUGAAGCUGGAAACUCUCUACAGCUACAAGUCGCUAUGCUAUCAUGCCCAGAACUAACACCUAUAGACUCAAGUCAACCAGACCCAAUCCGAAGGGGACUGUGAACGCACCCGUCCCUGGGACUGUGAACGCACCCGUCCCGUGCCCGGUUGUGACUGCACAGCUACCCCCACUCUAAACCUCAGUGGAGAGCAAGUCCAACCUGCACUACCCGACACCGACGCGAAAGCACAAAGCCUAACUCCGGAGUGGCACUCGGGGGAGCUACCCAGCCGAGUAUGCAGCGUAGCUCUGUCGAGCUCAAUCAGGCCCUAACCAGCCAAACCCAAGUAACCAAAACCGACUUUGGGGCCCACCGCCUGCCCCGACGGCGCCCGACACCCCGUAACAGUCUACACUCAGCUAGUAUAAGCUCGGCGUCCCAGCACGAGCACAAACACAAGCUACACUAUCCUGGGUAUCCAUCGCACAAAGCCCACGACGAUACAAUGCAACACGGCUCCUAGAGCUAAAUCCGGCAGUGUAUGUAAAUGACGAUCAAUUCGGGGUUUUCUCCUAAGUCAAAUCCAAGUCCAACAAGUAUCAAUUAUCAUCACUCACUAAGCAUGCUCCCAAUUCAGGUUUUUAAUAUACUAAUCCAUGAAUUUGAGCUACCUCAUUUAGUGUUCAACGAACAAAGCAUACAAGUCGACUAAUAUGUACUUAGAGGCAAAAACCGAUGAACCCACCUCUCAAGCAACUCCUGGCAGCGAAGAAAGUGGCCCGGAUCCAAAUUGAUCCCUCGCUGGUCCGUCGAAGUCCCCGGUUCUCCUGCUGCGAAGAAGUAAACCCAAUUACACUCAAAAUCACGAAAUCUGCCCAGAAAACAACAGCGAAGAAAACAUUAAAUCCGACCAAGCUAACCUUAUCCAAAUUCAGCAAACAAGGGUUCUGAAGCUUCGUCUCGAAGUCGCGAAUCCAAUGGCCCUGGUUUCGCUGAAUUCCGACGCUCCUACGCAGAGAACGGGUCAGAAUACGAAACGUCGACGCUGGAACCUGCGAAACAGCAUCUCUGAAAUCUGCUCGGCAAACAGCAGUCUAGUAAAACUAGGGUUCGACAGGGCAAACCUGCUCCAAAAAUUGCAAUCUUGGGCUCAGAAUCUUCGUCUCGAAGUCGCGAAUCUAGCACGCCAAAUUUCGUCGCGUUUCGACACUCCUACACAGAGAACUAGGUAAAACACGGCGGGUCGAUGCUGGAAUCAGCAAUCAGCACUUCAGAGUCUGCUCGGCAAACAACAACUCAGUAAAAAGGGAUUUCGAUAGAGCAAACCUUCUCCAAAUCGGGCAAGUAAGGAUCCUAUGGAUUUGUCUCGAAGUCUCGGUUCCAACGAAUCAAGUCGCGUCACGUUCCGAUGCUCCUGCGCGGAAUACGAGUCAAAACUCUGCGGGUCGACGCUGGAAUCAGCAGCAGCAGCAGUGCAGUUUGAAAAUCGUAGAAGUUUAAAGCCAUAAAAGCGAUCUCAAGGAGCCACUCACCUCGACAAACCCUCCCUGCGAGCAGCACCUCGUCGAAAACUCGCUCGAUCCGCUCCGCGGCGCGUCGUCGACGAAGCUCGAGCUUCUCUUGAGCUCCUCCAACACUCUAGGUUGCUAAGGGAAGUAGAAGGAGAGGAAGAAGAAGCACAGCAGCAGCAGCAUGAAGAAGCUUCCCUCUCUCUCUUCUCUCUGCUCCAAGGUAAGGGUUAAAGGGGGGGUGAUGUGACAAGAUGGCCAAAAAGUCAACUUGCACCCUGCUUCCACUUUGUACCGGUACAAACCCAGAUUUGUACCGAUACAGCUCACUGAAAAUCUGCUAUUUCGCAGAUCUUCAAGAUACACGCUGCUCUCAAGUUCCCACAAGGCCCGUUUGGCGUCGACUUCGCGCGAACGCGACCCGGACUUGUCCCGACACUCUCCAGAGCUGUCGACAAGCCUCAGCUAAAAUUCCAGGUCUCUACAUCCUCCCCCACUUACAAAAAGUUUCGUCCUCGAAACUCAGGCAUACCUCAGCUCGGCACGUCAAACAGGUAGGGAUAGGCCUCCCUCAUCACCGUCUCCGGCUCCCAAGUCGCCUCCCGCUCAUCGUGAUUACUCCACUGUACUUUGACAUACGGUAUGACCCGAUUGCGCAAUUCUUUCGUCUCACGAGCAAGAAUCCGCAACGGCCGCUCCUCGUAUCGCAGGUCCUCGUCUAUCUCGAGCGGAGUGAAGUCAAUCACGUGAGAAGGAUCGAAUACAUAUUUCCUCAAUGCCGAGACGUGGAAAACAUCGUGGGUGCCGACUAGUCGCGGGGGUAGAGCAAUCCUGUAAGCAACUGGCCCAACUCGCUCCAAAACCUCAAAAGGGCCAAUGUAGCGUGGACUGAGCUUUCCACGCACUCCAAAUCUGCGAAUCCCUUUGGAUGGCGAGACUUUAAGAAAUACAUGAUCACCAAUCUGAAACUCCAAGUCUCGCCUCCUGGUAGCGGCGUAGCUCCUCUGGCGGCUCUGGGCAGUCAAAAGGUGUCGUCGAACCACUCUCACCUUUUCCUCAGCUUCUAUCAGAAUGUCAGGCCCAAGAGUCUUCCUUCCACCCACAUCACUCCAAAACAAAGGGGAUCGGCAUUUGCGUCCAUACAACGCCUCAAACGGAGCCAUCUGGAUGCUCGCUUGAUAGCUGUUGUUGUAUGCAAACUCGACCAGUCUCAAAUGCCGAUGCCACCCGCCUCCAAAGUCCAGGACGCAUGCCCUCAGCAUGUCCUCUAGAGUCUGAAUGGUCCGCUCUGACUGACCAUCUGUCUGUGGGUGAAAUGCCGUGCUAAAAUGCAACUGAGUACCCAAGGCUGUCUGCAAACUCCUCCAAAAGUGUGAUACAAACCUCGGGUCCCUGUCCGAUACUAUCGACACUGGCACGCCAUGCAGUCUGACGAUCUCAUCCAGGUAUAACUGCGCGAGUCUCUCUCUGGACCAGGUGGUCUGAACUGGUAGGAAGUGAGCAGACUUAGUCAGUCUGUCUACUAUCACCCAAAUAGCGUCGAAGCCACCCUGAGCUCUAGGUAAACCCACGACGAAGUCCAUUGUGAUCUGCUCCCAUUUCCACUCUGGCACUGGCAGACUCUGAAGCUUGCCAGCAGGCACCUGAUGCUCUGCCUUCACCUGUUGGCAAGUCAAACACUGAGCCACGUAUCUGCCAAUGUCUCUUUUCAUUCCAUUCCACCAGAACUGUGCCUUCAAGUCCUUAUACAUUUUGGUUCCACCAGGAUGAACUGUAUAAGGAGAACAAAGAGCCUCUCUCAAAAUGUCUGCUCGGAUCUCAGAAUCCACGGGUACACACAGUCGGUCCCUGUACCUCAGUACUCCCGAACUGUCCACUGCGAAACCCUCUGCCCGUCCCCUCUCUAACUGCUCUCUAAUCCUCAGCAAGUGUCGGUCUCCACUCUGUUUCUCUCGGAUCCUAUCCAACAGAGUGGGCUGCAAAACCAUAGACAUUAGCAUUGCAGUAGACCCAGGGGACACAACCUCGAGUCUCAGCCGCUGUAGCUCCUCAAGUAAAGGCCUUUGCUGAGUGAUCAUCACGUUCAAACUCUGCACUGCCUUCCUGCUCAACGCAUCUGCCACCACAUUCGCUUUGCCGGGAUGAUACUGAAUACUAAUAUCAUAAUCCUUCAGCAACUCCAACCACCGGCGUUGCCUCAGAUUUAGCUCCUUUUGGGUGAACAGAUACUUGAGACUCUUAUGAUCAGUGAAAAUCUCGCAGCGCUCACAAUACAAGUAAUGCCGCCACAGCUUCAACGCAAAAACCACUGCGGCAAGCUCCAAAUCAUGCGUAGGGUAAUUCUUCUCGAAAUCCUUCAAUUGCCGCGAAGCAUAAGAAAUUACCCUACCAUGCUGCAUCAGCAUGCAGCCCAGUCCACUGUGUGAUGCAUCACUGUAGAUCACAUAUCCUUCCCCCAUAACUGGAAGGGCAAGGAUAGGAGCUGAUGCCAACCUCUGUCUCAACUCGUCAAAGCUCCUCUGACAGUCCUCACUCUAGAUAAACUUAAUUCCUUUACGAGUUAAUCGAGUGAGGGGUGUGGAAAGCUUCGCAAAGCCUUCCACAAACCGACGGUAGUAUCCUGCUAAUCCAAGGAAGCUCCGCACCUCAGUCACCGUCGUCGGCCUGGGCCAAUCCCGAAUAGCAUCAAUCUUCUUCGGGUCCACUGCCACUCCAUCUGCAGAAAUCAUGUGGCCCAAGAAAGUAACCUCCCGCAACCAGAACUCGCACUUCUUUAACUUGGCAUACAACUCCUUCUCUCGCAGAAGCUGUAGCAGUAUCCUCAAGUGCUCCUCAUGCUCGGCGUCGCUACGGGAGUAUACCAAAAUGUCGUCGAUGAAGACUACUACAAAUCCAUCCAAGAACGGCUUGAACACUCUAUUCAUCAAAUCCAUGAAAGGGGCAGGGGCAUUCGUCAAUCCAAAAGGCAUCACUGUAAACUCAUAAUGCCCGUACCGAGUCCGAAAAGCCGUCUUGGGAAUAUCCCGGGCCCUCACCCUCAGCUGGUGGUAACCGGACUGGAGAUCGAUCUUCGAAAAGACAUAAGAUCCUUGCAGCUUAUCGAACAGGUCAUCAAUGCGCGGCAAAGGAUACUUGUUCUUGAUGGUCACUUUAUUCAGCUCUCGGUAAUCAACACAUAACCUAAGUGAACCAUCCUUCUUCUUUACAAAUAACACUGGUGCUCCCCAAGGCGAUACACUGGGUCUCACGAACCCUUUAUCCAUCAAAUCCUGAAGCUGCGCCUUUAAUUCUCUCAGCUCUGCCGGUGCCAUCCUGUAAGGUACCUUCGAGAUUGGUGCAGUUCCCGGAACUACAUCAAUCACAAACUCAAUCUCCCUCUCCGGCGGCAUAGUCGACAACUCCGAGGGGAACACAUCCGGAAACUCGCGAACUACGGGGAUGUCCUCGAGUCUCGGUGCCGCCGUAGGUACCUCUGUAACCGUCGCUAGAAAAGCAAUGCACCCUCUACUCAUCAGCUGUCGAGCUCUCGCUGAAGAAAUCCACGUGGCAAACAACGUGCUCCUGCAGCCUCUGAAAGUGAACUCCUCCUGGCCUGGCUCACGGAGUGUCACCGUCCUCUCUCCACAGUCAAUAGUCGCGUAGUACCGCGCCAGCCAAUCCAUGCCAAGCACAAUGUCGAAGUCAUGCAGCUGCCCUAAAACCAACAAGUCUGCGGGCAAGAUCCACGAAUCUAACUGCACUGGACACGAUCUACAACACUCUACCACCUGUAGUACAUGGUCGGGCAUCUGGAUCUCCCGGGUCUAUGGCAACAACCCUAACUCUAGACCAUGUAAUAAUACAAAAGCUCGACUGAUAAAAGAGUGCGAUGAGCCGGUAUCAAAUAAAGUACGUACUCUAAUACCAGAAAGUAAAGUGAUACCUGCCACCACUCGGUCGGCUGCUAAAGAGUCUUCCACCUGGGCGGCGUAUACCCUACCGCUCGGAGCCUGCUGCCGCUGCUCACCCUGUCGCGGUACAGACGCUCGAUCCUCGUGACGAUAACUCGGCGAGGCCCCGUAUGACUGCUGAGGCGCUGGCGGUGCUGAAGCAGAUGAUGGCGCUGACGAUGCUGCUCGCGGACAAGCUGCCCUGAUGUGUCCCGGCUGGCCACAUCCAUAACAUCUGCCCUCUCGCUGCUCGCACUGUCUGGCCCAGUGCGGUCCCCCGCAAAUCACGCACUGCUGUGUCCGCUGUACCUCUGUGGCUGCCCCCGCUGACGGGUAUCCCUGCAACGCUGACGCCCCGAGGAUCCACGACCUUGAAAACGUGAUCGUGGAGGCCUCGGCGGACACCUGCUGCUCGACUGUCCACCGUCCUUUGGAGCGGGGCGCUUCCUGUCCUGGCUCGGUCCCGGCCCCUGAGUCCGCUCUCGAAGUGUCGCCUCGCCUCUCUCCUCAAACAGUGCCUGCUCGAUGGACGCAUCCAGGGUCCUCGACCUCCGCGCCCUAACGAACCUGUAGAGAUCCGGCCUCAAGCCCUGCUCGAAAAGAUACACCCGAUGUACCUCAUCUCUAGCUACAAAAGGCACACAGUUCAGGAGUCGCGUAAACUCCCGAACGUACUCCCGAACUGUGCAAUCCCCCUGCUGUAUCCUCUUCAAGUUUUCUUCAAUCCCCUGCUUUACACUGUCAGGGAAAUACGUGCCGUACAGCAUCCCGCAAAACUCAUCCCAGCUCGUCUGUGAAGCUACAACUCCCUGGUAGCGUCUCAUCCUCUUCCACCAAUCACGGGCGUCCCCAACUAAGCAAUUGACCCCUAAAUGAACCUGGUCCAGAUCCUCUAGGACGUACAUGUCCUCAAAUAUCCUCUCCAUCGCGCUGAUCCAGCUCUCCACUACCCAUGGCUCAGCACAAUCCCCGUCAAACGUUGGUGGGUCUAAGCGGCGGAAACGAAACAGUAACUCCGUCAUCCGCUCUUGCUCCGCCGCGGUCGACUGGACUAGUCCUCGAGCCGGCGCAACUGGUGCUGGAGGUAUCUCUGCUGGUGGGGGUAUGGCGGCGACUGGUGCAGUAGGUGGAGUAGGGGGAGGUGGAGUAGGCUGAGCUGGUGCACCCGAUGCUGUACUCGGCGAUGCGUCUAAUCUCUCGCACAUCCGCUGUAACAACAAUCCCUGCUGCCUCGUCACCUGAGUCAGGGCAGCCAACUGGGCGCUCAAGUCGAGCUGGGCACUGGUCCCCGGUCGAGCGCUCGGCUCCAGUACAGAGGGUACACCUGUCUCAGGUCGGGUACCCUCCUCCUCCUGCUCGGGUAUCUGGGGCGGUGGCGGCGGUAGUGGGGCGCGAUCCCUAAGUGACGGACGUCCUCUGCGUCGACGCAUAGCUGCAUUUAAAGGACAUGGGGGUCAGAAAAACACAAACACUCGACCCAAUCAACGAAAGUCUCGAAGGCGGUCCCUGUUUCUCCUCAAAAUUAUGUCGUCUGCAGCCAACAUAAUUUUCUGGACCGAAACAGACACUCCUUCAGUCACUCACUCCACUCUAGGAUAAGUUAGAACAAUCAAUUAGUGACUUUCGCGUUAAAUCACGCCUCUCGCGUCAAGCUUUCCUAUGGUUUACCAGCUUAGGGUUCCUAGGUCCCAACGACCUAAAGCUAGGCUCUGAUACCAACUUAAUCUGUCACGCCCCGGGUUGCACAGUCCCCCGGGCACGCCGACAAAUCCGCCGUAUACAAGAGAAUUUCUCCGGUAUACGAAGCGUAGCUGAACCUGUAUAAACAUACAAUACUACAAGCAGUAGUAUAGAGCUGAAGUAAACUAUAAACAAGCAGGUAGAAAUAACAAACUUAAUAUACCUACAUCAGCCACGGAUACAAAAGAACACUACUCGCUCCAGCGAGUUCAACUGUAUGUACAAAAGCGCCCGAACAAAAACUGUCACUACCUGCAGCGGGAGUCCUCUAGCACUGUACUCGAAGGGUAGGCUCUAACUCGCCACGCCUUUCCCGCGGUCCGCCUCAGAAGGAGCAGCAGCCGAAACAGAAGGCCCUGCAACAUCGGUGGAAGAAAGAGGGCGUGAGAACUACUAUAAAAGCAAGUAGUCCUCAGUGGGUGCCGCCCUAAACAACAUCGGUCCACCCACUAAGUCUACAGGGUAAGCAAGAUAGAAGAAAAUGAAGCUGGAAACUCUCUACAGCUACAAGUCGCUAUGCUAUCAUGCCCAGAACUAACACCUAUAGACUCAAGUCAACCAGACCCAAUCCGAAGGGGACUGUGAACGCACCCGUCCCUGGGACUGUGAACGCACCCGUCCCGUGCCCGGUUGUGACUGCACAGCUACCCCCACUCUAAACCUCAGUGGAGAGCAAGUCCAACCUGCACUACCCGACACCGACGCGAAAGCACAAAGCCUAACUCCGGAGUGGCACUCGGGGGAGCUACCCAGCCGAGUAUGCAGCGUAGCUCUGUCGAGCUCAAUCAGGCCCUAACCAGCCAAACCCAAGUAACCAAAACCGACUUUGGGGCCCACCGCCUGCCCCGACGGCGCCCGACACCCCGUAACAGUCUACACUCAGCUAGUAUAAGCUCGGCGUCCCAGCACGAGCACAAACACAAGCUACACUAUCCUGGGUAUCCAUCGCACAAAGCCCACGACGAUACAAUGCAACACGGCUCCUAGAGCUAAAUCCGGCAGUGUAUGUAAAUGACGAUCAAUUCGGGGUUUUCUCCUAAGUCAAAUCCAAGUCCAACAAGUAUCAAUUAUCAUCACUCACUAAGCAUGCUCCCAAUUCAGGUUUUUAAUAUACUAAUCCAUGAAUUUGAGCUACCUCAUUUAGUGUUCAACGAACAAAGCAUACAAGUCGACUAAUAUGUACUUAGAGGCAAAAACCGAUGAACCCACCUCUCAAGCAACUCCUGGCAGCGAAGAAAGUGGCCCGGAUCCAAAUUGAUCCCUCGCUGGUCCGUCGAAGUCCCCGGUUCUCCUGCUGCGAAGAAGUAAACCCAAUUACACUCAAAAUCACGAAAUCUGCCCAGAAAACAGCAGCGAAGAAAACAUUAAAUCCGACCAAGCUAACCUUAUCCAAAUUCAGCAAACAAGGGUUCUGAAGCUUCGUCUCGAAGUCACGAAUCCAAUGGCCCAGGUUUCGCUGAAUUCCGACGCUCCUACGCAGAGAACGGGCCAGAAUACGAAACGUCGACGCUGGAACCUGCGAAACAGCAUCUCUGAAAUCUGCUCGGCAAACAGCAGCCUAGUAAAACUAGGGUUCGACAGGGCAAACCUGCUCCAAAAAUCGCGAUCUUGGGCUCAGAAUCUUCGUCUCGAAGUCGCGAAUCUAGCACGCCAAAUUUCGUCGCGUUUCGACACUCCUACACAGAGAACUAGGUAAAACACGGCGGGUCGAUGCUGGAAUCAGCAAUCAGCACUUCAGAGUCUGCUCGGCAAACAGCAACUCAGUAAAAAGGGAUUUCGACAGAGCAAACCUUCUCCAAAUCGGGCGAGUAAGGAUCCUAUGGAUUCGUCUCGAAGUCUCGGUUCCAACGAAUCAAGUCGCGUCACGUUCCGAUGCUCCUGCGCGGAAUACGAGUCAAAACUCUGCGGGUCGACGCUGGAAUCAGCAGCAGCAGCAGUGCAGUUUGAAAAUCGUAGAAGUUUAAAGCCAUAAAAGCGAUCUCAAGGAGCCACUCACCUCGACAAACCCUCCCUGCGAGCAGCACCUCGUCGAAACUCGCUCGAUCCGCUCUGCGGCGCGUCGUCGACGAAGCUCGAGCUUCUCUUGAGCUCCUCCAACACUCUAGGUUGCUAAGGAAAGUAGAAGGAGAGGAAGAAGAAGCACAGCAGCAGCAGCAUGAAGAAGCUUCCCUCUCUCUCUCCUCUCUGCUCCAAGGUAAGGGUUAAAGGGGGGUGAUGUGACAAGAUGGCCAAAAAGUCAACUUGCACCCUGCUUCCACUUUGUACCGGUACAAACCAGAUUUGUACCGGUACAGCUCACUGAAAAUCUGCUAUUUCGCAGAUCUUCAAGAUACACGCUGCUCUCAAGUUACCAAAAGGCCCGUUUGGCGUCGACUUCGCGCGAACGCGACCCGGACUUGUCCCGACACUCUCCAGAGCUGUCGACAAGCCUCAGCUAAAAUUCCAGUUCUCUACAGGCGGCAGGGGGGUGUGGCUGACUGGAGGAGGCCGGCGCUUGCGCUAGCUGGCGGUGGCAGUGCUGGAGCAACUCGAGCUGACAUAGAUGAGCCUCAGGUUCAGGUGGCUUCUCCGGCCACGGCAAGGGUCGGGGCGGCCGGAGAGGUGGAGCAGGGUCCCCUUGGGACCGAGUGGAGAGGUGGGCGACGGCUGCCGGUGGCUGGGAGGACGGCAUGGCAAGGCUCGACCGCACCAGCCUGGACUCGCCCCAGGCUACUACAAACAUGGCGGCGGCGCUCGAGAGCGGCAGCGACCGGCGGGAGAGGUCGCCGGGGCAACUUUUGUGAAAAUUCCGUUUCGCCAAAUUCGACCCCUUCUCGAAAAUCGAGCGAUAUCAAGAGAUCCGUCCAUCGGAUUUUUGAACGGACUGCGCCAACGCUUCCGGCAUUACCGAACCAUCGAGAUCACGAUUUUGUUUCGCUUGAAUUGAUCGCAGAUCCGCGAUGGAACCCAUCAUCUCACCGGUUCCAAACACCACAUACAUAUAUAUACAUAUUAUUUAUAUUUAUAUAUAUAUAUAUAUAUAUAUAUAUAUAUAUAUAUAUAUAUAUAUAUAUAUGUAUAAAUCAAAUUCAAAAUUCAAAUUUUGAAUUCUCCUAAUUUAAAUAUCUCAGAUAUUGCAAAAUAAUAUUAUAUAAUCACAAAAUUUGGUUGCGUUGCCCAGUUUGAAAAGUUUAGAAGUUUUAAUAGCCUAAAUCCGUUUAGUGAUCGUUUAUUAAUUCGGAAGCCAUUGUGAUUAAAUUUAAAAAUAAUUUACUUAAGAAUUUGGAUGGAAUUUGGUUGGAAUUUGGUUGUGUAUGUAAAAUUAUUUUAUUUUUUUAAUUGGAAUCACCUAAGUUAGUAGAAAAAUUAGAGAGAAUUGCAGUAAAUUAAUUUUAUUUAAUUUCAAUUAUAUAUCAAAGUUAAAUAGAAUGCAAAUUAACCUUUUUUCAGUUUAUAAGCUAAAGUAUUAUUGGAUGAUAAGAUUAAAUAAAAAUUGUUGUUAUAUUUUAUUAUUAAUUACGAAAAUUUAUUGAGUUUAUGGUUAGCGAAGUUACAACUUCACUUUACUUGCAUUCAAUGUAAACAUUUUAAACCUAUACUUUGCCCUACAUCAAAUGAGAUUAACGUUAGUACAUUUACUUUGCAAAGCUAACACUAAAUAUCUUGUAACGUAUGGGUUUUAAACACUUGCAACAUAUACUUUCAUCUCGUAUAACCUAAACUUUAAGGUAUCGUUUGGUUCGGGGAUAAGGAAAAAAUGGCUAUUCCAGGGAUAGGUAUAAAUUGAGGUAUAAGCGAGGAUUAGAUCAAUUUUACGUUUGGAUGAAAAUUGGGUUAUUCCUGGAAUAAAAAAAAUAACGUUUGGUUAGGUAAGAUGGAAUAAGAAAGAUAAUGAGUUUUGUAAAUAAAAAAUAAUGAUAUUAUCCACUUAUUAUAUUUGAAUUUGAAUUUUUAAAUUUUUUAAUUUAUAUUUCUAAAUUUAAAAUUUUAACUUUGAAAUUUAAAAUCUCAAAUUUUAAAUUCAAAAUUUUAAAUUUUAAAUUUCAAACUUUAAAUUUAAGAUCAUAUUUAAAUUUGAAAAAUAUAAAAUAUCAAAUUUUAAAUUUCAAAUUAAAAUAUCAAAAUUUAAAUUUAAAAUUUAAAAUUAUAAACUUUAAUUUUGAGAUUAUAAAUUAUAAAUUUUAAAAAUUUAAAUUUUUAAUUUUUAAAAUUUUAAAAUAAGAAUAGUGGUGGGAACAAUUAAUAAAAAUAAUUUAUUAUAAUAAAUUUAUAAAUUUUUUAAAAAUUCUACUUAAACUUAAAUUUAAUAAAAAGAAUUUAUUAUAAUAUUUAAAUAUAAUUUAUUAUAAAUUUUAUUAUAAUAUUUAAAUAUAAAUAAUAUGUAUUAAUAUAGUACAAUUAAUAAUUUUAUAAUAAAAAUAAUGUAUUAUAAUAUAUAACAUAUUAUAUUUAUAUAAUUUAGUUUAAUUCAAUUUAUAAGUUUAAUUAAGUUUGAAAUUAAACAUUGGAAUAGCACUAUUCCACCAAAAUGGUGGAAUAGCAAAUCCCUUGCUAUUCCGGGAUAACCGGGAAUAGCAAGGUUUGACCGGGAUAAAAUAUCCCGGCCAAAUUUCACCCCGUUUGGCGGAAUAGCGGGGAUAACUUUCGUUAUCCCCGCUUAUCCCGCGAUCCAAACGGGGCUUAAAUGUUGUGUAAGAUAGGUUUUCUUCUCUCAUAACUUAUGGGACUAAGAUGCCUAUAAAUAGAGGGCUUCUCUAUUCUCUUCUACACCACAACUCAAAAAAAACAACAAAGUUAUUUUAAUUAUACUUGAGAGAGAGAAGGUCAAAGAAAGAUGUUUCUUUUGGUGGAGCUUCGGGCUCAUCUACUUGUGCAGAGUUGGUGAAGCCACACGACGAGAGUUGAGCCGUUGUAUCCUAGAGGGGACAAGUUAGUGCUCUGUUGCAUCGGUUCAAAGGCUUUGCCAACCGCAGAGGGCUUGAAUCUCUUUAAAGAGAGCGAGAUAUCCGUGCCUCGACUUGAUCGACUUGUUGACACUUUUUAAAAUUAUUUUAUAGCUAGCCUCUAUUUUUUGAAUAUAUACACCAACAAUUUUAAGGAGAUUCAAGAAUGGAGGCUACACGUGAAAAGUUCAACGAUACUGCCGGAAAUCUCAACAAGCAAAAGGAGAUGUCUCUCAAGACAUUAAUCGCACGUAUUCGCGUGGAAGAGGAGGCAAAAGGCCAAGAUGCACUUGAAGCAAAAGAGAAUGAUGCUAGCGCCACUAAGGUAAACUUAGUAUCUUCUAAUACUUUACCUAAUAACAAUCGUUCUAGAAAUACAUACUUGAAGCCUAAGAAGAAAAUUAGAAAGAACAGUGAUAGGCCUCAAUUUAAGAAAAAUGACCAAGGACCUCCUUCAAAUGUGAAAAAUAUAGUUUGCUAUGUCUGUGGCAAAAGUGGGCAUAUUGCUCGAACUUGUAAAUACCGGAAACAGAGAGCUUUACCUCAAGCUAAUGUUACCGAGGAACCACUUGUGGCGAUGAUAACAGACAUAUGCUUAGUGGAGAAUGUUGAAAGAUGGUGGACAGACUCUGGUGCCAAUAGGCAUGUCAGUCAUGAUGAGACUUGGUUUAAAACAUAUACUCCAUAUGAACAACCAAGAAGUAUUAUGCUUGGUGAUUCACAUACUUCUGAAGUUUUAGGGAGUGGUGAGGUCGAGUUAAAAUUUUCUUCUGGAACGGUGCUUAUCUUGAAAGAUGUGUUGUAUAUACCCUCGAUUAGGAAGAACUUGGUAUUAAGUUUUCUUCUUAGUAAAGCUGGCUUCAAACAGACCAUCGAGUCUGAUCAGUAUGUGAUUUCAAAAAAUGGAAAGUUUGUAGGUAAAGGUUAUCCAUGCGACGGAAUGUUUAAACUAAACAUUGAGAAUAAAGUAUCAUCUACUUCUGCUUACAUGCUUUCUUCUAUGAAUUUUUAGCAUGCUCAUUUGUGUCAUAUCAUCAGAAGAUAUGUUAGCUUGAUGAGUAGUUUAGAAUUAAUUCCCAGACUGAAUAGUGAUUUUGACAAAUGUGAAACAUGUAGUAAGUCAAAAAUCACUAAACGACCUCAUAAAAGUAUUGAAAGAAGUACCGAAUUACUUGAGCUAAUUCACAGUGAUAUUUGUGAAUUUGAAGGUAAUCUAACUCGUGGAGGAAAUAGAUAUUUUAUCACUUUUAUCGAUGAUUUUUCUAAAUAUACUUAUGUUUAUUAUUAAAAAAUAAAAGUGAUGCUUUUGAAAAAUUUAAAGAUUUCCUCCAUGAAAUAGAAAAUCAAUUCGGUAAAAAGAUAAAGAGAAUUAGAAGUGAUCGGGGUCGUGAGUAUGAAUCUUCGGGAUUCAACUCUUUCGCUCAGUUUUUAGGAAUAAUCCAUGAGACUACUGCUCCAUAUUCACCUGCCUCAAAUGGAGUAGCUGAGAGAAAAAAUAGAACACUUAUUGAGCUAACAAAUGCCAUGAUAGUUGAUACUGGUGUACCCCUAAAUCUUUAGGGUGAAGCCAUUUUAACUGCAUGUUAUGUCUUGAAUCGCGUGCCACAUAAGAAGUUUAAGAUGACACCCUUUGAAUUAUGGAAAGGGUAUAAGCCAAAUUUGGGAUAUCUUAAAGUGUCGGAUUGUCUAGUAUAUGUGAGGCUAGCAGACCCUAAAAGACCCAAAUUGGGCGUUAAAGCUGCUACUUGUGUUUUCCUUAGAUAUGUUUUGAACAGUACAGCCUAUAGAUUUUUAGAUAUUGAAAAUAAUGUAAUUUUUUAAUCAAGAGAUGCUAUUUUUCAUGAAAAAAAGUUUUCUUAUAAAUCGAAAAAUAGUAGGGGUCAAGAUUUUAAAAGUGUUUCAAAUAAACCGAGUUCUUCAAACUCUUUCUGGUAAAAUCAAGAAGAAAAUAUUUUUGAACCAAGAAGAAGUAAACGAAACAGAGUAGCAAAAGAUUUUGGCCCUGAUUAUGUUGUUAUGAAUAUUGAAGAAAAUCCACUUUUGUCACGCCCCGGAUUACACGUUCCCCGGGCAUGCCGACAAAUCCGUCGUAUACAAAGAAAUUUUUCUCGUAUACGAAGCGAUAGCUGUACCUGUAAAACAUACAAUACUACAAACAGUAGUAUAGAGUUGCUAGAAGAACCAGUAACAAAAACAAACCGAGUUCCAUAUACAUACGCCAAAACUCAGAUACAAAACUACUCGCACUCGCGAGUUACACGUCUGUAUGUACAUGAACUCCAACAAAACAGUUAUCUACUGUAGGGGCACCUCUAGCUCGGCUCGUCUGGUAGGGCUCUAACUCGCGACGUCCUUGCCUCGAUCCUGAUCAGCAAUAGUAGCAGCCGAAAACGAUGGCUCUGCAAAAACGGAGUAACAACAGGGCGUGAGAACUAUUGUAAAAACAAGUAGUCCUCAGUGGGUGCCGCCCUCAACAUCAUUGGUCCACCCACUAAGUCUAUAGAAGGGAGCGAAGAUAGCAAUAAAUGCUGGAAUAAAAUCUACAGCUACGAGUUAUUACACUAUCAAGCUCUAAACUAACCUACUGUAGAAAUGUCAAUCCUGACCCAAUCUCUUUAGGGACUGUAAACAUACCCGUCCCAGGGACUGUGAAUACACCCGUCCCGUCCAGUUGGGACUAUCCAGCUACCUCCACACUAUCCAGUCCGUGGAGAGCAAGUCCAACCGGCAAUGAACGACACCAACGCGAAAGCACAGCGCCCGUCUCCGGAGUGGCACUCGUGAGAGCUACCCAACCGAGUAUGCAGCGUAUCUCUGUCGAGCUCAAUCAGGCUCUCACAAGCCAAAGACAAGUAACAGGGUCCAACUGAUCUAACAACCAACAGGUCACGUGCCCUCGGCACAAUCUGACGCCAAAAUGACGAUAUGGGUCUACCGUCAACUCCGACGGCACCCAACAAUCCGGAACAGUCUGAACGAUACUGUAAAAAUACGCUAGGCAUCCCAGCACGAGAGUAACUGAACUCUAAACUAUAUGGGGUAUCCGUCACAUCAAUACUGCGACGAUACAAAAUUACAACGGCUCCUAGAGCUAAAUCAGGUAGUUUAAACAUAUGACAGGUU